CAGCACUCCCCUGGCGGCCCUUGCUUGCCUGGCAGCCCUUGUGGCCCUGGCGACCCUUUUGGCCCCGGCGGCCCCUUCUCCCCCUGUGGCCCCGGCGGCCCCUUCUCCCCCGGCGGCCCCUUUUGCCCAGGUGGCCCCUUCUCCCCCUGCGGUCCCGUCGGCCCCUCUGGCCCCCGCCAUCGGAUGCAAUAGAAAAGGAAACCACAAAGCAUGAUGGUAACAAUGACUAAACCAACAAUAACGACAAUAACCCACGUUGGGAUGUUAUUGUCAUCGGAUGAUAUGGGAUUCGGAUCGAUCCAUGGCGAUGGAUGAGGAAAGUAUUGGAAACACGGAGUUUGUGGACAGUUAUUGUUCUCCAUCAAGAAAACUCUGUGGAGGUAGUUCAAUGCGAGCGGUGAGUCUACAAACAUAUUAUGAAGCAUCAAUCCAAGAGCCAAUUUACCUUUUCAUCAUGAUGAAUUGAUCAUAUGAUCUGAGUGCGAGAUCAAAAUGAUUCAACACGGAAUUCAAUGAUAUAUAAUGUGAGUGGAAGUAGAUGCUUGCACAUAUACCCUCACAAGAAGAAUCGAGCAAAUCCGUGAAUGAUGUUGGGCCAAUGCUUAUGCAACCUGCAAAGAAGUGAGAAUUUUCAUCCGGUGGCCUCCUCGUCCUAAUAACUCUCUAUUGCUGCCCCAAACCCACCACUCCCCCGCCCCCCUUCUCCCUCCUCUUAUGGGGUGGGUGGGGUGGGUUAGGUAAAAUGUUUUAAUCAAUGCAUUACUCAUCCUGACAACUCCCUAUGAGGGUGAGUUAGGUAAAGUGUUUUAAUCAAUCACUCGUCCCGUCCUGAUGACUCUCUAUUGCUACCCCCAAACCCCCCCUCCCUCCCUUUUUAAUCAAUGCACCGCCUCUCUUUUUUAAGGAUGUACUAUAACGAUUGAAGACAUAUGGACAAAAAGCUAGGAAAUUUCAUUCAUGUGCCAAAGAUCCAAAAAAUUAUCAAAAUAAUUAUAAAUUUAUUAUAAUUGUGUCAAUUUAAUUUUAAACAUUUUUUUACCAAUUAAGUAUUAAACCUUUUAUAUUUAUGUCCAUUUAGUUCGUCCGAUCAAAAUUGACCGGCCAGCACUAACAUGAACACGAGGCAUCUUACAUGGCGCCAUCGACCCUAACAUAGAUAUUUUUUAGUAAUAUUGUAACAUUUUUCUCGAUUUUUAUUCCUAUUUUUUUAUAUAUUUUAUUUUCUUUUUUUCUUUCUUUCGUUUUAAUUUUUUUCUUCACUCCCUUCUUUCUCCAGCUAGUCACCAGUGACCACUGGGAAGGAAGCUUCAGGAAGAAUGGAGCGAGCUUCAAAUACUGUCCAGACUCGAUCAUGUCUUCAUGGGUGAUGUUCGGGAGCUAGGAAUUAGGCCCAUUGAAAUGAUACACGUGUUUGACUAUUCAUGGUCUAAGGUGGUAAGAUUUCGGUGAAGGGCCAAGAAAACUAAUCAGGUUCGAAAUGAGAAAUUAUUAUAUGCUCUACAAAACGUGUGACCCAAUAUCAUCUCAAUCAUUAAUCAAGUAGAUCUUGCUAUGAGCCCCAAGAUCAAUUGUUGGACUGGGUUUCGACAUAAGAUUUAUUGAACAUACAAUAACAUUUCAUGCAAAACAGGCAAACAUGGCUUGAAAAAUAAAAUUCACUCUACUAUCCAAAGUCAAGUCCACAAAAACUUAUUUUAGAGCCAAACUGUUAAGGAUAUAAGUGACCCACUGUCAAUUUGUUUCUAUUUCGAGUAUUCUAAAAACGUAGGAAAAUGUUCUAAGAUCCUUCUGAACUUAAACUGUCUUAGAUGGACACAUAAAAAAACCACUAAUCUCAGUCCUCGCGUUGGUCUGUUCUUGUCCCCAUCUCUCUUAUGGUCACGUCCUGUCCAAACGAUAUUAAAAGACAGCCAUGUGGCCAGCUAAUUAGAACGGUGGAAUUAAAGAAGAAACGUGGGCAAAACGACGUAAAGGCAAAGUCCGUCAUCUCAUCACCAUGGCCAUGAUCGUGCAUUUUUAGAAUCUUGUCCCUCCGACUUUAUUCGCCAUCACAUCGUUUUCUUCCCCCAACUGCGGGACUCUUGAGUCCGUCGCUACCCUUUCGUCGCAAUGAUGGUUCCAAUGCCAUAACAAAAGACGAUGGAUAGACCCAACAAAUGCACAAAUUGAAUCUAGUCGAAAAUGGACAAAUUCAAAUUAACACAUUUCAUUCAUUUUGAUUUAUUUUCAUGCAAUACAAAUUAUGUUACUCAUACUUGACCUAAUUCAUAUCUGAUUUGACUCAUAUUUCUUAAACACUUCCAUAUUUAAACUAAUUUAAGAAAAUCCAAAAUGAAGUGAGUAAAUUGUGAACUUAUUUAAUACCCAUAUUAUUUUGAAUUUAAGUCAUUCAUAUAAUAAAAAAAAAUAGUCUUAUAACCCAUUUUAACAAGUCUACUAUCAGAUAAACAUGAUAUCCCGACAUUUAUGAAAAAUUGUCCCAAUUAUGUCACAUCGCAUAUACAUGUAAGAAGGAAGAUUGGGACAUCUCCCAAAAAUCAAGUACGUAAUCGACAUUGCAUAGGUUGAGAAAAGAGCAAGAAGAACUAUAAAUUAUUCCUUUAAUUCUACUUGAUUCAAAGGAAUUGAUAUGGAAAAACACAAAAGACUAGCGACUAAUUAAGAUAUGGAAAAACACAUAAUGGAAAUAUUGUGUCGGAUUCCAAGGAAUUGAUAAUGUUCAGAAACCACAUAAAGAAAAAGGCGCCUUUUGUGUUGAGAACCGCACUCCUUUCUCAAGAUAAGUCGACAGCGUCCUCCACAGUGUCCGCAACCUGCAUAGGUAAGCAUAAAAGAGUUCAACCGGGGUAAGCGAUUUUUGGAUACACUUUUAACCUUGGAAAAUUUGGAGGGAAGUCAAAUUCCCCAUAAAAGUUGCUUUCAAUUGGGCAUAUUUUGGAAAUACUGACAUUUUGCUAGGCUGAAGAAGGAAAAGAUUCAAUCAUGUUUCAUCCAACCGAUUUAGAAUUGACCGAUCACCCAGAGCAUAGCAAAUCAAGGUAUGUAAGUAUGGGAGGGUUUUUUAUGAUGACAGCUCAAAACCACUUGAGGCCAUGUCUGGUUCAUGGCAUGGAAUCAUGAAAAGGAAUCUCAAUCAAGCAAUCGAAUUCCUAGAUGUGGGGUUCAUUCUCUAUUGUUUGGUUUCAAUUUAAAUAUGAAGGGAGAAAUGUCCGAUGUGAGAUGCAAUUUGAGAUAAAAACAUGUCAGAAAUGGAAUGUGUAAAAUAUUUCUUCCAUCCACAUAUCUAAAGUGGCUAAUGAAAAGGUAGGGAUAGAAACAGAAUGAAGAACCACAAAUGAUGCCCCGACAAUUUCCUGAUUAUUGUCAUCUAAAAUGAUCAUACAGUUCACACAAUCAUUUCACAAACACAUUACAUACAGUUCCUCAAAAUUGAGUAAAGCAUUUCACACAGAAUCUGCAACAAUGAAGAUAAAGUCAUUCCCGCAUAACUUCAAACUACUUCACAGCUGUUACCUCAAGCCAUUGUGAUAUUCUUGUCCUUAUUGUGUUUAGAGUCAGACCCACUCACGAGAACAAAUGGAGUGACAGCAACUCAGCCAAGUGUGUUAAUGAAACUUUAUAUCCCCACCCAAGCCAACGUGAUGCUCGUAGUUGGCAUCUCCAUUAACAGACCAGACAAGUUUCGUAAUAGCGAGAAAGAGAAAUAAUCUCACCUUGUAGAGGAAUGUGAGCGCCAUGGAAUCAAGAGGCAGGCGAAACUCCCAUGGAAGGAUUUGAAGAUGAUGAAUGGAGAGAGAGAGAGAGAGAGAGAGAGAGAGAGAGAGAGAGUUAUGGCUUUGUAGGAUUUGAAGAUGAUGAAGCUCAAGAGUACUGAGCGUGUUGGGCUCCUGAAUGUUUUUUCCUCCUAGAAAUCCCAGUACCACCUCUACCUGAGCAAUCCAGUUCUGCAUUAGGAGUAUCCGUUAACUAGGCACUUUGAUUCUAUGAUCAUAAAUCCAUCCAAAGAUGAGCUGCAAUGGCAUUCCACUUCCUCUUUAUUACUCCAAGGUGAACCAAACAAGGCCUAAGUGAUUACACGAUGCACUAUACUUCUGAAUGUUUUCAUGGUGGAAUCAAUGAUCUGCAGUCUCAACCAUGACUUUCCAUAGGAUCACGUAUCUAAAAUCUCUAAACCAAAGAAGUGAACAUGCUGGAAUGCACACAAUUCGCUUACUUAGGAACCUACCAUCAACUCACCCCAACGUACAUGCAAGGAGAGAUGGGAGAGACAGAUAGAGAAAUGUCUGGAUUUUGUUAAGAGUACGAAUACAUACCACGUCCAUGAGAAGUUCUGAAUGAUUAUCUUUUCCCUUGAAUACCCCAGUUCUUGUUAAUAUAGAAAACCAAGGAUCUCCUGCCUGAAGGAGUUGUUAUCAGUACUAGUGAUUGUGUUCGGAAAUAAAAUUACUGAUAACACAAUUCUCAGUAUGAAAUAUACCUGUCGUGCACCUCUAAUGUCGAUUUUGGAUUAUCCCCUAUCAUGUAUAGUGUUCUGAAACAACGAAUUCCAGAGUAUGUAUAAUUCUCCACAUCUAGGUUGCUUAACAAAGAUGGCAUAAGAUUCCUUAACACGGUCUCAGCAUUUCCAUAGACAAAUGGAUUUGGCCUCCCAUACGAUGUAUAUGCCAGCAGAAUGGGAUGUAUUCUGCAGGACAAGGACAAGUAAACAAUGCAUAACACAAGAUUGAAGAUUAAUGCAUGUCACUUUGCCGCAUUGAGGUAAACUAGGCCCACACAAGGAUCUUAUGGGCCUUUCUUUAAUUUUUUGUGCAGAAUAUUAGAUCAAACUCCGUGCAGAACUAACAUUGAGAAGCUGAAACCUCACUAUCUUACCUGUUAUAGAUUGCUUCUAACGCAAUCCUGAACGCUCCCAUACCCAGACAUUCGGCAGGAAAAGUAGCCUGCCUUUGACUUUGUUAGCUAGUCAUCAGCCAGUCUUUAGUUCCGCCAAGGCUUCAAAAACUCAAGAUUGCAGCUGGCGUCACAAAUGGCAUAGCUUACCUGGUAUUCGAGGUCAUUAUUUGCAAAAACUAGGUGCGGUUGCUUUCCAGCCUCCCUUCCAGGAAGCCCCCCAGUUCUUAAUAUGUCACAGAGCACCUAAACCCAAACUUGAGUAUCACAGAAUUGUUUUUAAUACACACACACAGACAGAUAGAUGAUUACACUCCAUUUUAUCACUUUUUCCAAACUCGAUGUCAACACCCACUAGACUUUUAAAAAGAUGAUGACUAAAGUUGCAGAGCAGUUACCGAACAACCAAACAAAGCGUUGUCUUUUGAUAAUCAGUUCAAAGAUUUAGAACUAGCGUGAUGAAAAGCCCAGUAUGGACUCGACAGCCGAAUUAGAUAAUCUAAGAAAGGACAAGAUCCUUUAGAGUGGUUACAACCUAGACAUCUCUGCUCCGGUCAACAGAAUCACUGACUACAAAUGCUGCCUGAACUCUCUGCGUUUGCACAGCAAUUUAAUUCUUUCCUAUCAUAUUAGAAGUGCUAUAAUUUAUGUCUAGAUAUUUUUUGUGGAAGGUAAACAAAUUUUUAGUUCGUUUAUUUUUAUAAGCAAUAUAAAUAAUUAUUUUUAUGAAAUGUAUUUAAAUCAUUCUCUUAAUCAAAGAUACACUCCCUUUACAUCUGUGUUGUAGUUCCAUCUUCACUCUCGAUUGUAUUAAUUAAUCAUAUGAGCCAAAAGUAAAGCAAAAUAUAUUUGUGCUCUAUAGGCAAUUUUAUUCUAAACAGCUUUUCAUCAGCCAACAUUUAGUUUUUCUCAUGGACUAAUGGCAUCUGUUUUUAUGGUCGUGGUAGUAAAAAAAUUAAAUUGGAAAUUAGAACAGGUUUUGAAUAGAGGAGAUUAUGUAAAGCCAAAAGAAGCAACAUGGAUGGACCACUUUUCUUAGCCGUCGCAUCAACAAACAAACGGAGAAAAUGAUGGAGGUGCAAUCCUAUUUUGAUGACAGCUUAGCAGCGUACUAUUGCGGGCCAACGGAAGCAUGUGAUCAUCGUCUUUUACCGAGACAAUGAAUGAUUUGAUAGCCCAACGGAAGCAUGUGAUCAUCGUCUUUUCGUCUUUUACCGAGACAAUGAAUGAUCAGGUAGCCUCGUUGAUGACAUGGAAGUGACAAGCGGUCCUUCCACUAGUGCAUCUACUUUCGGACAACGAUGGAUUCCCAUUAUAUUAUUUCGUGCCUUGGCCUGCAAUCAGGCAUAAGGGAGAGCAUUAAAUUCCAAAAAUAAGCCUAUUGACAUUCUCUUCCGGGUGCUUAAUUCAGAAGAAAAACAGCUUCGUCUUAUCAUGUCAUGCUGUCAUCGUUACACUUAAGUAGUUGAAAAUAAUUGAAACGCCACGUUAGAUGAUUUCAAUGAGAUUUAGCUAAAAUGUUUUAUCGCAUUUUCCCUUCUAAGUUGAAGACUACGUUAUUUUAGUAAAAAAAAUUUAUUUUUUUAUAUGACCAAGGAACCAUCAAAGAUCACUCUGUCAUACGAUCCUCUAGGCACUGUUAGACCUCGUCGAGAACCCCAACACAAUGACCUCCCGCUUACAACACUUUAGCAACGAGAGAGUUCGAACCCUCGACCUCUGCGAUGAGAGAAAGAACUCAUAUCAACUGCGCUGCUCGUGAUUGUGUUAUUUCAGUUAAAAAGUUUAUACCUUGAUAGGUUUGAAAUUUCGUUAUAAUAAUUUUAGGAGAGAUUGUACAAUUAUCUCGGAAAUAUGACAAUUCGAAUUUCUUAAUCUCGUGCUCGCACUCAACUCAAUACAAUAUAUAUACUCGCAUUAGACUCGAUCCAACUCUAAUAUUAAAAACUAAAUUAUAGUGUAAAGCUUCAAACUCCAUCUCAAGUUCUCAUAAAAAAUUUCAAAAAUAAUGAUUUUUUUCUAUUGUCCUUAGUAAAAUCCUUUUAAUUACUGUAGUAUUACAAAAUUUGACACCUCCGACAUGGCAAUCCAUAUUGUUGGUCCAAAUACAUAAAAGAAGGGGUGAAGUGUUUUUUAUACAUAUAAAAAUAUUUAUCUUUCUAGAACCAGCACCUUAUUUAAAAAAAAGAAUAUAUGCAAUUAAACUGUUAAUUUGCAAUAAGAAACUUAUCGAGUUUAGGGAAAAAUGAAUUACAAAAGCUAUUUAUAGAGUUUCAAUUAGGAUAUGCUUUCUCUUCUAGCUCUAGCUGCCCCAUUAGAUUGAAAUUCACUACUUUGGCCAAUAGUGCAAUUGCCAAGAACUUUGUAUCAUGCGGACUCGACUCCUCCUAUGGCUAUCUCACUAUAGACUAAAUAAUUAUUAGAUCUCUUUCAAUAGUUGUUCUCACACCUUGUGCACACAACACGGUAGACAUAUUCUCCCCCAAAAUUAUUUAACCUCAUUUCUAAGUGUUUACAAAUAAUCAUUUGCAUAUUUCGUCUCUUACCUAAACAAUUGCAGUCUCUCUAAGCACAACCACUUCUUCCGUGUGCAUACAAAUGAUAUUGGCACCCUUGCUAACUUUUAGGAUCAAAACUAAAUAGAUUAUAAUGAAACAACAAAGAGAUGGAUCUCAAGAACACUCAAUGUGUUUCGAUUUUUCUUGUUGCAAGCACUCAAUCACAAGUUACGUUUUACUCGUAGUUUGUCCUUAUAGGCAUCCAAAAACAACCCUCCUAUUCCAACCAUUUGAUUCGAGUUGAUCACAUAUUUCAUUUCAGCACACAGAAAAGAGACAUUUGGAGGGGGUACUUAGAGAUCAUCGACAAAUGAAAAAAUCAAAAUGAUAAGGAGAGUGAGCAGAAGUUGGUAAGUUUAUAAAUUGACUUAUUAUAGUGUUUGCAAUUUAUUGAUGAUGCUUGUGAAAUUUCCAAAGAGUUGGUUAUUCUUUAAUUUAUUUCAAAGUUGGUAAAUUUCUAACGGCAUUGAUAAGUUAUUGAUAGGUCAUUGGGCAAUCAAAUUGACGGUCAUGCUUUUCUUUUAUCGACUGUACUAGAUCUUAAUGUUGGCUGGGUCUACCUGUGUGGGGCCUGGUUAAUGUUAAUAAAUAAAAGAAAAGGUCAAAAAGUCAAAAAAUGCAAUAAAGGAAAAGAAAGGCGGGCUGCUUAUUCGGAGAAGAUAGGAAAUAGGCUGCCAAAUAUUGUCAGAGUUGACUCAAAUUUCGAUAUGUUGUUAUAAGACUGAGACAGAUGAGUCGAGACAGGCGAGUCCAUAAGUUUCAUUUGUCAAUCCGUUUUGUUCACUGAACACUUUUUCUAAAUUAUCUCAAAUUUCUCCAAUUGCGAUUAGGGUUUCUUACUUCAUAUAUAUUAAUUCGCUUUUACAGUGACGAAAUGUCAUUAUUGUUGAUAUUGAAUCUCUAAUAUAUUACUAAAGAAGAACCUCUGUGCAUCUUACUAUUUUUUUGUGAUUAGUAAAAGUUUUUGAAUCGUCCAUAUUUUUUUCACAUUGAAUUUUCCACGUAAACUUGUUGUGUUUGCUUUUGUCUGUUUUUAUCAUUUUGGCAUUUUUUUUAUUCAUUACGAGAUUAUAUUGUGGGAAUAUAUUGCCUGUUAUUAUAGGGGUUGAGUCGAUUUUGGUCCAUUUAAUCUUGGGAAGAAAUUGAUACAAGAUUAAGUUAAUUUUUGAUGAAUUGUUGCCGGUUCUCUCGAACUUUGUAUCAAUAAUUUUGGAAAUCCAUCAAGUAAGGGAAAUUUUCCGCAUUUUCCUUUGACUACCCUGCACUCAGUCCCGAAAGCUUGGGUUAGCCACAUCUUUGAUUUUUUGUCUCAUCGACCAAUAGCAUUUGAUUUUAUGGUGUUCGUGGUCGUGAAAAAGUAUGAUUUCUGUCCCAAUCGCGUCCUCAUCGGCAUCUUUGAUUUUUUUUGUCUGAUCGACCAAUAGCAUUUGAUUUUGUGGUCUCCGUCGUCGUGAAAAAUAUGAUUUCUACCCCAGUCGUGUCCUCAUCAGCCCAAAGCAUUUUACUUGAUUUUCCCAGAACUGCCCCAGUCAAUAACACUUCAAUUCGUGUUAUAUUAUGGGGUUGUUUGGUUCAGCAUUCCCAAGGGGCUUUCAGCCCCGAAAGCCCCUUGGGAAAAAUUUCAGCCGUUUGGUUAAUCAUUUAGAGCUAUACUUUGGGGAUGCUAGCAUUUGGAAUGCUCUAGAAUGCUGAAAGCCCAAAGCAGGUCCCCACCUGCUUUGGGCAUUCGGCAUUUUCGGAAUGCUGAAGGGGGGUUUAAUGAUUUUUUUUCUUCCGAUAUUGCCCUCACUGAUAAUUGAGUUUUCUUAUUUUACCCUAAAAAAUAUUGUUCAUCAUCUUCCUCGCCUUCCUUGUUUCUUCAAGACCAAAGCUCAUCUGGCGGAGCUCAACCGGCCGGAGUUGGUCUCCCACGCAUGGCCAUCGCCACACACCGCCGUGCCCACGCACCACCGUCGCCACACACCGCCGUGGCCACGCACCACCGUCGCAUGGGUCGUGACCUCAGCGGCGUCGCUUAGGUCGCGCAACCCACGCGACGGGCUGAGUGGUGCUCAGCCGACCAGAUCCGGUCGCCACGCACCACCGUUGCGUGGGUCACGGCCUCCGGCAGUGUCGCACGACCCACGCCACGGCUCAGCCGCCCAGAUCCGGUCGCCACGCACCGCCAUCGCGUGGGUCGCGCCUCAGGCGGCGUCGCGCGACCCACGCGAUAGGCUGAGCGGUGCUCAGCCGGCCAGAUCCGGUCGCCUUGAGGCCGCGCGACCCAUAAGACGGCGGUGUGUGGGUCGCGCGACCCGCAGACGGCGGUGCGUGGGUCGCGCGACCCGCCGCCUCCCCACCACCACAGCCACCAGCCGCCUCCCCCACCACAGCCAUGCACCGCCGUCGCGUGGGUCGCAGCCUCAGGCGGCGUUGCGCGACCCACGUGACAAGCUGAGCAGUGAGCAGUGCUCAGCCAGCCAGAUCCGGUUGCCUCCCCACCACCACAGCCACCGGCUGCCUCCCCCACUAGGCUCUGAUUGCCUCCCACUCGCUCCCCUACUCUGCAUCAACCUCUCCUCCUCCUUUUUCCUUUUUCUUUUCAUCUCAAAGCUAUUUUGCAAAAUGCUACACCAAAAUAAGAGUUCCCAAACACUUCAGCAUUCACCAAAUGCCCAUUCUUCUAAAGAUACUUGGGGAAAUGCAAAGCCAUUUCCCCAAAGUUGAACCAAACAGCCCCUAUGAUCUGAGAAAUGGAUGUUUACUGCGGGGUUCGUCCAAAUCGAUUUCGUCCAGCGGCACGAUAAGAAGAGAUGCUCCAAUAUUCCUUUUUUCAAACUUUCUUGCAAGAUUGAUUGUAGUUUUAUUUUUUAGGAGUCGUGCUUGGAUUGGAUAUGUUCAUGUUUCGGAGGAGGUUCAUGAAAUUUUGAAGACGACUCGCAUCAUACUUGUCAGCAUGUAGGGAUGGAACUAUCAUAUAUUUUUAGUGGGGUCAAUGCCCUAAAGACUGUAAAAUAAGGUAUUUCAUUUAACAAAAAAAUUAUAAAGAUGCGAUCGAGCUAUUUAUUGAUUUGAAGUAGUUUUUCUACGCGAAGUCUGACUUGAAAUCAAAGCUUUGACAUUGAAUCGUGAAUGUGAACAAAAUUCGGUCUCAAAUCCUUGUGCUCGAGUUCGACUCAAUAUAUUAUAUAGGGCUCGAAAUUGAACUCGAUUCAAUUCCAUUAUUAAAAGCUCGAUUGUACUCAUUUGACUUGUUACGUAGGAUGUUUCUUUCUAUUUUUCCUAAUCAUAUAUUGUACCUUCUGCAUAGCCUGGUCAUGCCAUUUGAUUGCUUUAUCUUCUGACUCUAUCAAUCAUUGUGUUUGAUUGGUGGUGUGGUUGUCUAGUAGUGCAAUGUCUAAGCCCGAUAAUUUUUUUAUAAUUGUUUAUCUUUUUACUUUUCUGUUUUUUGCGUCAUAAAGAAGUUUAUAGUACAUGGAAAGACAAGAUACUGGUUUUGAUUUCUUGCAAGUUAGCGCAUGGUCCCUUAGAGGGCGACGAGGCUAAGCCUAAUUACAUCGAUGAACAAUGGAAAUUACUAAAAAGGCAAUGUAGGGUUUCAUUAGGCAUCAUCAAUUGGAUUUUAUUUCUUUAGAUAAACUAUAAAGAUCCCAUCCCACUGCUCCUUUUGCUCUUCCGAUUUCCAUCUUUUGGCAGUGGAAAACUGUAGCCACAACAACACCGAUAUAAAUUAAGGAAUUGUUAUGCUAGCCGGAUCCUAUGAGAAACAAUCGAUGUCAUCUCAUCCAUUGAUCGUCAGACUUUCAGGAUUAUAUGUCACAAUUGCACUUCCAUUUGUUGUAGAAAACUUCCUUAUUUGUUUUGAAGCUGACAAAACGUUUCCAUCAUUCUAGUCUGAAGACUUAUAGACUCUUUCGUCAAAGUCUAAAGACUGUCAUACCACCAGACUCAAGAUUUAAAUUCUGCCAUUAUCGACAGUUUCUAGACCGAUGAAGAAGACUUAUCCAGAAUUGAGUAUUUCUUUAAGGAUUUGAUUCGAGUGGCUAAAGAAGUUCUCACGGCUGGAGAUAGCAUCUCAAGAUUUAUAAUUCGUUUUGAAUUUAAAUCGAGUAAUUUGGAUCUAUUGAUUGGCGAAGUAUACUUGGAAAGUUCUACUUAUGGAAACCUAAAUUUGAUUGUAUGGGCGAGCAAAAUUGGUGGGCUAUCAUCACAUUCCUUAAGUAACUCGAGAUCUCCUUAAUUGAUUCUGUUCAACGGGUAGAUUGGAAGAACUCAUUUGGAAGGUGCCAACAGUUAUGAAGGCAUGGAGAAGUAUAUAAGGAAGACGCUCUAGUUAUUUGAGUGUGCACGUGAUAGAAAAAUUCCAAAGUCUGAAGUUCAUUGUUCUUUGCCGAUUCAAUCGUUGAGCGUAAAUAUGUAAUCAAAAGAGAGUUUUAAUACUUGUGAAACCUUGAGGAAGUGUAGCAGAGUCUCUACACCGUGGAAUCAAUGAUGUGAUACUGUAACAACUAUUUUGAUUCAUAGUGAAAUCUAGCCGGUGGGUUGUCAGUGCGGGAGAGUGGACGUAGGCUUAGAUUAAGCCGAACCACUAUAAAUUUGUGUUCUUAUUUCCUUCCCUAAACUCUUUUAUCUUGCUCGUAACUCUAUUUAAUUGUUAGAAUCUAAUUUCCUCUACAAAGUCUGUCGUCAACCAGAUUCAGGUUAAAAGUUUUAUACUAUAUUUUGCAAAAGUUGCUUUUGCAUCUAUUUACCCCAUCUAGGUGCUCGUACUAGCAUUAUCAAUUGGUAUCAAAGCAUGUGUACUCAUUUAAUUGAAGUGUUUUUACUUUAGAGUUAAAGAUCCGUGGCUAGUAUGUUGGCUCCAAGUUUGGUUGAAGGGCAAAGUAAUACCAGACCGCCCUAUUUUGAUGGAAGGGCAUAUAACAUAUGAAAAAACAAGAUGAAGGCAUUCCUAAGAUCGAAAUACCCUCUAGAAUGGGAUGUGGUAGAAAAAAGAAUCAUUCCUAAAGCUGCAUCAGUCUCAAGAAGGGGAAAAGAAGUUGCAAUGGCUAGUGAGAUGGCUCAAGAAGAGAUAACCAAGAGACAAGCUCUUGAUGCAAAAGCAAUUUAUUUCUUAUAUUGUAUAUUAUCUCAUACUAAAUAUAAUAGAAUAUUUUCUUGUGAAACAGCUAAAGAAGUCUGGGAUAGGUUGCACAUCACCUAUGAAGGAACUGAUCGAGUGAAAGAAACCAGAAUCAAUAUUCUGCUCGGUCAAUAUGAAGCCUUCAAGAUGAAGCCAGGAGAAUCUAUCACUGACAUGUUUAGUCGCUUUACAGAAAUCGUGAAUGGUCUUGAGUAUCAAUGUUAACCAGUCUAAAGACCCAUGAAGGUUAAUAAAUUGCUGCGUGGACUUUCCAAAGAUUGGAAUCACGUAAAGAAACAAAGGAUCAUGCCACUCUCCGUUGAUGAAUUGGUUGGCACACUUUAAUCCUAUGAAGUUGAGCAAAUCAAUGAAGAUGAAGAUCCUAAAGGUAAAAAAUCUAUUGCUUUAAAAUCUAAUGAUGAUUCUAAUGUUACAGAUUCUAAAGACGAUAUGGACGAUGAAGAGCUUGCUCUCAUUAUAAGAAGGUUUAGAAAACUGAACAAAAAGGGAAGAGGAUUCAAUUGAAAGAAACAAAGUUCUCAAAAGUUUCAAAAUAAAUCAGCUAAGGACGAUGAAUCCAAUAAAGAUAUGAUUUGUUUUGAAUGCAAGAAAAAGUGACACAUCAGACCCAACUGUCCCUUGCUGAAGAAAAAGAAAGGAAAAUUUGAGAAAUACAGAAAGCCAUUCAAAGCAUAAACUUGGAAUGAUACCGAAUGCGAAGAGAGUGAUGAUGAUUAUGAUAAUAUUUGUUUAAUUGCAAAAUCGGAAUCAGAUUCAGACUCUAAGAUAGAUACAGACUCAGACAGUGAAUUCGAGGUAAGUAAUUUAAAAAUUCCUACUAAAGUUUCAAAAUAUAUUAAUGAACUGUGUCUUAGUCUCAAAACCUCUCUCAAGAGGAUUUCCGAGUUAAAAAGGGAAAAUUAUACACUGAAGCAACAUGAGAUUGUUUGGAAAGAAAAGUUCAAAAAUUUAAAUAAAAUUUUUAUUACUUUGAAAGAAAAUGCAGACUCUCUUUCAAAAGAAAAUACAUUUUUGAAAAAUGAUAUUUCAAGUAUUUCAAAAAGGUUUUCUAUAAGAUCUGAGAAAUUGGAAAAAUAUUCUUUAAGCACAAAGACCUUACUUUAACAAAUCAAGCUUGGGAAUAACUUCUGAAACCAUUCCUCUAAUUGAUUUUCCAAAAGUAAAGGAAAGAAUCAAACAAAGACCUACAAAAGCAUUCUAUAGAAAUCAUUUUCAAAAAGUCUUUGUAAAACCUAUUGGCCAUAGUACUCUUAAAUGUUCUAAGUGCAAUAGCUUAGAACACUUUGAGAAAGAAUGUCCCAUGAUUUGGAAACUUGUUAAGAAGGAUUGGGCAAAGACCGUAUAUUGCACUAACUCCAUUGGACCCAAGAAAGUGUGGGUACCUAAGAAAGUUUGAGUUUCUUUUUUAAAUGUAGGUCACUAUCAAGAAAAAGGUCAAGUAGUACUUGGAUAGUGGAUGCUCAAGACAUAUGACAGGGGAUUCAAGUUGUUUCAUAAAGCUUAUGCAAGUUAAUGGUGGAAAAAUUUCUUUUGGUGGAAACAACAAAGAAAAAAUUGUUGGAUGUGGAACAGUAAAGAUUGGAAGUCUCACAAUCAACGUCUCCUUAGUAGAAGGACUCAAUUACAACUUGCUAAGUAUCAGCCAACUGUGCGACACAGGUUUCAAAAUCAAAUUUCAAGAAUGAAUAUGUUCGAGAACCAGUAAAGACUUCUCUCAGACUUUCACAGGGCGAAGACAUGGGAACAUCUAUCUUUUGGAUAUCAAACCAGAAAAAUCUCAUUGUCUAAUUCCAAUUCAAGAGAAAGCUAAUCUCUGGCAUCGAAAACUUAGCCAUAUCAAUAUGAAGCAAAUAGCCAAGAUCUCUGCAAAGAAGCUUGUUUGUGGACUACCCAAUUUGACAUUUCAAAAAUUUGAAUUAUGCAUACCAUGUGUGUUGGGAAAACAGGUUAUAAGUUCCUUUAAACCAAUAAGUCAAGUUUCCACUAAUCGUGUGCUGCAGCUCCUACAUAUGGAUCUCUUUGGAUCAACUAGGACUCAGAACAUUGGUGGAAAGAAAUAUUGCCUAGUAGUAGUGGAUGAUUAUUCACGAUUUACUUGUGUAUACUUUUUGGCGAGUAAGUCUGAAACCUUUUCUUAUUUUAUAAAGUUUGCUAAGAAAGUACAAAAUGAGAAAGGGUAUGUUAUUUUGAGUAUACGGACAGACCAUGGAGGUGAGUUUGAAAAUCAAAAUUUUACUAAAUUCUGUGAUGAAUCUAGUUUUCAGCAUAUGUUCUCCUCUCCAUACACUCCCGAACAAAAUGGAGUUGUGGAAAAGAAGAACAAAUCGUUGCAAGAUAUGGCUAAAACACUUUUAAUUAAAAGUAACAUUUCUUCUCAUUUUUGGGUUGAAGCAGUUUCUACAACAUGUUAUAUUAUUAAUAGAGUCUUCUUAAGGCCUAUUUUGGAGAAAACUCCCUAUGAAUUGUUCAAAGGAAAGAAGCCAAUUGUUUCCUAUUUUCAUGUGUUUGGCUGCAAAUGUUUUAUAAUGCAAAUGAUUGAAUUGGUAAGUUUGAAGAAAAAUAAGACGAAGGCAUCUUCCUUGGAUAUUCAACCACCAGCAAAGCUUACAGAGUAUAUAACAAAAAGACUCAAUCUAUGGAAGAAUCGAUGAAUGUCAAAUUUCAAGACCUUAUACAAAAUCAAUCAAUCUACACUCAACUUGAAGAAUUUGAACCUACUCUAAUCUCUAUAAAGUCUAAAUCCCCAGAAGCAGCUCAGACUUCAGAAGAUCAACAACAAAUGAUCAUUGAAGAAUCAUAUGAAGAAAAAGAUCAAAAGUCUGUCAGACCAACCAGCAACUGGAAGCACAAGUUCAGUCAUUCUAAAGAACUUAUUAUUAGUGACAUUGAUGAAGAGAUUCGUACAAGAUCCAAAAGGCAUGAUGAGUCUAACGAUGUGGCUCUUAUUUCUGAAAUAGAACCCAAAAGCAUAGAAGAAGCUUUAACUGAUGAAAGCUGGAUUGAAGCUAUGCAAGAAGAACUCAGGCAGUUCAGUAUUAACGAUGUUUGGGAACUGAAUCCUAAACCAAAAGGUAAAUAUAUUAUUGGAGCUAAAUGGGUUUUCAGGAAUAAGAUGGAUGAGAAAGGAAAAGUUAUAAGGAACAAAGCAAGACUCGUAGCCAAAGGAUAUACGCAAGAAGAAGGGAUAAAUUAUUAUGAGACUUACGCACUAGUAGCAAGAUUAGAAUAAAUUAGAUUAUUACUUGCUUUUACUUGUUAUAAGAAUUUCAGAUUAUUCCAAAUGUACGUCAAAAGUGCAUUCUCGAAUGGAUUUAUCCAAGAGGAAGUUUAUGUGGAACAACCUCCCUGUUUCGAAGGCCCAAGGAAACUAGACUCUGUAUUUAGAUUGAAAAAGGCGCUAAUGGUUUAAAGCAAGCACCUCGAGCUUGGUACGACAGGUUAAGUAAGUUUUUAAUUCAAAAUGGCUUUGUUAAAGGUAAAGUAGACACUACUUUGUUUAUUAAAAGAGAAAGUAAAAACUUUUUACUUGUUCAAAUCUAUGUUGAUGAUAUUAUUUUUGGAUCACCUAACGAAAAUCUAUGCAAGAAAUUCUCUAAGUCUAUGUAGGAUGAAUUCGAGAUGAGCAUGAUGGGUGAACUAUCCUUCUUUCUCGGACUACAAAUGAAACAAUUGAAGGAAGGAAUUUUCAUUCACCAAGAAAAAUAUGCUAAAGAACUUGUUAAAAAGUUUGGUGUGGAGAAUUGCAAAAAGACUGAUAUACCAAUGUCAAGUUCUUCAAAGCUGGACAAAGAUGAAGGAGGAAAGCAAGUUGACCAGAAGUUGUACAGGAGUAUCAUUGGUUCACUUCUUUAUUUUAUUGCUUCUAGACUUGACAUUUUGUUUAGUGUUUGCAUUUGUGCUAGAUUUCAAUCAAAUCCUAAAGAAUCUCAUCUAAGUGCUGCGAAACACAUCAUCAAAUACGUUGCUACAACCUCCAAGUUAGGUCUCUGGUAUCCUAAAGAAGAAGACGUUACUCUCCUUGGAUAUUCAGAUGCAGAUCUAGCAUGAUGUAGAGUUGAUAGAAAGAGCACCUCGGGCACUUGUCAAUUGCUUGGUAACAGGACAAUAUCUUGGUUUUCAAGGAAGCAAAGUACUGUAGCUCUUUUAACAGCAGAAGUAGAGUAUGUGGCUCUUAGAAGUUGUUGUUCUCAAAUCUUAUGGAUAAAACAACAACUGAGAGACUUUGGAAUAGAAGAUUCAUGCAUUGAGAUCAAAUGUGACAACACUAGUGCGAUUAAUCUCACCAAGAAUCCAGUUCUUCAUUCAAGAGCAAAGCAUAUAGAGAUUCGACAUCAUGUUAUUAGAGAUCAUGUUCAAAAUGGAGAAGUAUUGAUUCAAUUCAUUGACUCAAAGAAUCGGCUGGCGGACAUAUUUACAAAAUCUCUGGAGAAAAGUCAAUUUGAGUCUAUUCGAUCCAGUCUUAAUAUCUUAAAGUCUGAAGAAGUUCAGACUCAGGGAUAAAAGUCUAAAGAUGCUCAGAUUCAGAAGAUCAAGAAUCACGACUGUAAGUUAUUUCGGUUUUAGAAACUUAUCUUUCGGAUAAAAACUCAAAAAGGUAUGAUGUUAUCUUCCCAAGUUUUUGUAAUUAUAGCAAUCAUUCCUUUUCGAAAAAGAAGUUAUCUUUUUGAAAUGACAGUUAUCUAUUUUCAAAAAGAUAGUUAUUUUUUGAAAAUGCAUUUUCUAUUUUUCCUUUUACGACAAUCUGUAUACCCCAUUUCGAUUGCCUUAUAUACUGAUCAUCUUCUUCACGAAUCCUAGAACCAAAGAACUUUACUUUCUUACUUUUUCUCUAUAGUUUAAUCCUUAAAGUUUUCAUCUUUCUCGUGAAUCGAAUUCGGAAACUCUCUCAAAGAUUGUGAUAAUGUCUUCUCAAAGAAAGUCCUCAAGGAUUGCAAGCAGGGGACCACAGCAUAUGCAUGAGGAUCCUAUGCAUUUUAACUUGACCGAGGAAGAAGAAUCUCCAAGGCAUCAGCAGAGUCCACAACAUUCUCAACCGCGCCAUUCUCCUCAGGCUAGACCACAGCAUGUUCAGUAACAAUAAGCAUAGGAAGAAAUUAUUGAGGAUGCCAAACCUGUAAGAACUCUAAGGCCCGCUUUUACCUUCAAACUCUACUUUACCUUAAUGGAUGGAGGUUUUCCAUUAAACUUUAUUGAUGAAUUUUUGAAAGAAAAGGGGUACCGAAAUGAAACCCAUUUCUUACGAACGAUGGAACGUUUGGGAAUUGCUCAUGUGGGCUUGGCAGAAAGAGCUUUUGCGAAUAUCCCAAGUGAUCCACAUGUUAGAGGACUUAGUCAACCUGAUGGAAAUGAUGAUGAAAAGAUGUUCACUCAUUUUAAGCCUAGAAUGGGUGUUGCUGCGAAUAUUCGAGGAAAAAGAGCAGAUCUGUUUCGUUCUGAGGAACAUAAGCGAUUUUACUCUAAGUUGCUGAAGCGAGGGGUGAUGAACCCAAGGAGUGUGGGUUUUGAUUUUCUCGACUCUCUGAACGUGAAGUUGCGAGAGAAAUUUACUUUACUUCAACUUGAACGAUUUUGCUCUAAGACAACAGUGGCUCAUCCAAAACUUACUGCUUAUUUCUAUUCCAAUCUACGCUUUUUGGAUGCGAAUAGAUUUUCUUUCAGUGUUAGAGACUAGGAUUAUGUAGUUGAUAUGGACAUUCUGGCUGAUGUGAUUGAAGUAGAGAGAGGGAUGUUCCAAUUAAUUAGUGUGUCUAUUGGUCAUGCAACUGUGGAGCUUGUUCAGGAUGGAAUGGCAGAAGGCCGGAUUUUGUACUUGAGGAUGAAUGCCUCAAAUGUCUUGCUUCACAAGAUUGUGAUUAACUAUCUUAGACCCAAAUGUACAUCAAAGAUUAACGUCUCCAAUUCAGAAGCAAAGCUGAUGUAUGCUAUCAAUACUGGUAAAAAGUUCUCUCUGCCACACACUUCUUUAUUUAGCACUUGUUACUCAGCUAUUCAGACAUUUUAAUAUUCAACUUCCCAAAAUUUUGUGUGUUCGAACCUGUAAUCAAAUGGUGGUGGGACUAAAGAUGGUUUCAAAAAUGCAUCUAAAGGAGCUAAACAAGGCUUUAGAGCGCUUUAAGAAGAAGACCCCUAUCAAGACUCGUCAAGACUCUGUGGCUGCAAAACGCAAAGGCAAGGAGCCCAUGACAGCUCCAUCCAAGAAAAGGAGAGCACUCAUCUUGCAGGAUGAAGAAGAUGAGGAAGAUAUCACCAUUUCCGCUCUUGCCUUAAGGAACUUACAGCGUUUUGUUCCAAAGACAGAGGAUAGAGAGGAUCAAGACAGAGAAGAAACAGAGCAGAGGAGUGAAGAGAGGGAAACGAUGUGGAAAACAGCAGAGGAAGAAAGAACUGUAGAAGAAGAGGAAAGAGGAGAACAAGGUCAUCAUGUCACUGAAGAAGAGACAGAGCAUGAAGAGUACUUCUCUCCACCUGAAGGCAUUCAAACAGGAGGAGCUGCUGAGAAAAGAGGUAUUUCUUCACUUGCUUUUACUAGUGAUGAUGUUAGUUGUUCUCUUGCCGAUCCAGAAGAUGUAUAUGCCUCUCAAUUUCCUAAAGAAGGUAAUAAGGUUUCAUCUUCGAGCCUGGCUGCUCAUGCUGAAAUGCCAUCAUUUGCCAAUACUCCACAAAUUGAUCAUGCUGAAGCAAGCACUCAAACUGACAACUCAACAGACUUUAGAAGAUUGCUUGAUGUUCUUAUGGAGAAGAGAGGUCAGAUUUAUUCCUUGGGAUGUGAAUUUCAAAAUAUGUAGAAUGUCAAUCAAGCCUCUUCAGUUUCUUUGCACAAUCAAGUUCAAGUAAUUGCCAAGGGUGAGGAAGUAGCGCAACUGAAGGAGGUUCUGAGAAAGUUGGAGGAGACUAUCAAGUCGAUGGGAGAUUUCCAGCUUGUUCACGUUCCAAAACAAUCUUAAUUUUUUUUCCAAAUCUUUAUUUCGUCUCUACCUUUUUAAUGCUGACAAAAAAGGGGGAGAAGUUGGUGCAUAUUUGACUUUAUUUGACUUUACUUUUUUACUUUACUUUUGUUUGGUUGUGAUUGGUUUGGACUAUGUUUUGAUAGGUUUAGACUAUGUUUUGAUCGUUUAAUGCUUGCAGUAUCUUAAGCAUUGGUAUUCAUGGUUGGACUGUGUUUUGAUCGUUUAAUGCUCGCAAUAUCUUAAGCAUUGGUAUUCAUGGUAAAGAUAGUUGUUUUUACAGGACUAAUUCAUUUCCUGUGGAUGCAGUCUGACUUGCAUGUGUUAAGCAUGCCGCCAGUGUUCAUCCUGAGCCAGGUCUCCAACAAUUAUUCCAAUAAUUACAUAUCCGAUUUGACCUAUGGACGAAUAUGCAAGCAUACGUUUCAUGCUUGUUUGAGUAAUAGCAAUGAGAUUCCCCAAUAUCAUGCUAAGAAUAGCUAGGAUUUCCAGAAGAAGAUGCCAUUCGUUUGAUGAGAAAUAAAAAGGAAUAUCGAAAAUAAUACUGAUUAGAAUCAGGGACCAAGUUUCAUUAUUUGAUACUAUAUUUAUUCUAAUCCAUUUAUCUUUCAUGAGGUAUCCUUGUUUGCUUGAGUAUUGUCUUGCAGGUCAAAAGUAUCCAAAUUUGCAGAAAAGUUUUGUCAUUAUCAAAAAGGGAGAGAUUGUUGGAGAAAACUAACUUAUUUGUUUUGAAGCUAACAAAACGUUUCAAUCAGUCUAGUCUGAAGACUUGUAGACUCUUUCGUCAAAGUUUGAAGACUGCUAGAUCGCCAGACUCAAGAUUUAAAGUCUUCCCUCAUUGACAGUUUCUAAACCGACGAAGAAGACUUAUCCAGAAUUGAGUAUUUCUUUAAGGAUUUGAUUCGAGCGGCUAAAGAAGUUCUCACGGCUAGAGAUAGCAUCUCAAUAUCUAUUAUUCAUUUUGAAUUUAAUUCGAGUAAUUUGGAUUCGUUGAUUGACGAAGUAUACUUGGAAAGUUCUACUUAUGGAAACCUAGAUCCUGAUUGUAUGGGCGAGCAUGAUUGGUGGGUUAUCAUCAUAUUUCUUAAGUAACUCGAGAUCUCCCUAAUUGAUUAUGUCCAAUGGGUAAAUUGGAAGAACUCAUUUGGAAGGUGCCAAUGGUUAUGAAGGCAUGGAGGAGUAUAUAAGGAAGACGCUCUAGUUAUUCGAGUGUGCGCGUGAUAGAAAAAUUCAAAAGUCUGAAGUUUCUUGUUCUUUCCCGAUUCAAUCGUUGAGCGUAAAUUUGUACUCAAAAGAGAGUUUUGAUACUUGUGAAACCUUGAGGAAGUGUAGCAGAGUCUCUACACUGUGGAAUUAAGGACGUGAUACUAUAACGACUCUUUUGAUUCAUAGUGAAAUCCAGCCGGUGGGCUGUCAGUGUGGGAGAGUGGAUGUAGGUUUGGAUUAAGCCGAACCACUAUAAACUUUGUGUUAUUAUUCUCUUCCCUAAGCUCUUUAAUUUUGCUUGUAACUUUAUUUAAUUGUUAGAAUCUGAUUUCCUCUACAAAGUCUGUUGUCAACCAAAUUCAUGUUAAAAGUUUUAUACUAUAUUUUGCAAAAGUUGCUUUCGCACUUAUUCACCCCCCUCUAGGUGCUCGUACUAGCACUAUCACCAUUCACUCGCGGAACACUUCUUAGAUAUGUCCUUCCUCAGCACUUCAUUUCGAGUAGGGAUUAAUAGUGCCCCCAUACAGAUUGGAGUAUGAAGCCCACCCAAAAAAUCAAAUAAAAUAUCCGUUCUAUUUUGCCGGUAUCACCAACUGACUUAGUUCCGAUGAUUCUCUUCGGAAUAUGAGGCAAUAAUAGAGCAAAUCUGUCAAACGGUUCUCCACCAAGAGCAGGAACUCUUUUAUUAUGUAUGUUGGAUUCAUUGGUCAAUUUAUGACAUUUUUGUAUAGAAAUUACGAAAAAAUGCAAAUAGUUAUAAUUCGUUAUAACUGAAAAAUUUAUUUAUCGAUGACCAUAAAACUGCUCAUGUAUUAUAAGAAGAAAUUCGAAAAACCCUCCAACACAAAAGUUAUUCAUCACAUCAAAUCUCCAACAUUUUAUAGUAGAGUAGACAAUGUAUCACCGUGCAUCAUUCAAGUUUCACACACAAACAUAAAUAGAAGCUUCUAAAUUCAUAAGCAUACAAUAAGAUAAGAAAAACUAUUGUAAUUUAUGUCUCAUUUAUUGUCUAGAUUAGACAGGCCACUCCGUCCAGUGCCCACAGUUAGGGCAUUUUUAAUUGAAAAAGCUAGUACUCUUCCAUGCUUGCACUUCUCACAAAUAAAUGGGCCAUCUCUGCUGGCUAAUUGCCCCACCGCAGCCGUUGCCACCCCCACUUUGCCGCCGCCACCCCCACUUUGCCGCCGCCGCCUCCACCACCCUCGCCACCGCCGCCCUCAUUCCUAUGGAUACCACUCCCACGAAUGCCGCCCCUGCUCGCACUUGUUGCACUUGUUGCACUUGUUGCACUUGUCGCGCUUGUCGCGCUUGUCGCGCUUGCGCUUGUCGCGCUUGUCGCACUUGUCGCGGUUAUCGCACUUGUCGCGUUUGUCGCACUUGUCGCACUUGUUGCACUUGUCGCACUUGUCGCCCUUUUCGCCCUUGUCGCCCUUGUCGCCCUUCUCCCCCUUGUCGCCCUUGUCGCCCUUCUCCCCCUUGUUGCCCUUGUCGCCCUUCUCCCCCUUGUCGCCCUUCUCCCCCUUCUCCCCCGGGUCGCCCUUGUCGCCCUUCUUCCCCCGCCGCAGGAUGCAAUAGAAAAAGAAACCACAAAGCAUGACGGCAACAAUGACUAAACCAACAAUAACCCACGUUGGGGUGUUAUAGUCAUCGGAUGAUGCGGAAUUCGGAUCAAUCCAUGCCGAUGGAGGAGGAAAGUACUGGAAACACGGAUAAGUUUGUGGACAGUUACUGUUCUCCAUCAAGAAAACUUUGUGGAGGUAGUUCAAUGCGAGCGGUGAGUCUACAAACAUAUUAUGAAGCAUCAAUCCAAGAGCCAAUUUACACUUUUAUCAUGGUGAAUUGAUCAUAUGAUCCAAGCACGAGAUCGAAAUGAUUCAAGACAGAAUUCAACGAGAUAUAAUAUGAGUGGAAGUAGGUACUUGCACAUAAACCUUCACAAGAAGGACCAAGCAGACUAGUGAAUGAUGUUGCUUCAAUGCUUAGGCGACUCGCAAAGAAGUGAGAAUUUUCAUCCGGUGGCCUCCUCGUCCUAAUAACUCUCUAUUGCUGCCCCAAACCCCCCCCCCCCCCCCGCUCUCCCUCUUCUUAUGGGGUGGGUUAGGUAAAGUGUUUUAAUCAAUGCAUCACUCAUCCUAAUAACUCUCGAUUGUUGCCCCCAAACCUACCCCCCUCUCCCUCUUCUUGUGGGGGUGGGUUAGGUAAAGUGUUUUAAUCAAUGCAUCACCUCUCUUCUUUGAGGAUGUACUAUAAUGAUUGAAGACAUCUGAACAAAAAGCUAGGAAAUUUCAUUCAUGUGCCAAAGACCCAAAAAGUUAUCAAAAUAAUUAUAAAUCUAUUAUAAUUGUGUCAAUUUAAUUUUAAACUUUUUUUUUACCAAUUGAGUAUUAAACCUUUUAUAUUUAUGUCCAUUCAAUUCAUCCGAUCAAAAUUGACCGGCUAGCACUAACAUGAACACGAGGCGUCUUACAUGGCGCCAUCGACGCUGACAUGGAUAAUUUUUAGUAAUAUUGUAAUAUUUUUUUCGAAUUUUAUUCCUAUUUUUCUUUUUAUAUUUUCUUUUCUUUUUUCCUUUUUUCUUUCUUUCGUUUUUAUUUUUUCUUCACUCCCUUCUUUCUCCGACUAGUCACCAGUGACCACUGGAUAUGAAGCUUCAGGAAGAAUGGAGCGAGCUUCAACUACUGUCCAAACUCAAUCAUGUCUUCAUGCGCGAUGUUCAGGAGAUGGGAAUUAGGCCCAUUGAAAUGAUACAUGUGUUUGACUAUUCACGGUCUAAGGUGGUAAGAUUUUGGUGAAGGGCCAAGAAAAACAAUUAGUUCCGAAAUGAGAAAUUAUUAUAUGCUCAACAAAACGUGUGACCCGAUAUCAUCUCGAUCAUUAAUCAAGUAGAUCUCGCUAUGAGCCCCCGGGAUCAAUUGUUGAAUUGGGUUUCGACGUAAGAUUUAUAGAACAUACAGUAACAUUUCAUGCAAAAAGGGUUAUAGACGUGACUUGAAAAAUAAAAUUCACUCUACUAUCCAAAAUCAAGUCCACAAAAACUUAUUUUAGAGCCGAAUUGUUAAGGAUAUAAGCGACCCACUGUCAAUUCGUUUCUAUUUCGAGUAUUCUAAAAACGUAGAAAAUGUUCUAAGAUCCUCCUAAACUUAAACUAUCUUAGAUGGACACAUAAAAAAACCACUAAUCUCAGUCCUCGCAUUGGUCUAUUCUUGUCCACAUCCCUCUUAUGGUCCCGGGACUCAUGUCCGAACGAUAUAAAAAGACAGCCAUGUGGCCAGCUAAUUAGAACAGUGGAAUUAAAGAAGAAACAUGGGAAAAAGGAAAAGUCCAUCGUCUCGUCACCGUCGACCACAAUCAUGUGUUUUUAGAAUCUUGUCCCUCCGAAUUUAUUCGCCAUCACAUCGUUUUCUCCCCCCAACUGUGGGACUCUCGAGUCUGUCGCUACCCUUAUGUCGCAAUGAUGGUUCCAAUGCCAUAACAAAAGAUGCUGGAUAGUGGAUAGACCCGACAAAUGCAUAAAUUGAAUCUAGUUGAAAAUGGUCAAAUUCAAAUUAACAUAUUUCAUUCAUUUUGACUUAUUCUCAUGCAAUACAAAUCAUGUUACUCAUACUUGACCUAAUUCAUAUAUGAUUUGACUCAUAUUUCUAAAACACUUCCAUAUUUAAACUAAUUUAAGAAAAUCCAAAAUGAAGUGAGAGUAAAUUGUAAACUUAUUUAAUACCUAUAUUAUUUUGAAUUUAAGUCAUUCUUAAAAUAAAAAAAAAUAGUCUUAUAACCCAUUUAACCAGUCUACCAUCAGAUAAACAUGAUAUCCUGACAUUUAGGAAAAAUUGUCCCAAUUAUGUCACAUCGCAUAUACAUGUAAGAAGGAACAUUGGGACAUCUCCCAAAAAUCAAGUAUGUUAUUGACAUUGCAUAGGUUGAGAAAAGAGCAAGAAGAACCAUAAAUUAUUCCUUUAAUUCUACUUGAUUCAAAUGGGAUGUUGACUGCCUUUGGGGAGCGACAUAUGUGAAAUGCAAUAAGCGAAAUACAUAGAAGACUAGCGACUAAUAGUCACUAAUUAAGAUAUGGAAAAACACGGAAUGGAAAGAUUGUGUCGGAUUUGUUGACACCUAAUUUUUUUACCCAAAUUAUUGCAUAUAGAUUAUCUAGGUGUUUAAAAUGGAAGAUGUUUUUCCUAAAAAAAAAUUUAAAAAAUUAAAAAAAAAAGAUAAAAAAAAAGUUGGAGCUGAUGAUCUGAAUGUGACUAGCCAAGGCCAGGAGGUCAGAUUGGAAUUAAAAUGACAAACUGGGGCCAAAAUGCAAUUUCCAAAAGUUGAGGGACCAAUUUGCAAAUUUUGCAAAAUUUCACCCGAGCCCUUAAAUCAUCAUCUUAGCCCCCAAUUAAGUUGAAAUUGAGCUUGGGCCAGGUCGAAUCAAUCAAAUCGGGCCAAAAUGACCAAAUUUGCAUUAAAUUGGGUAUUUUCGGAUAAGAAAAUGGCUAAUUUUGAGGGACUUUCUUGCAAAAUUGGAUGGGCACAAUUGCAAAAUCUGAUUGAGGUCUUAAGCUACUAUACAUGAAAUUACUAAUUGAUUAAAAACCACAGCCAAGUUAAUGGAUUAAAGCACCCAAACCAGCUGCCAAAUCUCAGUCCAUGAUUUAGCCUCAUUUUGAAGCUACUAAGUAAGCUUAUUUGUGGCCCCACCAUAUCCUACUCAGCAUCUCAAUCAGCCUGAUCUUUGCACGUGAUGGAAGACCAUAUAUAGCAGUGCAAGUAGACGGAAAUUGGCCAGGGAUAAGCUGCCGAAAGUAUGGGAAAAUCGCAGCAAAGUCCGCACACUCAAUAGCUGCAAAAGUUAAAAAAUUGGCCAAGUCAGAAGAGUAGGUGAACCAGCUCAGUUUGCAGGCUUGGUAGGUGGAUAAAAGACUGACCAAAAAUCCCUUAAUUCGGGGAUAAGAUCACUGAAGCAAGUUCUUUCAAGGGAUGAGAGAGAGGAGACAAGAAGGGGAGGGGAGAGCUGGGAAUCGUUCCCUAAAGACACCUUCAGAAGCAACUCCAGAAAGAAAAAACUUGGAAAAUCCAUACUGACCUUGAGAGAGAAAAGUGAGAUUUUCACAUACCUGCGGCCAAAAUUAACCAAAACCUUCAACUAGAGAGUGAAACUUCACUCAAAGAUAUUUCCAACCAUAGGUCUCACGUCCCAAAUGGAGAUUGGGAAAGCCUCCUAAAGCCCACCGAAAUAGUGCCCUCCUGGCAGGCCAAGAAAGUCCGAAAUUUUUUUUAGGUGUCAAGACUGGUUGGUCACGAGUGAGGAAAGCCAGUGUUUUUGAGAAAUUUUAGAGACAAAUGAGGAAAAUCUUGACUUUUAACCCAAACUGCAAUACCUAUAGUUUGGUGUGGUGUCAAUUUUUUCAACAAAAUACGUCUUGAAGUCUAAUGUUAGAGGUCAACGAAAACCUUCGUUGUCAGUUCUUUUUUUUGCAUAUCUCAUUUCCAGUUGAAGAAGCCAACUUCGAUAGGCCCCCGAGGAUAAUUUGUCGGUUUCAUUGGCCAAGAAUCACUUGAAAAGGAAACUAGGAAGAAAAGUAAGCAUCCUAGAUGUAUUUAUUUUCGAGUUUGAGCAUGUUUUGAUCAUGAAAAUAAAGAGGAAAACCAGCCCGGAAAACUAAUUUCUGAGGCUAAAAUUUUUCCAAAUGUUUGAAAUCUCUUCAAGAGUUUUGCAUGUGUGCUUCUUGGAGAGGUCGUUUUGAUGUUUUUCGAUGGGUCAUUCUCUAUGAUGUUUGUUGCAUUUGAAAGCCCAUGUUACCUACUUUCACGCGGAUUAAGUAGCAUUUGCCUUAGAUCUCGUAUGUGAUGAGUGUCGGGGCUUGAAUAUGGGCAUGCAACCUAUUUGCUUGACUUGGGUUCAAACCCAGAUUUGCAAAAUCUCAAACCCGUGCAUUUGAGGACGAUUUUAGCUUGGUUCUAGUGUAUUUUUAGCUAUGAUUUCUAUCUAAUCUUGUUCUUUGCAUGUGGUAGUAUAAUAUUGAUACUUUAGUUCCACAUGAGAUUGCUUAUGAGUGGAGAUUGAAGGCUGCAAACAUGGCUCGAGGAGGCUAUUAGGGAUAGUUUAAUGCACACCAAGUGUUCGACAAAAUGCUCAAACUAAGCUUCAAUCUUGAAACGGUCGAUUUGAGCUUGAUUAUUGUGAUAUUCAUGUGCUGUGUUACUCCAUGUUAGCAUAGAUCGAUUUAAGGAAUUAUUAUUAAUUUAAAAAAAUUAAAAAAAAAGAGAAAAAUAUGAAAAUUUCAAAAAUAUUAGAAAAAUGUUAGAUAGCAUCAAAUUAGGAUAGAAAUGACAUAUAUGAAAUUUUCCUAAUUUUAAAAGGUCAUUUUCCUAAUUUAAUGCUAUUUUGGUAUUUUAUAACCAUUUUUGUAAAUAAUCCAUUUUGCAUAGAUUAAAACUAUUUAAAGUAAUUUCAUGCAUAUAGAGCAAUUUCAUGCAUAUUUGAAUUCUCAUUUUGCUCAUGGGGGUCCUGCCCGGGGCGUGAUAACAAAGCCAUGUAAUAUUGUUUGCUCGACUUGUAUCGGGUUGACCUUUUCCGCGUUUAUUUUCAAGUCAUUUCAAUUUCUUGGAUGUUUACUUAUGCGCCCUUUUUCAUUAAUUUGAGUGUAAAUUUCUCUUCUAAAUUAUGUUAGGAUUAGUCUAGACAUUAAAAAAAAACUACAAAAACAUUUGCAUGGACACUUAGUGAUUUGAUAAAUAUCAAAAUUGGUAAUUAAGAUUGUGUGGCCAUUUAGAUAAACAACCUUCCAAGUUAGUGGUACUGCAAGGGCACUCAUAGAAACAUUGGCGUAAAGAAGUCCCCGUUCCUAGAAAUCUCUGGUUGCGUAGGAAUCGAGACAACACUCCCGUGUCUUGAUUGGUUUCUAGCCGACCCCAAUAGGCUAGUGGCGACUCCUAGAAUUACAUAGAUUGUUAAGAACUAAAAUUCAAAAUCCAAUGUCGCGUGAGGUAUGGGCUAGGGAGAGCUCGCGCCUAAUUUAGGGCCAUUGGUCCACCUCUUUAGGCAAAUACCCCUAAACCUUCUUCUUUUUCCUCGGGCGGAAAAAAGGAGGUCGUGACAGCUUGGUGACUCCGCUAGGGACUUGGUCGCAAACCUUAGAGAACUUAGGCUGUAAUAACUUGGUUGGUUGUUCACUAACAUGGUCUUCAUUUGAUAGCGCGUGUCAAAGUCGCGUGGAAAACAAGGUUAGCCCGCUAACAAUGUGUUAAAUGUUUUUGUAGGUUUGGAGUAUUAAGGGGUUGAGUGUUUGUUAACCCAUCUCUUUUGUAUGGAGGCGUAGGAAUGUAUGCCUAUAUGGAUGAAAUUGAAGUGUUGUUUGGAUAGCAAUCGAUGUGUGUGCAUUUAUACUUAUCUUAGCACUACACAUUUACACACUCCACCCGUGAUCUAAAACCCUGAUUGCAUUAGGAAGCCCAUAGGAGGUGCCAAAAGAUGGAACCCGUGCGGGAAAUGACCCAUGGUUAUCCACUUUUGGUCCCGCUCAUUUUGAUUAAUGAUAAAGAGAACUGUCCGACGUAAGUGCGGAGUGGGGAAAACUCUUUUGAUCUAAUCAAAAUGGGGACUUUAAGCCUUUAGAAUUCCACCUUUAUGCAUCAAACCUCACAAGUUUACAUUCGCAUGUCUAUGUGAUUGAAAAAAAAUGUCUCUUCACCCACUGUAAGUAUGAUUUCUCCAUCUACUUGCUCACCUCGGAUUGAAAUUUUCAUUUUUUGAGAUUCAUAGAAAUCAAUGGAAUGCCCUUGAAAAUAUAGGCUUGGCACUCACUUUUGAUAAAUAAGCAUUUCAAAUACCUAUGAUCUACUGAACAUAUGUUUUUGUUUAAAUUUUCAAUUAUGAACUUAAAGUCACAUUUUGUAUAGGAAUUCUUCCAAAUCAAGAUUACAUUUUGGGGCAUAGAAUUAAAAUCAAAUUUCUAAUAAAACUCUUUAUUGGUCACAUUUCAAAAUUCAAAUUCAAAUCCCUUGUAUUGGUCACAUUUCAAAAUUAAAAUUCAAGAGGCAGGCGAAACUCCCAUGGAAGGAUUUGAAGAUGAUGAAUGGAGGGAGAGAGAGAGAGAGAGAGAGAGAGAGAGAGAGAGAGAGAGAGAGAGAGAGAGAGAGAGAGAGAGAGAGAGAGAGUGUGUGUGUGUGUGUGUGUGUGUGUGUUCUGGCUUUCUAGGAUUUGAAGAUUUAUGAAGCUUAGGAGUACUGAGCCUGUUGGGUUCGUGAAUGUUUUUUCCUCCUAGGAAUCCCAGUACCACCUCUAGCUGAGCAAUCCAAUUCUGCAUUAGGAGUAUCCGUUAACUAGGCACUUUGAUUCUACGAUCAUAAAUCCAUCCAAACAUGAGUUGCAAUGGCAUUCCAUAUCUUGUUUAUUACUCCAAGGUGAACCAAACAAGGCCUUAGUGAUUACACGAUGUACUAUACUCCUGAACGCUUUCAUAUUGGAAUCAAGGAUUUGCAGUCUCAACCAUGACUUUCCAUAGUGAUGGUUUUAUUAAUUAUUGUGAUGGGCCUAAGUUGGCCCGUUUGCCCAUGUUGGGCCUAAAAGCCCGGCCCACAAGAUUAGUGCCCAUGGAUGAAGGGAUAUGAUGAAGGGACAUGUUUCUUUUUGGAGGUGACGUAUAUAAAGGGAAAUAAAGAGGGAGGAACGCACCUUUUGGCAUAACGUAUGUUCCUCCCCCUUCUCUCCCUAAAAAACGCUCCAAAAGAAAGAACAGUGCACAAGAGGCGACACCCAUCUUCCCUUCAAGGUGAAUUGGUGUCAUCGGAUCGAACAUGGCCAAAUUCUCUUUCUCAUAUCGGCGUCGGUGUUUAAUUUAUGGCUAACAAGGUACAUUCAAUUCUAUGAUGUGCCUUAGGAUCGGUGAUGCAUGUGUUUUUUUCCCGGGCUCGUCUUCCGCACAAGUUUUUGAGUACAUGGUUAUAGGCAUGUGUGGUUCAGUGAUUAAGGGAAUCACUAGUGAAAACGGCGCCUUAAAGAACACACACAAUUGUCUAUUGAUCAAAUCAUUGUAGGCAUGUGUGGUUCGAUGAUUUGGGAUAUCACUGGCGAAAACGGCGCCUUAAAGAAUGCACACAGUUGUCUAAUGGAUACGUCACCUUAGCGAAGUUGACGCCCGAGAGCAUUGAGAUGGCUCUGUGACUAAGAGUGUUAUUGAAGGUUACAUGGUAUGAGAUGAAUGACCUAGUGAGGAUCCGAUUGAAAUGUAAUCGACUAAGUCGAUUAAUCAUUGCCUUGAUUUGAUGUUGUGAAUUGAUUGAUUGAAUGGGAAUGACCAUGAGAUAGUCCGAUUGACAUGUAAUCGACUAGGUCAAUUUGAUCGAUGCUUCGAUUAGUUAUGUGAUUGUUUGGAUGCCUAUUUGAACUGUGCUAAUAUGCAGGUGGAAUCUGAGUCCAAGGUAAGUCCUCUGACCUGUGCGUGUUUAGGCAGCCUAUAGUAUAAUGGUUUACUAAUCGGGCCUUAGUGGGGUAGAACUCACUGAGACGUAGUCUCAUCCCAAUUUGGGGAAAACAUUUCAGGACCCCGAUGAGGAGAAAUCUGAGAAAGAGAGUUCAGAGGUGAAACCUGAGGAGGAAAAUUUUGGAAGAAGAAGAUAAUCCCGAGAGGGGCUUGAGUACGGCCCGGAUGGACUGAGAUUCUAUCUUCUUUUGAGAUCUCUAUUUUGAUUUGAAUAGAGAUAGAGUAAAAAGUGAUAUUGCUAGUAUGAGUACCUAGAGGGGGGUGAAGAGGUAUAUAAAAGAUUUUUCUUCAACAAUUGCACAAUACUAGACAGUUGAAGGAAACGAUAAUCAAAGUAAGACUGAGAGAAGAGAAAAUUGAACACGCAGUUUAUAGUGGUUCGGCUUAUAUCAAGCGUAUGUCCACUCUUCUUCACUGACAGCCUAUUGGCUGGAUUCCACUAUGAACAAAAGAGAAGUUACAGCACAUCUUUGCCUUGAUUCCACAGUGUAGAUGUUCUACCACACCUCCUCAAGAUUUCUCACAAAUAUAGACUCUCUUUUGUAUACAAGUAUUCGCUCAAAGGAAUUUUCUAAACAAAAAGAACUUCAGACUUUGGAAUUCUUCUAUCGCGAACACCUUGAACAACUAAGACAGUCUUCCUUAUAUACUCCUUUAUGCCAUCAUACCCGUUGGCACUUACCAAAGGAAUUCCUCCAAUCUACCCGUUGGACGGAAUCAAUUAGGAAGAUUGUUCAAGCUAUUAAAGGAACGUGUUGAUAGCCCAUCAAUCAUGUUCGCCCAUACAAUCAGGAUCUCGGUUUCCAUAAGCAAAACCUUCCAAUAAUAUUUAGGCAAUCACUGGAUCUUCAAUUAUCGAGUCAAUCUUCGAUCAAUCAAAGGACUCCGUUAUGUCUUCUCCAGCCACAAGAUCUUCUCCAGUUGAUAAGGUUAAAUCCUUAACGAAACAUCCAGUUCUGGAUAACCUUUCUUCAGCGGAUUAGAGACUGUCAAUGAGGAUAGACUUUGAGUCUUGAGUCUGGCUGUUCGGAGGUCUUCAGACUUUAAAUAGCAUAGUCUGCAAGCCUUCAAACUAGACUGAUAGAAACGUUUUUGUCAACUUCAAAACACUUCAAUAAGAUUUCUCCAACAAUCUCCCCCUUUUUGAUGGUGACAAAACUUUCCUGCAGAUUUGGAUAUCUUUGACCUGCAAAACAUUUCUCAAACACAUAUGCAUAUCUUAUAGAGAUAAAUGGCUAACAGGAUAACACUAGAAUCUGCAACCACAGAAAAUAAGUUAGUUCAGUAUAUGAUGAAGCCAUUCAUAAGAUAUCAAUAUUAGUUAAUAGAAGCAGUCAAGUCCAAGUCUAGUUCAGUUCUCAUCCAGACACAAAACAAAGUCAAACAGAGUUCAAACCACAAAGCAAUCCAACAAACAAUUAAAAGUUUAAUGAAUGAAAAGUUUUUGUUCAAAUCUUGCAUCUCUCCCCCUUUUUGUCAUCAUUAAAAAGGAUGAGAUGAAGUCAAGAUUGCUUGGGAACGCGGACAAGCUGGAAAUCUUCCAUAGACUGAACGAUGCCUUCCAGUCUUCCUUUAGUUGUACAAUCUCCUCACUCUUGGCAUUGGCCUGAUUCUGAACAGAUAGGGCUUGCAUUUUAUCAUUCAAUGAACAUGAAGAAGCUUGACCUUCAUUCUUCAAGCUUUGAACUUCGCAUCCCAAGGCAUAAAUUUGACCUCACAUCUCCAAGAGAAUAUCCAUGAUUCUGCGAAAAUCUGCUCCAUUAUCAGUAUAAGUACUUGCUUCGGCUCGAUCUGAUGGAGUAAAUGCAGACGAUGGUAGAUCAGCAUAAUCUCGCAGGUUUGGCGAUGAAACUUCAUGACCUUCUUCUGGAAACUGAGAUGCAUAAACAUCCUCUGGGUCUACUGGUGAGCGACUGACUCCUUCACUUGCAUCAGGACAUGAAGACUUCACUCAUUUCUCCUGAUCUCCCCCUGUUUCCAUGCCUACAGGUGGAGAAGAGUGUUCCUUAGGUUCUCCUUCUUCUCUUCUUUCUUCUUCUGGUCUUUCCUCCUCUGUUUCUUUUUCAGCUUCUAUUUCUUCUUCUUCCUUCUCCUCUGCUUCUUUCGUCAUUUGUUCCGAUUCUUUCUAUGGAACAGGACGACUUAAAUUCUUCAAAGCCAAUGCAAAGAUGGUGAUGUCUUCCUCAUCAUCUUCAUCCUCAACGAGGAGAGCUCUUCUUCUCUUGGAUGGAGCAACCAUGGGCUCCUUCCCUUUUCUUUUAGCUGCAGAAGAGAUUUGAUGAGAUUUUGUAGGAGUCUUCUCCUUGAAUUUCUCCAACUCCUUGCUUAGUUCCUUCAGACGCAUUUUGGUCACCAUUUUCAGUCCUACCACCAUAUUAUCGCAUGGUCGAACACAAAAGAUUUGUGGAGGCUGAAUAUUCAGAUGUCUGAAUAACUUCGUAACAAGGCUUAGGUAAGGGAGUUGACCUCUGUCCUUCAUCAUUGCUCUAUACAUGUGAAACAUCACAAUGUGAGGGAGAGAAAACCUUUUUCCAAAGAGAAUGGCAUACAUCAGCUUGGCCUCUGAACUUGAAACAUCAGUCUUGGAAGUUGAUUUCGGUCGGAGGCAAUUAAUCACAAUCUUGUGAAGCAAGAUGUUGAAUGCACCCAUCCUUAAGUAGGUGAUCUUUUCAUCUGUUCUCCUGUACUUCACCAGUUCAAGUGUGGCCCGAGCAAUGGAAACUUUGAUUGGUUGAUAUCUUCCUCUUUCGACUUCUAACACAUCUGCCAGCAUAUUCAUAUCCACAACAUAGUCUUGGUCUUUAACGCUGAAAGAGAAUCUAUUCGCAUCUAAAAAGCUUAGAUUUGAAUAGAAAUAUGCAGUUAAUUCAGCAUAUGCCUCUGUAGAGUCAGAGCAGAACUUUUCAAGUUGAAGAUAACUGAACUUUUCCCUCAAGUUCAUAUUCACAGCAUCCAGAAAAUCAAAAUCAACACUCCUAGGGUUUAUUACCCCACGCUUCAGCAAUUUCGAGUACAGAUCCUUUUGCUCCUUCGAUCUGAACAAAUCUCCCAUUUUUCCUUGAUUUUCAAUCGCAACACCCAUUUUUGGUUGAAAUUGACUGUAUAAUUUGUCAUCAUCAUUCCCAUCUGCAGGAUUCGGCCCCCAGUCACGAGGAUCACUUGGGAUAUUUGCAAGGGUUUCCUCAGCCACCCCUUUUCGAGCAAUUCCCAAACUUUCCAUUUUUCGCAGAAAGAUAUAUUCGUUCCCAUGUCUUUUGUCUUUAAGAAACUCAUAAAUGUAGUUCAAAGGAGUACGAAUUCCUUUUAAGGCACGAUACAACUGGUAAAUAUAAGCGGACUUUUGAACUCUUACAGGGUUUGCAUCCUUGAUGAUUUCUUCCUGUUGUUGUUGAUCAACGCCUUUAGGACUAGAUGGAGGAGAAUGACGCUGCUGAGAAUGUUGUGGGCUUGCUUGCUGUUCUAGAGUCACUUCUUCUUCAGUAAGAUCGAAGUGCGUAGGCCCCUCACUCAUCCGCCGUGGUCCCCUGCUUGCGAUUCUUGAAGACUUUCUUGAAGAUGACAUCUUUCUCAGUUUUUGGAAGAUUCCUUGCUUGACUUUCCCAGGAAAGAUGACAACUUUUUGAGUAUUAAACGAAGAAGACAAAUGGGAAUGGAGGAUCGAUGCUUUCUAGGGUUUUUGAGAGAAAAGUGAAGAGGAAUCGACAGUGCACGAUCGGUUAAAAAGAGGAUAAACGAACCGUCACAAGGAAAUAAAAAAUAUGCCUUUUCAAAAUAACUAUCUUUUUCCGCAAAAAUAGCCAUUUCAAAAAUAACUUCCUUUUUGAAAAUGAAACGAUGCAAUAUUUACGUCAAUUAAAUAUAGCAACAAUUUAAACACAGUCUGACGAUCGUACCUUUUUAAGAUGAGAUUCAAGAGAGAAAGACAGUCUGACUGACGUACCAAGACUGUCUUUCAAAUAAAUUCUUGUAAGUCUGAGUCUAAAAGUCUUUAGACUUUGAUAUCCUCAUACCUCAAAAUGUUGAGUCUGGAAUGUAUAGACUCAAAUUAAUUUUUCUCCAAAGGCUUUGUGAAUAUAUCCGCCAGUUGAUUCUUUGAGUCAACAAAUUGAAUUGAAACAUCUCCAUUUUGAACAUGGUCUCUAAUAAAGUGAUGUCGAAUCUCUAUAUGAUUUGCUCUUGAGUGGAGAAUUGGAUUUUUGGUGAGGUUGAUAGCGCUGGUGUUGUCGCAAUUAAUCUCCGUGCAUGAGUCGUCAAUUUCAAAGUCUCUUAGCUGCUGUUUUAUCCAUAAAAUUUGCGAACAGCAGCUUCCAAGGGCUACAUACUCUGCUUCUGUUGUUGAAAGGGACACAGUGCUUUGUUUCCUUGAAAACCAAGACACUGUCCUGCUUCCAAGCAACUGGCAGGUUCCCGAAGUGCUUUUUCAAUCAACUCUGCAACCGGCUAGAUCUGCGUCUGAAUAUCCCAGAAGAUUAAAGUCUCCCUUCUUAGGAUACCAAAGACCGAUGCUUGAUGAUGAAGCAACGUAUUUAAUGAUGCGUUUCGCAGCACUGAGAUGGGAUUCUCUAGGAUCUGAUUGAAACCUAGCACAGAUGCAAACACUCAACAAAAUGUCAGGUCUAGAAGCGGUAAGAUAAAGAAGUGAACCAAUGAUGCUCCUGUACAGCUUUUGAUCAACUUUCUUCCAUUCUUCAUCUUUGUCUAUCUUCAAAGAACUUGACAUUGGUAUGUCGGUCUUUUUGCACUUUUCCAGUCCAAACCUUUUGACAAGAUCAAUAACAUAUUUUUCUUGAUAAAUAAAAGUUUCUUCCUUCAAUUGUUUUACUUGAAGACCUAGAAAGAAUGUUAACUCUCCCAUCAUACUCAUUUCAAAUUCAUCCUGCAUAGACUUAGAAUAUUUCUUACACAGAUUUUCAUUAGAGGAUCCGAAAAUAAUGUCAUCCACAUAUAUUUGAACAAGUAAGAAACUUUUGUUUUCCUUUUUGAUAAAUAAAGUCGUAUCUACUUUACCUUUGACAAAACCAUUUUGUAUUAAAAACUUACUUAAUCUGUCGUACCAAGCUCGAGGUGCUUGCUUUAAACCAUACAAAGCCUUUUUCAGUCUGAAGACUGAGUCUAGCUUCUUUGGGUCUUCAAACCCUGGUAGUUGUUCCACAUAAACUUCCUCAUGGAUAAAUCCAUUUAGGAAGGCGCUUUUGACGUCCAUUUGGAAUAGCCUGAAAUUCUUAUAACAAGCAAACGCAAGUAAUAGUCGAAUAGCUUCUAACCUUGCUACUGGAGUGUAAGUCUCAUCAUAGUCUAUUCCUUCUUCUUGCGUAUAUCCCUUGGCCACGAGUCUUGCUUUGUUUCGUACGACUUUUCCUUUCUCAUUCAUCUUGUUUCUGAACACCCAUUUAGCUCCAAUAACAGUUUUACCUUUUGGUUUUGAUGUCAAUUCCCAGACAUCAUUAAUGCUGAACUGUCUGAGCUCUUCUUGCAUAGCUUCAAUCCAGCUUUCAUCAGAUAAAGCUUCUUCUAUGCUUUUUGGUUCAAUUUCAGAAACGAGAGCCACAGCACUAGACUCUUCUCGCCUUUUGGAUCUGGUGCGAAUUCCUUCAUUAAUUUCGCCGAUUAUAAGAUCUUUGGGAUGGCUGGACUUAUGCUUCCAGUUACUUGUUGAUUUGUCUGGUUGAUGAUCUCUCUCUUUGUUUGGAUCUUCACGAACAUCCUGAUGCUGGUUUUCCAGAGUCUGAGAUGCUUCUUGAGUUGUAAGCUUUGGAAGGUCUGGAGCAGGUUCAGACUCUUCUUGAUGAGUCUGAUUUGAUUCAUCUUGCGUUGAGUCUUGAAAUUUGACAUUCAUUGACUCCUCCACAGACUGGCUCUUCUUGUUAUAGACUCUGAAGGCUUUGCUUGAUGUAGAAUAUCCAAGGAAGAUACCUUCAUCUGAUCUUUCUUCAAACUUACCAACUCGAUCUUUUGCAUUUUUCAAUAUAAAACAUUUGCAACCGAAUACAUGAAAGUAUGAAACAAUAGGCUUCUUAUCUUUGAACAACUCAUAAGGGGUUUUCUCUAGAAUAGGUCUUAAGAAGACUCUAUUGAAGAUAUAACAUGCUGUUGAAACAGCUUCAGCCCAAAAUUGUGAAGAAAUCUUGCUUUCAAUUAAAAGAGUUCUAGCCAUUUCUUGAAGAGAUCUAUUCUUUCUUUCCACAACUCCAUUUUGCUGAGGAGUAUAUGGAGAUGAUAACACAUGAUUAAAGCCAGAUUCAUCACAAAAUUUUGUAAAAUCUUGAUUUUCAAAUUCACCUCCAUGAUCUGUUCUUAUACUUGAGAUAACACAUCCUUUUUCAUUUUGAACCUUUUUAGCAAACUUUUCAAAAUACGAGAAGGUUUCGGACUUACUUGCAAGGAAAUAUACCCAAGUAAAACGGGAGUAAUCGUCCACAAUUACUAGGCAAUAUUUCUUACCUCCAAUACUCUGUGUUUUGGUUGGUCCGAAGAGAUCCAUAUGCAGCAACUGUAGUACAUGAUUAGUAGAGACAUGAUUUAUUGGCUUAAAUGAAUUUCUUACCUGCUUUCCCAGAAUACAUGGAGUGCAUGGAUCAGUCUUUUGAUAAGGUAAUUUGGGUAGUCCUCGAACAAGCUGCUUUGAUGAGAUUUUGGCUAAUUGCUUCAUGUUGACAUGACCAAGCUUUAUGUGCCAUAAGCUUGCUUCAUCUUGAAUUGAGAUAAAACAUUGCGAUUCAUUUGGUUUCACAUCCAGAAGAUAGAUGUUUCCAUGUCUACGACCCAUGAAAGACUGAGUAGAGUCUUUACUGAUUCCAGAACAUAUUCCUUCUUGAAAGAAGAUCUUGAAACUAGUAUCACACAAUUGACUAAUGCUCAGAAGAUUGUAAUUGAGUCCUUCCACUAAGGAAACAUUUCUUAUUGUGAGAUUUCCAAUUUUCACAGUUCCAAAUCCCACAAUACUUCCUUUGUUGUUUCCUCCAAAUGAAACUUUUCCACCAUUUACUUGAGCAAGCUUUAUAAAACAAUUUGAGUCUCCCGUCAUGUGUCUUGAGCAUCCACUGUCAAGAUACCACUUUACCUUUUUCUUGACGGUGACCUGCAUUUAAAAAAGAGUCUCCAGCUUUCUUUGGUACCCAAACUUUCUCGGGUCCUUUGGUGUUAGUAACAUAAGCAGUAUUAGCCCAUAUUUUCUUAACAGGUUUCCAAACCAUAGGACACUCUUUUUCAAAGUGAUCCGGACUGUUGCAUUUUGAACAUCUUAGAGCAUUUUUACCUACAGAUUUUACAAAAACUUUCUUGAAGUGAUUUUUGUAAACCUCUCUCGAGAGUCUUUUCUUAAUUCUUUCUUUUACUUUAGGAAAAUCAAUCAAGGGAAUUGUUUCUUCUGACAUACCUAGACCGGACUUAUUGAAGUAAGGUCUUUGAGCUGAAAGAAUUUUCUCAAGUUUUUCAGACUCUAUUGAAAAUUUCUUUGAUAUAUUUGAUAAGUCUGUUUUUAAAAAAGCAUUUUCUUUUAAAAGAUUAUCUUCAUUUUCUUUAAGAUUAGAAACAGUCAAGUCUAGACUUUUAACUCUUUCUACUAAAACAUUUUCCUUUUGUUUUAGAGCUGAGUUUUCCUUUUUCAGUUCGGAAAUUCUUUUGAGAGAAGUCUUAAGACUAAAACAUAGUUCAUCAAUGUAUUUAGAAACUUUGACAGGAAUUUUAAAAUUACUUGCCUCAAAUUCACUGUCUGAGUCUGAUCCAGAGUCUGAGUCUGAUUGUGCCAUUAGACAUAGAUUGGCAUAUUCAUUAUCACUUUCUUCACACUCUGUAUCACUCCAAGUUUCGGCUUUGAGAGCUUUUCGAAAUUUUUCAGUUUUUCCUCUCUUCUUCUUCAGAAGAGGACAGUUGGGUCUGAUGUGUCCCUUUUUCUUACAUUCAAAGCAGACUACGUCUUUGUUUGGUUCAUCAUCAUCAACAGACUUGGUCUGCUGUCUUUGAAAGCUUUGUUUCUUUGAGUUGAACCUUCUUCCUUUUCUAUUCAGUUUUCUGGAUCUUCUUAUCAUGAGAGCAAGCUCCUCAUCGUCCAUAUCAUCUUCAGAAUCUGUAUCAUCAGAAUCAUCAUUUGAUUUUAAUGCAAUGGAUUUCUUACCUUUUGGAUCUUCAUCUUCAUUGAUCCGUUCCAUUUCAUAAGACUGAAGAGUUCCAAUUAGCUCGUCGACAGAUAGUGGCAUAAUUCUUUGCGUCUCUCUUAUCGAAGUCUUUAUGUGAUUCCAAUCCUUGGAGAGUCCACGCAGUAGCUUGUUUACCUUCAUGGGAUCAGAAGUUGGUUGACCUUGAUUUUCAAGACCAUUCACAAUAUCUGUAAAACGACUAAACAUGUCAGAUAUAGAUUCUCCUGGUUUCAUUCUGAAGGCUUCGUAUUGACCGAGAAGAAUGUUGAUUCUUGUUUCUUUCACUCGAUCUGUUCCUUCAUAGGUGAUAUGCAAUCUGUCCCAAACUUCUUUUGUUGUACCACAAGAAGAUAUUCUAUUAUAUUCAGUUGGUGAUAAAGCACAAUAUAAGGAGUAAAUUGCUUUUGCAUCGAGUGCUUGUCUCUUGAAUAUUUCUUCUUGAGACAUUCCGCUGGUUUCAUCAAUUUCUUUUCCUCUUUCAGAGACUGAUGCAGUGGUAGGAGUAAUUCAUUUUUCUACAACGUCCCAUUCCAAAGGAUCCUUUGAUCAUAGGAAAGCUUUCAUCUUGUUCUUCUAGAUGUUGUAAUCCUUUCCAUCAAAGUAGGGUGGUCUGGUAUUGCUUUGCCUUUCCACAAGCCCUGGUGCUAGCAUACUAGCCAUGGAUCUUUUACUACGAAGUAAAACACUUCAAAUAAAGUAAGUACACAGGCUCUGAUACCAAUUAAUAUUGCUAGUAUGAGUACCUAGAGGGGGGUGAAUAGGUAUAUAAAAGAUUUUUCAACAAUUGCACAAUACUAGACAGUUGAAGGAAACGAUAAUCAAAGUAAGACUGAGAGAAGAGAAAAUUGAACACGCGGUUUAUAGUGGUUCGGCUUAUAUCAAGCCUACGUCCACUCUUCUUCACUGACAGCCUAUUGGCUAGAUUCCACUAUGAACAAAAGAGAAGUUACAGCACAACUUUGCCUUGAUUCCACAGUGUAGAUGUUCUACCACACCUCCUCAAGAUUUCUCACAAAUAUAGACUCUCUUUUGUAUACAAGUAUUCGCUCAAAGGAAUUGUCUAAACAAAAAGAACUUCAGACUUUGGAAUUCUUCUAUCACGCACACCUUGAACAACUAAGACAAUCUUCCUUAUAUACUCCUUUAUGCCAUCAUACCCGUUGGCACUUACCAAAGGAAUUCCUCCAAUCUACCCGUUGGACGGAAUCAAUUAGGAAGAUUGUUCAAGCUAUUAAAGGAACGUGUUGAUAGCCCAUCAAUCCCGUUCGCCCAUACAAUCAGGAUCUCGGUUUCCAUAAGUAGAACCUUCCAAUAAUAUUUAGGCAAUCACCGGAUCUUCAAUUAUCGAGUCAAUCUUCGAUCAAUCAAAGGACUCCGUUAUGUCUUCUCCAGCCACAAGAUCUUCUCCAGUUGAUAAGGUUAAAUCCUUAACGAAACAUCCAGUUCUGGAUAACCUUUCUUCAGUGGAUUAGAGACUGUCAAUGAGGAUAGACUUUGAGUCUUGAGUCUGGCUGUCCGGAGGUCUUCAGACUUUAAAUAGCAGAGUCUACAAGCCUUCAGACUAGACUGAUAGAAAUGUUUUGUCAACUUCAAAACACUUCAAGAAGAUUUCUCCAACAAAAAGUUGUGAAGUACUCUGGUUUGUGUUUUGUAUAAAAAUUUGGUUAUAAGUUUCAAUAUGAAAAAUAUGGCCCUGCUUUUCUAUCCCAUCGUUUUAUUGUCUGGGGAUUUUAACUGCUUUCGCAUGUGCUUAAUAAAUGAAAGGGUUGGCAAUACAUAGUCCUGGGAUAUCGCAUUAUUAAAAUCGACCAAAAAAGAAGGAUGUGUGCGUGCCCGAGGAUCAGGGCGUGACAGGGAGGAACGUACCUUUUUGCAUAACGUAUGUUCCUCCCCCUUCUCUCCCUCAAAAACGCUCCAAAAGAAAGAAUAGUGCGCAAGAGGCGACACCCAUCUUCCCUUCAAGGGGAAUUGGCGUCAUCGGAUCGAACAUGGCCAAAUUCUCUUCCUCAUAUCGGCGUCGGUGUUUAAUUUGUGACUAACAAGGUACGUUCAAUUCUGUGAUGUGCCUUAGAAUCGGUGAUGCAUGUGUUUUUUCCCGGGCUCGUCUUCCGCACAAGUUUAGGGGUUCGAUUUAGUGUCGAAUCCGGUUUUUGGGAAUUCGACAAUCCCUACACAUAGGAUCACGUAUCUAAAAUCUCUAAACCAAAGAAGUGAACAUGCUGGAAUGCACACGAUUCGCUUACUUAGGAACCUACCAUCAACUCACCCCAACAUACAUGCAAGGAGAGAUGGGAGAGACAGAUAGAGAAAUGUCUAGAUUUUGUUAAGAGUACUAAUUGUUGGAGAAAUCCUCAUGAAGAGUUUUGAAGUUGACAAAACGUAUCCUUCGGUCUAGUCUGAAAGUCUGCAGACUCUGUCAGUUUAAAGUCUGAAGACUUCCGGACAGCCAGACUCAAGACUCAAAGUCUAUCCUCAUUGACAGUCUCGAAUCCGUUGAAGAAAGGUUAUCCAGAACUAAGUGGUUUGUUCAGGAUUUAACCUUAUCAUCUGGAGAAGAUCUCGUGGCUGGAGAAGACAUAUCAGAAUCCUUUGAUUGAUCAAGAUUGAUUCAAUGACUGAAGAUUCGAUGAUUAUCUAUAUAUUAUUGGAAGGUUCUACUUAUGGAAACCGAGAUCCUGAUUGUAUGGGCAAACAGGAUUGAUGGGCUAUCAACAUGUUCCUUUAAUAACUCGAACAAUUUUCCUAAUUGAUUCUGUCCAACGGUUAGAUUGGAGGAAUUCCUUUGGUAAGUGCCAACGGAUAUGAUGGCAUAAAGGAGUAUAUAAGGAAGUCGUUCUUAGUUGUUCGAGGUGUGCGCAAUAGAAGAAUUCCAAAGUCUGAAGCUCCCAUUUGUUUAGAUAAAUCUCUUGAGCGAAUACUUGUAUACAAAAGAGAGUCUAUAUUUGUGAGAGACCUUGAGGAGGUGUGGUAGAACAUCUACACUGUGGAAUCAAGGCAAAGCUGUGCUGUAACUUCUCUUUUGAUUAUAGUGAAAUCCAGCCGGUGGGCUGUCAGUGCGGAAGAGUGGACGUAGGAUUGGAAUAAUCCGAACCACUAUAAAUCCUGUGUUUAAUUUUCUCUUCCUUACUCUCUUUACUUCAAACGUAUAUCAAUCUGUUAAGAAUUGCUUCCGUAUUCAAGAAUAAUUGUUUGUGCGCCUAUUCACCCCCCUCUAGGUGUUUAUACUAGCUAUAUCACUAAUACCUACCACGUCCACAGGAAGUUCUGAAUGAUUAUCUUUUCCCUUGAAUACCCCAGUCCUUGUUAAUAUAGAAAACGAAGGAUCUCUUGCCUGAAGGAGUUGUUAUCAGUACUGGUGAUUGUGUUCGGAAAAAUUAAUGAUAUGAUAAAAUACAAUUCUCAAUAUGAAAUAUACCUGUUGUGCGCCUCUAAUGUCAAUUUUGGAUUAUCUCCUAUCAUGUAGAGUUCUAAAACAACGAAUUCCAGAGUAUGUAUUACACUCUUCGCGAGUGUAAGUUCUUGGUGCCGAGUCCUUGUUGUAUAGCUGUAUAGCUUUUGGUUAAAGUCAAUAUAUUUCUUACCUUUACCAAAAAAAAAAAAACAAACAAACAAACAAACAAAGAUGGCAUAAGAUUCCUUAACACGGUCUCAACAUUUCCAUAGACAAAUGGAUUUGGCCUCCCAUACGAUGUAUAAACCAACAGAAUGGGAUGUAUUCUGCAAAACAGGGACAAGUAAACACUACAUAACACAAGAUUGAAGAUUAAUGCAUGUCGCUUUGCUGCAUUGAGGUAAACUAGGCCCACACAAGGAUCUUAUAGGCUUUUCUUUAAUUUUUUUGUGGAGAAUAUUAGAUCAAAAUCCAUGCAAAACCAAACAUUGAGAAGUUGAAACCUCACUAUCUUACCUGUUAUAGAUUGCUACUAACGCAAUCCUGAAAGCUCCCGUACUCAGACACCUAGUAGGAAAAGUAGCUUGCCUUGGCACUUUGUCAGCUAGUCAUCAGCCAGUCUUUAGUUCCACCAAGGCUUCAAAAACUCAAAAUUGCAGCUGGCAUCACAAAUGGCAUAGCUUACUUGGUAUUCGAGGUCAUUAUUUGCAAAAAAAAAAACAAGUGUGGUUGCUUUCCAGCCUCUCUUCCAGGAAGCCCACCCGUUCUUAUUAUGUUGCAGAGCACCUAAACCCAAACUUGAGUAUCACUGAAAUUUUUUAAUAGACACAUACAAACAGACAUAUGAUAACACUCCAUUUCAUCACUUUUUCCAAACUAGAUGUCAGCACCCACUAGACUUUUAAAAAGAUGAUGACUAAAGUUGCAUAGCAGUUACUGAAUAACCAAACAAAGCGUCGUGUCUUUUGAUAAUCAGUUCUAAGAUUUAAAACUAGCGUGACGAAAAGCCCAGUAUGGACUCGACAACCGAAUUAGAUAAUCUAAGAAAGCACAAGGUCCUUUAGGGUGGUCACAACCUAGAUAUCUCUGCUCCAGUCAAUAGAAUCACUGACUACAAAUGCUGCCUGAACUCUCUGUGUUUGCACAUCAAUUUUAUUCUUUCCUAUCAUAUUAGAAGUGUUAUUUUGGUCAAUGUCUGGCUUAGUUGUCCAUCUCUUGUACGGUGCCGGUGGAUCAAUGGCAUCAAAGUAGGAAGUGUACUCGUCAAUUGGCAUAACGUUUUUGCAUAGAAAAUACACGAGCAGAAAAAGGGUCAACCAGAGGAGAGAGAGAGAGAGAGAGAGAGAGAGAGAGAGAGAGAGAGAGAGUCAAGUUGUUGGAGUUCUCAUUCUGGAUGAAACAGUGUUGAACACAGACAACUAAGAAGAUUUAUGUAGAGGACUUCUACGUGAUUACUCAAGUCCCUAAGAACUUGAGUGAUUGUUAUUCACUUUGCUUGCUCCUAUAUAUUACCUAGACAUCUUCAAUAGCAAUUUUAUUAGAUACAUAACUUUAUCCUUAUAACUUUUGAAAGCUUUCAAUAAACUUGACACCAUAUACUUUCAAAAGCUUUCAAUAACCUUGACACCAUAUAACUUUUGUCGAACUAUUGUUGUUUAAAAAUUUUGUGUAGACAUUAAAUAGCAAGGGUAUGUGUGGGCUUGCUUUUAUUUCUCUUUUCAGUGAUCUACCUUAACCAUUUCUAGCAAGCCUUUUUUUUUCUUGAGAAUGCAUUGAACUCCUUGUCUACUAAGCUUCUAAAGUAGUUUUGGAUGGUUGUGCAGCCUAAAUUAUACUUGUGGCAACUUUGUCUUUUCCUGUUCUAAAUAUGAGGUUUGCUGAUGGACUAGAAGUUAUGAACAAUUGCCAGAUGCACAAAUUUAUUGAUUAUGUUUGGUUGUGGCAAUUUUAUAUCGAUUUACAAAUUAAAAAUGCCCCACAAUAUGUAGCAUUUUGGUAUCUCAGGUUUGCUUUUUGGAAAGUUGUGUGAUUGAUUGAUCUCUUGCAUCGAAUAAUAGGGAGAAAUGGAUCUAGCUUGUAAUACUCUAGCUGACCAUUUAAGCUUGAAGUAAAUAAAGUGUGAUCACUGCUUCGAGGAAAUUUUAACUCUGGCUAGGUGCUACAAUGGGCAGGAAUUUAUGUGGCUAACUGAGCAUUAGUACAUGCAUUGGCAUGCCGGAAUAGUUUUGUUAUGAGGGCACUUUGAGCAACUAAUGAUGUUGAAUUUAUCAAAGAAAAUAAGACAGUAAUUUAGGUUUGUUUAGGUAAAUCAACUAACACCCUUCAAUCUCCCAAUAUAAAGAUGAGGUUUUGUGAUAAGGUAAAAAUGUGUAGAAAGACUAGAAGGAGUUUGUUUUUUGAAUCUAUUGGAGACAGAGGUAGUUAAUUGUAGUGCGAAGUGAAAUUAUAUGUUUCUACAUUACUUAUCAAAGUGACUUGUUACUGUUGAUUAUGCUUCUACUAUUUUUGUAGUCAUCAUGUGUUCUAGAUGUUGAUUGCUUGUAUAUUUAGAUCAUAAUAUUGCAGAGGCAUUGGUAAUUCCAUCUUUUUUGGUUGUUAGUGGAACUUCCUUUUAGUAGAUCUAAGACCUCUCUUUGUUUUGCAACUUCUUUGGAGUGAAAUUUUCCUCCGUUUUUCUUAAUUCCAUGAUGAGACACAAAAGAGGUAAGAAAACACUUUGUGGUGCUCGACACAUUAAUUUAGCAGGGCUCUCAUCAGUCAGCUCUUCAGUUCCUGCUAUGACAUCUGAGGAUGAAUGUGGUAGAAUUCUUGAUUUCUUUUCCAACUUAGCAGUUAGCACUGCAUAUCAGUAACUAAAUUCGGUUUUUAUUGUGCUUUGAUGAAUGUCUUUUUCCUGUGAUAGAGCUGGCUCUAAUGAAGCAAAAGAGGCAUUGAAGAAACUUGGCGCUGAAGAAGUGUUCACUAAGAGCCAAUUAGAAGUAAAGAAUGUCAAGAGUCUACUGGAACUGUCCAUCCAUUAACCCAUUCUACCAUAUUCUUAUGCAUGGACACAUCCAUUUUUGGCCAUUGGCACUUGAGUUCUUUAUUUACAUCUUAUUGACCUUGUACUAGGGUGAUCUAAAAGAACCCGCCCUUGGAUUAAACUGCAUUGGUGGCAAUGCUGCUUCCUUGGUGAUGAAGUUUUUUAGGUGCAACAAGUGUUAACUUUGUGUCGAGUGCUUCCCUUAUCUUUCUAAAGAGAGCUGAUUUAGUUUUGUUCUCUGGUGGAGAGGAACCAUGGUGACAUAUGGUGGGAUGUCUAAGAAACCGAUUACAGUGUCAACUUCAUCUUUUAUCUUCAAGGUAAAUUAAGAAGCAGCAAACUAAAAUUUCUGCCUAUGGUUAUGAGGUUAUUUCAGUCAAGCCUUACAAUUUGACUUGUCUAUGUCUAGGUCUCAGUCUUGGCAAUGCCCUAUAGUUUUAUUUUUAGUUUAAAUUUGGCCCAAAAUCUCAAUUUCAGUAUUUGAUGCAACCAAAUUUGAGCAGAAAAAAAAUUUAUCCCUGGAAUUGAGACUAAGAGGAAUGUAUAAACCAAUGCAAUAAUGGUCCUUAUGGUUUGCAGGAUCUUUCUUUGAGGGGGUUUUGGCUGCAUAAUUGGAUCAGUUCAAAUAAUGUAACAGAGUGUAGAAGAACCAUAGAUCACUUGCUGGAACUAGUGCGUGAUGGAAAGUUAAAAUACGAGUUCGUCUUUUGUAUACGACUAAUCAAAUUGCUGUAUUUAGGUUUCCAUUUCUUUAUAGUAAUUUUCAAUAGUAUUCAUCCUCAAGAUAGUGUGUUGGGAUUGUGGUGCAUAUGAAUUUCUCCAAAACUGCAGGACCGAGCUUGUUCCUUUUAGUGAUUUCCACGUUGCAUUGGAUAAAUGACCGGGAAAACAUGGGAGCCAUCCUAAGCAAGUCCAAAAGUUCUAAGGCUACUGAAUAUAUAAGGGCGGUAAGAAGAUGGAAAAAUUCUGUGUCAUAUCCUUCAAGCAAUCAGCUUGUUCUGAAGUUCUGAGGUGCUGGAUCAACCGAGCACGAUAAAUAUGUAUCUUUUCCCUUAUUAUUAUUUUCUCUUUGCAUAAGUGAUGCAUCGUUUGCGUUGAGGUAAUUUCGUUGCUACUUAUUUUCACCAAUUUCCAUUCUGAAUUUGUUUUGCAUCAUGCCAUCCAAUCUCAAACUAAUCUCAUGCAACAUGAGGUCCACCUACUACGGCUGAAUUUGGAGAACCAAACAUCGCCCCAUUUGGUAAGGGUCCAUAAAGGUUUCAGAUUUGCCAAUUACAAUUCUCAUAUACAUGUGACCAAGAACAUUGGGAUACUUUUCCAAAAAUCAUGUAAUCGACAUCACAUGCAUUGAGAAAAGAGUAAGAAGAACCAUAAAUUAUUCAUUUGUUUUAACCUAAUUCAAAUGGGAUGUGGACCGCCUUCAAGGAACGUUAUACAUACAUGAUGGGCAAAAUCAAUAGAAGACUAGCUAAUGGUAAUUACUUUUUAUGAUAGGGAAAACACAUAAUAGAAUAUCGUACUGGCUUCCCCCCGACACUCCUGGGGUACCUCUGGGGCACUGUGGACCCCAGGCAUCCAAAGGGCAUCAACCCUUGCGAUCCUUUGGGUAUCCCGACUCUCGGGGCAUUGUCGACCCGAGGGUUCGACGGCAUCAAUAACACAUCAAUCAUAAUGUAGCUAACAAAACAUUUUAAAUGCCAAAAACAUUUCUGAAUCACCAUUAUAGAAAAUCCUUUGGGUUCUUGAAAAUUCCCUUGUAUGGUAUCAAGUAAUGUGAAACGAGGUUUUCAAUGACGCAUCAAUACAACAACCAUAGUCUUUAAAAAUAGAUCAAUCUCAUAUCAAUGAAAUCAAUUCAUAAAAUCGAAAGCAUGAUACCAAAUCCAUAAAAAUCCAUUUUCACGUUUAAAUUUCAAAUGCAUUUCAAAAUCCACAUAAAUAGCCUCGAGUCGCACUUGCACAUCACGGCUCGAAAUAAAAUAAUUUAUUAAAAUCAUAAGUAAUUUGAAAUCAGCACGUUGGCAAAUCCAAAUCUCAAUCCCAACUCUAAUGGUUUGGAAUGUUUUCUGUAAAAAGUUCAGAAAUCUUUAAAAUAUAAAACAUUUCUUAAAGCAUUUGGGUACGGUGUCACAGUACCCACAAAUUUUGAUGCAAAUCAAGAGAUUUUCUAAAACGAUUUGUGAACAAAACCUCAAGGUGCUACCACCUCAACAUUUGGUGUAAAAAUCGAAGGCUUAAAUUGAGGUACUCACGAAAACUUCUCAAUUUUCCAAUCUAACUGGACUACAUUUGACAACAACGGCGGUGCAUUACAUAGGUUAGUAGACUUUCACUUACCUUAGGUCCAAAGGCUUUGACGGCAAGAAAUUGGAAGCUCGUGAUUUCGCGGAUGUGGCUGAGGCUGUGGGACGGCUGAAUCAGCGCGACAGGGACGGCGGCUGCUCAUGCACGGCGAAGGGAACAGUCCCUUUCUUUCCCUCGCUGCUCACUCUCCUCGGUUUCUCUCUCUCUUUUGCUCGGUUUUGCUAUUCCCGUCACUGGUUUUGUUGACAAAAACCAGUCAACAAAAGGAAAGCUUCGGCGGCAGAAGGAGGCGAGGACAGGUGAAUGGGAACGUGGCUUGCAUGCUGUCCCGGACGCUCUCUCCGCUGGUCACCGAAGAGGGAGAGAGAGACGUGGCUUGCAUUCGGUCUUCUCUCGCCAGCUCGAAGCCGUUGUUGCGUGUCUUCAGCUGCUCGAACGGCGUGGCUUCUCCUCGGUCAACUUCUCCAUUUAGUUGACCCUGAAUUUGUUGCCGCUCGCCACCUCGCAUGCUGCAUGCGGACGUGGCCUUUGCUGGCCGCUCGAAGCAACUCACAGCUGCUUCCUUCGGUCAACAAUUUCCUCAAUUGUUGACCGUCCAAAGACGUGGACGUAGGCUGCAUGGGUCAAAGGAUGUGCAUGGUUGACCGGCCAAAGAAAUAAACGAAAACGUGGCCGUUGGUGAGGCCAUUCGCCGGGCUAUCCAAGGAGAAAAAUCGUGUACGAAGCUGUGUUGAUCCGCGGUCCGUUGCGGGGUAAACGAUUGGGAGGUCUUCGACAAUUUUCGUUGUAAACUUUCACAUACGCAUGGCCAUUGCAUGCUACGGGCCUUCAGCUCAGUCAAUUGAAGAGGCCGCUCGGGAUUAAUAUUGGACGUGUGCAAGGCCGUGCAUGGGAAAUUUCUCUCCGAAAGUUGAUGUUUCGGAACAAUGGGUGGUGAUGAAAGGAUGGCCUAAUGCUAUAGUGACGAUGACUGUAACAUCACGGGCCCCACUGUGUAAUAUUGUCCGCUUUGGGUCACAUGCCCUGGCGCGGACGCACCGCCAUCCCAGCCACGGUCUUUUUCCCUCACGGCUUUAAAACGCGUUACACAGAUUAGAUGGACCAAAGCCUUAUAAGCUAACCAAGACCUUCCUCCCUAGGCGAUGUGGGACAAGAGAGGAGGUUGUUACACUCUCCACCUCUUAACAGAAUAGCGUCCUCGCUAUGGCCCCACGGGCAUCAGAACAGCAUUCAAGCUGUGGUCCCACACACGGUCGGGAGUCGGCUCUAAUACCACUUGUAAUAUCCCGGGCCCCACUGUGUAAUAUUGUCCGCUUUGGGUCACCCGCCCUGGCGUGGACGCACCGCCAUCCCAGCCACGGUCUUUUUCCCUCACGGCUUUAAAACAGAGGAGAGGGAGAAUCGAAGAUGGCAACGCAUGAAAGGAGGGGCGGCGGUCAAGACGUGCAACGGAAGCUUGAAGCCAAAAGCCAAAAUAAAUAUUUCGUUUCAUCAUUAAUUUGGUCCCCACAAGCUCCCAAGAUUAUCUUCAUGCCCCCUAAUACUUUCUCAACAUUUAAUCCCACCAAUAAUCCAAAUUGAAGCCAAAAAUGCAGCUCUCUUCCAUUGCUCCGAAUUUAACCAAAAUAAACUUCAAUUUCCUCACUCAAUUCCCCAAAUCGAUGUCCAAAUAUUCCAAGGAAAAAGCCCAUAAAUUUUCUGUAAGUCCCCAACACCAUAUAGCUCGGCUUUGAAAUCUAAAUUUUCUUCAAUUGAGCCCAUCCGAAUUUAUGCUAUUUUUCCGCAACGACCGAAUCGAUUUUCUGUAAAAUCUUGAACUCAACAAAAUUACUCCGAAAGACAAGACGACAUCCUAUAAUUGAAUUGUCAUAUGCUCGAACAUCCGAUUUCCGAAACCGAAUUCAAUUUCGUGGUUAAAAUCGAUCGAACAUGAUUUUAGUCUUAUCCGACCUAUCGGGUAGCUUUUAGGGAUUUUACCGCAAUUAUAUCCCUUAACGGCUUCACCCAAUAGAUUGGUUAACUCGUGAGUGAUCAACUCAGAGAAAAAUGACCAUAGACGCGCCGGCGAAAUGCCCAUUUCAUAUAUUCGGGACGGGGUUGAAAUUUGGGAUGUCACAACUCUUCCCCUCUUAUAAAAAUUUCGUCCUCGAAAUUUAAACCUUUACCAAUCCUUAAAAAAAAAGAUGGGGGUAUUGUCGUCUCAUCUAGUCUCACUUUCCUCGGUUGCUUCUUCAGUCCCGUGGUGUUGUCAGACCAUUUUGACCAAGGGGACUGUCUUGGUUCACUGAAUCUGAUCUUUCUGAACCAACAACUAAACCAACUUCUCACGUACGACACUUUGUCAUUCACGUCUGAUUCUUCAAGAUUUAGCACGUGAGUCGAGUUAGGUUCGUACGUCCUCAACCUCGACACGUGAAAGACGUCAUGCAUUUGUGCCUACCCCGGUGGCAACGCAAGACAAUACAUUAGGAUCUCGAUUCUUUUCAGAAUCUCAAAGGAAACUACAUACCUCGGUUCCAGAUUUCUCCCCUCCUUGCUGAAGCGCAAGGUAUCCCUCAUUAGUGACACCUCCAAAAAUAUGUAAUCACCAAUUUGGAACUUUCAAGGCCUUCAAUGCUCAACAAUACAACUUUUCUGGCGACACUGAUCGGUCUAUAAUAUGAUUCUGAUCAUAACAACUGCAAUCACUGACUGCUGAAUUGACCUUCGGCCUGUGAUCUUUCUUUCUCUAAUCUCAUCUCAACAAACUGAAGUUCUGUACACUCUGCUCUGUUCUACCUCAAAAGGAACUAUCUGACUGAUAUGCUGAAACUGGAAAUCCUUGAUUCUAAAUCUGAUAUAGGUUUGUCACUGGUACCCACGCAGACAAACUGUCUGACACACAUACACUUAUGCAUGUCUAUUCCAAUCAAGAUCCUUCCAUACGGUGAUAAAGUGAGUCGACUUCAUUAGUCUAUCGACCACUACCCUAACUUGAGUCAUUAUUCCUCUAACUCCUUAGUAAACCCAUCACAACAUUCUAUCGUGAUAUACUUCCAUUCCUACUCGGGACUCUCGAGUGAUUAUAAAAGUAUUCCUGGUUUGCUUUACUGAACUCCCACUCACUAGCACAUCUGACACUUACAACCUGUCCGGCGAUAUCUAUCUUCAUAUCGGUCUACCAAUCGAGCUAACGUUGAUUCUGACCUUCCUCGCAUUAUAUGGUCAAAUACUGCAAUACCAUAGCGAAUUUCCUAACAAGGUCUUCCCCUCAAGUUUCGUACUGUCUGCCACCUAUCAUCACCCAUGAUACUUCAACGUUCCAUCUUUCGAAAUUUGAAAGUCAACUUUUCCCUUAUCGAUAUCCUCUUACAGGAUAAUCUGAACAUCCUGAUUUGUCAACUGAAGCAUAUGAUUCUAACUUGAAUAUCCGAUUCAAUUUUGAGGGCGGCUAUAGAGUUCAAAAGGUAGCCUACCUCAAAUUUGAAAACCAAAUUUCAAACUUUCUCAGGUAAGUUCCAUACUUUAACCAGUAUAUAUUAAAGACUCUUGACUCAACGCAUCAGUGACUUCAUUCUUUCCCCCAAGGUGAUACCAAAUAGCACCAUCCUAGUCCUGCCAAGGUUCCGGUUCACGACACCGUCUCAUAUUCAACCCAUUAGGUCUCAACUGGCGGGACGCAUAUACAAUAAUCUUAUCAUGUUGCAUCAGUACGCACCCAAUCCUCCGCACAACACCUCACUAUAGAUGUCGCUUCACUAAUAAUUGUUUCGGUCUUCAUAGGGUCCACGAAAAUUCUUUCACCUUUUUCAGGUGUCUCUCUAGCUCCUCAGCAUUUCUUGAAUACACCAAAAUAUCGUUGAAAGAUACGAUCACAAACUGAACUCGAUAUUCCUUGCACACUCGGGUUGUCAAAUCCAUGACAGCAACUGGAAUGUUCACCAGGCCAAACAAUCUUACAAUACUGUCAUAAAGAUCAUAUCAAGUACGAAAAGCUGUCUUCAGUAUAACCUCCUUCCUGGUUCGUAACUGACGACAUCUUGUUCUCAAGUUGAUUCUUGAAAAUAUCAACACUCUUGAUGUCUGGUCACCCAAUUCAUCGAUCUUUUACAAUGGACAUUUGUCCUUGAUCGUCACCUAAUUGAGUUGAUGAUGGUCGAUGCACACUCGUAACAAACCAUCUUUCUUUUUUCUCACAAACAAAACUGAUGUUUCCCUAAAGUGAUGCACUGAUAUGCAUGAAUUCCUUAUUCAUCAAUCUUCACAUCUGCAUCUUCAGUUCUACCAAUUCAGACAACAACGAAGCCUUCGAGAGUGGCUCUAUCAUGGUGCUAGCUCGAUCGCAAUUUCUAUCUCUUUCUCUGACGAUGGUCUGACAGUUCUUGUGACAACACAUCUAGAAAUUCUUAGACCACUGAGAUGUCCUCCAUCUCUAGUUCUCCAAUUUGUCCUACCCAAGACAAUCGCCAAGCAACCUUGGCAACCUCCGUCUAACAAACAAGUUGCCUUCAGCCAACGAGAUUAAUGAAAUCAAAGAUUCUUUUCGACACUUUCACAUGCUAAUGGACUAAACCGAAUUACUCCAUGACCAUGAUUCAUUAUCACAAGAUGCUCCAUGAACCCACACUAUUCACAUGGUGUCAAACUCACACCUCAGCAACUAGUCAAGCACAACUAUUGCUAGUGAUUCCCCUCUCUUUCACUUUUACUUCAACAAUUUAAAUUCUACCAAUUCAGCACAAAACUCUACUGCGCUACUCUUAUAAAAUCACCUCCAACACAUUCUAGUCAUUCUCAGACACUGGAUUUAUCCAUGUUUCCUUCUACAAAUCCAACACCUAUCUAGUGAGUCUUCUACCUCCUGUCAAGUAACAGCAUGCACUCUUUUUGGUUGUCCCAUCUAUCUGCUAGGACCACUUCUGUCCAAAUAUCCAUGUUGGCUACACUCCAAACAAUUUCUCAUCCUAGGAAGGACAUAAGAUCGAUCUCUGUCAUCAUGUCCAGAAACAAUAUGAUCCAUUUGACUCAGUGCUAACCUGACUGCCCCACCCUUCCUAUUGGGUGAAAUAGGAUACUUUUCACUCGACCUCGGUCUUUUCCCUGACCGAUUUCCAUUUCUACAUGUAUUGAAUCUAUACCUCGACUCGAAUACAACGGCUCGCUCCCAGAUCAUAUCUUCACACUAGACCUCAGCAAGUGCGACAACAACGGCGGUAGUGGCAGCGACAACAACGGCGGCUCGGUCCUGAGCUUGCUGGCUCAACCAAUUCCAAGGACACUAAUGCCUGAACGAUCCUAUCGAACCUAGGAUCGCUCGAUGCUGCUACACUAGUACCAAUCUGCUAUGGUACUCUUACACUCGAGCUGGCCAGAGCCAACACUCUGCCAUAACCACCUCGGGUACCGACCUUUGUCGAUGCUUUAUCUCGAGUCACAGAGGACACUGCCCUCUUACUAGGAGUACUCAACUCCUGCUCACUCAUGAUCAGUCUUUACACUGAAACCCGUCUUCCAAAUCCACACUAGAUUAGAAGGUGAGCGAUUCACAUACAACAAACAAUUCUAGCAUUCAGCUAACACAGACAUGCACCGGCAUGAACUUAAAGGCCUUUCUUACUACUAUCCCAAGACUCAUCGCUCCUUAUCACCCUAAUCUUGAACUUCGCUCUGAUCCCACAAAAAGGGGAUGUCACGCCCCGAUCCUUGGGCACGGACACAUCCUUCUACUUGGUCGAUUUUAUAAUGCGGUAUCCCAAGACUACGUAUUGCCGACCCUUUCAUUCUUAAUAGCACAUGCGGAAGCAAUUAUAAAUCCCCAGACAAUAACACAAUGGGAUAGAAAAAGCAAUGCCAUAUAUUUCAUAUUGAAAUCCACAACCAAACCUUUAUACAUGGCAUAACUCAAAGUCUAUUCACAAGACUAUUCAUAACAUUCUAGUUUCACACUAUUCACAUUUAGACAAGAUUCACAAAAGAGGAUAGGAUCUCAAUCCUCAUCCGGGUCGUACUCAGGAUCAUCCUAAUCCUCUUCUGACUCUUCUUCACUAAGCUCACAUCCUUUAAGCUCUUCAUCUUUUACUGGCUCAUCGUCCUCUUCUGGUUCCUCCUCCACAGGCUCAUCUACAGGCUUGAAAUGUUGUCCCACAACCGGGAUAAGACUAUGUCUCAGCAAGUUCUACCCCACUAAGACUCGAUUAGGAAACCAAUACGCUAACCGGGCUACCUAUACACGCACGAGUUAGAAGACUUACCUUCGCCUCAAAUUCCACAUGCAUAUUAGCACAAAUCAAUAGGCACCCUAGCAAUCACAUCACAGAUCGAUAUCUCGAUCAAUCGACCUAGUCGAUUACAUGUCAGUCGGAUUAUUUCUAGGUCAUUCAUUUCAUCCCAUAUAACCUCCAAUAGUACACUUAGUCACAAAGCUCCAUUAAUACUCUCGGGCGUCGUUUUCGCCAAGGUGACAUAUGUAACAGACGGUCUACGUACGUUCUUUAAGGCGUCAUUUUCGCACGGUGAUAUUCCUCAUCACAGAACCACGCCCGUCAUAGGUCACAGACAGUUUACGUGUGUUCUUUAAAACACCGUUUUUGCACAGUGAUGUCCUUCAUCAUCGAACCACGCCUGUCACAAGUCAUAGGCAAUCUACGUGCGUUCUUUAAGGCGUCACUUCCGCACAGUGAUAUCCUUCAUCUCCGAACCAUGCCUGCCACAAGUCAUAGACAGUCUACGUGUGUUCUUUAAGGUGUCGUUUUCGCACAGUGAUAUCCUUAAUCACCGAACCACAUUUGUUUAUACUUCGUACCUGAUCGGUCUCAGCCAAUAGAGUUCCCAGUUCACUCUCACGAUUCUUUCCGCUUUACAACUCAUCAAAGCAUUAUAAAGGUUAAAGAACCAAACUCGGCCAUCUACCGAUCAAUCAUUCAAUUCCACUCAAUUCCUAUCAAUUAAGGAAUAAUUUAUCAAAUUGCACAAUCAAUUCAAUUAAGCACAAUGUGGAGCUCAAAUAAAUAAACGGACUACACCACGACAAUCAUCACAAAAUUUCAGUCGUCGGCUAUCCUUGCCUAAUUUUCGAAAAAUAAAUAAUUAAAUAAUUAAUUUCGAAAAUUAAUAAAUAAAUACAAAAAAAUCCAAUUUAGGCCCGUAAUGCCUAAUUGAAGCCCGAUAAGGGUCGGGAAAAAUCCGGAGAUGCAUUCAAUAAAUAGUAUAGGCAGUUCUCUAACUAAGUACACUAACCACCUAACUAAUAUGCAAUGCAAUUAACUAAUAAUCACUAAUCCAUGCUAAUCUAACCACCUAAUUGCACUUAAUUAAAUCUAAUCAACCAUUAAGCAUAAUUAGUCUACUAAGCAAGGAUUAGUGAGAUUACUUACUUGAUUAAAAGCGGGGACCAGGACACCGCGACAACGGCCGAAAUCGGACUUUCGACAACACCGGCGGGCUUGGACCGGGCCUUGAACUUGGCCCAUGCGCUGUACUGGGCUCACUCUUGGGCUUUUCUAUUUUGAAAAUGGGCUAACUUCGCUGGGCUUGAAGACUUCAACUGGGCCGAAAACAGGAUGGGCCCAAAGUUGGGUUGGGCCUGUUGAAGAUGGGCUUGAAAUAAAGUUGAACCGGGCCUGUCUUUGCUGGAGCUGGGCCGAAGAAUCAAUUCUCUGAACUCAACAGGGCUAAUGGUGGGCCGAAGACGCUAGAAUCCACGGCUGCUUCGUGCGAUUCACAUGGCCAGAUGGAGACAGCAAGCUAGGCAGGAGGAUUGAAGAUGGCGGAAGCAGCUGCUGGCAUCCGUUGGUGGGUGUCGCAGUCAAAGAUGGGGAGAAGUAGCUGGUUCGUUGACCGAUCUGUGGGUUGAAACUUCCGUGAUGCUGGCCAGAAGAGGGGAGAUCGUGGGCGCUGGCAGCUGGCGUCGAGCUGGGGCAAUGGACGUUGCUGGAAUCGCUCGCCAAAGACACGAGCUGGAGGAAGCAGUAGCUUCAACGCCGCGUGGAGAGGCGCACAAAGAGGAGUCAGCGAAGUGGCGCCGCUUAAAGACUUAGGCUGAAGAUCUUGCUGGUUGACCGAAUGGGAUUCGGUGGAUUGAAGCCGCGUGGGCUUCAGUCUUCGUGGGCAGAGAAGCGAAGCGGUGGAGGACGUGUGGCUGCAGCUUCGUGGGAUGAGGGUUGACCAUAAGCAGAGGAGAGAUUCGGUUGAGGGGGGGGGGGGGGGGGGGGGGGGGGGGGUUCUCCGGGGGAAAAAAAUGAAAAAAAACAAAGCAGGGGGGGGGGGGAAAUCAAAAUGGGAACCCCGAAAGGGGGGGGGGGGGGGGGGGCAAAAAUUUGCACCGGAUUUUUAAACCCAAAGCCCAAAAAAAAUUUUCCUCCCCCCUUUAAUUUGGUCCCCCCACAACCCCCAAAAAAUUUUUUUUAGCCCCCAAAAAUUUUUUCCACUUUUAACCCCCCAAAAAACCAAAAUGAAACAAAAAAUGCAGCUCUCUUCAUUGCUCCGAAUUUACAAAAUAACUUCAUUUCUCACUCAUCCCAAAUCGAUGUCCAAAUAUUCCAAGGAAAAAGCCCAUAAAUUUUCUGUAAGUCCCCAACACCAUAUACCUCGGCUUUGAAAUCUAAAUUUUCUUCAAUUGAGCCCAUCCGAAUUUCUGCUAUUUUUCCGCAACAUCCAAAUCAAUUUUCCGUAAAAUAUUGAACUCAAUGAAAUUACUCCGAAAGACAAGACGACAUCCUAUAAAUGAAUUGUGAUAUGCUUGGACAUCCGAUUUCCGAAACCGAAUUCAAUUUUGUGGUUAAAAUCGAUCGAACGCAAUUUUAGUGCAAUCCGACCUAUCGGAUAGCUUUUGGGGAUUUUACCGCGGUUAUAUCCCUUAACGGCUUCGCCCAAUAGAUUAGUUAACUCAUGAGUGAUCAGCUUAGAGAAAAAGGUGAGAGUGCUAGUAUGAACAAAAUAAAGGAGUUAGGGAAGAGAAUAAAAACACAAGAUUUAUAGUGGUUCGGCUUAAUCCAAGCCUACGUCCACUCUCCCACGAUAACAGCCUUCUUGGCUGGAUUCCACUAUGCAAUCAACAAGAGAUUACAACUUCGAGUGCAAACACUUAGUAGAUCACACUAGCUCACUAAGUCACUCUCUUGGUAUUUCUCUCACGAUUACAAACGUUUAAGCUCUCAAGAGACAAGUAUAUGAUCAAAAGUCGCUCAGACUUUGGAAUUAUAAAUUCUACGCUCCGUCUCUUACUUGCUCAUCGGUCCAUGAUCUCCUUAAAUACUCCUCCACUUCCAAACUACCGUUGGACAGUAUCCCGGAGAAUCGUCUUCCAAUAUACCCAUUGGACAGCUCUGUAUUUAGAAGAUUUGGUAGCCAUUGAGUGACAAAGGUAGAAUCCCAAAUUGAUUCCGAUCGCCCAUACAAACGAAAUCUUGGUUUCCAUAAGUAAAGCUUCUUCGUAUAGAAAGUUCUUGUCUUCAACAUCCAAUUGCCAAUCAAAUAGAUUGAGUCAAUCAAAUCAAUCUUGAUGUGGAAUCCAAACCAGAUCACUAGCCGUUGUACGAUUGGGCUUGAGUUACGAUUCAUCGAAUCUGGAUGUAAAGUCUGAGUCUGUAGACUUUACAAUAUGAGUCUGUAGACUUUACAAUCUGGGUUUGAACAUAUCUGCUUCUGAACAGAUUUAGCUUUAAGGUCUGUACCCAGUUCAGCUUCAGCAUAGAGUUUGUCUUCUGGUUCAUCAUUCACGUUCAGUCUGGAAUUAGUCAGAGUUGACAGACUUCUGAUGUAGAACAGACUUUGACACUAAAGUCUGGCAGUCUUCAGACUUUGAGUCUUGAGUCUAGCAGUCUUCAGACUUUGACACAGAAGUCUGGAAAUCUUCAGAAUAUACUCUGGACAUAUGUUACGUUCAGUCUUCCGGUCGUCUUCUGACUUUGAUAAUAUCCUUUACAUGUUCUAUUAUCUGCAUGGUCUAUUACUCAACCAUUAAACAUGUUAGUAGCCUUUGAUUUAUUUUGUCAUCUUCAAAACAUCAUAAGGGAUUUCCCUAACAAUCUCCCCCUUUUUGAUGAUGACAAAACAAUCUCUGAAUAUGCAGAUUUGUAAACAUGCUUUUAUUAAUUUAAAUCAAAGGAUAUCAGAAGAUAACAAAUAGAUUGAGCAUAAUAAUAUUUAGAAAAUAAUCACAGCUCAAUAUUAUGCAAUAAAUAAUAUCAACCAAUCAGCACAUAUGCAUAUUCAUAUCUUCUCCCCCUUUUUUUCAUAAUCAAAAAGCGAUAGUAAUGGAUUCACGUAGAGAAUGAUAACAAAUAUCUUGCAUGAAUCACAAUUUCCACAAAUCAGCUUUUAUCGAAUAUUAAAGAUAUGCAAUAUAGCUUACUUCGAUCAUAUCAGCAAAUAUCCAAUAAAAAUCAUGGAUGCAUCAUGAAAUUCACGUACACUUUUUGUCAUAAUAAAAUGAUAAUAUCAGUAAGAGAUUUAUUAAUGACAAAAGGUAAUAAAAGAUGCACUAAUCAGAUUUUUUGAACAAAUUCUGACACAUUUACCUUUCAUUCCAUCCAUAAUAAGAUCACGAUCAAUUCAAAAAGAUUUUUCCAAAAUUGAUCAAAGCUCCCCCUCAAUUUGUUGCCUUUUUGAGAUGAUCACGAUUCUUUUCCUUUUCUUUUGAAUUUGCUUUCUCCCCCUGUGAUCAUGGCAAUAUUUGCGAAUAGAAAUAAUUGUUGCUUGUGCACGUUGAAUAGAAUAUUUUUCCAGUAUUUCCUUUGUAGCAACAACAUCCGCAACGAUCAUUUGCAUUUUGAAAUUCGAGGCAAAAAUUUAUUUUUUUCAAUCAAGCUCAUCUUGAAUUCAACCUCCAGAAGAUAGAAUAAAAUCUUCAUGGUUUUCUGAUCAGUUUUCCAAAAUCCAUAUGGAAGAUUCUUUUGUGACCUGCAAAUUCUUAUAUAACAGAUAAUAAUCUUUGCAAAAAUGUCACAUAAUAUCUUCCUUUGAUUUGCGGAUCUAACUUGCUAGAUAUAAUAUAUCUUCUAAGAAUAUAGCAAGAAUAUCCAUGAAUAUGCAGUAAUAUCUUUCGAGAUCAAAGAGAUUUCCUUGAGCAUAAAUUUCAGAUAUGCAUUUUGCAUAAAGAAAAUAGAUAUUUCUGUCACGUGCCAAAAAUUGCAAUAUCUUAUAUUUAUGACAAAAUAUAUUCGCAAUAUAAUAAACAAUCAUCCAAAAUCAUGAUAAAUGCACGUAGAAAGUUGUAAGGCAUGAUGAAAAAAAAUUUCUCUUACCCAGGUAUAUGUUUCAAAUAUACCAUUUGAUUAAAAAAAAUCAUUACCAAUUGUCGCGGGAGAUAUUUUCUGAUUGAACCAAAAUUUGCGUAGAUUCGCAAUCAUCCUUCCCUUAAAGAAUUUCCUGCAAUCAACUCAUUUCCUUUUUGGUAUCCAUCAAUUUGGAUCCUUCCUUGACGUUAGAGUAAAAUAUGAAAUCUCCAUAAUCAAAUAUUCUUUCUUAAAUCAUCAUAACAAGGUAUUCAAAGAAAGAAUAUUAUGCACAAUAAUAUCUUGCAUCAUAAAUUAAUGUCACGUAAAAGAGAUUUUUAUUUGGCAAAAUAUGAUAAAAUCUGAGAGUAUAAAAUUAAACCAAAUAAAUUCUUUUGUCUUUAAGCAUGAUAUCAAAAAUGAUCACACGUAUCAAAUUAAAUUUCGAACCACAAAUCACACAAUUCUUUCUUCAAUAAAGCAAAUCAAAAAAAUAUGAUCAUUAUAAAAUCUGAAUCAAUCAAUGAUAUAUCGAAUUUCAAGCAUAAUGAGAAUUAUGUGCCCAAAAACAUUCCUUACCAACUUCUUCUUUUCCUUUAUUUCCUUGAUUUCCUCAUCGGAUUCUGAGUCUGGUUCUGAAUCAGACUCUGAUUCUGAGUCUGUGUCUGAGUCAGACUCAGAUUCUGAAUGUGCCAUCAAACAUAGAUUUCCUUGGUCAUCGUCUUCUUUUAUUGGUCUUUUCUGGCCAUUCUGCUUGUAUUUUCUUCCAUCGAAUUUCCUUCCUUUUCUACUCAGCUUUUUGAAUUUCUCGACCAUAAAGGCAAAUUCUUCAUCGUCCAUGUCAUUUUCUGAGUCUGUUUCAUCAAAAACAGCAUUAGAUAUUAAAGCAAUGGACUUCUUACCUUCAGGGAUCUUCAUCUUUGAGUUGCUCCANNNNNNNNNNNNNNNNNNNNNNNNNNNNNNNNNNNNNNNNNNNNNNNNNNNNNNNNNNNNNNNNNNNNNNNNNNNNNNNNNNNNNNNNNNNNNNNNNNNNUGGUUCCAAUCUUUUGAGAGACCUCGCAAGAGUUUGUUGACCUUCAUUGGAGAAGAAAAUUGCUGACCUUGAUAUGCUAAACCAUUUACAAUUUCUGUAAAACGGCUGAACAUAUCUCCAAUUGACUCUCCUUGCUUCAUCUUGAAGGAUUCAUAUUUGCCGAGCAAGAAGUUUACUUUUGUCUCUUUUACACGAUCGGUCCCUUCAUAUGUAACAUGAAGUUUAUCCCAAACUUCUUUUGAUGUUUCACAUGAAGAGAUUCUGUUAUAUUCAACAGGAGACAAUGCGCAAUAUAAAGAAUAAAUAGCUUUUGCAUCAAGCGCUUCUCUUUUGGACAUCUCCAUCCGAGACAUAGGAGCGGGGAGUUUCGUUUCUUUGUCUUUGCUAUUCUUAUUUGAUGUAGACGCAAUAGUGGGAUUGAUUCCUCUUUCCACAACAUCCCAUUGCAAGAGAUCUCUGGAUCUUAUGAAUGCUUUCAUUCUGUUCUUCCACACGUCGUAUUCCUUUCCAUCAAAAUAUGGUGGCCUUGUGUUGCUUUGCCCUUCCAUAAGUCCUGGUGCCAACAUACUAGCCAUAAAGAAUCUUUAGCUCAAAAGUAAAAACACUUUUAUAAACCGAGCACUUGGCUCUGAUACCAAUUGAGAGUGCUAGUAUGAACAAAAUAAAGGAGUUAGGGAAGAGAAUAAAAACACAAGAUUUAUAGUGGUUCGGCUUAAUCCAAGCCUACGUCCACUCUCCCACGAUAACAGCCUUCUUGGCUGGAUUCCACUAUGCAAUCAACAAGAGAUUACAACUUCGAGUGCAAACACUUAGUAGAUCACACUAUCUCACUAAGUCACUCUCUUGGUAUUUCUCUCACGAUUACAAACGUUUAAGCUCUCAAGAGACAAGUAUAUGAUCAAAAGUCGCUCAGACUUUGGAAUUAUAAAUUCUACGCUCCGUCUCUUACUUGCUCAUCGGUCCAUGAUCUCCUUAAAUACUCCUCCACUUCCAAACUACCGUUGGACAGUAUCCCGGAGAAUCGUCUUCCAAUAUACCCAUUGGACAGCUCUGUAUUUAGAAGAUUUGGUAGCCAUUGAGUGACAAAGGUAGAAUCCCAAAUUGAUUCCGAUCGCCCAUACAAACGAAAUCUUGGUUUCCAUAAGUAAAGCUUCUUCGUAUAGAAAGUUCUUGUCUUCAACAUCCAAUUGCCAAUCAAAUAGAUUGAGUCAAUCAAAUCAAUCUUGAUGUGGAAUCCAAACCAGAUCACUAGCCGUUGUACGAUUGGGCUUGAGUUACGAUUCAUCGAAUCUGGAUGUAAAGUCUGAGUCUGUAGACUUUACAAUAUGAGUCUGUAGACUUUACAAUCUGGGUUUGAACAUAUCUGCUUCUGAACAGAUUUAGCUUUAAGGUCUGUACCCAGUUCAGCUUCAGCAUAGAGUUUGUCUUCUGGUUCAUCAUUCACGUUCAGUCUGGAAUUAGUCAGAGUUGACAGACUUCUGAUGUAGAACAGACUUUGACACUAAAGUCUGGCAGUCUUCAGACUUUGAGUCUUGAGUCUGGUAGUCUUCAGACUUUGACACAGAAGUCUGGAAAUCUUCAGAAUAUACUCUGGACAUAUGUUACGUUCAGUCUUCCGGUCGUCUUCUGACUUUGAUAAUAUCCUUUACAUGUUCUAUUAUCUGCAUGGUCUAUUACUCAACCAUUAAACAUGUUAGUAGCCUUUGAUUUAUUUUGUCAUCUUCAAAACAUCAUAAGGGAUUUCCCUAACAAAAGGACCAUAGGGGCACUGGCGAAAUGCCCAUUUCAUAUGUUCGGGACGGGAUCGAAAUUCGGGAUGUCACGGAACUUGACCUGAUAAAACAUUUGUAUGCAUGUACAAUUUCUAAUAGAAGAGAGACGAUUAAUAAACAACAAAGAGGGAAAGAGGAGGAGGUAAGGCUUUUCUACUUGAUUUUACUAAGAGAAUUUUCAAUUGGAUGACAUAGUUAAUAUGAUAAGGCUUUGUGAACUUGAAAUGUGUAUUCAUGAGUAAUUCAUUAAAUAUAUAUAUACUUUUUCCAAAGCAUGGCCUUGCCAUUGAUUGCUUUAUUUUGGGCUAAGAACACCACAAGUGUGGUAGCUUUUGUACAAUGCUCACUUGAGUGCUAUAACUUAUUUUUCGACCACUUAUGUGCCAUAACUUCCAAUAAGUCUUUACUUGAGUAACAUAACUUUUAAUCGAUCACUUAAGUGUCAAAAACUUUUAGAAACGUUCACCCAAGUGCCGAAAAUCCAAUGUGGCAUGAGACUUGUGAAGAACGUUUUUAAAAAGUUUUGUCACUCAAGUGAAUGCUAUACAUAAGUUAUGGCACUCAAGUAAGUAUUAUAUAAAAGUUUUGACACUUAUAAUAUCAUUUUCCCAUUUUGUUUUUUGACUCCAUCCAACGUGAUGUUUUGUUGGUGGGGUGGUCAUUUAGUUUGAGAAAAUAUUGCGUGGUCCAGGAGCUCCACAUCAGCGUGGUCCCCGGCCACUCAUGCGGCGCCACGUGGAAAAGUGGGUCCCCUAGCUGUUUUCUCCAUUUUUUCUUUCUUUCUCUUCUUCGUAGCUUCUUCGUACCCUCUCUCCUAGCCUGCGCACGUCCAUUCUCCCCCUAGCCUGCACAACCUGCACAUUCUCGGGAAUUUGCAAUCCAUUUAUCAUGGAAAGAGAAGCAAAGGGCUUUUUCUCUUUCCUCUUCAAACGAAGGAAAGAGAAGCGGGACUUUUCUCUUUCCUCUUCAAACGAAGCAGAGGCUCCACACGUUUACUCUCAAGCAGCUGCAAUUCUUUCACCCAACAGUCGUCGCUGCUCCGCCGUGCGUCAAGUCGUCGUUCCCUGCCGUUGCCGACAACCUACAUUACAAGCGCCCUGCUCGUACGCCGCUCGCUUCUCUCUCCGCUCUCAUUUCUACUCUGGCGUUUGUUUCGGCGUUCGUCAAGCGGUUGUCCCCCCGUCGACAUCAACGAAGUACGUUGCUCCUCUGCCUUGCUCCGGCGUUGGCUCAUCUUCGCUCUUUACCUCAAAGCUCGUUGCUUCUUCGGCUUGUGUCGUGUUCCUUCUCCACUCUGCUCCGAUAUGGGUUUCUCUGCGCAAGACAGCGAGGAAUGUUCUUGUUGUAAGUCGCAGACUCCAAGUGAUAAGAAGUUCCAGCUCUCUCCGAUUCGACUUCGGAUCUGCUACAUGUUAGGGAAAUCUCUUAUGAAAUUUUGAAGAUGAAAAAAUAAAUCAAAGGCUACUAACGUGUUUAAUGCUUAAGUAAUAGACCAUGCAGAUGAUAGAGGAUGUAAAAGAUAUUGUCAAAGUUUGAAGAUGGCCAGAAGACUGAACGUAACACAUGUCCAAAGUAUAUUCUAAAUAUUUCCAGACUUCUGUGUCAAAGUCUAAAGACUGUCAAACUUUAGUGUCAAAGUAUGUUCUACAUCAGAAGUCUACUCGCUCUAACAAAUUUAAGAUUCUAUGUUGAAGCUGAACCAGAAGACAGACUCUAUGCUAAAGUUGAACUUAUUCAGACUGUGUUAAGACCUUAAAACUAAAACUGUUCACAAGCAGAAUAUGUUCAGACUCAGAUUGUAAAGUCUAUUGCACUCAGACUUUACAUCCAGAUUCAACAGAACAUAACACAAGCCCCAAUCAUAUAACGACUAGUGAUCUAGUUUGGAUUCUACAUCAAGAUUGAUUUGAUUGACUCAAUCUAAUUGAUUGACAAUUGGAUAUUUAAGACAAGAACUUUCUUUUACUCGAAAUUUAUUUAAUUCGACAUAUAUUUGCCAAGGUUUAGUUUAAACACCUAUUCACCCCCCUCUAGGUGUUCAUACUAACAUUCACAAUUGGUAUCAGAGCCAAGUGCUCAGUUUAUAAAAGUGUUCUUACUUUUGAGCUAAAGAUCUUCUAUGACUAGUAUUUUGGCACCAGGACUUAUGGAGGGACAAAGCAACACAAUGCCACCAUAUUUUGAUGGAAAGGAAUACAAUGUGUGGAAAAACAAAAUGAAAGCAUUCCUAAGAUCUAGAGAUCCCUUGCAAUGGAAUGUUGUGAAAAGAGGAAUCAAUCCCACUGCUGCGUCUACAUUAAAUAAGAAUGGCAAAGACAAAGAAACCAAACCCCCGGCUCCUAUGUCUCGAACAAAGAUGUCCAAAAGAGAAGCUCUUGAUGCGAAAGCAAUUUAUUAUUUAUAUUGUGCUUUGUCUCCUGCUGAAUAUAACGGAAUCUCUUUAUGUGAAACAGCAAAAGAAGUUUGGGAUAGACUUCAUGUCACUUAUGAAGGGACUGAUAGUGUAAAAGAGACAAAAGUAAACUUCCUUCUCGGCAAAUAUGAAUCCUUCAAGAUGAAGAAGGAGAGUCAAUUGGAGAUAUGUUUAGCCGUUUUACAAAAAUUGUAAAUAGUUUAGCAUAUCAAGGUCAGCCAAUUUCUUCCCCAAUGAAGAUCAACAAACUCUUGCGAGGUCUCUCAAAAGAUUGGAAUCAUGUUAAGACCUUAAUCCGGGAGACUCAGAAGAUUAUGCCACUUUCUAUUGAUGAAUUGAUCGGCACUCUUCAAUCCUAUGAAGUGGAACAACUCAACGAUGAAGAUCCUGAAGGUAAGAAGUCCAUCACUUUAAUAUCUAAUGUCGUUUUUGAUGAAAUAGACUCAGAAAAUGACAUGGACAAUGAAGAACUUGCUUUUAUGAUCGAGAAAUUCAAAAAGCUGAGUAGAAAAGGAAGGAAGUUUAGUGAAAGAAGACAAUACAAGCAGAAUGGCCACAAAAGAACCAUGAAAGAAUAUGAUGAGUAAGGAAAUAUAUGCUUAAUGGCACAUUCAGAAUCUGAGUCUGACCCAGACAUAGACUCAGAAUCAAAGUCUGACUUAGACACAGACUCAGAAUCCGAUAAGGAAAUCGAGGUAAGCAAUUCAAAAAUUUCUAUCAAAGUUCUUAAGUAUAUAAAUGAGCUCUGCUUAAAUCUCAAAUCUUCUCUUAAAAGGAUCUCCGAACUUAAAAAGGAGAAUUCUCGGCUUAGGCAAUAGGAUCUUUCUCAAAAAGAAAAUUUUGAAAUUUUGCAAAAAGAUUUUCUACAAACAAAAGAAAGUCGAGAUUUACUUGUUAAAGAAAAUGAUUCUUUAAAGAAAGAAUUUUCCAAUAUUUCAACAAAAUUUUCAAAUGGAUCAAAAAUAUUAGAGCAUAUUCUUUCCUUAUAAGUACCUUACUAUAAUAAGUCGGGACUUGGUUUCAAUAAGAAAAGUGAUUUUCUAAUUGAUUUUCCUAAAGUCAAGGAGAGACUUAAACAAAGACCUUCUAGACUUGCGUACAAGAAGCAUUUUCAAAGAAUCUUUACAAAAUCUAUUGAUCGAAAAGCUCUCAAAUGUUCAAAUUGUGGAGAUUUGGAACACUUUGAGAAAGAAUAUCCUAAAAUCUGGAGACCUAUUAAGAAAGAUUGGAUAAAAGUAGCAUACUCUACUAACUCUCAUGGAUCCAAGAAAAAAUGGGUACCAAAGAAAAGAUGAGUUAUUUUUGCAGGAAAUAAAGGAAAAGAAGAAAGAGAAUUCGGUAAGGAAUGUAUAUUUGAUUUGAGUACAUAAUUCAAAAAUUCUCAUUAUGAUUGAUAUUUGAUAUAUCCUUGGUUGAUUCGGAUUUUAUAAUGAUCAUAUUUAUUGAAGAAAGAAUCGUGUGAUUUGUUUUUGUGAUUCGAGAUUUGGUUUGAUACGUGUGAUUAUGUUUUAUAUUCUGCUUAGAGACAAAUGAAUUUAUUUGGUUUGAUUUUAUACUCUCAGAUUUUAUCAAAUUUUGCCAAGUAAAAGUCUGUUUUACGUAAUAUUAAUUUAUUAUGCAAGAUAUAUACUCAAUGAUUUUAUUCUCUCUGUUUUUAUCGUACUAUGACAAAGUGAGAAUUUAUUUUUCAAGAUAUCAUUGUGCAUAAUAUUCUUUCUUUGAAUACUUUGUUACGAUGAAUUAAGAAAGAAUAUUUGAUUAUGGAGAUUUUAUAUUUUGCUCUAACGAAAUGGAAGGAUCCAAAUUGAUGGAUACCAAAAAAGGAAAUGAGUUGAUUGCAGGAAAUUCUUUAAGGGAAUGAUGAUUGCGAAUCUAUGCGAAUUUUGGUGCAAUCAAAAAAUAUCUCCUGCGACAGUUGGUAAUAAUUUUUUUAAUCAAUGGUAUAUUGCAAAUAUAUACCUUGGGUAAGAGAAAAAUUUUAAUCAUUCGGCCUUACAAAUUUCUACAUGAUUGUUUAUAUCUUUUGUCAUAAAUAUAAGGCAUUGCAAGUUUUUAUUUGAUUUGGCACAUGAUAGAAAAAUCCGCUUUAUUUUUGCAAUGUGCAUCAAUAAUAUUUUGAUAUUUAUGCUUAAGAAAAUCCUUUUGAUCUUGGAAGAUAUUAUUGCAUAUUUAUGGAUAUUAUUGCAUAUUUAUGGAUAUUCUUGCUAUAUUCUUAGAAAGUAUAUUAUAUCUAGCAAGUUUGAUCCGCAAAUCAAAGGAAGAUAUUACGUGACAUUUUUGCAAAGAUGAUUAUCUAUUACAUAAGAUUUUGGAAAGCUCAAUCUAAAAAUUAUGAAGAUUCUAUACAAUCUUUUGGAGGUUAAAAAAUUCCCUUCCUUGUGCAAAGUUUUUGCAAAUUGUUAAGGAAAUCCCUUAUGUGUCAUACGGAAGGUUGAGUAGUUCUGAAUUUUAAUUUUACAUAUGCUAUUCAAUUUAUUUAUUUGAAGAAAGGGCAUUAUAUAUUACAUGGAUAUUAUUACAGCUUAUUUGUGGAAAAAGUUUGUUAAGUUUAUGCAGAUUGAAUUCGAGAUGAGCUUGAUUAAAGAAAAUAAUUUUUUGCCUCGAAUUUCAAAAUGCAAGUGAUCGUUGCGGAUGUUGUUGCUACAAAGGAAAUACUGAAAAAUAUGCUGUUCAACUUGCACAAACAAUUGUUUCUAUUUGCAAAUAUUGUCAUGAUCAUAGGGGGAGAGCGUGAAUCUAAAAGAAAGGAAAGAAUCGUGAUCAUCUCAAAAAGGUAACAAAUUGAGGGGGAGCUUUGAUCAAUUAUGGAAAAAUAUUUUUGGAUUGAUUGUGAUCUUGUUAUGGAAAGAAGGAAAAGGUAAAUGCGUCAGAAUUUAAGUUCUACAAAAUCCGGUUAGUGCAUCUUUUAUUACCUUUUGUCAUUAACAAAUCUCUUAUUGAUAUUAUCAUUUUAUUAUGACAAAAAGGAUAAGUGAAUUUUAUAAUGCAGCUAUGAUUUUUAUUGGAUAUUUGCAAAUAUAUAUGAUCAAAGUGAGCUAUAUUGCAUACCUUUAAUGUUCGACUUACUUUAUAAAAGCUGAUUUUUUGAAAAUUGUGUUUCAUGCAAGACAUAUUUAUUAUCAUUUUAUAUUCUCUACAUGAUACUAUUUCUAUUGUUAUCGCUUUUUGAUUAUGACAAAAAGGGGGAGAGAAUAUAAAUAUGCAUAUGUGUUGAUAUUUGUUGAGCUGCGAUUAUCUUUACAUAUAUAAUUAUAUGCUCAAUCUAUUUGCUAUCUUGAAUUACAUUAUUCUUUGAGAUUGCCUUGAUUUAUUAUUAUCUUUAAAAGCAUGAUUACACAUCUGCAUAUUCAGAGAUUGGUUUGUCAUAAAAAAAAAUGGGGAGAUUGUUAGGGAAAUCCCUUAUGAUGUUUUGAAUGUGACAAAAUAAAUCAAAGGCUACUAACGUGUUUAAUGGUUAAGUAAUAAACCAUGCAGAUGAUAGAGCAUGUAAAGGAUAUUGUCAAAGUUUGAAGACGGCCAGAAGACUGAACAUAACACAUAUCCAAAGUAUAUUCUAAAGAUUUCCAGACUUCUGUGUCAAAGUCUGAAGACUGCCAAACUUUAGUGUCAAAAUCUAUUUUGCAUCAGAAGUCUGCUCACUCUGACAAAUUUCAAACUCUAUGCUGAAGUUGAACUUAUUCAGAUUGUGUUAAGACUUUAAAGCUAAAACUGUUCAAAAGCAAAAUAUGUUCAGACUCAAAUUGUAAAGUCUAUUGCACUCAGACUUUACAUCCAGAUUUGACAGAACAUAACACAAGCCAUAAUCAUAUAACGGCUAGUGAUCUGGUUUGGAUUCUACAUCAAGAUUGAUUUGAUUGACUCAAUCUAAGUGAUUGACAAUUGGAUAUUGAAGACAAGAACUUUCUUUUUACUUGAAAUUUAUUUUAUUCCGCAUAUAUGAUUGGGGCUUUUGUUACGUAACACAAGCCAAGGUUUAUUUUAAACACCUAUUCGCCCCCCUCUACGUGUUCAUACUAGCAUUCACACUACGUUCGUGGCUCAUAACAAUGAGUUGAUUUGGCAAGUGCUUGCCGUGACCGGCUGCAGGAGCUACUGGUGAAGGAGAUAGAGGGGAGAGCCGGCAUGUGCAGCGACGGAGAUGGACAGAGCGAGUGGAGGAAGGUGAUGGAGGCGUCGUUCAGAAAGAUGAAACGAGGAGGUUGGAGGGAAGGGGGUGGACGCGUCGAUAAGGACGGCAGGGUCGACGGCGGUGGUGGGGAAGGAGGAGCAUGCCCUUGUCUGUUGAUCACAAGGUGAGCUCUCGCUUCUUGUUUGUUUGUUUCCAUUGAAGCUGUGUAGCUCAGGGGAUCUGUUCUUGUUCUUCCACCUCCACCCCCCCCCCCCCCCCCCGAAGACACUUCAUUUAUUGGAACAUUUUGCCAGAAAUCUUGAAGUGACAAGACUAAUCUGAUCUACAAGUCUUAUCCUUUUUGUCUACUUCGUGUCAUUUAUGGGUUAUACUUCCAAAAGUUCACUUGGUGUUCUUUCAAAGGUGCUUAAUUUAUCUUAUGGUGUUGGUUUUAUAUGAAAGCAUGUGCAAGAUAUUCCUAGAAUGUCUGAUUAAGAUUAGGUUGACUUUGGGUCAUGUUUUGCAGGGUUGACAUCCUAUGAUUAGGGGAACUUACUACACUGCCAUUCUUUGUUUUUUGUUCAUGGUUAUGUAGACAGGCUGAAGCCCAUCUUGCCCUGUUGGUUUAAUCGGUGAACUAAAAUCCGUUCCUGUGAUCUUUUGUGGUCAGCCACGCUUUGUUCAUUCUGCAAUUCUUUGAUUGAACACUGCUGAAAUCACUUCAAGUCACCACAAACGGGCCCCGUCACAAUAUGGCAUGUUACCAGGUUGAUAAAUGAACGCAAAAAGCUCUUGCCAAUACUUUUAUACCAUCUCUUCUUCAAUGACAUGUCUAUUUUCUGAUAUUGAAACAGUAACAAGGUCUUCAGCAAGUGAGAGCGAGUAAAUUCAUCUUCAUAUUGAAAUGGUACAAUUUGAAAGGUGGCAAGAUUUUCCUGAGCAACAUCUUUAUAGCAUUUGUCACAGUAGAUACUCGAUUAGUUGCCAAUGCUAGAUCAGUAGCAGACUAAAUUACUUGAGCUAAAGUGAAAACAGUUAUGUCCUGUCAUGCAUCAUAUCUUGAGUUAAAUCUCUUGGAUUUUGAUUAAAAUGGCUUAUUGACUCCCCUAAAUAACCUAACAGGCUUGCUGAGAAGGAGAGUGGAAGCAGCUAGAGGAAGGGUCAUAGAUUGGAAUGGAUCCUAUGUCCUAGGCGUGCUUGCUACAUUGAGGUCAAUGGGUAUGUGGAACUUUAUCAAUCAAAUGGCACUAAUGAUGGACUUUAUUCAAUGCUUUUAUGCAUGGAAUGUUGGUUUCCAAUUGCAUUGGUUACUACAACAAGUGCUGAGUAAGUCGAAUUUGUGGUUCACAUUAGUACUAUUGUGGUGCUAAACCUCUGUGCUUGAAGGGAACAUAUUAAAUCACUGAGAUUCUAGUUUGUUAACAAGUUGUUUGAGUGCACCUUAGAAUUGGUAACUUCAGCCUUUCGACAUGUACUGGAGACAAUGUUGAGGGCAAAUUACAAACAGGGAUCAAUAACCAACACCUCUCAUGCAGAAGUUUUAGCUGGAAACUGGCUUUUUCUCUUGUACGUGUGCCAUUGUGUGGUGUCUGUAUCCGAUAGCAGCAUUUACUUGCUGCAGGAGAUUAUUGUUUAAAGCAAGAGAACAGAGUUGGACAACUUCCUCGUGAUAGCAAGCGAUGGGUUAUGGGAUGCGCUCUCUAAUGAGGCUGCCUGCCAAGUUGUGAGGAGGUGCCUUGACAGAUAUAUAAAGAGGAGGUUUCCUGAGGAGCUGAGAGGAAGUAAUGCCGUCGAGGUGGCUGCAGUGCUAGCCAAACUGGCCAUGGCUCGAGAUAGCCAAGACAAUAUCAAUGUGAUUAUGGUCGAGUUGAAGAAAACUAAACUAAUAAAAUGUAAAUAGGUAUUGUGCAACUGAGAAUGUUUCUUUAUGGCCAGUGUUGGGCUAAUCAAUGUUCAUCUUGUAUAAUCUAUUGUACGGACUUCUAAUUGGUAUUAAAAUGCCAGAUCCUCCAUGUCAUUGCUUCGUGGUGUUUAUUGUUUAAGCCUCAAAUGAUGAACUUUUUUCCCAAGAUUGACAAUUACAACAUCAACAUUGUAUUAAUCUCUACUUGUGAUAGAUACUCUCUAUUCGUCCAUUAGGUGGAGUCCACUUGAGCUUACUGUUUCACAAUGAUAUGCUAGACUUGUUCAAUUGGUGAACUUGAGAAUGUUGAGGUUGAGGUACGAGUGGUUCCCAACUACAAAAAAUAAUGAAAAUAGAUUGUGUAGAGCUGGCCUUACUAUCCGAUAUACAGAUCCUCUGCGUGCGUAAUGAAAAAAUAAAGUAGAGAGUGCACGAAAGUCAUGAACAAAGUCAACAUGGGAAGAGCUCUCUCCAAAUGAGCAAAAGUAGACUUUUAUACCUUAAAUUCUUUAAAAGCUGAAUAGAUACAACUGUUUUGUAGAAGGCUAUAUCCUAACAAACACAGAAAUUGUUGCAAAGCAAGAAGGAAAAAAUUCAAGAAACAAAAGGGACCCCACGAACUCUAAGGAAGCCCUUUCUUUUCUCACUUCUCAGCAAACCAUCUUUGCUGCGGCACAUCUCAGACUCUCUCUUUUAACCAGCGAAGUUGAGGGGAAAGAGGAUAGCACUCGUUUUAUAAUGUCUCUUCACUCCUUUUGUCCUCCGAUCUUCACCCUUAUUCAGCUUGGAAGCAGGUUCUGACAUCAUGAAGCGAAGACGAAAAUUUUUUAAAAGAAAGAAAGCGAGAACUUUCGAAGGCCGUAUCCAAUAGGUAUUGCUGCACAAUCCUUUACAUCCCUGAAACCCAGAAAAACUGUGCAAUUACAUAUGAAGCUGGAGUAUCUUCCUAUGCCAAAGUGUAGCUUGAGAAUGGAGAUGUCCGCUAGAGGCAAAGUAUGGAUGUACACAAACCCGAGGCUCUUCCCUGAAGGUAAGGAUUAGAUCCAGGAAGGGAACACGUCCAAGUCGUUGGACUUGGUUAGUCCCCACAGAGGACCGUAGAGCUUGGAGAUCGACAGGUUGACAUAUUUCAGCAUCUUGUCCGAUUUGUUGGUCACCACUGUCUAGCAUUUGCGAUAAGUUCUCCUGUUAGCAGUCCAUGAAGCCAUUAGCUUCUGCUCAAUGGACAGCUUGUUGGAAGCUGUUACUGCAAUCAAAAAGGCAAAAGCAAAUGAGUGAGGUAAUGGAAUCACAGAAUUAAUCAAAGAAAAAAGGGAAGGCGGAGGAAAUUGUACCAGGAGCUAGACUUGGCUUGGCCUGGCUGCUUUCAGCGCAGGAACAACCACUGCAUUGAAUAGAAACCCAUCCAUCUGAUGCCGAAAUAUGUCAAGACAUUGCUUUUGUCUGGAAUAACAACACAUUUCAAAGAUCAAAUACCUAGAAGGAGUUGACAGUAACCGCUGUGACCACCACUCAACCAGGCUAAUAUGCCAAGGAGUGGAGCGUUGUUGUAAGUAGCAGGUUCCAUUUGCUUGUAAUUGUCUCUUUGAUCAGCAAAGUUAUCAUAUGUAUCGGGGCCACUGAUGAUAGCACUAGUGAGGAGAUUGGGUUCACUUGCUUUCCGGCUAAACCAGGCGGCGUAACCGCCUCAGCAGCUGAUGAAGGACGAAUCCUCCUUGAUGGACACGAUGGAAGUCACCCAGUGAUGGACCUGCCUUGGGUAGUUGUUCCUGUACCCAACCAUGUAGCUCGUGGCUCUGGGGUUGUCUCCCAGGAUAUAGUCCACCUGCAUAUGUUCGUUAUUCAUGGCAAAAAUAUUAUUCCAUUGUAUCUUGAAGCUAAGGAAAGAAAUUGAGAUUUUCCAAGCACAAACAUCGAAUUGUCACGUUUUCCUUGACUAACUGAUUGUAUUAGUGACUAGGACACGAUCAGAAGGAAUGUAUUACCUGAGAUUUCGCAAAGGAGAGGAGUUCUGAUGGUUGAAUGCUGCCGGAUGAGCACUGCAAGCUUUUGCCUGAGGAAGAACAAGAAGGCAUAAGUCAUAAUGAUCAGCUAAAAUAUAACAAUAACAGGGAAGAACAGGCCCUUCCACAAAAAGCACUGGAAUCACCAACCAGGACUCUCGCUUCUUGAAAACCUUGUUGCAGAGACUAACAACUCGAGAGGGGUUGACAAAGAAUGGACUUCAAAACUCUUCAUCAUAGAAACCACUGACUACAGUAAGUCGCCCCGAACAUGAAGAUGGCUGGUCAAAUCCAUCAUUUGAUAGUGGAAAAUUAGAAUAAAGUUCGAGAGGGCUUGAUAAGUCAUCAACUAUAUCUUCUUCAACAUCAUCAACAUCUAGAAACAAAACCAGGACGCCAAGGUCUGCACAUAACUGAAUUGCACGUUUUCAUUCCUUUCAACUCCUACUUAAUUUCAUUGUUCUUUUACCAUUGCCCCACCAUUCUUGACCUAUCAAUCCAGCAUAUUGAUGUACACAUCAACAGCAAGUAAACUAGUUCCAUGCAAUUAUUCGCAAUCAAAUACACAGGCAGAUAAAUGGUCGAGCCAAAGUACCAGGGACGUAGCCAAAGCUCUUAAGGCGUUCCUCGAGCUGGGCGAGGUCACUCUGGUUUUCUUGGAAACCUCGUUGCAGAGACCUAACAGCUCCUCAAACGACACGGUCCCAAACUGACAUGGAGUCGAGCAAAUUGAGAUUGCUGCUCGCAGUCGACACGCGUCGGUUCAGGCACUGAAUGAAGGUCGAAGAAGCUGAAUCUGUGAUGAAAACACCAAAAAAUCAAUCGGCUGAGAGGAAGGAAAACGCACGACCCGAAAUAAAAAUCACCCCUUGCAACUUUUCUCGGCUCAAUAUCCAAAGGAAACGCAAAGUAACUAGCAAUAGCAAGUGAAAUGAGAAGAGAUUAAACUCAGUGAUGCGAUUCACAGCUUUAAGAGCUACGAGAAUCAGAAGAAGGGGGGGAGAUAGAGAGGGAGGGAGGGAGGGAGAGAAAGAGAGAGAGGGGACCGAGAGGGAUGGGACGGGGAUCGAUGGAUUGCUGGAGGUCGUCGACGCUGCUCUGCAGGUGGUUACAGAAAUGGGAAAUUUCAAAUCUCGGCUGCCCUAGCAGAUUAAUGCGCGAAGGAAAGCGGCGCCGGAGAGCGAGCAACGGAGCAAAGAGCGAGCGCCGAAGCAGAGACAGAGGAAGCGACAGGAGCAGCGAGCGAGCGAGAGAGCGCCGGGCGACGGCAGGAACGGCCGCUUGACAAACGCAAUGCCGGAGCAGCAGCAACAACAAGCGCGGACGGAGUAGCAAACGAGAGCGAAACCAGAGAUUUAAAAUUUGAAAGCUUCGCUCGCUUGGAAUGGCUUUCGUUUUCUCAGAAGGAAAGAACGAGUAAGAAUCAUUACCCUUUACCAAAAAAAAAAAAAAAAAAACGAGUAAGAGGAAAGAGGAUACAAUGAAUGCUUGCAGACUCUGCAGAGGAGAGAGAGCGCAGGGCUAGCGUGCAGGCCAGAGGAGAGAGAAAGAAGAUUAUUUUACCCGCAGAAAUUCCAUCUUGGCGACCCGGCCCACGGCGCCUCAUCGGUCCACGUGGCGCUCCAUGAUUGGUCCUGGACCACACUGGCAUAGCGCUCCCGGACCACCAAAUAUUUUCUCCAUUUAGUUUAGCAUUGUCUAGGCUUGAUAAUUUUUCAAUACUAUGACAUUGUUUCUCAUUUUUCUUUUCUUUAUUUUUUGUUGUGUCAUGAGGAUAUUCAUAUAUUCAGUGGAUGUCAUACCCAUGAAAUAUCCAAUUAGCCUCAUGGAGCUAGUAAGGUUUGAGCCAAAACUUGGUUUGUUGGCGGCAACAUGAAUUGUUUCUACCGGUUAGUGAGGAAAACUAAACUUGUGUCGUGCACAUUACCUACACACAUUUGUCUCUUCCUUAAUUAUUGCUUAAGAUUUUUUAUUCUAAAAAAAAAAUGGAAAUCUAAUUGGUGGAUGAUGUAUUUCUGCAUUCUCCCUAUUUUUUACAAUUAGAUUAAAAAUCACUUAAAUAGGAAUUAAAGUAGUUGAUCUCCCAGGUAUUUAUUUUUUCAAUCAUGAAGAUUUCAUUUCAGGCAGAGUGUAAAGUCAAUCUCUGCCACUCAUUUAACUUUUGAUGCGUAGGUUGACUCUUGAUAUUAACAUCUUCAAUAAUUUAGUCGAUUGUGUACUUGAAAAGUUCUUAAUUUAGCUGGCUUGGGAACAAAAUCAGUUUUCAUCAAAAACAUAUUGUUUCAUCAUCCUUCUUCGAUAACUGCGCUAGAUUAAAAAAGGGAAAAAAAAAAGAGGAGAGAAGGCUUAUCUAUUGAUUUAUAACUAGCCUUGGUCAUUUUUUUGGUAAUAACAUGUUUCUCUAUCUUGGAAGCUUUUAUCUAAGGCAAAUUAGGCAUCGAGCACGUAGAAUAUCUUAUUGAUCUCAUGUACCGGGUAGGGGAUGAGUUAAUGACCAGGUGAAUGUUGCUUAAUGUAAAAAUGUUUGCAUUUGGUAUGUGAGAAAAUGAAAUGAUUUGAUGUGCAUAAUCCAAGUACACAAUUUCUUUCCUUAAUUCCUAGAGAUUCCCGUGUGAUUUAUGAUAUUUGUCAUAUGAUACCGGUUCCCUUUAUAUAUAGAUCAUUUGUUGUAUUUCAAUCUCAACAAACGUUGUUGGACCUACAUAUUUGACUUUCAUCAGUAUCUUUCGAGGAAUUUAGAAGAGCCUCUCUCUAUGUUCAUGCAUAUAUUAUACAUUGACAAAGAGAUUAAACAUGAUAGACAUUAGUUGAUAUGCAUUACCAGUUGAUUUGACUGCAUAAUUUUAUCAUCUUAUUCACUUUUUGAAACUUUCUUGCAAGAUUGAUUGUGGUUUUAUAUUUCAGGAGUCAUGCUUUGAUUGGAUAUGCGCAUGUUUCAGAGGAGGCUUAUGAAGUUUUGGAGACAACUCGCAUCAUACUUGCUAGCAUGCUGAGAUGGAACUACCACAUAUUUUUAGUGGGGUUAAUGCCUGAAGGCCGGUAAGAUAAGGCGUUUCAUUUAACAAAAAAAAAAUAUAAUGAUGCAAUUGGGCUAUUAAUUGAUUUGGGGGAAAAUUUCCAAUAAGCGCUCAAAGUGGAGCCGUUUUCUCAAAAAAAGGUCCAAAGUGGAUAAUGUCUCAAAUAAACGCCUCAAGUGGUCUACUUAGUCUCGAAUGUGUUUGGCUUUACCAAAUAACCAAACCUUGUCCGCGUAUAGGGGCAUCCUCGUCCAAGUACUUUUUUGCUUUCUUUUCUUUCUUUUUUCUUUCUGCAUCUUUCACGCCUCUUUCACUCUGCCUCACAUCCUUCUUCAACGCCAUAAUCAGCCCCCUUCUCUUUGCCAUCUCGUUGUAUGAUCAGCACCAGCUUUUCUUCGAAGCAAGUCAUUACAGCAGAACCGAGCUUAUUGGAGAUUCUCAGUUUCACUCCUCAAUUUGGUUUGUCGAAGAUUCCACGAAACAAAAGCAGGUGAACUUACAAAAUUGAUUCCUUUAUUUCAAGAUUCAUUGCAAAUUACGGUCUGAUUUGAGCCUCUUCCUUUGAGGCACCCCACGCGCCCCUACAGAUGUUUGAAAUGCCUGAAUGGGUCUAUUAUGUUUUAGCAAUGCAUGAUUUCAAAUUUCUAAUGUGAUUAUACCUUUGUCCAGGGCUUCAGUAUAUCAAAUUGCCUGAAGCCAAUAAGUUGUUGAGCAAAAUAGGGAUUGCAGUUGCUGGGUUUGCGGAAGACUUAGGAUACAUCAAGUUUGAUGCACAUUGAAGGUGAGAGAAGAGAUGUCGCUGAAGGGAGAAGUUGCGUUGCCAGAGAGUUGGACAAAGAGGUGGUUGCGGAGUCUUGGCAGGGAAGAUGUUGCAAGGAAGAUGAAUCAGUUGGUAAUGAUAUUAGCUAUAGGCUUAAAAGGAGUUGUAGUGUUAUUGCUAGGAACAAGAGUGCACGAUAAUCAUAUAGGCAUAACAUUCACAACAGCUUGCGACCAACUUCUAGAAGCAAAUCAGAAAGGAUGUAGGCUGUCCGCUGAAAAGCGUUCUGUGAAACUGUCUCGCCAACUCUUUACUUGUUGAAGUUAAUGUAAAGCUUGAGUCUGUUAUAUUCAGUGUAUUUUCUCCAUUCUCUGCAAUUCAUCGUCCUGGAAAAAAAAAUCAAUGCCAAGUACAAAUCUCAUAGUUCGAAUGGUGCUGAAUAUCGCGUUUGCCACUAGUUAUUGAAAAUUACUAAGGGGUCAAGAUAACUGUCUGGUUCAAUAGUGUGGUUUGCUCCAUGGUCCGAGCUUUUCUGGCCUCUAAGGCACUUGACAUGAAUGCUUUCUAAUACGUUGCCUUUGGUUUUGGUAUGUUGCAAAAAUGUCAUAUUGGCUCACUUCUUGCUGAAGCAAUAUUCUCCGGACAAUAACUUUUGUAAAACGAUAUUCUAAUACUAGUUGAUAGUGACCCAAAUCAUUUUGUUAGUUUAAUCUUACAAAAACCUCCUCAACUCAAUUGGCGAGGCUACAGCCAAAUAAAUCAGGAUCCAGAUGACAUCAACGAAGUUUUAUUAAUAGAACUGAUUGCAAACAGAGCAAAGAUGCGAAAAGGUAAAUAAGAGGCCGACCACAGAGUGCUCAAACUUAAUAAGCAAAUUCAACGCUACCAAUUUGCUCAUAGUACUUUUUCCUUCAUAACAUGUUCUCCACGCUCCUAAUUCACUCGAUAUAAUGCCCUUUUUCUUGGAGCUCCACAAUGACUUCAUUCCUCAUCCUAAAUCACGGCUUCUGAGCUUCUUCCUCAAAACUUCUUGUUCUCUAGUUACAAGCAUCUUCAUCAGCUUCAACAAAUCCCUCGAGCCCAAUGGUCAUUUCGAUCAUACGUGCUUAUUAAUGAAUUCUUCCAUGGCUUAUUAUCGCCUAGAUAAAUUGUUUCCACAAGUAUCUUUCUUUUCCUUCGGCUAAGGCUUUAGCGUGCACCACCUAGGGGCGAUGUUUCGUUGUUGAGCCACAAGACGCCAGUGAGCAUGUAUGUGCCUGGUAACGCCUUGCAUAGCUGCUUCCAAAAGUAGCAGUCUUCUGUGCCCAUUCCUAUUGUGAUCAGCACCUUCUCGUUGAGCGAUUUAAUAUAUGGAAGCCCUGGACAAUGGCAUUAUCACAUGAGAAAAUUAUCCAUUGUUAAAGCAAAAUAGACCCAUUCAGGUAUUUCAUCGAACAUCUUUGGGGCCCUUGGGUUGCCUCAAAGGAAGCGGCUCAAAUCGGAUAAAAAUUUGCAUUGAAUCUUGGGAUAAAGGAAUCGUAUUUUUGUAAGCUCGCCUGCUUUGGCUUUGUGGAAUCUUCUUCGAACGAUUUCGAGGAGUGAAACUUAGAAUCAAUAACGACCUCGGUUCUACUGUAAUGGUUUGCUCCGAAGAAAAGCUGGUCUUGAUCAUAACGACAAAUGGCAGAGAGAGAGAAAGAGAGAGAGAGAGAGAGGUGGCUGAUGAUGGCGGCAAAGGCGGAUCCGAGGCAGAGCGAGAGGGGGGAGAGGAAGAAGAAGAAAGAAAAGAAAACACAAACAUGAAACAAAGAGGGAGAAAAAUAAAAAUAUAAAAAGUACUUGGAUGGACUUGAACAUGUCCUUAAAAGGCUCCUCCUGAAUUGGAUAUCCCGAGAUGACUUCUCCUCACAAGCCAUUUAAGACAAGUGAGGGGAAGUAGUACGGGAUAACAUCCCCAUGAGGCUCUCCGGCCACAACCCAACCAAAAGGAAGGGUUCGGAUCCCACCUUGACUCUCGCGAUGCCUUCUCCGAGGUUGCCCGAGCGUGGUACAAGGAAAUGAUAGGGUGUUCCCCUCCCAAAAGGGAAUAGGGAACACGUGGCCGGCCGGACAAGAAUACCAUUGGAUGUGGACAAGGUUUCGUUAGUUGGUGAAGCUAGAAAUACUUUAUUUGAGACUAAAUAUAUCAUUUCGGACUCUUAUUUAAUAUAAUGUUUACUACAGAUACUUUUUCAAUUAAAUAGUCACUUCAAGCUAUUAUUUAAAAAAUUUUAUUUUGAUGCAAAAUUUGACUUGAAAUCGAUGCUUUGAUAUUGAAUCGUGAAUAAACAAAAUUCAGUUUCAAAUCCCCAAAACUCAAGCUCAACUCAAUAUUAAGGUUCGAAAUUGAACUCGAUUCAACUUGAUUAUUAAAAAUUUGAUUCUACUCAUUUAACUUAUUACGUAGGGCGUCUCUUUCUUUUUGUCCUAAUCAUAUGUUGUACAAUCUGCAAAGCCCAGUCAUGCCAUUCGAUUGCUUUAUCUUUCAAUUCUAUCAAAAGUUUGGCGUUUGAUUGCUCGUGGUUGUCUAGUUUAGCAUUGUCUAGGUCCAAUAAUUUUUUGAGAAUUGUUUAUCUUUUAUAUUUUCCGUUUUUGGCGUCAUAAAGAAGUUUUGAUUUAUUGCAAGGAAGUGCAUGGUCCCGUGGGGGGCGACGAGGCUAAGCUAAGCCUAAUUACAUCAAUGAACAAUGGAAGUUACUAAAAAGGCAAUGUGGGGUUUCAUUCGGCACCAUCACUUGAAUUUUAUUUCCUUUACUAUACUUGGAGGAUCCCAUUCCACGGCUCCUUUUGCUCUUUCAAUUUCUACCUUUUGGCAAUAAAAAACCGUGGCCACACAACACCGUCACACUAGCCAGAUCCUACGAGAAACAACUGACGUUGUCUCAUCUAUUGAUCAUCGGACUUCCAAGAUUGUGUCACAACCGCACUUUCGUUCACUCAUGAAACACUUCUUAGAUGUCCUUCCUCCGCAACUCAUUUCGGACGGGGAUUAAUAGUUCCCCCAGUAUGGACUGGAGUACGAAGCCCACUCAAAAAUGCGAACAAAAUAGUCCAUUAUAUUUUGUGAGUGUCGCCAGGUGGCUUAGUCCCAAUGACUCCCCUACGAAUAUGAGACAAUAAUAGAGCAAAUCUGUCAAACGGUACUCCACCAAGAGCAGGUACUAUUUUAUCACAUAUGUGGAUUGAGUGGUUGAUUUACGACAUUUUGUAUAGAAGUUACGAAAAAAUGCAAACAGUUAUAACUCAUUAUGAUUCGAGAAUCUAUCAAUGAUCAUAGAACUGCUCAUGUACUCUGAGAAGAAAUUCGAUAAACCAUCCAACAUAAAAGUUAUUCAUUACAUCAAAUCUCCAACAUUAUACAGUAGAGUAAAUAAUUUAUCGCCUUGCAUCGUUCAAGUUUUGCACACAAACAUAAAUAGAAGCUUCCACAUUCAUAAGCAUAGAAUAAGAUAAGAAAAACUAUUGCAAUUUCUGUCUCAUUUUUAGCCUGAAUGCCCUGCAUUUUGCCCUAACGUAUACCUACAUCGAGGGCAAACCAAUGAGACAAUAAAUCGUGCUUCUCUAUACUUGCAUUCCGGACAAUAAACUGAGCUCGGGAUUGUUAUCGUGGAUGGAUCCUGCUUCUUCAGCGGCUCGGGUGGCUCGAGCGGCUCAGGUUGCGGCCUCUUGGGGGCUAGGACCAGGGUCAUUGUUUUCCAGAUUUUCUCCUCUCGCCUCCGAAUGUAGUAGAAAAAGAAACUGCAGAGCAUGACGAUGACAAUGACUACACCAAUAAUAACCCACAUCGGAGUUUUAUUGUCAUCGGACAAUACAUAAUUUGGAUUGAUCCAUGCCAACGGAGUAGGAGGAGGAAAGUAUUGGAAACUCGGAUAAGUUUGUGUAUAGGAUUUGUUCUCCAGCAAGAAAACUCUGUUGAGGUAGUUCAAUGCAAGCGGUGAGUUUACAAAAAUAUUCCAAAGCAUCAAUUCAAGAGGCAAUUUAACUUUUAAUCAUGAUGAAUUGAGAAGAUCAUAUGAUUCGAGCACGAGAUCGAGAUGAUUCAACAUGGAAUUUGGUGAGAUAUAAUAUGAGUGGAAGUAGUCGCUUGAACAUAUAUCUUUACAAGAAGAACCGAGUAAACAGUGAAUGAUGUUGUUGCUCCAAUACUUACGCGACCUACAAAGCGAGAACUUUCAUCAGGUGGCCUCGACGUUGUGAUAGCUCUCUGUAUAUGCCCUCCGCCAUAUGGGUGGGCUAGGUGCGUGUUUUAGUGGAUGCGUCACCAUUCGUCAUCGUGAGUAUGUAGAUGUAAUGAUUGAAGACAGCUGGACAGAGAGUUGGGAAAUUUCAUUCACGGCCCAAACAGUGAGAAAAUUAUAUAAAAAAAAAUCAUAAAUAAUAUUUAUAUCAAUUCAAUCCGAUUAAAAUUGACUGGCCAAUACUAACGUGGACGUUGUCCACCAUCGAUAUUAACAUAGAUAAUUUUUAAUAAUAUUUUUUUUCUAUUUUUUUUUAUCUUCUUCUUUACUUCAUUUUCUUUAUCUAGCCGGUCACUAGCGAUCACUGAAAAUGAAGUUAUAAAAAGAACCGAGAGACCUUGAGCUACUGUCCAAACUCGAUCACGUCUUCAUGUUCAAUGUUCGGGACCAAUGAUACAUGUUUGACGAUUCCCAAUCUAAGGGGAUAAGAUUUGGGUGGAGGGCUAAGAAAAACAAUUAGGUGUGAAAUGAGAAAUUAUUAUAUGCUCUAUAAAACAUGUGACUUAAUAUCAUCUCAAUCAUUGAUCAAGUAGAUCUAGCUAUGAGCCCACGUGAUCAAUUGUUGAAUUGGGUUUUGAUUCUGACCAAAAAAAAAGAACCAGGUUUUGACAUUCUUUUCGGGCAAAAUGGGAUUACAGACGUGACCUGACAACCAAAAUUCACGCUACUAUCCAAUAAUUCCAAAAAGACUUAUUCUAGAGCCGACCUGCUAGAGAUGAAAGAGACCCACGGCCGUUUCGUUUCUCUUUCGAGUGUUCUAAAAACGAUGGAAAAUGUUCUAAGAUCCUCUUGAACUUAAACUGUCUUGGACGGACUGAUCAAAACUACUAACUCAGUCCUCGUGUUGGUCUAAUCUUGUCUAUCCCUCUCUUAUGGUGACGCGACUCCUAUCCAAACAACACAAAAGGACAGCCUGUCGCCAACUAAUUAGAACAAUGGAAUUAAUGAAAACAGGAGGGACAAAAGUAAAACCACAGCACAGUGAGCUAGGGCCUCAAAUUCAUAGACAACGUGGGAAACACGACGUGAUUAGGACCGUCGGUCACGAUCGUUUCUGUUUAAAAUCUUAAUCCCUCCCGGUCUCAUUCGCCAUCACAUCGUUUUCCUUAUCCCAUCUUUUGGACUCUCGAGUUAGUCGCUGAACCUUGCGGGGCCACGAUGACUUUAGCGCCGUAAAAGAAAACCCUGCCAUCCAAAUUGAUAUAUUUUACCCAUUUUGAUGAAUGUCCAGAAAAUAUAAAUUUAAUAAUUCAUACUCAAUUCAAUCCAAUUCUUAUCUGAUUCAAUUCAUAUUUUUAAAACGCUUUUAUAUUAAGCCUAAUUUAAGAACUCAUACUAAAAUUGAAGUGAGAAUACGAAAUUGAGUGAGAACGAAAAAUUAAAAAGAGAGUUAUAUAAAUGGGGUAAGUUGUGAAAUCAUUUACCCCUAUAUUAUUUUGGGUUUAACCAUUCCAAACCCAUUUAUAACCUAUUUACAAAAUAACAAAUUCAUAUAAUAACUCAACUUAUAACAUAUGGGUUCAAAAAUAGACUUAUAAUUCAUUUUGAUAGGUCUACCAUCAAAUAAACAUGAUAUCUUCACAUUUAUGGAAAAUUGUCCCAAUUUUGUCACGGGAAACGAGAUUGCAUAUACAUGUAAGAAGGAAGAUUGGGAUAUUUCCCAAAAUCAAGUAUGUAAUCGAGAUCGCAUUGGUUGAGAAAAGAGCAAGAACAAUAAAUUGUCCGUUUAAUGCUACUUGAUUCAAAUGGGAUGCUGACCGCCUCUUGGGAAUGACAUACGUGAAACGCGAUAUGCAGAAUACACAAAAGACUAGCGACUAAUACUUACUAAUUAAGAUAUGGAAAACAUUGAAUGGAAAUAUUGUGUCAGAUUCCAAAGAAUUGAGGAUGUUCAGAUAAUACAUAAAGAAAAAGGCAUCUUUUGUGUCAAGAACUGCACUCCUUUCUCAAGAUAAAGUUGACAGCGUCCUCUACAGUAACCACGACCUGCAUAGGUAAACAUAAAAGAGUUCAAUUGAGAGCGAGCGAUUUUCGGAUGCACUUUUAACCUUGGAAAAUUUGGAGAGAAGACAAAUUCCCCAUAAAAGUGGCUUUCAAAUGGGCAUAUUUUGGAAAAACUAACAUUUUGCUAGGCUGAAGAAGGAAAAGGUUCAGACAUGUUUCAUCCAACGAAUUAGAAUUCACAGAUCACCCAGAGCACAGCAAAUCAACCUAUAUGAGUAAGGGAGGAUUGUCCACGCUGACAACUCAAAACCACGUGAGGCCAUGUUUGGUUCAUGGCCAUGGAAUCAUGAAAAGGAAUCCCAAUCUAAGCAAUCAAAUUCCUAGAUGUAGGGUUCAUUCUCUAUUGUUUAGUUUCAAUUUAUGAAUGAAGGGAGAAAUGUCCGAUGUGAAAUGCAAAGUGAGGUAAAAACAUGUCAGAAAUGGAAUGUGUAAAAUAUUUCUCCAAUCAACAAAUCCAAAGUGGAUAAUGAAAAACUAGGGAUAGAAACAGAAUGAAGAACCACACAGUAUCCCCCGACAAUUUCCCAAUUAUUGUCAUCUAAAAGGAUCAUACAGUUCACAUAAGCAUUUCACAAACACAUUAGAUAUAGCUCCUCAAAAUCUCGAGUCAAGCAUUUCACACAAAAUCUGCAGCAACGAAGGUAAAGCCAUUCCCAUGUAACUUCAAACUACUUCACAGCUGUUACCUCAAGCCAUUGUGAUAUUCUUAUUUUUAUUGUGUUUUGAGUCAAAGACCCAAUCACAAGAAUAAAUGGAGUGACAGCAACUCAGCCAAGUGUGUAAAUGGAACUUUAUGUCUGCACCCAAGCCAAUGUGAUCUUCGUGGUUGACAUCUCCAUAAACAGACCAAACAAGUUUCACAAUGGCGAGAGAAAUAAUUUCACCUAGUAGAGUAAUGUGAGGGCUAAGAGGCAGGCAAAACUCACAUGAAAGGAUUUGAAGAUGAUGAAUGGAGAAAGACAGAGAGAGAGUUCUAACUUUGUAGGAUUUGAAGAUGAUGAAGCUCAAGACUACUGAGUGGGUUGGGUUCCUGGAUGUUUUUGCUUUCUCGGAAUCCCAGUACCACCCCUACUUGAGCAAUCCAAUUCUACAUUUUUAGGAGUAUCUGUUAACUGGGCUCUUUGAUUCUAUGAUCAUAAAUCCAUCCAAAGAUGAGCUGCAAUGGGAUUCCAUUUCCCUUUUUUUACUCCAAAGAGAACCAAACAAGGCCUAAGUGAUAACACGAUGUACUUACUUCUGAAUGUUUUCAUGGUGGCAUCAAUGAUCUGCAGUCUCAACCAUGACUUUCCACUAGGAUCACAUAUUUAAAAUCUCUAAACCAAAGAAGUGAACAUGCUGGAAUGCAUGCGAUCUGCUUACUAAGGAACCUAUCAUCAACUCACACCAACGUACAUAUGAGGAGAAAUGUGAGAGACAGAGAGAAAUGUCUGAAUUUUGUUAAGAUUACAAAUACCUACCAAGUCCGCAGGGAACUCUGAAUGAUUAUCUUUUCCCUUGAAUACCCCAGUCCUUGUUAAUAUAGAAAACCAAGGAUCUCCUGCCUGAAGGAGUUGUUAUCGGCACUAGUGAUUAUGUUUGGAAAUAAAAUUACUGAUAUGAUAAAAUACAAUUCUCAGUAUGAAAUAUACCUGUCGUGUGCCUCUAAUGUUGAUUUUUGGAUUAUCUCCUAUCAUGUAUAGGCUUUUGAAACAAUGAAUUCCAGAGUUUAUUGUAUUCUCCACAUCUAGGUUGCUUAACAAAGAUGGCAUGAGAUUCCUUAACACGGUCUCAGCAUUUGCAUAGACAAAUGGAUUUGGCUUCCCAUAUGAUGUAUAUGCCAGCAGAAUGGGAUGUGUUCUGCAGAACAGGGACAAGUAAACAAUGUGCAACAUAAGAUCGAAGAUUAAUGCAUGUCACUAUGCUGCACUGAGGCAAAUUAGGCCUACACAAGGAUCUUAUAGGCCAUUCUUUAAUUUUUUUUGUGGGAGAUUAUUAGAUCAAACUCCAUGCAGAAACUAUACAUUGAGAAGUGAAACCUCAUUAGUACUUGUUAUAGAUUGCUUCUAACACAAUCCUGAAAGCUCCCAUACCUAGACGUUCAGCAGGAAAAGUAGCCUGCCUUUACACUUUGUCAGCUAGGCAUCAGCCAGCUUUAGUUCCACUAAGGUUUCAAAAACUCAAGAUCGCAGCUCGCAUCACAAAUGCCAUAGCUUACCUGGUAUUCUAGGUCAUCAUUUGCAAAAAAACACGUGCGGUUGCUUUGCAGUCUCCCUUCCAGGAAGCCCUCCAGUUCUCAAUAUGUCACAGAGCACCUAAACCCAAACUUGAGUAUCACCGAAUUAGUUUAACGUACACAGACAAAUAGAUAGAUGAUAACACUCCAUUUUAUCACUUCUUUCAAACUUUAUUUCAGCGCCCACCAGACUUCUAAAAAGAUGAUGACUAAAGUUGCAGAGUAUUUACUGAACAAAAAAACAAAGCCUAGUGUCUUUUGAUAAUCAGUUCAAAGAUUUAGAAAUUACGUGACUAAAAUCCCAGUAUGGACUCAAAAGCUGAAUCAUAUAAUCUAAGAAAGGACAAGACCCAUUAGAGUGGUCACAACCUGAAUAUCUCUGCUCCAGUCAACAGAAUCACUGACUACAAAUGCUGCCUGAACUCUCUGUGUUUGCACAGCAAUUUUUCUCUUCGCCAUCUCAUUAGAACUGCUAUUCUGGUCAAUGUCUGCCUUUGUUGUCCAUCUCUUGUAUGGUGCCAGUGGAUCAAUGGCAUCAAAGUAGCUAGUGUAUUCAUCAACUGACAGAACAUUUCUGCGUAGAAAAGAUAUAAGCAGAAAGAGGGUCAACCGGAGAGGAAAAAAAGGAGAAUCAAGUUGUCGGAGUUCUUGUUCCAGGAGUAUUGAACACAGACAACUAAGAUGAUUUAUGGAGAGGACUCCUCUCCGAUUACUCAAGUCCCUGAGAACUUGAGUGCUUUCUAUUAACUUUGCUUGCUCCUACGUAUUACCUAGAUUAAAGUAAUAUCUGUCGAUAUCAGUUUUAUUAAAUACAUAUCUUUAUCCCUAUUGCCUCUCUCUCUUCCCCUCCCACCACCCACACACCUGCAUGCAUGAGCAAGUAAUUGAGACAUUGCUGGGUACAUUUGCAAACCUAGAGAAGUGGUCAAAAUAUUUACUUGUAUCCAUAUUCGGACAUCACAGCAGCAGGCUCUCCUUUGCCAACAGCAACGACAAGUUCAUUCUCAAAUCUGUGCAAAAAACUCAAUAAGGAAACAGAUGAAUAAAAUAGAGAAGCAUAUUCUUGAGUAAAAUAGAAAAGCCUACACAGAAUUCUUUUAGAAUAGCUAGUACAUGCAUUGGCACUCUUCUCAGUCUUUUCAACUCAUAUAAUAUAAUAUAGGUAGUGCAUUCCCCAAGUUUCCAAGAGCAAAGCACAGGAGAAUUCUUAUCAAGCUAAUAAUACACAUGCACUAUAUUUUAUUUCGCAAUUUUCAUAAUCAUGAGCGAGAUAGAUGAAAAAAAAGCAAAUGUUAUGGAAAAUGCUCAGUUCUGAUUUACAUUAGCAUGGCGCAUUUCUCGUUGGACAUUGGUCAUGGAGAGAAUCCAACAAAUCCAUACCUAUUUACCAGUUGUUUAAAAGGUGUGUGGCCCUGUAUGACCUGCAAAUUAUCUUGGUCAAAAUAUGAGAGAAAAACGAAACAAAGUAGUUCUGGACCUGAUAACAAGCAAAAUCGUGAGGGCAAGCAGAUUUGUAACACAAGAAACAAACUACCUGUGAAAGUAAAAUGUUGACUCUUAGUAGUUGACCUAAGUCCUGGGCUCUUUUGGAUUCAGAAAAGCCACCUCCUGCAUCAGCCAUUGCUAUUAGCAUCGUGCAGUAAAAACUAAUUAUCGCUUCUUCAAGAAUUAACAAGCGAAAUUUCUAAUUUCAAGGGACUAACAUAUUGAGCGAUUAUAGGUAAGGGCAUCUCAAAAGGCGUCACAGAUUCAAAUUGCUUGAAUGACUUAAACAUAAGACAGCGGCAAUCUCAAAAUCAUCAAGACGAUUACUAUUAGAUCUUAAAAGUACCAAUACUUGCUCAUAAGUGAAUAAUCAACCACAAUAAGCGUAUGAUGUCCAGCAUGCAACUUGAAAACUUUAGUUUGACCAUCAUAUCACGGCACUCACCGGUGAUGACUCUAUAGAAUGGUCACAUUCGCUAACACACAUCGAAAGUGAGAAAUGUAAUAGUAAAGGUUACUAACACAUUUAAGCAAUCACGAACACUCACCAUUUGUUAAGAACACGAAAGGUAUCUUCAAAUUUCCUGAAAAGAUGUAGAACAUAAAGUAAGUGACAGCAGGUUACAAAUAGCAGAUAUCGAGAUUCAGAUACGAAUCUCGAUAUCCGCCGCCCUUUACAGUCCAUCAGAAAUUUCGGUAGCAAUCAGUUCGCAACGUAGAACAUUGGAAGACAGGUGAAACGGCACGAUCGCCAGCAUGAGAUAAGCCUCGCAGGUAUAUCAGCAAGCGAUGGCGAAAGCUUUACCAGAAUCGUCGUACAAUCUCCUGAGCGCGCGCGGAGAACCGCCGAUGGGAGUGUGACCGAGGAGGACCACGCCGUCGAUGUCGAAGGCGAUGCCGAACGAAGGCCUGCACAACGAAACCACGAUCGUCGAUUCGAUCACGGACGAAAAAGAAGAAGAAGAAGAAGAGAAAAAGAGAACAUCGGAGAAAAUCACAAGCGUAGUCGAAGCAUGACCGGAACGCACCGAUCCGAUUGCGAGCGAAGCCGCGAAAAUGAGCGCGAGGCGAGCGGGGACGGCUGCUUUCUGCCGCGACUCCGCGAGGCGAUGGUGAAAAGCCGGUGCCUCAUUUUCCUGUUCGCGGCGAAUCGCUUCGGGAGAUCGAGGAGCUCGAAUCGCCGGAGAUGAAGCUCCAAGAAGAACGGAGCGAGCUUCAACAGUCCAUAGAGAAAGAGAGAGAGAAUGGCCCAAUCGCGCAGCGUCUUCUCGUUCAAUGUUCAGGAGCCGUGAAUUGGGCACCGUUGAAAUGAUGGGCGGGCCUCGAUAACGGAUCGGCCUUUCCUUCGGAUCCGAGCUCAACGGUUAAGCUUGAUUUUGGUGAACGUUUUUGGGCUGUUUUCUUUAGUUCUUUCACUUUUGGUGUAUUUUUCUCUUCAGGCCUACUAAUUCAGGCUCCUUGUCUCGAAACCUCUCGAGAGAGAAUCGCUAACUGCGUCUUUGGUGCACCUGAUGCUAGGGGUGAGUGGUUUCAGGUUCCGGUUCAGUUUUGUUUAGAACCUGGAACUUACCAUCGGGUAUCUACGCGUUAGAACCGAGAACCUAAAACCUACCCUGUCACAGAUUCCAGGGUCGGUUCUAGGUUCCAACAGGUUUUUUUUUGUUUUUUUUUUUGUCAUUUUCAGAUUUGUACACGCAUACUUUAUAGCAACUUUCCACAUCUUAGCAAACAUACUAAUGCCAACUGCCAAUAAUUUUGACAUACAUUGUUAUCCUUCUCCUAUAUUACCUCUGCAAUUAAGGACUAAUAAUCCAGAAGAGCCACCCAAAACAAAGAAGUUAAGCAUCUAGAUUGCCAAAAUUCAAAAACACCAACUUCCCCAAAACAAAGAAUUGAUUAGAGCAGUUUCAUUGAGCAAGUAGUCAUAGACCACAGCUUGCAUUUCUUUUCUUGUUCCAUUAGAUUGUGAAGGCAGUGACAACUUUGCUUUAUGCAUUCAUCUAAAUAACCGACAAUCAAUCCAUUCUUUAAAAGUUUGCAAUACAGGGUAAAACUCAAAACAAUGACAGAAGACAAGAUCAAAUCAAUCUAUACAGAAAGCCCAUAUAGCGAACAUUUCUUUCAAUCUUUUAUGAACAUUUUCAGUUGAAAACAAGAUUUCGUCUGCAACCAGGAAACUCCGUCAGCUUAAAAGGGCUCUGUCAACAGAAAGAGCUCUGUGACCAAGUGAUGUCGCUUCUUAAAAGCCAACACCAGAUGCAAAUUGCAAAGGGAGGCACAGUGAUCGACCCGUUUCAUUCUAAUGAUCCCAUUCCUACAUUGUACACCAUUCACCCCACUUCCAAAAGCAGCCAGACUCGAAUUAGUAUGGCCACGAAUCAAGAUCAAUCAAAGAUCUAACCUCCUCGAUGGAAGAUUUCUUGUUCUUCCAUUAGCCAGUUGGGACAAUUAAUGAUUCUUCUAUGGAUAUCAGCCCAAGAAAAAAAAUUUGGAAUGUAAAGAAAAUGCAACCACACAAUUUCAUCGAAAACAAUGAAAAUGGCAAUUGGGAUAUUGAAAAGGAAAAAACCAAAGUAGGGACAGGCAAGAGAAAGAUCAAAGAAAUGAACUAGGUCAGCAUUGAAAGAUCUAUUAACAUGUUAUCAACAAGUCAAACUAGUCCCAAUCUACUAUCAUCGGAGCGCCAAACCAACCCUGAUCAAUCAAAGUACUUACAUCAAACCCAACCCAAUCACCGAUCGGCGGCCACCACUUUAGAUCUCCCUCAACUUUACCUCGAAUCACAGCAGGAACGAUGGCUUCUGGCGUCUGGUUGCAGCAGCGGUGGAGUAGAGGAGGACCUAACAGCAGGGGCGUUAGGGCUUCUGGUGCGAGCAGAGGCGGUGGGUCACGAGCGGAGACGAGCUCGGCUCAGAUCUACCUGCGUUAGGUAGUCGCGGCGGGCAAGAGUCAGAGUGGCGUCGGUGACAGGCAGAGGUAGAGCACGGUAGCGACGGGCGUCGAGCGGCGAGGGUUUGUGCCAGCGACGUCGGCAACUGGCGUCCAGCGGCGUCCGACGGCGGUGGCCUUGAGGGCGAGCGGUGUCCGGCGGCGAGACUCGGAGCGGCGUCCGGCGAGACUUUGAAAUUCUGAAUACUGAAAGUGAAAGGGACUCAGGAGCGCCGAGCGGGGGAGGGGGCUCCUUUUAGAACCCUAACCGGUUCUGAAACUGGUGCCGCGACCAGUUCCGAAACCAGAACCGGAAUGGCCAGUUCCAGGAAAAAUGGAACUCAGAAUCGGAACUGGUCCUUUAAGAACCGGGAACUGCGCUCACCCCUACCUGGUGCAUGUACACCUUGGAAUUCUCAAUUGGCUAGUCGUAAAUGGCCCCAGCUUAGGACUAUGAAACCAAUGGUUAUCCCAAACCUACACCGAGAUGUAGGCGGUGAUUCUCAUAUAUUGAAAAAUAGGAUGUGAUACGAUGAAAUAUGAUGCAAUGGAGAUAGACACUGAAAAUGAAUGGAUUGUUUUUUUUUUUUUUCUUGUAGCAAAGUUUGGAUUAGUUGCGCAAAUACUUGUACGAUAUGAGACACCUGAUUAUAGAACAAAGUCACUUUGGCUUUUCCCUUUUUAUGCUUUGCCCUCUGACUAAUUUAAAGAUGUUGCCAAAAGUCAUGUAAAAAUGUGAAGUUCUGCUCUUUUCAUGGCUAUAUUUGAUGUGAAGAACUAACGAAUCGAGCACCUAUGACACCGCUGUUCUAGUGUGUCUUUUUUUUUUUUAAUGAAAAAAUUACAGCAUGUGUUUGACGACUCAAAGUCUAAGGGGAUAAACUUCUGGUGGAGGACCGAGAAAAACAAUCGGGUGAAGAAAUUAUUGCACACUUCACAAACUAUACAAAUCAAUAUCAUCUCAUUCAUUAAUCAAAUAGAUCUCAUUAUGAGUUUGGAUGUGUGAAUUAUUGAACAAAAUUUCGAUGUGUAACUUAUAGUCCAUAUGAUAACUUUUCAUAUGAAGUGGAGUUACAGCCUUGAUCGGGCAACGGAAAUUCACACUAUCGUCCACAAUCAAGUCCACAAAAAUUUAUUUCAGAGUCGACCCAGCUAAGGUAAAAGAGAUCCGUAGCCAAUUCAUUUCUCUUUUUGAGUAUUGUAAAAUGUCGGAAAAAUAACUUUAAAGUAAUCGUCUGUCUUGGAUGCGCAAAUAAAAAAAACUACUUGUCUUAAUCCUUGUGCGGGUCUAUCUUUAUCUAUAUCUCUUUUAUGGUCCCAUGACUCGUGUCUGAAAAACGUAAAAAACAGCAUGUCCCUAACUAAUCAGGAUGAUGAAACCAAGAAGUAGAAUCGCACCCGUAAUGUCGAAAACCAAGUUUUGCGAACAAAUUCUGAUAAAAACAUUUUCCUUAUUUUUCAACAUGUGGAUCAUUUAAGAAAAUGAGUCAACGGAAGACAUUUUCAUGGUCAAUAAAAAAUCUAUGCUUGAAUUCAAAAAAUAAUAAAUUUCUUUUUAUAAAAUCGAAAAUCAUUUUUCACAAUAUAACUAUACCAAUAUUUGGACUAGAAACCAUGAGUUUAAGUAUGCAAAGCCUAACGCUCAUUCUUAGGUCCCUAAUAUCCAGAAUCAAGUCUUCAGCACCUAGUUUGGGACCCCGAUGUUGGUGCCUAGGUCUCCAACACCAAUGCAUGAGUCCAUCGAAACCAGGGCUAGGACAUUAGCGCGCAUGCUCGAAUACUUCAACGGGGCCUCAUGCUUGUAUUUGAGGUACCGCACUUGACCUCACGUACCCAAGCACUGUGUUCUUGAUUUUGGCUUCUAUGGAUGCAAGAUCAAUGCCAAUGCUCUUCCUCAGGUCGAGUCCAUUAAGACUUGACUCAGGAUUCUAGUACUUGUGCUUAGUCUUCAACUCUUGUGCAAAUUACUAACACCCGAAUAGUAUGUAUCUCUAAAAAUAUUAGAUCAAAUUUUCCUUUCAAAAUGGUGAAAUAUAUUUUUCAAUUCUUAUUUAGGUCUUAAUUAAAUAUCAUUGUUAUUUUCUAGGAAAUGACAUCGUGGACACUAUUUUUUCAAAAAUGUAUUAUUUUUUACGACAUAAACUAUGUCUAGAGCUUGAGACGAGAAAUGAAUUUUCUAGAUGUAGAUAUAAAGAAAAGAUUUGGAUUUGACGUCUUGCUGAAGGGGGUGAACUUAUUACACUCGUGGUCUUGAUUUUUCGCAAUUGCUCAUCAUCUUUUCCUAAUAUGUACACUUGAAAGGUUCCAAUUCUUCGAGAGUCAUAUAAAUCAUCUUUUUUAUCUAUAUAACUAUUAUGGAAUUACUUUUCAGUUCAAUCAACAUUGUUUUGUUAUACUAAUUAAUAAGUCCAAAAAGGUAUUUUGCUUUUUCUAUUCCAUAUUUUGCUGCAUUGAGAGUUGAUUGCACUAUAAUUGACACGUGGUGUCUAUUAUUAUCAUUAUUAGUUCCCGGCCUCACCAACUGUUGGAAGGUGGCGAUUGAUUUUCAUUUUUCCUUUUUUUCUUUAUGGUCAACGCUGGCGAUCGAUUUCGCACUGCACGUUGGAUAUUCCAACACGCGUUGUCUGCCGUUUCUGUGCUUCCGUCGGAUCGACCAUGGGCCGGGCCGGGCCGGGUUCACGGGCCGAAAGGAGGCCUUGGGCUCCCCCAAGAAUGCUGACCCACGCGGUCGUUGACUUUGUUUUUCUUGUUUCUCUUUUUUAUUCCGUCUAACAGCAUAUGAUAAAGAUUUCCGUAAAAUAGAAUACUAGUAUUAGGCAGGUACGGGUAGUUGGUUUGCUGAGCUGGGUCUACAGGGACUCGCUCGUCCAGGCUCAUUUCACUUUGAUACAAGUAUUCCCACCAUGGCGUGUUUUAUAUGUCGCAUAACCUAAGACGUCUCCAUGUGGCCAGGAGCUACUACGCAUUAGGAAGGGGACACCGGCUAAUAUCCUAAUCACGUGAGUUAUCGACCAGUGACCGAACUUUUUUAUUGGGUUAAAAAAAUUUCUUCAUUUAUUAUAAUCAAACACGAGAGAAACAUAGAAAGCUUCCAAGCAAAAUAAAUCCUUAAAGGGCUGCAAAACUAAACGAAAUCCUCAAAAAACAAAAAAAGUAGGGCUUGUAAUUCUAAGCAUGCUCUCUUCUCAAAAGAUCAAAUCUAUUAUAGAAUCCAAAAAUAAUUGACGGCCGAUCACUGAAAUCAUCAGUGAUGGGUAUAUGCUGAAAUCUUUUCUUCCAAAAAUAAUGGCCUGUACUAUGCACCUAGAUUCGACAUUCUCAAUACUAUCAUCAUAUGGAAACAACAAUGAUAACGCACAACAAAUUGAAUUCUUUUAAAAAACUCCAAGAACUAGAUUUAGACUAAAAGAGAAAUGCUUUCAAAUUUAGAUCUAUGCCUAAAUAAAGAGAGGAAAGUUUUCACCGAAUCUUGGAAAAGUCAUAGAACCACGUCUUGCACAUCUUGCUGGCUNNNNNNNNNNNNNNNNNNNNNNNNNNNNNNNNNNNNNNNNNNNNNNNNNNNNNNNNNNNNNNNNNNNNNNNNNNNNNNNNNNNNNNNNNNNNNNNNNNNNNNNNNNNNNNNNNNNNNNNNNNNNNNNNNNGAAGGUUUUACUCCAACAAACAUUGGCUAGUUCUAUGGACGUGUCGGAUUAUUACUAAUGUUAAAAGGAAGGGAAGUUCGAUGUGGGAGCAAGAACGAUAUUUUUCGAGUGUACGACCAUGACAUGUUUACUAGGAGAAAUCUUUACUGAAGUAACAUAAAAAGAAGCCCCCUUAAUCCUCCUCAUGACCAAAAGAAAAAAGUAAGAAUCCUCCUUUAAUCUCAGUGAUUUAAGAAUUCUCCUCUAAUCUCAAUGAUUUGGAAGAUUGACUGUUGCUAGACUUAGAACUAGGGAGGACCAAGUCAGUUAUAUGCAGGUAUGUCUUCUCACAGUAAGCGAACAACUUAGUUCAAGCCUUUUAGGGACAGCCUUUUAGCAAAAAACCACUAUGCCAUUUAGUUCAGAGCCUAGAAACACCCAGAUGGAACCAGAAUGGAAAUAUUUCUAACUAUUCGAGUUGCAUUUCUCAGAGGAUCUUACCAAGCUGGAGAAGAAGAGGGAGUUUAGAAAACCAUGAGAAUUUAACAAAACACUCACUUUAUUUCAGGGACUUUGCCCAACACAAUACAUCCUCCCCGCUUUUUAUAGACAAUAAGAUGUUACAAACAAACAAGGACCAAGCUCAUGGGUCCGGGAACAAACACAGGCUUCCGAAAAUCUCGGUAGGGAAUUAUUCGCACGGUAUGAACAACGAAAAUGAACAGUGACUUCUCUAGCCUAUUGCUAUAGUAAACUUGUACAAAUAGUGAUCUUGUUCAGUGGUCUCGUCCGUCACGAGUAUUAUAGUCAUAGUCUGAGUCAUCUGAGCUGUGGACUGUUGCCAAAAUAUGUUCAUCAUAUUUUUGUUCAAGAGCUUCAAAGUCUUCUGAUGUGAGGAUCUGGUUCAACUGGUGUGUUGUCGAUGCUGAUGCUUUCUCAUGAGCCCAGUGAGAUGCUUCUUCCUGGGCCUAGUUUGUAUUGUCAUCAUUUGUAGUGUCAAGAGGAAUGCUUGGCUGUGGCCAAUUUGAUGGCUGUGCAUAAAAAGAUGUAUCCAUGUUCUUCGAUGAUAAGGACAAGGAUUCUUGGCUGUAAGGGUCUUGGGAAAGAGGACCUCCCCAUCUAGCAUAGGGGUCUUGAGAGGUUUGUGCAUGUUCCUCUGAUGAUGCAGCUUGUCUGAAUUCUUCCAGUGCUUCCUUAGCAUAUGAUGCUAGGUCAUAAUGAUCCCAUGCAGUGGGUACAUUAUAAUUCCAUGCAUCUAGUGGAAUGGUUUUAUUUUCCUGGCAUAGGAUUCUCUGGAGUUCUUGAUACUGGUGUUCGCAGUAACCAAUAGAUCCUGGAUAAGAUUUGUAAACUCGAGCCUCUACACUAUGUGGAACAGGUCUAUAAGAUGAGGUUCCUGUACUCAGGGGAGCUUUAAUGAUGUUACCAUUGUUAGUGAGAAAAGCUCAUGGUCUUUGGAAAAACAGGAUGGCGUGGAUUUUAGGGUUUGAUUGUGUAGUUCUCAAUUCUUUCUCCAAGAGCCAUUUCCAGUGAGUUGGAGGAUAAAAUCAAUUAAGAAAAUCUAAAAGAUUUUUGUCACUUUCAUUUUCAAUCUUACCUCUGCCGAGUUUGAAUAUCCUGGUGAGGUUGACAAUGAAUCUUCUGGUUGGAAUUUCAAUAGCUAUUAAGUGCUUAUUGAUUAAGUACCAUAAUAACCAUCGAAAUUGAUUAGGAAAAUCAUCUUCUUUCCAAAUCAAAGGAUGUAUGAAUGGAUAAUUUGCAUUUAGUCCAAAGGUAAAGAAUUGAACCUCCAUUGAGUUUGAACAAGUUUCCGUGGCAUUGCCACAUGAGUUUAUCCAGAUUUUCAGCAAGACUGUCCUUCUAGAUUUGUUCUAUGAUCUCUGGGGGGUAUCGCCAGCUUGGCUAGUCUUUUACUUUCUCAAUUUUGCACUUUUCAUUGUAAUGAGUAGUAUGAAAGACACGCCUCAUGAUAUACAUGUUGAUUUCUGCUGGGGCUUUUGGUCUUGACAAAAAGUCAGCAACCACAUUUUUCUUUCCAGUAAUGUGUUUGGUUUCAAAAGAAUAUUUUGAAAACCAUUCAGCUCAUCAAAGUAGUUGAGAAUUUGGAAUCUGCUUCUGUUUGAAUUUGGUUAUCUGAGGGAAAGAUGCCAUAUCCAAUUCUACUAAGAAGUGAAAACCAAUGAGAUGAAAUUCACACUUUUUUAUAUCAUUUUUUACUGCCAAGAGAUGAAAUUCAAACUUUUGUAUACAUUGAUUGGAGACACAUUCCCUUUCUUACACCUGCAACAUAUAUGUUACUUUAAGAGAUGGGCUUCAUUUUGUGAGCAUAAUUCAACAUGGAAUUCCACUUUAACCCCAACUUAAGAAAAUAAUUUCUGAAUCAAUUUAGUAAUUUAGACUUUUUUUGUUUCUCAAAAAAUAAAUAAUUUGAUAAAUAUUUUCCUAAAAAUAAUUGUUUAUAUCACUCGAAAUAAUUAUUUAAUAAGAAAUAUUUUUAUUAUUCAUAAUAACUUAUGUCUAGAUAUUUUUCGUGGAAGGUAAACAAAUUUUUAGUUCGUUUAUUUGUAUAAGCAAUAUAAAUAAUUAUUUUUAUGAAAUGUAUUUUAAAUCAUUAUCUUAAUCAAAGAUACACUCCCUUUACAUUUGUGCUAUAGUUGCAUCUUCACUCUCGAUUGUAUUAAUUAAUCAUCUGAGCCAAAAGUAAAGCAAAAUAUCUUUGUGCUCUAAAUAGGCAAUUAUAUUCUAAACAACUUUCAUCAGCCAACAUUUAGUUUUUCUCAUGGACCAAUGGCAUAUGUUUUUAUGGUCAUCGUAGUAAAAAAUUAGAUUGGAAAUUAGAACUCCUUUUGAAUAGAGGAGAUUAUGUAAAGCCAAAAGAAGCAACAUGGAUGGACCACUUUUCUUAGCCAUCGCAUCAACAAACAAACGGAGAAAAUGAUGGAGAUGCAAUCCUAUUUUGAUGACAACUUAGCAGUGUACUAUUGACGGCCAAUGGAAGCAUGUGAUCAUCAUCUUUUACUGAGACAAUGAAUGAUUAGAUAGCAUGUUGAUGACAUGGAAGUGACAAGCGGGACCUCCACUAGUGCACCUUUGAAUGGAGGAGAUUAUGUAAAGCCAAAAAGAAGCAAUAUGUACGGACCAUUUUUCUUAGCCAUCGCAUCAACAAAAAAACAGAUAAAAUUAUGGAGAUGCAAUCCUAUUUUGAUGAAAGCUUAGCAGUGGGCCAAUGAAAGCAUGUGGUCAUCGUCUUUUACUGAGAUAAUGAAUGAUUAGAUAGCCUCAUUGAUGACAUGGAAGUGACAAGCGAUACUUCCACUAGUGCACCUUUUGAGGAGGAGAUUAGGUAAAGCCAAUAGAAGCAACAUGUACGGACCAUUUUUCUUAGCCAUCGCAUCAACAAACAAAUGGAUAAAAUUAUGGAGAUGCAAUCCUAUUUUGAUGACAGCUUAGCAAUGUACUAUUGCCGGCCAACAGAAGCAUGUGAUCAUCGUCUUUUACUAAGACAAUGAAUGAUUAGACAGCCUCAUUGAUGACAUGAAAGCGACAAGCGAUCCUUCCGCUAGUGCAUCUACUUUCGGACAAGGAUGGAUUCCCAUUAUAUUAUUUCAUGCCUUGGCCUACAAUUAGGCGCAAGGGAGAGCAUUAAAUUCCACAAAUAAGCCUAUUGACAUUUCUCUAUCGGGUGCUUAAAUCAAAAGAAAAACAGCGUCAUCUUAUCAUGUCAUGCUGUCAUCAUUACACUUAAGUAGUCGAAAAUAAUUGAAACACCACGAUAGAUGAUUUCAAUGAGAUUUAGCUAAAAUGUUUUAUUGCAUUUUCCCUUGUAAGUUUAAGACUACGUUAUUUCAGUUAAAAAGUUUAUACCUUGAUAGGUUUGAAAUUUCGGUAUAACAAUUUUAGGAGAGAUUGUGCAAUUAUCUCAGAAAUAUGACAAUUCGGUUUUCUCAAUCUCGUGCUCGCACUCAACUCAAUACAAUAUAUAUACUCGCAUCAGACUUGAUCCAACUCUAAUAUUAAAAACUAAAGUGUAAAGCUUCGAACUCCAUCUCAAGUUCUCAUAAAAAAUUUCAAAAGUAAUGAUUUUUUUUUCUUUGUCCCUAGUAAAAUUCUUUAAAUUAUUAACAAGGCUCGCAAGUCACAUUACUGUAGUAUUACAAAAUUUGACACCUUCGACAUGUCCAAUCCAUAUUGUUAGGUCCAAAUACAUAAAAGAAGGGGUGAAGUGUUCUUUUUAUACAUAUAAAAACAUUUAUCUUUCUAGAACCAGCACCUUAUUUAAUUUUUUUAUGCAAUUAAACUGUUAAUUUGCAAUAAGAAACUUAUAGAGUUUAGGGAAAAAGAAAUUACACAAGCUAUUUAUAGAGUUUCAAUUAGGACAUGCUUUCUCUUCUAGCUCAAGCAGCCCCAUUAGAUUAAAAUUCACUACUUCAGCCAAUAGUGCAAUUGCCAAGAGCUUUGUAUUUCGCAGACUCGACUCCUCCUACGGCUAUCUUACUAUAGAUUAAAUAAUUAUUAGAUCUCUUUCAAUAGCCGUUCUCACACCUUUUGCACACAACACUGUAGACAUAUUCUCCCCCAAAAUUAUUUAACCACACUUCUAAGUGUUUACAAAUAAUCAUUCGCAUAUUUCGUCUCUUACCUAAACAAUUGCAUUCUCUUUAAGCACGACCACUUCUUCCGUGUGUAUACAAAUGAUUUCGGCACCCUUGCUAACUUUUAGGAUCAAAACUAAAUAGGUUAUAAUGAAGCAGCAAGGAGAUAGAUCUCAAGAACACUCAAUGUGUUUCGAUUUUUCUUGUUGCAAGCAUUCGAUCACAAGUUAUGUUUUACUCGUAGUUUGUCCUUAUAGGCCUCCAAAAACAACCCUCCUGUUUCAACCAUUCGAUUCAAGUUGAUCACAGAAUAAGUUUCAUUUCAUCACACAGAAAAGAGACAUUUGGAGGGGAUACUUAGAGAUCAUCAACAAUGAAAAAAUCAAAAUGAUAAGGAGAGUCAGCAGAUUUAGUCAUAAACUUUUUUUUGGCCAAUUUAGUCCUAAACCUUUUGUUUUUGUUCCAGUUCAGUCCAUCCGGCCAUGCAUAGUCGGAAAAAUCUGAUGUGGCAUUCUAGUCAACGCCAGUCGGCGUUGCCGACGCUGACAUGGCACCGGAGAGCAAAACGUCGUCGUUUUGCUUUAAAAAAAAAAGCCAAAGAGAAAAGGCAGAAGAGAAAAGGGCGUGAAGAGAAAAGGGCGUGGGGUUGGCUGGGUUCUUUCCCAAAAUCAAGUAGGGAACCCUAAAUUGAGAGGAUCUUCCCUUGAUUCAUGGUGCUUGACAUUGAUUCUUGGUGGAUGCCUCCAUUCAACACCUCCGUCGAAACCCUUUGGCCUCUGCUCGCCCAACGCCUCUGCUCGAUGCCUCCGUCCAACCCCUCCAGCCAAUGCUCGCCCAAUGCCUCUGUUCGAAGCCUCCAUCCAAUCCUUCUGGCCGACGCUCGCUUGACGUCUCCAUCCGACGUGUGCGUCAGUCCGACGCCUCCGUCCGACACUCGACUCACCCAACAUCUUCAUCUGAUGCUCGCCCGACGCCUACAUUCGACGCUUGCUUAGAUUCGCCUGCUUGCUUGAUGCUCACUGAACGCCUUGAUUGUCUUCUUGAAAUUGCGGUGUUCUAUAUUUAUGUUGUCUUGAUUUCACUUGAAUUUUAUUUUAAAUUUUAUUGACAUGGGUUUGUCGCAAUAAUGGGUUUGUGGUUGUUGAACUGGAUGGCUGGGCAAAUUGCUGACAUGAGUUUGUGGAUGGUCUCACGUAGAAUGUCUCUAUCUCGCCUAGAAUUUUUGGUAUUGUUGCUGCUUUUGGCUCAUUUGGGAAGAAUAUAUUGCUUUGAGUUGCUACUUUUGGCUCAUUUGGGAAGACUAUAUUACUUUUGAGUUGUUGCCUUUGGUUUAGAUUGACAAAGUUUGUUAGGUAUAUGGAGUUCCUAAUAUACUUCUCGCUCAUAUUUUCCAAAGCUCGUUUAGAUCACCUAAAUCUCAUUGCAAUUGCAGCAAUUUUGGCCUGCCUAUGUUGUGGAUUUUAUAUUAUACUUGGAGGGAUUUUGUAUAUAUCAUCCAUGAGCACAGAUGUCAUAUGAUCUGAUCAUGUUUUGAAUUCAAUCUGCAUUAGCUCCUUCCAGACCCAGAUGUCAUAUGAUCUGAUCAUGUUUUGAAUUCCUGAUAUUGAUGCAGUCAUUCUUAUAAGAAGAUUGAGAGCACAAUUAUUCUUUUAUUGUUGGUAUCUGACUAUGCUUUUUGUUGUGCUGAUCAUGUCCGCUGACUGAUGUUUUCAGUUGGUUGGCCGGCUCGACAACAGUGCUGUCUCAUCAGCCGGUGCCAAGUUGGCAUUCAAGUCCAAUGAAGAAAUAGAACUUCAAGUAAGGUCCAUCCCACUAGACGAAGUGAUACCAGAGUCAGAACCUGUUCUUCUCGUCAAAAUAGAUGUUCAAGGCUGGGAGCAUCAUGUUAUGAAGGGGGCUGUGAAGUUGCCGUCAAGAGAGGUAGGCAAGGCACCGUAUUUGAUUUAUGAGGAGGAUGAACGGUUGUUGCAGGCAAGUAACAGUGGUUCUAAAGAGAUUUGAGAAUUUCGUCACUCUGUUGGGUAUCGUCAUUGCACCUAGCAUGGUACAGACGCAAACUGCACCAAGAACAGCUGAUAGUGGAUUAAUUUACCUUAACCUUGUUGAUGUAAGAUCACCGAGUCAAGCAUGAAAAGGGACAAUUCUUUAGCAGACUCCUUUGUGAGAGUUUUGCCUACCCUUAGACAGAACUUCCACUUAGUUCUAGAUGGAGAAUUAGAUUUGGAAUUGUAAUGAGACACACUGUCCAUUGAAGGAGCCAGUUAUUGAGCAAGUGAGGAAGCACAGAUACAUUAUGGUUUUCUCUUGGAGUAUAGUUAGGGUUGUAUCUAUCGCCAUUAGAUCUGCCACACCCAAUUUGUUAUUAUGUUUAUUUAUUGCAAUUCAUGCUUUGUAUUUGUAGCAAAUGACCUUGUGAUUUGCGAGUGAAUGCAGAAUAAGUUAUCGACCAGAACUUACAGAGGCAUAUUCAAUACCUUUUCACUUGUAGUCUUGUUUUUCCUGUUCUUUUUUUUUUCUUUAAAGCUUUUGGAAAUAAAUUCGUAUGUGCUCCCGUACUCAAAAUUAUUCCAUCAAACUUUGCACGCAUCUAGUUUAAAACCUCAUUGUUUUAUUGGGAAAAUAAAAUUAUGCAUCCAAACCCGACACUUCAUUUUUUUUUUUAUUUCUUGCCCAAUAACCCUUUUUGAAAUAAACUUGGCCAACUUUUUUUUUUCUUUAAAACUUUCGGAAAUAAAUUCUUAUGUGCUCCCGUACUCAAAAUUAUUCCAUCAAAUUUUGCACGCAUCUAGUUUAAAACCUCAUUGUCUUAUUGGGAAAAUAAAAUUUGGUAUCCAAAUCCGACACCUCAUUUUUUUUUAUUUCUUGCCCAACAACCCUUUUCGAAAUAAACUUGGCCAACUUUUUUUUUCUUUAAAACUUUCGGAAAUAAAUUCGUACGUGCUCCCGUACUCAAAAUUAUUCCAUCAAACUUUGCACGCACCUAGUUUAAAACCUCAUUGUUUUAUUGAGCAAAUAAAAUUUGGCAUCCAAACCCGAAACUUCAUUUUUUUUUCUAUUUCUUUCCUAACAAUCUUUGUAGAAAGGGUUAAUACCUUAAAAAACCAUAAACUGGUACACUUGUGACAAAUUUACCCCAAACUAUUUUUUUGACCAUGAAAAACCCCAAACUGGUACACCUGUGACAAAUUUACCCUGACUAACUAUAAAAAAUCCUAAACUGGUACAUUUAUGACAAAUUUACCCCAAAAUUAAUUUAUCCGACCACAAAAAAUCCCAAAUUGAUAAAUUUGUGACUAAUAUACCCUCCGAAAAAUUAGAUUAAUACCACAAAAAAUCACAAAAAUUAUAAACUAUGACAAACAGAGUGUAAAAUCACAAAUUGAUAUACCGGUCAAUUGUCACGUGUUAUUUAACUAACUAAAACUAACAGAUGGUAAAUUUGUCACAAGUGUACCCGUUUAGGGUAAAUUUGUCAAAGGUAUACUAGUUUUGGGUUUUUGGUGGUCAAAAAAAUAGUUUGGGGUAAAUUUGUCACAGGUGUACCAAUUUGGAGUUUUUCAAGGUAUUAACCCUUGUAGAAAUAAACUUGGCCAACUAUUCCUUUUUUUUUCUUUAAAGCUUUCGGAAAUAAAUUCGUAUGUGCUCCCGUACUCAAAAUUAUUCCAUCAAAUUUUGCACGCAUCUAGUUUAAAACCUCACUGUUUUAUUGGGAAAAUAAAAUUUGGCAUCCAAACCUGAGACCUCAUUUUUUUUUUAAUUUCUUGCCCAACAACCAUUUUCGAAAUAAACUUGGCCAACUUUUUUUUUUUCUUUAAAGCUUUCGGAAAUAAAUUCGUAUGUGCUCCCAUACUCAAAAUUAUUCCAUCAAACUUUGCACGCACCUAGUUUAAAACCUCAUUAUCUUAUUGAGAAAAUAACUUUUUGCGUCCAAACCCGACACUUCAUUUUUUUUUUUCUAUUUCUCCCUUUUAGAAAUAAACUUGGCCAACUUUUUUUUUUCUUUAAAGCUCUCAGAAAUAAAUUCGUAUGUGCUCCCGUACUCAAAAUUAUUCCAUCAAACUUUGCAUGCACUUAGUUUAAAACCUCAUUAUCUUAUUGGGAAAAUAAAAUUUGGCAUCCAAACUUGACACCUCAUUUUUUUUUUUAAUUUCUUGCCCAACAACCAUUUUUGAAAUAAACUUGGCCAACUUUUUUUUUUGCUUUAAAGCUUUCGGAAAUAAAUUCAUAUGUACUCCCGUACUCAAAAUUAUUCUAUCAAACUUUGCACGCACCUAGUUUAAAAUCUCAUCGUCUUAUUGUGAAAAUAAAAUUUGGCAUCCAAACCCGACACCUCACUUUUUUUUUUUAAUUUCUUGCCCAACAACCCUUUUUGAAAUAAACUUGGCCAACUUUUUUUUUCUUUAAAGCUUUUGGAAAUAAAUUCGUACGUGCUCCCAUACUCAAAAUUAUUCCAUCAAACUUUGCACGCACCUAGUUUAAAACUUCAUUGUUUUAUUGAGCAAAUAAAAUUUGGCAUCCAAACCCGACACUUCUUUUUUUGUUUUUUCUAUUUCUUGCCCAACAACACUUUUAGAAAUAAACUGGGCCAACUAUUUUUUUUUUUAGGGUUAAUAUCCUGAAAAACUCUAAAUUGGUACACUUAUAAUAAAUUUACCCCAAAUUAUUUUUUUGACCACCAAAAACCCCAAACUGGUAUACCUUUGACAAAUUUACCCCGAACUGGUAUACUUGUGACAAAUUUACCAUUUGUUAGUUUUCGUUAAAUUUUACUGUCAAAUUAUUAAGUUAAAUUACAUGUGAUAGUUUACUAGUAUAUCGACUUAGGAUUUUACGCAUCGUUGUCACAAUUUACAAUUUUUGUGAUUUUUUUGUUGUAUUAAUCUAAUUUAGCGGAGGGUAUAUUUGUCACAAAUUUAUCAGUUUGGGGUUUUUUGCGGUUGAAUAAAUUAGUUUAGGGUAAAUUUGUCGUAAAUAUACCAGUUUAGAGUUUUUUUAUAGUCAGUCGGAGUAAAUUUGUCACAAGUGUAUCAGUUUGGGGUUUUUCAUGGUCAAAAAAAUAGUUUGGGGUAAAUUUAUCACAGGUGUACCAGUUUAGAGUUUUUUUUAGAGUAUUAACCCUUUUUUUUUAUUAAAGCUCUCGGAAAUAAAUUCGUAUGUGCUCCCAUAUUCAAAAUUAUUCCAUCAAACUUUGCAUGCACCUAAUUUAAAACCCCAUCGUCUUAUUGAGAAAAUAAAAUUUGUCAUCCAAACCCGACACCUCAUUUUUUUUUUUAAUUUCUUGCCCAACAAUCCUUUUUGAAAUAAACUUGGCCAACUUUUGUUUCUUUAAAGCUUUCGGAAAUAAAUUCGUACGUGCUCUGUACUCAAAAUUAUUCCAUCAAACUUUGCACGCACCUAGUUUAAAACCUCAUUAUUUUAUUGAGCAAAUAAAAUUUGGUAUCUAAACUCGAUACUUCAUUUUUUUUUUCUAUUUCUUGCCCAACAACCAUUUUUUAAAUAAACUUGGCCAACUAUUCUUUUUUUUUUCUUUAAAACUUUUGGAAAUAAAUUCGUAUGUGCUCAGCUACAAGUUUUUUUUUUUUGUUUUCUCGGGAGAAUGUUUUCGUUUUUUCUUUUAAAUUGAAAUGGACUUUUUUGUGGGGCGCUCACAAUUGCACCACAUCCCGGAAAAGUACUCAUCCAUUAACUAUAAAAGAGCAAAUGAUAGCAUACACAAUCUCAUUACUUCACGAACAAACACUAGCUAUACAUUAUUCAAGUGAAAAAUAGAUGAAUAAACCCAUUUUACUAUAGCAAGAUGGUUCAAAAGCACGUCAUCUCACUAAUCCCAACCGUUAUACAAAUGGCCAUAUAAGACAAAUAAAAAAGAUACAUCCACAACCCUACUUCAUUGAUGCCAUCAUCAAUGAAAAGAACAAAUUGAUCAAAACCACUUCACCGAACCCAUUAUCACAAAAGAUAUUCCCAAAUGUUGUCACUUUUGUCUCUUCAAAUAACUUCUAACGCUUGUGCUCUUGACAUUAUUAAGAGGAUCCAUACUAGUAGAGCCACCAGCACUGCCACUUGCAUUUUUAUUUGUACGUCUCUGAACCUACAAAGAAUAUAUUCUUUUAAAGUAUUAUCGACAAAACGAACAUGACAUAAUAGAAAUGGAAGUACUAACCAAAUUUUUUUGUCUUGAAAAUUGUGUUUAGGAAGAUGUAGACCUAAUCUUUUUAAUUGGACAAGUUGAACUAUUGUGUCCCGUCUUCAAGCAAGUUCGACAUGUCAUCUUCAUUCCUAUCCUUGACAUCCUAAUUCCACUUGCCACCUCACCUUCUUCUCUUGAUCUUUUCUGUUUACGUCUACCACGCUUCACCCGGGAUGGAAGUGGUUCAGGCGACUCCCCAUGAGUCUUUUUCCAAAAUCUCUCUCCUCGAAUUGGCAUCAUCAUGUUUUCAUAUGUAGCUAAAAACUUGGCUUUCUUAUAACAUUCAUCAAUAUAAUUAUAUGCAUCCUCUUGCCUAUGAUUUAUAGCAGAAAUUGCAUGAGGACAAGGGAUGCCAGUAAGUUGCCAUUUUCUACAAGAGCAAUCUUUCUUGAAUACAUCCACUACAUAUUUGUCACCUUUAUCCAUUACCUCAUAUCUAACAUUACCAUUCCAUAUCACUUGACAGUAUAUUGCACCAAUUCUAUUUUCUUCUAGUUUUUUUAUGAUUCUUGGACCACAAUUUCUUUUCCACUUAGCACAUGCAUCCCUCUGUCUAUGCAUCCUUGUUAUUAUCAUUAUCCACAUUUCCUCCAACAUACUAUAUAUAGACUUACACUUAGCAUGUAUAAUUUUUCCAUUGAAUGCUUCGCAUAAGUUAUUGUCAACAAUGUCACAUUUCACAUCAGUAUUAAAGAAAGCCUUACACCAGUGUUUUGGCUUUGUUUGCACCAAAUCAUGAUAUGCACAAGGACUAAUUUUCUUCAAUGCCUGAAAGUGUUCAUCAUACUCCGUCCUAGUAUUGCUCUUAGCACACUGCCAAAAUAGUCUUUGCAUUUGUAUUCCCUUAUGUUUCUUGCCCCAAUUAGCAUAGAUGUGUCUAGCACACAUCCUAUGCUUAGCUGCAGGCAGUAAAUCAGCCACAGCUCCUAUAAGGCCCUGCAAAAAAUGAUUGCAAUGUAAAACAUAUCUUAUAAAUGUGGCUAUUUAAGAAGUAUAACAAAUAAAAAUUAAUUAAAGAACUCACCUUUUGUUUGUCGCUAAUUAUGACCCAACCUCGUCCAUAUGUGUCAAAAAUAUUAAGAUAAUACAUCAAAUUUCUUAAGAACCACGUCCAGGUGUCGCUACUCUCAACUCUGACAACCGCCCAAGCAAUUGGGAACAUCUGAUCAUUUGCAUCCCUUCCAAUAGCACAUAAGAUCUGACAUUAACAAAUUCCUUUCAAGAAACAACCAUUUAACCCCACAACUUGCCUACAUCCACUAAGGAACCCUUUCUUACAAGUAGCAAAGCAAAUAUACAUUCUUUCAAACAACGCCUUGGAGUGCAUAUCUGGCUUUUCAACCUUCAAUGUAAUAGUACUCCCAGGAUUUUUCUCCCUAAGCUCCUCUGCAUUAUCCCACAGUUUUACAUAUUCCUUCUUAUAGUUUCCCAUCAACACUUUAUAAGCAAACGACUUAGCCUUCGUACAUUGAGCUAUGCUUACAUCUAAACCCAACUAUUCCUUGAUUAAUUCCUUGAAAGCAAUAGUUUAAAUAGUUGGCAUUGCUUUUAUUGUAGGAAGAUAAUGAUUUGCUAACCAAGAACUUGUCACCCUCCUAUUUUUGAAGCAAAUGCUACAAGUAUGCUCUGAAUGUAAGGUCUUGACAUGAAAUGAUUCGGAACGAGCAUCAACAGAGCCAAAAAUCUUCCAAGGACAACUCUCAUUAACACAUUUUGCUCUAACAAACUUCUUAUCAUUCUUUGUAAAUUUUAUCUCUCUACGUUCAGUCACUGAGUACUUUUUCAAAACAUCUUUGAAUUGGCUACUACUAUCAAAUGUCAUAGCCACAGUAAAUACAUGCACAACACAAUUAGGAUUAUAUCUUGGAAACCUACUUCUCUUUCUAGUAAAAUCAUCUUCUCCCUCUACAUCAGACCCCAAAUUGUCAUAGGCAUAUGUAUCAUAAUAUUCCGUCUCGUAACCAGCUUUAGCAUCAACUCCACUAUUCACAUCUAAUGGUUGAGAUGUACUAAUGCUGUGGAUGGUUCCCCUAUAAUUAGAUUCUUUGUAACCCUCCCACGAAACUCAAUUAUAUUCUGCCUUGCUUCUAGAAGCUCUUCAUUAUCAAUAUCAUCAUCAUCAGUCCAAAAUUUUACAUCGCCAAGAAAAUUUGUCUCAUCAUCAUUGUCAUCAUCCAAAAUAUCCCCCCUAUGUCAAUAAAAUUACAUUCAUCAACUAAGUCAUUAGGAUCUAAGUCAUCCUCGUGCUCAAUAAUUGUCUCAUUUCCUAAACCAAUAUCAUUGCGAGCACCCACACUAAUCCCUUGACCAACACUCUCACUUGGGCAAGCAUCCUCACCCUCACCACCCCCAUGACCAAAACCCUCACUUGGACUAGCACCCACACCCACACCAACCCCUUGACCAUCACCUUUAACAGCCUCAUCGAUUGCAAAAUUUUCUCCAUAUAUCUCAAUUAACUCACGAUGCAAAUAACUAAAAAGUAAAUCAAUGACAUUACUCUCAUUCCAUAUAUAUCUCAACCCAUCUUCUAGAAACUUUCCAAGAAACUUAAAAUAAAGUUUUUCAAAUUUAUAAUUACCCCAUUCUCAAUAUCUCUAAUGAAGCUUUCAUAGCUCCUUGAACCGAUAACCAAAUCAAUCUUACCCCCAACAUAUUCAAGCAUUGGGCGACGGUAAAAAUUUCCACCAUGGAAAAGGCAAGCCCAUGCCGACUUGUCGCUCAUCUCAACCCUAUACAAAAGAACACAAUAUAUGUUGUAAGAAGCCACAUAAUGGAGAUUUUAACAUGAAUGGCCAAAAGUGCUAAAUAAAUAUAAAGAGUUUGACUUGAGCAUAAGUGCAAAAUCCUUCCCGUCUCAUAAUUACAAGUGAAAUUUCUCUCUAAUUUAUAGGAAUUAACUAGUUCAAUUAAUAUCUAGUACCUAUGAUACGAGAAUUCAAGGUGAAUAGUGGCAUAAAAUUAGUUUGCUUUCAAGUUAGAUAUUUGGUUUGUAUAGCUACUUGAAGCCGAUGCCAAAAAUCUUAGGGCUGAUAAAAGAAAUUUUUCUCCCAUAGUAGAUGUGAUCUUGUUUUUUUGCAACUAAUGAAGGAGAACAAAAACCAUGAUGCUAGGUUCUUUGUAUAUAGAUAUAGCAGGUCAAUGUAUUACAAGUAGCAUGGCUCACAAGGCUUUAAUUUUAGAAUGUUACUUCAUAUUAUCUCAAUUCUUUCCUACCAUCACUUCCAUGGAUAUCGUCUUUUGGCUUUUCAGGAUUUUUGACAAUAGUUUCAUUGUUUAGGUGGCUGAAGAGUGUACUUCUAUGCUUAAACUUUGAUGUUAAUUUGCUCAGAAUCACUGAUCUACUUUCAGUUUAAAACCAAACGGUUGGUUUGUUCAACGCAUGCGGAGAAAUAAGAUAAUUUGGGAACACGCCAAAGACAAACAUGGAGACAAAACAUAGUUUAGGACCACGACAAUAUACCUUUCGACAGAUUUUAAUUGACUUCACGACCACCCACCACGUAGCUCACCACUUGCCGACAACACAAUCAAAUUGGGACCACCUCACUUGCUUGUGUUUGCUGUGGAUGAACAAAUCGGGUCAAGUUGUGGGCGAAUUGAGUCUUCAGGUCUUCGAGUCUCUCGUCUUCUCAAUUGUAGCAACGAACGAAUUGGGUCAAGUUGUGGCCGAAUCAGGUCUUUGGGUCUUAUGGUCUUCUCAAUUCGGGCAAGAAGCGACGAACAAUGGUGUUGGCCAAAAACGGGCUUGAUUCACGAAGGAUAUUGAGGAAAUUGCAAUAUGAGAUCAAAUCAACUCAAAAUCUACAAGAAUUUCGGAGGAGAUCUCACUAGGGUUUUUUAGAUGAUUUUGGAAAGAAGCAAGGAGCAGCUGCAUGACUUUUCUCUUAUGACUUUUCUCUUUGGCUUUUAUUUUUUUUAAAGCAAAACGACGACGUUUUGCUCUCCGGUGCCAUGUCAGCGUCGGCAAUGCCGACCGGCGCUGACUAGAAUGCCACAUUAGAUUUUUCCGACUAUGCAUGGCUGGAUGGACUGAACUGGAACAAAAACAAAAGGUUUAGGAAUAAAUUGGAAAAAAAAAGUUUAUGACUGAAUUGGCACAAUUGCAAUAGGUUUAGGACUUUUUUGGUAAUUUUCCCAAAAAAGAGACAUUUGGAGGGGGUACUUAGAGAUCAUCAACAAAUGAAAAUAAUCAAAAUGAUAAGGAGAGUGAGAAGAAGUUGGUAAGUUUAUAAAUUGACUUAUUAUAGUGUUUGCAAUUUAUUUAUGAUGCUUAUAAAAUUUCCAAAGAUUUGGUUAUUCUUUAAUUCAUUUCAAAGUUGGUAAAUUUCUAACGGCAUUGAUAAGUUAUUGAUAGGUUAUUUGGCAAUCAAAUUGAUGGUCAUGCUUUUCUUUUAUCGACUGUACUAGAUGUUAAUGUUGGCUGGGUUUGGCUAUGUGGGGCCCGAUUAACGUUAAUAAAUAAAAGAAAAGGCCAAAAAGUCAAAAAUGCAAUAAAGGAAAAGAAAGGCGGGCUGCUCGUUCGGAGAAGACAGGAAAUGGGCUGCCAAAUAUCGUCGGAGUCGACUCAAAUUUCAAUAUUUUGUUAUAAGACCAAGACAGAUGAGUCGAGAUAGGUGCGUCCAUCAGUUUCAUUUGUCAAUCCGUUUUGUUCAUUGAACACUUUUUCUAAAUUAUCUCAAAUUUCUCCAAUUGUGACUAGGGUUUCUUACUUCAUAUAUAUUAAUCCGCUUUUACAGUGAUGAAAUGUCAUUAUAUUGUUGAUAUUGAUCUCUAAUAUAUUACUAAAGAAGAACCUCUAUGCAUCUUACUAUUUUUUGUGGUUAGUGAAAGUUUUUGAAUUGUCCAUAAUUUUUUUCGCAUUGAAUUUUCCACAUAAACUUGUCGUCGUGUUUGCUUUCGUCUAUUUUUAUCAUUUUGGCAUUAUUUUUAUUCAUUACAAGAUUAUAUUGUAGGAAUAUAUUGCCUGUUAUUAUAGGGUUGAGUCGAUUUUGGUCCAGUUAAUCUUGGGAAGAAAUUGAUUUUACAUUAGGUUAAUUUUUGAUGAAUUGUUGCCGGUUCUCUCGAACUUUGUAUCAAUAAUUUUGGAAAUCCAUCAAGUAAGGGAAAUUUUCUGCAUUUUCCUUUCACUACCUUGCACUCAGUCCCGAAAGCUUGCGUCAGCCACAUCUUUGAUUUUUUGUAUCAUCGACCAAUAGCAUUUGAUUUUAUGGUCUUCGUUGUCGUGAAAAAGUAUGAUUUUUGUACCGAUCGCGUCCUCAUCGGCAUCUUUGAUUUUUUUGUCUCAUCGACCAAUAGCAUGUGAUUUCAUGGUCUCCGUCGUCGUGAAAGAUAUGAUUUCUGCCCCAGUCGUGUCCUUAUCGGCCCAAAGCAUUUUACUUGCUUUUCCCAGAAUUGCCCCAGUUAAUAACACUUCAAUUCGUGUUAUAUUAUGAUAUGAGAAAUGGAUAUUUACUGCGGGAUUCGUCCAAAUCGGUUUCGUCCAGGGGCACGAUAAGAAGAGAUGCUCCAAUAUUCCUUUUUUCAAACUUUCUUGCAAGAUUGAUUGCAGUUUUAUUUUUCAGGAGUCGUGCUUUGAUUGGAUAUGUUCAUGUUUCGGAGGAGGCUUGUGAAAUUUUGAAGACGACUCGCAUCACACUUGUCGACAUGCAGGGAUGGAACUAUUAGGGGUGAGCAUUGGUCCAGGGUUGACCCUAGACCGACUCUGGACCAGCCCAACCCUGUCGGUCCAGGUCCAAUUCCCAAGGAGACUAGUCGGUUGUUGGUCCUAGAAAUCCUAGACCAGCACUGUGUAGGUCAGUCCUCGGUCCUGAGAAUUUCGGGUCAGUCCAACCUAGACCAACCCGGACACUAUAUAUAUAAAAUAUUAUUUAUAAUUUUUUUAUAUAGAGAAAACCUUAAAAUAAAUGGCGUCAACAACAUUAAAUAAUUUUUUGGUGAGAAGUUCAAGUAAUUUUACAUUGUUCUUUAAUAAUUUAGGUUUUAAUGUCUUUUAUGGCGUCAAUAGCCAUAAUUUAUGAAGGAGGAAAAUAUUUUUGUGAGGAGUCCUCACGGCGUCCAAAAAGGAACCUUAUGUCAUCCUCCUCUAGUAUUCGUUAUCUUCUGUCUUAUUUGUCCUCUUAGUUUUCCAUUUGCUAAAAUCGAAAAAAAUUUCUCCACUCACCGCUCGACACUUGCCUCACUGGCUUUGGGUCACUCUUGCUGCUCGCUGCUCGAUACUUGCUUGGCUUGUUGUUCCCCACUCGACAUUCGAUGCUCAUUCUGUUCGAUGCUCACCCCAUUUGACUCUCACUGCUUGCCUUUCUUAGUUGACCUUGUCCAUUAUCGAACCCAUUGGGUCGGUACAUUCAAUGAUCAUUCUGUUCGGCGCUCACCCCAUUUGACCCUCACCGCUUGCCUUUCUUAGCUGGCCUUGUUCAUUAUCAAACCCAUUGGGUCGGUACGGUCCUUGGUUGCCCUUUCAAGGAAUACAAAAAAUGAAAUAAAAAAUUAUUGGUUAGUCCUAGGUUGAUCUCGAAAUCGAACCGAACUUAUUGGGUCAGUCCGGUCCUCAAUCGUUUUUUUUAAGGAGUACAAAAAAUGAAAUAAAAAAUUAUCAGUUGGUCCUGGGUUAACCCUGGAAUCGGAUCGAACCCAUUAGGUCGGUCUGGUUCUCGAUCCCAAGCUUAAUAGGGUCGGUCCUCGGUCCCCAAAAUUGAGGACCAACACUGUGCGGGUUGCUCCUAGGGUUAGGGGGUGGACCGGCCCAACCCAGACCAUGCUCAUCCCUAGGAACUAUCAUAUAUUUUUAGUGGGGUCAAUGCCCUAAAGACUGUAAGAUAAGGUAUUUCAUUUAACAAAAAAAUUAUAAAGAUGCGAUCGAGCUAUUUAUUGAUUUGAAGUAGUUUUUCUAUGCAAAAUUUGAAAUCAACACUUUGACAUUGAAUCAUGAAUGUGAACAAAAUUCAGUUUCAAAUCCCUGUGCUUGAGCUCAACUCAAUAUAGUAUAUAGGGCUCGAAAUUAAACUUGAUUCCACUCAUUUGACUUGUUACGUAGGAUGUUUCUUUCUAUUUUUCCUAAUCAUAUAUUGUACCUUUCGCAUAGCCUAGUCAUGCCAUUUGAUUGCUUUAUCUUCCGACUCUAUCAAGCCUCGUGUUUGAUUGGUGGUGUGGUUGUCUAGUUGUGCAAUGUCUAAGCUCGAUAAUUUUUUGAUAAUUGUUUAUCUUUUUACUUUUCUGUUUUUUGCAUCACAAAGAAGUUUAUAGUACANNNNNNNNNNNNNNNNNNNNNNNNNNNNNNNNNNNNNNNNNNNNNNNNNNNNNNNNNNNNNNNNNNNNNNNNNNNNNNNNNNNNNNNNNNNNNNNNNNNNNNNNNNNNNNNNNNNNNNNNNNNNNNACAAUGGAAGUUACUAAAAAGGCAAAGUGGGGUUUCAUUAGGCAUUCAUCAGUUGGAUUUUAUUUCUUUAGAUAAACUAUAAGGAUCCCAUCCCACUGCUCCUUUUGCUCUUCCGAUUUCCAUCUUUUGGCAAUGGAAAACCGUAGCCACAACAACUCCGAUAUAAAUUAAGGAAUCGUUAUGCUAUCUGGAUCCUAUGAGAAACUAUUGAGGUUGUCUCAUCCAUUGAUCGUAAGACUUUUAGGAUUAUAUGUCACAACCGUACUUCCAUUCACUCAUGUAACACUUCUUGGAUAUGUCCUUCCUCAGCACUUCAUUUCGAGUUGGGAUUAAUAGUUCCCCCCGUACAGAUUGGAGUACGAAGCCCACCCAAAAAAUCGAAUAAAAUAGUCCGUUUUAUUUUGCCGGUAUCAGUAGCUGACUUAGUUCUAAUGACUCUCUUUGGAAUAUGAGGCAAUAACAGAGCAAAUCUAUCAAACAAUUCUCCACCAAGAGCAGAAACUCUUUUAUUAUGUAUGUUGGAUUGAUUAGUCGAUUUACGACAUUUUGUAUAGAAAUUACGAAAAAAUGUAAAUAGUUAUAAUUCGUUAUAAUUCGUUAUAAUUCAAAAAUUUGUUUAUCGAUGACCAUAAAACUGCUCAUAUAUUAUAAGAAGAAAUUCAAAAAAUCCUCCAACACAAAAGUUAUUCAUCACAUCGAAUCUCCAACAUUGUAUAGUAAAGUAGACGAUCUACCAUUGUGCAUCAUUCAAGUUUCACACACAAACAUAAAUAGAAACUUCUAAAUUCAUAAGCAUACAAUAAGAUAAGAACGACUAUUGUAAUUUCUGUCUCAUUUAUUGUCUAGAUUAGACAGGUCGCUUUGUCCAGUGCCCACAGUUAGGGCAUUUCUACUUGAAAAAAGCUAGUACUCUUCCAUGCUUGCACUUCUCACAAAUAAAUGUGCCAUCUGUGCAGGCUAAUUGCCCCACUGCAACCGUUGCCAGCCCCACUCUGUCGCCGUCCUCACCAUCGCCGCUACCUUCGCCGCCCUCACCGCCGCCGCCGCCACCCUCACAGCCACCGGCAUUGCCCCGUCAGCCACUGACACUGGCAUUGCCCCAUCGGCCAUUGGCACUGGCACUUCCCCGGCGGCCCUUGCGGCCCCGACUUGCCCUGCGGCCCUUUCGGCCCUAGCAGCCCCUGUGGCCUCGGCGGCCCCUUCUCCCCUUGCGGCCCCAUCUCCCCCUGCAGGCCCAGCAGCCUUGGCCGCUGGAUGCAAUAGAAAAGGAAACCACAAAGCAUAACAGCAACAAUGACUAAACCAACAAUAACCCAUGUUGGGAUGUUACUGUCAUCGGAUGAUACGGAAUUCGGAUCGACCCAUGCCGAUGGAUGAGGAAAGUAUUGGAAACACGGAUGAGUUGGGGACAGNNNNNNNNNNNNNNNNNNNNNNNNNNNNNNNNNNNNNNNNNNNNNNNNNNNNNNNNNNNNNNNNNNNNNNNNNNNNNNNNNNNNNNNNNNNNNNNNNNNNNNNNNNNNNNNNNNNNNNNNNNNNNNNNNNNNNNNNNNNNNNNNNNNNNNNNNNNNNNNNNNNNNNNNNNNNNNNNNNNNNNNNNNNNNNNNNNNNNNNNNNNNNNNNNNNNNNNNNNNNNNNNNNNNNNNNNNNNNNNNNNNNNNNNNNNNNNNNNNNNNNNNNNNNNNNNNNNNNNNNNNNNNNNNNNNNNNNNNNNNNNNNNNNNNNNNNNNNNNNNNNNNNNNNNNNNNNNNNNNNNNNNNNNNNNNNNNNNNNNNNNNNNNNNNNNNNNNNNNNNNNNNNNNNNNNNNNNNNNNNNNNNNNNNNNNNNNNNNNNNNNNNNNNNNNNNNNNNNNNNNNNNNNNNNNNNNNNNNNNNNNNNNNNNNNNNNNNNNNNNNNNNNNNNNNNNNNNNNNNNNNNNNNNNNNNNNNNNNNNNNNNNNNNNNNNNNNNNNNNNNNNNNNNNNNNNNNNNNNNNNNNNNNNNNNNNNNNNNNNNNNNNNNNNNNNNNNNNNNNNNNNNNNNNNNNNNNNNNNNNNNNNNNNNNNNNNNNNNNNNNNNNNNNNNNNNNNNNNNNNNNNNNNNNNNNNNNNNNNNNNNNNNNNNNNNNNNNNNNNNNNNNNNNNNNNNNNNNNNNNNNNNNNNNNNNNNNNNNNNNNNNNNNNNNNNNNNNNNNNNNNNNNNNNNNNNNNNNNNNNNNNNNNNNNNNNNNNNNNNNNNNNNNNNNNNNNNNNNNNNNNNNNNNNNNNNNNNNNNNNNNNNNNNNNNNNNNNNNNNNNNNNNNNNNNNNNNNNNNNNNNNNNNNUAAAAAAAAAAGCUAGGAAUUUCAUCCAUGUGCCUAAUAAGACCCAAAAUUAUCAAAUAAUAUAAUUUAUAUAUUGUGUCAAUGUAAUUUUAAACAGUUUUUUUUUUUUUACCAAUUGAGUAUUAAACCUUUUAUAUUUAUGUCCAUUUAGUUCGUCCGAUCAAAAUUGACCGGCCAGCACUAACAUGAACACGAGAUGUCUUACAUGGCGCCAUCGAUCCUGACAUGGAUAAUUUUUAGUAAUAUUGUAACAUUUUUUUAUUUAUUUUUAUUCCUAUUUUUCUUUUUAUAUUUUCUUUUCUUUUUUUCCUUUUUUUCUUUCUUUCGUUUUUAUUUUUUUCUUCACUCCCUUCUUUCUCCGGCUAGUCACCAGCGACCACUGGAAAUGAAGCUUUAGGAAGAAUGGAGCGAGCUUCAAAUACUGUCCAGACUCGAUCAUGUCUUCAUGGGUGAUGUUCAGGAGCUAGGAAUUAGGCCCAUUGAAAUGAUACAUGUGUUUGACUAUUCACUGUCUAAGGUGGUAAGAUUUCGGUGAAGGGCCAAGAAAAACAAUCAGGUUUGAAAUGAGAAAUUAUUAUAUGCUCUACAAAACGUGUGACCCGAUAUCAUCUUGAUCAUUAAUCAAGUAGAUCUCGCUAUGAGUCCCCGGGAUCAAUUGUUGAACUGGGUUUCAACAUAAGAUUUAUUGAAUGUACAGUAACAUUGCAUGCAAAACAGGGUUGCAUACGUGAUUUGAAAAAUAAAAUUCACUCUACUAUCCAAAGUCAAGUCCACAAAAACUUAUUUUAGAACCAAACUGUUAAGGAUAUAAGCGACCCACUGUCGAUUCGUUUCUACUUCGAGUAUUCUAAAAACGUAGGAAAAUGUUCUAAGAUCCUCCUGAACUUAAACUGUCUUAGAUGGGCACAUAAAAAAACCACUAAUCUCAGUCCGCACGUUGGUCUAUUCUUGUCCCCAUCUCUCUUAUGGUCACGGGACUCCUGUCCGAACGAUAUUAAAAGACAGCCAUGUGGCCAGCUAAUUAGAACGGUGGAAUUAAAGAAGAAACGUGGGAAAAACGACGUAAAGGCAAAGUCCGUCGUCUCGUCACCAUCGGCCAUGAUCGUGCAUUUUUAGAAUCUUGUCCCUCCGAUUUUAUUCGCCAUCACAUCGUUUUCUUCCCCCAACUGCGGGACUCUCGAGUCUGUCGCUACCCUUUCGUCGCAAUGAUGGUUCCAAUGCCAUAACAAAAGACGAUGGAUAGACCCACAAAUUGAAUCUAGUCAAAAAUGGUCAAAUUCAAAUUAACAUAUUUCAUUCAUUUUGAUUUAUUUUCAUGCAAUUCAAAUUAUGUUACUCAUACCCGACCUAAUUCAUAUAUGAUUUGACUCAUAUUUCUAAAACACUUCCAUAUUUAAACUAAUUUAAGAAAAUCCAAAAUGAAGUGAGUAAAUUGUGAACUUAUUUAAUACCCAUAUUAUUUUGAAUUUAAGUCAUUCAUAUAAUCAAAAAAAUAGUCUUAUAACCCAUUUUAACAAGUCUACCAUCAGAUAAACAUGAUAUCCCGACAUUUAUGAAAAAUUGUCCCAAUUAUGUCACAUCGCAUAUACAUGUAAGAAGGAAGAUUGGGACAUCUCCCAAAAAUCAAGUACGUAAUCGACAUUGCAUAGGUUGAGAAAAGAGCAAGAAGAACUAUAAAUUAUUCCUUUAAUUCUACUUGAUUCAAAUGGGAUGCUGACUGCCUUUGGGGAACGACAUAUGUGAAACGCAAUAAGCAAAAUACACAAAAGAUAGCGACUAAUUAAGAUAUGGAAAAACACAUAAUGGAAAUAUUGUGUCGGAUUCCAAGGAAUUGAUAAUGUUCAGAAACCACAGAGAAAAAGGCACCUUUUGUGUCGAGAACUGCACUCCUUUCUGAAGAUAAGUUGACAGCGUCCUCCACAGUGUCCGCAACCUGCAUAGGCAAGCAUAAAAGAGUUCAACCGGGUAAGCGAUUUUUGGAUACACUUUUAACCUUGGAAAAUUUGGAGAGAAGUCAAAUUCCCCAUAAAAGUUGCUUUCAAUUGGGGAUAUUUUGGAAAUACUGACAUUUUGCUAGGCUGAAGAAGGAAAAGAUUCAAUCAUGUUUCAUCCAACCGAUUUAGAAUUGACCGAUCACCCAGAGCAUAGCAAAUCAAGGUAUGUAAGUAUGGGAGGGUUUUUUACGAUGACAACUCAAAACCACUUGAGGCCAUGUCUGGUUCAUGGCCAUGGAAUCAUGAAAAGGAAUCUCAAUCUAAGCAAUCAAAUUCCUAGAUGUCGGGUUCAUUCUUUAGUGUUUGGUUUCAAUUUAAUUAUGAAGGGAGAAAUGUCCGAUGUGAGAUGCAAUUUGAGGUAAAAACAUGUCAGAAAUGGAAUGUGUAAAAUAUUUCUUCCAUACACAUAUCUAAAGUGGCUAAUGAAAAAGUAGGGAUAAAAACAGAAUGAAGAACCACAAACGAUGCCCCGACAAUUUCCCGAUUAUUGUCAUCUAAAAUGAUCAUAGAGUUCACACAAUCAUUUCACAAACACAUUACAUACAGUUCCUCAAAAUUGAGAAAAGCAUUUCACACAGAAUCUGCAACAAUGAAGAUAAAGUCAUUCCCGCAUAACUUCAAACUACUUCAAAGCUGUUACCUCAAGCCAUUGUGAUAUUCUUGUCUUUAUUGUGUUUAGAGUCAGACCCACUCACGAGAACAAAUGGAGUGACAGCAACUCAGCCAAGUGUGUUAAUGGAACUCUAUAUCCCCACCCAAGCCAACGUGAUGCUCAUAGUUGCCGUCUCCAUUAACAGACCAGAUAAGUUUCAUAAUAGCGAGAAAGAGAAAUAAUCUCACCUUGUAGAGGAAUGUGAGGGCCAUGGAAUCAAGAGGCAGGCGAAACUCCCAUGGAAGGAUAUGAAGAUGAUGAAUGGCGCGAGAGAGAGAGAGAGAGAGAGAGAGAGAGAGAGAGAGAGAGAGAGAGAGAGAGAGUUAUGGCUUUGUAGAAUUUGAAGAUGAUGAAGCUCAAGAGUAUUGAGCGUGUUGGGCUCCCGAAUGUUUUUUCCUCCUAGAAAUCCCAGUACCAUCUCUACCUAAGCAAUCCGGUUCUGCAUUAGGAGUAUCCAUUAACUAGGCACUUUGAUUCUAUGAUCAUAAAUCCAUCCAAAGAUGAGCUGUAAUGGCAUUCCAUUUCCUCUUUAUUACUCCAAGGUGAACCAAACAAGGCCUAAGUGAUUACACGAUGCACUAUACUUCUGAAUGUUUUCAUGGUGGAAUAAAUGAUCUGCAGUCUCAACCAUGACUUUCCAUAGGAUCACGUAUCUAAAAUCUCUAAACCAAAGAAGUGAAUAUGCUGGAAUGCACACAAUUCGCUUACUUAGGAACCUACCAUCAACUCACCCCAACGUACAUGCAAGGAGAGAUGGGAGAGACAGAUAGAGAAAUGUCUGGAUUUUGUUAAGAGUACGAAUACCUACCACGUCCAUGAGAAGUUCUGAAUGAUUAUCUUUUCCCUUGAAUACCCCAGUCCUUAUUAAUAUAGAAAACCAAGGAUCUCCUGCCUGAAGGAGUUGUUAUCAGUACUAGUGAUUGUGUUCGGAAAUAAAAUUACUGAUAAUACAAUUCUCAGUAUGAAAUAUACCUGUCGUGCGCCUCUAAUGUCGAUUUUGGAUUAUCCCCUAUCAUGUAUAGUGUUCUGAAACAACGGAUUCCAGAGUAUGUAUAAUUCUCCACAUCUAGGUUGCUUAACAACGAUGGCAUAAGAUUCCUUAACACGGUCUCAGCAUUUCCAUAGACAAAUGGAUUUGGCCUCCCAUACGAUGUAUACGUGUUGACACCUAAAUUUUGACAAUUUAGUUUAUUUAUUUAUUGCAUAGGAAAUUAGGGCUUAAUUUUAUUAAUUACAUAGCAUAUAGAUUUAGGUGCAUUUUAUUUUAAUUGGCAUUUUAUUUAUUGGACCGGUGCGGAUGGGUUCAAAUUAAUUGGACUAAGCCCACGAAGCGAGCAAGUUGGCCCAAGCUCGUGUUUUUUAAUAAUUAAAAAAUUAUCUCGUGGGAAUAUAAUAUUUUAAAAUUUUUCCGAGAUAUGAAUCUUUUUUGGAUAGGCCGAUGGGUAAAAGAAUAUUGCAAUUUGGUUUUGAAAGAUUUGGAUUUAGAGAAAAAUUCUAUCAUAAUCUUGAAUCCUUAUUAAUAUGGGAUAAAAUUGGUGAAGGAAUAUUGCGUUCGAAAAAUUCUCGUGGAUGUUGAUCUAAAACCCUAGUUCACUCACCUAUAAAUAGGUUGCUACACCACAGGGAAAAAAAAAGAUGGACACAGACGGCCUUUGAGAGUAAAACGUGAGUGGGGCUUCACAAUUGAGAGACACGUGAGAGAGGAGAGAGUGUGAGUUUUCUUGGCCAAUUCUUGACCAAGACCCACGUCGAUGCUUCUGCCGCGGUGCUUUUGUCGUCCCCAAUACAUUGUCAAUGAGCUGCUAUCCUGUUGAGUUAUUACUCGAUCGCUUGACAACGCCACCGCAGCCCCUUCAUCGAUGACGUCACUGCAGCUCUGACCCUCGUAGUUGCUGUUCCGACUAUUACCCAAUCGCCGUCGUCGCUGCUGCCGCGAGACCACACGUUGAUCUGUUGGCCAGCUGUUGCCUUGUUGACGCCAUCCCUGUCUUGCUGAUCUGUUCCGACCCGAGCAGCAACGUUGCAACGAUCUCAUCAAUUCUAGUGAGCCCCUCCAUGAUUUCGGGAGGUCAAAGUUUGACAAUCAGUGGGAUUGUCAGAAGGCUAGUGGAUUUCCUUGCGUCACCAAAUUCCACAAAACCAACAGUGGGAGACCAAGAUUAGCCAUCCAUCGACGAGUCCCUUGCCGAGCUUACAAAUUUUUGUUUCGCAGGUCUCGUGGAGCUCAUCGAGCGAUUUUCGAGCAACCAAGCACCGCCACGUUGGAUCGCGAGUAGCUAUUCGAGGAUCAGAAUUCGAAAACCAAUAUUCAAAUUAGGUGAAAAUCUUAUCUAUUUUGAUUUUCGAAUAUUCCGUUACCUUAUUUGAGAUAUUUGUUGAUGCAUAUGAUUGAAAUUGCCUCUCAAAUUAGGGACUAACAGUCCGAUUUUCGCGUCCGAAAUCCGACUCGCAAUCCCUUGCAAAAAAAAAAUCUACAAUCCGAUCUCAAGCCCGAGAUUUGAUUCGCGAUGUAAUUUAAAAUUGGCCAACUCGAUCUCAUGCGCGAGAUAUGGUUCGCUAAUUUUCGGAUAUCAAUCUCAUCUUGUUUGAUUUUGCUUGUCGUCAAGUUGGUUGAGUUAAUCGAAUUUUUUAAAAGAAAAAUCCAAAAAAAUCUGAAUAAGGAUUAGGUUUGUUUUUAUUAUCUUGCAUAUUUAGGAUUGCAAUUUUAUUUCGAAUUUUUAAAUAAAAAAAUCCAAAAAAAUACAUAGGAUGUUAGUUUUAAAUUUGAAUUACAUGUUUAAUUAUUUGGCAAUUUUAAUUUCGAAUUUUAUAAAAAAACACAAAAAGAAGUCAUCAUGCAUAUGUCAUAUAUAAUUAGGACAUUGUCAUGGCAUAUUAGAUAAAAUUGCAUGUUUCAUUUUAAGUUUAGAUUAAUUUUCUAGAUAGAUUGCAUCUUAGGUUAGAGAUUUGCUAGGUUAAGAUAAUAUCUUAGUUUUAAUUAGGAUUUAGUCUGACCUGAUUAAUAUAAGCUGGAUAAAAUCUUAAUCUAGAUAAAUAAUUUUUGCAUUUUUCUUAAUUUCGAAUUUCAUGAAAAAUACAAAAAUUGCCUUAGAAUAAAUUCAUUUCAUUAUCUAGAAUAGAUAUGUCAUAUAGAAUUAGGGCAUUGUCAUGGCAUAUUAGAUUAGAAUUGCAUGUUUCAUUUUAAAUUUAGAUCAUCUUUUUUAGAUAAAUUGCAUUUUAGAUUUAGAUAAUGUCUUAGUUUAAAUUAGGAUUUAAUAUAACUUAAUCCCUAGUUUAAUUAGAUAGAAUCUUAAUCUAGCUAGAUCAUUUUAAAUUUCAUAAAAUUUGUCUUAGGAUAAAUUAGUUGCAAUUUCUAGGAUAGAUUGCAUUUUUAAAAUAAAAAAAUGUCAUUUGCAUGUCAUAUAGAAUUAGGUUCAUGAAAUGCAUGUCAUUUUAGUAAUUAUUGUUAGGUUCAUUUCUAAUUAGAAAUUGUCCGUCAUUAGAUUAGGUCAUUUAAUAAAUGUCGCUUGACAUAUAGCUCGCGUAUUAAAUUAUAUGCUGCAUGUCAUCUUAGUUUAAAUAAUUUUGUAUGUCAUCGCAUCGCAUUGCAUGUCAUUAGAAUUAAGUCAUUUAGAUUGUAUCUAAUUAUUGCAUUUCUUCAUGUCAUAUAGUUUAGGUCAUGCUGCCAUGUCAUAUUAGAUUAUUAGAAUGCAUUACAUGAUUUUCAUUAAGAAAAGCGAAAACAUAAAAUUGAGUAAUUGCUUGUUAAUUAGAAACCAUAUCUAGGGUUGUUGAUGUGGAUUUCAAUUUAACACUGCAGAUGCUUUCGUUGCUUUGAGGUAAGUCCUGCAUUAUUUAAUUGUUUUCUUGGGUGUUAAAUUGGUGGUUUGCGCACCUGCAUGAACACCUCACCUGUUAGGAAAAUAGAUUUAAAAUCAAUCCAAAUUGCUUGCCAAACGUUUUUUUUUUUCAAAAUAAAAAGAAAGGUACCGAAAGGGCGUUAGAGAAAUCUAACGUAACCAAGUCCCCGUACCCUUAGUCUCUGGUUCGUAGGAGUAAAGUAAAUCUCCCGUUACUUUACUAGGGUUUCUAAUCGACCCACCAAAAAUAGAUUAGUGGCGACUCCUAGUUAAAAAUCAAUUGCAUGUUAACAAUUCAAACAUAAGUCGCGAAUUGGUAUGGGCUUGGGAGAGCCCGAGUUAAGUCUAGACUUAACAAUCCAUUAGCCAAACCCUAGGUGGUUCACACCCGAAAAAAUUGGUUGCGACAAUACGCCAGCGGAAUGGGAUGUAUUCUGCAGGACAAGGACAAGUAAACAAUGCAUAACACAAGAUUGAAGAUUAAUGCAUGUCACUUUGCUGCAUUGAGGUAAACUAGGCCCACGCAAGGAUCUUAUGGGCCUUUCUUUAAUUUUUUGUGCAGAAUAUUAGAUCAAACUCCAUGCAUAACUAACAUUAAGAAGUUGAAACCUCACUAUCUUACCUGUUAUAGAUUGCUUCUAAAGCAAUCCUGAACGCUCCCAUACCCAGACAUUCAGCAGGAAAAGUAGCCUGCCUUUGACUUUGUUAGCUAGUCAUCAGCCAGUCUUUAGUUCCACCAAGGCUUCAAAAACUCAAGAUUGCAGCUGGCGUUACAAAUGGCAUAGCUUACCUGGUAUUCGAGGUCAUUAUUUGCAAAAACUAGGUGCGGUUGCUUUCUAGCCUCCCUUCUAGGAAGCCCCCCAGUUCUUAAUAUGUCACAGAGCACCUAAACCCAAACUUGAGUAUCACAGAAUUGUUUUUAAUAUACACAGACAGAUAGAUAGAUGAUUACACUCCAUUUUAUCACUUUUUCCAAACUAGAUGUCAACACCCACUAGACUUUUAAAAAGAUGAUGACUAAAGUUGCAGAGCAGUUACCGAACAACCAAACGAAGCGUUGUGUCUUUUGAUAAUCAGUUCAAAGAUUUAGAACUAGUGUGAUGAAAAGCCUAGUAUGGACUCGACAGCCGAAUUAGAUAAUCUAAGAAAGGACAAGAUCCUUUAGAGUGGUUACAACCUAGAUAUCUCUGCUCCGGUCAACAGAGUCAGUCAACAGAAUCACUGACUACAAAUGCUAACUGAACUCUCUGUGUUUGCACAACAAUUUAAUUCUUUCCUAUCAUAUUAGAAGUGCUAUUUUGGUCAAUGUCUGGCUUAGUUGUCCAUCUCUUGUGCAUCAAACUGGCUAGCGUACUCAUCAAUUGACAGAACCUUUAUACAUAGAAAAGACAAGACCAGAAAGAGGGUCAACUGGAGGAAAAAGAGAGAGAGAGAGAGAGAGAGAGAAAAUCAAGUUGUUGGAGUUCUCAUUCUGGAUGAAACAGUGUUGAACACAGACAACUAAGAAGAUUUAUAGAGAGGACUUCUCUGUGAUUACUCGAGUCCCUGAGAACUUGAGUGAUUUUUGUUCACUUUACUUGCUCUUAUGUUUUAUCUAGACAUCUUCAAUAGCAAUUUUAUUAGAUACACAACUUUAUCCUUAUAACUUUCGAAAGCUUUCAGUAAACUUGACACCAUAUACUUUCGAAAGCUUUUAGUAACUUUGACACCAUAUAACUUUUGUUGAACUAUUGUUGUUUAAAACUUUUGUGUAGACUUUAAAUAGCAAGGGUAUGUGUGGGCUUGCUUUUAUUUCUCUUUUCAGUGAUUUGCCUUAACCAUUGGUAGCAAUCAUUUUUUUUUUUUUUUUCGGAAUGCAUUGAGCUCCUUGUCUACUUAGCUUCUAAAGUAGUUUUGGAUGGUUGUGCAGCCUGAAUUAUACUUGUGGCAACUCUGUCUUUUCCUGUUCUAAUUAUGAGGGUUGCUGAUGGACUAGAAGUUAUGACCAAUUGCCAGAUGCACAAAUUUAUGGAUUAUGUUUCGUUGUGGUAGUAGUAUAUCAAUUUACAAAUUGAAAAUGCCCCACAAUAUGUAGCAUUUUGGUAUCUCAGGUUUGUUUUUUGGAAGGUGGUGUGAUUGAUUGAUCUCUUGCAUCGAAUAACAGGGAGAAGUGGAUCUAGCUUGUAAUACUCUAGCUGACCAUUUAGGCUUGAAGUAACACAGAGUGUGAUCACUAAUUCGAGGAAAUUUUAACUCUGGCUAGGUGCUACAAUGGGCGGGAAUUUAUGUGGCUAACUGAGCAUUAGUACAUGCAUUGGCAUGCCGGAAUGGUUUUGUUAUGAGGGCAUUUUGAGCAACUGAUGAUGUUGACUUUAUCAAAGAAAAUAAGACAGUACUUUAGGUUCGUUUAGGUUAACCAAAAAAGAUGGAAUUACCAAUGCCCCUGCAGUAUGAUGAUCUAAAUAUACAAGCAAUCAAGCUAAUAAUACAAUUGCACAAUAUUUUAUUUCACGAUCACAGAUUUUAAUAAUCAUGAGUGAGAUAGAUGAAAAAAGCAAAUGUUAUCGAAAAUGCUCAGUCCUGAUUUACAUUAGCAUGCCACAUUUCUCAUUGGACAUUGGUCAUGGAGAUAAUCCAACAAAUCCUUACCUAUUUACCAGUUGUUUAAAAGGUGUGGCCCUGUAUGACCUGCAAAUUAUCUUGGUCAAAAUAUGAGAGAGAAAAGAAACAAAGUAGUUCUGGACCUGAUAACAAGCAAAAUCGUGAGGGCGAGCAGAUUUUGUAACACAAGAGAUGAACUACCUGUGAAGGUAGAAUGUUGACUCCUAGUAGUUGACCUAAGUCCUGGGCUCUUUUGGAUUCAGAAAAGCCACCUCCUGCAUCAGCCAUUGCUAUUAGCAACGUGCAGUAAAAACUAAUUGUCGCUUCUUCAGAAAUUAACAAGCGAAAUUUCUUAUUUCAAGGGAGUAACAUAAUGAACGAUUAUACGUAAGGACAUCUCAAAAGGCAUCACAGAUUCAAAUUUCUUGAAUGACUUAAACAUAAGAUAGCAGCAAUCUCAAAAUCAUCAAGACGAUUACUAUUAGAUCUUAAAAGUACCAAUACUUGCUGAUAACUGAAUAAUCAACCACAAUAACCGUAUGAUGCCCAGCAUGCAACUUGAAAACUUCAGUUUGACCAUCAUAUCACGGCACUCACCGGUGAUGAUUCUAUAGGAACGGUCACAUUUGCUAACACACAUCGAAAGUGAGAAAUGUAAUAGUAAAGGUUAGUAACACAUUUAAGCAAUCACGAACACUCACCAUUUGUUAAGAACACGAAAGGUAUCUUCAAAUUUCCUGAAAAGAUGUAGAACAUAAAGUAAGUGAUAGCAGGUUACAAAUAGCAGAUACGAAUCUCGAUAUCCGCCGCCCUUUACUGUCCAUCAGAAAUUUCGGUAGCAAUCAGUUCGCAACGUAGAACAUUGGAAGACAGGUGAGCCAGCAUGAGAUAAGCCUCGCAGGUAUAUCAGCAAGCGAUGGGGAAAGCUUUACCAAAAAUCGUCGUACAAUCUCCUGAGCGCACGCGGAGAACCCACGGGAGCGUGACCGAGGAGGAACACGCCGUCGAUGUCGAAGGCGAUGCCAAACGAAGGCCUGCACAACGAAACCACGAUCGUCAAUUCGAUCACAGACGAAAAAGAAGAAGAAGAGAACAAGAGAACAUCGGAGAAAGUCACGAGCAUAGUCGAAGCAUGACCGGAACGCACCGAUCCGAUUGCGAGCUUAGCCGCGAAAACGAGUGCGAGGCGAGCGGGGACGGCUGCUUUCUGCCCCGACUCCGCGAGGCGAUGGUGAAAAGCUGGCGCCUCAUUGUCCUGUUCGCGGCCAAUCGCUUCGGGAGAUCGAGGAGCUCGAGUCGCUGGAGAUGAAGCUCCAAGAAGAGCGGAGCGAGCUUCAACAGUCCACAGAGAGAGAGAGAGAAUGGCCCAAUCGCGCAGCGUCUUCUCGUUCGAUGUUCAGGAGCCGUGAAUUGGGCCCGUUGAAAUGAUGGGAGGGCCUCGAUAACGGAUCGGCCUUUCCUUCGGAUCCAAGCUCAACGGUUAAGCUUGAUUUUGGUGAACGUUUUUGAGCUGUUUUUUAUGGUGGACUGAGCACAUCGCGGAGGAGUUCGAUGUUUCGGGGACUUCGAGGCUACUGACAUAUCUGUGAUGGCUUCUGUGUCCUAUAGAUUUGAUUUUAGGCUUCGCUUCAUCCUUAGAAAGUAACCUGAAUUCACGAUAAAAACUAAAAUGAUUUGCGAUAAUGUCCUAUUUAUGCCUCAUGUGCGAUCGGCGCCUUCUUACUCAUUAUUCACCCAUGGACUUGAUCUACGAGUGUAUUAUAUGUCAGGAUGAGUUUCUCUUCAGUUGCUGAGAUAUUGGAAGAGAAUAAAAGUCUAACUGCGAGAUUCUGAGGCGGCUAAUGCAUCUUUUAUGACUUCACUGUUUGACUUUGACAAUUGUUGCUCCAUUUCCUGAGGAACAUUGAUAUGUAGUUACAAAGUCAGAUCAUAAUUCAUCCAUGGACUAUUUAUUACUUUGCGUGAGGUUUAUUUGAUAAUUCAUGCAUAAACUUUGAUCUAGGUGUGUAUCUGGUGAGGCCAAAACUGCUCGCAGUCGGAGGACGUGAACGAGUUAGCGAAGUACACUUAGUUGGCUCUGCCGUGAAGGAUAUUUCUCCUGGUGAUUUGGUCAUUCCUGUCAGAAACCGAAGGCAAGCAAGGAACGGACGAGAAGAAGAAGAGAAUGAUGAAGUUUAGGGAGAAGGUUUUUUUGUAUUCUGACUUGUAAUCAAUGUACAGGGCUUUUGCUGUUUAUAUUACAAGAUGUAUACAUAGAAAAAGGCAAUGUAAUAUUUUACAAAUCAAUCUAAUAUUUGGAUUGAUUCUCUAUAAUCAGAAAUUGGAUCAAUCAAUUCCCGGUAUAUUUCCAGGAUCUUCUGCUUAUCUUCCAACACUCCCCAUCAAGCUGGUGGCUUGUAAAUGUCUAAGACACCUAGCUUGCUUAGUAGAUAUGCAUGUUGUCUUUGACAUAGGGCUUUGGUAAACACAUCUGCAAGUUGUUCAGCAGUUUCAAUCUCUCUUGUCUAGAUUGUCCCUUCUUGAAUCUUCUCCCGAGUGAAAUGACAAUCCACUUCUAUGUGCUUGGUCCUUUCGUGCAUUACAGGAUUCGCCGCAAGUUUCAGAGCCGAUUUGUUGUCAUAGAAUAACUUCGUUGGACCUUUUAGCUGUAUUCCGAGAUCACCAAGUAAACCUCGUAUCCACACAAUCUCACAUGUGGUCUUUGCCAUGGCUUGAUAUUUUGCUUUAGCUGAGGAUAGAGAAAAUGUUGCUUGCUUCUUGGUUUUCCAUGAAAGAAGAGAAUCUCCCAACUUAAUGCAAAACCCAAUUAUGGAUCUUCAACUCAUAGGACACGUUGCAUAAUCUGCAUCGCAAUAUGCUAUCAUUUCCAUGUCGCAUCUUCUAGAUAGAAGUAUCCCGAGUCCUGGACAUCCCUUCAAAUACUUCACGACUUUUAGAGUGGCAUUUAUGUGAGAUUCCUUCGGUUUGUGCAUAAACUGACUGAGGUUCUGCACUGUAUAUGAUAUAUCAAGUCUGGUCAUAGUCUGGUAAAUAAUUUUUCCAACGAGCUUAUGAUAACUCGUUGGAUCCUGUAAUAUAGGAUCAUCCUGAGAUGUUCCUCUAGUGUGGUCUACUGUAGUCAAUCCGAUAUUUUGCUCGAUUGGAAUGACAGUUGGCCUACAUCCUGAUAAACUAGCCUCUGAUAUCCAACACAAACUUCCUCUGACUGAGAGAAAUUCCUUGUUGAGAUCGAGUGAUCUCAAUCCCAAGAAAAAUAUUUUGGUGCUCCUAGAUAUUUUAUAUGAAAUGUGGUAUGCAAGUAUUUUUUAAGGCUCUUUAUUGCAACUUCAUCAUUUCCCAUGAUAAUAAUGUCAUCUACAUAAAUUAUCAUGUAAAUAGAUGACGUACCUUUGGUCCAUGUAAAUAAGGCAUAAUCAUACUUGGAUUGUUUGAAGUUUGCACUGAUGAGAGCGUUAACAAAUUUAGCAUAUCAUUGUCUGGAAGCUUGUUUCAGCCCAUAAAGGGAUUUGCGGAGACGACAUACUUUAUUCUCCCCUUGUCUCCGUAAGCCCUGAGGAAUAUCCAUGUAAAUUUCUUCAUCCAUAUCACUAUGAAGAAAAGCGUUGUGAACGUCAAUUUGGUGUAACAGCCAAUCAUGGAUGGCUGCAACUGAUAAGAAUGAGCGGACGGUGACAUCUUUAGCAACUGGGGAAAAAGUUUCAUGAUAGUCGAAACAUUCUCGUUGUGUAUAUCCCUUCGCCACCAAUCGAGCUUUGUAUCGUUCAAUGGAUCCAUCAGCUCUAUACUUUACUUUAUAGACCCAUUUGCAUCCUAUGGAUUUCCUAUUUGGGGGCAAAUGAACUAUCUCCCAUGUGUGAUUAUCAGUUAAGGCCUAUAAUUCUGCUUCCAUGGCCUUUUGCCAUCGUGGGUCUUUGGAUGCCUCAUCAUAACUAGACGGUUCUUUCUCAUCUGAUAUACGACUAAUGCAACAUCUAUGCUCCGACAAAAGCUUUUCAAAUGAGACAUAAGAAGAUAUUGGAUAGUGAAUACUUGGUCCGUUAAGUGAGGCACAAACAUAGUCUUUGGUCCACGUUGGUGGUUUCGUAGCUCGCCCUGAACGUCGUGGAUGAUUCGUUGGCGGUGGAGGAGGAGAUAUUUCCGCAGCAUUGUUUUCUGUUUGUUCGCCAGAAUCAUUCUCAAUGUUUAAUGGAAGAGCAGGUACACUUUCCAAUGUUGCCGUAUGAGGUGAUUGAUCAAAUGAGGAAGGUGGAAUGACCUGUCCUGGUGAUGCUGCGAGAAAAUAUUCAGGAGAUAUAUUUUCCUCAAUUGAGGAGCGAUGAGAAUUGGUUGAGAUAUCCAAAUCCUCUGUAGACUCACGAAAUGGAAAGAUCGUUUCGUGAAAAAUGACAUCCCUGCUCAUGAAAAAUUCUCCCAUUGAUGGAUCGAGAACAUAAUAGCCCUUCUGUAGGUUAGGGUAACCCAUGAAAAUGCACCUCCUGACACGUGGACUCAUUUUGUCUCGAGGCCACAUAGUUGCAGUAUAACAAAGACAACCGAAAACUCGUAGAUGAUCUACUGCUGGUUUUUUUCCAUAAAGUAAUUUAAAGGGUGUUUUACUAGCUAAUAUUCAAGUAGGUAUACGGUUGAUGAGAUAGGUUGUAGUGAGGACACAAUCUCCCAAAUAUAUUGCUGGAACGGAUUCCUGAAACUUCAAAGCUCGUGCGACCUCCAGCAAGUGAUGAUGUUUACGUUCCACCACUCCAUUUUGUUGUGGAUUAUAAAUACAGAAGCUUUCAUGUAGAAUGCCAUGAGACAAGAAAAGUCAUAUGUAAUCAUGACUAAAAAAUUCCUUCCCAUUGUCAGUCCGUAUUCGCUAGAUUGAUUUCCCAAACUGAUUUUUAGUCAGGGUGAUAAACGUUUUCAAAUGAGAUGGAACUUGAGCUUUUGACUGCAUCAUGAAUACCCAUGUGACCCGAGAGUGAUCAUCCACAAUUGUGAGAAAAUAUCGUGAACCAUCAUGAUGUGCUGUGUGAUAGGGUCCCCAGACAUCCACAUGAAUUAAAGAAAGGAUAGUAGUGGAACGUUUUGCAUUCGAAGGGAAAGAUGUGUGAGACUGUUUUGCAAGAGGACAAAUGGGACAUUUAGAGUAUGGGAAAAAAAUACUAUGCCCCAUUCUUGAAUGUAAAAGAAAGUCUUUAUCAUUGGCAAUGACAUUACACAAUGACAACUUAUUGAAAGGAAUUGAAUUCAAAUCAAUAUGACUUGGAAUACUGGUCCAGAAAUAUAAACCUUCAGAAAGACUACCUAAGCCCAUCAGUUUUCCAGUCGAAAAGGCCUGAAAAAAACAUAUGUCAACAUCGAAGAGUAUUUUACAGGAAUUUUCCUUGCAGACUUUGGAUACGGAAAUGAGAUUGAACUGAAAUUGUGAGACAUAAAGGACAUUUUGCAGGACAAUUUGAGAGCUUAGUUGAACAGUCCCUAUCAAUGUGACAUGAGUAAUGUUUCCAUUUGGAAGUUGCACAGAAAUAGGCGUAUCCCAUUUCCUAUGCAUUUUUGAGAAAAAAAUUUAUAUAACAAAUGAUAUGAUCACUUGCUCCCGAGUCAACUAUCCAUGCCCUUUUUGAAAUUGAAUUAAUCAGGCAGUGGGAUAUACCUAAGAAACUUCCUCCUUUAUUUCCAAUGUCUGCUUUCUGUAGUGCCUGCAUCAAUUGCUGAUAUUGCCCAUAAGUAAUCGGUUGGUCACUACUUGGUCCAGUCACUUGGUAAGCUGCAGAAUACUCUUUCUUUUUCCCUUUUCUCCUAGCUUUCCAUGUAAUUUCCAGCAAUUAUCUAUAGUAUGAAGUGGACGUUUGCAAUGCUCACAGUAUAAUUUACCUCUCCCCCUUGAAUUUUGGUCGAAAUUCCUUAUUGAUGCGGAAAAAAUCUGGUCGUCGGAUGGUUUAAUCGUGGAAUUAUCUCCACCAUCCAAUGCAGUAGACACAUCGACCCUUUGUAGACCGUCAAAUCUCCAGGGGAAAUCAAGGCCGUCAGAUCUCCACAAGAAAUCCGAGCCGUCAGAUCGCCGGAUUGAAUCUAGGCCGUAGCUUCCUUCCCUUUUAAGGGCUCUAUCUAUGGUUGCGGACCCUAGCCCCUCGCGAUUUUCUCUCUCCCAGGCUAGGGUUUUCGCCCCCGAUUCUCUCCCAUGGUGUUCUCCGCGAAGAGCGAGAGCAACAGCCUCGCCUCCUUGUGUCUGCUCCGGUGUUGUGAGCCGUUGGCUCUCUUCUUGGAUGGUCAGUUGGAAAAUCCAGCCAAGGGGCGGCACGAGAUCCAUCGCCAAGAUCUGCGAACAAAAUGUUAGGUAUGUUUUGUUCAAUAUUAAAAGAAAUCGAGUGGAUUUCUCCCUCUCCUUCAUGGAUCUAUACUGCUCGAGAGUUUCUAGAGGUCCCUCGAGUUUUUCUAUUGCGGCCUCGAGCUCGUUCCAGAGCGAUGAGAGUUUGUUAUAAACCGCUGUGACAGACAUAUUCCCCUGCUUGAGAUUUGUGAGUUCCUGCAUGAGACAAAAGAUUUUUGCUUAGUCUAAUUUCCCGUACAUUUCUUUGAUGUUAUCCCACAUGGUUUUCAAAUCUUCCGUCGACGGGAGGCCUGCUGUGACGUCUGGAGAGAUGCAAUUGCCGAUCUAGGUGCAAAUCAGGUGAUUGCACUUUCUCCAGUGCCUCGCCAGCCUUUCGUCUGACAGAAUUGGUACGGUUCUGUCGGGGAAACCGUCUGUAUCUUUUGUCACGAGAGCCUGCUGGAAGUCUUGUGACCAUUUGUUGUAGUUUUCUAGCCCGGUUAGUUGCAGACUAAUUAGUCACAACUCUGGACCGUCGGCGGUUGACACGUGCAAAGGAUCGCCUGGCUCUGGUCAGCCGGUGAUAGCCGCAAUCGAAAACGGUAAAAAUUCAAGUGAAAAGUUUGGGUAGGGAUUCGUCCCUGUACCCGACCCAUUGAUUUCGGUUCCAUGACCUGCAUUGAAGAGUCCUGGGUGAGGGUUUGUUCCUGAACCCGCUUCUCCAUACCCAUUUACUCGUUCUGUCUUGGUGGCUGAGUUUGCCCCGCUUGCGACUAGUAGACUCCCGUCGGGCUGAACAUUAUUGUGACAUCCAAAUUUUCGGGUUCUGAUUUUAAUUAGAUAAAUUGGGCAUUUUAUCGACGUGACUACAAUGUUUUUCUCUGAGUUGGCCACUCACGAGAUAACUAGACUAGCUGGGUAAGCUAUUAAAAAUCGAAUUAAGAUCAGAGAUAGGUCGGUUUGACCAAGAUGAUGACCGAUUAUGGGUGACUCCACUAAAUUGGAAAAUUCUCAUUGACUAGCACUAAUUUGAUUUUACUGUCGUUUUGGUAUCCUGUGUCCAUAUUUGAAUUCUCGAGAUUUUCGCGACAAUCGAGAGUUGCUAAUGUGUCAAGUAGAUUCAUCGUGGCUCGAAGAAAAUCGACCACGGGUCAUUUGUCCUAAAAAGUUCUGAAAACUACAUGGUAGCCUAGGUCACGCUAAAAACACGUCGAAUGGAAACUAACUAUGAAUUCAAGUCCGAUUUCAGAAAUUGAAGAUUCUGUUAUAUCACAAUAAAUUUUAGGAGUGUCGACUUAGUCUCAGAAGAUUUUUCAGAGAUUCCGAGAUUUUUGCGGAAAAUUGUUCGGGUGUUUCGAAAAAAAAUUAAUGGAAAUUCGGAUGGACUCAAUUGAAGGAGAUUUAGACUUCCAAGACGAGCCUUCAAGUGUCAAGGACUUGCAAAAAAUUGUAUGGGCUUUUUCCUUGGCAAAAUUGGACCUUGACUUAGAGAAUUGGUGAAGAAAUUUAGGAUUGAUAGAGUGAAUUCGGAGCUGGAUUUUUAGGCAGAAAAAUGGGCUUCAAAAUUUGAUUAAUUGAGGAUUAUAAUUCAAGAAAGAAAUAGGGGACAAGAAAUUAAUGGAAUGGCUAAGGGUUGAAGAUAUUGGGUCCCUCGGUCCCUCCUUGGCUUCCUUAGCAAGAUUUCUUCCAUCUUCUUUGCGCGAGACACUUCUUCAUCCGAAGCCAGCUGGGUUGCCUUUCUUUCGUCUCCUUCGAAGCCCGCAACUCCAUCAAUUUCUUCUCCAGCAACGAAGACCGCCUGCUGCAGCUCUCUUCGUCCAUCACUUUACUUGUUCGGUCAACUUCAACAGCUCACGAAGCCUUGUUUGACCGCCCACACACGGAUCCAUGAGCUGCUGUCUGCUCCACCACUCAUCUUCUACGCCACACGUCCGCACAGCCCACAACCCAUCGAGUGAAGCCCUUUUGUUGACCAGCAGAGCCACCUGCUGCCUCCUGUUGUCACGAAGACCGAAGCUGCCCCAUUACGAAGCCACAAUCCACCAAGACUCCUCCAAGCUGCCAGCACGUUCGCAAGAUUUCCCCAGGUGGUGACCGAAGCUGCUCUCCCACAAUCUUUGGUCUUCUCUACAGUGAACCGGUCAACAAAAUUGUCCAACAAGCCCCACUCGAAGCCGCCCAUCUCCACGUCAAUGCUGCAGCUCCACUUCAGUUUGUCUUCACGGUCAACAAACCGAUGAAACUCUCCACCAAAUUUGACCGCAAGCUCCACGCGUCCAAGCCAGCGUCUUUGUCUCACCCUUGUUUUCCCCCAGCUCGAGCAUCGCCAGUGGUCUGUGCUACUUCAUUGAUCGGCGUCAGCCCACGCCUCUCCAAGCAGCAGCCCAACUUCUAUUCCUGCAAAGCCCGUUUCCGCAAGCCUUAGCCCAGUGAAUUUCAACAGCCCUUUUGAAGCCGUGGGCUUCAGCUUCAGCAGCCCAUUUCUGUGAAAGCUCAGCCCAAUUCAAUUACAAUUCGUUCCAAAGAUCUAGUAACUCAGGCCCAGUUUUGAAGCCCAAGAAGUUUCAGCAACUCAGCCCGCGAAGUUAAUCGACCCAAGUUCGGUCUAAGCCUAGAAUUUCUGUGGGUUUGCUUAGCUUUUGGGCCCGGCUCGGGAGUCCGCCGAUGCCGUCGAAAAUUUAGGUUUCGGCCGCCGUCGCGGUGAUCCAGUCUCCGCUUUUAACCAAGUGAGUUUUGCUCUUUAAUACCUUCUUAGUUUGCUAAUUAUACUUAAAGGUUGAUUAGAUUUAAUUAAGUGCAAUUAAGUGGUUAGAUUAGUUUAGAGUAAUUUAAUUAGUGACUUAAUGAUACAUGUCAGGUGAUUGAUUAGUGUAAUUAGCAAGUAGAGAUGUACUUCUAAUUAUUGAAUGCAUCUCGGGAUUUUUCCCGAUCCGCUCUGACAUCCAAUCAGGCAUUAUGGGCCUAAAUUGGAUUUAUUGCUAUUUAUUUAUUAAUUUUUGAAAUUAAUUUAAUUAAUUAAUUAUUUUUCGAAAAUUAGACUAGGAUGGCCAUUGAUCGAAAUUUUGUGCUGAUUGUCGUGGUGCAGUCCGUUUAUUUAUUUGAGCUCCACACUCGUGCUGAAUUGAAUUGAUGGUGCAAUUUGAAUAAUUGUUCCUUAAUUGAUUGAAAUUGAGUGGGAUUGAAUGAUUGAUCGGUAGAUGGCCGAGUUUGGUUAUUUAACCUUUAUACUUAUUUGAUGAGUUGUAAAUCGGAAAGAUCGUGAGAGUGAACGGGGAAUUCUCUUGAUUGAGACUGAUCAGGUACGAAGUAUAGACAGGCGUGGUUCGGUGAUUAAGAAUAUCACUAUGCGAAAACGGUGCCUUAAAGAACGCACGUAAACUGUCUAUGACUUGUGACAGGCGUGGUUCGGUGAUGAAGGACAUCACUAUGCAAAAACGGCGCCUUAAAGAACGCACAUAGACUGUCUGUGAUCUAUGAUGGGCGUGGUUUGGUGAUGAGGAAUAUCACUGUGCGAAAACGGCGCCUUAAAGAACGCACAUAGACUGUCUGUGAUCUAUGACGGGCGUGGUUCGGUGAUGAGGAAUAUCACUGUGCGAAAACGGCACCUUAAAGAACGCACGUAGAUCGCCUGUUACUUAUGUCACCUUGGCGAAAACGACGCCCGAGAAUAUUAAUGGGGCUCUGUGACUAAGUAUACUAUUGGAGGUUAUAUGGGAUGGAGUAAAUGACCUAGAAAUCAUCUGACUAACAUGUAAUCGACUAGGUCAAUGGAUAGAUGAUUCGAUCUAGUGUGAUUUGAUGUGAUUCAUUGCUUUGAUAUGAUGUUGUGAAUUGAUUGAUUGAAUGGAAAUGACCGUGAGUGGUCUUGUUGGCAUGUAAUCAAUUAGGUCGUUUGAUCGAUGCUUUGAUAAGUGAUGUGAUUGCUUGGAUGCCUAUUUGAUCUGUGCUAAUAUGCAGGUGGAAUCUGAGGCCAAGGUAAGUCCUCUGACUCAUGUUGUGCAUAGCUAGUCCUAAGGUGUAUUAAUUUACUAAUCGGGUCUUAGGGGGUAGAACUUGUUGAGACGUGGUCUCAAUGGUUAUUGAAUAACCAUUUCAGGACCUUGAUGAGGAGCCUGAGGAGGAGGAAUCUGAAGAGGAGAACCCUAGUGUGGAACCAGAUGAGGAGAAAUAUUUUGGAGAAGAAAAUGACCAUGAGGAGGAUCCUGAGUAUGACCCGGAUGAGGACUGAGAUCCCAUCCUGUUUUGUCAAACCUUGAUUAUAUGUGGAUAAGUAUUACAUCAGACCCUCAUGAAUAGUAUUGUGUUAUAUACUAUGAGGUGCUUGUAUAAAAGAGUGAUUGUGAAUUUUAGUAUGAAAAUUAUGGCACUGCUUUUCUAUCCCAUUUUUUUUUUUAUUGUCUAGGGAUUUAUAACUGCUUUCGCAUGUGCUAUUGAAAAUGAAAAGGUCGUCGAUUCGUAGUCCUGGGAUAUCGCAUUUUAAAAUCAACUAAAGGUAAGGGAUGUGCGCGUGCUUGAGGAUUAGGGCAUGACAGUUACUCUGGUAACUCAUUAACCCCAGCAAUGAUGGAUUCGGGCCUUGCCCGACAUACCAUGGAUAGGGUACCCAUUGGUAAGGAUGGCCCAAAAUGGGUUGCCCCAUAUUCGCUUGAGUUGAGAAUAUCUGCCAUUGAGUCUGGAUUUGUUGCUGGGUUGUGGGAAUUGCAGGUAUUGUGCUAUGGCCUUGUGUCUCUCCCAUUGGUGUGACGUCGCCUGUGGAAGGAACGCCAACAGUGCCAGGGAGCAGAUUCUCUAGAUUCAUGGUAAGAAAAAAAUUUCUGUUUCUUCUUCCUUCUUACAGAAUUUGAUUCUUUCAUAAUCAAGACGUUGAUCUGUCUUGCAGCUUCGAAAGUAAUCAGUUGUGGAAGAUGGAGCUUAAAGCCAAAGCUUUGAUACCAUGUCAGAAACCGAAGGCAAGCAAGGAACAGAGGAGAAGAAGAAGAGAAGGAUGAAGUUUAGGGAGAAGGUUUUUUUGUAUUCUGACUUGUCAUCAAUGUACAGGGCUUUUGCUGUUUAUAUUACAAAAUGUAUACAUAGAAAAAUGCAAUGUAAUAUUUUACAAAUCAAUCUAAUUUUGGAUUGAUUCUCUAUAAUCAGAAAUCGGAUCAAUCAAUUCCCGAUAUAUUUCUAGGAUCUUCUGCAUAUCUUCCAACAAUUCCAUCUUCACUCUCUUUUGGUAAAACAUUCUUUCAAUAUUACCUAAGUUUUAAAAUGAUAUAAGAUUAAUUGUGCAUACGCCAUGCUCAUCUAGUUGAUCACUUUUGAACAAUUUCUUACUCAGCCAAAGGAUAUAAUCUUCUAUAUUUGAUGCAGCAUGUUUAACGUUUAAUUUGAUUAGAUGAAGAACAGAAACAAAUGAAAUAUCAACCAAAAGAAAAAUUGAAACUGUUAUGCACAUCUUAGUGAUUGUCAUCUUAAAUAAAAGAUACUUUUGCAUUCCAUUAGUACUGACUUGUUUUGUUUCAGUUGUGCAAAAUGGGGCUACGAGUAUGGUGGGUCGAUGCCUCAUCCAAAUUGCAAAAUCCCGUGGCAUCCAUAGCAUCAACAUAAUCAGCGACAGGUGCUCUCUUGAAAGCUUUCAAUAACCUUGAUGCCACGUAACUCUUGUCAAACUACUGUUGUUUAAAACUUGUGUGUAGACUUUAGAUAGCAAAGGUAUGUGUGGGUUUGCUUUUAUUUCUCUUUUCUGUGAUUUGCUUUAACCAUUGCUAGGAAGCCCUUUUUUUUUUUUUUUUUUUCGGAAUGCAUUGAGCUCUUGUCGAAGUAGCUUUUGAUGGUUACACAGCCUAAAUUAUAUCUAAAAUUCAACCUCUGUGAUGACAAGUUGGAACUCUUUGGGGACUAAAUUACUUGUGGCAACUCUGUCUUUUCAUGUUCUAAUUAUGAAUGUUGCUAGUGGACUAAAAGUUAUGAAUAAUUGCUAGAUGCACAAAUAUGUUGACUAUGUUCGGUUGUGGUGGUGAUAUAUCAAUUUACAAAUUGAAAAUGUGCCAAAAUAUUUAGCAUUUUGGUAUCUCUGGUUUGUUUUUUGGAAGCUGGUGUGAUUGAUUGAGAUCUCUUGCAUCAAAUUACAGGGAGAAGUGGACCUUGAGCUUGUGUUACUGUAGCUGACCCUUUUAAGCUUGAAGUAACAUUGAGUGUGAUCACUGAUUUGAGGAAAUUAUAAUCUUUGGCUAGGUGCUACAAUGGGCACGAAUUUAUGUGGCUGACUGAGCAAUAGUACAUGCAUUGGCAUGCAAGAAUGGUUCUAUUAUGAGGGCAUUUUGAGGAACUGAUUAUGUUGAACUUAUCCAAAAAAAAGGUACUUUAGGUUCAUGUAGGUACAUUAACUAACAUCCUUUAAUCUCCCAAUAUAAAGAUGAGGUUUUGUGAUGUGGUAACAUGUAUUUGGAAAGAGUAGAAAGACUUGUUUUUUGAAUCUAUCGAAGGCAAAGGCAGUUUACUGUAGUGUGAAUUGAACAGAGAUCUUUUUGCAUUGCUUAUCAGAAGUGACUUGUUACUAUUGAUGGUUCUUCUACUAUUUUUGCAAUCAUCAUGUGUUCUAGACAUUGAUUGCUGGUAUGUUUAGAUCAUCAUGCUACUGGGCAUUGGUAAUUCCAUCUUUUUUGGUUACUGGUGGAAACUUCCUUUUAGUAUAUCUAAGACCUCUCUCUGCUUUGCAACUUCUUUUGGAGUGAAAUUUUCCUCCUUUUCUUUUAAUUCUGUGAUGAGACACAAAAAGAGGUCAAAAAACACUUUGUGAUGCUUGACGCAUUAAUUUAGUAGGGCUCUCUCAACCAGCUUAUUAGUUCAUGCUAUGACAUCUGAGCACAAAUUUGGUAGAAGUCUUUAUUUGUUCUCCAACUUAGCAGUUAGCACUGCAUAUCAGUAACUAAAUUUGAAUUUGACUGUGCUUUCAUGGUUGUCCUUUUCCUAUGACAGAGCUGGCUCUGAUGAAGCAAAAGAGGCGUUGAAGAAACUUGGUGCUGAAGAAGUGUUCACCGAGAGCCAAUUAGAAAUAAAGAAUGUCAAGAGUCUACUGGUAUCAUCCAUCCAUUAAUCCAUUCUACCAUAUUCUCAUGCAUGAAACACAUCCAUGUUUGGCCAUCGGCAUUUGAGUUCUUUAUUUUCAUCUUAUUGACUUGCUACUAGGGUGAUCUAAAAGAACUUGCCCUUGGAUUAAAUUGCAUUGGUGGCAAUGCUGCUUCCUUGGUGAUGAAAUUUUUGAGGUGCGACAAGUGUUAAAUUUGUGUUUAGUGCUUCCCUUAUCUUUAUGAAGAGUGUUGAUUUAGUUUUGUUCUCAAACGGGGAGGAACCAUGGUGACAUAUGGUGAGAUGUCUAAGAAACCAAUUACAGUGUCAACUUCAUCUUUUAUCUUCAAGGUAAAUUAAGAAGCGGCGAACUAAAUUUUCCGCCUAUGGUUAGGAGGUUAUUUUAGUCAAGCUUUACAAUUUGAUUUGUCUACGUUUUGGUCUCGGUCUUGGUCAAUGCCCUAUAGUUUUAUUAUUUUUGUUUUUGUCUAAAUUUGGCCCAAAACCUCAAUUUUAGUAUUUGACGCAACCAAAUUUGAGUGAAAAAAAUUAUCCCUGGAGUCGAGACUAAGAGGAGUAUUUAAAUCAAUGAGACAAUGGUUCUUAUGGUUUGCAGGAUCUUUCUUUGAAGGGAUUUUGGCUGCAUAAUUGGAUGAGUUCAAAUGAUGUAAAAAGGGUGCAAAAGAAUGAUGGAUCACUUGCUCGAGCUAGUGCGGGAUGGAAGUUAAAAUACGAGUAUGUCUUCGGUAACCACCACUCAAAUUGUUGUAUUUAGGUCUCCAUAUCUUUAUAGUGUCUCUAAUAGUAUUUAUCUUCAAGAUAGUGUGCUUGGACUAUGCAUGCAUAUGAAUUUCUCCGAAACUGCAGGACGGAGCUGGUUCCUUUUAGUGAUUUCCACAUUGCAUUGGAUAAAUCACUGGGGAAACUUGGAAGCCAUCCUAAGCAAAUCCUAAAGUUCUAGGGCUACUAAAUAUUUAAGGGCGGUGAGAAGAUCAAAAAAUUCUACGUCAUAUCCUUCAGACGAUCAACUGUUCUGACGUUGAGGCACUGGAUCAACCGAGCACGAUAACUAUGUAUCUUUUCCGUUAUUAUUAUUCUCUUUUCAUAAGUUAUGCAUCUUUUUUGUUGAGGUAAUUUCGUUGCUGCUUAUUUUCAACAAUUUCCAUUCUGAAUUUGUUUUGCAUCAUGCCUUCCAAUCUAAAACUAUUCUCAUGCUCUGCCAAAACAUGAUGGCUGAAUUUGGAGAUCCAAACAUCGGCCCGCUCGGUAUCAGAAGGGUCUAGAAAGGUUUCAAAUUUGCACGAUUCUCAUAUACACGUAAUAAGGAACAUUGGGAUAUACUUCCCAAAAAUCAUGUAAUCAACAUGGCAUGCAUUGAGAAAAAGAGCAAGAAGAAUCAUAAAUUAUUCAUUUGAUCUAACCUAAUUCAAAUGGGAUGCAGAGGGAAAACACAUAAUGGAAGGAUCAUGUUAGAUUCCAAAGAAUUGACGAUUGUUCAGAUACCACGGAAAGAAAAUGCAUCUUUUGUCUAGACAAUGUUAAGGACCGCACUCCUUUCUCAAGAUAAAGGAGUUGGACCAGGAUGAGCGAUUUUCAAAUUCAUUUUUAGCCUUGGAAAAUUUAGAGAGAAAAUAAAUUCCCCACAAAAGUGGCUUCCUAUCAUGCACGAUUUUGCUAGGCCGAAGAGAUGGGCCUAGCAAAAUGGCGGCCUAGCAAAAUGGAAGAUUAUAAGUAAUUGGAAGAUUAUCCACGCUGACACCUCAAAACACUUAAUGUAAUGCUUGGUUAAUGGCUAUGGAAUCAUGAAAGGAAUCCCAAACUGUAAAAGCAAAUAGAGGACAAUAAUCGGGAAAAUAUUCAAGGAUCUUAUGUGGUUCUUCAUCCUGUUUCUAUCCCUAGUUUUCCGUUAUUCGCUUUGUAUACAUUGAGUGAAGACGCAUUCCCUUUCUUAGACAUACAACAUAUUUGUUAUUUUAAGAGAUGGACUUCAUUCGGUGAGCAUAAUUCAACAUGGAAUUCCACUCUGACCCCAACCUAAGAAAAGAAUUUUUGAAUCAAUUUAGUAAUUUAGAUUUUUUCGUUUCUCAAAAAAUAAAUAAUUCGAUAAAAUUUUCCCUAAAAAUGAUCGAUUAUAUCACUCGAAAUAAUAUUUAAUAAAAAAUAUUUUUAUUAUUUAUAAUAAUUUAUGUCUAGAUAUUUUUCGUGGAAGGUAAACAAAAUUUUAGUUCGUUUAUUUUUAUAAGAAAUAUAUAUAAUUAUUUUUAUGAAAUGUAUUUUAAAUCAUUCUCUUAAUCAAAGAUACACUCCCUUUACAUCCGUGUUGUAGUUCCAUCUUCACUCUCGAUUGUAUUAAUUAAUCAUCAGAGCCAAAAGUAAAGCAAAAUAUUUUUGUGCUCUAAAUAGGCAAUUAUAUUCUAUACAGCUUUUCAUCAGCCAACAUUUAGUUUUUCUCAUGGACCAAUGGCAUCUGUUUUUAUGGUUGUGGUAGUCAAAAAUUAGAUUGGAAAUUAGAACACCUUUUAAAUAGAGGAGAUUAUGUAAAGCCAAAAGAAGCAAGGUGGACAGACCACUUUUCUUAGCCGUCGCAUCAACAAACAAACAGAGAAAAUGAUGGAGAUGCAAUCCUAAUUUUGAUGACAGCUUAGCAGUGUACUAUUGCUGGCCAAUGGAAGCAUGUGAUCAUCGUUUUUUUUACUGAAACAAUGAAUGAUUAGAUAGCCUCAUUGAUGACAUGGAAGUGACAAGCGGUACCUCCAUUAGUGCACCUUUUGAAUGGAAGAGAAUAUGUAAAGCCAAUAGAAGCAACAUGUACGGACGAUUUUUCUUAGCCAUUGCAUCAGCAAACAAACAGAGAAAAUGAUGGAGAUGCAAUCCUAAUUUUGAUGACAGCUUAGCAGUGUGCUAAUUGCCAGCCAACAGAAGCAUGUGAUCAUUGUCUUUUACCGAGACAAUGAAUGAUUGGAUAGGGCUUUUUCUUUGGGCAAGGAUGAAUUCCCAUUAUAUCAUUUUGUUAUGGUGCCUGGCAUUCAGGCCAAAGGAGGAGCAUUAAAUUCCCCAAAUAAGCCUAUGGACAUUUUUUAUUCAGGUGUUUAAUCCAAAAGAAAAACAGCGUCAUCUGGUCAUGUCAUGCGUUCCUCGUGACACUUAAGUAGUGGAAAAUAAUUGAACCACCCCAUUAGAUGAUUUCAUUCAGAUUUAGCUAAAAAGUUUUAUGCCAUUUCCCCUGGUAAGUUUAAGAUUACGUUAUUUCAGUUAAAAAGUUUAUACUUUGAUAAGUUUGAAAUUUCGGUAUAACAAUUUUAGGAGAGAUGGUGCAAUUAUCUUGGAAAUAUGACAAUUCGGUUUUCUCAAUCUCAUGGUCGCACUCAACUCAAUACAAUAUAUAUACUUGCAUCAGACUCGAUCCAACUCUAAUAUUAAAAACUAAAUUAUAGUGUAAAGCUUCAAACUCCAUCUCAAGUUCUCAUAAAAAAUUUCAAAAAUAAUGAUUUUUUUUUUCAUUGUCCCUAGUAAAAUCCUUUAAAUUAUUGACAAUGCUCAAAAGUCACAUUACUAUAGUAUUACAAAAUUUGACACCUCCGACAUGGCAAUCCAUAUCAUUAGGUCCAAAUAAAUAAAAGAAGGGGUGAAGUGGUUUUUUAUACAUAUAAAAAUAUUUAUCUUUCUAGAACCAGCACCUUAUUUAAAAACGUUUUUGAUAUGCAAUUAAACUGUUAAUUUACAAUAAGAAACUUAUAGAGUUUAGGGAAAAAGAAAUUACAAAAGCUAUUUAUAGAGUUUCAAUUAGGAUAUGUUUUCUCUUCUAGCUCUAGCAGCCCCAUUAGAUUGACAUUCACUACUUCACCAAUAGUGCAAUUGCCAAGAACUUUGUAUCGCGCAGACUCGACUCCUCCUAUGGCUAUCUCACUUUAGACUAAAUCAUUAUUAGAUCUCUUUCAAUAGCUAUUCUCACACCUUGUGCACACAACACGGUAGACAUAUUCUCCCCCAAAAUUAUUUAAUCACACUUCUAAGUGUUUACAAAUAAUCGUUCGCAUAUUUCGUCUCUUACCUAAACAAUUGCAUUCUCUCUAAGCACGAUCACUUCUUCCGUGUCUAUACAAAUGAUUUUGGUACCCUUGCUAACUUUUAGGAUCAAAACUAAAUAGAUUAUAAUGAAGCAGCAAAGAGAUAGAUCUCAAGAACACUCAAUGUGUUUCGAUUUUUCUUGUUGCAAGCACUCAAUCACAAGCUAUGUUUUACUCAUAGUUUGUCCUUAUAGGCCUCCAAAAACAACCCUCUUGUUUCAACCAUCUGAUUCAAGUCGAUCACAGAAUGAGUUUCAUUUCAUCACACGGAAAAGAGACAUUUGGAGGGGCUACUUAGAGAUCAUCAACAAAUGAAAAAAUCAAAAUGAUAAGGAGAGUGAGCAGAAGUUGGUAAGUUUAUAAAUUGACUUAUUAUAGUGUUUGCAAUUUAUUUAUGAUGCUUGUAAAAUUUCCAAAGAGUUGGUUAUUCUUUAAUUCAUUUCAAAGUUGGUAAAUUUCUAACGGCAUUGAUAAGUUAUUGAUAGGUUAUUUGGCAAUCAAAUUGACAGUCAUGCUUUUCUUUUUAUGACUGUACUAGAUGUUAAUGUUGGCUGGGUUUGGCUAUGUGGGGUCCGAUUAACAUUAAUAAAUAAAAGAAAAGGCCAAAAAGUCAAAAAUGCAAUAAAGGAAAAGAAAGGCGGGCUGCUCGUUCGGAGAAGAUAGGAAAUGGGCUGCCAAAUAUCGUCAGAGUCGACUCGAAUUUCAAUAUGUUGUUAUAAGACCAAGACAGAUGAGUCGAGAUAGGCGAGUCCAUCAGUUUCGUUUGUCAAUCCAUUUUGUUCAUUGAACACUUUUUCUAAAUUAUCUCAAAUUUCUCCAAUUGUCAUUAGGGUUUCUUACUUCAUAUAUAUUAAUCCGCUUUUACAGUGACGAAAUGUCAUUAUAUUGUUGAUAUUGAUCUCUAAUAUAUUAAUAAAGAAGAAACUCUGUGCAUCUUACUAUUUUUUGUGAUUAGUGAAAGUUUUUGAAUUGUCCAUAAUUUUUUUCGCAUUGAAUUUUCCACAUAAACUUGUUGUCGUGUUUGCUUUCGUCUGUUUUUAUCAUUUUGGCAUUAUUUUUAUUCAUUACGAGAUUAUAUUGCGGGAAUAUAUUGCCUGUUAUUAUAGGGGUUGAGUCGAUUUUGGUCCAGUUAAUCUUGGGAAGAAAUUGAUUUUACAUUAGGUUAAUUUUUGAUGAAUUGUUGCCGGUUCUCUCGAACUUUGUAUCGAUAAUUUUGGAAAUCCAUCAAGUAAGGGAAAUUUUCCGCAUUUUCCUUUGACUACCCUGCACUCAGUCCCGAAAGCUUGCGUCAGCCACAUCUUUGAUUUUUUGUAUCAUCGACCAAUAGCAUUUGAUUUUAUGGUCUUUGUCGUCGUGAAAAAGUAUGAUUUCAGUACCGAUCGCGUCCUCAUCGGCAUCUUUGAUUUUUUUGUCUCAUCGACCAAUAGCAUGUGAUUUCAUGGUCUCCGUCGUCGUGAAAAAUAUGAUUUCUGCCCCAGUCGUGUCCUUAUCGGCCCAAAGCAUUUUACUUGCUUUUUCCAGAACUGCCCCAUUCAAUAACACUUCAAUUCGUGUUAUAUUAUGAUCUGAGAAAUGGAUGUUUACUGCGGGGUUCGUCCAAAUCGGUUUCGUCCAGGGGGCACGCUAAGAAGAGAUGCUCCAAUAUUCCUUUUUUGGAACUUUCUUGCAAGAUUGAUUGCAGUUUUAUUUUUCAGGAGUUAUGCUUUGAUUGGAUAUGUUCAUGUUUCGGAGGAGGCUUGUGGAAUUUUGAAGACGACUCGCAUCAUACUUGUCAGCAUGCAGGGAUGGAACUAUCAUAUAUUUUUAGUGAGGUCAAUGCCCUAAAGACUGUAAGAUAAGGUAUUUUAUUUAACAAAAAAAUUAUAAAGAUGCGAUCGAGCUAUUUAUUGAUUUGAAGUAGUUUUUCCUCGCAAAGUUUGACUUGAAAUCAACGCUUUGACAUUGAAUCAUGAAUGUGAACAAAAUUCGGUUUCAAAUCCCUAUGCUGGACCUUGACUCAAAUAGUAUAUAGGGCUCGAAAUUAAACUCGAUUCAACUCCAUUAUUAAAAGCUCGAUUCUACUCAUUUGACUUGUUACAUAGGAUGUUUCUUUCUAUUUUUCCUAAUCAUAUACUGUACCUUCUGCAUAGCCUAGUCAUGCCAUUCGAUUGCUUUAUCUUUUGACUCUAUCAAGAUUUGUGUUUGAUUGGUGGUGUGGUUGUCUAGUAGUGCAAUGUCUAAGCUCGAUAAUUUUUUUGAUAAUUGUUUAUCUUUUUACCUUUCUGUUUUUUGUGUCACCAUGAAGUUUAUAGUAUAUGGAAAGACAAGAUACCGGUUUUGAUUUCUUGCAAGUUAGCGCAUGGUCCCUUAGAGAGCGAUGAGGCUAAGCCUAAUUGCAUCAAUGAACAAUGGAAGUUACUAAAAUGGCAAAGUGGGGUUUCAUUAGGCAUUCAUCAGUUGGAUUUUAUUUCUUUAGAUAAAUCCCAUCCCACUGCUCCUUUCGCUCUUCCGAUUUCCAUCUUUGGCAAUGGAAAACCAUAGCCACAACAACUCCGAUAUAAAUUAAGGAAUCGUUAUGCUAGCUGGAUCCUAUGAGAAACAAUUGAUGUCGUCUCAUCCAUUGAUCGUCAGACUUUCAGGAUUAUAUGUCACAAUCGCACUUUCCUUCACUCACGGAACACUUCCUGGAUAUGUCCUUCCUCAGCACUUCAUUUCGAGUUGGGAUUAAUAGUUCCCCCUGUACAGAUUGGAGUACAAAGCCCACCCAAAAAAUCGAAUAAAAUAGUCCGUUCUAUAUUGCCGGUAUCACCAGCUGACUUAGUUCCGAUGACUCUCUUUGGAAUAUGAGGCAAUAAUAGAGCAAAUCUGUCAAAUAGUUCUCCACCAAGAGCAAGAACUCUUUUAUUAUGUAUGUUGGAUUGAUUGGUCGAUUUACAACAUUUUGUAUAGAAAUUACGAAAAAAUGUAAAUAGUUAUAAUUCGUCAUUAUUCAAAAAUUUAUUUAUUGAUGACCAUAAAACUGCUCAUGUAUUAUAAGAAGAAAUUUGAAAAACCCUACAACACAAAAGUUAUUCAUCACAUCGAAUCUCCAACAUUGUAUAGUAGAGUAGACGAUCUACCACCGUGCAUCAUUCAAGUUUCACCCACAAACAUAAAUAGAAACUUCUAACUUCAUAAGCAUACAAUAAGAUAAGAACGACUAUUGUAAUUUCUGUCUCAUUUAUUAUUUAGAUUAGACAGGCCGCUCUGUCUAGUGCCCACAGUUAGGGCAUUUCUACUUGAAAAAAGCUGUUACUCUUCCAUGCUUGCACUUCUCACAAAUAAAUGGGCCAUCCAUGCCGGCUAAUUGCCCCACCGUACCCGUUGCCACCCCCACUCUGCCGUCACCCUUGCCAUCGCUGCUGCCUCUGCCGCCCUCAUCGCCGCCGCCACCCUCACGACCACUAGCACUGCCCUAUCGGCCAUUGGCACUGGCACUGCCUCGUUGGCCACCGGCACUGGCACUGGCACUUCCCUAUCAGCCACCGGCACUCCCCCGGCGGCCCUCGCGGCCCUUGCUCACCUUGCAGCCCUUGUGGCCCCGGCGGCCCCUUCUCCCCCUGUGGCCCCUGUGGCCCCUUCUCCCCUGGCGGCCCUUUCUCCCCUGGCGGCCCCUUCUCCCCUUUCUCCCCCGGCGGACCCGACUGCCUCCCCCAUCGGAUGCAAUAGAAAAGGAAACCACAAAGCAUUGCGGUAACAAUGACUAAACCAACAAUAACCACAAUAACCCACGUUGGGANNNNNNNNNNNNNNNNNNNNNNNNNNNNNNNNNNNNNNNNNNNNNNNNNNNNNNNNNNNNNNNNNNNNNNNNNNNNNNNNNNNNNNNNNNNNNNNNNNNNUUCUUUCUUUCGUUUUUAUUUUUUUCUUCACUUCCUUCUUUCUUCGGCUAGUAGCCAGCGACCACUGGAAAUGAAACUUCAGGAAGAAUGGAGCGAGCUUCAACUACUGUCCAAACUCGAUCAUGUCUUCAUGCGUGAUGUUCAAGUGCUGGGAAUUAGGCCCAUUGAAAUGAUACACGUGUUUGACUAUUCAUGCUCUAAGGUGGUAAGAUUUUGGUGAAGGGCCAAGAAAAAUAAUCAAAUCCGAAAUGAGAAAUUAUUAUAUGCUCUAUAAAACGUGUGACCCGAUAUCAUCUAGAUCAUUAAUCAAGUAGAUCUCGCUAUGAGCCCCCGGGAUCAAUUGUUGAACUGGGUUUUGAUAUAAGAUUUAUAGAACAUACAGUAACAUUUCAUGCAAAACAGGGUUGCAUACGUGACUUGAAAAAUAGAAUUCACUCUACUAUCCAAAGUCAAGUCCACAAAAACUUAUUUUAGAGCCGAACUGUUAAGGAUAUAAGCGAUCCACUGUCAAUUCGUUUCUAUUUCGAGUAUUCUAAAAAUGUAGGAAAAUGUUCUAAGAUCCUCCUGAACUUAAACUGUCUUAGAUGGACACAUAAAAAAACCACUAAUCUCAGUCCUCGCGUUGGUCUAUUCCUGUCCACAUCUCUCUUAUGGUCACGGGACUCCUGUCCGAACGAUAUUAAAAGACAACCACGUGGCCAGCUAAUUAGAACGGUGGAAUUAAAGAAGAAACGUGGGAAAAAUGACGUAAAGACAAAGUCCGUCGACUCGUCACCGUCGGCCACGAUAGUGUGUUUUUAGAAUCUGGUCCCACCAACUUUAUUCGCCAUCACAUCGUUUUCUUCCCCCAACUGCGGGACUCUCGAGUUUGUCGCUACCCAUUCGUCGCAAUGAUGGUUCCAAUGCCAUAACAAAAGACGAUGGAUAGACUCCACAGAUGCAUAAAUUGAAUCUAGUCGAAAAUGGUCAAAUUCAAAUUAAUAUAUUUAAUUCAUUUUGAUUUAUUUUCAUGCAAUACAAAUUACGUUACUCAUACCUGACUUAAUUCAUAUCUAAUUUGACUCAUAUUUCUAAAAUACUUCCAUAUUUAAACUAAUUUAAGAAAAUCCAAAAUGAAGUGAGAGUAAAUUGUAAAAUUAUUUAGUACCCAUAUUAUUUUGAAUUUAAGUCUAUUUUGAAUUUAAGUCAUUCAUAAAAUCAAAAAAAUAGUCUUAUAACCCAUUUUAACUAGUCUACCAUCCGAUAAACAUGAUAUCCCAACAUUUAUGAAAAGUUGUCCCAAUUAUGUCACAUCGCAUACACAUGUAAGAAGGAAGAUUGGGACAUCUCCCAAAAAUCAAGUAUGUAAUCGACAUUGCAUAGGUUGAGAAAAGAGCAAGAAGAACCAUAAAUUAUUCCUUUAAUUAUACUUGAUUCAAAUGGGAUGCUGACUGCCUUUGGGGAACGACAUAUGUGAAACGCAAUAAGCGAAAUACACAGAAGACUAGCGACUAAUAGUCACUAAUUAAGAUAUGGAAAAACAUAGAAUGGAAAGAUUGUGUCGGAUUCCAAAGAAUUGACAAUGUUCAUAAAUCACAAAAAGAAAAAGGCAUCUUUUGUGUCGAGAACCACACUCCUUUCUCAAGAUAAAGCCGACAACGUCCUUCAUAGUGUCUGCGACCUGCAUAGUAAGCAUAAAAGAGUUCAACCGGGGUAAGCGGUUUUUGGAUACACUUUUAAUCUUGGAAAUUUUGGAGAGAAGUCAAAUUCCCCAUAAAAGUUGCUUUCAAUUGGGCAUAAUUUGGAAAUACUGACAUUUUGCUAGGUUGAAGAAGGAAGAGAUUCAAUCAUGUUUCAUCCAACCGAUUUAGAAUUGACCGACCACCUAGAGCAUAGCAAAUCAAGGUAUGUAAGUAUGGGAGGGUUUUUUAAGCUGACAGCUCAAAACCACUUGAGGCCAUGUUUGGUUAAUGGCCAUGGAAUCAUGAAAAGGAAUCUCAAUCUAAGCAAUCAAAUUCCUAGAUGUGGGGUUCAUUCUCUAUUGGUUGGUUUCAAUUUACAAAUGAAGGGAGAAUGUCUUAUGUGAGAUGCAAAGUGAGGUAAAAACAUGUUAGAAAUGGAAUGUGUAAAAUAGUUCUCCAAUCCACAUAUCCAAAGUGGCUAAUGAAAAACUAGGGAUAGAAACAGAAUGAAGAACCAAAUACGAUCCCCCAACAAUUUCCCGAUUAUUGUCAUCUAAAAUGAUCAUUUCAUUUCACAAACACAUUACAUACAGCUCCUCAAAAUCUCUUGAGUAAAGCAUUUCACAUAUAAUCUGCAACAAUGAAGAUAAAGCCAUUCCUGUGUAACUUCAAACUACUUCACAGCUGUUACCUCAAGCCAUUGUGAUAUUCUUAUCCUUAUUGUGUUUUGAGUCAAAGACCCAAUCACGAGAACAAAUGGAGUGACAGCAACUCAGCCAAGUGUGUUAAUGGAACUUUAUAUCCCCACUCAAGCCAGCGUGAUGAUUGUAGUUGGCAUCUCCAUUAAUAGACCAGACAAGUUUUACGAGAGAGAGAGAGAGAGAGAGAGAGAGAAAUAAUCUCACCUAGUAGAAGAAUGUGAGGGCCAUGGAAUUAAGAGGCAGGCAAAACUCCCAUCGAAGGAAUUGAAGUGAAAAGAUAUGUUUAUGCAUUGCUUAUCAAAAGGGACUUGUUACUUUUGAUUCCGCUUCUACUUUUUUUUGCAGUCAUCAUGUGUUCUAGAUGUUGAUUGCUUGUAUAUUUAGAUCAUCAUAUUGUAGGGAUUGGUAAUUCCAUCUUUUUUGGUUGCUAGUGGAACUUCCUUUUAGUAGAUCUAAGACCUCUCUCUAUUUUGCAACUUCCUUGGAAUGAAAUUUUCCUCCAUUUUUCUCAAUUCUGUGAGGAGACACAAACGAGGUCAGAAAACACUUCGUGGUGCUUGACACGUUAAUUUAGUAGGCUCUCAUCAGCCAGCUCUUUAGUUCCUGCUAUGACAUCUGAGGACAAAUUUGGUAGAUUUCUUGAUUUCUUUUCCAACUUAGUAGUUAGCACUGCAUAUCAAUAACUAAAUUUGGUUUUUACCAUGCUUGAUGAUCAUCUUUUUCCGGUGACAGAGCUGGCUUUGAUGAAACAAAAGAGGCAUUGAAGAAACUUGAUGUUGAAGAAGUGUUCACUGAGAGCCAAUUUGAAGUAAAGAAUGUCAAGAUUCUACUGGAACCGUUCGUCCAUGAACCCAUUCUACCAUAUUCUUAUGCAUGGACACAUCCAUUUUUGGCCAUUGGCACUUGAGUUCUUUAUUUACAUCUUAUUGACUUUGUACUAGCAUGAUCUAAAAGAACCAGCCCUUGGAUUAAACUGCGUUGGUGGCAAUGCUACUUCCUCAGUGAUGAAAUUUUUGAGGUGCAUUAAAUUUGUGUCGAGUGCUUCCCUUAUCUUUCUGAAGAGAGCUAAUUUAGUUUUGUUCUCUGGUGGGGAGGAACGAUGUAGACAUGUGGUGGGAUGUUUAAGAAACCAAUUACAGUGUCAACUUCAUCUUUUAUCUUCAAGGUAAAUUAAGAAGUAGUGAACUAAAAUUUUUGCUUAUGGUUAUGAGGUUGUUUCAGUCAAGCCUUACAAUUUGACUUGUCUACAUUUCAGUCUCAGUCUUGGUAAUGCCCUAUAGUUUUAUUUUUUGUUUAAAUUUGGCCCAAAAUCUCGAUUUCAGUAUUUGAUGCAACCAAAUUUGAGUGAAAAAAAUUAUCCCUGAAAUUGAGACUAAGAGGGAUGUAUAAACCAAUGCAAUAAUGGUUCUUAUGGUUUGCAGGAUCUUUCUGUGAGGCGAUUGUGGCUGCAUAAUUGGAUCAAUUCAAAUGAUGUAACAAAGUGCAAAAGAAUGAUAGAUCACUUGCUAGAACUAGUGCGUGAUGGAAAGUUAGAAUACGAGUUCGUCUUUUGUAACAACUACUCCAAUUGCUGUAUUUAGGUCUCCAUAUCUUUCUAGUAAUUUUCAAUAGUAUUUAUCCUCAAGAUAGUGUGUUUGGAUUGUGGAUGCAUAUGAAUUUCUCCAAAACUGCAUGAAUUUCUCAAAACUGCAAGACCGAGCUUGUUCCGUUUAGUGAUUUCCACGUUGCACUAGAUAAAUCACUGGGGAAACUUGGUAGCCAUCCUAGGCAAGUCUUAAAGUUCUAUGGCUACUGAAUAUAUAAGGGCAAUGAGAAGAAGGAAAAAUUCUGCAUCAUAUCCUCCUGACGAUCAGCUUGUUCUGAAGUUCUGAGGCGCUGGAUCAACCGAGCACAAUAACUAUGUAUCUUUUCCCUUACUAUUAUUUUCUCUUUUCAUAAGUUAUGCAUCUUUUCCAUUGAGGUAAUUUCGUUGCUGCUUAUUUUCUCCAAUUUUCAUUCUGAAUUUGUUUUGCAUCAUGUCACCCAAUCUAUAAUUAAUCUCAUGCAACAUGGGAUCCGUCUACCAUGGCUGAAUUUGGAGAUCCAAACAUCGCCCCGUUUGGUGAGGGUCCAUAAAGGUUUCAAAUUUUCCAAUUACAAUUCUCAUAUACACGUAACAAAGGACAUUGGUAUACUUUCCCAAAAAUCAUGUAAUCGACAGCGCAUGCAUCGAGAAAAGAGUAAGAAGAACCAUAAAUUAUUCAUUUGAUCUAACCUAAUUCAAAUGGGAUGUGGACUGCCUUCAAGGAACGUCAUACAUACACGACAAGCAAAACCAAUAGAAGACUAGCUAAUGGUAGUUACUUUUUAUGGUAGGGAAAACACAUAAUGGAAGAUCGUAUCGCCUUCCAAAGAAUUGACGAUUGUUCAGAUACCAAAGAAAGAAAAGGCAUCUUUCAUCUAGGUGAUGUCAAGAACUGCACUCUUUUCUCAAGAUAAAGUCGACAGCAUCCUCAACAGUAUCCACAACCUGCAUAGGUAAACAUAAAAGAGUUCGAUCAGGAUGAGUGAUUUUCGAAUUUAUUUUUAACCUAGGAAAAUUUAGAGAGAAGACAAAUUCCCCACAAAAAAAUAUGCUCGAUUUUGAAAUACUGACAUUUUGCUAGGCUGAAUAGGGAAAGGGUUCGUUCGGUCAUGUUUCAUCCAACCAAGUUGGAAUUCACAGAUCACCUAGAGCAUAGCAAAUCAAGGUAUAUAAGUAUGGGACACCUCAAACACUUAAGGCCAUGUUUCAUGGCCAUGCAAUUAUGAAAAGGAAUCCCGAUCCAAGCAAUCAAAUUCCUAGGAGUGGCUUUUUUUCCCCUUUAUUGUUUGGUUUCAAAUUACCAAUGAAGAGAGAAAUGUCCAAUGUGAGUUGCCAAAUGAGGUUAAAAACAUGUCAGAAAUGGAAUGUGUCUCCAAUCAACAUGUAAAAGUAGAGGAUAGAAACAGAAUGAAGAACCACAUAAGAUCCCUCAACAAUUUCCCGAUUAUUGUCCUCCAAAUGAUUUUACAGUUCACACAAGCAUUUUUACGAACCGAUUAUACAAAACUCAUCAAAAUCUUGCGAGUUAAGCAUUUUUCGCACAAAAUCCACAGCAAUGAAGACGAAGCCAUUUUUAUGAACUUCAAACUACUGCACAGAAGUUCCUUUAAGCUUUUAUUUUUUUUUUUUAUCCCCUUUGUGUUUGGAGUAAAAGACCAAUCGCGAGAACUGAAAAGGGGGGGACAGCAACUCAGCCGAGUGGGUAAAGGGAACUUUAUGUCCCCCCCCAAGCCAACAUGAUGCUUGUUGCUGAUGUCUCCAUAAAGAAUCCAAACAAGUUUCACAAUGACGAGAGAGAGAAAGGAUUUCACCUAGUAGAGGGAUGUGAGGGCUAUGGAACCAAGAGGCAGGCGAAACUCACGUGGGAAGGAUUUGAAGAUGAUGAAUGGAGGAAGGGGGGGGGGGGGAGAGAGAGAGAGAGAGAGAGAGAGAGAGAGAGAGAGUUCUGGUUUUGUAGGAUUUAAAGAUGAUGAAGCUCAGACUACUGAGUGGGUAGAGUUCGCAAAUGUUUUUCUUUUCUAGGAAUUCCGGUACCACCUCUACUGAGCAAUCCAAUUCUGCAUAUUAAAGAGAAUCCAUUACCUAGGUAAUUUGAUUCCACAAUCAUAAAACCAUCCGAAGAUGAGUUGCAAUGGGAUUUCAUUUCCUUUUCUUACUCCAAGGUGAACCAAACAACGCCUAAGUGAUCACCUAGUGUAUUAGACUUCCGAAUGUUUUCCUGGUGGAAUCUAAGAUUUGCAUUCUCAACCAUGACUUUCCACUAGGAACACGGAUAUAAAAUCUCUAAACCAAGGCAGUGAAAAUGCUGGAAUGCACACGAUUUGCAUACAUGGGAACCUACCAUCAACUCACCCCAACAUACAUACGAGGAGAGAGAGAGAGAGAGAGAGAGAUGUCUGAAUUUUGUUAUGAGUACAAAAACCUACCAAGUCCGCAGGGAACUCUGAAUGAUUAUCUUUUCCCUUGAAUACCCCAGUCCUUGUUAAUAUAGAAAACCAAGGAUCUCCUGCCUGAAGGAGUUGUCAGCUCUAUUGGUGAUUAUGUUUGGAAAAAAAUUUACUGGUAUAAUAAACUCGAUAUUUGGUAUGAAAGAUACCUGUCGUGCGCCUCUAAUGUCGAUUUUUGGAUUAUCUCCUAUCAUGUAUAGGGUUUUGAAACAACGAAUUCCAGAGUUUGUAGUAUUCUCCACAUCUAGGUUGCUUAACAAAGAUGGCAUAAGAUUCCUUAACACUGUCUCAGCAUUUCCAUAGACAAAUGGAUUUGGCUUCCCGUAUGAUGUAUACGCCAGCAGAAUGGGAUGUAUUCUGCAGAAUAGGGACAAGUAAACAAUGCACAACAUAAGAUUGAAGAUUAAUGCAUGCUGCUAUGCUGCAUCGAGGAAAGUUAGGCCUACACAAGGAUCUUAUAGGCCAAUCUUUAAUUUUUUGCGGAGAAUACUAUAUCAAACUCCAUAAAGAACUAUACAUUGAGAAACUGGAACCUCACCAUUACCUGUUAUAGAUUGCUUCUAACGCAAUUCUGAAAGCUCCCAUACCCAGACGUUCAGCAAGAAAAGUAGCCUGCCUUUACAUUUUGUCAGCUAGUCAUCAGCCAGUCUUUAGUUCCCCUAAGGUUUCAAAAACUCAAGAUUGCAGCUUCGAAUCACAAAUGGCAUAGCUUACCUGGUAUUCUAGGUCAUCAUUUGCAAAAAAACAGGUGCGGUUGCUUAUUAGUCUCCUUUCCAGGAAGCCCUCCAGUUCUCAAUACGUCACAGAGCACCUAAACCCAAACUUGAGUAUCAUAGAAUUAUUUUAUUGUACGCGGACAGAUAGAUAGAUGAUAACACUCCUUUUUAUCACUUCUUUCAAACAUAUUUCAGCGCCCACUAGACUUCUAAAAGGAUGAUGACUAAAGUUGCACAGUAGUUACUGAACAAACAAACAAAAGCCUGGUGUCUUUUGAUAAUCAGUUCAAAGAUUUAGAACUCACAUGACAAAAAGCCCAGUAUGGACUCAACAGCCGAGUUAGAUAAUCUAAGAAAGGACAAGAUCCAUUAGAGUGGUCACAACCUGAAUAUCUCUGCUCCAGUCAACAGAAUCACUGACUACAAAUGCUGCCUGAACUCUCUGUGUUUGCACAGCAAUUUUUCUCUUCGCCAUCUCAUUGGAAGUGAUAUUCUGGUCAAUGCCUGGCUUAGUUGUCCAUCUCUUGUACGGUGCCAGUGGAUCAAUGGCAUCAAAGUAGCUAGUGUACUCAUCAAUUGACAGAACAUUUCUGCACAGAAAAGAUCAACCAGAAAGAGGAUCAACCGGAGAGAAAUCAAAGAGAAUAAAGUUGUUGCGAUUCGCAUUCUCGGUGAAACAGUAUUGAAAACACAGACAACUUAAAUGAAUUAAGGAGAGGACUCCUCUGCGAUUACUCAAGUCCCUGAGAACUUGAGUGCUUUUUAUUAACUUUGCUAGCUUCUAGGUAUUACCUAGACAUUAAAGUAAUAUCCAUCAAUAUCAAUUUUAUUAAAUACAUAUCUUUAUCCCUAUUGGCAACCUAUCUCUCUCUUCCCCUCCCCCCACCCACACACCUGCAUGCACAAGCAAGUAAUUGAGACAUUGCUGGGCACAUUUGCAAACCUAGAGAAGUGGUCAAAAUAUUUACUUGUAUCCAUAUUCGGACAUCACAGUAGCAGGUUCUCCUUUGCCAACAGCAACGACAAGUUCGUUCUCGAAUCUGUGCAAAAACCUCAAUUAGGAAACAAAUGAAUAAAAUAGAGAAGCAUAUUCGUUAGUAAAACAGAAAAGCCUAUUCAGAAUUCUUUUAGAAUAGUUAGCACAUGCAUUCACACUCUUCUAUGUCUUUUCAAUCCAUAUAAUAUAAUAUAGGUAGUGCAUUUCCCUAGUAUCCAAGAAGAAAGCACAUGAGAUGAAGAUAUGAGAUGUGUUCUUUGAUAUCCACGUACAUAUCCCAGAUAGGGUACAUUCAAUAAAGUCCAAUUUCACAGUUUUGAACCUACUAAAUCGUGUACUUAUAAAUAAUUCUUUUACAGGAGAAUUCUUAUCAAUCUAAUAAUACACAUGCACAAUAUUUUAUUUUGCGAUCAUUUAUUUUAAUAAUCAUGAGUGAGAUAAAUGAAAAAAGCAAAUGUUAUCGAAAAUGCUCAGUCCUGAUUUACAUUAGCAUGCCGCAUUUCUCAUUGGACAUUGGUCAUGGAGAUAAUCCAACAAAUCCUUACCUAUUUACCAGUUGUUUAAAAGGUGUGUGGCCCUGUAUGACCUGCAAAUUAUCUUGGUCAAAAUAUGAGAGAAAAUGAAACAAAGUAGUUCUGGACCUGAUAACAAGCAAAACCAUGAGGGCAAGCAGAUUAUGUAACACACGAAACGAACUACCUGUGAAGGUAAAAUGUUGACUCCUAGUAGUUGACCUAAGUCCUGGGCUCUUUUGGAUUCAGAAAAGCCACCUCCUGCAUCAGCCAUUAGUAUUAGCAGUGUGCAGUAAAAACUAAUUAUCGCUUCUUCAAGAAUUAACAAGCGAAAUUUCUAAUUUCAAGGGACUAACAUAUUGAGCGAUUAUAGGUAAGGGCAUCUCAAAAGGCGUCACAGAUUCAAAUUGCUUGAAUGACUUAAACACAAGACAGCGGCAAUCUCAAAAUCAUCAAGACGAUUACUAUUAGAUCUUAAAAAGUACCAAUACUUGCCGAUAAGUGAAUAAUCAACCACAAUAACCGUAUGAUGUCCAGCAUGCAACUUGAAAACUUUAGUUUGACCAUCAUAUCACGGCACUCACCGGUGAUGACUCUAUAGAAUGGUCACAUUCGCUAACACACAUCGAAAGUGAGAAAUGUAAUAGUAAAGGUUACUAACACAUUUAAGCAAUCACGAACACUCACCUUUUGUUAAGAACACGAAAGGUAUCUUCAACUCUCCUGAAAAGAUGUAGAACCUAAAGUAAGUGAUAGAAGGUUACAAAUAGCAGAUACGAAUCUCGAUAUCCGCCGCCCUUUACUGUCCAUCAGAAAUUUCGGUAGCAAUCAGUUCGCAACGUAGAACAAAAAAGAGAAAUUAGAUUGAUUUCCCGGGCUUAAUUUAAGUUAUGGGUGAAGACAUUCUCUUUCAGGUUAUACUCUGUGUGGGAACUGUAGAAAUGAUCUGCCUUGGUACAGAGAAAGGAACUCACUUUAAGCACGUGAAACAGCACGAUCGCCAGCAUGAGAUAAGCCUCGCAGGUAUACCAGCAAGCGAUGGCGAAAGCUUUACCAGAAUCGUCGUAGUACAAUCUCCUGAGCACGCGCGGAGAACCGCCGAUGGGAGUGUGACCGAGGAGGACCACGCCGUCGAUGUCGAAGGCGAUGCCGAACGAAGGCCUGCACGACGAAACCACGAUCAUCGAUUCGAUCAUGGGCGAAACAGAAGAAGAAGGAGAGAAAAAGAGAACAUCGGAGAAAAUCACGAGCGUUGUCGAAGCAUGACCGGAAGGCACCGAUCCGAUUGCGAGCAAAGCCGCGAAAACGAGCGCGAGGCGAGCGGGGACGGCUGCUUUCUGCCGCGACUCCGCAAGGCGAUGGUGAAAAGCCGGUGCCUCAUUUUCCUGUUCGCGGCGAAUCGCUUCGGGAGAUCGAGGAGCUCGAAUCGCCGGAGAUGAAGCUCCAAGAAGAACGGAGCGAGCUUCAACAGUCCAUAGAGAGAGAGAGACAGAGAGAGAGAAUGGCUCAAUCGCGCAGCGUCUUCUCGUUCGAUGUUCAGGAGCCGUGAAUUGGGCACCGUUGAAAUGAUGGGCGGGCCUCGAUAACGGAUCGGCCAACGGAUCGGCCUUUCCUUCGGAUCCGAGCUCAACGGUUAAGCUUGAUUUUGGUGAACGUUUUUGGGCUGUUUUUGAUGGUGGACUGAGCAUAUCGCGGAGGAGUUCGAUGUUUCGGGGACUUCGAGGCUACUGACAUAUCUCCGAUGGCUUCUGUGUAUUAUAGAUUUGAUUUUAGGCUUCGCUUCAUCCUUAGAAAGUAACCUGAAUUCACGAUAAAAACUAAAAUGAUUUGCGAUAAUGUCCUAUUUAUGCCUCAUGUGCGAUCGGCGCCUUCUUACUCAUUAUUCACCCAUGGACUUGAUCGACGAGUGGAUUAUAUGUCAUGGUGAGUUUAUCUUUGGUUGCUGAGAUAUUGGAAGAGAAUAAAAGUCUAACUGCGAGAUUCUGAGGCUGCUAAUGCAUCUUUUAUGACUUCACUGUUUGACUUUGACAAUUGUUGCUCCAGUUCCUGAGGAAUAUUGAUAUGUAGUUACAAAGUCAGAUCAUAAUUCAUCCAUGUACUAUUUAUUGCUUCGCGCAACGUUUAUUUGAUAAUUCAUGCAUAAACUUUGAUCUAGGUGUGUAUCUGGUGAGGCCACAACUGCCCGCAGUCGGAGGACGUGAAGGAGUUGGCAAAGUACACUUAAGUCAUAAAGUGAUAUCAGAUUAACAGUGGACCAGCCAUGCUCAUCUAGUUUAUCACCUCCGAAUGAUUUAUCCAGCCAAAGGAUAAUCUUCUAUAUUUGCUCCAGCAUGUUGAACAUUUUCAACCUGGCGAAAAUUUGAUUAGAUGGAGAAGAGAAACGAGUGGAAUAUCAACCAAAAGAAAAUCGAAAUUUUUAUACACACCUCAGUAUACGACUUGUUUUGAUACUUUUACAUUCCAUAAGUACUGACUUGUUUUGUUAUGAAGAACAUCCAUGUCUAGCACUUACCCAUUGUAAAUUUGAGUGUGUUGAAAAGUGAAAUAGUUUUUGUGCUCAAGGACAUGGCAGACUUACAUUGUGAAAGACCAGAGUGUGUGGCAAAAAAUUGAUAAGAAUUCUCCUAUUGAAUAUGCCACAACAAUUUCAAUUAAUCCUCCAACCGCUUUCAAAAUGCUUGAAGACUUCACCUGUUUGGAACCAGGUAUAUAGACAGUACAGAAGUCCUCUUAGCUAUCCCCCAACUUUCACUGUAAGCAAUUUAUACUAAGUUGUCCUAAUCAAUUGUGAUCAUUACGGGAUUCGAUUGUGCAAAAUGGGGCUACGAGUAUGGUGGGUCGAUGCCUCAUCCAAAUUGCGAAAUCCCAUGGCAUCCAUAGCAUCAACAUAAUUAGGGACAGGUGCUCUUUCGAAAGCUUUCAGUAACCUUGACACCGUAUAACUUUUGUCAAACGAUUGUUGUUUAAAACUUUUGUGUAGACUUUAGAUAGCAAGGGUAUGUGUGGGUUUGCUUUUAUUUCUCUUUUAAGUGAUCUGCCUUAACCAUUCCUAGCAAGCCUUUUCUUUUCCCUCUUUCUGGGAAAGCAUUGAGCUCUUGUCUACUUAGCUUCUAAAGUAGCUUUGGAUGGUUACAUGGCCCGAAUUAUAUCUGAAAUUCAAGCUUUUGACAAGUUGGAACUCUUUGGGGAUUGAAUUACUUGUGGCAACUAUCUUUUCCUAUUCUAAUUGCGAAUGUUGUUGGUGGACUAAUAAAUAUGAACAAUUGCCAGAUACACAAAUAUGUUGAUUAUGUUUAGUUGUGGUAGUGGUAUAUCAAAUUACAAAUUGAAAAUGUGCCAACAUAUUCAGCAUUUUGGUAUCUUAGGUUUUUAUGGAAGAUGGCAUGAUUGACUGAGAUCUCUUGUAUCGAAUAACAGGGAGAAGUGGAUCUUGAGCUUGUGUUACUAUAGUUGACCCUUUUAAGCUUGAAGGAACACAGAGUCUGAUCACUGAUUCAAGGAAAUUAUAAUCUUUGGCUAGGUGCGUACAAUGGGAAGGAAUCUAUGAGGCUAACUGAGCGUUAGUUCAUGCAUCGGCAUGCAAUAAUGGUUCUAUUAUGAGGGCAUUUUGAGAAUUGAUUAUAUUGAACUUAUCAGAGAAAAUAAGACAAUACUUUUAGUUGGUUUUGGUACAUCAACGUCAAUCUGCCAAUAUAAAGAUGAGGUUUUGUGAUGGGGUAACAUGUAUAUGAAAGAUUAGAAGGACCUGUUUUCUGAAUCUAUUGAAGGCAAGGGCAGUUAAUUGUAGUGUGACGUGAAAAGAUAUGUUUUUGCAUUGCUCAACCUGUUACUGUCGAUGCUGCUUCUACUAUUUUUGUAGUCAUCAUGUGUUCUAGAUGUUGAUUGCCGGUAUGUUUAGAUCAUCAUACUACCAGGGCAUUGGUAAUUCCACCUUCUGUGGUUGCUGGUGGAAACUUACUUUUGGUAUAUCUAAGACCUCUCUUUGCUUUGCAACUUCCUUGUAGUGAUUUUUUUAAUUCUGUGAUGAGACAGAAAAAAGGUCAGAAAACAUUUUGCAAUGCUUGACACAUUAAUUUAGUAGAGUUCUCGUUAGCCAGCUCAUUAGUACCUGAGUGACAUCUAGGAUGAAUUUAGUAGAAUUCGUAAUUUAUUUCUCAACUUAGCAGUUAGCACUGCAUUUCAGUAACUAAAUUUGGUUUUUAUUGGGCUUUCACGACCCUUUUUUUCCCGUGAUAGAGCUGGCUCUAAUGAAGCAAAAGAGGCGUUGAAGAAACUCAGUGCUGGAGAAGUGUUCACCGAGAGCUAAUUCGAAGUAAAGAAUAUCAAGAGUCUACUGGUAUCAUGCAUCCAUUAACCCAUUCUACCAUAUUCUCAUAUGCAUGGACACACAUCCAUGUUUAGCCAUUGGCACUUGAGUUCUUUAUUUACAUCUAAUUGACUUGCUACUAGGGUAAUCUAAAAGAACCUACCCUUGGAUUAAACUAUGUUGGUGGCAAUGCUGCUUCCUUGGUGAUGAAAUUUUUGAGGUGCAACAAGUGUUAAAGUAGUGUUGAGUGCUUCCCAUAUCUUUACGAAGAGAGCUCAAUUCGUUUUGUUCUCAAGCGGGGAGGAACCAUGGUGAGAUAUGGUGGGAUGUCUAAGAAACCAAUUACAGUAUCAACUUCAUCUUUUCAUCUUCAAGGUAAAUUAAGAAGUGGCGAACUAAAUUUUCCACCUACGGUUUUAGUCAAGCCUUACAAUUUGACUUGUCUAUGUUGGUCUUGGUCAAUGCCCUAUGGUUUUAUUUUUUGUCUAAACUUGGCCCAAAAUCUCACUUUCAGUAUUUGACACAACCAAAUUUGAGCUAAAAAAAUUAUUACUGGAGUCAAGACUAAGAGAAUUGUGUAAACCAAUUCUUCCAUAUAUUCAAUCGUGCGGGGAGUUUUUUUUUUUUUUUGGGGGGGGGUGGGGGGGGGGGGGGGGGAAUGUAAUUACCUGUUAAGAAAUGAAGCAAAUUGUGGAUUGGUGAGAAAAUCAUGCGCGUGAGAUCAAGAGAUUAUCCACGUGGAUUUCUUAGGGCCAAAGAAUCAAUAUCACUUGCUCCCUUAAUCGAAAGUAGUAAUUGUUGGGGCUUCAUGAAUCAUGUAUAGAUAAAAUUUAACAAAAGAACACAACGGAAACAAAAAUGAUAUAUUUUAUACAUGAUUCUCCGAAGGCAUUGUUUGUGCGUUUUAAUAAAAAAAAUCUGAAUGUAAAAAGAGAGGCUAAGGAAUUACUUCUCGAAACGCGCUUUAAACAAAUUGGUUCGGAUGUUUUUCAGUUCGAGUCCCACAAACGUUAGAACUCUAGUUCAGACACACCAACAAUGGACGUCGAAUGGAAGAGAGAACUUUCGAAUAAUCACCACUAUGAUCGUGCUAGCAAUCUUGUGGAGACAAUCGAUCGUAUCCUUGAUGUAUUAUAGUCACAGCCCAAACGAGAGAACACUCUUCUUUAUCGCGUCUCAAAAAACACAAAAACAUACACAUUUUACUCUAUUUUCAGCAACCUUAUUUUCUGUCCUCAAUGCAGCAUUUUAAAAUGAAAAAUGCUUGAAUCAGCAACCGUUGCUGAUUGAGGGGACAAUAAGCAACCAUUGCUGAUCAUCCGUUCAUGCACGAACGAUCGUGCAUGAACGGUCAGCAGUUGCUGACAUCCAAGUUUCAUGCAUGUGCUUCGUGCACAUGCAGGAAGCUUUAAAUAUUUGUUUAUUAAACAUUAAUUAAUUAAUUAAUUAAUUAAACUAAUAAUUAAUUAAUUAAUCAAUCCCCUUUAAAAAUAAAAAGAACAUAAUCUUUAUAUGUACAUUUGGGAAUACAUUAACAUGUAUUCACUUUGGGCAUAUAUGUGCAUUAUAUGCAAAUAGGUUCAUGAUUAUAAUACAAAUUAAAUUAAAUCUUAUUUAAUUUAAUUUCAAGUUGACACAAUUCGAUUGUAGUAAUUGUAAACAAAUUUGCAACAUUAUUUAUUUCUUGUUCCACGUUAUCCUAAUUGUUUAUUGUGUGUGACAUCCCUAGGUUCAUCACUAAACUGGUACUAAGACUUGUACAAACACAUCAGUACUCUCAAAGAAUUAAUUGUCCUGAUUAAUCUUUGGGUCCUACAAGUCAUGAUUGACAUCUAGCAAUAUGUCAUGGCUACCCAGAUAGUGUGAAUGCUUUAAGAACAUAAUGAACUUGUCAACUUUGACUACAGUGUAAUUCAAUCCAUCUGUCUUACUAUGUCCCGAUUAAACAAAGACCAUGGAAUAAUUGUCAAGUCACCAAUUCGAUCAUAUGCACAAUCUAAUUGACAUGCAUUUUAUUCGAGACAUAAACAAUUUAUUAUCGGUUAUAACCCCAAAAAGAAUACCUGUAAUCAUCAUACAUUCAUCCAUACAACAAUCACAAUGAUUAAGGAUUUUUCCAUGAUCACCACCCUUCAAAAUUUAAAGCUCCAGAAGGCAAAGAUAAAAUUCUGCAUUUAAUCAAAUUUAAAGUUGAACAACGCAAGUCAAGAAAUCAAAUCGAUGAAACAAAUUUCACGAGCGUGAUUCCGUACGGAAGUCGCGUUGUCAACUUUAAAUUCACAAUCACGAAUCAUUCGCAAAAUGUAAACACAAAGUAUAAGAAGUUACAGAUUUUUUUAUUCAAAAUUGAUUUAGUUCUAAUUUUUUCUUAGUUGAUUAAAUUUAUCACAUAAAUGAAUCAACUUCUAUAGGCCACAUAAGAGCAAGAGAACCAAUUCUCUUAACAAAAAUAAAUUGGCCAUUCAAACACAAAAAUAUGUUUGAACUAUAAAUUCAAUUAAACACACGAGAAACGCCUAAGGUUGGCUCUGAUACCACUGAAAUCCCUAAUAUGUAACUAUUAUAUAGUAGCUUUAGGGCAUACAUCCAACAAUCUCCCACUUGCACUAAAGCCAACUUGUUUGGUACCUUAAACCCAUUUUGUCAAUAUGCCUUUCAAAAGAAGACUGAGGUAAGGCCUUAGUGAAGGGAUCUACCACAUUUUCUGUUAAGGCAAUUUUCUGCAAGGCAAUAUCACAUCUCCCAACAAUUUCUCUGAUGAGAUGGAAGUGUCUCUCAAUGUGCUUGGACUUUUGGUGAGACCUUGGUUCCUUAGCUUAAGCUAUCGCCUCAGUGUUGCCACAAAACAAUGGGGACAAGGACCCCUGGAGUGCAAAAAGUUGGCACAAAAGGACACUUAAGUGCCAAAAGUUACGAAAGGUACACUUAAGUGCCAAAAUCGGAGCAAAAUGGAUCACUUGAGUGCCAAUCCGGCCAAAAUGCCGACGUGGCAUUUUUCCAGCGAAUCGAGCCCAAAACGACGUCGUUUUGCAUGCUGACAUGGCCAAAUAAUGCAAAAACGGCGUCGUUUUGGGCUCAUGUGAUAAAAAAAAUAAUAUAAAAAUUAAAUAAAUUAAAUUUAAAAAUAGAUUUAGUUAAAAUAUUAAAAAAUAUUAAUUUUAAUAGUUAAAAUAUUAAAAAAAUAAUAAAUUUAAAAUUACAUUUAGUUAAAAUAUUAAAAAUAAUAAUUUUAAAAUUACAUUUAGUUAAAAUAUUAAAAAUAAUAAUUUUAAAAUUAAAUUUAGUUAAAAUAUUAAAAAUAAUAAUUUUAAAAUUAAAUUUAGUUAAAAUAUUAAAAAAAUAAUUUUAAAAUUAAAUUUAGUUAAAAUAUUAAAAAAUAAUCAUUUAAAAAUUUAAAUUUUUUUAAAAAAUUAAAAAAUAAUAAUUUUAAAAUUAGAUUUAGUUAAAAAAAUAAAAAUAAAAAUAAAAUAAAAUUUAGUUAAAAUAUUAAAAUAAUAAUAAUUUUAAAUUAAAAAAAUUAUCAAAAUUUUAUAAAUUAAUUAAAAGGGGGGUGGCUGAGGGCAGCCUAGCCACCGCCCCCCUUUUUUUAAAUUUUUAAAAUUUUAAAUUAUUAUUUUUUAACAUUUUAAUUGAAUUGAAUUUUAAAAUUAUUAUUUUUCUAAUAUUUUAACUAAAUCUAAUUUUAAAAUUUUUAUUUUUUAUUUUUUAAAUUUUUUUAUAAUUAUUAUUUUUUAAUAUUUUAACUAAAUUUAGUUUUAAAAUUAUUAUUUUUUUAAAUUUUUAACUAAAUCUAAUUUUAAAAUUAUUUUUUAAAAUUUUUAACUAAAUUUAAUUUUAAAUUUUUUUAAAUUUUUUAUUUUUAAAAUUAUUAUUUUUUAAUAUUUUAACUAAAUUUAAUUUUAAUUUUUUUAAUUUUUUUAACUAAAUCUAAUUUUUUUAAAUUAUUUUUUUAUAUUUUAAUUAAAUUUUAUUUUAAAAUUAUUAUUUUUUAAAUAUUUAACUAAAUCUAAUUCUAAUUUUUUUUAAUAUUUAACUAUUAAAAUUAUUAUUUUUUAAUAUUUUAACUAUAUCGAAUUUUAAAUUUAAUUUAUUUAAUUUUUAUAUUAUUUUUUUACCAUAUCAACCCAAAGCGACGCCAUUUUUGCAUUACUUGCCACGUCAGCAUGCAAAACGGCGUCGUUUUGGGUUCACUUCGCCGGAAAUUCGUCGGAAAAACGCCACGUCAGCCUUUUGGCCGGACUUUGGCCAGAGUGGCACUUAAGUGAUCCGUUUUUUUUCGAAUGUGACACUUAAGUGUACUUUUCGUAACUUUUGGCACUUAAGUGUCCCUUUGUGCCAACUUUUGGCACUUGAAGCGUUCUUAUCCCCAAAACAAUGUAAUCGAUUGCUCAAUUGAAGGAAUGAAUCCAAGUUCAAAAAUAAACUCCUUCAUCCAAGCGGCUUCUUUUGUUGCUUCAGAAGUGGCUACAUACUUUAGCUCAGUGGUGGAAUUGGCAGUUAUGCUUUGUUUGGAAUUUUUCCAACUAACUGUGCCACCAUUGAAUGUAAAGACAAAUCCAGAAGUAGACUUGUAAUCAUUAGGAUCCGAUUAAAAAUCAGAAUCAGUAUAAGCUACAAUUUUAAAUUCUCAUUCUCCAUUUAUCAAGAAUAGAUCCCUAGUCUUUCGCAAGUACUUAAAAAUAUUCUUAAUUGCUAUCUAGUGCUCUUCUCCUAGAUCAUACUAAUAUCUUAUAGUAUUACAACAUGUGAUAUAUCAGGUCUAGUACAUAACAUAGCAUACAUUAUGCUUCCAAUAGCAGACGCGUAUGGUAUAUUUGCCAUCCGCUCUCUUUUUUCAAGAGUGUUAGGACACAUCUUUUGAGAAAGAUGAAUCCCUCACCUAAAAGGCAAUAAUACUCUCUUGGAACUUUGCAUGUUAUUAACACUUUGUCUAUGUACGUAGAUUGUAAGAGGCCAAUCAACCGUCUUGAUCUAUCUAUAUAGAUCUUGAUACCUAAAAUGUAGGUUGCCUCUCCUAAAUCUUUCAUGGAGAAUUUCUGUGACAAGAAUAGUUUUAUCGAUGAUAUUAUCGGUACAUCAUUCCCAAUCAAAAGUAUAUUAUCGACAUACAAAACUAGAAAUGCAAUUGCACUCCCAUUGAUCUUCUUGUAUACACAAGGUUCAUCCAUAUUUUUGAUGAAGCCAAAAGAUUUGACUACCUCAUCAAAAUGAAUAUUCCAACUUCUGGAGGCUUAUUUGAGUCUAUAAAUGGAUCUCUUAAGCUUACACACCUUAUGUUUUUCACUAUUGUAUUCAAAACCCUGUGGCUAUUCCAUAUAGAUCUCCUCCUUGAGAAAACCAAUUAGAAAAGCAAUUUUGACAUCCAUCUGGAAUAUCUCAUAAUCUAAGUGUGUAGCUAUAGCCAACAUAAUCCGAAUGGAUUUUAGCAUGGCCACAGGUGAGAAAUUUUCAUCACAAUCAAUUCUUUAUUUCUGACGAUAUCCUUUCGCCACCAACCAUGCUUUGUAAGUUCCAAUUUGACCUUCAGCAUUCAUCUUCCUCUUGAAGAUCCAUUUUCAGCCAAUUGGUAUAAUACCAUCAGGUAGGUCAAUUGAGGUCCAAACUUCAUUGGAAUACAUUGAAUCCAUUUUGGAUUUCAUGGCUUCUAGCCAUUUACCAGAAUCGAUGUCCAACAUCGCCUCCUCAUAGGUUUUAGGAUCACCAGGUUGAUCACUAUCAUUCACAAUGAAUAAUGGUUCAAUAUGAUCAAUUGAGUGUCUAUAACAAGCAGGUGGGCAAGACGUUUUCGCACUUCUCCUAAGAUGUUGUGUAUCAGAAGCUCCCACUGAAUCAGAGAUUGGUAUUUGAACUUGGUUGUUUAGUACUUCAUUAUUUUCUUCUUGUAAGACUAUUUUCCGCCCAGCACCACCUUCUUGGAUGAACUGAUUCUCCAGAAAAGAAGCAUGCUUCUUACCAAAAUUCUUUGAUCUGAAUGAAAAUAGAAAUAAUAUCCAAGAGUUUCCUUUGGAUAUCCAAUGAAGCGACCUUGUUCAAAUCUUGCUUCCAAUUUUUCCAUUUUUAGCUUUUUCAUGAAAGCUAGACAACCCAAAAUCUUAAUAUGAUUAAGACUAGGUUUCCUACUAUACCAUAUCUCAUAGGGCGUAGUUGCAACGGAUUUGGACGGUACUCUGUUAAGUAUAUAUACAAUUGUCUCAAGGGCAUAUCCCUGAAGGGAUAUUGGUAAAUCAGUGUAACUCAUCAUAGAUCAUACCAUAUCUAAUAAAGUACGAUUUCUUCGUUCAAAUACAUCAUUAUGUUCUGGAGUUCUAGAAGGUGUCCAUUGUGAUAAAAUGACAUUCUCUUUAAGAUAGUCCAGGAAUUCAUUACUAAGGUAUUCACCUCAUCGAUCCAAUCGAAGAGCCUUAAUACAUUUUCUUGUUUGUUUCUCAACUUCAGCCUUGAAUUCCUUGAACUUUUCAAAAAAUUCAGAUUUAUACUUCAUGAGCCUUAACCAUACCGUGAUUGAUCAUCGGUGAAGGUAAUGAAGUAAUUAUAACCACCUCUAGCAGUUUCAUUAAUUGGUCCACAUACAUUUGUAUGUAUUAAUCCUAAUAUGUUAGCAGCUCGCACACUGUGUCCCACAAAAGGCGCUUUGGUCAUUUUUCCUAGAAGACAUGCCUCACAAGUCGAGUAUGACUCAAAAUUUGAUAGAUCAAUAUACCCAUCAUUACUCAACUUGUUAAUUUUCUCUUCUCUAAUAUGACCUAAUCGGAGAUGCCAAACAUACUUUUUAUUUGGACCUCUCUAGGGCAUUUAUUAGUUAUGACAUUUAUAUCAAUUUUAUUUUGCUUAUUGACAUCACUAAUCGCAUUACCGGACAUUAUAAUGGUAUAAAGAUUAUUGGUUAAUAAGCUAAAACCAACAUAUUUUCUUUUAUGAUAAAUAGAACAUACAUCAUCAACAAAAGAAAAUUCAUAAUUCUCUUUACCCAAAUGAGGUAUAGAGAUGAUGCUCCUAACAUCAUUCUUAUAAUGCAAAUAGUUCUUUAAAACCAAUACAUGUCCAUAAGGCAAACAUAAACGAAAAGUCCCCAUAGCUAACGCAACAACUCUUGCUCCAUUGACAAAUAUCAGGACAAUCUCAUUUUGCCCUAGCAUCCUACUUGCUUCCAGAUUCUGCAAAGACAUACAAAUAUGUGAAGUCGCAACAAAAUCUAGAACCCAUGAGCUGGAUUCAACUUUAACCAUAAGAUUAGUUUCAAUAAGUAUAGACACCAUACCUUCAUAAGGUUGGUCCUUGGGCUUGACCUUCAAGCUCACGAGAUACUUCUUACAGUUCCUCCUCCAGUGCCCCUUGACACCAUAAUAGUGACAUUUCCCUUUAUCAAUCUUGGGUUUUGGUUGUACAAUAGGUUUGAUAGGCCUUUUCCAUUUCUUUUUCUUUAAAACAAUCUUACCUCUUGAAGAAGAAGCCUUAGCCAUAGCCACUACAUUUGGUUUCGUGUUGUGCAUUUCCUUCUCAUAAACUACCAGCAUGUUAUGUAACUAAGCGAGAGUUUUCUCAAUCUUAUGCAUGUGGAAGUUUUGGACAAAACCAGAGAAGGAAUCGGGUAAAGAUUGGAGGAUCAAAUCCACAGCUAACUUGUUGUCCAUAACGAGAUUCAGCUUAGCCAAUUCUUCAAUGUGCCAGAUCAUUUCCAAAGCAUGAUCAUUAACUGAUGAUUCUUCAACCAUCCUCAUACAGUACAAUGCCUUAGAUAUCUCAUAUCUAGAGGUUCAACCAUUCUCAUCAAAAUAUUCCUUUAAAUGCAAAAUGAUCGACCUAGCAUCUUCCAUAGAUUCAUACUUCUUUUGUAAUUCAUUAUUAAUCUAAGCAAGCAUAUAUGACCUGAAUUUUAAGUCAUCGUCACGCCACUUAUCAUAAGUGACACGCUCCUCUUGGGUCCCACCCUCAGGAAAGGAGGUUGGCAUCUUUUCAUCAAGCACAUACCUAAUUUUUUUUUCUGAAUUGAGAACAAUUCUCAAAUUCCUCACCCAGUUAGUGAAAUUGGGUCCAGUUAAACAAUUCUUGUCAAAUAUAGAAGUGAGUGGGUUUGUGGUCACCAUUUUCAGAGUAAUAAUAUAUCUGUUGCAGAAAAUAAAUUAUUAACCGUUGUAUCUUUCAAAAUAACUAUUUCAUUUUGGCAUUUAAAUGAAAUAGAUCCUCCUACUAAAUUUAUAUUCGAAUCACAUACUCUUUAAGAUGGGAAGCGGUAAUCUUUGUUGGGUAAAGAUUACUAGUGGGGAUUGGAGUCCCACUAACCCAAAGCCCGCCUCACCUAGCAGUCAUUGGUGUUCUAUGAACUUAGUGAGUGAACCAACUUGUUCAAUGCAUCAUAUGCAAGUUCCAAUCAUAACUUCGGCCUCUAGACCAUGAAAGCCUCACCUAAUAGUUAUUGGCAUCAUGAUCAUAGUUAAGUCUAGCCCAUCGUCUCAUGUAAGUAUUGAAAGCACAAACGAUUCCCUUACCUAACAGUUAUUAGAAAUCAUUUGGCUCCAACCCCACAGCAUCACAUGCAUAAUGGAGUGGUCCAAUAUUAAGAGUGGUAAUUAACUCCUAUGUACCCAUAGCUUGUCAAUUAACCACUAUAAUAUUGGAUCAAACCAUGAUGAUGGAAGGCCACGAAUCCGAAACCCAUUUCGACUUAAUAUUAUUAAUCAAGAGAUUUGGGUCGUUAUUUAUUAUCUCACUUUGCACAUUAACCGGUUUAACAUGCAUGAUAACAUAAACACAAUAAAUAAAUAGAUAUUACAUAAACAUCUAUCCUACGUGGUGAUCAUGGAAUUAUGGUUCGGUGGGUCUUGAGCCAAAGAGACCCAUUUAGCCAUUUUAAUGUUUUAAUAAUGGGGACAUGCUCUUCACUUCUUCUUGAAUCUUUGAAUUCUUCAAAGACUAGGCCCAUAGAGCUCACUGGCUUAAUGGCUCCUCCAAUGACUCCUCCUCUCUCGUAGCAUUUACAUCAACAAUUCAUAUACUAAACUAUGCUAAAAUUACAUUUCAUAAAAAUAUAUAUAAAAGGAAGGAUGCACGAGAUUUUCUCCAUGAGAUUGCUAGCACAAUCAUAGUGGUGAUUAUCUGAAAGUUAUCUCUUCCAUUCGACAUCCAUUGUUGGUGUGUCUAAACUAGAGGUCUGACAUUUAUAGGAUUCGAACUAAAGAACAUCCGAACCAAUUCGUUUAAAGCGCGCUUCGAGAGGUAAUUCAUUUAACUCUCUUUUUACAUUCAGGUUUUUUAUUAAAACGCACCAACAAUGCCUUUAGAGAAUCAUGUAUAAAAUAUAUCAUCUUUGUUUCCGUUGCGUUCUUUUGUUAAAUUUUUACCUAUACAUGAUUCAUGAAACCCCAACAGUAAUUGUGGCAUAGCUCAGGCAUCUUUAAGCUUGUGGUAGGUGCUGAACAUCAUAAGAGAAACUUGUACCCAUAGGAGGCGUUCUAUAAAAGAUCUAGAGCAAAGAAGAAGGCAUAGAAACAAUGGUUCUACUAUUGUCUCUUUCUUGAUUUCAUUGCGAUAUCUCAUGCUAAAGUUCAGUUGUACCCAUAGAAGGCAUUUUAGUAAAAGAUCUAGAGCAAAGAAGGCAUAGAAACAAGGAUUCCAUUAUUGUCUCCUUGUCAAUUUCACUGUGAUAUCUCAUGUUCAAUUGUACAAAUACUGCUGACUUCUGGAAUUAAUUCCUAAAUCAUAAAGCACAUCUGGAGUGUAUGAUAAUGGUUGUUAUGGUUUGCAGGAUCUUUCUUUGAGGGGAUUUUGGCUGCAUAAUUGGAUGAGUUCAACUGACGUGACAGAGUGCAGAAGAAUGAUAGAUCACUUGCUAGAACUAUUGCGUGAUGGGAAGUUAAAAUACGAGUAUGUCUUUGGUAACCUGUACUCAAAUUGCUGUAUUUAGGUCUCCAUAUCUUUAUAGUAAUAUCCAAUAGUAUAUCGUCAAGAUAGUGUGUUUCGAUUGUGGAUGCAUAUGAAUUUCUCCAAAACUGCAGGACGGAGCUGGUUCCUUUUAGUGAUUUCCACAUUGCACUGGAUAAAUCACUGGGGAAACUUGGAAGCCAUCCUAAGCAAGUCUUAAAGUUCUAAGGCUACUGAAUAUUAAGGGCGGUGAAAAGAUGGCAAAAUUUUGCAUCGUAUUCUUUAGACGAUCAACUUGUUCAGAAGUUCCCAUGCGCUGGAUCAACCCGACACAAUAACUAUGUAUCUUUUCCAUCAUCAUCAUCAUCAUCAUCAUCAUCAUCAUCAUCAUCAUCAUUUUCUCUUUUCAUAAGUUAUGCAUCUUUUUCUGUUGAGGUCCCUCUUGUUGCUGCUUAUUUUCAGCAAUUUCCAUUCUGAAAUUGUUUUGCAUCAUGCCUUCCAAUCUAAAACUAAUCUUGUGCUUUGCCAAAACAUGAGGUCCGUCUACUCAAUUUGGAGAUCCAAACAUCGGCCCUUUAUGGUAUUGGAAGGGUCCGGAAAGUUUUCAGUUUUUGCCAAUUACAAUUCUCAUAUACAUGUAAGAAGGAACAUUGGGAUACUUACCAAAAAUCAUGUAAGCAAGAUCGCGUGCGUUGAAAAAAGAGCAAGAAGAACCAUAAAUUGUUCAUGUGAUCUAUCUAAUUCAGAUGGGAUGCGGACUGCCUUCAGAGAAAGUCACACAUGAAACACAAUAAGCAAAAUCAAGUGAAGACUAGCGAAUGGAAGUUACUUUAUAAGAUGAGCAAAACACACAAUGGAUAGAUCGUGUCAGCUUCCGAAGAAUUGGCGAUUAUUCGGUAAUCAUAGAAAGAAAAGGCAUCUUUCGUCCAGACAAUGUCAAGUCCCGCACUCCUUUCUCAAUAAAAGUUGACCGCAUCCCCAACAGUAUCCACCACUUGCAUGGGUAAACAUAAAAGAGUUCGACCAGGAUGAUCGAUUUUCAAAUUCAUUUUCAACCUUGGAAAAUUUAGAGAGAAAACAAAUUCCCCGUAAAGUGGCUUUCCAUUAUGCACGGCUUUGAAAUACUGACAUUUCGCUAGGCCGAAGAGGGAAAGGGUUCGUUCAGUCAUGUUUCAUCACACCAAGUUAGAAUCUACAGAUCGCCUAGAGCAUAGCAAAUCAAGGUAUAUAAGAACUUGGAAGAUUAUCAGCACUGACACCUCAAAACACUUAGAGCGCAUUUGGCAACGAUUUUGUUCCCGGGAACAAUUUCUAAUCAGAAAUAAAAAAUAAAAAAAAUUAUUAUGUUCCCGGGAACAAUUUCUAAGCAUUUUAAGCCGUUUGAUAACUGUUCAAAAUUUCUGAUUCUGGAAUAAAAUUGUGUUUGAUACCGUGCUCAAAAUUUCUUCUCAAAAUCAUUUUCUUUAAAUUUUUAAAUAUUUUUUUUUUUACUUUUUUCCUUUUUUUUCUUUUCUUUUCUUCCUUUCUCUCUCAUAUUCUUCUUCUUCAAGUGGUCGGUCGCUAGGGCCGGCGACCUCAUCGGAGCGUUGCCAGCCCUUGACGAGGCCAACCCUCAUUGGUCGAGCCUCGGCGAGGCUGGGCGAGGCCCGCCUGGCCAAGGCUCGGCCUCGGCGGUGGCCAGGUGGGCCUCGCUAAGGCUGGGUGAGGCCCUCCUAGCCACCGGUGAGGCUCGUUUAGCCCCGCCGAGGCUUGGCCUUGCUGGUGGCUAGGCUUGCCUCUAGCGAGCUCGUCGGACCAGUUGCCAACGACCGGCGGCGAUAGGCAACAGACGGUGGACGGCAACCACAAUGGUGGCAAUAGAUGAAGAAUAAGAAAAUGGAAGAAGAAGAGAAAAUAUUAGCUUGAUUCUUAGAUUUGUUCAUGGGAACAAGAAUUAACUUUUUUUGGAUUAUUGAUUAUGUUCCAGAUCUAGCGAGGCUAGGUAAGCCUCGUGAUCUGACGAGGCCGAGCCUCGGCAAGGCUGGACGAGCCUUGCGAUGUGGCGAGGCCGAGCCUUGUUGGUGGCCAAGCAAGCCUCACCCAGCCCCAACAAGGCUCGGCCAACAAGGGCCGGCGACGCUCCGGUGAGGUCACCGACCACUUGAAGAAGAAGAAUAGGAGAGAUAAAGGAAAAAAGUAAAAGAAAAAAAUGAAAAAUGUAAAAGAUGUAUUUAAAAAUUAAAAGAAAAUGAUUUGGAGUAGAAAUUUUGAGCACAGUACUAAACGCAAUUUUAUUCCAGAAUCAGAAAUUUCGGACAGUUACCAAACGGCUUAAAAUGCUUGGAAAUUGUUCCUAGAAACAGAAUAAAAAAGAAUCAUUUAUGAUCAGAAAUUGUUCCUGGAAAGAGAAUUGUUAACAAAUACGCCCUUACUUGCUGUUCCCAAAACCACUCCAUUAUUGCCUCGAAUGUGUUGACGCAGCUACGUUCCACGACUUUUAGCCAUUUCGUAUCCACCUAUCAAAGGGAUGAUCAAGUCAAAAAUGUUGUCCAGCAAAUUCCUUGUUCUCCCCCAUUUUUUUAAGUUGAUAAUUUUAUGCUCAAAUGAAAAUCCUAAUUAGCUACUCCUGAUCAAAUAUUGAUAUUCCCUCUCCUCUUUCAAUAUAGUCCAAUUCGAGUCGAUAGCAAAGAGAAAAGAGGGCAUGUCUCGAUAACAAUUAUAGAGCGCUUCUAUGCGUACCAUAUGUAGAGAUCAUCAGCAAAUGAAAUAUCGAACAUAAUAAGGAGAGCGAGUAGAUUGGUAUCGACUUCAAUUGAACACUGCAAUUUGGAACCAUCGUGUGCAAAUUUGAGUUCAGAAAAGGUCCACUCAGAACAGUUCAAGUUAAAGUUAAAGAGAUAUUUUUGAGAUAUUUUUCUUUAUUUGUUUAUUAAAGUUAAACAGAACAAGCCGGCUAUGUUGGGCGUGGAAUACGCGUUUCCCAAAUAUCUAUUCCUCCCUUCCCUCUCCCUCGACAGACAUUUUUUUUCAUUGCAUCUACAAAUUCCACAGUAACACGCUCCUCAUAUUAUCGUCAGUCAAUUUCAUCUAUUUUCAUAAUAUUUUAAGAAUUCGAAUGGUAUGUUCACCAAGCAAUUUUGGUCUUUUGUUUACUUCGAUUCUCGUGGACUAAUAGCAUUUGAUUUUAUGGUCUUCGUAGUAAAUUACUAUGAUUUUCUGAUUCAACCAUGUUCUCGCAGACCCAUGGCAUUUAAAUUGGUUUUCUUAUAAACACUCCAUUACUUUGUUAAGAACAUCGAGUCAGUGAGAGAGAGAGAAAAGAAAGAUCCACCAAGCGGAGCACGCUACUGCUAUGGCGAGCUCAAAUGCAAGAACGUCAUGGAGAGUGAAUAUCAAGUGAAUAGCUUAACUUAUUUUGGAAUUUAUGUCUUUCGAGAUCGAAGAGCUACAUGUUGGUGAAAGAAUUGACGAAUCGCUUCAACGAGCGAUCGAUGACUCCAAGAUCUACAUACCAAUCUUCUUUCGAACUUAUGUUUCAAGCCUAUGUGUUUUUGCAAGCUCGUGUAGAUUGUAGAAAACUCAACUCAAAAAGCAAGCAGUCCUUCGCCUGUGCCAAGGCCGGCAUGAGGCUAGCCUCGCCCAAAUUUGGGAGAAGCCACCUAGCUCAUGACCCUGGGCAAGGGUCGUGACCCUCACCACCCACUACAAGGAAUCCAAUGCGGAAGAAGAGAAAAAGAAAAGAAAAAUGAAAAAUUAAUUAAAAAUUUAGAAAUAAAAAAUAAAUUGUCAUAUCAAUGUUGGUCGGACGGCCGAUGUUCACAUCAACGCUGAUAGAUCACAAUUGAGCAGAUAAAUUGAAUUAGUAUCAAUAUAAAAAUAAUAAUAAUUGAAUUAAUCCAAUUAAAAAGUUUAUAAUUGAAUUAGCAUUAACAUUAUAAAUUUAGGUUUUUUUUUUUUUUUUAAAAUCAUUUUUCAUAGCUAUCGCAUCAACAAACAAACAAACGGAGAAAAUUAUGGAGAUGCACGUGCCCUGAGCGCCUGCCAACAGAAGCACGUGAUCAUCAUCUUUUAACGAGACAGUGAAUGAUUGGAUAGCCUCGUUGAUGACGCGGAAGUGAUAAGUCGUAAUUCCACUAGGGCAUCUACCGGAAAAGGAUGGAUUCCCACUUUUUUCUUUUGUAUAUUGGCUUACGGUAAGGCGCAAGUGAGAGCAUUAAAUUCCAAAAAAACAAAACAAAAGGCCUAUUGACUUAUGUCUUUGUUGGGUGCUUAAAUCAUGUCACAUUGUUGUCGUUAUACUUAGCUGAAAUCUUUUAUUACUUUUUGUUCUGGCAAGUUUAAAAUUACAUUGAUUCAAUUAAAGAGUUUAUACCUUUAUAGAUUCAAAUUACAAUAUAAUAGUUUUAGGAUACAUCGUGUAAUUAUCUUGAAGACAUGAUAAUUUAGUUUUUUCAAUCCAUGCUCACGCUCAACUCAAUACAAUAUGUAUGCUUGCAUUAGACUCGAUUCAACUCUAAUGGCAAAAACUAAAUUAUAGCGUAAAGCUUUAAAAUCCAUCUCGAGUUUUGAUAUAAAAAAUGAUUUUUUUUUCUUUAUCCUUAGUAAAAUCCUUUAAAUUAUUGACAAGGAUUGCAAGUCACAUGACUGUGGUAUUACAAAAUUUGACACCUUUGACAGGCAAUCCAUAUUGCUAGGUCCAUAUAUAUAAAAGAAGGGGUGAAGUGCUUUUUUAUGUAUGUAAAAAUAUCAAUCUUUCUAGAACCAGCCCUUUAUUUAAUUUUUUUUAUAUACAAUUAAACUAGUAUUUGUAACAAGAAAAUUAAAGAGCUUAGAGUAUUCAAUUAGGAUAUGCCUCCUCUUUUAGCUCCAUCAGCCCAAUUAGGUUGAAAUCCACUACUUGAGCCAACAGUGCAAAUGGCAAGAACUUUGUAUAGCGUGGACUCGACUCUUUCUAUGAUUAUCUCACUAUAGACUAAAUAAUUAUUAGAUCUCUUCCAAUAGCCAUUCUCGCACCUUGUGCAUAUAGCGCAGUAGACACAUGCUCCCCAAAAUUAUUAACCACGCUUCUAAGUGUUUACAAAUAAUCAUUCACACAGUUUGUCUCUCACCUAAACAAUUGCAUUCUCUCUUAGUACAAUUACUUCUUCCGUGUGUAUACAAAUAAUUUUGGCACCACUGAUAGCUUUAAGGAUCAAUACUUAGCAAAGAGAUAGAUCUCAAGAAUGCUCGAUGCUCAAUGUGCUUCAAUUUUUCUUGUUGCAGGCACUUGAUGACAAGCUACGUUUAACUUGUGGUUUGUCUUUAUUGUAAGUGUUACUAUGAACACCUAGAGGGGGUGAACAGGUGUGAAGACAAUUUUCACAAAGAGUUAUAAAAAUAUUUUGCUUUUGAAACUAAGUCUGAAGAACAACAUAUUUUGAGUGAGUUCAGACUUUAACUAUAAACAGAACUAUGAACAAAGAAAAAAAGUUUAGGGAAGAGAAUAAGAACACAUAAUUUAUAGUGGUUUGACUUAAAUCAAGCCUACGUCCACUCUCCCAUGCUGACAGCGUCCUGACUGGUUUCCACUAAGAAUCAAAAGAGAAUUUAUAAUCUGUGAUCUCAACUUCACAAUGAAGAGUCUCACCUGCUCUCUCACGAAGUCACACUAUAAGUCUCUCUCUUUUGAGUAUAACUUUGAGCCCAGUGUAAGAAGUAACAAGAGAAUGAAAGCUUCAGACUUUAGAAUUUCUCUUUCAUGCACUCUAUCGAACACCUCCUUAAAUACUCCUUCAUGCCUUCUCAACCAUUGGCACUUUCCAAAGAAAUUCUCUCAAUCAACCCGUUGGACAGAAUCAAUCAAGGAGAUCUCGAACCGUUUGAAGAUUGUGACGAAAACCCGUCAAUCAUGUUUGCCCAUACAGUUAGGAUCUUGGUUUCCAUAAAUAGAUUCUUUCCAAAUUUACUUGCCUUCCAAAAAGAUUUGAUAUAUCUAAAUUGAUUUCAAUAAAGAUAAUCAAUUUCCUAUGUGAUAUUUCCAACCAGAAGACCAUAUAUAAUCAAUACGAACUGAACUCUUGAAAAAAGAAAGAUAAUCACACAUCUGAAUAAGUCAUCAUUCUUCACUUAUGUUCAGUAUGGAAUUUGUCAUCAAUCUGGAAUUUGUCAGAGUGGGUAGACUUCUGAUGUAAAAACAGACUUUGACAUAGAAGUCUGAAAAUCUUCAAAACAAAAUGUAGAUAAGUUUUUGUCAGCUUCAAAACAUCAAAGGAGUUUUCUCCAACACUUAUAGGCCUCCAUAAACAACUCUGUGAUUCAACCAUUUCCUCACUGUACCAUAGCAUUUGAUUGUUUUGCCCGUAUAACCACUACCUAUUUUUCUUCAUGAUGAGUUGUCGCGGCCACCUUCUACAACUCUCAACCAUUUCAUAUUCACAUAUCAAAGAAAUGACCUGCUCAUAAACGUUAUUAGAAAAAAUCCUAAUUAUUAAACUGCAUCACCGACCUCCCUCCUCUUUUUCUUUAAGGUAGCAAUUUUAUGUUCAUAUGAAAUAUCCUAAUUAACUGCUCAUGGUCAAACAUUGCUAUUUUGCUCCCUUCUUUCAACCAUCCAAUUUGAGUUGAAAUGCAAAAUAAGUUUCAUUUUCAUUUUCAUCACAUGAAAAAGGAACUUUGAGAAAGAGUAUUUAAAGAUCAUCAGCAAAUGAAAAAAAAUCAAAAUGAUAAGAAGAGGGAGCAGAAACUGGAGCUUACAAAUAUAGUACAAUUCUGCGAGACCUACUAUACUGUUGGCAAUUUAUUUGCCAUACUUGUAAAAUUUCAAAGAAUGUGGUUAUUCACUAAUUCAUUUCAAAGUCGGUAAAUCUCCAAUGGUGUCGCUAAGUUUGAUAAGGACGCGCAUGAGAAAAUUUCUGGAAUAGAAAUCAAUUUUUGGGUAGAAAUUGAUUUCUCAAUUUCUAUUCCAUGGACAAGUUUCUCCACAAAGAAACGCAUUUGAUAAUGAUUUAGAAUUUCUAUUUCUAGAGUAAAAAUUUGUUUGAUAAGAGAAUAAAAUUUCUAUUUCUAGGACCGGUGACAAUCGACAUUCGGUGGCCGGAGUUUGACGUCCGGCGAUCAGCGUCUAGCAUUCGGCGAUCGGCGGGUGGUCGGAGUCUGGCGUCCGGCGGCUGAAGUUCGGAGCCUAGUGGUUGAAGUUCGGAGUCUGGUGGCUAAAGUCUGGAGUCUGGCGUCCAACGUUUGGAAGCUGACAACCAGCAACUAGUGGCGGGUAGCUAAUGGCUGAAGUCAGGUGGUUGGCGAUGGGUGGCCAAGCUGGAGUCUAGCGGCCGGCAGCAAGUGGCCAACGGCCAAAGUUCGGCAGGCGGCGACCAGCAAUUGGUGGCGAUGGGCCUUCGAUGUCCGCUGGUUGGUGAUGAGCAGCCAACGACUGACAAACAUCCAACAUCCGAUGGUCGGCGGUCAAUGACAAGCAACUUGAGUCCGAUGGUUGACGGCCAAUAUUCGGUGGCCGACGAUUGGUGGUGAGCAGCUAAUGGUCAGGGCCGGCGGCGAGCGGCCAGCGACCGGCGGCGAGCGUUCGGCAUCCCACAGGUGGCAGGUGGGCAACAGGUGAUACGAGAGUGAAUGAUGAAAAAAGUUUUGAUUCUCAUUUCUAUUUCAGAAAUAGAAAAGCUAAACAUUUUAACUUCUGAUUUCUACUCCAAAUCUAUUUCUAAAAUAGAAAUUUGUUCCAGAAAUAAAAAAAUAAAAUUGCGUUACUAAACGCAUUUUUAUUCAAAACCUAUUCUGGGAAAUAGAGAAACAGAGAAAUAGAUAAAUAAAAACGUUGUCAUGCGCAUCCUGAAUCAUCUGACAAUCGAAUUGACGGUCAUGCUUUCUUUAAUGGACUGUACUGGAUAUUUAGGUCAUGCUUUCUUUAAUGGACUGUACUGGAUAUUUAGGUUGGCUGGGUCCGCCUCUGUGGGGGACCAGCUAACUUUAAUAAAUAAAAGAGAAAAAAAAAGGUUAAAAGGUCAAAAAAAGCAAAAGAGAAGAAAAGAAAGAUGGGCGGCUCGUGCGUGGAGUAGAGAAGAGAGGACAGAGGGCACGCGGAGAAGAUAGAAAUCAUGUAGUUAACAUUUGAUUAACUAAAAAGAGAGAUUUGGUGUUUUAGUUUACUUAUUGUUAUCGGACCAAUGAAGAUGUCAUUGACAGAUAAAGAUGCAUUCAGCUUGAUCUCUUUUAUUUUGGCACACCUGCAAGUUUUAUUACCCAAUUGUGUUUUCUCGUUUUUCUUUUCUCGAUUUCUACUCCUUUUUCCACUUUUUCUUUCCUUUCCUUCCUUGAGAAAGUUUCAAAAUUUUGGAUAAGCUAGGGGACAAGGUCAGUUGGUAUCAAAAUAAGUGGAAGAACCUCAGUAAUCCAGAAGAAAUGUCAUCAUUCAGUUUGUUAUUAUUUAAAAAAGUUAUUUUCUACUCAUUUAACUUGUUACAUAGGAUUACUCUCUCUCUCUCUCUCUCUCUCUCUCUCUCUCUCUCUCUCUCUCUCUCUCUCUCUCAUAACUCAUACCAUACUUUUACUCAAUCAUCUAUGAUAAACAUAAAAACUUACUAGUUGAAUCGAUAAGAACCAAUAUAGAAGGUUUUGAGGUUGUGAUCUAUAAAACUUGACCUGAUGAGGCGUCUGUAGGCAUGUACAAUUUUGAAUAGAAAGAGAAACUGCAGGUCAAUAAACAACAAAGAGGGAAAGAGGAGAGGGAAGGCUUUGUCUACUUGAUUUCACUAGAGAAUUUUAAUUGGAUGAUUUGUAGUUAAUAUGACGAGGCUUUGUGAACCUGGAAUGUGUUUUCAUGAGUAAUUGAUUGAAAAACCAUACCUUCUGCAAAGCAUGGCCAUCCAACCCAGUGUUUGAUUGUUGGGGUGGUUAUUUAGUUUAGCAUUGUCUAGGCCUGGUACUUUUUCGAUACUAUGACACUGUUUCUCAUUUUCUUUUCCUUUUUCUUUUAUUGUGUCACGAGGAAGAUUAUAUUUUAAUUGGAUGUCAGACCCAUGAAAUAUCCUAUUAACCUCAUGUACCUAGUAAGGUUUGAGCUAAAACUCGGUUUCUUGGUACCAACAUGAAUUGUUUGCAGUGGUUAGUGAGGAAAACCCGAACUUAUGUUGUGCAUAUUACCCCUCACACAUUUUUCUAUUCCUUAAGAUUUUCUAUUCUAAAAAAAGCAAUGGAAAUCUAAUUGGUGGAUGAUGUAUUUCUAAAUCCUCCCUAUUUUCAGGCAGUUUGAAAGUCACUUAAAAUAGGAAUUAAAGUAGUUGAUCACUCAAGAAUUUAUUUUUCAAUCGUGAAGAUUUUAUUUCAGCUAGAAUGUAAAGUCAAUUUCUGCCACUCUUUUGACUUUUGAUUCGUAGGUUGACUCUUGGCUUUAACUUCCACAAUAAUUUAGCCGAUUGUAUGCUUGAAAAGUUCUUAAUUUAGCUGGAUUGGGAACAAAUUAGUUUUCAUCAAAAUUGUGAAAUACCUGAUGAAACAUAUCGUUUCAUUAUCCUUCUUGUAUAACUACGCUAAAUAGAAAGGGGAAAAAGGAAGAGGGAAGGCUUAUCUAUUGAUUUAUAACUAGGCUUGGUCAAAUUCUGGUAAUAACAUGUUUAUCUAUCUUGGAAGCUUUUAUCUAAGGCAGAUUAGGCACCAAGCACGUAGAAUAUCUUAUUUAUCUCAUGUAGCAGGUAUGGUAUGAGUUAAUGACCAGGGGGAUGUUGCUUCGAUGUGAAAAUGUUUGCAUAUGGUGAUGUGAGAAAUUCCCACGAGAUUUAUAUUUUUAUAAGAUACUGGUUCCUUUUAUAUAUAGAUCAUUUAUCGUAUUUCAAUCUCAACAAACGCAGUUGGACCUACAUAUUUGACUUUCAUAAGUAUCUUUCGAGAAAUUUAGAAGAGCCUCUAUCUGUGUUCUUGCAUAUAGUAUACAUUGACAGAGAUUAAACGCAAAGACAUUAGUUGAUAUGUAUUACCGGUUGGUUUGAUUGCAUAAUUUUAUCAUCUUAUUCCUUUUUUUCAAACUUUCUUGCAAGAUUGAUUGCAGUUUUAUUUUUCAGGAGUCAGUGCUUUGAUUGGAUAUGUUCAUGUUUCGGAGGAGGCUUGUGAAAUUUUGAACACGACUCGCAUCAUACUUGUCAGCAUGCAAGGAUGGAACUAUCAUAUAUUUUUAGUGGGGUCAAUGCCCUAAAGACUGUAAGAUAAGAUAUAUCAUUUAACAAAAAAUUAUAAAGAUUCGAUCGAGCUAUUUAUUGACUUGAAAUCAACGCUUUGACAUUUGAAUCGUGAAUGUGAACAAAAUUCGGUUUCAAAUCCAUGUGCUCGACCUCGACUCAAUAUAGUAAAUAGGGCUCGAAAUUGAACUCGAUUCAACUCCAUUGUUAAAAGCUCGAUUCUACUCAUUUAACUUGUUACAUAGGAUGUUUCUUUCUAUUUUUCGUAAUCAUAUUACUGUACCUUAUGCAUAGCCUGGUCAUGCCAUUCAAUUGCUUUAUCUUCCGACUCUAUCAAGCCUCGUGUUUGAUUGGUGGUGUGGUUGUCUAGUAGUGCAAUGUCUAAACCCGAUAAUUUUUUUAUAAUUGUUUAUCUUUUUACUUUUAUGUUUUUGGCGUCAUAAAGAAGUUUAUAGUACAUGGAAUGACAAGAUACUGAUUUUGAUUUCUUGCAAGUUAGCGCAUGGUCCCUUAGAGGGGGACGAGGCUAAGCCUAAUUACGUCGAUGAACAAUGGAAGUUACUAAAAAGGCAACGUGGGGUUUCAUUAGGCAUCAUCAGUUGGAUUUUAUUUCUUUAGAUAAACUAUAAGGAUCCCAUCCCAUUGCUCAUUUUGCUCUUCCGACUUCCAUCUUUUGGCAAUGGAAAACCGUAGCCACAACAACACCAUUGAUCGUCAGACUUUCAGGAUUAUAUGUCACAAUCGCACUUCCAUUCACUCACGGAACAUUUCUUGGAUAUGUCCUUCCUCAGCACUUCAUUUCAAGUAGGGAUUAAUAGUUCCCCCUGUACAUUUUGGAGUACGAAGCCCACCCAAAAAAUCGAAUAAAAUAGUCCGUUCUAUUUUGCCGGUAUCACCGGCUGACUUAGUUCCGAUGACUCUCUUCAGAAUAUGAGGCAAUAAUAGAGCAAAUCUGUCAAAUGGUUCUCCACCAAGAGCAGGAACUCUUUUAUUAUGUAUGUUGGAUUAAUUGGUCGAUUUAUGACAUUUUGUAUAGAAAUUACAAAAAAAUGCAAAUAGUUAUAAUUCGUUAUAAUUCAAAAAUUUAUUUAUCAAUGAUCAUAAAACUGCUCAUGUAUUAUAAAAAGAAAUUCAAAAAAUCCUCCAACACAAAAUGUAUUCAUCACAUCGAAUUUCCAACAUUUUAUAGUAGAGUAGACAAUCUAUCACUGUGCACCAUUCAAGUUUCACACACAAACAUAAAUAGAAGCUUCUAAAUUCAUAAGCAUACAAUAAGAUAAGAAAGACGAUCUAUCAUCGUGCAUCAUUCAAGUUCCCACCACCCCUGCUCCCAUGGCACCUGUGGGCACCCCCACCCCGGCGGCCCUCGUGGUCCCCGCGGCCCUGGCUGCCCCGGCGGCCCCGGUGGCCCUUGCAGCCCCCGCGGCCCCUACAGCCCCACCGGCCCCACCAGCCCCCGCUCCCCCUGCGACCCCUUCUCCCCCUGUGGCCCCUGCGGCCCUCGCCCGCAGGAUGCAGUAGAAAAGGAAACCACAAAGCAUGACGGCAACAAUGACUACACCAACAAUAACCCAUGUAGGAGUGUUAUUGUCAUCAGGUGGUACGGGAUUCGGAUCGAUCCAUGCCCAAUGGAGGAGGAAAGUACUGGAAACUCGGAUGAGUUUGUGGAUAGUUAUUGUUCUCCAUCAAGAAAACUUUGUGGAGGUAGUUCAAUGUGAGCAGUGAGUCUACAAACAUAUUAUGAAGCACCAAUCCAAGAGCCAAUUUAACUUUUCAUCAUGAUGAAUUGAUCAUAUGAUCCAAGCACGAGAUCAAAAUGAUUCAACACCGAAUUCAGCAAGAUAUAAUGUGAGUGGAAGUAGUUGCUUGCACGUAUACCCUCACAAGAAGAACUAAGCAAAUCGGUGAAUAAUGUUGCGCCAAUGCUUACGCGACCUGCAAAGAAGUGAGAAUUUUUUCCUAGUGGAGGUAGCACUAUAUAUGCCCCUCAACGCUCCCUUCCUCCCUCACGGGGUGGGUUUUUUUUAUUUUUUAUUUUUGGCCGAAAGAUAAUAAUUUUCAUUACUAACCAACUAAAGGGGCACUAUUAGUUGAAGAGUCUAAACAUAGAAUUAAAUAUUAAGAACAAGGAGAAUUAGAAGUCCAAUUGCUGGAAAGCGACCUGGCUCGGUAGGUUAGGUAAGCGUUUUAACAAAUGCAUCACCAUUCCUUUUUGAGGAUGUAGUGUAAUGAUUGAAGCAUCUAGUCAAAAAGUUGGGAAAUUUUAUUCACGUGCCAAAAUAGGAAAAAUUAUCAAUAUAUAUAUAUAUAUAUAUAUAUAUAUAUAAAUCUAUUACAAUUGUGACAACUCAAUUAUAAAUAUUUUUUCAAUCAAUUGAGUACUAAAUAUUUUAUAAAUAUAUCAAUUCAAUUCGUCCAAUCAAAAUUGGCCGCUUAGCACUAAAAUGAACACAAGGCAUUUUACAAGGCAAUAUCAACACUGACAUGGAUAAUUUUUAAUAAUAUUUGAAUAUUUUUUCGAUUUUUAUUCCUAUUUUUCUUUUUAUAUUUUCUUUUCUUUCUUGUUUUCCUUUUCUCUUUCUUUCUUUUUAUUUUUUAUUUUUUUUCUUUCACUCGCUUCUUCCUCCUGCUAGUCGCCAGCAACCACUGGAAAUGAAGGUCUAGGAAGAACGGGGCGAGCUUCGACUCCUUUCCAGGCUCAAUCAUGUCUUCAUGUGUGAUGUUCAGGAGCUGAGAAUUAGGCCCAUUGAAAUGAUACACGUGUUUGACUAAUGCGAUCUAAGGGAAUAAGAUUUUGGUGAAAGCCAAGAAAAACAAUCAAGUCUGAAAUGAGAAAUUAUUAUAUGCUCUACAAAAUGUGUGAUUGAAUAUCAUCUCAAUCAUUAAUCAGGUAAAUCUAAGCCCACGGGAUCAAUUGUUGAAUUGAGUUUCCACAUGAGAUUUAUAGACCAUACAGUAAAAUUCCAUGCAAAAUGGGGUUAUAGACGUGACUUGAAAAAUAAAAUUCACUCUACUAUCCAAAAUCAAGUCCACAAAAACUUAUUUUAGAGCCGACCUACCAAGGAUAUAAGAGAGCCACUGUCAAUUCAUUUCUAUUUCGAGUAUUCUAAAAACGUAGGAAAAUGUUCUAAGAUCCUCCUGAACUUAAACUGUCUUAGAUGGACACAUCAAAAGGCCACUAAUCUCAGUCCUCGUGUUGGCCUAUUCUUGUCUACAUCUCUCUCAUGGUCACGGGACUCCUGUCCGAACAAUACUAAAAAAACAGCCACGUCGCCAGCAAAUUAGAACGAUGGAAUUAAACGCAUGAGGCAAAUAAUGCGACGAGAAAGAAACCGGCGAGGGGACAUGACUGGAGGAAAGAAGCACCCAUUUUCUCUCUGCUCAACCUCACUUCUCUUUUAGCAGAACAGAGGAAACAGAUGGGUGUAAAAGUGGAGAAAACUUGUGGAUGUAGUCUGAGCUGCUUGCGGAUAUAGCAUGACCAAUCUCUUAAGAGUAUAUAUAAACUAAUGUUCCUAGCUAACUUGGUAGUAAAAAUGCAUAGUUUAUUGCAUAAAGAAGCUGGAACAGCUCCAUAUCAUCGGUUGUUCAAACAAGUUUAGAGUGACGUCAAAGUCGCACUUUUGACCUCCUUACCCUUCUAGCCAAACUUGUCAUGCUGGGCAAAGUGACAUUACUCUGAUCUCAAGCUCAAUCACAUUGUGACAAUGAUAAAAAAGUAUUGGAAACAAGGCAUAGUGUUACUCCCGAUAAUUACGCAAAGCGCGAGAAUGAUUUAAGAUCACUAGACAUUUAAAAUAAGAGCAAUCUUUUUUAUUAUUACAUUCUAAUUAUCAACGAUAUUAUAUUAUAGAUUCUUAAGAUUUCUAUAGAAUAUUAUCCUAUGUUAGGGACAACUAUGAUAUUAUUGUUGAUUUUUUAUAUCAAUUAAGAUUUUUUUAUAGAAUAUCAUUCUUUGAUUGUACAUAUCUUAAUUGAUAAAUAUCACCUUCGAUAGUCUCUACAAAGCCUAUAAAUGGCUGAUGUAAUCUUCAUAUUGAUAUAUCAAAAUAUACACUAUUCCCUUUUUUUCACAUUCUUAUAUUAACUAUUUGCACCUAGUGCACUCCGGUUUUUACAGGAUUGAAGACUCUGAUACCAAGUUGAGAAAUAAGAAAGAUAUGUAGAAGAAGGUAAUUGUCACGUGUGUUACUUUGUUAUUUUCGUGGUAUCAACUCUUAUUUGGGAUUAUGAUAGAAUUUGGAUCCUAUUGGUCAUGAACAAUGAAUCUUAUGAAAAAACUUGAGAACCUUUCGAAACACUGUUCACGCAGAUGCUCUCGUCGGUUUCGCGCGGCUACUGUUCACCCGCCUGCGCGCGUGCUCGUUCCUAUCGACUCCGCCAUCCAUUGUGCCCGUUUUUGGAGAUGAGCUCCCUCCUUAGCCGAUUCUUCUUCUCACCGAGCGAAUCCCCAUGGUAUGUCUUACUCGGCCGAGACUCUCGCUCUGAUUUUUUAGGGUUUCUUCUUCUGGAAUCGCCUGGGUCGCAUGGCUUCCGCCUCUGCGACUACUGAUGGUACUCGGGGAAAGGGCCCCAUGGAUGCGAUUGAACAUCCUAACCCCCCCCCCCCCGCUUGUUCGACCCGCUUUUAUGAGGUAUUCCUCUGCUGUAAGAGGUGCCCGAGCCCAGUCUGGUCGCUCACGUAGCAGGGGACGAAGCAAAGCUCGAAAGGCUCGACCGAUGGUGGGUAUUUCUGCUCGGCUUAAUGCUGUGGGAUGUGAAAAUGUCUCCUCUGGGGUCUCAACUCGCAAGGAAAAGAGAAUCUCUUUCAGCCGAGACUCGGCUGCUCAUCCGUUGCCUACUCCGCGAGAUCAGGAGCCGAAUCCGGUUCAGAGUAGCUCCAAGAAGGCGACAGGGAAUUCGUCCUCGAUCCCUUCGGGUAGUAAACCCCAGACCCAAGUUCGCUCGUGGGCGGCUGUAACCCGAUCUGCAACCAAAGGUUAUGGUUUAUCUUUCGUUCCUCCGGCUACCAUUGAGAAUUCAAAAAUUCUGCAGAUGCCGGACGAAUUGUUAGAGGCGUCUCACCUUAAAUGGGAGGAGUGUCUUGUUGGCUACUAUAUUGGUAAACGGCUACCCUUCCAACUCACGGAGGACGCCCUCAAACAUGCUUGGGGCCACCAUCUGAUCGAGGUAAUUGCUGCAAACUUUGGCUUCUAUUUUUUUCACAUUCCUGAUAGUGAAUUCAGGAAAAGAGUUUUGGAUGGAGGCCCGAUUACGGUAGCUAAAAUCCCCUUGAUCCUACAGCAAUGGCACCCCAUGUUGGAGCUCAAGAAAAUAGCUCAUAACACUGUUCCUAUCUGGAUCCGUCUUAGGAAUGUGCCUGUGGCAUUAUGGUCAGCUGCCGAGAUUAGUUUUCUAGCGAGUGGUAUUGGUAAACCGCUUUUUGUUGAUAACCGAACGGAGCAAAUGGCAAUGGUGGCCUUUGCUCGCGUCUGUGUGGAGAUUGAUGCUUCUAACUCCCUUCCUGAAGUGGUGGAAUUCAUGAUGAAAGGGGAACUUAGAAUAGUUACAGUUCAAUAUGAAUGGAUUCCGGCCCUUUGCCCAUCCUGCUCUACUUUUGGCCAUAAAUGUCCUGUGCCUACUGAAGCUGGCCCCUCCAAAGUUGGUCAUGCUCUCCCAAGGUCUCAUGGCCCUCCACAAAAUGAAUGGCGUGAAGUAAGAAAUAGGCGGAAUAAGAACAUUCCUGAUGCGCAGGUUCUGAAUUCGACUCGGAUUGCUCCCAAUUCCCCCCAACCUGGUGGGGACCAGCAAGGAUUACCUAUGCCGCAGAAGCUUUUGGCCUCUGAUACUCAACCGAUAACUAGAAGACAGGAAGAAGCUUCACCUGCGAUAGAUCCGGUCCUGCGCACUUCUCCUGACCCUGCACCUUCUGCCUUACUACAAAUACAGGGCUCUCAUGCUUCUAACAAAUCGGGCUCAACGGAUGAAGAAGAAUAUGAAGACAUUUGCUCUAGUGAAUCUGAAUCUGUAUCACCAUGUAAGGUGCCGUCAUCCACUCCUGAGGAACGUGAUAAUGCUCCUUCUCAGAAGCUGCCCCAGGAUCCCCAUACCCAUAAAAAAGGAAUUCUCCGCUCGGAAUCUGCAGAGCCGACUUUUCCUCCUGGCCCGAAGCCUAUUCCUCCCUCGGCGAGGAAACGAGGGGGCAAGAAAAGGUAAUUUUGUCUUUAUCGAAUCAUGUUUUUUGGUGUUUGGAAUAUUAGGGGCCUUGGAGGUGCCCUAAAGCAAGCUGAGAUUAGGAAUUUUGUUAGUACAAAUCGGCUGAGUUGCAUUGGGAUCCUGGAGACUAAAAUCCCCCCUGCUACUCACUCCCCUGUUUCUGCUUCUCUUAUAUCUGGUUGGUGUUGGUCUAUGAACUACUCUAACUCGAUCAGGGGCCGUAUUUGGAUAGGAUGGAAUCCUUUGGCUGUGUCUUUUUGCACCUCUGCUUGCACUGCUCAGGCCAUUCAUGGCCGUUUGGAGUGUCUUAUUUCGGGUAUUUCCUUUAACUUAUCUGUUGUCUAUGCAGAGCACUCCUUCGUCUUGAGGAGACCUCUCUGGGAUGAUUUGAUUUCAACUAGUGCUCUGUGUCUGGAUAUCCCUUGGAUUGUUGCUGGUGACUUCAAUGCCAUCCGUUAUGCGUCGGAUAGAGCUGAUAGGUCCAACUAUUGGAUUCCAGCAUUUGAGGAUUUUGGUGAGUGCCUUAUCCAAGCGGGGCUGGAUGACCUCCGUUUUGUGGGAAAUAGGUUUACUUGGUCUGCCUCUUCUGGUCCUAUGCGAAGACGGAGAAAGAUAGAUAGAGUGCUUACCAAUGCAGCCUGGAAUUCUACGUUCUCCUACUCUGAAGCAAAUUUUUUGGCCCCUGGAGUGUCUGAUCACUCUCCUAUGAUUGUCAGGAUCCUCCCGGUUCCGAACUCCCGUAGGCCCUUUAAAUUCUUCAAUUUUUGGAUGACGAACCCAUCUUUCUUUGAGCUGGUUCAGCAGGUUUGGGACUCCCAUAUCUCUGGUUCGCCUAUGUAUACCCUAUGCUGCAAGCUUCGGGCCCUUAAGCGAAGACUUAAGCUUUUAAACAAGGAAUCUUACUCUGAUAUCUCAGUUAGGACUGCUGAUGCUAGGCGAUUACUUUUGGAAGCCCAGGACGCCAUUCAGCUUGAUCCUCAUAACCAAGCCUUGGCUGAUAAUGGAAAGGAACGCCUCUAUACCUUCUCUGAUCUCCGCCUUAAAGAGGAAUCUUUCUUUAGGCAAAAAUCUCGGGUGAGAUGGCUCCGUGAAGGCGACUUGAAUACAAAGUUCUUUCAUCACUCGGUGAAUCGCAGCCAGCUCCGGAAUAGAAUCGUCUCCAUUUCUGAAGGUGAUAACUUGAUCACGGAUCCUGCUGAGAUCCAGCAAAUUUUUGUUCGCUAUUUUCGAAAUCUUCUAUCAGCUGAUAUCCUUUCUUCCAACCCCUCCGUGGAAGAGAUUCGAGGAAAAUUGGCAUGUACCCUUGAUGAAAAUCAGAUCUUCGCCAUUUCACAGCCCUUUACUGAUGAUGAAAUCCGAGCUACGUUAUUCUCUUUGGCUAGUGGAAAGGCGCCGGGACCGGAUGGCUUCAAUGUUAAUUUUUUCAAGCGGUCUUGGGACAUUGUCGGCCCAUCGGUGUUGUUAGCAGUUCGAAACUUCUUUUCCUCGGGACAACUCCUUCGUGAGAUCAACUCAACAAUCCUCACCUUAAUCCCCAAGAUCCCGAAUGCAUCGUCAGUUAAUGAUUUCCGCCCUAUAGCUUGCUGCAACACUGUAUACAAAUGCAUCACGAAGCUAUUGGCCAACAGGUUAGCUCUUGUCCUCCCUUCCAUUAUAAGCCCAACGCAAAAUGCCUUUGUGAAAGGGAGAAGGAUAAGUGACAACAUCAUGCUUGCCCAGGAGCUGUUUUCGGACUUCCACCAUAGUCCCUAUCUCCCUAAGAAUAUUAUCAAGGUGGAUUUCUCUAAAGCUUAUGACUCGGUAGAUUGGAAGUUUAUUGAAAAGACUCUCCAUGCAUUUCGAUUUCCAUCCUUAUUUAUUGACCGUAUUAUGACAUGCAUCCGAACUCCUAGGUUUUCUAUAUCUCUAAAUGGUGAAUUGCAUGGUUACUUUGAUAGCGGGAGGGGUAUCCGUCAAGGAGACCCUAUAUCCCCGUACAUUUUCACGCUUGUAAUGGAAGUAUUUACUGGUAUCAUCAAUGGGUGCACCUGCAAGCCUGAUUUCAACUUCUUCUGGCGUUGUAAAUCUUCUAAAUUGUCCCACCUUUUCUUCGCGGAUGAUGUCUUGCUAUUCUCCGAAGCUAACAUGGCAUCUCUUAGGCUCUUGCUGGAUGGAGUAAACUCUUUUGCAUCAUGGUCUGGGCUCGUUCCUAAUCUAAAUAAGAGUGAAAUUUACAUCUCUAGUGGAUCUGAUUCUCUUAAGAACUCGCUCACCGAUGCAUCAGGCUUUCGUCUUGGAUCUCUUCUUUUUCGAUAUCUUGGUGUCCCUAUAAUUUCAUCAAGACUAGGCAAGGAAGACUGUGUCUCUCUGGUUGAUUCUAUCAUGAAGAGAGUUCAGUCUUGGACUAAUCGAUUCAUGUCAACUGCUGGCCGACUCCAGCUUAUCAAAUCUGUGCUGCACUCCAUUCAGGUAUAUUGGUCCUCCGUCUUCAUUCUCCCUUCCUCGGUUAUCAAUCGGAUUGAGCAGAUAUUUCGGCAAUUCCUUUGGCGUGGUCCUAGCCUUGGAUCUGGUGGGGCUAAAGUGUCUUGGGAAGAAGUCUGUCUACCCAAAGCUGAAGGGGGAUUGGAUAUCCGCUCGGUUCGCGUGAGUAAUAUUGCUGCGAUGAUUAAACAUAUUUGGCUCCUAUUCUCUGAUAAAGAAUCGCUUUGGACCAAGUGGAUUCAUUCCGUUUUUUUAAAGCAUAAAAGUUUCUGGAAUGCGCCCAGACCGACCAUCUGUUCCUGGUCCUGGAAGAAACUUCAUGGCAUGCGUGACUUGGUUCAACACCACUUUAAUUGGAACAUUGGUAAUGGCCUAACGGCUUCUUUCUGGUUUGAUCCAUGGCAUCCUCGUGGUCCACUAAAUAAGCUUUUCUCGGAUCGUGACAUAUAUCGUUCUCGUAUCCCGCGGAAUGCUUCAGUGGCUACUGGUAUUGCGGCUCUAUAUAGCCCCUCAGCGGUUUCAAUGGUUAUUGAGAACUGGAAUGAUCUAAUUCCCUGCCUCAACAACCACAAUGAUCGUUUGGUGUGGCUUGGUCACUCUUCUGGCCAAUUCUCUACUGCGUCUGCAUGGACUAUGCUUCGUCCAAGAGGAUCCCUCGUCAGCUGGUCUCGAUUUAUCUGGAGCCCCUCAUGCCCCCCGCGCUACCAAACGCACCUAUGGCUGAUUACUCGGAAUAGAUUACCAACCCAGGUUCGGCUUCUGUCAUAUGAAAGGAUCCAGAAUGUCUCUUGUGCCUUUUGUUCAUCUAGGCCGGAUUCAACCGAUCACUUAUAUUUCGGAUGUUCAGUCACAGGACGGCUAGCCUCAUUCUGGGCGUCUAAUUGUAACUUGACUUGGAGGAAUGGAUCCUGGGAAGACAACCUUCUUUGGGUAGUAAACCAUCUCUUGGAUGCGAGUUUUCAUAAAGCCAUUGCUCGCUUCUCCUUUGGUGCCUUAUGUUACCUCAUCUGGAAGGAACGAAAUAAUAUCAUUUUUCGUAACCAAAACCUCUUCCUUCCGGCCUUGAAGGAGCAUUUACGAAAUGCCGUCAAAGAUAAAGCAUCCACUUAUUCGGGUGUUCCGGAUAUCCCCUGCAACCGUAGGCUCCAAAUGGCUUAGGGAAUCCAUCCUUCUAUUUUUGACUGAAGCGAGCUUUGUGCUUCUUUUGGCGUCGUGCCCUGGUACUCUUCUCAAGGACGCUGUGGUCUGCUCUUCUCCCGGGAGCCCCCUUUCUCCCACUCCUAUGCUGCCGGGCCUUCCUUCUCCGCAGCUUGGCUGACUGACCUCUGCUUUCUUCAGUGUGUCGGGUUCCUCUCUUGGGAUGGCUUCUUUCUCUCCCUUUGGCCGUAAUGUUUGGCCUUUCUUCUCUGUUUUGUUCUUGCCGCCUUGUUCUCUUGGCGCUUUUCUCUGCUGCUUGUUUCUUCUUUUGUGCAGCUUGUCCCGUCUCCCAUCCACUCAUCUUGACGCAUGUGUCUAGCUGAGUGUAUGAUCUCUUGGAGUCGGCUGUGUUGCUGUGCUUUUUGUAUAGCUGCUUGGUUCUCUAGCUAUAUUACUUCUUACCUUUUACCAAAAAAAAAAAACAAUGAAUCUUAUGAUGGAACCGGGAAAUUUUUGCCUUUAACAUCCAUCACCGCUGCCUCGAUUCCAUUGACCCAAAGGCACGUCCACUUUUCUAUAAAAUUCGCUAUGUACUUGUUCGAUCGAUGAGAUUUUUUUCUUUUUUGUGGGACGUUCUUAUUUUUCUAGGUGUAAAUUAAUUCUGUGUAGACUCAAUUUACAAAGACGGGGGGAUCUAUGGUCUCUAGUCUCUCUGUAGUGGGAUAGGGAUAUAAAUUAUUCGAACCAAUAGAGAUAUCAAAUUAUCGAAUCACUUUUGCAUUUUCUCACUUUGCGGAACGGUGCUUUAAAUUUCUUUUUCCGAUCAAUAAGCAAAAGUGGUACCACCCUCUUCCCGUGUUCUCCAAAAUGACCCUGGUGAUGUCACUUGGCCUCAGCACCGCUUCGUCAUGCGCCAAGGUCAUUGAUGUCCAUCUACCUUGCGUAAAGGUGUUAGCGAAUAUUCUCAAUUUUGCUCCUUGUCCUCGACCAAGAGAGCAGCUCCAGGCCCACUUGACAGCGCAUGAAACAGAAAGCAGUGAACCGACCAAAAAAAAAGAAACAGAAAGCAGUGAACCGACGAUUGGUUCGUAGGAAGAGAAAAGUUUCGCAUGCAGUCCAAAAAGGAGUAGGAGGAAUCUUUUGCAUGCAAUGGGUCAUGCGCGUGCGACGCGAGCUUGAUUACGAGAAUCUCACAAAUUAAAAAAAAAAAAAAGGAAAUAUACUAAUAGAAAUCUCAAAUCAUGCUCCUCAUGAUGCUAAUGCCUCAAAUUUUUUCCAUUUGUGGUAAAAAAUCCUAAAAUUUUAUUUGUGUAGCACGUGUACCAUUUAUCAUAAUUCCGCUCAAGAUCACUGUUAAAAAUUUGCAUUGAUCCGAUGUAACAUCAUCCAUAUUUUUUGAGAAAAAGUGGCACUAAUGUGGCACCAUGUGAGCACCGCAUCAAUAUAAAGAUUAAAAAGAAAAUGGAGAACUAAAAAAACCAACCAAAAAAAAAAAAAUAGAAAAUUCGAACUGGAGGAGAGAGAGAGAGAUUGCUGACGGUCAGGGGUGUUGAAGGGGCUCCACCACCAUUCCAACUUCGCUGAUGAGAGCUGCCGGCCUCUUCCGGCCAUCGGUGAGGGUCAGCCAGCGCUUGCAUGGAUACCUUGACACUCGGUGUCUAUGGUUGAAGCAGAUGAAAAAGUUGGCACAGGACAGGGGAGAGCAAUAUGUGCUGAUGUCGAACAGAAAAACGGGUUUCUUACAACUCGAACAUGCUUUCAAUUUGUGAAGAACGUAGUAUUUCUCUUUAGAACGAGUAGAUACAACUCCACUGUAAGAGCAUGUAGCAUCACAUUUGAUACAGCGCCCUCAGACGCCACACCCCACAACUCCCGCCUCCACUGCCCUUGCCGUCCUACCGCCCCCCUCAUCGUUCCGUCGCCCGCCCACCCCCUCUUUGGUCGAAGGUAACCACGAUGAUACUCGUCUCUCCCUCUUGGUUCUUUGUUUUCUAUAUCUCUACAACUUGUUUCUUUGUUCUCUAUUCUCCACGGCCGUUGAGCUCAAGGACCAUGAACUCUGCUGUAGUGUCGUGCUCGAGCAGCAUCUCAGGCAAGCUCUGACAUGCCACUCGAAUUCGAUGACAUCACGGCUUCAAGGUCAAUCUUGGAUUUAGAUAUUAGAUGAAAACAUGAUUUAUUAUUGAAAUAUUCGAAUAUUGCGUGUCAAGCUACGCUCGUGGCAAGGAGCUCAAACUUAAAUCUAGGGGAUGAGCUUUGCCGCACAUUGAGCCCAACCUCAGAUUUGCGAUCAAGCUCCGCCACGCUGUUGAGCUCAAAGAGUGCAAAGAGGCCCGGACGAAGGGAAGAUGAAGACGCGGGGUGCCGGGGGCUAGCUGUGGAGGCUGUUAUCUGAUUUGGGCACGUCCAAAACUGGGCAAGGUGUCUACAGUCGGGUAACGAUAAUCAUGUGAGAGUCGGCCGACCCUCGUUGAGGGCCCAUGGGGUCCGACAGCCCUUGCCAGCAAAGCCGAAACGGGCGGCGACGUCCUCUAAACAACCCCGACCAUCUGUAAUCUCUCUUUGUCCUCUGGUUCGAAUUUUCAUUUUUUCUUCGGAUAGCUUUCUUUGUUUCUCUCUCUUUUCAAUCUUCUUCUGAUGUGGCGCUGACAUUGCGCCACACCAGUGCCAUUAUUCCUCAACAAAAACUUAAUAAUAGGACGUCAAAUUUUUAAAAGGCAAUCUUAGGACAAAAUUGUGAUGAAGGAUAUAAGCAUUAUAUGGAUAGAGGUUUGAUGUUUUUAGAGACAGGAUAAAAAAAAAAAAAAAAAAGCUUGGACUACUGUGAAAAUAUAGCUUGUAGUGAGUUAUAAAUUUUUAAGGGAGUAGAUUCUAUGACAAUUAUAAUUAUUGUUAUUUGAUUUUUGUGGUCCAAAACAUACUAUUGCAUUGAGUUCUUUUACUUGGGAAUAGGGAAUGGGAAAAAGACUUGUUGCAUGAUAAAUCAUUAUGUUAUUAUCAUGUUUCCAAUUCUCUUGUUUCUCAAUCAUCCCUUCUUAGGUAAAUCCUCACUCAAUUGGGGUCAGCGAUUUUCGGAUGCACUUUUAACCUUGGAAAAUUUGGAGAGAAGACAAAUUCCCCAUAAAAGUUGCUUUCAAUUGGGCAUAUUUUGGAGAUACUGACAUUUUGCUAGGCUGAAGAAGGAAAAGGUUCAGUCAUGUUUCAUCCAACCAAUUUAGAAUUGACUGAUCACCCAGAGUAUAGCAAAUCAAGGUAUGUAAGUAUGGGAGGAUUAACCACACUGACAGCUCAAAACCACUUGAGGCCAUGUUUGGUUCAUUGCCCUGGAAUCAUGAAAAGGAAUCUCAAUCUAAGCAAUCAACUUCCUAGAUGUGGGGUUCAUUCUCUAUUGUUUGGUUUCAAUUUACAAAUGAAGGGAGAAAUGUCUGAUGUGAGAUGCAAAUUGAGGUAAAAACAUGUCAGAAAUGGAAUGUGUAAAAUAUUUCUCCAAUCCACAUAUCCAAAGUGGCUAAUGAAAAACCAGGGAUAGAAACAGAAUGAAGAACCACAUACAAUCCCCCAACAAUUUCCCAAUUAUUGUCAUCUAGAAUGAUCAUUUCAUUUCACAAAUACAUUACAUUACAGCUCCUCAAAAUCUCUUGAGUAAAGCAUUUCACACAUAAUCUGCAACAAUGAAGAUAGAGCCAUUCCCGCAUAACUUCAAACUACUUCACAACUGUUACCUCAAGCCAUUGUGAUAUUCUUGUCCUUGUUGUGUUUUGAGUCAAAGACCCAAUCACGAGAACAAAUGGAGUGACAGCAACUCAGCCAAGUGUGUUAAUGGAACUUUAUAUCCCCACUCAAGCCAACGUGAUGCUCGUAGUUGGCGUCUCCAUUAACAGACCAGACAAGUUUCACAAUAGAGAGAGAGAGAGAGAGAGAGAGAGAGAGAGAGAGAGAGAGAGAGAAAUAAUCUCAUCCGGAGGAAUGUGAGGGCCAUGGAAUCAAGAGGCGGGCGAAACUCUCAUGGAAGGAUUUGAAGAUGAUGAAUGGAGAGAGAGAGAGAGAGAGAGAGAGAGAGAGAGAGAGAGAGAGAGAGAGAGAGAGAGAGAGAGAGUUCUGGCUUUCUAGGAUUUGAAGAUUUAUGAAGCUCAAGAGUACCGAGUGUGUUGGGUUCGUGAAUGUUUUUUCCUCCUAGGAAUCCAAGUACCGCCUCUACUCGAGCAAUCGAGUUCUGCAUUAGGAGUAUCUAUUAACUAAGCACUUUGAUUCUAUGAUCAUAAAUCCAUCCAAAGAUGAGCUGCAAUGGCAUUCAAUUUCUUGUUUAUUACUCCAAGGUGAACCAAACAAGGCCUAAGUGAUUACACGAUGUACUAUACUUUUCAUGGUGGAAUCAAUGAUCUGCCGUCUCGACCAUGACUUUCCAUAGGAUCAUGUAUCUAAAAUCCCUAAACCAAAGAAGUGAACAUGCACAAAAUUCACUUACUUAAGAACCUACCAUCAACUCACCCCAACGUACAUGCUAGGAGAGAUGAGAGAGACAGAUAGAGAAAUGUCUGGAUUUUGUUAAGAGUACAAAUACCAACCAAGUCCGCAGGAAGUUCUAAAUGAUUAUCUUUUCCCUUGAAUACCCCAGUCCUUGUUAAUGUAGAAAACAAGGAUCUCCUGCCUGAAGGAGUUGUUAUCAGUACUGGUGAUUAUGUCUGGAAAUAAAAUUACUGUUGAAAAUUAGAAUUGAAUUUUCUGGUUAUUUUGUUUCUAGAUUUUCCAGAUGUUUCAGAUUUUUUAGAUUUAGAUUUUCCAGAUCUUCCAGAUUUCUAGAUUUUCUAGAUUUUACUUUUUCCAGAUUUUAUUUGUUAGUUUUUAGGAAUUUGUUCACUACCUUUUUAGGGUGUUGUAGCAACUAUAAAAAUGUUAGAUGUCUCAUGUAAAUAUUCAUUCUCUGGAGAAUAAAAAACUCAAAGUAAUUUCUCCUAAAAUUCUUCAUGGUAUCAGAGCACAAUCUGGACCAUUCUCUUCUACCUUAUUUCUGAGAGUUUGCACCAUGACAAAAUACCUUAUAGCUACCAUGGCAAACGAGGUUGAGAGUGAAACCUCAGACCCUAGAGCUCAGAACUCUCCUCACAUUAUCCAACCUAUCAAUGUAUCCGAAGGUGGAACUCUUCUCAUCACCGGUCAUAAACUUACCGGUCACAACUUCAAUCAAUGGUUCCAUUCUGUCAUGAUUUUCGUUUGCGGAAAAGUUAAAGAAGAUUACCUAAUUGGAACUGCCGUACAACCUGAGGAGACGAGCCCAAAUUAUCGAACAUGGAAGGUGGAAAAUAACAUGGUGAUGUGCUGGUUGCUGAAUUUAAUGACAAAUGAAACAGGGGAGAAUUUCAUGUGCUACAAGACAGUAAAGGAGAUUUGGGAUGCUAUUCAUGAAACUUAUUCAAACAAGGAUAACACCUCAGCCAUUUUCGAGAUCAAGGGCAUUCUCCAUGACCUAAGGCAAGGAGAAUCUUUUGUCACUGAUUAUUUUAACCAACUUAUACGUCAUUGGCAGCAACUUGACAUGCUAGAAGAUGUGAUGUGGAGUUGUCCUGAAGAUAGCAAGCGGUACAAGCAGAUUCAAGAUCGAGAACGCAUCUACAAAUUUUUGUUAGGCUUGAAUCAAGAGCUUGAUGAGGUACAUGGACAAAUUCUUAGCAUAAAGCCCCUACCUAGUGUACGUGAAGUUUUUGCUGAGGUCAGGAGAGAAGAGACUCGGCGAAAAGUGAUGCUUGGUUCCUCAAACAACCAAACCAAUCUAGCAAAUUCUGCUCUAAUAGCUCGAGGAUCUCAACCAUCCUAUAGUCGAGGCACUCAAUCAAACAACAACAACCAGCAAAGGGGUGGUCGUCCAUGGUGUGAUCAUUGCAAAUGAACGGGUCACACAAAAGACACAUGAUGGAAAAUUCAUGGUCAACCAGAUGAUUGGAAGCCAUCAGCCUCACAUCCUACUCAAAAUCGAGAGAGCAAAAGCAACCUAGUCCAAACCGAAACAAUCGCUUCGGUAGAUUCAAGUCCCUUCAACAAAGAGUAGUUGGAGAUGCUUAAAAAGCUGCUACAAGAAUCAGUUCAGAAGGCAACCCAUCUAGAAGGGGUUAGUAUAGCAACGAUAGCUCAACGAGGUAACUCUCUAAAUGCCUUUAGUGCUAAAUAGGAGAAGAUCACCUCUUGGGUUGUAGACUUAGGAGCAUCUGACCACAUGACCGAAGAUAUCAUGGUGUUCAACGAGUACAAUCCAUGUCAAAAUGGCACUAGUGUUCGAAUUGCUGAUGGUUCUUGCUCAAAGGUGGCUGGUGUUGGAUCAGUGGUUAUUUCAAAAGAUAUAACACUGAAUUUAGUAUUAUUUAUUCCCAAACUCAGCUAUAAUCUUCUCUCCAUCAGCAAGUUAACCAAAGAUUUAGGCUGCAUUACUAAAAUUUUCCCACACUCAUGUGAAUUUCAGGUUUUGGAUUCGGGGAUGACGAUUGGCAGUGCUGAGAUGGAUGCGGGUCUCUACCUUGUUAAUGCCUCAGAAUGGAAAAACAAGAUGUCAUGUGUAGCAUCGUGCUAAAGAAGAGAGUGAUGUAAGAUUGUGGCACUAUAGGUUAGGUCAUCCAAAUUUCUCGUACUUAAAAAGGCUGCUACCUUUUUUGUUCAAUAAAGAUUCAAUAAAACUUCAAUGUGAGGUGUGUCAAUUAUCCAAACAUACUCGUAGUUCAUAUCCUUUGCAACCUUAUAAGUCUUCUCAUCCAUUUCACAUGAUUCAUAGCGAUAUUUGGGGACCUUCUCAUGUCAAUAACAUUUCUGGUUUUAGGUGGUUUGUUACUUUCAUUGAUGAUCAUACAAGACUCACUUGGCUAUUCCUAAUGAAAGAAAAAUAAGAUAUUGGCCAAAUCUUUCAAACCUUCAACCUAAUGAUCCAAACCCAAUUCAGCACAAAAAUCCAAGUUUUCAAAACGGAUAAUGGGAGAGAAUACUUUCACUCACAACUCGGGUCAUAUCUAAAUAGCCAUGGUAUCAUACAUAUUAGCUCUUGUGUAGAGACUCCACAACAGAAUGGAGUAGCGAAGAGGAAAAAUAGGCAUCUUUUGGAAGUCGCUCAUUCUCUUAUGUUAACCACCCAUGUUCCUAAACAUUUUUGGGGAGAAGCAGUGUUGACAGCCACAUGUCUCAUUAAUCGUAUGCCUUCCUAUGUCCUAGAUUUCCAAACACCAUUUCAGAGUCUACUUCGUAUUUACCCACAUAUUCGUUUUGCCUCACAUAUCCCACUCAAAGUAUUCUGUUGCACAGCUUUUGUUCAUAUAAAUCAGCAACAUCGUAGCAAGCUAGAUCCUAAGUCUCUCAAAUGUGUGUUUCUACGAUACGCUCCAAAUCAAAAUGGAUAUAAGUGUUAUUGCCCACAAACAAAGCAUUUUUAUACCACCAUGGAUAUUACAUUCUUUGAGCACCAGCCCUUCCACUCCAAAAAUACCAUUAAGGGGGAGAGUUGUGAGGAAUAUUAUUUUUGGGACACUUUUCAUUCACUCAGGUCACAACAAACAAAUACCAACUCUGCUUGUCUUCUGAGUCUACCCAUUCAAGAUGCUACACAAGACAAAAAUAAAGAGGUAAUUGUCUACUCUAGGCGGAAAACUCAAAAGGAGUUGGAGGACCGUACUACAUCAAAGCCGGCCCAAGAGACAAACCUGAGUUCAAGACCCACAAUGGAUGAAGGUAAUGCUCCUAUAAGCUCAUAAAAUUUUGCUGUACUUGAUGAUCUUGAUCAGCCCAUUGCUCUUAGGAAAGGGAAGAGACAGUGCACUCAACAUCCCAUUAACAAUUUUGUGUCUUAUGAAAAGUUGUCUUCUAAAUAUAAGGCAUUUGUUUCAACGUUGAGCAACAUUCAAAUUCCCAAGAAUAUCCAGGAGGCACUUGCUCAAUCCGAGUGGAAAAAAGCAGUUCUUGAGGAAAUUCAUGCACUUGAGAAAAAAAAAACUUGGGAAUAUACAGAAUUGCCAGCUAGGAAGAAAUUGGUGGGAUGUAAGUGGGUUUUUACAAUUAAGCACAAUGCUGAUGGUAGUGUUGAUCGUUUCAAGGCAAGGCUGGUUGCUAAGGGAUUCACGCAAUCAUAUGGUAUAGACUAUGAAGAAACCUUUGCUCCGGUGGCCAAACUAAAUUCCAUUCGGGUGUUGCUCUCCCUUGCAGCUAACUUGGACUGGCCCCUACAUCAAUUAGACAUAAAGAAUGCCUUCUUGAAUGGGGAAUUGGAGGAAGAAGUCUUUAUGGAGGUUCCAUCGGGAAUUGACACUAAAGAGAGCUUCAACCAGGUAUGCAAACUCAAGAAAUCCCUAUACGGCCUAAAGCAAUCACCUCGUGCUUGGUUUGAGAGGUUAACAAGGGUCGUUAAGAAGCUGAAUUUCAUUCAAUGUCAAACAGAUCAUACAAUGUUUGUCAAGAAGUCGGCUGAAGGUAAAAGAGCAGUAAUGAUUGUAUACGUCGAUGAUAUAAUCCUAACUAGUGACAAUCUGGAGGAGAUUGAAAAACUGAAGAUUAUCCCGACAGAAGAAUUCGAGGUUAAAAACCUAGGUCAACUCAAAUACUUCCUAGGUAUGGAGGUAACUCGGUCACGUAAAGGAAUUGCAAUUUCCCAAUGCAAAUAUACUCUUGAUCUUUUGAAGAAAACUGGUAUGCUUGGGUGUAAACCAGCUAACACACCCAUGGAUUCUACAAAUAAAACCGAGAUGGAAGAAGAAGGACCAUUAACAGACAAAUGGAGGUAUCAAAGAUUAGUUGGCAAAUUGAUCUAUCUCUCGCAUACUCGGCCAGACAUUGGUUUUGCAGUAAGUAUGGUUAGUAGAUACAUGAACCGAUCAACAGAGAAACACAUGCAGGCAGUUUUUCGAAUCUUACAAUACUUGAAGAAAAAUCUUGGGAGAGGGCUCUACUUUAAGAAAAUGGAGGAGAGAAACGUAGAGAUAUUCACUGAUGCAGAUUGGGCUGGAUCUCUCAUGGACCGAAGGUCGACAACAGGGUAUUGUACCUUCAUGUGGGGCAGCAUGGUUACUUGGAGAAGCAAGAAGCAACCUGUUGUUGCUAGGAGCAAUGCUGAAGCGGAGUUUAGAGCAAUGUGUCAAGGAAUAUGUGAAGGCAUAUAGCUAAGAAGAAUAUUAAAUGAACUAGGAUUCACUAAUACCAAUCCUAUGUCAUUAUUAUGUGACAACAAAGCUAUUAUUGAGAUUGCCAAGAACCCGAUUCAUCAUGAUAGAACAAAGCAUGUGGAGAUCGAUCAACAUUUCAUCAAAGAAAAACUCGAGGAAGAAAUCUUGAAGCUCUCGUAUGUUCCAACCCAUUAUCAAACAGCGGACAUACCGACCAAGGUUUUAUCCAUAAAUAAUUUUGAGACUUUAAGGUGCAAGCUGGGUAUGAUAGACAUUCAUAACCCAGCUUGAGAGGGAGUGUUGAAAAUCAAAAUUGAAUUUUCUGGUUAUUUUGUUUCCAGAUUUUCCAGAUGUUUUAGAUCUUUUAGAUUUAGAUUUUCCAAAUCUUCCAGAUCUUCCAGAUCUUUUAGAUUUUCUAGAUUUUAUUUUUUCCAUAUUUUAUUUGUUAGUUUUUAGGAAUUUAUUUACUACCUUUUUCAGGUGCUCUAGCAACUAAAAAAAUGUUAGAUGUCUCAUAUAAAUAUUCAUUCUCUGGAGAAUAAAAAACUGAGAGUAAUUUCUCCUAAAAUUCUUCAAUUACUGAUAUGAUAAUAUACAAUUCUCAGUAUGAAAUAUACAAUUCUCAGUAUGAAAUAUGCCCGCCGUGCGCCUCUAAUGUUGAUUUUUGGGUUAUCCCCUAUCAUGUAUAGUGUUCUGAAACAACGAAUUCUGACUAUGUAUUAGUCUCCACAUCUAGGUUGCUUAACAAAGAUGGCAUAAGAUUCCUUAACAGGGUGUCAGCAUUUCCAUAGACAAAUGGAUUUGGCCUCCCAUACGAUGUAUAUGCCAGCGGAAUGGGAUGUAUUCUGCAGAACAGGGACAAGUAAACAAUGCAUAACAUAAGAUUGAAGAUUAAUGCAUGUCACUAUGCUGCAUUGAGGUAAACUUUAAUUUUUUGUGGAGAAUAUUAGAUCAAACUCCAUGCAGAACUAAACAUUGAGAAGCUAAAACCGCACUAAAUUACCUAUUAUAGAUUGCUUCUAAUGCAAUCGUGAAAGUUCCCAUACCCAGAAGCUCAGCAGGAAAAGUAGCCUGCCUCUACACUUUGUCAGCUAGUCAUCAGCCAGUCUUUAGUUCCACCAAGGCUUCAAAAACUCAAGAUUGCAGCUAGCAUCACAAAUGGCACAACUUACCCGGUAUUCGAGGUCAUUAUUUGCAAAAAAACAUGUGCGGUUGCUUUCCAGCCUCCCUUUCAGGAGGCCAUCCAGUUCUCAAUAUGUCACAGAGUACCUAAACCCAAACUUGAGUAUCACGGAAUUUUUUUAAUGUACACAGACAGAUAGAUAGAUGAUAACACUCCAUUUUAUCACUUUUUCCAAACUAGAUGUCAGCACCCACUAGACUUUUAAAAAGAGAUGACUAAAGUUGCAGAGUAGUUACUGAACAACCAAACAAAGCCUAGUGUCUUUUGAUGGUCAGUUCAAAGAUUUAAAACUCGCGUGACGAAAAGGCCAAUAUGGACUCGACAGCCGAAUUAGAUAAUCUAAGAAAGGACAAGAUCCUCUAGAGUGGUCACAACCUGAGUAUCUUUGCUCCAAUCAACAGAAUCAUUGGCCACAAAUACUGCUUGAACUCUCUAUGUUUGCCUAGCAAUUUUUCUCUUUCCUAUCAUAUUAGAAGUGCUAUUCUGGUCAUUGCCUAGCUUAGUUGUCCAUCUCUUGUAUGGUGCCAGUGGAUCAAUGGCAUCAAAGUAGCUAGUGUACUCAUCAAUUGACGGAACGUUUCUGCAUAGAAAAGACAGAGGCAGAAAGAGGGUCAACUAGAGGGAAAAGAGAGAGAGAGAGAGAGAGAGAGAGAGAGAGAGAGAAUCAAGUUGUUGGAGUUGUUGGAGUUGUUGGAGUUCUCGUUCCAGGUGAAACAGUGUUGAACACUAACGACUAAGAAGAUUUAUGGAGAGGACUUCUCUGCAAUUACUCAAGUCCCUGAGAACUUGAGUGAUUUUUAUUAACUUUGCUUGCUCCUAAUUAUUAUCUAGACAUCUUCAAUAUCAAUUUUAUUAGAUACAUAACUUUAUCCUCAUAACUUUUGAAAGCUUUCAGUAACCUUGACACGAUAUAACUUUUGUGGAGCUAUUGUUGUUUAAACUUUUGUGUAGACUUUAGAUAGCAAGGGUAUGCGUGGGCUUGCUUUCAUUUCUCUUUUCAGUGAUCUGCCUUAACCAUUUCUAGCAAGCCUAUUUUUUUUUUUUUUCUGGAACACAUUGAGCUCCUUGUCUACUUAGCUUCUAAAGUAGCUUUGGAUGGUUGUGCAGCCCGAAUUAUAUCUAAAAUUCAAGCUCUGUGAUGACAAGUUGGAACUCUUUGGGUACUAAAUUACUUGUGGCAACUAUCUUUUUCUGUUCUAAUUAUGAGGGUUGCUGAUGGACUAGAAGUUAUGAACAAUUGCCGGAUGCACAAAUUUAUUGAUUAUGUUUGGUUGUGGCAGUGUUAUAUCAAUUUACAAAUCGAAAAUGUGCCACAAUAUUUAGCAUUUUGGUAUCUCAGGUUUGUUUUUUGGAAGGUGGUGUGAUUGAUUGAUCUCUUGCAUCGAAUAACAGGGAGAAGAGCAUCUAGCUUGUGUUACUGUAGCUGACCAUUUAAGCUUGAAGCAACACUAGAGUGUGAUCACUAAUUCAAGGAAAUUUUAACUUUGGCUAGGUGCUACAAUGGGCAGGAUUUUAUGUGGCUAACUGAGCAUUAGUACAUGCAUUGGCAUGCUAGAAUGGUUUUGUUAUGAGGGCAUAUUGAGAAACUGAUGAUGUUGAAUUUACCAAAGAAAAUAAGACAGUACUUUAGGUUGGUUUAGGUAAAUCAACUAACACCCUUCAAUCUCCCAAUAUAAAGAUGAGGUUUUGUGAUGAGGUAAAAUGUGCAGAAAGACUAGAAGGAGUUGCUUUUUCAAUCUACUGAAGAUAGAGGCAGUUAAUUGUAGUGUGAAGUGAAAAGAUAUGUUUUUGCAUUGCUUAUCAGAAGUGACUUGUUACUGUUGAUUCUACUUCUACUUUUUUUGCAGUCAUCAUGUGUUUUAGAUGUUGAUUGCUUGUAUAUUUAGAUCAUCAUAUUGCAGGGGAUUGGUAAUGCCAUCUUUUUUGGUUGCUGGUGGAACUUCCCUUUAGUAGAUCUAAGACCUCUCUCUAUUUUGCAACUUCCUUGGAAUGAAAUUUUCCUCCAUUUUUCGCAAUUCUGUGAUGAGACACAAACAAGGUCAGAAAACACUUUGUGGUGCUUGACAUCUGAGGACGAAUUCUUGAUUUCUUUUCCAACUUAGCAAUUAGCACUACAUAUCAGUAACUAGAUUUGGUUUUUACUAUGCUUUGAUGACCGUCUUUUCCUGUGAUAGAGCUGGCCCUGAUGAAGCAAAAGAGACGUUGAAGAAAAUUGGUGCUGAAGAAGUGUUCACUAAGAGCCGAUUAGAAGUAAAGAAUGUCAAGGGUCUACUAAUACCGUCCAUCCACUAGCCCAUUCUACCAUAUUCUUAUGCAUGGACACAUCCAUUUUUGGCCAUUGGCACUUGAGUUCUUUAUUUACAUCUUAUUGACUUUGUACUAGGGUGAUCUAAAAGAAUUUGCCCUUGGAUUAAACUGCAUUGGUGGCAAUGCUACUUCCUCGGUGAUGAAAUUUUUGAAGUGCAACAGGUGUUAAAUUUGUGUCGAGUGCUUCCCUUAUCUUUCUGAAGAGAGCUGAUCUAGUUUUGUUCUCAGGCGGGGAGGAAUCAUGGUGACAUAUGGUGGGAUGUCUAAGAAACCAAUUACAGUGUCAACUUCAUUUUUUAUCUUCAAGGUAAAUUAAGAAGCAGCGAACUAAAAUUUCUGCUUAUGGUUGAGGUUAUUUCAGUCAAGUCUUACAAUUUGACUUGUCUAUGUUUCGGUCUCAGUCUUGGCAAUGACCUAUAGUUUGAUUUUUGUUUAAAAGUUUUAUUUGUUGUUUAAAUUUGGCCCAAAAUCUCAAUUUCAAUAUUUGAUGCAACCAAAUUUGAGCGAAAAAAUUAUCCCUGGAGUUGAGACUAAGAGGAAUGUAUAAACCAAUGCAAUAGUGGUUCUUAUGGUUUGCAGGAUCUUUCUUUGAGGGGAUUUUGGCUGCAUAAUUGGAUCAGUUCAAAUGAUGUAAGAGAGUGCAGAAGAAUGAUUGAUCACUUGCUGGUCACUUGCUGGAACUAGCGUGUGAUGGAAAGUUAAAAUACGAGUUUGUCUUUUGUAACAACUACUCAAAUUGCUGUAUUUAGGUCUCCAUAAGUAAUUUUCACUAGUAUUUAUCCUCAAGAGUGUGUUUGGAUUGUGGAUGCAUAUUAAGUUCUCCAAAACUGCAGGAACGAGCUUGUUCCUUUUAGUGAUGAGUUCAUUUGGAAUUAGGCGUAUUACACUAUUUUUUGUUAUUUCUCUUUUUAUUUUUAUUUUUCGUUGGGUCAAAGUCUUUGUCCAGGUCAUCGACAUAAAUUUGGCAUCUCCUAUAGUAACUUUGUUAAUAAUAUAAAGUUAUUUCUGAAAGUACUGGUAAAGCGACCAGUCAAAAGACGCUCGAGAAAAUAUUGUUAUCAAAAGUUUGGACAGCUGGUAAAGAAUUUCUAAAUUUUACUGGUACAGAAAGCGUACUGGCUUUUCUCCCUAGCAGACCUGCAGAAUCGUGGGACCGGUUCAUCUGGUCGCACUCGUGGUCAUGGAGAAACAGAGAGAUGCAAGGCUAAUAAUUUUAUGCUGCUGCAUUUACAUGGGCUGAUUAUUCAACACAAGUGGUCAAGAACCAAUCUGAACUUUCGAUUGCAUAACGCCCAACAGAGUCCGCAAGAUUUGCAGCUCAAAUUUCAAUUGCAAGAUGCAAUACAAACUUCAUCAACUGUAUCAACAGAAAGUAGUGACUCUGCUGGGGGCAAGAAAUAGCUUAAGAAUGAGCAGGAUUCGCCACUCGAAAGACUUGACAGCAUCUACUCCCCAAACCAGCUUUUCGGAGGACGUGAAGGAGUUGGCGAAGUACACUUAGUUGGCUCUGCCGUGAAGGAUCUUUCUCCUGGCGAUUUGGUCAUUCCAUCUCCACUCUCUUUUGGUAAAACAUUCUUUCAGUAUUACCUAAGUUUUAAAAUGAUAUCAGAUUUACUGUGCAUCAGCCAUGCUCAUCUAGUUGAUCACUUCUGAACAAUUUCUCACUCAGCCAAAGGAUAUAAUCUUCUAUAUUUGAUGCAGCAUGUUUAACGUUUAAUUUGAUUAGAUGCAGAACAGAAACGAGUGAAAUAUCAACCAAAAGAAAGAUUGAAACUGUGAUACACAUCUUAGUGAUUGUCAUCUUAAAUAAAAGAUACUUCUGCAUUCCAUUAGUACUGACUUGUUUUGUUAUGCAGAACAUCUGUGCCUAGCACUUAGCCCAUUGUAAAUUUGAGUGUGUUGAAAGGUGAAAUAGUUUUUGUGCUCAGGGACAUGGCAGACUUACAUUGUCAAAGACCAGAGUGUAUGGCAAAAAAUUGAUAAGAAUUCUCCUAUUGAAUAUGCUGCGACAAUUUCCAUUAAUCCUCCGACCGCUUUGAGAAUGCUUGAAGACUUCACCUCUUUGGAACCAGGUAUAUAAACAGUACAAGAGUCUCUUAGCUGUCCCCCAACUUUCACCGUAAGCAAUUUAUCCUAAGUUGUGCUAAUCAGCUGUGAUCAUUAGGGGAUUCGAUUGUGCAAAAUGAGGCUACGAGUAUAGUGGGUCGAUGCCUCAUCCAAAUUGCGAAAUCCCGUGGCAUCCAAGCAUCAACAUAAUCAGGGACAGGUGCUCUCUUGAAAGCUUUCAGUAACCUUGAUACCACGUAACUUUUGUCAAACUACUGUUGUUUAAAACUUUUGUGUAGACUUUAGAUAGCAAAGUUAUGUGUGGGUUUGCUUUUAUUUCUCUUUUCUGUGAUCUGCCUUAACCAUUGCUAGGAAGCCUUUCUUUUUUUUUUUUUUUUUUUUUUUCUGGAACGCAUUGAGCUCUUGUCUACUCAGCUUCUGAAGUAGGGACUAAAUUACUUGUGGCAACUCUGUCUUUUCCUAUUCUAAUUAUGAAUGUUGCUGGUAGACUAAAAGUUAUGAACAAUUGCCAGAUGCACAAAUAUGUUGAUUAUGUUCGGUUGUGGCAGUGAUAUAUUAAUAUACAAAUUGAUAAUGUGCCAAAAUAUUUAGCAUUCUGGUAUCUCUGGUUUGUUUUUUGGAAGCUUGUGUGAUUGAUUGAGAUCUCCUUGCAUCGAAUAACAGGGAGAAGUGGACCUUGAGCUUGUGUUACUAUAGCUGACCCUUUUAAGCUUGAAGUAACAUUGAGUGUGAUUACUGAUUUGAGGAAAUUACAAUCUUUGGCUAGGUGCUACAAUGGGCAGGAAUUUAUGUGGCUGACUGAGCAUUAGUACAUGCAUUGGCAUGCAAGAAUGGUUCUGUUAUGAGGGCAUUUUGAGGAAUUGAUUAUUUGAACUUAUCAAAGAAAAUAAGAACGUACUUUAGGUUCAUGUAGGUACAUCAACUAACAUCCUUUAAUCUCCCAAUAUAAAGAUGAGGUUUUGUGAUGAGGUAACAUGUAUUUGGAAAGACUAGAAGGACUUGUUUUGUGAAUAUAUCGAAGGCGAAGGUAGUUAAUUGUAGUGUGAAUUGAGCAGAGAUCUUUCUGCAUUGCUUAUCAUAAUUGACUUGUUACUGUUCAUGAUUCUUCUACUACUUUUGCAGUCAUCAUGUGUUUUAGAUGUUGAUUGCUGGUAUGUUUAGAUCAUCAUAUUGCUGGGCAUUGGUAAUUCCAUCUUUUUUUAGUUGCUGGCGGAAACUUCCUUUUAGUAUAUCGAAGACGUCUCUCUGCUUUGCAACUUCUUUUGGAGUGAAAUUUUCCUCCUUUUCUUUUAAUUCUGUGACGAGACACAAAAAGAGGUCAGAAAACACUUUGUGGUGCUUGACGCAUUAAUUUAGUAGGGCUCUCUCAGCCAGCUUAUUAGUUCAUGCUAUGACCUCUGAGCACAAAUUUGGUAGAAUUCUUUAUUUGUUUUCCAACUUAGUAGUUAGCACUGCAUAUCAGUAACAAAAUUUGAAUUUUACUGUGCUUUCAUGGCCGUCCUUUUCCUAUGAUAGAGCUAGCUCUGAUGAAGCAAAAGAGGUGUUGAAGAAACUUGGUGUUGAAGAAGUGUUCACUGAGAGCCAAUUAGAAAUAAAGAAUGUCAAGAGUCUACUGGUAUCAUCCAUCCAUUAAUCCAUUCUACCAUAUUCUCAUGCAUGAAACACAUCCAUGUUUGGCCAUCGGCACUUGAGUUCUUUAUUUACAUCUUAUUGACUUGCUACUAGGGUGAUCUAAAAGAACCUGCCCUUGGAUUAAACUACGUUGGUGGCAAUGCUGCUUCCUUGGUGAUGAAAUUUUUGAGGUGUGACAAGUGUUAAAUUCGUGUUUAGUGCUUCCCUUAUCUUUCUGUAGAGAGCUGAUUUAGUUUUGUUCUCAGGCGGGGAGGAACCAUGGUGAAAUAUGGUGGGAUGUCUAAGAAACCAAUUACAGUGUCAACUUCAUCUUUUAUCUUCAAGAUAAAUUAAGAAGUGGUGAACUAAAUUUUCCACCGAUGGGUAGGAGGUUAUUUUAGUCUAGCCAUACAAUUUGAUUUGUCUAUGUUUCGGUCUCGGUCUCGAUCUCGAUCUCGGUCAAUGCCCUAUAGUUUUAUUUUUUUUGUCUAAAUUUGGCCCAAAAUCUCAAUUUCAGUAUUUGACGCAACCAAAUUUGAGAGAAAAAAAUUAUCCCUAGAGUCGAGACUAAGGGGAGUACAUAAAUCAAUGAGACAAUGGUUCUUAUGGUUUGCAGGAUCUUUCUUUGAGGGGAUUUUGGCUGCAUAAUUGGAUGAGUUCAAAUGAUGUAACAGGGUGCAGAAGAAUGAUAGAUCACUUGCUCGAGCUAGUGCAGGAUGGGAAGUUAAAAUACGAAUAUGUCUUCGGUAACCACCACUCAAAUUGCUGUAUCUAGGUCUCCAUAUCUUUAUAGUGUCUCUAAUAGUAUUUAUCUUCAAGAUAGUGUGCCUGGACUGUGGAUGCGUAUGAAUUUCUCCAAAACUGUAGGACGGAGCGGGUUCCUUUUAGUGAUUUCCACAUUGCACUGGAUAAAUCAUUGGGGAAACUUGGAAGCCAUCCUAAGCAAGUCCUGAAGUUCUAGGGCUAUUGAAUAUUUAAGGGCAGUGAGAAGAUAAAAAAAUUAUGCGUCAUAUCCUUCAGACAAUCAGUUGUUCUAAAGUUGAGGCACUAGAUGGACCGAGCACGAUAACUAUGUAUCUUUUCCAUUAUUAUUAUUCUCUUUUCAUAAGUUAUGCAUCUUUUUUGUUGAGGUAAUUUCGUAGAUUCUUAUUUUCAGCAAUUUCCAUUCUGAAUUUGUUUUGCAUCAUGCCUUCCAAUCUAAAACUAAUCUCAUGCUCUCCCAAAACAUGAUGGCUGAAUUUGGAGAUCCAAACAUCGGCCCGCUUGGUAUGGGAAAGGUCCAGAAAGGUUUGAGAUUUGCACGAUUCUCAUAUACACGUAAUAAGGAACAUUGGGAUAUACUUCCCAAAAAUCAUGUAAUCAACAUGGCAUGCAUUGAGAAAAAGAGCAAGAAGAAUCAUAAAUUAUUCAUUUGAUCUAACCUAAUUCAAAUGGGAUGCAAAGGGAAAACACAGAAUGGAAAGAUCGUGUCAGCUUCCAAAGAAUUGACGAUUGUUCAGAUACCACGGAAAGAAAAGGCAUCUUUAUUUUAGACAAUGUCAAGGACCGCACUCCUUUCUCAAGAUAAAGGAGUUGGACCAGGAUGAGUGAUUUUCAAAUUCAUUUUUAGCCUUGGAAAAUUUAGAGAGAAAACAAAUUCCCCACAAAAUGGCUUCCUAUCAUGCACAAUUUUGCAAGGCCGAAGAGAUGGGCCUAGCAAAUUGGAAGAUUAUAAGUAAUUGGAAGAUUAUCCACGCUGACACCUCAAAACACUUAAUGAAAUGUUUGUUUAAUGGUCAUGGAAUCAUGAAAGGAAUCCCAAACCGUAAAAUCAAAUAGAGGACAAUAAUCGGGAAAAUGUUCAGGGAUCUUAUGUGGUUUUUCAUCCUGUUCUAUCCCUAGUUUUCCGUUAUUUGCUUGUAUACAUUGAUUGGAGACACAUUCCCGUUCUUACACGUACAACAUAUUUGUUAUUUUAAGAGAUGGGCUUCAUUCGGUGAGCAUAAUUCAACAUGGAAUUCCACUCUGAUCCCAACCUAAGAAAAGAAUUUCUGAAUCAAUUUAGUAAUUUAGACUUUUUUUGUUUCUCAAAAAAUAAAUAAUUCGAUAAAUAUUUUCUUAAAAAUGAUCGUUUAUAUCACUCAAAAUAAUUAUUAAAUAAGAAAUAUUUUUAUUAUUCAUAAUAAUUUAUGUCUAGAUAUUUUUCGUGGAAGGUAAACAAAUUUUUAGUUGGUUUAUUUUUAUAAGCAAUAUAAAUAAUUAUUUUUAUGAAAUGUUUUAAAUCAUUCUCUUAAUCAAAGAUACACUCCCUUUACAUGUGUGCUGUAGUUCCAUCUUCACUCUCAAUUGUAUUAAUUAAUCAUCCGAGCCAAAAGUAAAGCAAAAUAUCUUUGUGCUCUAAAUAGGCAAUUAUAUUCUAAACAGCUUUUCAUCAGCCAACAUGUAGUUUUUCUCAUGGACCAAUGGCAUCUGUUUUUAUGGUCGUCGUAGUCAAAAAUUAGAUUGGAAAUUGGAACACCUUUUGAAUAGAGGAGAUUAUGUAAAGCCAAAAGAAGCAACAUGGACGGACCAUUUUUCUUAGCCGUCGCAUCAACAAACAAAUGGAGAAAAUGAUGGAGAUGCACUCCUAUUUUGAUGACAGCUUAGCAGUGUACUAUUGCCGGCCAACAGAAGCAUGUGAUCAUCAUCUUUUACCGAGACAAUGAAUGAUUAGAUAGCCUCGAUGAUGACAUGGAAGUGACAAGUGGUACCUCCACUAGUGCACCUUUUGAAUGGAGGAGAUCAUGUAAAGCCAAAAGAUAGCAACAUGUAUGAACCAUUUUUCUUAGCCAUCGCAUCAACAAACAAACGGAUAAAAUUAUGGAGAUGCGAUCCUAUUUUGAUGACAGCUUAGCAGUGUACUAAUUGCCGGCCAACGGAAGCAUGUGAUCAUCGUCUUUUACCAAGACAAUGGAUGAUUAGAUAGCCUCGUUGAUGACAUGGAAGUGACAAGCGGUACCUCCACAAGUGCAUCUACUUUUGGAAAAGGAUGGAUUCCCAUUAUAUUCUUUCGUGGCUUCGCCUACAAUAAGGCACAAGGGAGAGCAUUAAAUUUCAAAAAUAAGCCUAUUGACAUUUCUCUACCGGGUGCUUAAAUCAGAAGAAAAACAGCGUCGUCUUAUCAUGUUAUGCUGUCAUCAUUACACUUAAAUAGUCGAAAAUAAUUGAAACGCCACGAUAGACGAAUUCAAUGAGAUUUAGCUAAAAUGUUUUAUUACAUUUUCCCUUGUAAGUUUAAGACUACGUUAUUUCAGUUAAAAAGUUUAUACCUUUAUAGGUUUGAAAUUUCAGUAUAAUAACUUUAGAAAAGAUUGUGCAAUUAUCUCGGAAAUAUGACAAUUCGGUUUUCUCAAUCUCAUGCUCGCACUCAACUCAAUACAAUAAAUAUACUUGCAUCAAACUCAAUCCAACUCUAAUAUUAAAAACUAAAUUAUAGAGCUUCGAACUCCAUCUCAAGUUCUCAUAAAAAAUUUCAAAAAUAAUGAUUUUUUCCAUUGUCCUUAGUAAAAUCCUUUAAAUUAUUAACAAGGCUCACAAAUUGCAUUACUAUAGUAUUACAAAAUUUGACACAUAUCCAUAUUGUUAGGUCCAAAUACAUAAAAGAAGGGGUGAAGUGUUUUUUUAUACAUAUAAAAAUAUUUAUCUUUCUAGAACCAGCACCUUAUUUAAAAAUGUUUUUUAUAUGCAAUUAAACUGUUAAUUUGCAAUAAGAAACUUAUAGAGUUUAGGGAAAAAGAAAUUACAAAAGCUAUUUAUAGAGUUUCAAUUAGGAUAUGCUUUCUCUUCUAUCUCUAGCAACCCCAUUAGAUUGAAGUUCACUACUUCGGCCAAUAGUGCAAUUGCCAAGAACUUUGUAUCGCGCGGACUCGACUCCUCCUACGGCUAUCUCACUAUAGACUAAAUAAUUAUUAAAUCUCUUUCAAUAGCUGUUCUCACACCUUGUGCACACAACAUGGUAGACAUAUUCUCCCCCAAAAUUAUUUAACCACAUUUCCAAGUGUUUACAAAUAAUCAUUUGCAUAUUUUGUCUCUUACCUAAACAAUUGCAUUCUCUCUAAGCACGACCACUUCUUCCGUGUGUAUACAAAUGAUUUUGGCACCCUUGCUAACUUUUUGGAUCAAAACUAAAUAGAUUAUAAUGAAACAGCAAAGAGAUAGAUCUCAAGAACACUCAAUGUGUUUCGAUUUUUCUUGUUGCAAGCAUUCAAUCACAAGUUACGUUUUACUCAUAGUUUGUCCUUAUAGGCCUCCAAAAACAACCCUCUUGUUUCAACCAUCUGAUCCAAGUCGAUCACAGAAUGAGUUUCAUUUCAUCACACGAAAAAGAGACAUUUGGAGGGGGUACUUAGAGAUCAUCAACAAAUGAAAAAGUCAAAAUGAUAAGGAGAGUGAGCAGCAGUUGGUAAGUUUAUAAAUUGACUUAUUAUAGUGUUUGCAAUUUAUUUACGAUGCUUGUGAAAUUUCCAAAGAGUUGGUUAUUCUUUAAUUCAUUUCAAAGUUGGUAAAUUUCUAACGGCAUUGAUAAGUUAUUGGUAGGUUAUUUGGCAAUCAAAUUGACGGCCAUGCUUUUCUUUUAUCGACUGUACUAGAUGUUAAUGUUGGCUGGGUCUGCCUGUGUGGGGCCUAGUUAACAUUAAUAAAUAAAAGAAAAGGUCAAAAAGUCAAAAUGCAAUAAAGGGAAAGAAAGGCGGGCUGCUCGUUCGGAGGAGACAGGAAAUGGGCUGUGACAUCCGGUCUAGAAUCGAAGGCCAAAUAUCGUCGGAGUUGACUCAAAUUUCAAUAUGUUGUUAUAAGACCGAGACAAAUGAGUCGAGACAGGCGAGUCCAUCAGUUUCAUUUGUCAAUCCAUUUCGUUCAUUGAACACUUUUUCUAAAUUAUCUCAAAUUUCUCUAAUCACGAUUAGGCUUUCUUACUUCAUAUAUAUUAAUCCGCUUUUACAGUAAUGAAAUGUCAUUAUAUUAAAUCUCUAAUAUAUUACUAAAGAAGAACCUCUAUGCAUCUUACUAUUUUUUGUGAUUAAUGAAAGUUUUUGAAUUGUCCAUAAUUUUUUUCGCAUUGAAUUUCCACGUAAACUUGUCGUGUUUGCUUUUGUCUGUUUUUAUCAUUUUGGCAUUACUUUUAUUCAUUUCGAGAUUAUAUUGCGGGAAUAUAUUGCCUGUUAUUAUAGGGGUUGAGUCGAUUUUGGUCCAUUUAAUCUUGGGAGGAGAUUGAUUCUACAUUAGGUUAAUUUUUGAUGAAUUGUUGCCGGUUCUCUCGAACUUUGUAUCAAUAAUUUUGGAAAUCCAUCAAGUAAGGGAAAUUUUCUGCACUUUCCUUUGACUACCCUGCACUCAGUCCCGAAAGAUUGCGUCAGCCACAUCUUUGAUUUUGUGUAUCAUCGACCAAUAGCAUCUAAUUUUAUGGUCUUCGUCGUCGUGAAAAAGGAUGAUUUCUGUCCCAAUCGCGUCCUCAUCGGCAUCUUCGAUUUUUUUGUCUCAUCGACCAAUAGUAUUUGAUUGUAUGAUCUUCGUCGUCGUUGAUUUUAUGGUCUUCGUCGUCGUGAAAAAGUAUGAUUUCUGUCCCGUCCGCGUCCUCAUCGGCAGCCUUGAUUUUUUUGUCUCAUCGACCAAUAGCAUUUGAUUUUAUGGUCUUCGUCGUCGUGAAAAAGUAUGAUUUCUGCCCCAGUCGUGUCCUCAUCGGCCCAAAGCAUUUUACAUGCUUUUCCCAGAACUGCCCCAGUCAAUAACACUUCAAUUCGUGUUAUAUUAUGAUCUGAGAAAUGGAUGUUUACUGCGGGGUUCUUCCAAAUCGGUUUCGUCUAGGGGGACGAUAAGAAGAGAUGCUCCAAUAUUCCUUUUUUCAAACUUUCUUGCAAGAUUGAUUGCAGUUUUAUUUUUCAGGAGUCGUGCUUUGAUAGGAUACGUUCAUAUUUCGGAGGAGGCUUGUGAAAUUUUGAAGACGACUCGCAUCAUACUUGUCAGAAUGCAGGGAUGGACUAUUAUAUAUUUUUAGUGGGGUCAAUGCCCUAAAGACUGUAAGAUAAGGUAUUUCAUUUAACAAAAAAAUUAUAAAGAUGCGAUCGAGCUAUUUAUUGAUUUGAAGUAGUUUUUCUACGCAAAGUCUGACUUGAAAUCAACGCUUUGACAUUGAAUCGUGAAUGUGAACAAAAUUCGGUUUCAAAUCCCUGUGCUCGAGCUCGACUCAAUAUAGUAUAUAGGGCUCGAAAUUGAACUCGAUUCAACUCCAUUAUUAAAAGAUCGAUUCUACUCAUUUAACUAGUUACGUAGCAUGUUUCUUUCUAUUUUUCCUAAUCAUAUAUUGUACCUUCUGCAUAGCCUGGUCAUGCCAUUCGAUUGCUUUAUCUUCCGACUCUAUAAAGCCUUGUGUUUCAUUGGUGGUAUGGUUGUCUAGUAGUGCAAUGUCUAAGCCCGAUAAUUUUUUGAUAAUUGUUUAUCUUUUUACUUUUCUGUUUUUUGCGUCAUAAAGAAGUUUAUAGUACAUGGAAAGACAAGAAACUGGUUUUGAUUUCUUGCAAGUUAGCGCAUGGUCCCUUAGACGGUGACGAGGCUAAGCCUAAUUACAUUGAUGAACAAUGGAAGUUACUAAAAAGGCAAUGCGGUGUUUCAUUAGGCAUCAUCAGUUGGAUUUUAUUUCUUUAGAUAAACUAUAAGGAUCCCAUCCCACAGCUCCUUUUGCCCUUCCGAUUUCCAUCUUUUGGCAAUGGAAAACCGUAGCCACAACAACACCAAUAUAAAUUAAGGAAUCGUUAUGCUAGCUGGAUCCUAUGAAAAACAAUUGAUGUCGUCUCAUCCCUUGAUCGUCAAACUUUCUGGAUUAUAUGUCACAACCGCACUUUCAUUCACUCACGGAACACUUCUUAGAUAUGUCCUUCCUCAUCACUUCAUUUCGAGUAGGGAUUAAUAGUUCCCCCUGUACAGAUUGGAGUAUGAAGUCCACCCAAAAAAUUUGAUAAAAUAGUCCGUUCUAUUUUGCUGGUAUCACCAGCUGACUUAGUUCCGAUGACUCUCUUUGGAAUAUGAGGCAAUAAUAAAGCAAAUCUAUCAAACGAUUCUCCACCAAGCAUGAACUCUUUUAUUAUGUAUGUUGGAUUGAUUGGUCGAUUCACGACAUUUUGUAUAGAAAUUACGAAAAAAAUGCAAAUAGUUAUAAUUCGUUAUAAUUCAAAAAUUUAUUUAUCGAUAACCAUAAAACUGCUCAUGUAUUAUAAGAGGAAAUUCGAAAAACCCUUCGACACAAAAGUUAUUCAUCACAUCAAAUCUCCAACAUUGUACAGUAGAGUAGACGAUCUAUCACCAUGCAUCAUUCAAGUUUCACACACAAACAUAAAUAGAAGCUUCUAAAUUCAUAAGCAUACAAUAAGAUAAGAGAGACUAUUGUAAUUUUUGUCUCAUUUAUUGUCUAGGUACUCUUCCAUGCUUGCACUUCUCACAAAUAGAUGGGCCAUCCGUGCCAGCUAAUUGGAAGUUUUCCACACUCAAANNNNNNNNNNNNNNNNNNNNNNNNNNNNNNNNNNNNNNNNNNNNNNNNNNNNNNNNNNNNNNNNNNNNNNNNNNNNNNNNNNNNNNNNNNNNNNNNNNNNACAAUUACAAAUUUAUUAUAAUUGUGUCAUUUUAAUUUUAAAUAUUCUUUACCAAUUAAGUAUUAAACCUUUUAUAUUUAUGUCCAUUCAGUUCGUCCAAUCAAAAUGGACCGGCCAGCCCUAACACAAACAUGAGGCAUCUUAAAUGGCACCAUCGACACUAAUAUGGACAAUUUUUAGUAAUAUUAUAAUAUUUUUUUUUCGAUUUUUAUUCCUUUUUUUCUUUAAAUAUAUUCUUUUCUUUUUUUCUUUUUUUCUUUCUUUCGUUUUUAUUUUUUUUCUUCACUCCCUUCUUUCUCUGGCUAGUCGCCAGCGACCACUAGAAAUGAAGCUUCAAGAAGAACGGAGUGAGCUUCAAAUACUAUCCAAACUCGAUCAUGUCUUCAUGCGCGAUGUUCAGGAACUGGGAAUUAGGCUUAUUGAAAUGAUACAUGUGUUUGACUAUUCACGGUCUAAGGUGAUGAGAUUUGGUGAAGGGCCAACAAAAACAAUCAGAUCCGAAAUGAGAAAUUAUUAUAUGCUUUACAAAACGUGUGACCUAAUAUCAUCUCAAUCAUUAAUCAGGUAGAUCUCGCUAUGGGUCUCCGAGAUCAAUUGUUGAACUGGGUUUUGACAUAAGAUUUACAGACCAAACAGUAACAUUUCAUGCAAAAUGGGGUUAUAGACAUGACCUGACAAAUAAAAUUCACUCUUCUAUCCAAAAUUAAGGAGAAAAGAACACCUCAAGUGUCAAAACUUGGCACAAAGGGAUACUUAAGUGCCAAAACUUAUGAAAGUGACACUUAAGUGCCAAAAUCGGAGCAAAAUAGAUCACUUAAAUGUCAAUCCAGCCAAAACGCUGAUGUGGCAAUUUUCUAGCAAGCUUAGUGCAAAACAACGUCGAUUUGCACACUAAUGUGGCUAAAUAGUGCCAAAACGAUGUUAUUUUGGUGCUAACAUGAUAAAUAAUUAAUAUAAUAAAUAAUUAAAUUAAAUUUAAAGCAAAUAAAUAAUAAUUAUCUAUAUUAUAUAUAUAUAUAAAGGAGGAGAAAAUGAGGAGGAGGAGGGAGGCAACUGGCAACCCCUGCCACCGUUACCGAAACAGUGGGGGAGGGUCGGCCGGGGCCGCUGACCCCUAGUAGGGGGCCAGUGAGCCCAGUCACCGGCUGGGGGGUCGCCCCAACGGGCGGUGGCCCUUGGCUCAGCCAAGCGAGGGCCCGGCAACCCUUGUCGGAUCUGGGGAGGGCCACGACCCUCGCCCCAGAUCCUAGUGAGGGCACGCAAGCCCUCGCCGCCAUCCGCUAGGGUCCACUAACCGACCUCCCCCANNNNNNNNNNNNNNNNNNNNNNNNNNNNNNNNNNNNNNNNNNNNNNNNNNNNNNNNNNNNNNNNNNNNNNNNNNNNNNNNNNNNNNNNNNNNNNNNNNNNCUCCUCCCCACCUUUUUUUAGUAAUUAAUUUGUUUUAAAUUAAAUUUAAUUAAUUAUUAUAUGUUAAUUAUUUAUCACGUCAGCACCAAAACGACAUUGUUUUGGCACUGUUUAGCCACAUCAGUGUGCAAAACGACGUCAUUUUACACUAAGCUUACCGGAAAAUUGUCACGUCAGCGUUUUGGCCGAAUUAGCACUUAAGUGAUUCAUUUUGCUCUCAUUUUGGCACUUAAGUGUCAUUUUCAUAAGUUUUGUCACUUAAGUGUCCUUUUGUGCAAAGUAUUGGUACUUCUGGUGUCCUUGUGUCCAAAAUCAAGUACACAAAAACUUAUUUUAGAGCCGACCUACUAAGGAUAUAAGAUACCACUGUCAAUUCGUUUCUAUUUCGAGUAUUCUGAAAACGUUGGAAAAUGUUCUAAGAUCCUCCUGAACUUAAACUGUCUUAGAUGGACACAUCAAAAAACCACUAAGCUCAGUCCCCUGGUUGGUCUAUUCUUGUCUACAUCUGUCAUGUGGUCAUACGACUCCUAUCCGAACAAUAUUAAAAAACAGCCACGUUGCCACUAAUUAACGAUGGAAUUAACGAUGAAACGUGGGAAAACGACGUAAUGGCAAAGUCCGUCGUCUCGUCACUGUCGGCCACGAUCGUGUGUGUUUAGAAUCUUAUCCUUCCGACUUGAUUUGCCAUCACAUCAUUUUUCCCCCCAACUUUUGGACUCUCGGGUCUGUCGCUACCCUUGCGUUGCAAUAUAGAUUCCAAUGCCACAAGAAAAGACCGUUGGAUAGAUCCGACAAAUGUAUAAAUUUGAAUCUAAUAAAAAAUAAUCCAAUUCAAAUUGACAUAUUUUAUUUAUUUAACUCAUUUUCAUGCAAUACAAAUCAAGUGACUCAUACUCGACUUCUCUCAUAUCUAACUUGACUUAUAAAUAUAAAACACUUCCAUAUUUAACCUAAUUUAAGAAAACUAGUACCCAAACUAAAGUAAGAGUAAAUUAUGAACUUAUUUAACACCCAUAUUGUUUUGAGUUUAAGUCAUUCAUAUAAUUUAAAAAAAAUAGGCUUAUAACUCAUUUUAAUAGGUCUAUCAUCGGAUAAACAUGAUAUCUUGACAUUUAUGGAAAAUUGUCCCAAUUAUAUCACAUUGCAUAUACAUGUAGGAAGGAAAAUUGGGACAUCUCCCAAAAAUCAAGUAUGUAAUUGACAUCGCAUCGGUUGAGAAAAGAGCAAGAAGAACCAUAAAUUAUUCGUUCAAUUCUGCUUGAUUCAAAUAGGAUGCUGACAACCUUUGGGGAAGGACGUACGUGAAACGCAAUAAGCAAAAUAAACAAAAGACUAGCGACUAAUAGUCACUAAUUAAGAUAUGGAAAAACACAGAAUGGAAAGAUUGUGUUGGAUUCCAAAGAAUUGAUAAUGUUGAGAUACCACAAGAAGAAAAAUGCAUCUUUUAUGUCAAGAACCGCUCUCCUUUCUCAAGAUAAAGUUGACAGUGUCCUCCACAGUGUCUAUGACCUGCAUAGGUAAACAUAAAAGAGUUCAAUUGGGGUGAGCAAUUUUCGGAUGCACUUUUAACCUUGGAAAAUUUGGAUAGAAGAUAAAUUCCCCAUAAAAGUUGCUUUCAAUUGGGCAUAUUUUGGAAAUACUGACAUUUUGCUAGGCUGAAGAAGGAAAAGGUUCGGUCAUAUUUCAUCCAACCAAUUUAGAAUUGACCGAUCACCCAAAGUAUGGCAAAUCAAGGUAUGUAAGUAUGGGAGGAUUAUCCAUGCUAACAGCUCAAAACCACUUGAGGCCAUGUUUGGUUCAUUGCCCUGGAAUCAUGAAAAGGAAACUAAAUCUAAGCAAUCAAAUUCCUAGAUGUGGGGUUCAUUCUCUAUUGUUUGGUUUCAAUUAACAAAUGAAGGGAGAAAUGUCUAAUGUGAGAUGCAAAGUGAGGUAAAAACAUGUCGGAAAUGGAAUGUGUAAAAUAUGUCUCCAAUCCACAUAUCCAAAGUGGCUAAUGAAAAACUAGGGAUAGAAACAGAAUGAAGAACCACAUACAAUCCCCCAACAAUUUCCCGAUUAUUGUCAUCUAAAAUGAUCAUACAGUUCACACAAUCAUUUCACAAACACAUUACAUACAGCUCCUCAAAAUCUCUCGAGUAAAGCAUUUCACACAUAAUCUGCAACAAUGAAGAUAAAGUCAUUCCCGCGUAACUUCAAACUACUUCACAACUGUUACCUCAAGCCAUUGUGAUAUUCUUGUCCUUGUUGUGUUUUGAGUCAAAGACCCAAUCACGAGAACAAAUGGAGUGACAGCAACUCAGCCAAGUGUGUUAAUGGAACUUUAUAUCCCCACCCAAGCCAACGUGAUGCUCGUAGUUGGCGUCUCCAUUAUCAGACCAGACAUGUUUCAUAAUAGUGAGAAAGAGAAAUAAUCUCACCUUGCAGAGGAAUGUGAGGGCCAUGGAAUCAAGAGGCAGGCAAAACUCCCAUGGAAGGAUUUGAAGAUGUCAUAUGGAGAGAGAGAGAGAGAGAGAGAGUUCGGGCUUUCUAGGAUUUGAAGAUUUAUGAAGCUCAGGAGUACUGAGCAUGUUGGGUUCGUGAAUGUUUUUUCCUCCUAGGAAUCCCAGUACCACCUCUACCUGAGCAAUCCAAUUCUGCAUUAGGAGUAUCCAUUAACUAGGCACUUUGAUUCUAUGAUCAUAAAUCCAUCUAAAGAUGAGUUGCAAUGGCAUUCCAUUUCAUGUUUAUUACUCCAAGGUAAACCAAACAAGGCCUAAGUGAUUACACGAUGUACUAUACUUUUGAAUGCUUUCAUAGUGGAAUCAAUGAUCUGCAGUCUCAACCAUGACUUUCAUAGGAUCACAUAUCUAAAAUCUCUAAACCAAAGAAGUGAACAUGCUGGAAUGCACACGAUUUGCUUACUUAGGAACCUACCAUCAACUCACCCCAACGUACAGUCAAGGAGAGAUGGGAGAGACAGAUAGGAAAUGUCUGGAUUUUGUUAAGAGUACGAAUACUUACCACGUCCAUGGGAAGUUCUGAAUGAUUAUCUUUUACCUUGAAUACCCCAGUCCUUGUUAAUAUAGAAAACCAAGGAUCUCCUGCCUGAAGGAGUUGUUAUCAGUACUGGUGAUUGUGUUCGGAAAUAAAAUUACUGAUAUGAUAAAAUACAAUUCUCAAUAUGAAAUAUACUCGUUGUGCGCCUCUAAUGUCAAUUUUGGAUUAUCUCCUAUCAUGUAUAGUGUUCUGAAACAACGAAUUCCAGAGUAUGUAUUAUUCUCCACAUCUAGGUUGCUUAACAAAGAUGGCAUAAGAUUCCUUAACAUGGUCUCAGCAUUUCCAUAGACAAAUGGAUUUGGCGUCCCAUACGAUGUAUACGAUAGCGGAAUGGGAUGUAUUCUACAGAACAGGGACAAGUAAACACUGCAUAACACAAGAUUGAAGAUUAAUGCAUGUCGCUUUGCUGCAUUGAAGUAAACUAGGCCCACACAAGGAUCUUAUGGGCCUUUCUUUAAUUUUUUGUGGAGAAUAUUAGAUCAAACUCCAUGUAGAACUAAACAUUGAGAAGCUGAAACCUCACUAUCUUACAUGUUAUAGAUUGCUUCUAACGCAAUCCUGAAAGCUCCCAUACCCAAACGUUCAGCAGGAAAAGUAGCCUACCUUUGCACUUUGUCAGCUAGUCAUCAGCCAGUCUUUAGUUCCACCAAGGCUUCAAAAACUCAAGAUUGCAGCUAGCGUCACAAAUGGCAUAGCUUACCUGGUAUUCGAGGUCAUUAUUUGCAAAAAAUAGGUGUGGUUGCUUUCUAGCCUUCCUUCCAGGGAGCCCCCCAGUUCUUAAUAUGUUGCAGAGCACCUAAACCCAAACUUGAGUAUCACAUAAUUUUUUUUAAUAUACACAGAUAGACAGAUAGAUGAUAACACUCCAUUUUAUCACAUUUUCCAAGCUAGAUGUCAGCACCCACUAGACUUUUAAAAAGAUGAUGACUAAAGUUGCAGAGCAUUUACUGAACAACCAAACAAAGAGUCGUGUCUUUUGAUAAUCAGUUCAAAGAUUUAGAACUAGCGUGACGAAAAUCCCAGUAUGGACUCAACAGCCGAAUUACAUAAUCUAAGAAAGGACAAGAUCCUUUAGGGUGGUCACAACCUAGAUAUCUCUGCUCCAGUCAAUAGAAUCAUUGACUACAAAUGCUGCCUGAACUCUCUGUGUUUGCAAAGCAAUUUUAUUCUUUCCUAUCAUAUUAGAAGUGCUAUUCUGGUUAAUGUCUGGCUUAGUUGUCCAUCUCUUGUACGGUGCCGGUGGAUCAAUGGCAUCAAAGUAGCUAGUGUACUCAUCAAUUGACAGAACGUUUCUGCAUAGAAAAGACCCGAGCAGAAAGAGGGUCAACUGGAGGAAAGAGAGAGAGAGAGAGAGAGAGAAAGAGAGAGAGAGAGAGAGAGAGAGAGAGAAUCAAGUUGUUGGAGUUCUCAUUCUGGAUGAAACAUCGUUGAACACAGACAACUAAGAAGAUAUAUGGAGAGGACUUCUCUACAAUUACUCGAGUCCCUGAUAACUUGAGUGAUUUUUAUUCACUUUGCUUGCUCCUAUGUAUUACCUAGACAUCUUCAAUAGCAAUUUUAUUAGAUACAUAACUUUAUCCUUAUAACUUUUGAAAGCUUUCAGUAAACUUGACACCAUAUACUUUCAAAAGCUUUCAGUAACCUUGACACCAUAUAACUUUUUUCGAACUAUUGUUGUUCAAAACCUUUGUGUAGACUUUAGAUAGCAAGGGUAUGUGUGGGCUUGCUUUUAUUUCUCUUUUCAGUGAUUUGCCUUAACCAUUGCUAGCAAGCCUUUUUUUUUUUUUUCCGGGAAUGCAUUGAGCUCCUUGUCUACUAAGCUUCUAAAGUAGUUUUGGAUGGUUGUGCAGCCUGAAUUAUACUUGUGGCAACUCAGUCUUUUCCUGUUCUUAUUAUGAGGGUUGUUGAUGGACUAGAAGUUAUGAACAAUUGCCAAAUGCACAAAUUUACUGAUUAUGUUUGGUUGCGGCAGUGUUAUAUCGAUAUACAAAUUGAAAACGCCCCACAAUAUGUAGCAUUUUGGUAUCUCAAGUUUGUUUUUUGGAAGGUGGUGUGAUUGAUUGAUCUCUUGCAUCGAAUAACAGGGAGAAGUGGAUCUAGCUUGUAAUACUCUAGCUGACCAUUUAAGCUUGAAGUAACACAGAGUGUGAUCACUGAUUCAACGAAAUUUUAACUCUAGCUAGGUGCUACAAUGGGCAGGAAUUUAUGUGGCUGAGUGAGCAUUACUACAUGUAUUGGCAUGCCAGAAUGGUUUUGUUAUGAGGGCAUUUUGAGCAACUAAUGAUGUUGAAUUUAUCAAAGAAAAUAAGACACUACUUUAGGUUCAUUUAGGUAAAUCAACUAACACCCGUCAAUCUCCCAAUAUAAAGAUGAGGUUUUGUGAUGAGGUAAAAUUUGUAGAAAGACUAGAAGAAGUUGUUUUUUGAAUAUAUUGAAGACAGAGGCAGUUAAUUGUAGUGUGAAGUGAAAAGAUAUGUUUCUACAUUGCUUAUCAGAAGUGACUUGUUACUGUUGAUUCCGCUUCUACUAUUUUUGUAGUCAUCAUGUGUUCUAGAUGUUGAUUGCUUGUAUAUUUAGAUCAUCAUACUACAGGGGCAUUGGUAAUUCCAUCUUUUUUGGUUGCUAGUGGAACUUCCUUUUAGUAGAUCUAAGACCUCUCUCUGUUUGGCAACUUCCUUGGAGUGGAAUUUUCCUCUGUUUUUCUUAAUUCCGUGAUGAGACACAAAAGUGGUCAGAAAACACUUCGUGGUGCUUGACACUUUAAUUUAGCAGGGCUCUCAUCAGCCAGCUCUUUAGUUCCUGCUAUGAAAUCUAAGGACGAAUUUGAUAGAAUUCUUGAUUUAUUUUCCAACUUAGCAGUUAGCACUGCAUAUCAAUAACUAAAUUUGGUUUUUACUGUGUUUUGAUGACAGUCUUUUUCCUAUGACAGAGUUGGCUCUGAUGAAGCAAACUAGGCGUUGAAGAAACUUGGUGCUAAAGAAGUGUUCACUGAGAGCAAAUUAGAAGUAAAGAAAGUCAAGAGUCUACUGGAACCGUCCAUCCAUUAACCCAUUCUACCAUAUUCUUAUGCAUGGACACAUCCAUUUUUGGCCAUUGGCACUUGAGUUCUUUAUUUACAUCUUAUUGACUUUGUACUAGGGUGAUCUAAAAGAACUUGCCCUUGGAUUAAACUGCGUUGGUGGCAAUGCUGCUUCCUCGGUGAUGAAAUUUUUGAGGUGCAACAAGUGUUAAAUUUGUGUCGAGUGCUUACCUUAUCUUUCUGAAGAGAGCUGAUUUAGUUUUGUGUCAACUUCAUAUUUUAUCUUCAAGGUAAAUUAAGAAGCAGCUAAAAUUUCUGCCUAUGGUUAUGAGGUUAUUCCAUCAAGCCUUACAAUUUGACUUGUCUAUGUUCCGGUCUCAGUCUUGGCAAUGCCCUAUAGUUUUUUUUUUUUUUUAAUUUGGCCCAAAAUCUCAAUUUCAGUAUUUGACGCAACCAAAUUUGAGUGAAAAAAAAAUUAUCCCUGGAAUUGAGACUAAGAGGAAUGUAUAAAAUAGUGCAAUAAUGGUUCUUAUGGUUUGCAAGAUCUUUCUUUGAGGGAAUUUUGGCUGCAUAAUUGGAUCAGUUCAAAUGAUGUAACGGAGUGCAGAAGAACGAUAAAUCACUUGCUGGAAUUAGUGCGUGAUGGAAAGUUAAAAUACGAGUUCGUCUUUUGUAACAACUACUCAAAUUGCUGUAUUUAGGUCUCCAUAUCUUUAUAGUAAUUUUCAAUACUAUUCAUCCUCAAGAAAGUGAGCUGGGAUUGUGGUGCAUAUGAAUUUCUCCAAAACUGCAGGACCGAGCUUGUUCCUUUUAGUGAUUUCCACGUUGCACUGGAUAAAUCACUGGGGAAACAUGGGAGCCAUCCUUAGCAAGUCCCAAAGUUCUAAGGCUACUGAAUAUAUAAGGGCGGUAAGAAGAUGGAAAAAUUCUGCAUCAUAUCCUUCAGAUGAUCAGCUUGUUCUGAAGUUCUGAAGUGCUGGAUCAACCGGGCACAAUAACUAUGUAUCUUUCCCCUUCUUAUUAUUUUCUCUUUUCAUAAGUGAUGCAUCUUCUCCAUUGAAGUAAUUUUGUUGCUGCUUAUUUUCACCAAUUUCCAUUCUAAAUUUGUUUUGCAUCAUACCCUCCAAUCUCAAACUAAUCUCAUGCAACGUGAGGUCCAUCAACUACGGCUGAAUUUGGAGAGUAAUACAUCACCCGUUUGGUAAGGGUACAUAAAGGUUUCAGAUUUACCAAUUACAAUUCUCAUAUACACGUGACAAAGAACAUUGGGAUACUUUCCCAAAAAUCAUGUAAUCGACAUCGCAUGCAUUGAGAAAAGAGUAAGAACCGUAAUUAUUCAUUUGAUCUAACCUAAUUCAAAUGGGAUGUGGACCACCUUCAAGGAACGUCAUACAUACAUGAUGAGCAAAAUCAAUAGAAGACUAGCUAAUGGUACUUACUUUUUAUGAUAGGGAAGACACAGAAUGGAAGAUCGUAUCGGCUUCCAAAGAAGUGACAAUUGUUCAAAUACCACAGAAAGAAAAGGCAUCUUUUGUCCAUGUGAUAUCAAGAACCGCACUCUUUUCUCAAGAUAAAGUCGACAGCAUCCUCAACAGUAUCCACGACCUGCAUAGGUAAACAUAAAAGAGUUCGAUCAGGAUGAGUGAUUUUCGAAUUUUUUUUUUAACCUUGGAAAAUUUAGGGAGAAGACAAAUUCCCAAAAAAAAAUGUGCACGGUUUUGAAAUACUGACAUUUCGCUAGGCUGAAUAGGGAAAGGGUUCGCUCAGUCAUGUUUCAUCCAACCAAGUUAGAAUUCCCAGAUCACCCAUAGCAUAGCAAAUCAAGGUAUGUAAGUAUGGGACACCUCAAACACUUGCCAUGCAAUUAUGAAAAGGAAUCCCAUUCUAAGCAAUCAAAUUCCUAGGAGUGGGUUUUCUUUUUCUUUUUCUUUUCCUUCUUGUUCAGUCUCAAAUUACUAGUGAAGAGAGAAAUGUCCAACGUGAGUUGUCAAAUGAGGUUAAAACAUGUCAGAAAUGGAAUGUGUCUCCAAUCAACACGUACAAAGUGGAGGAUAGAAAUAGAGCGAAGAACCACAUAAGAUCCCUCAACAAUUUCCCGAUCAUUGUCCUCCAAAUGAUUUCACAGUUCGCACAAGCAUUUUUAUGAACCGAUUAUAUAAAACUCAUCAAAAUCUUGCAAGNNNNNNNNNNNNNNNNNNNNNNNNNNNNNNNNNNNNNNNNNNNNNNNNNNNNNNNNNNNNNNNNNNNNNNNNNNNNNNNNNNNNNNNNNNNNNNNNNNNNNNNNNNNNNNNNNNNNNNNNNNNNNNNNNNNNNNNNNNNNNNNNNNNNNNNNNNNNNNNNNNNNNNNNNNNNNNNNNNNNNNNNNNNNNNNNNNNNNNNNNNNNNNNNNNNNNNNNNNNNNNNNNNNNNNNNNNNNNNNNNNNNNNNNNNNNNNNNNNNNNNNNNNNNNNNNNNNNNNNNNNNNNNNNNNNNNNNNNNNNNNNNNNNNNNNNNCCCCCCCCCCCCCGCAAAAAGAAAAAAAAAAAACCAACAUGAUGCUUGUUGCUGAUGUAUCCAUAAAGAAUCCAAACAAGUUUCACAAUGGCAAGAGAGAGAAAGGAUUUCGCCUAGUAGAGGGAUGUGAGGGCUAUAGAAUCAAGAGGCAGGCAAAACUCACGUGGGAAGGAUUUGAAGAUGAUGAAUGGAGGGAGGGAGGGAGGGAGAAAGUUCUGGUUUUGUAGGAUUUAAAGAGGAUGAAGCUCAGACUACUGAGUGGGUAGAGUUUGCAAAUGUUUUUCUCUUCUAGGAAUUCCAGUACCACCUCUACCUGAGCAUACCAAUUCUGCAUUUUAAAGAGAAUCCAUAACCUAGGUAAUUUGAUUCCGCAAUCAUAAAACCAUCCGAAGAUGAGUUGCAAUGGGAUCUCAUUUCCUUUUCUUAGUCCAAAGUGAACCAAACAAGGCCUAAGUGAUUGCACAUUGUACUAUACUUCUUAAUGUUUUCCUAGUGGAAUCUAAGAUCUGCAUUCUCAACCAUGACUUUCCACUAGGAACACAGAUAUAAAAUCUCUAAACCAAAGAAGUGAACAUGCUGGAAUGAACACGACUUGCACACAUAGGAACGUACCAUCAACUCACCCCAAUAUACAUACGAGGAAGAGUGAGAGAGACAGAGAUGUGUAAAUUUUGUUAAGAGUACAAAUACUCACCAAGUCAGCAGGGAACUCUGAAUGAUUAUCUUUUCCCUUGAAUACCCCAGUCCUUGUUAAUAUAGAAAACCAAGGAUCUCCUGCCUGAAGGAGUUGUUGGUAGUAUUGGUGAUUAUGUUUCAAAAUAAAUUCACUUAUAUAAUGAACUACAAUUUUUGGUAUGAAAUAUACCUGCCGUGCACCUCUAAUGUCGAAUUUUGGAUUAUCUCCUAUCAUGUAUAGGGUUUUAAAAUAACAAAUUCUAGAGUUUGUACUAUUCUCCACAUCUAGGUUGCUUAACAAAGAUGGCAUAAGAUUCCUUAACAUUGUCUCAGCAUUUCCAUAGACAAAUGGAUUUGGCUUCCCGUAUGAUGUAUAUGCCAAAGGAAUGGGAUGUAUUCUGCAGAAUAGGGACAAGUAAACAAUGCGCAACAUAAGAUUGAAGAUUAAUGCAUGUCACUAUGCUGCAUUGAGGCAAAUUAGGCCUACAUAAGGAUAUUAUGGGCCAAUCUUUAUUUUUUUGUGGAGAAUAUUAUAUCAAACUCCAUGCAUAACUAACCAUUGACAAGCAGAAACCUCACUAUUACCAGUUAUAGAUUGCUUCUAAUGCAAUUCUGAAAGCUUUCAUACCCAGACGUUCAGCAGGAAAAGUAGCCUGCCUUUACACUUUGUCAACUAGUCAUCAGCCAGUCUUUAGUUCCACUAAGGUUUCAAAAACUCAAGAUUGCAACUCACAUCACAAAUGGCAUAGCAUACCUAGUAUUCUAGGUCAUCAUUUGCAAAAAAACGGGUGCAGUUGCUUUCUAGUCCGUUUUCUAGGAAGCCCUCCAGUUCUCAAUAUGUCACAGAGCACCUAAACCCAAACUUGAGUAUCACAGAAUUACUUUAAAGUACACUGACAGAUAGACAGAUGAUAACAUUCCAUUUUAUCACUUCUUUCAAACUAUAUUUCAGUGACCACUAAACUUCUAAAAAGAUGACAACUAAAGUUGCAGAGUAGUUACUGAACAAACAAAACAAAGCCUAGUGUCUUUUGAUAAUCAAUUCAAAGAUUUAGAACUCGCGUGACUAACAAACCAGUAUGGACUCAACAGUUGAAUUAGAUAAUCUACGAAAGGACAAGAUCCAUUAGAGUGGUCACAACCUGAAUAUGUCUGCUCCAAUCAACAAAAUCACUGACUACAAAUGCUGCCUGAACUCUGUGUGUUUGUACAGCAAUUUUUCUCUUUGCCAUCUCAUUGGAAGUGCCAUUCUGGUCGAAGGACAUGACGGAGUUGGCAAAGUACACUUAGUUGGCUCUGCCGUGAAGGAUCUUUCUCCUAGCGAUUUGGUCAUUCCAUCUCCACUCUCUUUUGGUAAAACAUUCUCUCAAUAUUACCUAAGUUUUAAAAUGAUAUCAGAUUUACUGUGCAUCAGCCAUGCUCAUCUAGUUGAUCACUUCUGAACAAUUUCUUUCUCAGCCAAAGGAUAUAAUCUUCUAUAUUUGAUGCAACAUGUUUAACGUUUAAUUUGAUUAGAUGCAGAACAGAAACAAGUGAAAUAUCAACCAAAAGAAAGAUUCAAACUGUUAUACACAUCUUAGAGAUUGUCAUCUUAAAUAAAAGAUACUUUUGCAUUCCAUUAGUACUGACUUGUUUUGUUCUGCAGAACAUCUAUGCCUAACACUCUUUUUUUUUUGUCGUUCCUACUCUAAUCCUACUCUAACACUCACUCUCAGACUUUUGUCAUGCCUCCUUGCAGGGCGUGGGAGUUGAAACCCACUCCUGAAAUAAAAUCAUCCCCACCCCAAUCCCCCCUGAGAAGAUGGGGAUUUGAUGUGACAUACCAAAAUUCAAGUCAUCCUCUAGAGGAAUUAAAGCCAAUAAUUAUGUAAUGAAAUUACCUAUGGUUUACGUUUUAGACAUUAGUUUUCUCUUAAGGUUAUGUGUUAUAUGCUUGUGUUCAUGAGAUUCUAAAUUAGAUAAAUUAAUGAGAAUAAUCUAUGCUUGGCUAUGCACCUCAUAAAAUUAAAUUCCUAUAAAUAAAAUGUUACAAGACUUUGGCCAUGAGGAAUUUAAAAAUUUAAAAUCUAUAAAAGAAAGAAUUAAAAGUGUUUAAAGGUGAAAUUUAGGAUUUAAAUUAGGUUUGGGCCUUAGGCCCAAAAAGGGGGAUUUUGGUGGGCCGAAUGGCCGGCCCAAUAGAAGCCCACGGAGGGGCUGUCGCCGGCCCAAGUGAGGCCCAAGAAGGAGAGUGGCCGGCCCAUGCAUGGGCUUUGCCAAGUGGCAAGGAGGAGCUCAUGCAUUGGCCAUUAGAAGAGGCAAGCUAAUCAUUGCAAAUGAUGAGGUUUGGGGGAAAUAAAAGGGAAGAAGAGGAGAGAGAGUGGCCGGUUGUUCGGCCAAGUGAGAAAGGGAGAGAGAGAGAACCGUGCGAGAGAGAGAGAGAGAGAGAGAGGCCGAGAGAGGAGAAGCCGAGAGGAGGAGUCGCCCGUCACCGCCGCACGCCGCCCGCUCGUCCGCCGUGUGCCAUCGUUCAUUCGGUCUAGAGGCAAGUUGGGAAUCCACUUUCUACUCUUGCACCAAUGUCUUGCAUGUAUGGUCGGAAUCUAGGACAUUUGGAGGCAUGGGAGUGAAGCUAAUGUGUUUUGUUCUUGAGUUGCAUGCUGUUUUCGCAUGAACCGUUUGAGCCAGAACAUUGUGAGAGCUUGCAUGCAUGUUUUGAGUUCGAUUUUGACUUUUAUCUCUUCAUGAAAGUUGUAGCUAACAUCUUAAAAUAAAACAUAAUAAAAUUUUGUGCAAAAUGAUGGAGAUUUAAGGGAUCAAACUCUCAUCCUACGGAGAUGCUAGAUCUGGAAUGUUUUCGCAUGAACCGCCUGACUCAGAAUAUUGUGAGAGCUCGCAUGCAUGUUUUGAGUCCGAUUUUGACUUUUAUAUCUUCAUAAAAGUUGUAUCUAACAUCUUAAAAUACAACAUACUAAAAUUUGGUACAAAAUGAUGGAUAUUUUAGGGGUCAAACACUCAUCCUACGGAGACACCAGAUCUGGAACGAUUUCACUGACCUUUCGGUGGAUUUGUGGUUGCAUGAUGAUUUUUACUAAGAAUAUAUUUUCGACUUCUUCAUGAAAAUUGUAUAGAACACCUUGAAGUUUAACAUACUCAAAUUUGAAUCAAAAUGAACAAGUGUAGCCUAGUGAAUCAACUUACUCUUGAAAACCGUAGAUCUGGAGACGCGGUACAGGUUACCCGAGACUUCAUGGACCCAUAUGGAGACUGUCCUCUGGAAAUUUGAAUUAGAUCCCUUCAUGAAAGUUGUAGGGUACAUCUUGAAUUAAAACAUAUCCAAAUUUCAGAGGAAACUAAAAUGAAUAGGUAGGUGAAAACUCAGUAUUUCGGAGAAGCAUGCACUGGACGUUUCGGUGUUAGAUCCAGAAGCUUCGUGUGACCGUAGAAAAUAAUAUAAAAAUAAUUUGGCUUAGAAAUCUUCAUGAAAAAUAUACUUUAGUGUCUUGGCUAUACCCUGGUAAAAUUUCAUAAUUUUUGGAGGUCUUUUGGAUAUUUUAAUCAAAUUAUUUCGGAAACUGUGCAUUCUGUUUUUUAUCCGAAAUUACAUGUAUUUGUGUGAAUUAUAAUUUUGUGUGGAAUUCGAUUGGCCUUGUGUUUUCAUGAAGUUAUUACCCUAUUUUCUUGUCUACCACUAGCCUUAAUUUCAUGAUUUUUGGGAAUUAUAUGGAUAUUUAAUUUAAAUAUUUCAAAAAUGAUACAAGCUGGAAUAUAAAUAAAUUUCAAAAAGGCAUGAUAAAUGGACUAUUCCAAGUUGUAUGAAUUCCAUAAAUGCUAUUUUUAUGAAUGAUUACAUCUUGCUGCAUGUAUGAUGAUGACUGAUGAUGCAUGUAUAAAUUAAAGGAUGAAAGUGAUUUUGUUUGCCAUUACAUUAUAUGCCAUGUUAAGUUGAGACCUAAAUUGGUAAACAUAAUCAAUGAUAAAUGAGGACAUCUAUUUGUGGCGGAUGAUAAUGCCCUGGGAGUAUCAGGAUGCCCGAGAUGGGGGGUGCCGGAUGCCCAGAAUGUAUAGAGAUACAUGGUCGGAUGGCCCUGGGAGUAUCAGCAUGCCCGGAAUGGUUGGGUGCCGAAAGCCUCGGAGGUCUUUGCCCGAGGAGAUGCCUCAUGAUGUCGGUUGGGAUACGAGAUGCUCGGAAUGUGGGGGUGCCGGAUGCCCGAUGGCCUUAAAUGGCUGAAUGUCGGAGGUUUUUCUCGCAAUGCCAGGAUGGGGUGCGAGUGUAAAGUAUGAGAUGAAAUUGAUGUGGUGAUUGAAUUGAAAGUUAAAAGUGGAAAUUGAAUCAUGCAUACAUGACAUGAUAUGAUGAUGAUCACCUGUGGCAUGAUGACAUGAUAUGAUGAUGAUCACCUGUGGCAUGAUGACAUGAUAUGAUGAUGAUCACCUAUGGCAUAAUGAUAUGCAUGUAUGAUAUGAUGAUGCCAUGAUGACGAUGACAUGUGUAUGAUAGGAUGAUGUCAUGAUGAUGGUGAUAUAUGAUAUGAUAUGAUGAUGAUGAUAUGUCUAGGACAUAAUGAUGAUGGUAUACGUAUGAUAUGAUGGCGACCUCUAAUAUGAUGAUACAUGUGUGUGACAUGAUGAUGAUAACCUAUGACAUGACAACAUGUAUGUGUUGUGAUUGUGAUGAAGAUGUAUGAUGGUAUAUGCAUGGCUUCAAGGUAAGCACGCAUGGAUGCAUGAAUGGCAUGUACGAUGAUGUGAUUGUAUUGUAUGAUAUAUUGAGUGGUUAUUGGAUUCUUUUACCUGCUGAGUGGUUGUACUCACCCCUUCAGGGACCAACAUUUCAUAUUAGCAGGAUGACGCUCCCUGCUGUCACGCGGGGUGUAUUUUACGGCCUACCUUCGGAUGUAGAGGUCGAAUGCGAGGAGUUUGACUGUCCUUCUGUUCCUAGUCUUACGUAUAUUCGAGUGUGCUAUUUAGUUAUGUACGAUGUGGGCCUGGCUGGGGGCCCUGUUGUCUAGGAGUUCAUAUCCAUCCAUGUUCGACGCAAUGGAGCGAUGUGUGGGAUGCUACCGCCGCCACCGCCUAAUGCACCAGGAUGGGUGUGAGGGCCCGUGCAUGUCAAGUAGAAGCUGAAACUUUUUGGGAUGGUUAGCCGACACUAGUGAUGGGGGAUCUUGCACGUGAGUUGUAGUGGGUCGACUAUUUCGUUUUGGGUUUUAGGCCGAGUAUGGCUGAGUCCUGGUCUUUCUUUUGACGUACCGACCCAAGGAAACCCAUCUUGAAAAUAUGUAAAUAAAGUGUCAUGGUUGUCUUUUAUCAUGAUGUUUAGUGGUGUGCAAUUGUAUCAUGGUUGUUGGAGGGAGAGAUGGCGAUGUGUAUAUUUUGCUUCUGCUAAUGAGUCGCGCUGGGACCGUUUUCAAAAAAAAAAAAUGUCUAAGAUUUACGACGCUUCUUCUUCGAGGUGUAGCUAGUGUUCCAUUAGGUGUAACGUCAGGUGCUUGUGGCGUCCCUAGGUGGUUCGGGGUGUCACAUUUAAACCCCCCACCUCCCCCUUCCAAGUUGGAAGGGUGAUCACUGAGGUGAACCCCAGUGGUUAUCUAUGCCUAGUACUUACCCCAUUGUAAAUUUGAGGGUGUUGAGAGGUGAAAUAGUUUUUGUGCUCAGGGACAUGGCAGACUUACAUUGUGAAAGACCAGAGUGUAUGGCAAAAAAUUGAUAAGAAUUCUCCAAUUGAAUAUGCUACGACAAUUUUAAUUAAUCCUCCGACCGCUUUGACAAUGCUUGAAGACUUCACCUCUUUGGAACCUGGUAUAUAGACAAUACAAGUGUCUCUUAGCUAUCCCCCAACUUUCACCGUAAGCAAUUUAUCCUAAGUUGUCCUAAUCAGCUGUGAUCAUUAGGGGAUUUGAUUGUGCAAAAUGGGCUACGAGUAUGGUGGGUCGAUGCCUCAUCCAAAUUACGAAAUCCAGUGGCAUCCAUAGCAUCAACAUAAUUAGAGACAAGUGCUCUCUUGAAAGCUUUCAGUAACCUUGACACCACAUAACUUUUGUCAAACUACUGUUGUUUAAAAUUUUUGUGUAGACUUUAGAUAGCAAGGGUAUGUGUGGGUUUGCUUUUAUCUCUCUUUCCUGUGAUCUACCUUAACCAUCGCUAGGAAGCCCCUUUUUUUUUCUUACGGAACGCAUUGAGCUGUUCUCUACUUAGCUUCUGAAGUAGCUUUUGAUGGUUACACAACCUGAAUUAUAUCUGAAAUUCAACCACUGUGAUGACAAGUUGGAACUCUUUGGGGACUAAAUCACUUGUGGCAAUUUUGUCUUUUCUUGUUCUAAUUAUGAAUGUUGCUAGUGGACUAAAAGUUAUGAACAAUUGCUAGAUGCACAAAUAUGUUGAUUAUGUUUGGUUGUGGCGGUGAUAUAUCAAUUUACAAAUUGAAAAUGUGCCAAAAUAUUUAGCAUUUUGAUAUCUUUGGUUUGUUUUUUGGAAGCUGGUGUGAUUAAUUGAGAUCUCUUGCAUCGAAUAACAAGGAGAAGUGGACCUUGAGCUUGUGUUACUAUAGCUGACCCUUUUAAGCUUGAAGUAAAAUGAGUGUGAUAACUGAUUUAAGGAAAUUAUAAUCUUUGGCUAGGUGCUACAAUGGGCAAUAAUUUAUGUGGCUAACUGAGCAUUAGUACAUGCAUUUGGCAUGCAAGAAUGGUUCUAUUAUGAGGGCAUUUUGAGGAACUGAUUAUGUUGAAUUUAUCAAAGAAACUAAGAAGGUACUUUAGGUUCGUGUAGGUACAUCAACUAACAUCCUUUAAUCUCCCAAUAUAAAGAUGAAGUUUUGUUAUGAGGUAACAUGUAUUUGGAAAGACUAGAAGGACUUGUUUUUUUGUAUCUAUCGAAGGCAAAGGCAGUUAACUGUAGUGUGAAUUGAACAGAGAUCUUUCUGCAUUGCUUAUUAGAAGUGACUUGUUAUUGUUGAUGCUUCUUCUACUGUUUUUGCAGUCAUCAUGUGUUCUAGACGUUGAUUGCUGGUAUGUUUAGAUCAUCAUACUGCUGGGCAUUGGUAAUUCCAUCUAUUUCAGUUGCUGGUGGAAACUUCCUUCUAGUAAGACCUCUCUCUGCUUUGCAACUUCUUUUGGAGUGAAAUUUUCCUCCUUUUCUUUUAAUUCUGUGAUGAGACACAAAAAGAGGUUAGAAAACACUGUGGUGCUUGAUGCAUUAAUUUAGAAGGGCUCUCUCAGCCAACUUAUUAGUUCAUGCUGUGACAUCUGAGCACAAAUUUGGUAGAAUUCUUUAUUUGUUUUCCAACUUAGCAGUUAGCACUGCAUAUCAGUAACUAAAUUUGAAUUUUACUGUGCUUUCAUGGCCAUCCUUUUCCUGUGACAGAGUUGGCUCUGAUGAAGCAAAAGAGGCGUUGAAGAAACUUGGUGCUAAAGAAGUGUUCACUGAGAGCCAAUUAGAAAUAAAGAAUGUCAAGAGUCUAUCAUCCAUCCAUUAAUCCAUUCUACCAUAUUCUCAUGCAUGAAACACAUCCAUGUUUGGCCAUAGGCACCUGAGUUCUUUAUUUACAUCUUAUUGACUUGCUACUAGGGUGAUCUAAAAGAACCUGCCCUUGGAUUAAACUGCGUUGGUGGCAAUGCUACUUCCUUGGUGAUGAAAUUUUUGAGGUGUGACAAGUGUUAAAUUCGUGUUUAGUGCUUCCCUUAUCUUUCUGUAGAGAGCUGAUUUAGUUUUGUUCUUAGGCGGGGAGGAACCAUGGUGACGUAUGGUGGGAUGUCUAAGAAACCAAUUACAGCGUCAACUUCAUCUUUUAUCUUCAAGGUAAAUUAAGAAGCGGCCAACUAAAUUUUCCACCGAUGGUUAGGAGGUUAUUUCAGUCAAGCCAUACAAUUUGAUUUGUCUACAUUUCGGUCUCGGUCUUGGUCAAUGCCCUAUAGUUUUAAUUUUUUUUAUUUUUUUGUCUAAAUUUGGCCCAAAAUCUCAAUUUCAGUAUUUGAUGCAACCAAAUUUGGGCGAAAAAAAUUAUCCCUGGAGUCGAGACUAAGGGGAGUGUCGCGACCAAUAUUUUUCGGAUGUGAACCACCUAGGGUUUGGCUAAUGAAUUAUUAAGCUUAGAUUAACUCGGGCUCUCCCAAGCCCAUACCAAUUCGCGACUUAGGUUCAAGUUCUUAACAUGCAAUUGAUUUUCAAUUAGAAGUCGCCACUAAUCUAUUUUUGGUGAGUCGAGUAGAAACUCAAGUAAAAUAACGGGAGAAUUAUUUUACUCCUACGAAUUAGAGACUAUGGAUACGGGGACUUGGUUACGCUAGAAUUCUCUAACGCCCUUUCAGUACCUUUUUUUUAUUUUGAAAAAUGUUUGGCAAGCAGUUUGGAUUGAUUUUAAAUCUAUUUCCCUAACAUGUGAGGUUGUCAUACGGGUGCACAAUCCACCAAUUUAACACCCAAAUAAACAAUAAAUAAAUUGCAAAAAAACUUACCUCAAAGCAACGAAAGCAUCUGCAAUGUUAAAUUAAAAUCCACAUCAAUAAUCCUAGAUAUGAUUUCUAAUUAACACGCAAUUUCUUUUUUUUUUCACUUUUUUAAUGAAAAUCAUGCAAUAUGCAAUGCAAUAUUAACUAAAUGACCUAAUUCUAUUGACAUGUAAUUUCUAAUUAAAUGGGCCUAGCAAAAAUACUAAAUGACAUGCAUCUCAAUGAAUCUAACCCUAAUAACGUGUAUAUGAAGUUUUUUUUUUUUUUCUAAAAGAAUGCAUUUCAUUCUAAAUAAUAAAACUAAUUUAACCUAUGACAUUUUUUUGUAUUUUUCAUGAAAUUCGGGAUUAAAUAGAAUGUGAAAAUUAUCUAACUAGAUUAAGAUUCUAUUCAAUUUGUAUCAGGAAUUAGGUUGAAUCAAAUCCUAAUUUAAACUAAAAUAUUAUCUUAACCCAAAUAAUCCUAAAAUGCAAUCUAUCUAAUAUCUAAACUUAUAAUAAAUUAAGAAAAAUAUUAUCUAGAAUUAAACUAAGUGCAAUUUUACCCUAGUAUGCAAUGACGUACAAAAAGAUGCCCUAACUCUACAUGACAUAUGCAUGAUGACUUUUUUUUUGUGUUUUUCUUUUUUUCUCUUUUUUUUAAUUUCGAAAUUAAUAAUUGCCAAAUAAUUAAACAUGCAAUCCAAGUUUAAAAAAAAAAACUAGCAACCUAAAUUAAUUGAUUUGAUUCUUUUUUUUUUUUUGAAAAUUCGAAAUAAAAUUCCUAUUGUGAGCAUGCAAACCCUAAAACUAUAUAUAUAUUUUUUUUAAAGAAAACUAACCUAGGUAACACCACGCCAAAUCAAGCAAUAUUGGUACCCAAAUUGACGAUCCAUAUCUCGCGCAUGAGAUCGGGUUGGCCAAUUUUACAUAAAUCACGAAUCGGAUCUCGGGCAGGAGAUCGGAUUGGCAAUUUUUUUAAAGUAAUUGCGAAUCAGAUUUCGGGCGCGAAAAUUGAACUAACAAUCACUAAUUUCAAGGCAAUUUCAUAUCACGGAAUUUCAAUUUCACAUUAAAGGAAUAAUUACACUAAAAAGAUAAAAUAGCAAAAAUAAUAAAACAAAAAUAAGAUAAAGAAAAUACCUAAAUUUUCUUUUGCUUUUUCUCUUUUUUCUUUUCUUUUUUGUUUUUGAAAAAGAAAAAGAAAAAGAAAUCUGGUGGCCGGUCCGGCGAGAGGAGAUCGCCGGCUAGGGUUCCGGCGAGGGCACCGGGAGCGGCGCGACGGCGGCAUUGCAACAGGAGCUUCGGGGAUCAGCACGGGGCGAUGCGGGCGGCACGGCGAAACCGGUGGGCGGCGUCGUGGAAGGAGCAAGAGCUUCGGCUCUCCUUGCGUCGGUCACGCGGGCUGCAGAGGAGGGACGUCGGCGUCGUGGAACGGAGAUCCGGGGUGUGGCGCGGUGCAGGGGCGCGCCUCCAGCGACGGCAGAGGCGGAUCUGCGGCUUUGACGGGCUACUGGCGUCACGGGUCCCUGUGGCGGCGAGUGCGCAGGCCGGCUGCGGUGGAUCUGGACUUGCUGUCGUGGGGAGGUUCUUGCGGCGGGCAAAUCUGGAGCAGCAGCAGCCAACGCAGGGGUAGCAGACAGAGGCGCGGCAGAGGAGGGCUCGGUGACUCAGCUGGUGUGGCGGCGACGCGGCUUCCAGUGGACGGAUGGCAGAGCGGAGUGGCGUCGGGGGGCGGGGCUUCGACGAGGCGAAGGGCGCCGGAUGCGGGCCGGGGCACUGGAACUCCGGUGCUGCAGAUCGGAGACGGGACGACCCAACGGCGUGGGGGAAUCGGGUCGGCGCGAGCUUCGGGUUGCGGCUCUGGCAACAGAUCGGGGAAGCGACGGUGCUGCUCACGGAGGCGGGCGGUCGCGGUAGAGGCGGUCGCAACGGCACGGGGACGGCUUGGCGGGCGGAGGUCGGCGGCUCGGCCGCCGGUAGGGAUCCCUCCCCCACGAGGAAGAUGAACAGUCGCAAAGGGGGAUGCUUUUCUUUUCUUUUCUUUUCUUUUUUCUCUCUUUUUUUUUUCACUUUUCCUCUCUCCACUCACUCUUUCACCUUUUGCUCUUUUUUCUUCUUUUUUUUUUACCGACGGAAUGCCCCCUUUCUUGCUCCAAAUUUUUUGAAAUCCCUUCCCCCUUUUGUCCGUAUGUGCGCAACGCCUUUUAUAGGGAAAAUUUUAGAUCUUUGAAGCGUAUUUUAUUUCCAAUUUUACUUGUGCAUAAUUCUCUGAAUAUAUCAUUGCACCACACGUGAUAUUCUCUUUUGUAUUUAUCAAAUAUCCCAUCCAAAAUUUUCCUUUUUGCUUGAAAAUAUAGCCUUUGGUGUAUAUUGCCUAAAUAUGUGAAGAAUCUGAACAGAAUAUGUGAAAAAUCUUCCCUUCACUGGCGGCCUAAAAUAAAACAAAAAUAAAAUGUUUCUAAACUAUAUGCCAUGUGAUUUUUUUUUUUAGUAAAAAUUAACCCUAAAAAUUAUGCAAAAAUUUAGGUGUCAACAGCUGCUCCUCUUUGAAUGUGAGCUCGAAGAGGUUGCCUUCAAAGACAAAUUAAGACCUAAAUUUUGGUCAUGCACAUGCAAUGAAUGAUUUUUUGUUGGAAAAUGAAUUCCAUUUUUUAAUGCAAAUUAUAUGAUGUAUGAAAAUACUAAUGCAAAUGAUAGAUGAACCUACUUGAAAUAACUUACCUUCGAGGAGGAUAGAGUAAUUCGAGGUAGUGGGUGUUACCUGUCCAGGACCCGUACUAUUCUACGGUUGCCUAGAAUAGUAACAUGACUUUGUGAAGAUGCUGCUUUCCUAGGACCCGUAUCAUUCUACGGUCGCCCAGUAUGGCAGAAAGGAGCUGCUUUUUCAGGACCCAUACCAUUCUACGGUCGCCAAUACGGCAGAAAGGUUUUGUAAGGAACUGCUUUCCUAAGACCCGUACCAUUCUACGGUCGCCCAGUACGGCAGAAAUGUUUUGUCUAAAACCCAUACCAUUCUACGGUCACCGAAACAAUGAUUCAUUUUCCAGGACCUGUACCAUUCUACGGUCGCCUGAAUAAGGAAUAUGUGUUGUCAAGGACCCGUACCAUUCUACGGUCGCCUCGACGAAGAAAAUUAUUUUUCCAGGACCCGUACCAUUCUACGGUCGCCUGAAUGAGGAAAUUGCUUUUCCAAAACCCGUACCAUUCUACGAUCGCCUAUUAGAGCAAUAAAUGUUGUCUAGGACCCGUACCAUUCUACGGUCGCCUAGAUUGAGGUUUUGCUUGGCUAGGACCCGAACCAUUCUUCAGUUGCCCAGCCUUGCGACAGAAAUCAUCCGACCAGGACCCGAACCAUUCUUCGGUCGCCUUAAUCAGAUUGAAUCUGGAGGAAAAAUCUUUGGAGGACAACUCCAUUGAGUGUCGAUGUAAAGGACUCUAAGCUACGAAAGCACGCCAGGUCGAUAAAAGAAAUCUGGGCUAUGGAAGCACGCGGUUCGAUAAAAUGGACUCUGGGCUACGAAAGCACGCCAGGUCAAGAAAGAGACAUCGGGCUAUAGAAGCACGCCGAGUCGAUGAAAAUGACUAUGGGCUACGAAAGCACGCCAGGUCGAUAUAACUGGACAGCUUGACCAAGUCAAGUGUUGAUGCACUUGAGAGAGAAUACCUGCACAAUGACAAGUAUUUUAGAGUAUGGUAAAGAUAUACUUACCUGGUGACAUCUCUGAUUCUUGGGGAUAUGUCUUUUGAAAUUUAGAUAUCCUGUGGAGGUCUUUCACCUCAUGGUGAAGGUUUCUCAUCUCCUAAUAUCAUGAAACAUUAUGAAAGGAACUUGAAUUACCUGUCAGACAUGAUUUAGAGCAAAAACUGAUAGACAAUUUGAGCUACUCUAGAAUGCACAUUUCAAAAUUCAGUGAAAUUCUCAUUAAUUCAAUCGGGGUUCAUGCAUAAUGACCUUUGCAUCACCCAAAUUUCCACUGGAGAGAAUUAUCAUUCAAGACAAUCUUCACUCAUGACAUGGAUUUCCUAAAAAUACUAAAUGAGAGACCUUCAGUUAGAAAUGACUUUCACUUACUCUCAUUUAGAGGCUAUUUUAUGAUAAUCACUCUAUCUCACUAUCAUCAUACCAACAAGGGUCCAAGUAUUCUCGCAAGCGGUACGACCUUACCAAUCUGAGAGGUCUUUAAUAGGGACCGUAAUGUGGGCUUGGUCAAUGGCUUAACAAAGGGACUCAUCGAGUCAAAGCAAUUGAAAGAACAGCUUCGCAAUCAUCUCCGGGUUUACAAGUCAAGAACCCUGCAAAAUGAGAAAGAAAUAGUCUUGCUCGCACUCCUUCGAGCGAUGCUUAAAACAUGUGAACCCCUAUGUUAAUUCAAGUGCCCUAAUCUGAAGAGACUUGUAAGGGACGUAACAUAGGCUGGGUUCAUGGGUUGAGAAAUGAAAAGAUCAUUAGGCUCAAAAUGUGUGUGAAUGGUGAGGGUUGGUGAUCAUCUUGGCAUUGUCACUAGUUUUCUUUUUCAUCAUCGGGGAUUGUCUUCAUGAAAUGCCCCAUUGAUUGUAAAAACUCAACUUUUGAGUUCUUUGAGUAUUGCUCUAUCAGGAUUCAAUUCUUGCAAUUGAGAAUCACCUUAUAUUGACUCUCUUUUUCAUCUAUGGGCAUUGGCCUUACUUUUACCAGCACACCACAUUUUCACGCCCCUAGUUCUCGUUCAUUUUUUUUCUUCACUUUUUUUUCAUGGGCAUUGGCCUUACUUUUACCAGGCACAUUGCUUUUUCAUGCCCCUUAAUUCUAUUUUGAAUUCAAUUCUUGCGCAUAAUGCAUGCGUCAAGCAAUUACACUUUGAAUGACACUCGAACUUUUCAAGAGUCUUCAUCUGCCUUUUGCCUUGCCCCAAUGUGAGGGAUGAUCACCAACUGAGUUUAAAGAAAUGAAAAAUUGCAGGCUCAAAUGGGCUGUGCAAAGGAUAUAAGUAUGUAGGAUAAAGAAAAAAUGCUCUUCGUCAUUCUAAGGCACUUAAAUUACCAUAUGAAUUCAAUGUAAUAGCACGACUUAAAAAUUGAUGCAAGUGAGAGCAAGAAAUUUCUUUUCAUUUUCCUCACCUCAUGAUGCCGUCUUACCUCCAACUUGCCCCAAUGUGGGGUGGUUCUUGACAGGGAUAAUUUGAAAAAAAUCUCCACAAAUGUAUGGGGCUCAAAAGGGGUUAAGCAAUGUAUCACUUGUAGUGUUCGGGAUAGAGAAAUGAACUGCCUCUCAUCAUUUCGGUCAUCAUACCUUUUACGAGAGAACUCUUUACCUUGUAGAUAUGGAACUUCCUACACUCAUCUCACAAAUGUAUAAGUAGGGAAUUGUGUAUAGGAUAAGGCUUGCCUUUCAUCAUACUGACACGUCUCAUUCAGCAUUCUUAAGCAUUGAUGUCACUCCAUUAAAUUGUCUAUCUUGACAAAUCUCCACAUGAAAUUGGUAAGCUAAAUCAAUAUGAAAAUUUUCUUUUCAAAAGAGUUCAGCAACUUUAAGCAUAAAAAGCGUUUGUGACCUCAAAACAAACAAUUUACUACACUCAAACAUGAUUUCAAGCAUUCAUUCAAGGAAUUGUUCCAUGAAGGGAUUGUCUCAGCAAUGGAUGUCCCUAGAUUGCCUCUAUCGAAAGGGAAUAAACACACAAAUUGAUCAAUCGAUGAUGAAAAUCCGAUCUUUGAUUUGAUGAAAUCUUGCUUUUGCCCCUGCACAAAACAAUGUGCAUGAAUAGGAUACUAUGCAACAUCAAAGUAAAUUCAAAUUGCACAACUAUUUUGACUCGAAUCGAGAUUUUGUCUCAGUCAUGUCACUACUAGAAUCUGUAGUGCCCCCAAUUCGUCAUAUGCAAGGAAAAGAACAAAGCAUCAUCUCCCAAAAUUAUUUAUGUUCAAAAACAAGAUGUACCUCUUUCACCAAAGAUGGAUGAUCCUCUUUUAACUUGCCCGUCAUUUAAUGGGCGAGAAUGAAAAUUCCGUCAAGCAUGGAAAUGGAACACACUUUGUUUGGCCCUUCAAGAUGGAUAUUAACUCUUUAGAAACUUGUUGAGUAACAAUUGAACCAAUUGCAACUUGAUGUGCCUUUUUCAGAUGCUUUCUUAUCGGGUCAAGAAAGUAAUGCUCUGAAACAUGAAGUAAAUGAGUCAGAAAAUUAAACAAGGCUAAUCUAACGCAUGCUUUUUGGAAAUGGCUUGAAAAAUGAUCUUUUUUUUUUUGUUCUUUUGGAUUUUUUUUUGGAUGAGGAAGCAUGAAGAAGCCGAGUCCUCAGAAUUCUCCUUGGAUGAUAUUUUCUUUUCAUUGUUGGAUAUCAUCACCGGACUAGUUUGGUGUACCCCAUCAUGUCCUCAAAACAAAACUUGUAAUUUUAUUGAUAUUCAUCAAUCGAAUUACAUUUAUUGGAAUGUGAUGUUCAAGCACAGAAGAAAUCAAUCCCUAAAAAGCGAUAAAAAUUCUCAUGCGGGGGAAGAUGUAUGCCCCUGAUUAAAUGAGGAAAUCGAACUACUUAGGACCAUGAAUCAUGUGUACAUGAAUUCUUCACCCUUCUUGAUCUUGUGAUGCAAGCCCUUCAGGUUUGAUAUUCUUCCAUUUAGAUAUGUUGCUACCCUCUUCAUGAUGGCAUCAAAUUCGACUACCUCAGGAAAAUGAGACAAUUCAAAAGGUCUUCUUGGCUCUCUUCUUGGAGUCGCAAUUUAUCACUGAAGAUAGAUUGCGGCAUUUUUGCUUGACAAGAUAAGCUCUUUUUGAUCUGUCAUUUUGGCUCUUGAUCGUGAACGGAUGGGUGAGCGAGAUCGUUCCAUAAUCACCUAGUUCAAAUGAACGGGAACAUGUAAGAACGAGGGUAAAUAAAAAGUCAAUCCAUGACAAUGAUCUAAUUGAUUUUUCCAUUUUUUUUUCAUUUACUCAUGAAAAGUUUGUACAAGAAGGGCAUUUCCUAAAAAUGGACAAGGAAAAUAAAGAUAGACACCCCAGCGAGACUAAAUUCGCUAGACAUGAAUUGAAAACGAAUUCUCCAAAGUUUUUUUAUUUUAUUUGCAAAUGAUUCAUUGCAUGGCAAUUUCCUCAUUUUACAUCUAAUUGACAAAUGAAUUAAAUCAAUAAUUGACCUAGAUUGUCAUGGACGGACCAAAAGUAUGACAAAGUAAGUAAAUUGCAAUAGUAUAGGGAAAGAAGACUUACUUCACCAAGGAGAAUCAAUGGUAAUCACGUAGCCAUGCGCAUGGUAAGUGGCUCGAUUUCUAAUUUAUAAGGCUUAUCAAGGUGGAGCAACAAGGAUGAUCGGACUAGCCACGGGCUUGUGGACUAUGUCGGGCCCUCAUGACUCCAGCUUGGUCAAAGAGCCGACCCGGGUCGCGAGCAUGCGGACCGAGGUGGGUACUCUUGACACCAUGAAAUAAACUUCGGGAUUGAGAUGGGGGACUCGUACUACAAGCAUGCGGUCGGAGUGGUAUCCAUUUCAAUACCAUCCUAAAUGAUCAUAUGCGGCCUAGGUCCGACGGCAAGUUGUGUGUGCAACAGUGUAGUGCUAGAUGCAAGGCAUGCACGAUAGUUUAUAUCAAGCAACACUUCGUUCAUGAAAAUAAACCAUACAUUCCUACGCCUUCCUACAAAACAAAGGUUAACAAACACUUCCUCUUAUACCUCCCAUCCUGCAAGAACAUUUAAAGUGCGUACCUGAAAUCAUUGCUGCCAAACAAAACAUUUUUCAAAAGAAAAAAAAAUUGUCCUAAGUCCACUAAGAGUUUCAACUCAAGUCCCCAGUGGAGUCGCCAAGCUGUCGCGACCAAUAUUUUUCGGAUGUGAACCAUCUAGGGUUUGGCUAAUGGAUUGUUAAGCUUAGACUUAACUUGAGCUCUCCCAAGCCCAUACCAAUUCGUGACUUAGGUUCAAGUUCUUAACAUGCAAUUGAUUUUCAAUUAGGAGUCGCCACUAAUCUAUUUUUGGUGAGUCGAUUAGAAACCCAAAUAAAAUAACGGGAGAAUUAUUUUACUCCUACGAACCAGAUACUAUGGGUACGGGGACUUGGUUAAGCUAGAAUUCUCUAACGCCCUUUUGGUACCUUUCUUUUUAUUUUGAAAAAUGUUUGGCAAGUAGUUUGGAUUGAUUUUAAAUCUAUUUCCCUAACACGUGAGGUGGUCAUAUGGGUGCACAAUCCACCAAUUUAACACCCAAAUAAACAAUAAAUAAAUUGCAAAAAAACAUACCUCAAAGCAACGAAAGCAUCUGCAAUGUUAAAUUAAAAUCCACAUCAAUAAUCCUAGAUAUGGUUUCUAAUUAACACGCAAUUUCUUUUUUUUUUUCACUUUUUUAAUGAAAAUCAUACAAUAUGCAAUGCAAUAUUAACUAAAUGACCUAAUUCUAUUGACAUGUAAUUUCUAAUUAAAUGGGCCUAGCAAAAAUACUAAAUGACAUGCAUCUCAAUGAAUCUAACCUUAAUGACGUGCAUAUGAAGUUUUUUUUUUUUUUUCUAAAAGAAUGCAUUUCAUUCUAAAUAAUAAAACUAAUUUAACCUAUGACAUUUUUUUGUAUUUUUCAUGAAAUUCGAGAUUAAAUAGAAUGUGAAAAUUAUCUAACUAGAUUAAGAUUAUAUUCAAUUUGUAUCAGGAAUUAGGUUGAACCAAAUCCUAAUUUAAACUAAAAUAUUAUCUUAACCCAAAUAAUCCUAAAAUGCAAUCUAUCUAAUAUCUAAACUUAUAAUAAAUUAAGAAAAAUAUUAUCUAGAAUUAAACUAAAUGCAAUUUUACCCUAGUAUGCAAUGACGUACAAAAAGAUGCCCUAACUCUACAUGACAUAUGCAUGAUGACUUUUUUUUGUGUUUUUCCUUUUUUCUUUUUUUUUUUAAUUUCGAAAUUAAUAAUUGCCAAAUAAUUAAACAUGCAAUCCAAGUUAAAAAAAAAACUAGCAACCUAAAUUAAUUGAUUUGAUUCUUUUUUUUUUUGGAAAAUUCGAAAUAAAAUUCCUAUUGUGAGCAUGCAAACCCUAAAACUACAUUUUUUUUUUUUUUUUAUAGAAAACUAACCUAGUAACACCACGGCAAAUCAAGCAAUACCGGUAUCUAAAUUGACGAACAAUAUCUCGUGCAUAAAAUCGGGUUAGCCAAUUUCACAUAAAUCACGAAUCGGAUCUCGGGCGGGAGAUCGAGUUGGCAAUUUUUUUAAAGUAAUUGCGAAUCGGAUUUCGGGCACGAAAAUCGGACUGACAAUCACUAAUUUCAAGGCAAUUUCAUAUCACGGAAUUUCAAUUUCACAUUAAAGGAAUAAUUACACUAAAAAGAUAAAAUAGCAAAAAUAAUAAAACAAAAAUAAGAUAAAGAAAAUACCUAAAUUUUCUUUUGCUUUUCUCUUUUUUUCUUUUCUUUUUUGUUUUUGAAAAAGAAAAAGAAAAAUAAAUCUGGUGGCCGGUCCGGCGAGGGGAGAUCACCUGCUAGGGGUUCCGGCGAGGGCACCGGGAGCGGCGCGACGGCGGCACUGCAACAGGGGCUUCGGGGAUCAGCACGGGGCGACGCGGGCGGCACGGCGAAACUGGUGGGCGGCGUCGCGGAAGGAGCAAGAGCUUCGGGUCUCCUGGCGUCGGUCACGCGGGCAGCAAAGGGGGGACGUCGGCGUCGUGGAACGGAGAUCCGGGGUGUGGCGUGGUGCAGGGGCGCGCCUCCAGCGACGGCAGAGGCGGAUCUGCGGCUUUGACGGGCUACUGGCGUCACAGGUCCCUGUGGCGGCGAGUGCACAGGCCGGCUGCGGUGGAUCUGGACCUGCUGUCGUGGGGAGGUUGUUGCGGCGGGCAAAUCUGGAGCAGCAGCAGCCAACGACGGGGUAGCAGACAGAGGCGCGGCAGAGGAGGGCUCGGUGACUCGGCUGGUGUGGCGGCGACGCGGCUUCCAGUGGACGGAUGGCAGAGCGGAGUGGCGUCGGGGGGCGGGGCUUCGACGAGGCGAAGGGCGCCGGAUGCGGGCCGGGGCGCUGGAACUCCGGUGCUGCAGAUCGGCGACGGGACGACCCAGCGGCGCGGGGGAAUCGGGUCGGCGCGAGCUUCGGGUUGCGACUCUGGCAACAGAUCAGCGAAGCGGCGGUGCUGCUCACGGAGGCGGGCGGCCGCGGUAGAGGCGGUCGCAACGGCGCGGGGACGGCUUGGCGGGCGAAGGUCGGCGGCUCGGCCGCCGGUAGGGAUCCCUCCCCCACGAGGAAGAUGAACAGUCGCAAAGGGGGGUGCUUUUCUUUUCUUUUCUUUUUUCUCUUUUUUUUUUUUUCACUUUUCCUCCCUCCACUCACUCUUUCACCUUUUGCUCUUUUUUCUUCGGUUUUUUUUACGAACGAAAGGGCCCCCUUUUUUGCUCCAAAUUUUUUUAAAUCCUUUCCCGCUUUUGCCGGGACGUGCCAAGGCCUUUUAUAGGGGAAAAAUUUAGUUUCUGUGAAGGGUAAUUUAUUUCCUAUUUUACUUAUGGAUAUUUUNNNNNNNNNNNNNNNNNNNNNNNNNNNNNNNNNNNNNNNNNNNNNNNNNNNNNNNNNNNNNNNNNNNNNNNNNNNNNNNNNNNNNNNNNNNNNNNNNNNNAUUUUCUUUUUUGCUUGAAAAUACAUCCUUUUGUGUAUAUUGCCUAAAUGUGUGAAGAAUCUGAACGAAAUAUGUGAAAAAUCUUCUCUUCACUGGCGGCCUAAAAUAAAACAAAAAUAAAAUGUUUCUAAACUAUAUGCCAUGUGAUUUUUUUUUUAUAGUAAAAAUUAACCCUAAAAAUUAUGCAAAAAUUUAGGUGUCAACAGGGAGUACAUGAAUCAAUGAGACAAUGGUUCUUAUGGUUUGUAGGAUCUUUCUUUGAGGGGAUUUCGGCUGCAUAAUUGGAUGUGUUCAAAGGGUGUAACAAGGUGCAGAAGAAUGAUGGAUCACUUGCUCGAGCUAGUGCAGGAUGGGAAGUUAAAAUACAAGUAUGUCUUCAGUAAACACCACUCAAAUCGUUGUAUUUAGGUCUCCAUAUCUUUAUAGUGUCUCUAAUAGUAUUUAUCUUCAAGAUAGUGUGCUUGGACUGUGGAUGCAUAUGAAUUUCUCCAAAACUUUAGGACGGAGUUGGUUCCUUUUAGUGAUUUCCACAUUGCACUAGAUAAAUCAUUGGGGAAACUUGGAAGCCAUCCUAAGCAAGUCCUAAAGUUCUAGGGCUACUAAAUAUUUAAAAGCAGUGAGAAGAUCAAAAAAUUAUUCGUCAUAUCCUUCAGACGAUCAACUGUUCUAAAGUUGAGGCACUGGAUCAACCGGACAUGAUAACUAUGUAUCUUUCCGUUAUUAUUAUUCUUUUUUCAUAAGUAUGCAGCUUUUCUGUUGGAGGUAAUUUCGUUGCUGCUUAUUUCAGCAAUUUCCAUUUUGAAUUUGUUUUGCAUCAUGCCUUCCAAUCUAAAACUAAUCUCAUGCUCUGCCAAAACAUGAUGGCUGAAUUUGGGGAUCCAAACAUCGACCCGCUUGGUAUUGGAAGGGUCCAGAAAGGUUUCAGAUUUGCCAAUUAUGAUUCUCAUAUACACGUAAUAAGGAACAUUGGGAUACUUUCCAAAAAUCAUGUAAUCAACAUGGCAUGGAUUGAGAAAAAGAGCAAGAAGAACCAUAAAUGCUUCAUUUGAUCUAUCCUAAUUCAAAUGGGAUGCAGAGGGAAAACACAAAAUGGAAAGAUCGUGUCUGCUUCCAAAGAAUUGAUGAUUGUUCAAAUACCACAAAAAGAAAAGGCAUCUUUCAUCUAGACAAUGUCAAGGACCGCACUCCUUUCUCAAGAUAUAAGAGUUGGACCAAGAUGAGCGAUUUUCAAAUUCAUUUUUAGCCUUGGAAAAUUUAGAGAGAAAACAAAUUCCCCACAAAUGCAUGAUUUUGAAAUACUAACAUUUUGCUAGGCCGAAGAGAUGGGCCUCGCAAAAUGGAAGAUUAUAAGAGAUUGGAAGAUUAUCCACGCUAACACCUCAAAACACUUAAUGUAAUGUUUGGUUAAUGGUCAUGGAAUCAUGAAAGGAAUCCCAAACCGUAAAAUUAAAUAGAGGACAAUAAUCAGGAAAAUGUUCAGGGAUCUUAUGUGGUUCUUCAUCCUGUUUCGGUCCCUAGUUUUCCGUUUGUGAUUUGUACACGUUGAUUGAAGACGCAUUCCAUUUCUUACACGCACAAUAUAUUUAUUAUUUUAAGAGAUGGGCUUCAUUCGGUGAGCAUAAUUGAACAUGGAAUUCCACUCUAACCCCAACCUAAGAAAAGAAUUUCUGAAUCAAUUUGGUAAUUUAGACUUAUUUUGUUUCGCAAAAAAUUAAUAAUUCAAUAAAUAUUUUCCUAAAAAUGAUGUUUAUAUCACUCGAAGUAAUUAUUUAAUAAGAAAUAUUUUUUUUAUUCAUAAUAAUUAAUGUUAAAAUAUUUUUCGUAGAAGGUAAACAAAUUUUUAGUUCGUUUAUUUUUAUAAGCAAUAUAAAUAAUUAUUUUUAUGAAAUGUAUUUUAAAUCAUUCUCUUAAUUAAAGAUACACUCCCUUUACAUAUGUGCUAUAGUUCCAUCUUCAUUUUCGACCAUAUUAUUUAAUCAUCCAAGCCAAAAAUAAAGCAAAAUAUCUAUGUGCUCUAAAUAGGCAAUAAUACUCCAGCUUUUCAUCAGCCAACCUUAGUUUUUCUCAUGGACCAAUGGCAUCUUUUUUUUUGGUCGUCGUAGUCAAAAACUAGAUUGAAAAUUAGAACACCUUUUGAAUGGAGGAGAUUAUGUAAAGCCAAAAGAAGCAACAUGAACGGACCAUUUUUCUUAGCCAUCGCAUCAACAAACAAACGGAUAAAAUUAUGGAGAUGCAAUCCUAUUUGAUGACAGCUUAGCAGUGGGCCAACGGAAGCAUGUGAUCAUCGUCUUUUACCGAGACAAUGAAUGAUUAGAUAGCCUCGUUGAUGUCAUGGAAGUGACAAGCGGUCCUUUCACUAGUGCAUCUACUUUCGGACAAGGAUGGAUUCUCAUUAUAUUAUUUCGUGCCUUGGCCUGCAAUCAGGCGCAAGGGAGAGCAUUAAAUUCCAAAAAUAAGCCUAUUGACAUUUCUCUAUCGGGUGCUUAAAUCGGAAGAAAAACAGCGUCAUCUUAUCAUGUCAUGCUGUAGUCGUUACACUUGAUAGUCGAAAAUAAUUGAAACGCCACGUCAAAUGAAUUCAAUGAGAUUUAGCUAAAAUGUUUUAUUGCAUUUUCCCUUGUAAGUUUAAGAUUACAAUUAAAAAGUAUAAACCUUGAUAGGUUUGAAAUUUCGGUAUAAUAAUUUUAUGAGAGAUUGUGUAAUUAUCUCAGAAAUAUGACAAUUCGGUUUUCUCAAUCUCGUGUUCGCACUCAACUCAAUGCAAUAUAUACACUUGCAUCAAACUUGAUCCAACUCUAAUAUUAAAAACUAAAUUAUCGUGUAAAGCUUCGAACUCCAUCUCAAGUUCUCAUAAAAAAUUUCAAAAAUAAUGAUUUUUUUUCAUUGUCCUUAGUAAAAUCCUUUAAAUUAUUAACAAGGCUCGCAAGUAUUACAAAAUUUGACACCUCUGACAUGGCAAUUCAUAUUGUUAGGUCCAAAUACAUAAAAGAAAGGAUGAAGUGUUUUUUUCGUACGUACAAAAAUAUUUAUCUUUCUAGAACCAGCACCUUAUUUUAAAAUGUUUUUUUAUAUGCAAUUAAACUGUUAAUUUGCCAUAACAAACUUAUAGAAUUUAGGAAAAAAAAUUACAAAAGCUAUUUACAGAGUUUCAAUUAGGAUUUUUCUCUUCUAGCUCUAGCAGCCCCAUUAGAUUGAAAUUCACUACUUCAGCCAAUAGUGCAAUUGCCAAGAACUUUGUAUCGCGCGGACUCGACUCCUCCUACCCCUAUCUCACUAUAGACUAAAUAAUUAUUAGAUCUCUUUCAAUAGCUGUUCUCACACCUUGUGCACACAACACGAUAGACAUAUUCUCCCCCAAAAUUAUUUAACCACACUUCUAAGUGUUUACAAAUAAUCAUUCGCAUAUUUCGUCUCUUACCUAAACAAUUGCAUUCUCUCUAAGCACGACCACGUCUUCUGUGUGUAUACAAAUGAUUUUGGCACCCUUGCUAACUUUUAGGAUCAAAACUAAAUAGAUAAUAAUGAAACAACAAAGAGAUAGAUCUCAAUAGAUCUCAAGAACACUCAAUGUGUUUCGAUUUUUUUUUUUGUUGUUGCAAGAACUCAAUCACAAUUUAUGUUUUACUCAGUUUGUCCUUAUAGGCCUCCAAAAACAACCCUCCUAUUUCAAUCAUCUGAUUCAAGUUGAUCACAGAAUGAGUUUCAUUUCAUCACACAGAAAAGAGACAUUUGGAGGGGAUACUUAGAGAUCAUCAACAAUGAAAAAAUCAAAAUGAUAAGGAUAGUUAGCAGAAGUUGGUAAGUUUAUAAAUUGACUUAUUAUAGUGAUUGCAAUUUAUUUACGAUGCUUGUAAAACUUCCAAAGAGUUGGUUAUUCUUUAAUUCAUUUCAAAGUUGGUAAUUUUCUAACAGCAUUGAUAAGUUAUUGAUAGGUUAUUUGGCAAUCAAAUUGACGGUCAUGCUUUUCUUUUAUCGAUUGUACUAGAUGUUAAUGUUGGUUGGGUCUGCCUGUGUGGGGCCAAGUUAACGUUAAUAAAUAAAAGAAAAUGUCAAAAAGUCAAAAAUGCAAGAAAGGAAAAGAAAGGCGGGCUGCUCGUUCAGAGAAGAUAGGAACUGGGCUGCCAAAUAUCGUUAGAGUUGACUCAAAUGUCAAUAUGUUGUUAUAAGACCAAGACAGAUGAGUUGAGACAGGCGAGUCCAUCAGUUUCAUUUGUCAAUCUGUUUUGUUCAUUGAACACUUUUUCUAAAUUAUCUCAAAUUUCUCCAAUUGUGAUUAGGGUUUCUUACUUCAUAUAUAUUAAUACACUUUUACAGUGACGAAAUGUCAUUAUAUUGUUGAUGUUGAAUCUCUAAUAUAUUACUAAAGAAGAAUCCUUGUGCGUCUUACUAUUUUUUGUGAUUAGUGAAAUUUUUUUAUCGUCCAUAAUCUUUUUUGCAUUGAAUUUUCCACGUAAACUUGCCGUGUUUGCUUUUGUUUGUUUUUAUCAUUUUGGCAUUUUUUUUUAUUCAUUACGAGAUUAUAUUGCGGGAAUAUAUUGCCUGUUAUUAUAAGGGUUGAGUCGAUUUUGGUCCAUUUAACCUUGGGAAGAAAUUGAUUCUACAUUAGGUUAUUUUUUUAUGAAUUGUUGCCGGUUCUCUCGAACUUUGUAUCAAUAAUUUUGGAAAUCCAUCAAGUAAGGGAAAUUUUCCGCACUUUCUUGACUACCCUGCACUCAGUCCCGAAAGCUUGCGUCAGCCACAUCUUUGAUUUUUUGUGUCAUCGACCAAUGGCAUUUGAUUUUACGGUCUCCGUCGUCGUGAAAAAUAUGAUUUCUGCCCCAGUCGUGUCCUCAUCAGCCCAAAGCAUUUUACUUGCUUUUCCCAGAACUGCCCCAUUCAAUAACACUUCAAUUCGUGUUAUACGAUGAUCUGAGAAAUGGAUGCUUACUGCGGGGUUCGUCCAAAUCGGUUUCGUCCAGGGGCACGGUAAGAAGAGAUGCUCCAAUAUUCCUUUUUUCAAACUUUCUUGCAAGAUUGAUUGCAGUUUUAUUUUUCAGGAAUUGUGCUUUGAUUGGAUAUGUUCAUGUUUCGGAGGAGGCUUGUGAAAUUUUGAAGACAACUCACAUCAUACUUGUCAGCAUGCAGGGAUGGAACUAUCAUAUAUUUUUAGUGGGGUCAAUGCCCUAAAGACCGUAAGAUAAGGUAUUUCAUUUAACAAAAAAAUUAUAAAGAUGCGAUCGAGCUAUUUAUUGAUUCAAAGUAGUUUUUCUACGCAAAGUUUGAUUUGAAAUCGAUGCUUUGACAUUGAAUCAUGAAUGUGAACAAGAUUCGGUUUCAAAUCCCUGUGCUCGAGCUCGACUCAAUAUAGUAUAUACAGCUCGAAAUUGAACUCGAUUCUACUCAUUUGACUUGUUACAUAGGAUGUUUCCUUCUUUUUUUCCUAAUCAUAUACUGCACCUUCUGCAUAGCCUAGUCAUGCCAUUCGAUUGCUUUAUCUUUCGACUCUAUCAAGCCUCGUUUUUUAUUGGUGGUGUGGUUGUCUAGUAGUGCAAUGUCUAAGCCCGAUAAUUUUUUUAUGAUUGUUUAUCUUUUUACUUUUCUGUUUUUUGUGUCAUAAAGAAGUUUAUAGUACAUGGAAAGAAAAGAUACUGAUUUUGAUUUCUUGCAAGUUAGCGCAUGGUCCCUUAGAGGGGGAUGAGGCUAAGCCUAAUUACAUCGAUGAACAAUGGAAGUUACUAAAAAGGCAAUGUGGGGUUUCAUUAGGCAUCAUCAGUUAGGAUUUUAUUUCUUUAGAUAAACUAUAAGGAUUCCAUCCCACUGCUCAUUUUGCUCUUCCGAUUUCCAUCUUUUGGCAAUGGAAAACCGUAGCCACAACAACACUGAUAUAAAUUAAGGAAUCGUUAUGCUAGCUGGAUCCUAUGAGAAACAAUUGAUGUCUUCUCAUCCAUUGAUCGUCAGAAUCUCAGGAUUAUAUGUCACAACCACACUUCCAUUCACUCACGGAACACUUCUUGGAUAUGUCCUUCCUCGGCACUUCAUUUCGAGUAGGGAUUAAUAGUUCCCCGCCGUACAGACUGGAGUAGGAAGCCCACCCAAAAAAUCGAAUAAAAAAAUCCGUUCUAUUUUGCUGGUAUCACAAGCCGACUUAGUUCCGAUGACUCUCUUGGGAAUAUGGGGCAAUAAUAGAGCAAAUAUGUCAAACGGUUCUCCACCGAGAGCAGAAACUCUUUUAUUAUGUAUGUUGGAUUGAUUGGUCGAUUACGACAUUUUGUAUAGAAAUUAUGAAAAAAUGCAAAUAGUUAUAAUUCGUUAUAAUUCAAAAAUUUAUUUAUCGAUGACCAUAAAACUACUCAUGUAUUAUAAGAAGAAAUCCGAAAAACCCUCCAACACAAAAGUUAUUCAUCACAUUGAAUCUCCAACAUUUUAUAGUAGAGUAGACGAUCUAUCACCGUGCAUCAUUCAAGUUUCACACACCAACAUAAGUAGAAGCUUCUAAAUUCAUAAGCAUACAAUAAGAUAAGAAAGACGAUCUAUCUCUAUGCAUAAUUAAAAGUGCAACAACCCCUGCCCUUGCUGUGGCGGCGGCGGCGGCAACGGCGGCAGCGGCCACCACGGUGGCCACCACAGCGGACCUUGCGGCCCCUGCGGCCCCGGCAGCCCCAAUGGUCCCUGCAGCCCCCGCUCCCCCUGCAACCCCCGUGGGCCCUGUAGCCCCGUCGGGCCCCGCUCCCCCUGCAGCCCCUUGUCCCCCCGGUCCCCCUUGUCCCCCUUGUCCCCCUUCGGCCCCCGCCGCCGAAUGCAGUAGAAAAGAAAACAACAAAGCAUGAUGGCAACAAUGACUAAACCAACAAUAACCCAUGUUGGGGUGUUAUUGUCAUUAGAUGAUAUGGAUUUCGGAUCGAUCCAUGCCAAUGGUGGAGGAAAGUACUGGAAACUCGGAUAAGUUUGUGGAUAGUUAUUGUUCUCCAUCAAGAAAACUCUGUGGAGGUAGUUCAAUGCGAGCGGUGAGUCUACAAACAUAUUAUGAAGCAUCAAUCCAAGAGCCAAUUUACCUUUUUAUCAUGAUGAAUUGAUCGUAUGAUCCAAGCACGAGAUCGAAAUGAUUCAACACGGAAUUCAGCGAGAUAUAAUGUGAGUGGAAGUAGUUGCUUGCACAUAUACCCUCACAAGAAGAGCCAAGCAAAUCGGUGAAUGAUGUUGCGCCAAUGCUUACGUGACCUGCAAAGAAGUGAGAAUUUUCGCCCAUUGGAGGUAGUGUUAUAUAUGCCCCGUGACGCUCCCUCCCUCCCUCAUGGGGUGGGUUUUCUUUUUCUUUUUCUUUUUUUUCCUUUUUUGCUGAAAGAUAAUCAUUUUCAUUACUAGCCAACUAAAGGGGCACCAUUAGUUGAAGAGUCCAAACAUAGAAUUAAAAAUAGAGAACAAGGAGAAUUAGAAGUCCCAUUGCUGGAAAGUGACCUGGCUCGGUGGGUUAGGUAAGCGUUUUAACAAAUGUGUAAUGAUUGAAGCAUGUGGUCAAAAAGUUGGGAAAUUUUAUUCACGUGCCAAAAUAGGAAAAAUUAUAAAAAAAUCAUAAAUUUAUUACAAUUGUAUCAAUUUAAUUAUAAAUAUUUUUUAACCAAUUAAGUACUAAAUCUUUUAUAUUUAUAUCAAUUCAAUUCAUCCGAUCAAAAUUAGCCGCUCAGCACUAAAAUGAACACAAGGCAUUUUACGAGGCACUGUUGGCACUAACGUGAAUAAUUUUUAAUAAUAUUUGAAUAUUUUUUUAUUUUUAUUCCUAUUUUUUUUUUUAUCUUUUUUAUCUUUCUUUUUAUCUUUUCUCUUUCUUUCUUUUUAUUUUUAUUUUUUUUCUUUCACUUGCUUCUUCCUCCGCCUAGUCGCCAACGACCACUGGAAAUGAAGGUCCAGGAAGAACGGGGUGAGCUUCAACUACUGCUAGGCUCGAUCACGUCUUUCAUGCGUGAUGUUCAGGAUCCANNNNNNNNNNNNNNNNNNNNNNNNNNNNNNNNNNNNNNNNNNNNNNNNNNNNNNNNNNNNNNNNNNNNNNNNNNNNNNNNNNNNNNNNNNNNNNNNNNNNGGUCAAGAAAAACAAUCAGGUCUGAAAUGAGAAAUUAUUAUAUGCUCUACAAAAUGUGUGAUUGAAUAUCAUCUCAAUCAUUAAUCAGGUAGAUUUGAGCCCACAGGAUCAAUUGUUGAACUGAGUUUCCACAUGAGAUUUAUGGACCAUACAGUAAAAUUUCAUGCAAAAUGGGGUUAUAGACGUGACCUGAAAAAUAAAAUUCACUCUACUAUCCAAAAUCAAGUCCACAAAAACUUAUUUUAGAGCUGACCUGCCAAGGAUAUAAGAGAGCCACUGUCAAUUCGUUUCUAUUUCGAGUAUUCUAAAAACGUAGGAAAAUGUUCUAAGAUCCUCCUGAACUUGAACUGUCUUAGAUGGACACAUCAAAAGGCCACUAAUCUCAGUCCUCGUGUUGGCCUAUUCUUGUCUACAUCUCUCUCAUGGUCACGGGACUCCUGUCCGAACAAUAGUAAAAAACAGCCACGUUGCCAGCAAAUUAGAACGAUGGAAUUAAACGCAUGAGGCAAAUAAUGCGACGAGAAAGAAACCGGCGAGGGGACAUGACUGGAGGAAAUAAGCACCCAUUUUCUCUCUGCUCAACCUCACUUCUCUUUUAGCAGAACAGAGGAAACAGAUGGGUGUAAAAGUGGAGAAAACUUGUGAAAACUUGUGGAUGUAGUCUGAGCUGCUUGUGGAUAUAGCAUGACCAAUCUCUUAAGAGUAUAUAUAAACAAGUGUUCCUAGCUAACUUGGUAGUAAAAAUGCAUAGUUUAUUGCAUAAAGAAGCUGGAACAGCUCCAUAUCAUCGGUUGUUCAAACAAGUUUAGAGUGACGUCAAAGUCCACUUUUGACCUCCUUACCCUUCUAGCCAAACUUGUCAUGCUGGGCAAAGUGACAUUACUCUGAUCUCAAGCUCAAUCACAUUGUGACAAUAAUAAAAAAGUAUUGGAAACAAGGCAUAGUGUUACUCCCUUUUUAUAGAAUAUUAUAUUAGAGAUUCUUAAGAUUUUCUAUAGAAUAUUAUUCUAUGUUAGGGACAAUUAUGAUAUUAUUGUUGAUUAUUUAUAUCAAUUAAGAUUUUUUUUUAUAGAAUAUCAUUCUUUGAUUGUAUAUAUCUUAAUUGAUAAAAAUCACCUUCGAUAGUCUCUACAAAGCCUAUAAAUGGCUGAUGUAAUCUUCAUUAUGAUAUAUCAAAAUAUACACUAUUCCCUUUUUCCACAUUUUUAGAUUUAACUUUUUGCACCUGGUGCACUCCGGUUUUUACAAGAUUGAAGACUCCGAUACCAAGUUGAGAAAUAAGAAAGAUAUGUAGAAGAAGGUAAUUGUCACGUGUGUUACUUUGUUAUUUUUGUGGUAUCAACUCUUUUUUGGGAUUAUGCUAGAAUUUGGAUCCCAUUGGUCAUGAACCAUGAAUCUUCUGAUGGAACCGGGAAAUUUUUGCCUUUAACAUCCAUCACCGCUGCCUCCCAAAGGCACGUCCACUUUUCUAUAAAAUUCGAUAUGCACUUGUUUGAUUGAUGAGAUUUUUUCUUUUUUGUGAGACAUUCUUCUUAUUUUUCUAGGUGUAAAUUAAUUCUGUGUAACCCACCUCACGGUGGAUGAGAUGGUUCACACCUCACCCCUCAACCGGCAAGGAAGGGAUUCGAAACUUCUAGCCCCCAUUGCACGACUCACCACCCGUGGGAGGUGGGUUCUUGCUGGUCGCCUCGGGUUUAGGCCUCCGGCUGCCGGUUAUACAACGAUUCCCAGAUCACCAAAAAAAAAAAAUUAAUUCUGUGUAGACUCAAUUCACAAAGACGGGGGAUCUAUGGUCUCUAGUCUCUCUGUAGUGGGAUAGGGAUACAAAUUAUUCGAACCAAUAGAGAUAUCACAUUAUCGAAUCACUUUUGCCUUUUCUCACUUUGCUGAACAGGAGCUAUAAAUUUCUUUUACCGAUCAAUAAGCAAAAGUGGCACCACCCUCUUCCUGUGUUCUCCAAAAUGACCCUGGUGACGUCACUUGGCCUCAGCACCGCUACGUCAUGCGCCAACGUCAUAGAUGUCCAUCUGCCAUGCGUUAAGGUGUUAGCGAAUAUUCUCAGUUUAGCUCAUUGUCCAUCGACCGAGAGAGCAGCUAUCGAUCCACUUGACAGCGCAGAAACAGAAAGCAGUGAACCGACCAAAAAAAAGAAACAGAAAGAAGUGGAGACGACGAUUGGUUCGUAGGAAGAGAAAAGUUUCGCAUGCAGUCCAAAGGAGUAGGAGGAAUCUUGUGCAUGCAAUGGGUCAUACGCGUGCGACGCGAGCUUGAUUAUCGAGAAUCUCACAAAUUAAAAAAAAAAAGAAAAGGAAAUAUACUAAUAGAAAUCUCGAAUCAUGCUCCUCAUGAUGCUAAUGCCUCAAAUUUUUUCCAUUUGUGUGGUAAAAAAUCCUAAAAUUUUAUUUGUGUAGCACAUGUACCAUUUAUCACAAUUCCGCUCAAGAUCACCGUUAAAAAUUUGCAUUGAUCUGAUGUAACAUCAUCGAUAUUUUUCGAGAAAAAGUGGCACUAAUGUGGCACCAUGUGAGCACCGCAUCAAAAUAAAGAUUAAAAAGAAAAUGGAGAACUAAAAAAACCAACCAAAACAAAAAUAGAAAAUUCGAACUGGAGGAGAGAGAGAGAGAGAGAGAUUGCUGACGGUCAGGGGUGUUGAAGGGGCUCCACCACCAUUCCAACUUCGCUGGUGAGAGUUGCCGGCCUCUUCGGGCCAUCGGUGAGGGUCAGCCAGUGCUUGCAUGGAUACCCUUGACGCUCGUUGUCUAUGGUUGAAGCAGAUGAAAAAGUUGGCACAGGACACGGGAGAGCAAUAUGUGCUGAUGUCGAACAGAAAAACCGGUUUCUUACAACUCGAACAUGCUUUCAAUUUGUAAAGAACGUAGUAUUUCUCUUUAGAAAGAGUAGAUACAACUCCACUGCAAGGGCAUGUAGCAUCACAUUCGAUACAGCGCCCUCAGACGCCACACCCCACAACUCCCGCCUCCACUGCCCUUGCCGUCCUACUGCCCCCCUCAUCGUUCCGUCGCCCGCCCACCCCCUCUUUGGUCAAAGGCAACCCCGAUGAUACUCGUCUCUCCCUCUUGGUUCUUUGUUUUGUAUAUCUCUACAACUUGUUUCUUUGUUCUCUAUUCUCCACGGCCGUUGAGCUCAAGGACCGUGAACUCUGCUGUAGUGUCAUGCUCGAGCAGCAUCUUAGGCAAGCUGUGACAUGCCACUCGAAUUCGAUGACAUCACAGCUUCAAGGUCAAUCUUGGAUUUAGAUAUUAGAUGAAAAUAUGAUUUAUUAUUGAAAUAUUCUAACAUUGCGUGUCAAGUUACGCUCAUGGCAAGGAGCUCAAACUUAAAUAUAGGGGAUGAGCUUUGCUGCACAUUGAGCUAAGCCCAACCUCACAUUUGUGAUCAAGCUCCACCACGUUGUCGAGCUCAAAGAGUGCAAAGAGGCCCGGACGAAGGGAAGAUGAAGAAGUGGGGUGCCAGGGGCUAGCUGUGGAGGCUAUUAUCUGAUUUGGGCACGUCUAAAACUGGGCAAGGUGUCUACAAUUGGGUAACGAUAAUCAUGUGAGAGUCAGCCGACCCUCGUUGAGGGCCGAUGGUGUCCAACAGCCCUUGCCAGCUGUCGAGAAUAUCAGAUUCCCAAAAACCGGAUUCGACACUAAAUCGAACCCCUAAAGCAAGUGCGAAAGACGAGCCCAAGAAAAUUACAUGUAUCACCGAUCCUAAGGCACAUCACAGAAUCGAACAUACCUUGUUAGCCACAGAUUAAACACCGACGCCGAUAUGAGGAAGAGAAACUGAUCCCAUUCGAUCCGAUGACGUGAAUUUUCCUUGAAGGGAAGAGAGUGUCGCCUCCUUUUUCUUACUGUUCUUUUUGGAGUGUUUCAAGGGAGAGAGGGAGGAGGAAUGUACGUAAAUCCAAAAGGUGCAUUCCUCCCUCUCUUUUCCUUCUUAAAUAUGUCAUCUCGAAAGGACGUGUCCGGCAAAAGACGUCCCCCAAAAUUUACAACUCUUCAACGUAUCCCUCCAUCCAUGGGCCAUAAUCUUGUGGGCUAGGCUUUUAGACCCAACAUGGGCAGACGGGCCAACUUAGGCCCAUCACAAUAAUUAAUAAAACCAUCAUCUCCCACUCGCACAUGGUGGGUCGAACAGGAUCCUCUUUACCUCUCUUCAAUAUUCAUACCAGUGAAUAAUCCAUGUGACCAGCAUACUUUGAGAGCUCGUUGCCAUACAUCUAUUAGGAAUAUAUAGCAGCUCAUAAUGGGCAUCACACUCUGAGUAGAUUUAGUAUGCAGUACCCUAGAUCGAUCGAUCACAUUUAUAUCUCUUUUGAUCUCUUUUAAACAAUGAUAUAUAUAUUGUAUUCACAAUUAUGAUUAUCCCAAAGACAGUCAUAAUUGGUCGACUAGUGAAUACAAAAACUACAAUGUGGUUUUCCAAAUUCGAUUUUCCUCUUUCCUUCAAACUCUCAAUCUCAGUUCAGUUUGCUUUUCUAGAAAUGUCCCAUUAGAUUGAAUCAACUCGUGACCAUUGGUAACAUCCUAAGAUAGCAAACAUUAAACAGAAAUAUUGAGAAUAAGUAAGAGUUAUGAGGGCACUCAAAUUGAGGAACUCUUUUCCUCAAGAGUCUCACAUGGCAUAAAAGUUGAGAUCAAACUUUUGCCACUCUUAUUGGUCAUCUCAUGCAUACAUAGUAUGAAAUACGUAUUACGAUAUUAACUCAUUUCCCAUGGAGCGUAUGUCUACAACUUCAAUACCGUACAGAUGAUAGUUCGGACAUACCCAAUGUCUAACUUGAGUUCACGUAUUUACUCAUUCACAUAAUUUAUCAGAACUCACAUCUGGCAUCUUAGACAGAUAAAGUAAAAUAUGUGGGGAAUUUUACUUUUGGACAUGGUACAUAUCAUGUCCUCAUCUUAACACAUAGUUAAGGCGACAUAUAUAUUUUAAGCUUGAGUUCUUGAUUAUCACCUAGAUAAUAAGCUUAAAAAUCGUCUCAUCUCUAUUUAUCACAUAGUAAAUAGAGGCAAUUACCCGUGUGAGUGGGCCAAUCUUAUAUCUGUCCGACAUACUUUCUCAACUUAAAGUAAUGCACUGAGCAUUAAGAUGCAUAAAGAUCAAACAAAGAUUCAUAUACAUUAAUAAUGAAAAACACAAGUUCAUAAAUGUGAACAACCCAGGGAAAUUACAAUAUCCAGUACAUCAGAUCAUACGCAAUCCUAGAGAUUUUACAUGACCACAAAACACAUCUCUAGGUAUUGGCUUUGUCAUAGAAUCUGCUACCAUUCUAUGCGUAGAUAUGUACUGUAAGUUCACAUUCUUUCGUGCAACCAUAUCUUUGAUAAAGUUAUACUUGGUAUCUAUAUGUUUGAUCUUGCCAUGAUAUUUUGGAUCUUUGGUGUACGCUAUAGCUGCUUGGCUAUCACAGUUAACCAACAAUGAAUUUGCAGCUUUCUCAAUAACACCUAAAUGAUCCAAAAAUCUCGUAAGCCAAACUCCUUCUUGUACCGCUGCUGAUAAUGUCACGAACUCAGCUUCCAUCGUGGACAAGGCUAUACACGUUUGCUUCUUACUGCUCCAUGAUAUGGCGCCAUUGUUCAGUAAGAAAGUAAAUCUAAAGGUAGAUUUCCUUUUAUUUAAAUCUCCUCCCCAAUCAACAUUUGAAUAACCUUCAAGUCGCAGAUCAUUUCCUUGGUAAUUCAGCUUGUAAUCAGCAAUUCCCUUCAAAUACCUCAGUAUUCUCUUAAUGGCUUUCCAAUGUGCUUGACUUGGAUUGGAUUGGUAUCUACUCACCAUUCCAACUGCAAAACAUAUGUUAGGUCUUGUACACAUCAUAGCAUACAUUAAGCUCCCAACAGCACUAGCAUAAGAAAUAUGUUUCAUUUGUUCCUUCUCUUGUGGAGUCAUUGGACACGGUCUAUGACUCAAUCCUUCACCUUUUGCAAUAGGAGUGUCCAUGGGUUUACAAUCUUGCAUACGAAAUCGUUCAAGAACCUUAUGUAUAUAUGUUUCUUGCGAAAGAGAUAACGAUCUCUUUGAACGAUCUCUUGAAAUCUUAACUCCAACAAUGUAUGCAGCAUCACCCAUAUCUUUCAUCUCAAAGUUGGAAAACAACCAACUCUUGAUAGUAUUAACAAACUCCAUAUUGCUUUUGGCAAUUAGUAUAUCAUCAACAUAUAAUGAUAUGAUCACAAAUUGAUCUUUGGAUCUUUUGAUAUAUACACAAUGAUCAUCAUCUAUCAUUAUAAAAUCAUAUGCCAUUAUGGCAUUAUGAAAACGUAUAUACCAUUGUCUUGAUGACUGCUUAAGGCCAUAUAUCAAUCUCAAAAGUCGACAUAUCUUUUCUUCUUGGCCUUUCAUUAUGAAACUAGUAGGUUGUUCCAUAUAUAUUUCUUCAUCUAAUUCUCCAUUGAGGAAAGCAGUCUUUACAUCCAUUUGAUAUAACUCAAGAUCCAUACUAGCCAUUAUUCCCAGAAUAAUGCGAAUCGAGGUAAAUCUCACUACAGGAGAAAAUGUUUCUUCAUAAUCAAUUCUUUCCUGUUGAUUAUACCCAUUCGCCAUAAGGCGAGCCUUAUGCCUUUCUAUCGAACCAUCAGCUUUACCUUUAUUUUGAGAACUCGCUUGUUCCUAAUAGCUUUGCGUCCUUUUGGAACAUCAACCAGAUUCCAAACUUAGUUUGACUUCAUUGACUCAAUCUCCUCUUCUAUUGCAUGAAUCCUUUUUCCAUACUAGGGCUAGUUAGAGCCUCAGUAAUAUUUCUUGGCUCGACCCAUCUGUGGAGUAACCAUAAAAGUUUCCCCUUCGAUGUCAAAACGUCGACGGGGAAUACUUUUGCGACUUGUACGCCGUAUGGGAGAUUGUACACUUUGCACAUCAUUCCCCAUCAUGCUCCCACUCGGAUUAGAUAAUGACAAUAUUAUCUCAUCAUGUGGUUGUAAUUGAGAGUGAGUUGAAUUAAAUUCAUCACUUCUCAUGUUACUCCCACUUGGACAAACUCCACUAAUAUCAUUAUCUUGAUCCAAGGUUUCAAAUAGAAAGUAAUCUUCACAUAUUUCGCCCUUCUUAGGAAAUUCAUUCUCUAAGAAUGUGACAUCCCGUUAUUUAAAUUCAGUUAUACUCCCACUUUCCUGCUCACCUAUGAACACAUACCAUUUCGAGUGUUCGAAGUAUCUUAUGAAAAUACUCUUAUUUCCUCUAGGACCCAAUUUCCCAAACUUGUGAGAGGGCUCAUGAGUAUAGGCAACACAACCCCAUGACUUAAAAAAUUUAAGUCUGGUUUUCUUCCUGUCCAUAACUCAUAUGGAGUGGGAGUAACUGAUUUGGAAGGCACUUGGUUAAGUAUAUAGGUAGCAGUUAACAGCGCAUCACUCCAAAAAGUGAUAGGUAAGUUAGCAUGCGCCAUCAUGGACCUAACCAUUUCCAGUAGGGUUCUGUUUCUUAUUUUCACAACACCAUUUUGUUGAUGAGUAUAUGGAAUGGACAACUUUCUUUCUAUUCAUUUUUCAUCACAUAAUUUUCUAAACUCAUCAGAUAAAUAUUCUCGACCUCGAUCGGAUCUUAAUACUUUUAUUUUAUUGUCUAAUUGAUUUUCUACUAAGUUCAUAAACCUUUUGAAACAACUUAAUGCUUUAGAUUUAUGCGAAAUCAAAUAGACAUAUCUAAAUCGAGUAUAAUCAUCUAUAAAAGUGAUGAAAUAAACAGCCACAUGCAUUCCUCUCACAUUCAUUGAACCACAGACGUCAGAAUGGAUUAAAUGCAGAGGAAAUUCAGCUUUUUUUACCUUUUCCAAAUGGUUUCCCUGUCGUUUUCCCUACUAGGCAAUGCUCACAUAUGGGCAAAUCGACUUUUUCAAUGUUACCCAACAAGCCCUCUUUAGCUAGUCUAUUAAUAUGUUGUUAGCCAAUAUGACCAAGUCUAUCAUGCCACACAUUCACAUCAUUAUCAUAUGAAUAAGAAGACAUGAUAAGGGAAUAACAAACAAUUGCAUUAACAUAGUCAAUAUCUAAUACAAUGAAACCAUCCAGAAAAUAAACACAACCAUAGAAAUUUAUAUCCAAAAACAAAUCCACACCUCUCUUCUGGAAGUUCAUAUUAAAACCUAGCUUGACCAACACUAAAACAGACACUAAAUUCUGACGAAUCUCCGGAGCAUACAAUAUAUCAUGUAGGAAUAAAAUGCAUCCACCACGCAUGUUCAGUUGGCAGGUGCAAAUUCCUUUUACUUCAGCUCUGGAGUUGUUUCCCACAUAGAUCCACUUAGUUCCAGUUAGUACUUGUCGGAAUUCCACGAAGGAUUCUCUAUCCUUCGCUACAUGGUCUGUCGCUCCCGAAUCCAUAGUCCACAAAGGAUUAGACUCAGUUAAGAAUACAUAAUUCGACACAUAAGCAAAGUUCUGAAAAGUACAAGGGGUGUAUACCUUCUUUGGCUUACAACAGUCGCGAGCAUAGUGACCCUUCUUGUCACAAUUGUAACACUUCACCCUUGUAAGCUUCUUCAUUCGAGGACACUUUCCUCUUUCAUGUUGGUUAAGCUUAGGUUUCUUCCUUAAAGGACAUACUUCCUUGCCUUUCCCUUUAUCGAACCAGUUAGGACGUUUACGCUUGGAGCUCGAAGCUCCAUGUGAGCUAGAACCAGCAUGAUAGAUUUCAACUUUCGGCUUAGCCGCCAAGAGGCGGUCCUCUUCCAGCUCAAGAUGAGGCACUGCAUCCUCAAAGGUUUUGAUAUUCUCAUUAUGGGUCAGGUGCACCUUCAUAUGCUCCCAACUCUGAGACAAUGAACAAAUCACUGCUUGCACUUACUGCUGAUCAGUCAGGACAUGACCAGCAUCUUUCAGCUCAUUAAUCAUGUUUGACAUCUUUUUAAGGUGUUGUUUCAUGGUCUGACCAUGAGGCUUCUUAUAAGAGUCAAACCUAAUAGUGAGCUAUCUCAGUCUAGUCACCGAAAUAUUACCAAAUCUUGUUGUCAAUGCUUCCCACAUUUCCUUGGCAUUCUCAAAACACCUAAACUCUCGCAUGACGUCAUUUUCCAUGCUACUCAACAACGUAAUGUGAGUAAGAGAGUUCUUUCUUUUCCAUGCAACAAAUGCUUCCUUAUCUCUUUGUGUUGUGCAGUGUUUCCUUCUUCAUGUUCUACCAUGGUCUGGUUAAGAGCUUCUAGUGCCUCUUGCUCUUCCAGCAUAUAUUGGAUUUUUAUGUGCCAUAUUUCAUAGUUAUCGUCAUUGAGUUUCUCACCUUUGUUCAGCUCAACAACUAUGCUCUUUGUGGCUGAAGCCAUUGAUUUGAACAUAUUAGACAUAUAUGCACGAAUUAUUAAUAUCUAUCAUUUAUGCAUCCAUUUUGUACAAAACCAUCAUAUUAAUGAAUAAUUUUAAGUAAGGUUUUAGAAUCAAAAGGUCACUAUGUUUCCAAUUAUCAUCCAAAAUCCUAACUUGAAGUUAUUAUUAAUAUAACAUUCUAUGCAAAAUAAAUUCUUUGAAAUUACAAAAAUUUCUAUGAACUACCCACAACAAUUAAUAAUAACAGAAAGCAAAUGGUACUUGAUAUCAAACAAUGAUAUAAUAAUAAUACUUUCACAUAAUACAACUAACAUAUCAAUUGCCACAACAACAAUAACUAGGUAGAUAACAUUACAUAAGAUGUCCACAAAGCACACUAAAUAAAGACCAGCCAAAAACAUCUAGUACCAAGUCAAUAUACGAACUGGGAAAGAUCCUCUUUUGUUCAAUUUCUUGAUCUUUUCCCUUGUAACAAUCUAGUAAUAAUCAUCUAUAAAAUCCAUCACAAUUUUCCUAUAUGAAGUGGCUUUGUUGACAUCCCAUAUGCAAUUCAACACUCCUUGCCAUUCUAGUGGAAGAGUACUCAUGAAAAAUCGCAUCAUCUCAGACUGUGGCAUGGGAGGACCAUUCCAUAUGACAUUUUAAAUUUUCCCGUUGACUUCAAGAACGUGAUUAAUUAAAUCGUCACUCUCCCAUCGAUGAUCAGUCAGCUCAGCUAUCAACUUAGAAAGCCUUUCCCUUUGUUCAUCGGUAAUUGCGCAAAUAGGUGUGCGCAACCUAAGGGGAGACAUUGUUCCUGCAACAAAUGCAUAAUAAAUAAGGGAUCACAUAUAAUCCACAUAGACUUAAUUGAAAAAAAAAACACAUUCUUUUCCUCUUUUUUUUUUGUCAACGGUCAAAGUCAACAGGCAAAGUCAAUGAUCAACAGUCAAAGUCAAUGGUCAGCGGUCAAAGUCAACGGUCAGCCUGGUCGAGGUCAACGAGCAGUCGAGUCGAACUGGACGGGUCGGGUCGGACCAAUCGAGCUAGACGAACCGGGUCGGACCGCUCGGACCGGUCGAGCUGGACGGACCGGGUCGGACCGAUCGGACAAAUCGAUCGGCACAUGCCACGCUCAUGCUUGGCUGAUGUCACGAUGACGUCAGCCGGCGCGUGCAUGGCACGCACCAGCACCCCGCCCAUGCGUCACACACGCCUAGGGCCAAAACGGCGCGUGCGACGCACGCGCUUGUGGGGGACAAAAUCAGCGCGUGCAAUGCACGCACCGAUGACCCCCAUUCGUUCUAGCCGCGCGUGGUGGCGCAUCUGGCGGUCCCCGGUGGCGAUCCGCCACUCAUUUUUCUCAUCUCAACGAGGGCUUCGAUCCUACGCUUUUAGAAAAAAAAUUCGACUUACAGAAAAACAAAAAACGGAGCAUAUAGAAUCGAGUGUCGGGAUUUUUUUUCAUCCCUGAUUGACCGACAACACUUUUCUCGAAGCCUCGCAUGAACUAGGGAACAUAGAAUUCAACUUCACACUAGUUAGCAAUUUCAAUAAAAAGAAAUUCAAUAUCAUAAAAAAAGGGAUCAGAAAACAUUAACUACGGCUCUGAUACCAAUGUCGGGAAUAUUGGAUUCCCAAAAACCGGAUUCGACACUAAAUCGAACCCCUAAAGCAAGUGCGGAAGACGAGCUCGGGAAAAUUACAUGUAUCACCGAUCUUAAGGCACAUCACAGAAUUGAACGUACCUUGUUAGCCACAGAUUAAACACCGACGCCGAUAUGAGGAAGAGAAACUGAUCCCGUUCAAUCCGAUGACGUGAAUUUGCCUUGAAGGGAAGAGAGUGUUGCCUCCUUUUUCUUACUAUUCUUUUUGGAGUGUUUCAAGGGAGAGAGAGAGAGGAGGAACGUACGUAAAUCCAAAAGGUGCGUUUCUCCCUCUCUUUUCCCCCUUAAAUCCGUCAUCUCCAAAGGACGUGUCCCUUCGGCAAAAGACGUCCCCCAAAAGUUACAACUCUUCAACGUAUCUCUCCAUCCACGGGCCCUAAUCUUGUGAGCCAGGCUUUUAGGCCCAACAUGAGCAAACAGGCCAACUUAGGCCCAUCACAAUAAUUAAUAAAACCAUCACCAGCAAAGCCGAAACGGGCGGCGACGUCCUUUAAACAACCCCGACCAUCUGUAAUCUCUCUUUGUCCUCUAGUUCGAAUUUUCAUUUUUUCUUCGGAUAGCUUUCUUUGUUUUUCUCUCUUUUCAAUCUUCUUCUGAUGUGGCGCUCACAUUGCGCCACACCAGCACCAUUGGUCCUCAACAAAAACUUAAUAAUAGGACGUCAAAUUUUUAAAAGGUAAUCUUAGGACAAAAUUGUGAUGAAGGAUAUAAGCAUUAUAUGGAUAGAGGUUUGAUGUUUUUAGAGAUAGGAUUUAAAAAAAAAAGCUUGGACUACCGUGAAAAUAACAGCUUGUAGUGAGUUAUAAAUUUUUUAGGGAGUAGAUUCUAUGACAAUUAUAAUUAUUUGUUAUUUGAUUUUUGUGGUCCAACAUACUAUUGCAUUGAGUUCUUUUACUUGGGAAUAGGGAAUGGGAAAAAGACUUGUCGCAUGAUAAAUUGUUAUGUUAUUAUCAUGUUUCCAAUUCUCUUGUUUCUCAAUCAUCCCUUCUUAGGUAAAUCCUCACUUAAAAAAACAUGUUGACAAGUUGAGGGCGGGAUAGAAGACAGCCAUUAUAAUAAGAGGCCAACUAAUGAAAAUUCACACUUCUAUGCUGGUUGUGUGAGAAUUAUAUUAAUAACAUCACUCACUAGUUUGCUCGGUUCUUCUUGAUAAGGUACACACAAGCACCUCCUUUGACCCUUCGAUUUAUGCUAUAUCCUAUUAAAUUCCAUUUUCAAUCAUCUCGCUUUCACACUAUGGUCAUAUAAUCUUCUCAAUCUAUGUGAUCAACUAAAGAAGUAGUUCUUUUAUAGUGGGAAUUGAUGUUUCAAAAUAUGUUUGUAAACUCAUCACUUGCAUAAAACUACAUAGAGUUUUCUUAACAAAGAAAAAUAAAGGUGCACAUGACAAUUAUUUUAUUUUUUGUUUCAAAACUAUUUUUCUUUUUCCAGACUUGUUUCUGGAACAAAAAUCCGUUUGGUAACACAAUUUCAUCUUUCUAUUUCUGGAACAAAUUUUUAGUUUAGAAAUAGGUUUGGAAUAGAAAUGAAAAGUAAAAAAAAAUAGUUGUCCAUUUAUGGAAUAGAAAUAAGAAAUAAAAACUCUUCUUAUUGCUCGUCCUCUUUACUAGUCGAUUAGCCACUCACUGUUUGCCGCUCGGCAUCGCCUUCACCAUCUGCAGUCGCCACUCAAGAUAGAGAAAUAUUAUGUCAUUAUCAAACGAAAUUCUAUUCCAGGAAUAAAAAUUUUGGGUCAUUAUCAAACACUUUUUUUUGCUCAAAAACUCAUUCAAAAAUAGAAAUAGAAAAUUCUAUUAUUAUUCCAUAAUUCAAUUUAUGCUCAAAAUUAUUAUCAUUUGCAUCCUAAUUAUCUACAAAAUUGCCUGGGCUACUAUUAAUUCCCGCCUUCAUUUUUCCAAAAUUUGGCAUCGUCCAACAACAUUAUUUCGUGGUGGGAUACUCUAGGAUCAGUCAUCAUCGGCAUAGUAGUCCUUUUCUACAAUUGUCGUGGUCCUAAGGGCACAAAUGGCACUUUGUUGAUAAAACCACAAAUCUCCUUUGGUAUGGACAAGUAAGGGCAUGUUUGGUAACCAGCCAAACAGUGCCAUAUUCUAUUCUUUUGUUUCCAAUAGUAGUUUUGGAACAGAAUCGUGUUUGGUAAAAAUUUUGUUUCCGGGAACAAAUUUCUAAUUUUUUUGUUAUCGGAAGUAGAUUUGGAACAUAAUCAAGAAUAAAUAAAUAAAUAAAAGUAACAUGAGAUAUAUAGACCAUACAAUAACAUUUCAUGCAAAAUGGGGUUAUAGACGGGACCUGAAAAAUAAAAUUCACUCUACUAUCCAAAAUCAAGUCCACAAAAACUUAUUUUGCCGACCUGCUAAGGAUAUAAGAGACCCACUGUCAAUUCGUUUCAUUUGGAGUAUCCUAAAAACGUAGGAAAAUGUUCUAAGAUCCUCCUGAACUUAAACUGUCUUUGCGUUCGUCUACUCUUGUCUACAUCUCUCUUAUGGUCACGGGACUCCUGUUCGAACAAUACCGAAAAAUAGCCAUGUCGCCAGCUAAUUAGAACGAUGGAAUAAAACGAUGAAACGUGGGAAAAAUGACAUAAUGGCAAAGUCCGUCCUCUCGUCACCGUUGGCCACGAUCGUGUGUGUUUAGAAUCUUAUCCUUCCGACUUGAUUCACCAUCACAUCGUUUUUCCCCCAAACUUUUGGACUCUCGGGCCUGUCGCUACCCUUCUGUCGCAAUAUAGAUUCCAAUGCCACAAGAAAAGACAGCUAGAUAGAUCCGACAAAUGCAUAAAUUAAAAAAUGAUCCAAUUCAAAUUGGCAUAUUUUAUUACCGACCAAAAAAAAAUAUUGACAUAUUUUAUUCAUUUUAACUCAUUUUCAUGCAAUACAAAUCAAGUGACUCAUACUCAAUCUCACUCAUAUCUGACUUGAUCUAUAAAUAUAAAACACUUCCUUAUUUAACCUAAUUUAAGAAAAUUCAUACCUAAACUAAAGUGAGAGUAAAUUAUGAACUUAUUUAACACCCAUAUUAUUUUAAGUUUAAGUCAUUUGUAUAAUUAAAAAAUAGGCUUAUAAAACAUUUGAAUAGGUCUAUCAUCGGAUAAACAUGAUAUCCUAACAUUUAUGGAAAAUUGUCCCAAUUAUGUCACAUUGCAUAUACAUGUAAGAAGGAAGAUUGGGACAUCUCCCAAAAAUAAAGUACGUAAUUGACAUCGCAUCAGUUGAGAAAAGAGCAAGAAGAACCAUGAGUUAUUCGUUCAAUUCUGCUUGAUUCAAAUGGGAUGCUAACAGCCUUUGGGGAAGGACGUACGUAGAAUACACAUAAGACUAGCAACUAAUAGUCACUAACUAAGAUAUCGAAAAACAUAUAAUGGAAAGAUUGUGUUGGAUUCCAAAGAAUCGAUAAUGUUCAGAUACCACAGGAAGAAAAAUGCAUCUUUUGUGUCAAGAACCGCUCUCCUUUCUCAAGAUAAAGUCGACAGUGUCCUCCAUAGUGUCUACGACCUGCAUAGGUAAACAUAAAAGAGUUUAAUUGGGAUGAGCGAUUUUCGGAUGCACUUUUAAUCUUGGAAAAUUUGGAGAGAAGACAAAUUCCCCAUAAAAGUUGCUUUCAAUUGGGCAUAUUUUGGAGAUACUGACAUUUUGCUAGGCUAAAGAAGAAAAAGGUUCAAUCAUGUUUCAUCCAACCAAUUUAGAAUUGACCGAUCACCCAGAGUAUGGCAAAUCAAGGUAUGUAAGUAUGGGAGGAUUAUCCAUGCUGACAGCUCAAAACCACUUGAGGCCGUGUUUGGUUCAUUGCCCUGGAAUCAUGAAAAGGAAUCUAAAUCUAAGCGAUCAAAUUCCUAGAUGUGGGGUUCAUUCUCUAUUGUUUGGUUUCAAUUAACAAAUGAAGGGAGAAAUAUCUGAUGUGAGAUGCAAAGUGAGGUAAAAACAUGUCAGAAAUGGAAUGUGUAAAAUAUUUCUCCAAUCCACAUAUCCAGAGUGGUUAAUUAAAAACUAGGGAUGGAAAUAGAAUGAAGAACCACAUACGAUCCCCCAACAAUUUCCCUAUUAUUUUCAUCUAAAAUGAUCAUACAGUUCACACAAUCAUUUCACAAACACAUUACCUACGGCUCCUCAAAAUCUCUUGAGUAAAGCAUUUCACAUGUAAUCUGCAACAAUGAAGAUAAAGCCAUUCCCGCGUAACUUCAAACUACUUCACAGCUGUUACCUCAAGCCAUUGUGAUAUUCUUAUCCUUAUUGUGUUUUGAGUCAAAGACCUAAUCACGAGAACAAAUGGAGUGACAGCAACUUAGCCAAGUGUGUUAAUGGAACUUUAUAGCCCUGCCCAAGCCAUCGCGAUGCUCAUAGUUGGUGUCUCCAUUAACAGACCAGACAAGUUUCACAAUAGCGAGAGAGAUAAUUUCACCUAGUAGAGAAUGUGAGGGCCAUGGAAUCAAGAGGUAGGCGAAACUCCCAUGGAAGGAUUUGAAGAUGAUGAAUGGAGAGAGAGAGAGUUAUGGCUUUGUAGGAUUUGAAGAUGAUGAAGCUCAAGAUGACUGAGCUUCUUGGGCUCCUGAAUGUUUUUUCCUCCUAGGAAUCCCAGUACCACCUCUACCUGAGCAAUCCAAUUCUACAUUAGGAGUAUCCGUUAACUAGGCACUUUGAUUCUAUGAUCAUAAAUCCAUCCAAAGAUGAGCUGCAAUGGCAUUCCAUUUCCUAUUUAUUACUCCAAAGUGAACCAAACGAGGCCUAAGUGAUUACACAAUGCACUAUACUUCUGAAUAUUUUCAUGGUGGAAUCAAUGAUCUGCAGUCUCAACCAUGACUUUCCAUAGGAUCACGUAUCUAAAAUCUCUAAACCAAAGAAGUGAACAUGCUGGAAUGCACACGAUUUGCUUACUUAGGAACCUACCAUCAACUCACCCAACCUACAUGCAAGGAGAGAUGGGAGAGACAGAUAGAGAAAUGUCAGGAUUUUGUUAAGAGUACGAAUACCUGCCACGUCCAUGGGAAGUUCUAAAUGAUUAUCUUUUCCCUUGAAUACCCCAGUCCUUGUUAAUAUAGAAAACCAAGGAUCUCCUGCCUGAAGGAGUUGUUAUCAGUACUGGUGAUUGUGUUCGGAAAUAAAAUUAUUUAUAUGAUAAAAUACAAUUCUCAGUAUGAAAUAUACCCGCCGUGCACCUCUAAUGUCGAUUUUGGAUUAUCUCCUAUCAUGUAUGGUGUUCUGAAACAACGAAUUCCAGAGUAUGUAUUAUUCUCCACAUCUAGGUUGCUUAACAAAGAUGGCAUAAGAUUCCUUAACACAAUCUCAGCAUUUCCAUAGACAAAUGGAUUUGGCCUCCCAUUAAUACGCCAACAGAAUGGGAUGUAAUAUGCAGGGCAGGGACAAGUAAACAAUGCAUAACACAAGAUUGAAGAUUAAUGCAUGUCACUUUGCUGCAUUGAGGUAAACUAGGCCCACACAAGGAUCUCAUAGGCCUUUCCUUAAUUUUUUGUGGAGAAUAUUAGAUCAAACUCCAUGCAAAACUAACAUUGAGAAGAAGAAACAUCACUAUCUCACCUGUUAUAGAUUGCUUCUAACGCAAUCCUGAAACCUCACUAUCUUACCUGUUAUAGAUUGCCUUUGCACUUUGUCAGCUAGUCAUCAGCCAGUCUUUAGUUCCACCAAGGCUUCAAAAACUCAGGAUUGCAGCUAGCAUCACAAAUGGCAUAGCAUACCUGGUAUUCGAGGUCAUUAUUUGCAAAAAAAAAAAAAACAGGUGUGAUUGCUUUCCAGCCUCCCUUCCAAGAAGCCCCCUAGUUCUUAAUAUGUCACAAAGCACCUAAACCCAAACUUGAGUAUCAUAGAAUUUUUUUAAUAUACGCAAACAGACAUAUAGAUGAUAACACUCCAUUUUAUCACUUUUUCCAAACUAGAUGUCAACACCCACUAGACUUUUAAAAAGAUGAUGACUAAAGUUGCAGAGCAGUUACUAAACAACCAAACAAAGCGUUGUCUUUUGAUAAUCAGUUCAAAGAUUUAGAACUAGCAUGAUAAAAAGCCCAAUAUGGAUUCGACGGCCGAAUUAGAUAAUCUAAGAAAGGACAAGAUCCUCUAGAGUGGUUACAACCUAGAUAUCUCUACUCCAGUCAACAGAAUCACUGACUACAAAUGCUGCCUAAACUCUGUGUUUGCACAGCAAUUUAAUUCUUUCCUAUCAUAUUAGAAGUGUUAUUCUAGUCAAUGUCUGGCUUAGUUGUCCAUCUCUUGUGCAUCAAAGUAGCUAGCGUACUCAUCAAUUGACAGAUACUGAUGCAACCGGCAUUGAAGACCAGCUCUCUCGACCAAGAAGAUCGGCCCACAUUCAAGCUCGACGAAACCGAGAAGCCGUAUCAAUAUCUUGAGUCCAUCCCAGAAGUUUGAAAGACACCUUGGGAGCCAUGAAGACGCUUUUACUAGUUUCUAGUUUCUAUGCUAUUUACUAAUUUUCCUAGUUUCAAUGCUCUGUCUUUAUUUCUUUGACGAUAUAAGCCAUCCAAUUACUUGUAUGAGACAGGCGACUUUUGAUGAAUGAAAACUUUACUUUCAAGCAAGUAUCGUGAACUUUGCAGAGUUCAUACCGUUGAAAACCUAGAAGAGUUUCACUCCGUCCUUGAAGAGUCGGAGCUUUUCAAAAUCUGCAUUCUUGAAAAGUUGCAAUCAUCGAUCUAGAAGAAUUGGUGCCCUUUCAACUUCGUUGGAGGCCUAAAAGAGCAACCAACCAAGUUUCUAUCUUUUCCUGUUCUAUUUGUUAUUUUUCACCCUCUUCCAACCCAAAUUCGACCAUCCUACAGUGCUUAUUUCAAAAAACCCAUAAAUAGAGAAAUUGUAGAUCCAUAAGUCUUUGUUCAUUUGGCUUUGGAUUCAGGUUGAUCCAAUCUGUAUCGACAAAGAUACGACUAUUCUCCUGAGCUUGCACAGUGCUGAAAUUUCUGUUCAUCUUGUUUUCCGUGUGCGAGUCACUCUCCCGAUCCUACUGUUUGAGAAAGCCUAACCCUGUCUUGCAUCAAAACCUUUCUGCAUAGAAAAGACAUGACCAAAAAGAGGGUCAACUGGAGGAGAGAGAGAGAGAGAGAGAGAGAGAGAAUCAAGUUGUUGGAGUUCUCAUUCUGCAUGAAACAGUGUUGAACACAAACAACUAAGAAGAUUUAUGGAGAGGACUUCUCUAUGAUUACUCGAGUCCCUGAGAACUUGAGUGAUUUUUAUUCACUUUGCUUGCUCCUAUGUAUUACCUAGACAUCUUCAAUAGCAAUUUUAUUAGAUACAUAACUUUAUCCUUAUAACUUUCGAAAGCUUUCAGUAAACUUGACACCAUAUACUUUAGAAAGCUUUUGGUAACCUUGACACCAUAUAACUUUUGUCGAACUAUUGUUGUUUAAAACUUUUGUUUAGACUUUAGAUAGCAAGGGUAUGUGUGGGCUUGCUUUUAUUUCUCUUUUCAAUGAUCUACCUUAACCAUUGCUAGCGAGCCUUUUUUUUUUCCGGAUUGAGCUCCUUGUCUACUUAGCUUCUAAAGUAGUUUUGGAUGGUUGUGCAGCCUGAAUUAUACUUGUGGCAACUCUACCUUUUCUUGUUCUAAUUUUGAGGGUCGCUGAUGGAAUAGAAGCUAUGACCAAUUGCCAGAUGCACAAAUUUAUUGAUUAUGUUUCGUUGUGAUGGUGUUAUAUCAAUUUACAAAUUGAAAAGGCCCUACAAUAUGUAGCAUUUUGGUAUCUCAAGUUUGUUUUUUGGAAGGUGGUGUGAUUGAUUGAUCUCUUGCAUCAAAUAACAGGGAGAAGUGAAUCUAGCUUGUAAUACUCUAGCUGACCAUUUAGGCUUGAAGUAACACAGAGUGUGAUCACUGAUUCAAGGAAAUUUUAACUCUGGCUAUGUGCUACAAUGGGCAAGAAUUUAUGUGGCUAACUAAGCAUUAGUACAUGCAUUGGCAUGCCGGAAUGGUGUUGUUAUGAGGGCAUUUUGAGCAACUGAUGAUGUUGAAUUUAUCAAAGAAAAUAAGAUAGUACUUUAGGUUGGUUUAGGUAAAUCAACUAACACCCUUCAAUCUCCAAAUAUAAAGAUGAGGUUUUGUGAUGAGGUAAAAUCUGUAGAAAGACUAGAAGGAGUUGUUUUUUGAAUCUAUUGAAGACAAAGGCAGUUAAUUGUAGUGUGAAGUGAAAAGAUAUGUUUCUACAUUGCUUGUCAGAAGUGACUUGUUCCUGUUGAUUUCUGCUUCUACAAUUUUUGCAAUCAUCAUGGGUUCUAGAUGUUGAUUGCUUGUAUAUUUAGAUCAUCAUACGGCAGGGACAUUGGUAAUUCCAUCUUUUUUGGUUGCUGGUGGAACUUCUUUUUAGUAGAUCUAAGACCUCUCUCUAUUUUGCAACUUCCUUGGAGUGAAAUUUUCCUUCAUUUUUCUUAAUUCUGUGAUGAGACACAAAAGUGGUCAGAAAGCACUUCGUGGUGCUUGACACAUUAAUUUAGCAGGGCUCUCAUCAGCCAGCUCUUUAGUUCCUGCUAUGACAUCUGAGGACGAAUUUGGUAGAAGUCUUGAUUUCUUUUCUAACUUAGCAGUUAGCACUGCAUAUCAGUAACUAAAUUUAGUUUCUACUAUGCUCUGAUGACCAUAUUUUUCCUGUGACAAAGUUGGCUCUGAUGAAGCAAAAGAGGCAUUGAAGAAACUUGGUGCCGAAGAAGUGUUCACUAAGAGCCAAUUAAAAGUAAAGAAUGUCAAGAGUCUACUGGAAUCGUCUAUCCAUUAACCCAUUCUAUCAUAUUCUUAUGCAUGGACACAUCCAUUUUUGGCCAUUAGCACUUGAGUUCUUUAUUUACAUCUUAUUGACUUUGUAGUAGGGUGAUCUAAAAGAACCUGCCCUUAGAUUAAAUUGCAUUGGUGGCAAUGUUGCUUCCUCGGUGAUGAAAUUUUUGAGGUGCAACAAGUGUGAAAUUUGUGUCGAGUGCUUCCCUUAUCUUUAUGAAGAGAGCUGAUUUAGUUUUGUUCUCUGGCGGGGAGAAACCAUGGUGACAUAUGGUGGGAUGUCUAAGAAACCAAUUACAUUGUCAACUUCAUCUUCAAUCUUCAAGGUAAAUUAAGAAGCAGCGAGCUAAACUUUCUGCCUAUGGUUAUGAGGUUCUUUCAGUCAAGCCUUACAAUUUGACUUGUUUAUGUUUCGAUCUCAGUCUUGGCAAUGCCCUAUAGUUUUAUUUUUUUUAUUUAAAUUUGGCCCAAAAUCUCAAUUUCAGUAUUUGACACAACCAAAUUUGAGUGAAAAAAAUUUUCCCUGGAAUUGAGACUAAGAGGAAUGUAUAAACCAAUGUAAUAAUGGUUCUUAUGGUUUGCAAGAUCUUUCUUUGAGGGGAUUUUGGCUGCAUAAUUGGCUCAGUUCAGAUGAUGUAACAGAGUGCAGAAGAACGAUAGAUCACUUGCUGGAACUAAUGCGUGAUGGGAAGUUAAAAUACGAGUUCGUCUUUUGUAACAACUACUCAAAUUGUUGUAUUUAUGUCUCUAUAUCUUUAUAGUAAUGUUCAAUAGUAUUCAUCCUUAAGAUAGUGUGUUGGGAUUGUGGUGCAUAUGAAUUUCUCCAAAACUGCAGGACCGAGUUUGUUCCUUUUAGUGAUUUCCACGUUGCACUAGAUAAAUCACUGGGGAAACAUGGGAGCCAUCCUAAGCAAGUCCCAAAGUUCUAAGGCUACUAAAUAUAUAAGGGUGGUAAGUAGAUGGAAAAAUUCCGCAUCAUAUCCUUCAGACGAUCAGCUUGUUCGGAAGUUUUGAGGCGCUGGAUCAAGCAGGUACGAUAACUAUGUAUCUUUUCCCUUAUUAUUAUUUGCUCUUUUCAUAAGUGAUGCAUCUUUUCCGUUGAGGUAAUUACGUUGCUGCUUAUUUUCACCAAUUUCCAUUCUAAAUUUGUUUUGCAUCAUGCCAUCCAAUCUCAAACUAAUCUCAUGCAACAUGAGGUCCAUCUACUACGGCUGAAUUUGGAGAUCCAAACAUCGCCCCGUUUGGUAAGGGUCCAUAAAGUUUCCGAUUUGCCAAUUACAAUUCUCAUAUACACAUAACAAAGAACAUUGGGAUACUUUCCCAAAAAUCAUGUCAUCGACAUCGCAUGCAUUGAGAAAAGAGUAAGAAGAACCAUAAAUUAUUCAUUUGAUCUAACCUAAUUCAAAUGGGAUGUGGACCGCCUUUCAAGGAACGUCAUACAUACACGAUGAGCAAAAUCAAUAGAAGACUAGCUAAUGGUAGUUACUUUUUAUGAUAGGGAAGACAUGGAAUGGAAGAUCGUAUCGGCUUCCAAAGAGGUGACAAUUGUUCAAAUACCAAAGAAAGAAAAGGCAUAUUUUGUCUAAGUGAUGUCAAGAACCGCACUCUUUUCUCAAGAUAAAUUCGACAGCAUCCUCAACAGUAUCCACAACCUGCAUAGGUAAACAUAAAAGAGUUUGAUCAGGAUGAGCGAUUUUCGAAUUUAUUUUUAACCUUGGAAAAUUUAGGGAGAAGACAAAUUCCCCACAAAAAAUGUGCACGGUUUGAAAUACUGACAUUUCGCUAGGCUCAAUAGGGAAAGGGUUCACUCAAUCACGUUUCAUCCAACCAAGUUAGAACUCACAGAUCACUCAGAGCAUAGCAAAUCAAGGUAUCAUGGCAAUGCAGAAAAGGAAUCCCAUUCUAAGCAAUCAAAUUCCUAGGAGUGGGUUUUUUUUUUUCUUUUUUUUCCUUUGUUGUUUGGUCUCAAAUUACCAGUGAAGAGAGAAAUGUCCAAUGUGAGUUGCCAAAUGAGGUUAAAACGUGUCAGAAAUGGAAUGUGUCUCCAAUCAACAUGUACAAAGUGGAGGAUAGAAACAGAGCGAAGAACCACAUAAGAUCCCUCAACAAUUUCCCGAUCAUUGUCCUCCAAAUGAUUUUACAGUUCACAUUUUACGAACCGAUUAUAUAAAACUCAUUAAAAUCUUGCAAGUCCAGCAUUUUUCGAACAAAAUCCACAGCGAUGAAGAUGAAGCCAUUUUUAUGAACUUCAAACUACUGCACGGAAGUUACCUUAAGCCAUUAUUCUUAUUUCUUAUCCUCUUUGUGUUUUGAGUCAAAGACCAGUCACAAGAACUGCAAAUGGGGUGACAGCAACUCAGCCGAGUUGGUAAAUGGAACUUUAUUGCCCCCCCCCCCCGGCCCAAAAAAAAAAAGAAGCCAACGUGAUGCUUGUCACUAAUGUCUCCAUAAAGAAUCCAAACAAAUUUCACAAUGGCAAGAGAGAGAAAGGAUUUCGCCUAGUAGAGGGAUGUGAGCGCUAUGGAAUCAAGAGGCAGGCGAAACUCGCGUGGGAAGGAUUUGAAGAUGAUGAAUGGAGGGAGGGAGAGAGAUGAAAGUUCUGGUUUUGUAGGAUUUAAAGAGGAUGAAGCUCAGACUACUGAGUGGAUAGAGUUCGCAGAUGUUUUUCUCUUCUAGGAAUUCCAGUACCACCUCUCCCUGAGCAAUCCCAUUCUGCAUUUUAAAGAGAAUCCAUAACCUAGGUAAUUUGAUUCCGCAAUCAUAAAACCAUCCGAAGAUGAGUUGCAAUGGGAUCUCAUUUCCUUUUCUUACUCCAAAGUGAACCAAACAAGGCCUAAGUGAUUGCACAAUGUACUAUACUUCUUAAUGUUUUCCUGGUGGAAUGUAAGAUCUGCAUUCUCAACCAUGACUUUCCACUAGGAACACAGAUAUAAAAUCUCUAAACCAAAGAAGUGAACAUGCUGGAAUGAACACAACUUGCAUACAUAGGAACCUACCAUCAACUCACCCCAACAUACAUACGAGGAAGAGUGAGAGAGACAGAUGUGUAAAUUUUGUUAAGAGUACAAAUACUCACCAAGUCAGCAGGGAACUCUGAAUGAUUAUCUUUUCCCUUGAAUACCCCAGUCCUUGUUAAUAUAGAAAACCAAAGAUCUCCUGCCUGAAGGAGUUGUUGGCAGGAUUGGUGAUUACAUUUCGAAAUAAAUUCACUGAUAUAAUAAACUAUAAUUUUUGGUAUGAAGUAUACCUGCUGUGCACCUCUAAUGUCGAUUUUUGGAUUAUCUCCUAUCAUGUAUAGGGUUUUGAAACAACGAAUUCCAGAGUUUGUAGUAUUCUCCACAUCUAGGUUGCUUAACAAAGAUGGCACAAGAUUCCUUAGCAUUGUCUCAGCAUUUCCAUAGACAAAUGGAUUUGGCUUCCCAUAUGAUGUAUACGCCAGCGGAAUGUGAUGUAUUCUGCAGGACAGGGACAAGCAAACAAUGGGCAACAUAAAAUUGAAGAUUAAUGCAUGUCGCUAUGCUGCAUUGAGGCAAAUUAGGCCUACACAAGGAUCUUAUAGGCCAAUCUUUAAUUUUUUGUGGAGAACAGUAUAUCAAACUCCAUGCAGAACUAACCAUUGAGAAGCAGAAACCUCCUAUUACCUGUUAUAGAUUGCUUCUAAUGCAAUCCUGAAAGCUCCCAUACCCAGACGUUCAGCAGGAAAAGUAGCCUGCCUUUACACUUUGUCAGCUAGUCAUCAGCCAGUCUUUAGUUCCACUAAGGUUUCAAAAACUCAAGAUUGCAACUCACAUCACAAAUGGCAUAGCAUACCUGGUAUUCUAGGUCAUCAUUUGCAAAAAACAGGUGUGGUUGCUUUCCAGUCUCCUUUCCAGGAAGCCCUCCAGUUCUCAAUAUGUCACAGAGCACCUAAACCCAAACUUGAGUAUCACAGAAUUAUUUUAAAGUACAGAGACAGAUAGACAGAUGAUGACACUCCAUUUUAUCACUUCUUUCAAACUAUAUUGCAGCAUCCACUAGACUUCUAAAAAGAUGACAACUAAAGUUGCAGAGUAGUUACUGAACAAACAAAACAAAGCCUAGUGUCUUUUGAUAAUCAGUUCAAAGAUUUAGAACUCGCGUGACUAAAAGACCAGUAUGGACUCAACAGCAGAAUUAGAUAAUCUAGGAAAGGACAAGAUCCAUUGGAGUGGUCACAACCUGAAUAUCUCUGCUCCAAUCAACAGAAUCACUGACUACAAAUGCUGCCUGAACUCUCUGUGUUUGUACCACAAUUUUUCUCUGCGCCAUCUCAUUGGAAGUGCUAUUCUGGUCAAUGUCUGGCUUAGUUGUCCAUCUCUUGUACGGUGCCAGUGGAUCAAUAGCAUCAAAGUAGCUAGUGUACUCAUCAAUUGACAGAACAUUUCUGCAUAGAAAAGGUACAACAAGGAAGAAGGUCAACCGGAGAGAAAUAAAAGAGAAUCGAGUUGUUGGAAUUCGCGUUCCAGGUGAAACGGUAUUGAACACAGACAACUAAAAUGAAUUAAGGAGAGGACUCCUCUGCAAUUACUCAAGUCCCUGAGAACUUCAGUGCUUUUUAUUAACUUUGCUUGCUCCUAUGUAUUACCUAGACAUUAAAGUAAUAACCAUCGAUAUCAGUUUUAUUAAAUACAUAUCUUUAUCCCUAUUGCCAAGCUAUAUUUCUCUUCCCCUCCCCCCACCCACACACCUGCAUGCACAGGCAAGUAAUUGAGACAUUGCUGGGUACAUUUGCAAACCUAGAGAAGUUGUAAAAAUAUUUACUUGUAUCCAUAUUCGGACAUCACAGCAGCAGGUUCUCCUUUGCCAACAGCAACGACAAGUUCAUUCUCGAAUCUGUGCAAAAACCUCAAUUAGGAAACAGAUGAAUAAAAUAGAGAAGCAUAUUCAUUAGUAAAACAGAAAAGCCUAUUCAGAAUUCUCAUAGAAUAGUUAGUACAUGCAUGCGCACUCUUCUAUGUCUUUUCAAUUCAUAUGAUAUAAUAUAUGUAGUGCAUUUCCCUGGUUUCCAAAAGAAAGCACAUCAGAUGAAGAUAUUAGGUGUUCUUUGAUAUCCACGUACACAUACAAGAUGUGUACAUUCAAUAAAGCCCAAUUUCACAGUUUUGAACCUACUAAAGUGUGUACUUAUAAUUAAUUCUUGUACAGGAGAAUUUUUAUUAAGCUAAUAAUACACAUGCACGAUAUUUUAUUUCACAAUCCCAUAUUUUAAUAAUCAUGAGUUAGAUAGAUGAAAAAAGUAAAUGUUAUUGAAAAUGCUCAGUCCUGAUUUACAUUAGCAUGCCAAAUUUCUCAUUGGACAUUGGUCAUGGAGAUAAUCCAACAAAUCCUUACCUAUUUACCAGUUGUUUAAAAGGUGUGUGGCCCUGUAUGACCUGCAAAUUAUCUUGGUCAAAAUAUGAGAGAGAACGAAACAAAGUAGUUCUGGACCUGAUAACAAGCAAAAUCAUGAGGGCAAGCAGAUUUUGUAACACAAGAGAUGAACUACCUGUGAAGGUAGAAUGUUGACUCCUAGUAGUUGACCUAAGUCCUGGGCUCUUUUGGAUUCAGAAAAGCCACCUCCUGCAUCAGCCAUUGCUAUUAGCAGUGUGCAGUAAAAACUAAUUAUCGCUUCUUCAAGAAUUAACAAGUGAAAUUUCUUCUUUCAAGGGAGUAACAUAUUGAACAUAGGUAAGGGAAUCUCAAAAGGCGUCACAGAUUCAAAUUGCUUGAAUGUCUCAAACAUAAGAUAGCAGCAAUCUCAAAAUCAUCAAGACGAUUACUAUUAGAUCUUAAAAGUACCAAUACUUGCCGAUAACUGAAUAAUCAACCACAACAAGCAUAUGAUGUCCAGCACGCGACUUGAAAACUUUAGUUUGACCAUUAUAUCACGGCACUCACCGGUAGUGAUUCUAUUGAACGGUCACAUUCAGUAACACAUAUCAAAAGUGAGAAACGUAAUGACAAAAAUUACUAACACAUUAAAGCAAUUACUAGGACCUAUUGAAGUCUACCAAUCAGGAACACUCACCAUUUGUUAAGAACACGAAAGGUAUCUUCAACUUUCCUGAAAAGAUGGAGAACGUAAAGUAAGUGAUAGCAGGCUAUCAAAUAGCAGAUACGAAGCUCGAUAUCCCCCGCCCCUACAGUCCAUCAGAAAACUCGGUAUCGAUCAGCGAAAAAGACAUGCAUUCGCAACGUAGAACAUACGCGAAACGGCAAGAUCACCAGCACGACAUAAGCCUCGCAGGUAUAUUAGCAAGCGAUGGCGAAAGCUUUACCAGAAUCGUCGUACAAUCUCCUGAGCGCGCGCGGAGAACCGCCGACGGGAGUGUGACCGAGGAGGACCACGCCGUCGAUGUCGAAGGCGAUGCCGAACGAAGGCCUGCACGACGAAACCACGAUCGUCGAUUCGAUCACGGACGAAAAAGAAGAAGAAAAAGAGAAAAAGAGAACAUCGGAGAAAGUCACGAGCGUAGUCGAAGCAUGACCGGAACGCACCGAUCCGAUUGCGAGCUAAGCCGCGAAAACGAGCGCAAGGGCGAGGCGAGCGGGGACGGCUGCUUUCUGCCUCGACUCCGCGAGGCGAUGGUGAAAAGCCGGUGCCUCAUUGUCCUGUUCGCGGCCAAUCGCUUCGGGAGAUCGAGGAGCUCGAGUCGCUGGAGAUGAAUCUCCAAGAAGAACCGGAACGAGCUUCAACAGUCUACAACAGAGAGAGAGAGAGAGAGAGUGGCCCAAUCGCGCAGCGUCUUCUCGUUCGAUGUUCGGGAGCCGUGAAUUGGGCCCGUUGAAAUGAUGGGCGGGCCUCGAUAACGGAUCGACCUUUCAUUCGGAUCCGAGCUCAACGGUUAAGCUUGAUUUUGGUUAGCGUUUUUGGGCUCUUUUCUUUAGUUCUUUCAUUUUUGUUGUAGUUUUCUCUUUAGGCCUAGUAAUUCGGGCUCCUUGUCUCGGAACCUCUCGAGAGAAUCGCUAACUGCAUCUUUGGUGCACCUGGUGCAUGUACGUAUAGAAAUUCUCAAUUGGCUAGUCGUAAAUGGCCCCACCCUAGGACUAUGAAACCAAUGGUUAUCCCAAACCUACAUCAAGAUGUAGACGGUGAUUCUCAAAUAUUGAAAAACAGGGUGUGAUACAAUGAAAUAGGAUGCAAUGGAGAUAGACACAAAAAAUGAACGGAUUGCUUUUUUACUUUUUCUUUUUACUAUUUCCUUGUAGCGUAGUUUAUCACUUCUGAAUGAUUUUUUAUCCAGCCAAAGGAUAAUCUUCUAUAUUUGCUCCAACAUGUUUAACAUUUUCAACCUGGCGAAAAUUUGAUUAGAUGCAGAAGAGAAACAAGUGGAAUAUCAACCAAAAGAAAAUCAAAACUGUUAUACAUACCUUAGUAUUAGUCUUCAUAAAUAAAAGAUACUUUUGCAUUCCAUAAGUACUGACUUGUUUUGUUAUGCAGAACAUCCAUGUCUAGCACUUACCCAUUGUAAAUUUGAGUGUGUUGAAAGGUGAAAUAGUUUUUGUGCUCAGGGACAUGACAGACUUACAUUGUGAAAGACCAGAGUGUGGCAAAAAAUUGAUAAGAAUUCUCCUAUUGAAUAUGCCGCGACAAUGUCAAUUAAUCCUCCAAUCGCUUUCAAAAUGCUUGGAGACUUCACCUAUUUGGAACCAAGUAUAUAGACAGUACAGAAGUCCUCUUAGCUGUCCCCAAAGUUUUACCAUAAGCAAUUUUUGAAAGUUGUCCUAAUCAGUUGUGAUAAUUAAGGGAUUCUAUUGUGCAAAAUGGGGUUACAAGUAUGGUGGGUCGAUGCCUCAUCCAAAUUGUGAAAUCCCGCGGCAUCCAUAGCAUCAACAUAAUUAGGGACAGGUGCUCUUUUGAAAGCUUUUAGUAACCUUGACACCGUAUAACUUUUGUCAAACUAUUGUUGUUUAAAACUUUUGUGUAGACUUUAGAUAGCAAGGGUGUGUGUGGGUUUGCUUUUAUUUCUCUUUUCAGUGAUCUACCUUAAUCAUUGCUAGCAAGCCUUUUUUUGUUUUUUUGCCCCUUGCGAGAAAGCAUGGAGCUCUUGUCUACUUAGCUUCUAAAGUAACUUUGGAUGGUUACACAGCCCGAAUUCUAUUUGAAAUUCAAGCUCUAUGAUGACAAGUUGGAACUCUUUGGGGACCGAAUUACUUGUGGCAACUCUGUCUUUUCAUGUUCUUGUCACACCCCAAAACUACAAAGAAUGGGGAUGACACGGCCGUCCUUCUUUACAAAGGACGCAGCCUCAAACACAACCAACAAACCGAUAUUAACUUAUAUAUAUAUAUAUAUAUAUAUAUAUAUAUAUAUAUAUAUAUCAGAUAAACCUUCAAAUUGGUUGCAACAUCAGAGUUUCUAUAAUCCACUAAAAAGAUAAAAGAGAUAUACGUCUAAAACUCAGACGAUCAAACCACUAGUAAGGAUCAUUUUGCACCACUUCCUUAAACCAUACCAAAAACAAAAUAGAACUCCCCAAAAGUUUCCCAUGAUGGCGCACUCGCUUUAUUCGCCGCUAGCUAAGGAACCUGAAAAGAUCAAAGGAGGAAUGGGAUGAGCAACCACAGCUCAGUGAGUAGUACAUAUCUUCUAAGCAGAUUGAACAACCACAAUGCAUGUAUACAAAGCAAUACCAAACUUCAUAACGCCAACUCAAUAUAUAAAAUACGUAUUGAAUCUUAUAAGAGUUAUUUCUUAUUAUAAAAAAUUUAUACUAAUAUGGAAAACUCAUUUAAAUCGCCAUCGAAAGUCAAGUAUCAAUGGUCGAAUCCAUUGAAUAAUCUCCAUCAAAAACACAUAUCAAUGGUCUAUCCAUUGAUCAAUCUUUUGCUCAAUAACUAACCAUGGUCACGACACAACACCUUGUGACAAGGCGACCAAGAUUCUCCCCUUGGCAAGAUCUCCACCUACAAAGCUGAUGCCUGGGCCCAGAAGGAUAUCCUAAACCUGGUAUGCAUACCCCAAAAACCCUUCACUGGGUUCACAGUUAUAUUGAGUAUAAAUAACCAUUCUCUAAUACCAGAAAUCCAAUCCAGAAAUCAAUAUCUUAAACCAAACAAAUAAUAUUUUGCAACAUAGCCCAUAAUUCAUUUCAUAUCCAUUUCUCAAAUCAUCAUAAACCUUUUCAUAAAUCAGUCACAAAGCAAUUUCAUAUAUGUUUCUCCACAAACCUUAUAUAACAUGCUUUUCAAAUAUUCACAGUCAACCAAAGGGUAGCAAUUACUCGAUCUAGCUUUUAUGCAAUAAAAAUGCUCUUCUCAAUUCAAUAUAUAUACAUAUAUAUACUUCAAUACAUGAUUUUAUAAAACCAAAAAAGAUAUAGUACCACUCACCUUAUCGUUUACAACCAAACGACAAACGAUACUUGUAUCGUCGAACUCAAGGCCCUAUUAAAUAACCAAAGAAUAAUUUUAAAAUCUAAUAAAAUUCUAUCUCGACUACAAAAUGACUAAGUUACACCUUAAUUCUAACAAAAGUUCUUCUGCGCGCUAACAAGUCGCAUAACCAAAUCGAUUGUUCAAGCCAUUCGCAACAUGAAGUUUAAGCGCAAAACUUGAUCGAGCCUUAACUCUCUCUUCCGAACUCCGAUCCGAAUGUACUUAUAGUCAAUAGAGAGCCCUUGACACAUAUUACAAGAAUCCCAAAUUGGCCAUCCCAAAAUCAAGCCGAAAAAUGACAAAAUACGGGCCCAAAGCUACUGGACGCGUACUGUUUACUGCGCGCGGGAAACUUUGAAAUUUUGUUUCGGACAAACCAUAAGCUCAAAUCACGAUCCGUAAAAUCCCAUGGCUCCACAACACCCUAAAUUACCAUUCUUACAAAAAUACGCGGCUCAACAACUCCAAAAUUAGACUUCGCCGCUCGAUUUUCCAAAAAUUCCGAAUUUGAGUCCUAAAUGCAAAAAUUACUUCAAUCGGACAAACAAGGGGCUUGAUCUCUUACCGGGUUAUGGAGUCGAGUUGGCUUGGCGAGGCAUCCGAGGCGUGCACGUGCCAAAACUUCUUUCCUUUCUUCCCUUUUCUCUUCUUCUUCUUCUCCUUCUUUUUCUUAUCUUUUUGGUCGAGGAAACUCUCAGUUUCUGUUUAGCCGAACCUUCUCCCCUCUCCUUUUUGCUUUAAUGACUUUUCGGUUUCUUUUUCAGUUUCUUCUUUUGGGGCAUUUGCAACUUCUUUUGCUGUUACUUCUUUUGGGGCCCACUAGACUAAUGUUACAGUUCUAAUUACAAACCUUGCUGGUGGACUAAAAGUUAUGAACAAUUGCCAGAUGCACAAAUAUGUUGAUUAUGUUUGGUUGUGGUAGUGAUAUAUCAAUUUACAAAUUGAAAAUGUGCCAAAAUAUUCAGCAUUCUCAUAUCUCAGGUUUUUAUGGAAGAUGGUGUGAUUGACAAAGAUCUCUUGCAUUGAAUAACAAGGAGAAGUUGAUCUUGAGCUUGUGUUACUGUAGUUGACCCUUUCAAACUUAAAGUAACACAGAGUGUGAUCACUUAUUCGAGGAAAUUAUAAUCUCUGGCUAGGUGCUAUAAUGGGCAGGAAUCUAUGAGGCUAACUAAGCAUUAGUUCAUGCAUUGGCAUGCAAGAAUGGUUCUGUUAUGAGGGCAUUUUGAGAAACUGAUUAUGUUGAACUUAUCAAAGAAAGUAAGACAAUACUUUAGGUUGGUUUUGGUACAUCAACUAACAUCCUUCAAUCUGCCAAUAUAAAGAUGAGGUCUUGUGAUGGGGUAACAUGUAUAGGAAAGAUUAGAAGGACUUGCUUUUUGAAUCUAUUGAAGGCAAAAGCAGUUAAUUGAAGUGUGAAGUGAAAAGAUAUGUUUCUGCAUUGCUCAUCAGAAGUGACUUGUUAUUAUAGAUGCCGCUUCUACUAUUUUUGCAGUCAUCAUGUGUUCUAGAUGUUGAUUGCUGGUAUGUUUAGAUCAUCAUACUACUGGGGCAUUGGUAAUUCCAUCUUUUGUGGUUGCUGGUGGAAAAUUACCUUUAGUAUAUCUAAGACCUCUCUUACUUUGCAACUUCCUAUAGUGAUUUUUUAAAUUUUGUGAUGAGACACAAAAAAGGUCAUAAAACAUUUUGCAGUGCUUGACACAUUAAUUUAGUAGAGCUCUCUUUAGCCAGCUCAUUAGUUCCUAUGUGACAUCUAGGAUGAAUUUAGUAGAAUUCGUAAUUUCUUUUUCAACUUAGCAGUUAGCAUUGCAUUUCAGUAACUAAAAUUAAUUUCUUUUUCAACUUAGCAGUUAGCACUGCAUUUUAGUAACUAAAAUUGGUUUUUAUUGGGCUUUCAUGACCCUUUUUUUUCGUGACAAAGCUGGCUCUGAUGAAGGAAAAGAGGCAUUGAAGAAACUCGGUGCUGGGGAAGUGUUCACUAAGAGCCAAUUAGAAGUAAAGAAUGUCAAGAGUCUACCGGUAUCAUGCACCCAUUAACCCAUUCUACCAUAUUCUCAUGCAUGGACACACAUCCACAUUUAGCCAUCGGCACUUGAGUUCUUUAUUUACAUCUAAUUGACUUGAAACUAGGGUGAUCUUUAAGAACCUGCCCUUGGAUUAAACUGUGUUGGUGGCAAUGCUGCUUCCUUGGUGAUGAAAUUUUUUAGGUGCAACAAGUGUUAAAGUAGUGUUGAGUGCUUCCCAUAUCUUUCCGAAGAGAGCUGAUUUCGUUUUGUUCUUAGACGGGGAGGAACCAUGGUGACAUAUGGUGGGAUGUCUAAGAAACCAAUUACAGUAUCAACUUCAUCUUUCAUCUUCGAGUUAAAUUAAGAAGCGGCAAACUAAAUUUUCCGCCUAUGGUUACGAGGUUAUUUCAGUCAAGCCUUACAAUUUGACUUGUCCAUGUUUUGGUCUCGGUCUUGGUCAAUGCCCUAUGGUUUUACUUUUUGUCUAAACUUGGCCCAAAAUCUCACUUUCAGUAUUUGACGCAACCAAAUUUGAGAAAAAAAAAAAUUAUUCCUAGAGUCAAGACUAAGAGGAAUGGUGUAAACCAAUGCUUCCAUAUAUUCAAUCGCACAGGGAGUUUUUUUUUUUUUUUUUUUUGGGAGGGGGGAGGCAAUGUAAUUACCUGUUAAGAAAUGAAGCAAACUAUGGAUUGGUGAGAAAAUCAUGCACGUGAGAUCAAGAGAUUAUCCACAUUGAUUUCUUAGGGCCAAAGAAUCACUAUCACUUGAUCCCUUAAUCGAAAGUAGUAACUGUGGCAUAGCUCAGGCAUCUUUAAGCCUGCAAUAGGUGCUGAACAUCAAAAGAUAAACUUGUACCCGUAGGAGGCGUUCUAAUAAAAGAUCUAGAGCAAAGAAGAAGGCAUAGAAACAAUGGUUCUACUAUUGUCUCCUUGAUUUCAUUGUGAUAUCUCAUGCAAAAGUUCAAUUGUACCCAUAGGGGGCGUUUUAGUAAAAGAUCUAGAGCAAAGGCAUAGAAACAACGAUUCUAUUAUUGUCUCCUUCUUGAUUUCACUGUGAUAUCUCAUGUUCAAUUGUACAGUCAGUACCGUUGACUUCUGGAAUUAAUUCCUAAAUCAUAAAGCACAUCUUGAGUGUACGAUAAUGGUUGUUAUGGUUUGCAGGAUCUUUCUUUUAGGGGAUUUUGGCUGCAUAACUGGAUGAGUUCAAAUGAUGUGACAGAGUGCAGAAGAAUGAUAGAUCACUUGCUGGAACUAGUGCGUGAUGGGAAGUUAAAAUACGAGUAUGUCUUUGGUAACUCUACUCAAGUUGCUGUAUUUAGGUCUCCAUUUCUUUAUAGUAAUAUCCAAUAGUCUGUAUCGUCAAGAUAGUGUGUUUCGAUUGUGGAUGCAUAUGAAUUUCUGCAAAACUGCAGGACGGAGCUGGUUCCUUUUAGUGAUUUCCACAUUGCUGGAUAAAUCACUGGGGAAACUUGGAAGCCAUCCUAAGCAAGUCUUAAAGUUCUAAGGCUACUGAAUAUUAAGGGCGGUGAAAAGAUGGAAAAAUUAUGCGUCGUAUUCUUCAAACGAUCAGCUUGUUCUGAAGUUCCCAUACGCUAGAUUAACCCAACAAGAUAACUAUGUAUUCUUUCCAUUAUUAUAAUUAUUAUUUUAUCUUUUCAUAAGUUGUGCAUCUUUUUCUGUUGAGGUCCCUCUUGUUGCGGCUUAUUUUCAGCAAUUUCCAUUCUGAAUUUGUUUUGCAUCAAGCCUUCCAAUCUAAAACUAAUCUUGUGCUCUGCUAAAACAUGAGGUCCAUCUGCUCAAUUUGGAGAUCCAAACAUCGGCUCUUUAUGGUAUUGGAACAGUCCGGAAAGUUUUCAGAUUUUGCCAAUUACAAUUCUCAUAUACAUGUAAGAAGGAACAUUGGGAUACUUACCAAAAAUCAUGUAAGCAAGAUCGCAUGCGCUGAGAAAAGAGCAAGAAGAACCAUAAAUUGUUCACGUGAUCCAUCUAAUUCAGAUGGGAUGCGGACUGCCUUCAAGGAAAGUCAUACAUUAAACACGAUAAACAAAAUCAAGUGAAGACUAGUGAAUGGAAGUUACUUUUUGAGAUAAGGAAAACACACGAUGGAAAGAUCGUGUCAGCUUCCGAAGAAUUGGCGAUUGUUCAGUAAUCACAGAAAGAAAGGGUAUCUUUUGUCUAGACAAUGUCGAGAACCGCACUCCUUUCUCAAUACAAAGUCGACCACGUCCCCACAGUAUCCACCACUUGCCUGGGGUAAACAUAAAAGAGUUCAACCAAGAUGAGAGAUUUUCAAAUUCAUUUUCAACCUUGAAAAAUUUAGAGAGAAAACAAAUUCUCCGUAAAAGUGGCUUUCCAUUAUGCACGGCUUUGAAAUACUAACAUUUUGCUAGGCCGAAGAGGGAAAGGGUUCAUUCAAUCAUGUUUCAUCCCACCAAGUUAGAAUCUACAGAUCACCUAGAGCAUAGCAAAUCAAGGUAUAUAAGUACUUGGAAGAUCAUCCGCGCUGACACCUCAAAACACUUAAAGUCAUGUUUGGUUAAUGGUCAGGGAAUCAUGAAAGGAAUCCCAAACUGUAAAAUCACAGAGGACAAUAGUUGGAAAAAUGUCCAUGGAUCUUAUGUGGUCCUUCAUUCUGUUUCUAUCCCUAGUUUUCUGUUAUUCGCUUUGUAUAUGUUGACUAGAGACGCAUUCCAUUUCUCACAUGUACAAUAUGAUUAUUAUGUCAAGAGAUGGGCUUCAUUCGGUGAGCAAAGGUCAACAUGGAAUUCUUGUGACUUCAGCCUAAGAAUAGAAUUUCUAAAUCAAUCUAGUAAUUUAUUUUUUGUUUAUUUCACGAAAAAUAAAUAAUUUAAUAAAUAUUUUCCUAAAAGUAAUUAUUUAUAUCGCUCAAAAUAAUUAUUUAAUAAUAAAUAUUUUUAUUAUCUAUAAUAACUUAUAUUUAAAUAUUUUUUCAUAAAAAAUGAAAAUAUUUUUAGUUUGUUUAUUUGUAUAAGCAAUAUAAAUGAUUAUAUUUAGGAAGAAUAUUUUAUUAAUCAUUCUCUUAAUCCAAGAUACAUUCCUAUUAUGUCUGUGCUAUAGUCCCAUCUUCUUUCUCGAUUGAAUUAAUUAAUCACCUAGGCCAAAAGUAAAGCAAAAUCUUUCGGGCUCUAAAUAGGCAAUAAUACUCUAACGGCUUUUCAUCGGCCAACAUUUAGUUAUUCUCAUGGACCAAUACCAUCUGUUUUUAUGGUCGUCGUAGUCAAAAAGGGGAUUGGAAAUUAGAACACCUUUUGAAGGGAGGAGAUUAUGUAAAGCCAAAAGAAGCAACAUGGAUGGACCAUUUUCUUAGCCGGAGCAUCAACAAACGGAGAAAAUUAUGGAGAUACAAUCCUCCUCAGAUGAUGGUUUAACAGUGUACUAAGCACCGGCCAACGGACGAGUGUGAUCAUCAUCUUUUAAGGAGACAAUGAAUGAUUAGAUAGCUUUGUUGAUGACAUGAAAGUGACAAGCGGUACUUCUACUGUAGCAUUUACAUUUGGAAAAAGAUGGGACUCCCGUUAUAUUCUUUUCUACCUAAGGGUCAAGGGAGAGCAUUAAAUUCCCUCCCCCCCACCCCCCUCCACCCCUUCUCUCCAAAAAAAAAAAAAAAAGAGCCUAUUGACUUAUCUCUCCUAUUGAGUGCUUAAAUCAGAGGAUUAAUAUCUUGAAAAAUCCAAAACUGAUAUAUUUGUGAUAAAUUUAUCCCAAACUAAUUUUUUUAACAUUUAAAACCCUAAAUUAGUAUACAUUUAACAAAUUUAUCUCAAACUGGUACACUUGUGAUAAAUGUACCCUCUGUUAGUUUUCGUUAAAAUUUUAUGUCAAAUUAUUAAAUUAAAUGGCAUGUGACAGUUGACUGAUAUACCAAUUAGGAAUUUUACUCUCUAUUUGUCACAAUUUAUACUUUUGUGAUUUUUUGUGGUAUUAAUCCAAUUUAACAUGAGGUAUAUUUGUUACAAAUGUACGGGUUUGAAAUUUUUGGCAGUCAAGUAAAUUAGUUUGGGGCAAAUUUAUCAUAAAUAUAUUAGUUUAGGGUUUUUUUUUUGUCAGUUGGGGUAAAUUUGUCACGAGUGUACCAAUUUGGGGUUUUUCAUGGUCAAAAAAAUAGUUUUUGGUAAAUUUAUCAUAUGUAUACCAGUUUGAGAUUUUUUAGGGUAUCAACCCUAAAUCAAAAGAAAACCAACGUCGUUUUAUCGCGUCACGGUAUUGUUGUUAGAGUUAAACAAUUGGAAAUGAGUGGAGCACCUUGUUAGAAAAUUCUACGAGACUUAGCUGAUAUUUUAUUGGGGAGAAGUACACUAAUGGUGCCAUAAGUUGUGUACAGCGCUCACUUUGGUGUCAAAAGUUUCUGUCGGAUCACUUAAGUGCCAAAUCGGAGGGAAAACGAUCACUUUGGUGCCACUAGGGAGAAAUUCCGGCCAAAAUAAUUACGUGGCUUUUAUAUUUAAAAAAAAAAAAUCGACGUGGCUUAAGAUUGUCCACAGUGGAUAGCAUAAAAUGACGUUGUUUUCCUUUCUUUGUAGAAACAACGUCAUUUCUUGCCAUCUACCGUGGAUUCACAUAAGAAACGACCCCGCGUUGCUCCAUAGCAAAAAACGAUGUCGCUAAAGAGGGAGUAAAAUAGGGUUCGUAUACGGUUCUCCUCGACGCCGACCGUAGCUUGCUCACCCACCAUCGUUCACCCACCGCCGUUCGCUUGCCGGCUGUCGCUCGCCUGCCGUCACUCGGCCAUCGUUGUAGUUGCACCGUCGUUCACGAUCAUUCAGGUUUGUCAUGUUCUCUACGUUGAUCAAUUUUGCGAAAAAAUUUAGAGUUCUAACAGGCAAGUUAGGGCACAAAGGGCAAAUUGAGGGCUCGGCUCAGGGGGAAAGUAGUGGGAAAAGUGGUGGGGAUGUCACUUUUAUGGGGACGGCAUAGAAAAAUUGAUUCUUCCAUCGUUCGUUCGCUUUCUGUUGUGGGGACCAAAUAGAAAAANNNNNNNNNNNNNNNNNNNNNNNNNNNNNNNNNNNNNNNNNNNNNNNNNNNNNNNNNNNNNNNNNNNNNNNNNNNNNNNNNNNNNNNNNNNNNNNNNNNNNNNNNNNNNNNNNNNNNNNNNNNNNNNNNNNNNNNNNNNNNNNNNNNNNNNNNNNNNNNNNNNNNNNNNNNNNNNNNNNNNNNNNNNNNNNNNNNNNNNNNNNNNNNNNNNNNNNNNNNNNNNNNNNNNNNNNNNNNNNNNNNNNNNNNNNNNNNNNNNNNNNNNNNNNNNNNNNNNNNNNNNNNNNNNNNNNNNNNNNNNNNNNNNNNNNNNNNNNNNNNNNNNNNNNNNNNNNNNNNNNNNNNNNNNNNNNNNNNNNNNNNNNNNNNNNNNNNNNNNNNNNNNNNNNNNNNNNNNNNNNNNNNNNNNNNNNNNNNNNNNNNNNNNNNNNNNNNNNNNNNNNNNNNNNNNNNNNNNNNNNNNNNNNNNNUUUUUUACGAUGCAAAGUGCAAAAACUACAUUACUGUAUUCCUAGGAAAGAAUUGAAGGAUGGGUUGAGAUUUUUUAAUGACGAUAAUGGUAUUAAGGAUAUCAUUUACCAUUAUUUUCAUGGUGAAGAAGCUAAAGUAUAUGUUGAGUAUUAUAGUGAGGAUGAGGAUGAGGAUGAGGAUGGGGAUGAGCAGACCACCACUGAAGGAGGAGAAAUGAGGGAUCAUGUUCAAGCGAGUAAUCAGGUUGGGGAUGAGUUUAGGUUAGAUGGAGGGCAAAAUGAGAGGGAGAUAAGUCAUAUUGAUAGAGAUGAACAAAGAGAGAGAUGUCCUGAAAUCUUGGGUGAAGAUGUGGGUGAUGAAGACUUCAUUGGAUUAGAAUGAGAAAUUGCUUUAUCUAGUAAAUCGAAAGAUGAAUGUUUGGCUUUAGUAAAUUUCCCAAGUGAUGAAGAUGAUGAUGAACUUGCACAGUCAAGACAAAAGCAAAGGGAAUUUUUAAGAAAAAAACUUGCAGCUUCAAUAAAAAGGCCCAAGCCAGUAAAUAGGGAUGGAGAUCUAGCUGAGAGUAAUAGAAGUGAAGAUGAAGAAAGUUGUGGCGAUGAAGUUGCUGGUUCGGAAAAUGAGCUUGACAAUGAUGAUGAACUUGCUCCUCAAAGAAAAAGUAAGUACCAUUGCUAUGAUCCGACUAUUGAUAAACAUGUUUUGUCGGUGGGCAUGAGAUUUGACGAUGUCAAACAAUUCAAGGAAGCUAUUAUGAAGAACUCAAUUGGUGAACAGAGGAGCGUUAAAUUCAUUAGAAACACGAAGGAGUUUGUGAGAGCUAAGUGCUCACAACCUAAUUGUUCGUGAAAGCUCUAUGCCGCGCUUAGUAAGAAUGGGUCAUUCCAUAUUAGGUCCUUUCAGAAUGAGCAUACUUGUCCAAUUAUCUUUAACAAUAAAAGGGUAACAAGUGUGUGAUUAUCAAAGCAUUUUUUCAAUACUAUCAAAGUAAUGCCCGAGAUCAAGAGUCCUCAAUUUCAACAAUUAGUGAAUGAGCAAGUGGGGGUUAAUGUGUCGAGGAAUCAAUGUAAGAGAGCAAAGAUAAGGGUGAUGAAGAUAUUGAUGGGUGGGUAUAAGGAAGAAUAUGCGCAGGUAUGGGAUUAUGCUGGUGAAUGUAUGUUUCAAAACCCAUCUAGUAUGGUAUAUAUAGAAGUUGUGGAGAGGCCACUCCCUGAUCUUGAGCCUAGAUUUGAUAGAUUUUAUGUUUGUUUUGAUGCAUGCAAACGGGGCUUCUUGGCUGGUUGUAGAAGAGUUAUAAGAUUGGAUGGAUGCUUUCUAAAGGGUUUAUGCAAUGGGGAGUUAUUGGUUGCUGUGGGGAGAGAUGUCAAUAAUCAAAUGUUCCCGAUAGUUUGGUUGGUAGUAAAGAUAGAGAACAAUGAUAUUUGGUCCUGGUUCCUAAAAAAUUUAAUUGCUGACCUUGAGAUAACCGAUGGGGAAGGAUGGGCAUUCAUGAGCGACCAACAGAAGGUAAUUUCAUUGUCGAUUAAUUCACUCCCUUUUAAUAUUAGUCACUUGCAUAUUUUUCUUGACUUGUAUUUAUUGGUUUGAAUUUUUGUAGAGACUUAUUCCUGCAUUGGCUGAAUUGAUGCCACAUGCUGAACAUAAAAUGUGUGCGAGGCACAUAUAUGCAAACUGGUCAAGGAACUUCAAAGAAGAUAGGCUGCAGAAGCAGUUCUAGCAGAUAGCAAAGAGUACGAAUAUGGCCGAUUUCAUAUUAGCCAAACAAGAAUUGUUGCAGCUGACAAAGGAAGGUUUUGAUGCACUCUUCCAAACAGAAGCUAAGCACUGGUGUCGGGCCUUCUUUAGCGAAGAGUUCAAAUGCGAUAUCAUUAAUAACAAUCUCAGUGAAGCUUUUAAUGGUAGAAUUUUAGAGGCCAGGUGUAAACCAAUCAUCGGCAUGCUUGAUAAUAUUCGAAUUAUGGUUAUGACUAGACUGCAUAGGCAAAAAGAUGAGGCUACAAAAUGGAGUAGAGACUGUGGCCCUAGGAUUGUGAAGAAAUUGGAUGCAAAUAUUGCUGCUAGUAGGUUCUGCCAUCCAGUUUGGAAUGGAGAUAAUGGAUAUGAGAUUAUUCAAAAUCAGGAUAAGUAUGUUGUCAACCUGGAUAGAAGAAAGUGUUCAUGCUGAGCUUGGCAACUAAAUGGAAUUCCUUGUGCCCAUGCCAUUUGUGCUAUUCAGAUGAAAUAAGAAAAUCCAGAUGAUUACCUACAUGAUUAGUACAAAAGAAAAAAAAACUCAUACCUUGCUUCAUACCAAUUCAUGAUGCAGCCUAUCAAAAGCAGCAAAUUUUGGGAGCCAACAAAUCAUGAAAGCCCUCUACCUUUACCGCUGAAGAAGCAAAUAGGAAGGCCAAAAAAGAGACGAAGAAUGCAGCAGGAAGAGGCAUCAAGUCAAAGGAUGAGUAGGACUGGAUCAAAGAUGAAAUGCUCCUAUUGCCGCAAGGAAUGGCACAAUAAGAAAGGUUGUGAGCUGAAAAAGCAGCAUCAACAGCAAGAUGUAAUGGCUGAUUUAGUGCCAGGGAUAGGACCUACUGAAGAGUUUCUUGUUGGGCCUAUUGAAGGGAGGACAGAAGGCCCUGCUGUAAUGCCUACUGAAAGGCAAACAGAAAGCCAUGCUAUAAGGUAAGUAUCAUCUUUGUCUUAGUAACUUUACAGUUUUUAUUCGAUAGUGAUGUUGGUCAUAAUCCUAAUAUAGAACAUUGUUGUAAGGUCUAAGAAAGGGCCAGAAAAAGGCCCUGUUGUAGGCUCAAGUGCGGGAAUAGGGACUGGAAUGGGCAGGACAGCAAGAACAACAACUCAGUCCAUUAUUGAGCAAACAAGAAAAAAAUAUCCUGUAAGUUGUACAUCGCUAUGUUUGGUCUUUUAUGAGCUAAAAUUUACAUUUGUUAUGUGUUUCUCAUGUGAGAAGACGAGCAACUGUACAAGUUGCAGAGGUUGCUACAAGGAUUAUUGUUGCUGAAAAUGAUGCACCACAGCGAACAACAGGGGCUCUUGGAAAAAGAUUAAGGCAAUAUGGUUAUGGGAUUUACACAGAUGAACGUACUUGAAUGACUAUUUUGAAUGUAAGAUUUAUAGGCCUCAUGCAUUUAAUUUGUUAUACUUCAAUUCAUUCGAUGACAAUAUCACUAUGUUCUUGUAGCCUAAGAAAACUUCAGAGGUACUUCUCUCUCAAGGUGGGCCAACUCAAGAAUCAAUGGUGCAGCCAAAGAAGAGUGCUCCAAAGAAGAAGAAGACAGCAAGUAUAGUUGUGAAACAGUCAUCCAAAAAGAACUCAGCAUCAGUUCCAUCUCAACCAACGAUUAGGAGCAGUAGUGAUAAUAUGGACCAACACAUGACACAUGCUAGAACAAAAAUAGCCGCCGUCAAAAACAAGGAAAAGGAAAAUGAGGUGACAGAAAGCCCAGCUAAAGAACCUGCACAUGCAGUUCGAAAGAGUGCCCGGAUUAUGAAUCAAUUCAAAGCUCCAAGAGGAAAAGGAGAUCAAGAUGUUAUCAAUAUUAACUUAUGGGAGGGUGCUGGACAUGGUCUCUUUUUAUGUGAUGCUGGACAUGGUUUUUUUUUCAUGUUUUCCUUUUUUAGGAGUGUGCUGGAUAUUAUAUCAAUGAUGGUAGUUGUUGCCUGCAAUGCCAUUAUUAUUUUUUUUAAGAGAGUGUUGAACUUUCGAUGAUUGUGGAGUAAAGUUAGACAUGCUUUUCUUUUCUUUUGUAAACAAUCAAUCAAUGUUAAUGGCAAGUACUAGAAUGACUAUUCAUUUUCUCUUGUGUUGGUUUCGGCUAGAAUGCUAGCAAGUCAGUUAUGAUGCUGUAUAUUUUAUUUUUAAUGUUACUGCAAUGUUGCUAUUGCUACAAUGUUGCUGUUGCUGCACUGUUGCUGUCAGCAAAAACUAACCAAAACAAACAUUGACAAUACACAACUAAACAACAAAAUUUUUAAGUGCUCACAACUAAUGCAUUCCAAGUCCAACCUUGCAUUUCUACCCAUAGAUUACAACAACAAAACAUUCUGCUCCAUACAAAAAUUGCAGCAAACCAAAAAACACAUUUUACUUAUAAAUAAUCCAAUACAAGUGCAUAUUACACGUCUUCGAUUAUGGUAGACAUACAAACUUCUUCUUAUUACUCACUUUACAUUUGAAUAAACUACCCAAGAGAAUAAGAACACAAUCAACGCUCGAUAAAAGUUUCUUUCAAUUUUCAGCCUUGAAACUUCCCUCUUCAAAUGGUCUACCAGAGAUGUUAAACCCUUCAUUUGAGCUUGCAUUGAGUCGACAUCCUCCAACUCGUCUAUUAACAUAGGUGGAGGUUGAUUUCGGCCUUCAAGUAACUCCAAUAUCACCUCUGUCGCUCGAUCAGAGAAUUUCCUAUCAACCCAUUUGAAAUACUGGCACUUCGAGCCUUCUCUAUAUCUGUCGCACCCAUGGAAUCUUCUCUCGGGAUUCAACCGAGUCCAAGAUGUUCUUCUCGGACUCAGUAACCCACAAUAAUAAUAAUACUCACCAUCUAAUUCGCUUUUCUUAUAGGAAUGUGAGCCACUACUGAAGCUUUUGUCCUCCAUUUGCAAGAGCGAGCUAAUAACUUUGGGAGAAAAUCGAAUAAUGCACUCGAAAUGAUCGAAUUGGGGAUUUAGGGUUUUCAACUUCCGAUUCUAAUCGAAAUUGGGGAUUUAGGGUUUCUUAUUUGGGGGAAAACGGUAAACAGCAUCGUUUUGUUCUUUGUAUGCUAAUUGUAUUUUCCGGCAAUCCACGUCGGCGUCAAAAAUUAAUAAAAAACUGCCACGUCGGAUUUCCGGCCAACCAAAUCAGCAAAGGCACCAAAGUGAUCAUUUUUCAAAAAAUUUGGCACUUAAGUAAUCCGACGGAAACUUUUGACACUAAAGUGAGCGUCGUACACAACUUAUGGCACCAUUAGUGUACUUAUCCCUAUUUUAUUGCAUUUUCCCUCAUAAGUUUACGACAAUAUUAAUUUAGUCAAGAAAUUUAAACAUUGAUAGGUUCAGGCUUCAGUAUAAUAAUAUUAGGACAGAUUGUGCAAUUAUCCUCAAAUAUGACAAUUCAAUAUUUUCAACCCCAUGCUCACACUCAACUCAAUGCAAUAUAUAUACUCACAUCAAACUCGAUUCAACUCUAACAUUAAAAACUAAAUUACAGUGUAAACCUUCUAACUCCAUCUCAAGUUCUCAUAAAAAAAAUUCAAAAAUAAUGAUUAUUUUCAAAUGUCCUUAGUAAAAAUCUUUAAAUUAUUAACAGGAUUGCAAGUCACGUGAUUGUAGUAUUACGAAAUUUGACACCUCCAACAAUGGCAACCCAUACUGUUAGUUUCAAAUUCAUGAAAGAGGGGGCGAAGUGCUUUUAUAUAUAUUGAUCUUUCUAGAACCAGCCCCUUAUUUAUUUUUUUUAUACGCAAUUAAACUGGUAAUUUGUAAAAAGGAACUUAUAGAAUUUAGGGAAAGAGAAAUUGCAAAAACUCUUUAUAGAGUUUCAAUUAGGAUAUGCCUUCUCUUCCUUCUAGCCAUAGCAGCCCAGUCGGGUUGAAAUCCACUACUUGAGCCAAUAGUGCAAAUGCCAAGAACUUUUGUACCGCGUGGACUCCACUCCUUCGAUAGCUAUGUCACUAUAGACUAAAUAACUAUUAGAUCUCUUUCAACAGCUAUUCUCGCACCUUGUGCACACGGUAUGGUAGACAUAUUUUCCCAAAAUUAUCAACCACACUUCUUAGUGUUUACAAGUAAUUAUUCACACACUUCGUCUCUUACCUAAACAAUUGUAUUCUCUCUAAGUACAAUCACUUCUUUCGUGUGUAUACAAAUGAUUUCGGCACCCGCUAACUUUUAGGAUCAAAACUCAAUUGACUACAAACGCUCAAUGUGCUUUGAUUUUUCUUGUUGCAAGAGCACUCGAUGACAAGCUACGUUUUACUUGUGGUUUGUCCUUCUAGGCCUCCAAUAAAAACUCUCAUGUUUCAAGUGUUCAAUUCAAGUUGAUUGUAGAAUGAGUUUCACUUCAUCACGCAAAAAAGAGACGUUAGAAGGGAUAUCUAGAAAUAAUUAGCAAAUGGAAAAAUUAGAAUGAUAAAGAGAGCGAGCAGAAGUUGGUAAGUUUACAAAUUUACUACAAUGUUGUGAGAUCAUUAUGGCAUUUGCAAUUUAUAUACGAAGAUUGUAAAAUUUCUGAAGAGUUGGUUAUUCACUAAUUCAUUUCGAAGCCGACAAAUUUCUAAUGGUACUGUUAAGUUGUUGAUAGGUUAUUUGGCAAUAAAAUUGAUGGUCAUGUUUUUCUUUUAUCGACUGCAAUAAAAUUGUGGGACUCAGCUAACAUCAAUAAAUAGAAGAAAGAAAAGUCAAAAAAGCAAAAAGGAAUAGAGAGAGAGGCUCCUUGUUCGUAAGAUCAAGAAAGACGAGUCGAUUGACUUUAUUUAUUCAAAACCUUCUCCAAAUUACCUCUCGUUUCUCUUAUUAUAAUCAGGAUUUCUUGCUUCACUUAUGUUAAUUUACUUUUAUGAUGAUAGAACCUUUGUGUAUAGUGAAAGUUUUUGGACUGUUUGUGAUUUUUUUAGCAUAGAAUUUUAUGUGUAAAAAUUGCUUGUCUUUUUUUAAUUAUUUUGGCAUUAUAUUAACUCAUUACAAGAUUGUACUGUAGGAAUAUAUUGCCAGUUAUUAUUGAAAUUGAGUCGAUUUUGGUCACAUUUAAUCUUGGGAGGAGAAAUUAAUUCUGAAUUAGGUUAAUUUUUGAUGAAUUGUUGCCGGUUCACUCCAACUAUGUAUCAAUAAUUUUGGAAAUCCAUCAAGAAAGGGAAAAUUUCCGCACUUUCCUUUGACUGACCCUGCACUCAAUGCCGAAAGCUUGCGUCAGCCGCACCUUUGAUUUUUGGUCUCAUCGACCAAGAGCAUUUGAUUUGAUGGUCUUCGUCGUUGUGAAAAAAAUAUGAUUACUGUCCCAAUCGCGUCCUGAUCGGCAUCUUUGAUUUAUGGUCUUCGUCGUCAUGAAAAAAUAUGAUUUCUAUCCCAAUCGCGUCCUCAUCGGACUCUUCGAUUUUUUUUUUUUGUCUCACCGGCCAAUAGCAUUUGAUUUUAUGGUCUCCAUCGCCGUGAAAAAAAUAUGAUUUCUGUCCCAAUCGAGUCCUCAUCGGCACCUUUGAUUCUUUUUAUCUCAUCGGCCAAUAGUAUUUGAUUUUAUGGCCUUCGUCGUCGUGAAAAAAAUAUGAUUUCUGCCCCAAUCGUGUCAUCAUCGGCCCAUGACAUCUUUUACUUGCUUUUCCCAGAACCACUCCAUUGUUGCCUCGAACGUGUUGACGCAGCUACGUUCCACGACUUUUAGCCAUUUCGUAUUGACCUAUCAAAGGGAUGAUCCAGUCAAAAAUGUUGUCCAGCAAAUUCCUUGUUCUCCCCCACUUUUUUAAGUUGAUAAUUUUUUGCUCAAAUGAAAAUCCUAAUUAGCUACUCCGAUCAAAUAUUGAUAUUUCCCUCUCCUCUUUCAAUAUAGUCCAAUUCAGUCGAUAGCAAAGAGAAAAGAGGGCAUGUCUCGAUAACAAUUAUAGAGCGCUUCUGUCCGUACCAUGUUUAGAGAUCAUUAGCAAAUGAAAUAUCUAACAUAAUAAGGAGAGCGAGUAGAUUGGUAUCAACUUCAAUUGAACACUGCAAUUUGGUACCAUCGUGUGCAAAUUUGAGUUCAGAAAAGGUCCACUCAGAACAGUUCAAGUUCAAGUUAAAGAGAUCUUUUUGAGAUCUUUUUCUUUAUUUGUUUAUUAAAGUUAAACAGAACAAGCCGGCUAUGUUGGGCGUGGAAUACGCGUUUCCAAAUAUCAAUUCCUCCCUUCCCUCUCCCUCGACAGACAUUUUUUUUCAUCGCAUCUACAAAUUCCACAGUAACACACUCCUCAUUAUCGUCAGUCAAUUUCAUCUAUUUUCAUAAAAUUUUAAGAAUUCGAAUGGUAUGUUCACCAAGCAAUUUUGGUCUUUUGUUUACUUCGAUUCUCAUGGACUAAUAGCAUUUGAUUUUAUGGUCUUCGUAGUAAAAUACUAUGACUUUCUGAUUCAACCAUGUUCUCGCAGACCCAUGGCAUUUAAAGUGGUUUUCUUAUAACCACUCCAUUACUUUGUUAAGAACAUCCAGUCAGAGAGAGAGAAAGAGAGAGAUCCACCAAGCAGAGCAAGCUACUGCUAUGGUGAGCUCAGACGAAAGAACGUCAUGGGGAGCAAAUACCAAGUAUUUCUAAGCUUUAGAGAACUCGACAUUAGACUCAGUGACUUCCUCUACCAUAGCUUAACUUAUGUUGGGAAUCUGUGCCUUUGGAGAUCGAAGAGCUACGUGUUGGUGAAAGGAUUGACGGAUUGCUUCAACGAGUGAUCAAUGACUCCAAGAUCUACAUAACCAUCUUCGUUCGAACUUAUGUUUCAAGCCCAUGUGUUUUCGCGAGCACACGCAGAUUGUAGAAUAAUCCAAAUCAAAAGGCAAUAAAGCGGUAUUUCACCCGCAACAAGGCCCAAGUGAGGCUAGCCUCACCCAAAUCUAGGAGAAGCCACCUUGCUCGUGACCCUCGCCAACCACUACAAGGAAUCCAAUGAGGAAGAAGAGGAAAAAGAAAAGAAAAAAGGAAAGAUUAAUUAAAAAUUUAGAAAAAAUAAAAAUAAAAAUUGUCAUGUCAAUGUUAGUCAAACAAUCGACGUCCACACUAGUCGAUCAAAAUUAAUCGGAUGAACUGAAUUGAUAUCAAUGUAAAAAAAUUUAUGAUUGAAUUAAUUUAAUUAGAAUAUUUAUAAUUGAAUUAAUAUCAAUACUAUAGAUUUAGGGCUUUAUUGAUCAUUUUUCAUAGCUAUCCCAUCAACAAACAAACAAACGGAGAAAAUUAUGGAGAUGCAGGUGCCUUGAGCGCCAGCCAACAGAAGCACGUGAUCAUCAUCUUUUAACAAGAAAAUGAAUGAUUGGAUAGCCUCGUUGAUAACAAGGAAGUGACAAGUGGUAAUUCCACUAGGGCAUCUACUUUCGGAAAAGGAUGGAUUCCCCCUUCUUCUUCUUCUUUUCUGACGGCCCAGGAACCUUGUACAGCCGACAGCCGGCCGAGCAAACCUAGGGUGACACUAGUGAAGGACCCACCACCCUAGCGCCACACUUAACACCCCAAAGGCAUACGCUGGGUUUCGAAUCCUUCCGUCCUGGGCAGACUUCGCGAAGGCUCUUAUCCAGCGUAACCACCACAAGCGGUGGUCCCCUUUUUUCUUUUGUACAUUAGCUUACGGUAAAGCGCCAAUGAGAGCAUUAAAUUCCAAAAAAAGAAAAAAGGCCUAUACACUUAUGUCUUUGGUCGGUGCUUAAAUCAUGUCACGGUGUUGUCGUUAUACUUAGACAAUCGAAAAUGAUUGAAGUGCCAUAUUAGAUAAAUUCGACGGGACUUAGCUGAAAUCUUUUAUUGCAUUAUUUCUGAUAAGUUUAAGAUUACAUUGAUACAAUUAAAGAGUUUAUACCUUCGUAGUUUCAAAUUUCGUUAAAACAAUUUUGAACUUUCCAACACUCCAUUACUUUGUUAAUGGAGCAAAUACCAAUUGUUUCUAAGCUUUAGAGGACCCGACACUCGCAUUAGACACAGUGACUUCCUCUACCAUAGCUUAACUUAUGUUGGGAUCUAUGUCUUUCGAGAUCGAAAAGCUACGUGUCGGUGAAAGGAUUGACGGAUUGCUUCAACGAGCGAUCGACGACUCCAAGAUCUACACACCUAUCUUCUUUCGAACUUAUGUUUCAAGCCCAUGUGCUUUUGUGAGCUCAUGCAUAUUGUAGAAUAAUCCAAAUCAAAAGGCAAUAAAGCGGUCCUUCACCCACGACAAGGCCCAAGUGAGGCUAGCCUCGCCCGAAUCUGGGAGAAGCCACCUUGCUCGUGACCCUCGCUAGCCUCUACAAGGAAUCCAAUGAGGAAGAAGAGGAAAAAGAAAAGAAAAAGGAAAGAUUAAUUAAAAAAUUAGAAAAAUUAAAAAUAAAAAUAAAAAUUGUCGUGCCAACAUUAGUCAAACGGUCGACGUCCACAUUAGUGCCGGCCGAUAAAAUUAAUCGGAUGAAUUGAAUUGUUAUCAAUGUAAAAAAAUUUAUGAUUGAAUUAAUUUAAUUAAAAUAUUUAUAAUUGAAUUAAUAUCAAUACUAUAUAUUUAGGGCUUUAUUGAUCAUUUUUCAUAGCUAUCGCACCAACAAACAAACAAACGGAGAAAAUUAUGGAGAUGCAAGUGCCCUGAGCGCCGGCCGACAGAAGCACGUGAUCAUCAUCUUUUAACGAGAAAAUGAAUGAUUGGAUAGCCUCAUUGAUGACAUGGAAGUGAUAGGCGGUAAUUCCACUAGGGCAUCUACUUUCGGAAAAGGAUGGAUUCUCCCUCUUUUUUUUCUUUUGUACGUUGGCUUACGGUAAAGCGCCAGUGAGAACAUUAAAUUCCAAAAAAAGAAAAAAGGCCUAUUCACUUAUGUCUUUGGUCGGUGCUUAAAUCAUGUCACGGUGUUGUCGUUAGACUUAGACAAUCGAAAAUGACUGAAGUGCCAUAUUAGAUAAAUUCAACGGGACUUCGCUGAAAUCUUUUAUUGCAUUAUUUCUGAUCAGUUUAAGAUUACAUUGAUACAAUUAAAGAGUUUAUACCUUCGUAUUUUCAAAUUUCGUUAUAACAAUUUUGAACUUUCCAACACUCCAUUACUUUGUUAAUGGAGAAAAUACCAAUUGUUUCUAAGCUUUAGAGGACCCGACACUCGCAUUAGACACAGUGACUUCCUCUACCAUAGCUUAACUUAUGUUGGGAUCUAUGUCUUUCGAGAUCGAAAAGCUACGUGUCGGUGAAAGGAUUGACGGAUUCCUUCAACGAGCGAUCGACGACUCCAAGAUCUACACACCUAUCUUCUUUCGAACUUAUGUUUCAAGCCCAUGUCCUUUUGUGAGCUCGUGCAUAUUGUAGAAUAAUCCAAAUCAAAAGGCAAUAAAGCAGUCCUUCACCCGCGACAAGGCCCAAGUGAGGCUAGCCUCGCCCGAAUCUAGAGAAGCCNNNNNNNNNNNNNNNNNNNNNNNNNNNNNNNNNNNNNNNNNNNNNNNNNNNNNNNNNNNNNNNNNNNNNNNNNNNNNNNNNNNNNNNNNNNNNNNNNNNNUAAAAAUAAAAAUAAAAAUUGUCGUGCCAACAUUAGUCAAACGGUCGACGUCCACAUUAGUGCCGGCCGAUCAAAAUUAAUCGGAUGAAUUGAAUUGUUAUCAAUGUAAAAAAAUUUAUGAUUGAAUUAAUUUAAUUAAAAUAUUUAUAAUUGAAUUAAUAUCAAUACUAUAUAUUUAGGGCUUUAUUGAUCAUUUUUCAUAGCUAUCGCACCAACAAACAAACAAACGGACAAAAUUAUGGAGAUGCAAGUGCCCUGAGCGCCGGCCGACAGAAGCACGUGAUCAUCAUCUUUUAAUGAGAAAAUGAAUGAUUGGAUAGCCUCAUUGAUGACAUGGAAGUGAUAGGCGGUAAUUCCACUAGGGCAUCUACUUUCGGGAAAAGGAUGGAUUCUCCCUUUUUUUUCUUUUGUACGUUGGCUACGGUAAAGCGCCAGUGAGAGCAUUAAUUCCAAAAAAAGAAAAAGGCCUAUUGACUUAUGUCUUUGGUCGGUGCUUAAUCAUGUCACGGUGUAGUUCGUUAUACUUAGACAAUCGAAAAUGACUGAAGUGCCAUAUUAGAUAAAUUCGACGGGACUUAGCUGAAAUCUUUUAUUGCACUUUUUCUGAUAAGUUUAAGAUUACAUUGAUACAAUUAAAGAGUUUAUACCUUCGUAGUUUCAAAUUUCGUUAUAACAAUUUUGAACUUUCCAACACUCCAUUACUUUGUUAAUGGAGCAAAUACCAAUUGUUUCUAAGCUUUAGAGGACCCGACACUCGCAUUAGACACAGUGACUUCCUCUACCAUAGCUUAACUUAUGUUGGGAUCUAUGUCUUUCGAGAUCGAAAAGCUACGUGUCGGUGAAAGGAUUGACGGAUUGCUUCAACGAGCGAUCGACGACUCCAAGAUCUACACACCUAUCUUCUUUCGAACUUAUGUUUCAAAGCCCAUGUGCUUUUGUGAGCUCGUGCAUAUUGUAGAAUAAUCCAAAUCAAAAGGCAAUAAAGCGGUCCUUCACCCGCGACAAGGCCCAAGUGAGGCUAGCCUCGCCCGAAUCUGGGAGAAGCCACCUUGCUCGUGACCCUCGCCAGCCACUACAAGGAAUCCAAUGAGGAAGAAGUGGAAAAAGAAAAGAAAAAGGGAAGAUUAAUUAAAAAAUUGGAAAAAUUAAAAAUAAAAAUAAAAAUUGUCGUGCCAACGUUAGUCAAACGGUCGACGUCCACAUUAGUGCCGGCCGAUCAAAAUUAAUCGGAUGAAUUGAAUUGUUAUCAAUGUAAAAAAAUUUAUGAUUGAAUUAAUUUAAUUAAAAUAUUUAUAAUUGAAUUAAUAUCAAUACUAUAUAUUUAGGGCUUUAUUGAUCAUUUUUCAUAGCUAUCGCACCAACAAACAAACAAACGGACAAAAUUAUGGAGAUGCAAGUGCCCUGAGCGCUGGCCGACAGAAGCACGUGAUCAUCAUCUUUUAACGAGAAAAUGAAUGAUUGGAUAGCCUCAUUGAUGACAUGGAAGUGAUAGGCGGUAAUUCCACUAGGGCAUCUACUUUCGGAAAAGGAUGGAUUCUCCCUUUUUUUUCUUUUGUACAUUGGCGUACGGUAAAGCACCGGUGAGAGCAUUAAAUUCCAAAAAAAGAAAAAAGGCCUAUUGACUUAUGUCUUUGGUCGGUGCUUAAAUCAUGUUACUGUGUUGUCAUUAUACUUAGACAGCCAAAAAUGACUGAAGUGCCAUAUUAGAUCAAUUCGACAGGAGUUAGCAGAAAUCUUUUAUUGUAUUUUUUCUGAUAAGUUUAAGAUUACAUUGAUUCAAUUAAAGAGUUUAUACCUUCAUAGUUUCAAUCGUUAUAUCAAUUUUGAACUUUCCAACACUCCAUUACUUUGUUAAUGGAGAAAAUACCAAUUGUUUCUAAGCUUUAGAGGACCCAACACUCGCAUUAGACUCAAUGACUUCCUCUACCAUAGCUUAACUUAUGUUGGGAUCUAUGUCUUUCGAGAUCGAAAAGCUACGUGUCGGUGAAAGGAUUGACGGAUUGCUUCAACGAGCGAUCGACGACUCCAAGAUCUACACACCUAUCUUCUUUCGAACUUAUGUUUCAAGCCCAUGUGCUUUUGUGAGCUCGUGCAUAUUGUAGAAUAAUCCAAAUCAAAAGGCAAUAAAGCGGUCCUUCACCCGCGACAAGGCCCAAGUGAGGCUAGCCUCGCCCGAAUCUGGGAGAAGCCACCUUGCUCGUGACCCUCGCCAACCACUACAAGGAAUCCAAUGAGGAAGAAGAGGAAAAAGAAAAGAAAAAGGAAAGAUUAAUUAAAAAAUUAGAAACAUUAAAAAUAAAAAUUGUCGUGCCAACAUUAGUCAAACGGUCGACGUCCACAUUAGUGCCGGCCGAUCAAAAUUAAUCGGAUGAAUUGAAUUGUUAUCAAUGUAAAAAAAAUUAUGAUUGAAUUAAUUUAAUUAAAAUAUUUACAAUUGAAUUAAUAUCAAUACUAUAUAUUUAGGGCUUUAUUGAUCAUUUUUCAUAGCUAUCGCAUCAACAAACAAACAAACGGAGAAAAUUAUGGAGAUGCAAGUGCCUUGAGCGCCGGCCGACAGAAGCACGUGAUCAUCAUCUUUUAACGAGAAAAUGAAUGAUUGGAUAGCCUCAUUGAUGACAUGGAAGUGAUAGGCAGUAAUUCCACUAGGGCAUCUACUUUCGGAAAAGGAUGGAUUCUCCCUUUUUUUCUUUUGUACGUGGGCUUACGGUAAAGCGCCAGUGAGAGCAUUAAAUUCCAAAAAAAGAAAAAAGGCCUAUUGACUUUAUGUCUUUGGUCGGUGCUUAAAUCAUGUUACUGUGUUGUCGUUAUACUUAGACAACCGAAAAUGACUGAAGUGCCAUAUUAGAUCAAUUCGACAGGACUUAGCAGAAAUCUUUUAUUGUAUUUUUUCUGAUAAGUUUAAGAUUACAUUGAUUCAAUUAAAGAGUUUAUACCUUCAUAGUUUCAAUCGUUAUAACAAUUUUAGGAUAGAUUGUGUAAUUAUCUUGAAGGCAUGACAAUUUAGGUUUUUCAAUCCCAUGAUCGUGCUCAACUCAAUACAAUAUAUAUGCUUGCAUUAGACUUGAUUCAACUCUAAUGGCAAAAACUAAAUUACAGUGUAAAGCUUUACAAUCCAUCUCUAUUUCUGAUAAAAAAAAUUCAAAAUAAUGAUUUUUUUCUUCUUUUUUUUUUUGGUAAGUAUGAUUUUUUUUCUUUUGUCCUUAGUAAAAUCCUUUAAAUUAUUGACAAGGCUUGCAAGUCACAUGACUAUGGUAUUACAAAAUUUGACACCUUUGGCACGCACUCCAUAUCACUAGGUCCAAAUAUAUAAAAGAGGAAGUGAAGUGCUUUUUUAUGUAUGUAAAAAUAUCGAUCUUUCUAGAACCGGCCCUUUAUUUAAAAGUUGUUUUUCAUAUACAAUUAAACUGAUAUUUGUAACAAGAAACUUAUAGAGCUUAAAGUUUUCAAUUAGGAUAUGCCUUCUCUUUUAGCUCCAGCAGCCCAAUCAGGUUGAAAUCCACUACUUGAGCCAACAUUGCAAAUGCCAAGAACUUUGUAUAGUGCGAUUCUUUCUAUGAUUAUCUCACUAUAGACUAAAUAAUUAUUAGAUCUCUUCCAAUAGCCAUUCUUACACCUUGUGCACAUAGCGCAGUAGACACAUGUUCCCCAAAAUUAUUAACCACGCUUCCAAGUGUUUACAAAUAAUCAUUCGCAUAGUUUGUCUCUCACCUAGACAAUUGCAUUCUCUCUUUGUACAAUCACUUCUUCCAUGUGUAUACAAAUAUUUUUGGCACCAUUGCUAGCUUUUAGGAUCAAUACUUAGUAAAGAGAUAGAUCUCAAGAACGCUUGAUGUGCUUCAAUUUUUCUUGUUGCAGGCACUUGAUGGCAAGCUCCGUUUAACUUGUGGUUUGUCCUUAUAGGCCUCCAUAAACAACUCUGUGAUUCAACUGUUUCCUCACCGUCCCAUAUCAUUUGAUUGUUUUACUCGUAUAACCACUACUUUUUUUUUCAUGACGUGUUGUCGCGACCACCUUCUACAACUCUCAACCAUUUCAUAUUCACAUAUCAAAGAAAUGACCUGCUCAGAAACUUUAUUUAGAAAAAAUCCUAACUAUUAAACCGCAUCACUGACCUCCCUCCUCUUUUUCUUUAAGGUAGCAAUUUUACGUUCAUAUGAAAUAUCCUAAUUAACUACUCCUGGUCAAACAUUCCUAUUUGGCUCCUUUGUUUCAACCAUCCGAUUUGAGUUGAAACGCAGAAUGCGUUUCAUUUUCAUCACAUGAAAAAGGAACUUUAAGAAAGAGUAGUUAGAGAUCAUCAGCAAAUGAAAAAAAAAUCGAAAUGAUAAGGAGAGGGAGUAGAAAUUGGAGCUUACAAAUUCAGUACAAUGCUGCGAGACCUACUAUACUGUUGGCAAUUUAUUUGCCAUACUUGUAAAAUUUCAGAGAAUGUGGUUAUUCACUAUUUCAUUUCAAAGUCGGUAAAUUUCCAAUGGUGUCGUUAAGUUUGAUAAGUCAUCUAACAAUCAAAUUGACGGUCAUGCUUUCUUUUAGGGAUUGUACUGGAUAUUUUGGUUGGCCGGGUCCGCCUCUGUGGGGACCAGCUAACAUUAAUAAAAAAAGAGAAAAAAGGUGAAAAAGUCAAAGCAAAAAAGAAGAAAAGAAAGAUGGGCGGCUCGUGCGCGGAGUACAGGAGAGAGGACAGAGAGAGGGCACGCGGAGAAGAUAGAAACCAUGUAGUUGACAUUUGAUUAACUGAAGAGAGAUUUGGUGUUUCAGUUUACUUAUUGUUAUCGGACCAAUGAAGAUGUCAUUGACAGAUAAAGAUGCAUUCAGCUUGAUCUCUUUCAUUUUAUUACCCAAUUGUGUUUUCUCGUUUUUCUCUUCUUUUUCUACUCCUUUUUCAACUUUUUCUUUCCUUUCCUUCCAUGAGAAAGUUCCAAAAGUUUGGAUAAGCUAGGGGACAAGGUCAGGUGGUAUCAAAAUAAGUGGAAGAGCCUCAGUAAUCCAGAAGAAAUGUCAUCGUUCAGUUUGUUAUUAUUUAAAAAAGUUCUUUUCAAUGUUUCAUGCGUUGCAAAUAAUUUGCUCAUCAUAUGUAAAGGAUGUAGUCUUAGAGCAUAGGUCACGUGGUCCACCAAGUUAACUGGGGUGGAGUAGAGUUAUUUUCUUCUACUCAUUUAACUCGUUACAUAGGAUUUCUCUCUCUCUCUCUCUAUUUUUAUUUUUGAUAACUCAUACCAUACUUUUACUCAAUCAUCUAUGAUAUACAUGAAAACUUACUAGUUGAAUCUCGAUAAGUACCAAUAUAGAAGGUUUUGAGGUUGUGAUCUAUAAAAUUUGACCUGAUGAGACGUCUGUAGGCAUGUACAAUUUUGAAUAGAAGAGAAAUAGCAGGUCAAUAAACAACAAAAAGGAAAAGAGGAGAGGGAAGGCUUUGUCUACUUGAUGUCACUAGAAAAUUUUAAUUGGAUGAUUUGUAGUCAAUAGGACGAGGCUUUGUGAACCUGAAACGUGUUUUCAUGAGUAAUUCAUUGAAAAACCAUACCUUCUGCAAAGCAUGGCCAUCCAACCUAGUGUUUGAUGGGUAGGGUGGUUAUUUAGUUUAGCAUUGUCUAGGCCUGGUACUUUUUCGAUACUAUGACAUUGUUUCUCAUUUUCUUUUCCUUUUUCUUUUAUUGUGUCAUGAGGAAGAUUAUAUUUUAAAUGGAUGUCAGACCCAUAAAAUAUCCUAUUAACCUCAUGUACCUAGUGAGGUUUGAGCUAAAACUCGGUUUGUUGGUACCAACAUGAAUUGUUUGCAGUGGUUAGUGAGGAAAACCGAACUUAUGUUGUGCAUGUUACCCCCACACAUUUUUCUAUUCCUUAAGAUUUUCUAUUCUAAAAAAAACAAUGGAAAUCUAAUUGGUGGAUGAUCUAUUUGUACAUCCUCCCUACUUUUGGGCAGUUUGAAAGUCACUUAAAAUAGGAAUUAAAGUAGUCGAUCACUCCAGAAUUUAUUUUUCAAUCGUGAAGAUUUUAUUUCAGGUAGAGUGUAAAGUCAAUUUCUGCCACUCUUUUGAAUUUUGAUUCGUAGGUUGACUCUUGGCUUUAACUUCCACAAUAAUUUAGCCGAUUGUAUGCUUGAAAAGUUCUUAAUUUCGCUGGAUUGGGAACAGAUUAGUUUUCAUCAAAAUUGUGAAAUACCUAUGAAACAUAUUGUUUCAUUAUCCUUCUUGUAUAACUAUGCUAAAUAGAAAGGGGAAAAGGAAGAGGGAAGGCUUAUCUAUUGAUUUAUAACUAGCCUUGGUCAAUUUCUGGUAAUAACAUGUUUAUCUAUCUUGGAAGCUUUUAUCUAAGGCAGAUUAGGCACCAAGCACGUAGAAUAUCUUAUUUAUCUCAUGUAGCAGGUAUGGUAUGAGUUAAUGACAAGGGGGAUGUUGCUUCGAUAUGAAAAUGUUUGCAUUUGGUGAUGUGAGAAAUUCCCACGAGAUUUAUAUUUUUAUAUGAUACUGGUUCCUUUUAUAUAUAGAUCAUUUAUCGUAUUUCCAUCUCAACAAACGCAGUUGGACCUAUAUAUUUGACUUUCAUAAGUAUCUUUCGAGAAAUUUAGAAGAGCCUCUAUCUGUGUUCUUGCACAUAGUAUUCAUUGACAGAGAUUAAACACAACUGGUUGGUUUGAUUGCAUAAUUUUAUCAUCUUAUUCCUUUUUUCAAACUUUCUUGCAAGAUUGAUUGCAGUUUUAUUUUUCAGGAGUCGUGCUUCGAUUGGAUAUGUUCAUGAUUCGGAGGAGGCUUGUGAAAUUGUGAAGACGACUCGCAUCAUACUUGUCAACAUGUAGGGAUGGAACUAUCAUACAUUUUUAGUGGGUCAAUGCCCUAAAGACAGUAAGAUAAGGUAUUUCAUUUAACAAAAAAAGUAUAAAGAUGCGAUCGAGCUAUUUAUUGAUUUGAAGUAGUUUUUCUACGCAAAGUCUGACUUGAAAUCAACGCUUUGACAUUGAAUCGUGAAUGUGAACAAAAUUCGGUUUCAAAUCCCUAUGCUCAAGCUCAACUCAAUAUAGUAUAUACGGCUCGAAAUCGAACUCGAUUCAACUCCAUUAUUAAAAGCUCAAUUCUACUCAUUUAACUUGUUACGUAAGAUGUUUCUUUCUAUUUUUCCUAAUCAUAUACUAUACCUUCUGCAUAGCCUGGUCAUGCCAUUCGAUUGCUUUAUCUUCCGACUCUAUCAAGCCUCGUGUUUGAUUGGUGGUGUGGUCGUCUAGUAGUGCAAUGUCUAAGCCCGAUAAUUUUUUUAUAAUUGUUUAUCUUUUUACUUUUCUGUUUUUUGCGUCAUAAAGAAGUUUAUAGUACAUGGGAAAGACAAAAUACUGAUUUUGAUUUCUUGCAAGUUAGCGCAUGGUCCCUUAGAGGGCAACAAGGCUAAGCCUAAUUACAUCGAUGAACAAUGGAAGUUACUAAGAAGGCAAUGUGGGGUUUCAUUAGGCGUCAUCAGUUGGAUUUUAUUUCUUUAGAUAAACCAUAAGGAUCCCAUCCCACUGCUCCUUUUGCUCUUCCAAUUUCCAUCUUUUGGCAAUGGAAAACAGUAGCCACAACAAAACCGAUAUAAAUUAAGGAAUCGUUAGCUAGAUCCUAUGAGAAACAAUUGAUGUCGUCUCAUCCAUUGAUCGUCAAACUCUCAAGAUUAUAUGUCACAAUCGCACUUCCAUUCACUCACGGAACACUUCCUGGAUAUGUCCUUCCUCGGCACUUCAUUUCGAGUUGGGAUUAAUAGUUCCCCAGUACAGAUUGGAGUACGAAGCCCACCCAAAAAAUCAAAUAAAAUAAUCCGUUCUAUUUUGCCAGUAUCACUAGCUAACUUAGUUCCGAUGACUCUCUUCAGAAUAUGAGGCAAUAAUAGAGCAAAUAUGUCAAACGGUUCUCCACCAAGAGCAAGGACUCUUUUAUUAUGUUGGAUUGAUUGGUCGAUUUACGACAUUUUGUAUAGAAAUUACGAAAAAAUGCAAAUAAUUAUAAUUCGUUAUAAUUCAAAAAUUUAUUUAUUGAUGACCAUAAAACUGCUCAUGUAUUAUAAGAAGAAAUUCGAAAAAGCCUCUAACACAAAAGUUAUUCAUUGCAUCGAAUCUCCAACAUUGUAUAGUAGAUUAGACGAUCUAUCACCAUGCAUUAUUCAAGUUUCACACUCAAACAUAAAUACAAGCUUCUAAAUUCAUAAGCAUUCAAUAAGAUAAGAAAGACUAUUGUAAUUUAUGUCUCAUUUAUUGUCUAGAUUAGACAAGCCGGUACUCUUCCAUGCUUGCACUUCUCACCCCACUGUAGCCAUUGCCACCCCAACACUUCUGCCGCCGCCUCCGCCGCUGCCUUUGCCUCCGCCGCCGCCGCCUCCCUCGCCGCCUUUGCCUCCGCCGCCGCCUUUGCCGCUUCCUCCCCCGCCGCCUUUGCCUCUGCCGCCGCCUCCACCGCUUCCUCCCCCGCCGCCUUUGCCUCCACCGCCGCCUCCCCCGCCGCCUUUGCCCCCGCCCCCGCCUUUGCCACCCCCGCCUUUGCCUCCCCCGCUGCCUUCGUUGCCACCCCUGCCUCCGCCGCCGCAACCGCAGCCGCCGCCUCCGCCUCCGCUGCCUUCUCCACCACCACCUCCGCCGCCGCCUUCACUCGCCUCCGGAUGUAAUAGAAAAGGAAACCACAAAGCAUGAUGACAACACAUGACUACACCAACAAUAACCAACGUUGGAAUGUUAUUGUCAUCGGAUGAUACGGAAUUCGGAUCGAUCCAUCCCAAUGGAGGAGGAAAGUUCUGGAAACUCGGAUGAAUUUGUGGAUAGUUACUAUUCUCCAUCAAGAAAACUCUAUGGGGGUAGUUCAAUGCGAGCGGUGAGUCUACAAACAUAUUAUGAAGCAUCAAUCCGAGAGCCAAUUUACUCUUUUAUCAUGAUGAAUUGAUCAUAUGGUCCGAGCGCGAGAUUGAAAUGAUUCAAGAUGGAAUUCAGCGAGAUAUAAUAUGAGUGGAAGUAGGUGCUUGCACAUAUACCUUCACAAGAAGAACCAAGAAAAUCGGUGAAUGAUGUUGCGCCAAUGCUUACAUGAUUUGCAAAGAAGUGAGAAUUUUUGCCUGGUGGAGCAUAGCCCUAUAUAUGCCCCGCGCCGCUGCCUCCCUCACAGGGUGGGUUGGGUAAGUGUUUUAAUCAAUGCAUCACCUGUCUUUUUUGAGGGUGUAGUGUAAUAAUUGAAGCAUCUGGACAAAUAGUUGGGAAAUUUUAUUCACGUGCCAAAGAUCGUAAAAAUUAUCAAAAGAAUCAUAAAUCUAUUAUAAUUGUACUAAUUAAAUUAUAAAUAUUUUUUAAUCAAUUAAGUGCUAAAUAUUUUAUAUUUAUAUCAAUUCAAUUUGUCCGAUCAAAAUUGGCUACCCAACACUAAAAUGAACACCGUCGGUGCUGACGUGGAUAAUUUUUAAUAAUAUUUGAAUAUUUUUUCGAUUUGUAUUCCUAUUUUUCUUUUUAUAUUUUUUUUUCCUUUUCUCUUUCUUUCUUUUUUUUUUCUUCACUCCCUUCUUCCUUCGGCUGGUUGCCAGCGACCACUAGAAAUGAAGCUCCAGGAAGAACAGGAUGAACUUCAACUACUGUCUAGGCUCGAUCAGGUCUUCAUGUGUGAUGGUCCGGAGCUGGGAUUUAGGCCCAUUGAAAUGAUAUACAUGUUUGACUAUUCUGACUAUUCACAAUCUAAGGUGGUAAGAUUUUGGUGAAGGGCCAAGAAAAACAAUCAGGUCUGAAAUGAGAAAUUAUUAUAUGCUCUACAAAACGUGUGACUCAAUAUCAUCUUGAUCGUUAAUCCAAUAGAUCUCGCUAUGGCCCCCGGGAUCAAUUGUUGAACUGGUUUCGACAUGAGAUUUAUAGAACAUACAAUAACAUUUCAUGCACAAUGGGGUUACAGACGUGACCUAAAAAAUAAAUUCACUCUACUAUCCAAAAUAAAGUCCAGAAAAACUUAUUUUAGAGCCGACCUGCUAAGGAUAUAAGAGACCCACUGCCAAUUUGUUUCUAUUUCGAGUAUUGUAAAAACGUAGGAAAAUGUUCUAAAAUCCUCCUGAACUUAAACUGUCUUAGAUGGACACAUCAAAAAGUCACUAAUCUCACUCCUCGUGUUGGUUCAUUCUUGCCUACAUCUCUCUUAUAUGGUCAUGGGACUCAUGUCCGAACAAUACUAAAAAACAGCCAUGUCGCCAGCUAAUUAGAACGAUGGAAUUAAACGAUGAAACGUGGGGAAAACGACGUAAUGGCAAAGUCCGUCGUCUUGUCACAGUCGGCCACGAUCGUGUGUGUUUAGAAUCUUAUCCUUCCGACUUGAUUCGCCAUCACAUCAUUUUUAACCCCCAACUUUCGGACUCUUGGGUCUGUUGCUACCCCUGUGUCGCAAUAAUGAUCCAAUGCCACAAGAAAAGACCACUAGAUAGAUCCGACAAAUGCAUAAAUUGAAUCUAAUAAAAAAUCAAUUCAAAUUGACAUAUUUUAUUCAUUUUGACUCAUUUUCAUACAAUAAAAAUCAACUUACUCAUACACGACCUCACUCAUAUUUGACUUGACCUAUAUAUAUAAAACACUUCCAUAUUUAACCUAAUUUAAGAAAAUUCAUACUCAAACUAAAGUGAGAGUAAUUUAUGAAUUUAAUUAACACCCAUAUUAUUUUAAGUUUAAAUCAUUCAUAUAAUUAAAAAAAAUAGACUUAUAGCCCAUUUUAAUAGGUCUCUCAUCAAAUAAACAUGAUAUCCUGACAUUUAUGGAAAAUUGUCCCAAUUAUGUCACAUUGCAUAUACAUGUAAGAAGGAAGAUUGGGACAUCUCCCAAAAAUCAAGUACGUCAUCGACAUUGCAUCAGUUGAGAAAAGAGCAAGAAGAACCAUAAAUUAUAUGUUCAAUUCUACUUGAUUCAAAUGGGAUGUUGCCUGCCUUUGGGGAAGGACAUACAUGAAACGCAAUAACCAAAAUGCACAGAAGACUAGCGACUAAUAGUCACUAAUAAAGAUAUGGAAAAACACAUAAUGGAAAGAUUGUGUUGGAUUCCAAAGAAUUGAUAAUGUUCAAAUACCACCGAAAGAAAAAGGCAUCUUUUGUGUCAAGACCGCUCUCCUUUCUCAAGAUAAAGUUGACAGUGUCCUCCACAGUGUCUAGGACCUGCAUAGGUAAACAUAAAAGAGUUCAAUUGGGGUAAGCAAUUUUUGGAUGCACUUUUAAUCUUGGAAAAUUUGGAGAGAAGACAUAUUCCCCAUAAAAGUUGCUUUCAAUUGGGCAUAUUUUGGAAAUACUGACAUUUUGCUAGGCUGAAGAAGGAAAAGGUUCAGUCAUGUUUCAUCCAACCAAUUUAGAAUUGACCGAUCACCCAAAGUAGGGAAAAUUCCAAAUAAGGAUUUGAAAUGGACCAAUUUUCUCAAAUAAGAACCCAAAAUUAAUUUUAUGCCAGAUAAAGACCUAAGGUGAACCCAUUAUCUCAAAUAAGGAUUCGAAGUAGUUGAAUCAAUUCCAAAUAAGAACCUAAGUUUGCUAGUCAACUAAAUAUUCGUCGGCCAUCAAGCAUGUAACAUUUCUAACGACAGGAGUUUGGGCAAUUUUGUCCAAAAAAGUUAUAAGGAAAAGGGAAUUCCAAAUAAGGAUCUGAAGUAAAUCAAUUUUCUCAAAUAAGGACUUGAAAUUAACUUUAUGUCAGAUAAAGACCUAAAGUGAACUCAUUGUCUUAAAUAAGAACCCGAAGUGGUUGAAUCAAUUCCAAAUAAGAACCUGAGCUUUGUCGGCUAUCAAGCAUGUGACAAUUCUGACGAUGGAAGUUUGGACAAUUUUGUCCAAAAAAAUUAUAAGGAAAAUUCACAAAUCCUAAAAUAGCAAAAAAAAACCAUAGGUUUUCUACGGUCUUCCCGUUCCUUGUACCCGUCCCCUACAAAGUCAAAGACCAAAAAGUUCUCCCCAUUCCUUGUACCUAUCCUUCACAAAGUCGAAGACCCAAACUCUCCACCUAUUGAAGCACGCAUUAAAAAACAAGAAGAAAACCAUUUCUUUGUUUGUUUGCGGAGACCCAAAUUCUCCGCCAAUCGAGCAAGGCGAGGAGCGACGAGAAUCGAGUCACGAUGACAACCAAGCAGCGAUUUGGUUGAGGAAUAGCGAGGGAGAAGAAAGAAGAAAACGUAAACAUCUAAAUAAAUAACCUAAACUUAAUUAAUUUAGAAUUUUCCAUUUUUUUACAAUCACAAAUUUCUAACAAAAUUGCCCCUAUUUUAAUCGAUGGAAAAUGUUUGCUGACGAGCUAAGGUCUUUAAUAGAAAUUAACUUAAUUACUUCGGAUUCUUAUUUGACACAAAAUUCACUUUAGAUCAUUCUUCGAAACAAUUAAUCCACUUCGGGUCCUUAUUUGACACAAAGUUCACUUUAGGUUUUUAUUUGAGAAAAUUGAUUCACUUUGGGUCCUUAUUUGGAAUUUUCUCCCCAAAGUAUAGCAAAUCAAGGUACAUAAGAAUGGGAGGAUUAUCCACGCUGACAGCUCAAAACCACUUGAGGCCAUGUUUGGUUCAUUGCUCUGGAAUCAUGAAAAGGAAUCUCAAUCUAAGCAAUCGAAUUCCUAGAUGUGGGGUUCAUUCUCUAUUGUCCGGUUUCAAUAUACAAAUGGAGGGAGAAACGUCUGAUGUGAGAUGCAAAGUGAGGUAAAAACAUGUCAGAAAUGGAAUGUGAAAUAUUUCUCCAAUCCACAUAUCCAAAGUGGCUAAUGAAAAACUAGGGAUAGAAACAGAAUGAAGAACCACAUACGAUCCCCAACAAUUUCCCGAUUAUUGUCAUCUAAAAUGAUCAUACAAUUCACACAAGCAUUUCACAAACACAUUACAUAUAGCUCCUCAAGAUAUUGUGAGUCAAGCAUUUCACACAUAAUCUGCAACAAUGAAGAUAAAGCCAUUCCCAUGUAACUUCUGUUAAAUUAAUGUCUCAAAUUUGAAUUCAUAUAACGAUUUGAUGAAUCGAAUUUAUUGAUAAAGAUUUCUCAAGUAGAUUUUAAAUUGGAUGAAUAAGCCCUUCUUUUUUUGGAUUCCUUAUAUUUGCACAAAGGAGUAAAUAAAAUAAAGAAAAAAAAUUAAGGGUUAUCUACUCUCUCUCUUUUUUUUUUUGUACAUGCAGAAGAAGGCAGAAGAAGAAUUGAUAGUGGAGAAAAGAAUCCAAGGUGGGGCAAAGUCAAAGUUUUGAUUUUGGGCACACACACAAUAUAAAAGGCAUGUUUUCAGCGGAAAAGGAAAGUGAAGCCCUAAAAAAAAAAAAAAAGCCGCACAUCCACACGUAUAGACGCCGUACAACCCUUGAAGAGGUAGAGAAUGCGAAGCUAUACAUACGUGGAUUGGCGUACAUAGAGCAUUUUAUUUUGACCUUGAAUGCGCGGUACUUUGAGCUUGAAUGCACGGAAAUUUUGUGCAGUAAAUUUAUGUCCAAGUGAAUUGUUUAUUUAUAAACAUUUUUGGUUUGGACUUAAAUCUAGGUGUGGGAAACACUCAAGCGUGUGAGAGAUUGUAAACUCUAAUUCUCCAAUUAUAAUGGAUUAUUUGCUACUAGUUCUCCCCGUGGACGUAGAUACUAAUACUCGGACCAAACCACAUAAAUUUCCGAUGUCCUUAUUAUUUCUCGUUUAUUUCUCUAAUGGUUUUGCGUUAACAUAAAUUGCAAGAUUCUAUCGUUUUCGAGUAUUAUAUUCCAACAACUUCAAACUACUUCACAGCUGUGAUAUUCUUAUCCUUAUUGUUUUUUGAGUCAAAGACCCAAUCACGAGAACAAAUGGAGUGAAUGCAACUCAGCCAAGUGUGUUAAUGGAACUUUAUAUCCCCACCCAAGCCAAUGUGAUGUACGUAGUGGCAUCUCCAUUAACAGACCACACAAGUUUCACAAUAGCGAGAGAGACAAAUAAUUUCACCUAGUAGAGGAAUGUGAGGGCCAUGGAAUCAAGAGGCAGGCGAAACUCCCAUGGAAGGAUUUGAAGAUGAUGAAUGGAGAGAGAGAGAGUUCUGGCUUUCUAGGAUUUGAAGAUUUAUGAAGCUCAAGAGUACUAAGCGUGUUGGGUUCAUGAAUGUUUUUUCCUCCUGGGAAUCCAGUACCACCUCUACCCGAGCAAUCCAGUUUUGCAUUAGGAGUAUCCAUUAACUAGGCACUUUGAUUAUAUGAUCAUAAAUCCAUCUAUAGAUGAGCUGCAAUAGCAUUCCAUUUCAUGUUUAUUACUCCAAGGUGAACCGAACAAGGCCUAAGUGAUUACACGAUAUACCAUACUUCUGAAUGUUUUCAUGGUGGAAUCAAUGAUCUGCAGUCUCAACCAUGACUUUCCAGAGGAUCAUGUAUCUAAAAUCUCUAAACCAAAGAAGUGAACAUGCACAUGAUUCGCUUACUUAAGAACCUACCAUCAACUCACCCCAACGUACAUGCAAGGAGAGAUGAGAGAGACAGAUAGUUAGUACAUGCAUACGCACUCUUCCAUGUCUUUUCAAUUCAUAUAAUAUAAUAUAGGUAGUGCAUUUCCCUAGUUUCCAAGAAGAAAGCACAUGAGAUGAAAGAUAUUAGAUGUGUUCUUUGAUAUCCACGUACACGUACAAGAUGUGUGCAUUCAAUAAAGUCCAAUUUCACAGUUUUGAACCUACUAAAUUGUGUACCUAUAAAUAAUUCUUGUACAGGAGAAUUCUUAUUAAGCUAAUAAUACACAUGCACAAUAUUUUAUUUCGUGAUCCCAGAUUUUAAUAAUCAUGAGUGAGAUAGAUGAAAAAAGCAAAUGUUAUCGAAAAUGCUCAGUCCCGAUUUACAUUAGCGUGCCACAUUUCUCAUUGGACAUUGGUCAUGGAGAUAAUCCAACAAAUCCUUACCUAUUUACCAGUUGUUUAAAAGGUGUGUGGCCCUGUAUGACCUGCAAAUUAUCUUGGUCAAAAUAUGAGAGAAAAACGAAACAAAGUAGUUCUGGACCUUAUAACAAGCAAAAUCGUGAGGGCAAGCAGAUUUUGUAACACAAGAGAUGAACUACCUGUGAAGGUAGAAUGUUGACUCCUAGUAGUUGACCUAAGCCCUGGGCUCUUUUGGAUUCAGAAAAGCCACCUCCUGCAUCAGCCAUUGCUAUUAGCAGUGUGCAGUAAACAUUAAUUAUCACUUCGUCAGGAAUUAACAAGUGAAAUUAAUUAUUUCAAGGGAGUAACCUAUUAUAUGAUUAUAGGUAAGGGCAUCUCAAAAGGCGUCACAUAUUCAAAUUGCUUGAAUGACUUAAACAUAAGAUAGCGGCAAUCUCAAAAUCAUCAAAACGAUUACUGUUAGAUCUUAAAAGUACCAAUACUUGCUGAAAGUGAAUAAUCAACCACAAUAAGCGUAUGAUGCCCAGGAUGCAACUUGAAAACUUUAGUUUGACCAUCAUAUCACGGCACUCACCGGUGAUGACUCUAUAGGAACGGUCACAUUCGCUAACACACAUCGAAAGUGAGAAAUGUAAUAGUAAAGGUUACUAACACAUUUAAGCAAUUUCGAACACUCACCAUUUGUUAAGAACACGAAAGGUAUCUUCAAAUCUCCUGAAAAGAUGUAGAACAUAAAGUAAGUGAUAGCAGUUUACAAAUAGCAGAUACGAAUCUCGAUAUCCGCCGCCCUUUACUGUCCAUCAGAAAUUUCGGUAGCAAUCAGUUCGCAACGUAGAACAUUGGAAGACAGAUGAAACAGCACGAUCGCCAGCAUGAGACAAGCCUCGCAGGUAUAUCAGCAAGCGAUGGCGAAAGCUUUAGCAGAAUCGUAGUACAAUCUCCUCAGCGCGCGGGGAGAACCGCGGACGGGAGUGUGACCGAGGAGGACCACGCCGUCGAUGUCAAAGGCGAUGCCAAACGAAGGCCUGCACGACGAAACCACGUUUGUCGAUUCGAUCACGGACUAAAAGAAGAAGAAGAGAAAAAGAGAACAUCGGAGAAUAUCACGAGCGUAGUCGAAGCAUGACCGGAACGCACCGAUCCGAUUGCGAGCUAAGCCGCGAAAACAAGCGCGAGGUGAGCGGGGACGGCUGCUUUCUGCCACGACUCCGCGAGGCGAUGGUGAAAAGCCGGUGCCUCAUUUUCCUGUUCGCGGUGAAUCGCUUCGGGAGAUCGAGGAGCUCGAAUCGCCGGAGAUGAAGCUCCAAGAAGAACGGAACGAGCUUCAACAGUCCAUAGAGAAUAGAGGAGAGAGAGAGAGAGAGAGAGAGAGAAUGGCGCAAUCGCGCAGCGUCUUCUCGUUCGAUGUUCAGGGGCCGUGAAUUGGGCCCAGUGAAAUGAUGGGCGGGCCUCGAUAACGCAUCGGCCUUUCCUUCGGAUCCGAGCUCAACGGUUAAGCUUGAUUUUGGUGAACGUUUUUGGGCUGUUUUCUUUAGUUCUUUCAUUUUUUGUUGUAUUUUUCUCUUCGGGCCUAGUAAUUUGGGCUCCUUGUCUCGGAACCUCUCGAGAGAAUCGUCAACUGCAUCUUUGGUGCACCUGGUGCAUGUACAUCUAGGAAUUCUCAAUGGGCUAGUCGUAAAUGGCCCCACCCUAGGACUAUGAGACCAAUGGUUAUCCCAAACCUACACCGAGAUGUUGACGGUGAUUUUCAAAUUAUUGAAAAACAGGGUGUGAUAUGAUGAAAUAGGAUGCAAUAGAGACAAACACAAAAAAUGAACGGAUUGCUUUCUUCUUUUUUUCUUUCUAUUUCUUCGUAGCAUAGUUUGGAUUAGUUGCGCAAAAUACUUGUACUCUAUGAGACACACUCUGAUUAUAGAACAAAGUCACUUUGUCUGGUUUUUCCUUUUUCAUGCUUUGCCCUCUGGCUAAUUUAAAGAUGUUGCCAAAAUUCUGGUAAAACUAUGAAAUUCUGCUCUUUUCAUGGCUAUAUUUGAUGUGAAGACUAACAUAUCGAACACCUACGACACCACUAUUCUAGCAUGUCUUUUUUUUUUAUGAAAAUAUUAUAGCGUGCGUUUGACGACUCAAAGUCUAAGGGGACAAACUUCUGGUGGGGGACCGCGAAAAACAAUCAGGUGGAGAAAUUAUUGCAUGCUUCACAAACUAUACAAACCAAUAUCAUCUCGGUCAUUAAUCAAAUAGAUCUCACUAUGAGUUUCGAUGUGUGAAUUAUUGAACAAAAUUUCGACAUGUGACUUAUAGGCCAUACGAUACAUCUUCAUACGAAAUGGAGUUGGUCAACGAAAAUUCACACUAUUGUCCACAAUCGAGUCCACAAAAAAUUAUUUCAGAGCCAACCCAACUAAGGUAAAAGAGAUAUGCAGCCAAUUCAUUUAUCUUUUUUAGUAUUCUAAAACGUCGGAAAAAUAAAACACUUGUCUUAGGCCCUGUUUGGUUCAACUUUCCUAAUGGGCUUUGAGCUCCUAAAAGCCCUUGGGGAAAAUAUUUUGUGCUUGGCAUGUAUUUUUAAAAGCUCUUUUGCCCAAUGUCAACAUUCCCAAUGCUGAAACCAAUGCUAGAGAGAGGCUACUUUGAGCAUUGGCAUUUUGGAGAUGCGAUUUCACCGUUCACCGAGUCACUGUUCAUAUUCUUCUUCCCCGCCCAUCUUCUUCGCCGUUCAUCUUCUUCUUCCCCCGCCCGAGAGUCGACUGAGCUUCGUGGUGGGCGACCGGGGCUAGAUUUGGCCGUCAGGAAGCCUCGCCUGAGGUUGCGCAGCCUCAGGCGAGGGGGCCUGAGGUCGGGCAACCUCAGGUGUCGCCUAGGUCGUGCGACCCAAGCACUGCCACCUAAGAUCAAACGACCCAGGCGACGCCACCUAAGACCGCGCAACCACAAGCUACAUUUUACUCGUAGUUUGUCCUUAUAGGCCUCCAAAAACAACCCUCCUGUUCAACCAUCUGAUUCAAGUCGAUCACAAAAUGAGUUUCAUUUCAUCAUACGGAAAAUAGACAUUUGGAGGGGCUACUUAGAGAUCAUCAACAAAUGAAAAAAUCCAAAUGAUAAGGAGAGUGAGCAGAAGUUGAUAAGUUUAUAAAUUGACUUAUUAUAGUGUUUACAAUUUAUUUACGAUGCUUGUAAAAUUUCUAAGGAGUUGAUUAUUCUUUAAUUCAUUUCAAAGUUGGUAAAUUUCUAACGGCAUUAAUAAGUUAUUGAUAGGUUAUUUGGCAAUCAAAUUGACCGUCGUGCUUUUCUUUUAUCGACUGUACUAGAUGUUAAUGUUGGCUUGGUCUACCUGUGUGGGGCCCGGUUAACGUUAAUAAAUAAAAGAAAAGGUCAAAAGUCAAAAAUGCAAUAAAGGAAAAGAAAGGCGGGUUGCUCGUUUGGAGAAGACAGGAAAUGGGCUGCGACAUCCGGUCUAGAAUCAAAGGCCAAAUAUCAUCAGAGUUGACUCAAAUUUCAAUAUAUUAUUAUAAGACCGAGACAGAUGAGUCAAGACAGGUGAGUCCAUCAGUUUCAUUUGUCAAUCCGUUUUGCUCAUUGAACACUUUUUCUAAAUUAUCUCAAAUUUCUCCAAUCGCAAUUAGGGUUUCUUACUUCAUAUAUUAAUCCGUUUUUACAGUGACGAAAUGUCAUUAAAUUAUUGAUAUUGAAUCUCUAAUAUAUUACUAAAGAACCUCUGUGCAUUUUACUAUUUUUUGUGAUUAGUGAAAGUUUUUGAAUUGUCCAUAAUUUUUUUCACAUUGAAUUUUUCAUGUAAACUUGUCGUGUUUGCUUUUGUCUGUUUUUAUCAUUUUGGCAUUAUUUUUAUUCAUUAUGAGAUUAUAUUGCGGGAAUAUAUUGCCUGUUAUCAUGGGAGUUGAGUGGAUUUUGGUCCAUUUAAUCUUGGGAAGAAAUUGAUUCUACAUUAGGUUAAUUUUUUAUGAAUCGUUGCCGGUUCUCUCGAACUUUGUAUCAAUAAUUUUGGAAAUCCAUCAGGUAAGGGAAAUUUUCCGCACUUUCCUUUGACUACCCUGCGCUCAGUCCCGAAAGCUUAAGUCAGCCGCACCUUUGAUUUUUUGUCUCAUCAACCAAUAGCAUUUCAUUUUAGGGUCUUCGUCGUCGCGGAAAAGGAUGAUUUCUAUCCCAAUCGCGUCCUCAUUGGCAUCUUUGAUUUUUUUGUCUCAUCAACCAAUAGCAUUUGAUUUUAUGGUCUUCGUCGUGAAAAAGUAUGAUUUCUGUCCCCAUCGGCAUCUUUGAUUUUUUUGUCUCAUCGACCAAUAGCAUUUGAUUUUAUGGUCUUCGUCGUCGUGAAACGUACGAUUUCUGCCCCAGUCGUGUCCUCAUCGGCCCAAAGCAUUUUACUUGCUUUUCCCAGAACUACUCCAUAAUUGCCUCGAACGCGUUGACGCAGCCACGUUCUACGACUUUUAGCCAUUUCGUCUUCACCUAUCGAAGGGAUGAUCCAGUCAAAAAUGUUGUCCAGCAAAUUUCUUGUUCUCCCCCUUUUUUUGAAGUUGAUAAUUUUAUGCUCAAAUGAAAAUCCUAAUUAGCUACUCCUGAUCAAAUAUUGCUAUUUCUCUCUCCUCUUUCAAUAUAAUCCGAUUCGAGUCGAUAGCAAGGAGAAAAGAGGGCAUGUCUCGACGAGGCUUGAGCCUCGCCGAUAGUUGGCGAGACCUCCAGCUCACCAGAUCGGUAGGCCCGAGCAUGCCUGAUGCCAACGAGUUCAAGGCUCACUAGAUUUGCAAGGCUCAAGCCUCACCUGAUGCCGACGAGCUCGAGCCUCACUUGACCAGUCAUUGGCCAUCGCCGUGUCAAUAGCCAACUAAGAAAGGAGGAAGAAGAAAUGGGAAAAAAAAUAAAAAGAAAAUUAAAAUAUAAAAAUAAAUAUAAUUUCGAUUUUUAUAUUUAAAAAAGUUAAAAAGGGAAGAGAGAGAUUAUGACGCUUUAGUUGAAAAUGGGUUUUAAAUCCAACUCAUUUAAAACCCAUUUAUCUUAAAUCUUCAUUUUUAAACCCAUUUAACUAGUUUCUUUAAAAAAUAAGUGACUCAUAUAUAACACAUUUAUGAUUUAAAUAGGUCAAAUAUGAGUCUAAAAUCCAUUUUGUCACUUCUAGCUGUAAGUGGGUUGAUUUAUUGUGAAAGUUUCGAACUUUGUUGAUUCCAUUUGCCGUGAGUGCGAAGCAUCGCGUUGCCCGAGUCGACCCGGGUUUUUCCGCGCUUGUGCGUUAAUGUGGAAAUAAGAAAUUGUUCCUCGCCUUCCAGAUAAACCGAAGGAUAAUAGCUACCAGUUCAAAGGUCAGAUCUUUCCUUGUCUUGUCACGGAAGAUUCUGAAGCCACACUUCAAUUCGUGUUAUAUUAUGAUCUGAGAAAUAGAUGUUUACUGCGGGGUUUGUCCAAAUCGGUUUCGUCCAGGGCCACGAUAAGAAGAGAUGCUCCAAUGUUCCUUUUUUCAAACUCUCUUGCAAGAUUGAUUGCAUUUUUAUUUUUCAGGAGUCGUGCUUUGAUUGGAUAUGUUCAUGUUUCAGAGGAGGCUUGUGAAAUUGUGAAGACAACUCGCAUCAUACUUGUCAGCAUGCAGGGAUGGAACUCUCAUAUAUUUUUAGUGGGGUCAAUGCCCUAAAGACUGUAAGAUAAGGUAUUUCAUUUAACAAAAAAAAUUAUAAAGAUGCGAUCGAGCUAUUUAUUGAUUUGAAGUAGUUUUUCUACGCAAAAUUUGACUUGAAAUCAAUGCUUUGACAUUGAAUCAUGAAUGUGAACAAAAUUCGGUUUCAAAUCCUUGUGCUCGAGCUCGACUCAAUAUAGUAUAUAGGGCUCGAAAUUGAACUCGAUUCAACUCCAUUAUUAAAAGCUUGAUUCUACUCAUUUGACUUGUUACGUAGGAUGUUUAUUUCUAUUUUUCCUAAUCAUAUAUUGUACCUUCUGCAUAGCCUAAUCAUGCUAUUCGAUUGCUUUAUCUUCUGACUCUAUCAAGCCUUGUGUUUGAUUGGUGGUGCGGUUGUCUAGUAGUGCAAUGUCUAAGCUCGAUAAUUUUCUAAUAAUUGUUUAUCUUUUUAUUUUCCAUUUUUUACGUCAUAAAGAAGUUUAUAGUACAUGGAAAGACAAGAUACUGGUUUUGAUUUCUUGCAAGUUAGCGCAUGGUCCCUUAGAGGGUGACGAGGCUAAGCCUAAUUACAUCAAUUGAACAACAGAAUUUACUAAAAAGGCAAUGUGGGGUUUCAUUAGGCAUCAUCAGUUGGAUUUUAUUUAUUUAAAUAAACUAUAAGGAUCCCAUCCCACUGCUCCUUUUGCUCUUCCGAUUUCCAUCUUUUGGCAAUGGAAAACCAUAGCCACAACAACACAGAUAUAAAUUAAGGAAUCGUUAUGCUAGCUAGAUCCCAUGAGAAACAAUUGAUGUCAUCUCAUCCAUUGAUCGUCAGACUUUCAAGAUUAUAUGUCACAACCGCACUUCCAUUCACUCACGAAACACUUCUUGGAUAUGUCCUUCCUCAGCACUUCAUUUCGAGUAGGGAUUAAUAGUUCCCCCCGUACAGAUUGGAGUACGAAGCCCACCCAAAAAGUCGAAUAAAAUAGUCCGUUCUAUUUUGCCGGUAUCACCAGCUGACUUAGUUCCGAUGACUCUCUUCGGAAUAUGAGGCAAUAAUAGAGCAAAUCUGUCAAACGGUUCUCCACCAAGAGCAGGAACUCUUUUAUUAUGUAUGUGGAUUGAUUGGUCGAUUUACGACAUUUUGUAUAGAAAUUACAAAAAAAUGCAAGUAGUUAUAAUUCAUUAUAAUUCAAAAUUUUAUUUAUCAAUGACCAUAAAACUGCUCAUGUAUUAUAAGAAGAAAUUUAAAAAACUCUUCAACACAAAAGUUAUUCAUCACAUCGAAUCUCCAACAUUUUAUAGUAGAGUAGACGAUCUAUCACCGUGCAGCACUCAAGUUUCACACACAAACAUAAAUAGAAGCUUCUAAAUUCAUAAGCAUACAAUAAGAUAAGAAAGACGAUCUAUCACCGUGCAUCAUUCAAUUCCAACAACCCAUGCCCCUGCUGGCACCCCUGCCCACAGUCAGGGCAUUUUGUACUUGAAAAAAGCUGGUACUCUUCCAUGCUUGCACUUCUCACACAUAAAUAAUAAUGGCGUCCCCCUUAGCAACCCCCGCUCCCCCUGUAGCCCCCGCUGCCCCUUCUCCCCCCGCUCCCCCUUAUCCCCCUUAUCCCCCUUCUCCCCCCGCUCCCCCCGCUGCCCCUGGUCCCCCUUUGGCCCCCGCCGCCGGAUGUAGUAGAAAAGGAAACCACAAAGCAUGACAGCAACAAUGACUAAACAAACAAUAACCCAUGUUGGGGUGUUAUUGUCAUCAGAUGAUACGGAAUUCGGAUCGAUCCAUGCCGAUGGAGGAGGAAAGUACUGGAAACUCGGAUAAGUUUGUGGAUAGUUAUUGUUCUCCAUCAAGAAAACUCUGUGGACGUAGUUCAAUGCGAGUGGUGAGUCUACAAACAUAUUAUGAAGCAUCAAUCCAAGAGCCAAUUUACCUUUUUGUCAUGAUGAAUCGAUCGUAUGAUCCGAGCGCGAGAUCAAAAUGAUUCGACACGGAAUUCAAUGAUAUAUAAUGUGAGUGGAAGUACGUGCUUGCACAUAUACCCUCACAAGAAAAAUGGAGCAAAUCAGUGAAUGAUGUUGCGCCAAUGCUUACGUGACCUGCAAAAAAGUGAGAAUUUUCGCUUGGUGGAGGUAUCGUUAUAUAUGCCUCGCGACACUCCCUCCCUCCCUCAUGAGGUGGGUUUUUUUUUUUUUUAUUAUUGGCCAAAAGAUAAUAAUUUUCAUUACUAACCAACUAAGGGGGCAUCAUUAGUUGAAAAGUCUAAACAUACAAUUCAACAUAGAGAACGGGGAGAAUUUGAACUCCAAUUGCUGGAAAGUAAGCUGGCUCGGUAGGUUAGGUAAGUGUUUUAAGUAAUACAUCAUUUUUUUUGAGGAUGUAGUGUAAUGAUUGAAGCAUCUAGACAAAAAGUUGGGAAAUUUUAUUCACGUUCCAAAGAUAGGAAAAAAUAUUAAAAAAAUCAUAAAUCUAUUAUAAAUGUACCAAUUCUAUUAUAAAUAUAUGUUUAAUCAAUUAAGUACUAAAUCUUUUAUAUUUAUAUCAAUUCAGUUCGUCUGAUCAAAAUUGGCUGCUCAGCACUAAAAUGAACACAAUGCAUUCUAUGAGUUACCGUCAACACUAAUGUGAAUAAUUUUUAAUAAUAUUUUAAUAUUUUUUCAAUUUUUAUUCCUAUUUUUCUUUUAAUAUUGUCUUUUCUUCUUUUUUUCCUUUUCUCUUUCUUUCUUUUUUUAUUUUUUUUCUUUCACUCACUUCUUCCUUCGGCUGGUCGCCAGCGACCACUGGAAAUGAAGCUCCACAAAGAACGGGGCGAGCUUCAACUACUGUCCAAGCUCGAUCACAUCUUCAUGUGUGAUGUUUAGGAGCUGGGAAUGAUACGCAUGUUUGACUAAUACAGUCCAAGGGAAUAAGAUUUUGGUGAAGGGCCAAGAAAAACAACCAGGUCUAAAAUGAGAAAUUAUUAUAUACUCUACAAAAUGUGUGAUCCAAUAUCAUCUCAAUCAUUAAUCAAGGUAGAUCUCGUUAUGGGCCCACGGGGUCAAUCGUUGAACUGGGUUUCAACAUGAGAUAUAUAGACCACACAAUAACAUUUCAUGCAAAAUGGGGUUAUAGACGUGACUUGCAAAAUAAAAUUCACUCUACUAUCCAAAAUCAAGUCCAUAAAAACUUAUUUUAGAGCCAACUUGCUAAGGAUAUAAGAGACCCAUUGUCAAUUUGUUUCUAUCUCGAGUAUUCUAAAAAUGUAGGAAAAUGUUCCAGGAUCCUCUUAAACUUAAACUGUCUUAGAUGGAUACAUAAAAAAAAACCACUAAUCUCAGUCCUCGUGUUGGUCUAUACUUGUCUACAUCUCUCUUAUGGUCACGGGACUCCUGUCCGUAGUGAAACGUGGGAGAAAACGACGUAACGGCAAAGCCCGUCAUAUCGGCGCUGUCGGCCACGAUCAUGUGCGUUUAGAAUCUUAUCCUUCCGACUGACUCGCAAUCACAUCGUUUUGUCCCCCAACUUUUGGACUGUCGGGUCUGUUUCUCCUGUUGAGAAAAUAUUAGGUACGUGAGACGCUCGAGCGUGGCAAACAAGAAGGCGGUGGGAGCACGUGUCUCGUGGGACCCACAAUUUCAGGCGCCCAUUUUGAAAAUUUUCCUGUACUGUAGCUUCUGGAGAGGGGGUUGUCUGUCGCGCGGGUUCUUCUUUGCGCCUCUCUCUACCCUCGCUUUCUCUCCCCGACGAACUCCUUCUCUCUCUGCCUCGCUUUUUCCGACCGGCGAGCCACCACGAGCAACCGACGAACCAGGAGGAUACCGGCGAGACGACCGCGAGCAACCGACCGGUGUGCGACCUCCCUCUCUCUCUCUCUGCCCUCCCUCUUCCCGACCGGCGAACAACCGCGCCGCCCUUCUGGCUCCGCUUCUGGCCCCGACUCGUCCGUCCCGUACUCUUUGUCUCUCCUCGCUUCUCUGUCUGCCCUCCCUCUCUUCGACAGCGAACCACCGCGUGACCGGCGAACCACCGCGCCACCCCCCUCCGGCUCCAGAUCCGGCACCGGCUUGUCCAAGUAAUUUCUCGCUUUCUCUUUUCUCUCUUUUAUAGGAGUCCAGCGAUGCCUGAAAAGUCAUUAGUAGUAUGCUUUUCGCCUGUAAUUUUUCUUUAAUCUUGGGUCUGGCUAUUCAUUAUGCCAGUAGGACAUACUCCGAAAAGGCUCUAAAAUGAGUGCUAUUGUUGCAAAUCAUGGAUAGUCCUUGAAAAGCCAGAUCUGUCAUUCUUCCAUAUUGAUGUUUAUAUGUAUAUUCCCCAAUAACUUUGCUGAGAUGCACUGCAAAUGCAUCCAGUCUCAAUUGAUUAUCGUCAUGCAGUGUAGAUUUUUCUUGCUUCUGAGAUCAUUUGGUCGUAUUUGUUUCCGUGUGUUUACGAUGCUUAUGGUAAUACUGUACUCUCUUAGUGUUCAUUCUGAUAUUUAGUCUGCCGUUCCUCCUCUCUCAGGUUCUUGUGGAACUGUCUAUCACGCUCUGUGGUACGGAUCAGUGUGUUCUUCUACGCCCCUUAAAUUUAGUUUAACAGGGUGAUGCAUGCUGUCAUGAUGUAAAAUGCAUGUACCUCACUUCAUGGUAUACGCACUACUUAUCUCACUCCUCUAAUAGCGUUUGGCUAUCUCUUAUGCUAUUCACUUACGGACUUCAAGUUCUCUUUAUAAUAUGUAAUGCAUGGUGGUGGAGUGAAUUUUACUCGUGUUGCCGACAUGAAACACAGGAGAAAUGUGUCAUCUGUCUGGACAGUAGGUAUUAUUCUGUGUUUUGCUAUAAGUGGCACGAUAAAUGUGGCACAAAUACCUGUUGUGGAGAAGUGGAAAAAAAGGAGAUUAGUGUUGUAAAUGGCUUUGUGAUAUCGUGUUGUUCCCAUAUAUAACUAAAUGAUGUGGGUAACUUUAGUUGGUGCGUUCUGCUAUGUUUUACUUAUUUUGCUAAAUGAAAGAGGAGAUUUAGUGCAAUGCAUUUGGCUUCUCACUUUAUCUCACUGUUUGGUAUAGACCUAUGCGAUCUCCUCAUGAUGAUUUUUUUUCUUUUUUUUGGAUUUUAACUUUCUCUGCAUUUAACUUGGUCCCAAAGAUGUCCCGCCUAGAAAACAAAACAUAAUUGCAAAGAAGGAAAUAGAAAAAGGAAAUAAGGAAGAGUUGCAGAUAGUCAUUGAAGAAUGCAAAACAGAUAUCCCCUGAGAUCAGAAAUGGCCAUCCUUCAUGAGCUUACUUAAAUAUUAUCUGGUGACAAACUAAUGUGAAGUUAUAAAAAAAUAAAAAAUAAUAAUAGUUGGAAUUUUGGGUUGAAUAAGCAUCAAGAACUGUCACCGGUUAAAGAUUGGUCACGUCAAAAUGGGAAGCGAAGACUAACUAAACAUUCUGGCUUUAUUUAAAUUUGUUGUAGCAAGCAAAUAGAAGUCUAAAGUUUGUGAACUCCAUUUUGGGAAACGGAUGCAGCCAUUUCAUGCAUUCUUACGUGUGUAUAUCUUUAUUACAACAUGUUUGUAGGCCACGAAUUCAUACUAUUGGAUGAAAGGAAGGUGCGACCGAAUACCUGAUUUGAUGGCAAUCACAGAAACUAAAAUUGGUUUAGAGGAAAGUAGCACUAAAUCCCAUGAUGCAAAUGAAAAUAUGCAAUGUCAUUACAGAAUUAAAAUUCUAAAGCCCAUAGAAAAGAAUAUAUACAUCUCUAUUUACUAACAAAUUAAACCCAGCAAAUGCUAUUUCAAACAUACAUACCAAUAUCUUCACUUAUACCAAAAUCCGACUCUCAGAAAUCCCUCACUGACGCCUUCUCGUCCUAGUUGCUGGUAGUUGUAGAGACUGAAAAAGGACUGCGAUCAAACGUGUGUGCAAGUCACCAAUGAGUGGAUUAGCACAAAUCUCUUCAAAGGUGCCAGAUAGAUCGAGUACUCACUAUUAUAAAAAGAUACCAUAAAUACAUCUGUAAAGUAUUCGUACAAUAUUAAAAAAUUAGUUGCAUGACUUCAACAAAGCUUUGUACAUGUCAGAUCUAUUCAUUCCAUCAACUAUAUCAAAGUAAACACAUGCGGUCCAGUCCAUUGACUAAGGCCACGCUUAACAUUCGUGAUAAGCCCUACCGAGAUUCUCACUCGGCGUAAGGGUCUACUUGCAUCGGUCAGUGGAUUCGCCCAAUACAAUGUCUUGAGAAUUAUUUAUUAAUGUGAUCCCACAUUCAGGUUAUAGUUUUUGUAAUAAAAAUUUAUCCGUUGGACUUGACCCACGUUUUCUUUUUUAAGUAAUAAUUAUUCCAUAUGCGGUUUUUUCACGCUUCGUACCUCUUCGUUAUGGGAGGCGGCUUAUAAAAGGAACGAUUAUUCAUUUCGUAAGGGCAAUCACAAGAUCUAAUGCUAACCCUCUCAUUCGAAAAUAGACCAUUAGUACGUGAGGGAAUUGAAUUAAUGGAGUGUGCUCGUAAUAUCAUCAAAUCUCCAUGAAUUUCCAACGAACACACAUUUAAACAAUGGCUAGAGGUCUAUUUGAUUUUUUUAUCUCAUUUUUGCACAUAUGGUUCUAAUCAAUGAUUGAAUUUUGUUUUUCAAUGCGUGAUUAGAAUCAUUGGUUUUAGAGCAUGUAGGUAUCUUUGUCUUGUUUAUGUAGAGUUUUGAGUGUAUUUUUCAUGAGUUUUGUAAAUGAAUAGUGAAUGGGGCAUUUUGGGGGCCAAGAGAGAAGAAACUUGUCGUUUUGAGCCAAAUUUCUUGGCCGUUUUCAUUGAAACUUGGACCUGUCUGGUCCCGUUGGCGUGGUCUCCAAAACCGCGGCGGAGACGAAGGAAACGCGAAACUGCGCGAUGAAGAACAAGCGCGUGGAUUACGUGCGUAUGUCCUGCGGUUGCUGGCGCGUGAGCGGUGCUCGAGCGGCAUUUGCAGGCGCGUGUGUGCCACUUACCUACGCGACGCACAGGCAUGAAGGCAGCUUUUUCCCCUCCUCAGAUUUACAAUGUUGCCCCUUCUUUCUUGUUUGUUUUUACAAUUCUGCACUUUUCCGAAUUUACUUACUGUUUUGCCCUUGGUAGCUAAAUUUACUCUUUUACCCUUCUCCGUUUUUAAAAUGAUCGUUUUGCCCCUUCCGCAAUUUUGCAAUUCUGCCCUUGGCUGACCUAUUUACUAUUUUUCCCUUUAUGUGUUUUGUGAAUAUUUGUUACAUGAAAUUAAAUGCCUAAUGAUCCAUAUAUUUUAAUUAAUUAAAGAGUAACCAUAGCAUCUUUGAUUAGUUAAAUUAUAUAUUAAGAGCCUCCGGAUCACAUCUAGUAAUGGAUAUUGAUUGUAACUAAUCUUAUUAAUAUGAUGAAUUUUACCCCAUAGAAAUUUUCAUUAUAUUAAUAUGAUUAAUCAUGAUGAAAUAUCAUAUUAUUUUUCUUAAUUUACCCAUAGAGAUUAAGAAAAUGAAUAUAAUAUGAUAAUUUUUUCAUGGAGUGUUUAUGAAUCUAUUUAAAUUAAAACUUGAUGUUCUCAUACUAAUUGGUGAAAAUUAUAAAGUUCUGAAUGAGUUAAUUCUUCUUCAAUUGGGGUGCAUGGAAAUUGACUAUAUUGUAAGGAAAGACAAACCACAUGUUUCUAUUGAUACGAGCAUUGUAACUAAGAUAGCCCUUUAUGAAUGAUGAGAGUGGUCCAACCCUUUUAGUGCGAUGUUCAUAAGAACUAAAAUAUCUCUUAGUAUUCAUGGUUCGAUUGCUCUGUAUAGUAAUGCUAAGGUUUUAUUAGAGGCUAUUAACGCGCAAUUUGAGACUUCAAAGAAGACGCAUGCCAUGACCUUAAUUAUGAAAUUUUCAUCGUUGAAGCUUAUUAGUGUUAGAGGUAUGUGUGAGCACAUCAUAAAUAUGAGGGAGACUGCAGCUUAGUUUAAGAACCUUGAGGUUAAGAUAUUUGAAUAUUUUCUUGUAUAGUAUAUUUUGAACACUCUCCAACAAUAGUAUGCAUCUUGCAAGAUUUCUUACAACACACAUAAAAAUAAAUGGUCAAUUAAUGAACUCAUGAUCAUGUGUGUUCAAUAGGAAGAAUGAUCGAUUAUAGAAUCGGAAGAAAGUGCUCAUUUGGCAAUAUAAAGAAAGAAUAAGGGUCAUGGCAAGCAUAAGGGAAAAUGUAAAAUAUCUCCCUAAGAUGAAAUUAAGAAAGAAUCCAAAUGUUUCUUCUAUAAAAAGAAGGGGCACAUAAUGAAGGAUUACAUCAAAUUUAAGGCAUGGCUUAAAAAAAAAAGGUAAUCUAAUUUCUUGUGUUUGUUAUGAAUCUAAUAUGGUUGAUGUGAGUCACAACAUUUGGUGAAUCGAUUCUAGAUCUACAAUCCAUAUUCCGAAUUCAUUGUAGGGUUUUCAAAACUAAAUGAAGCCAGUGAAAAGUGAACAACGCAUCAUUUAGGAAAAAAGAUACAUUCACAUGCGGAAGCUAUUAAGACAUGUAAAUUAGUUUUUAAUAGUGGUUUUGUUUUGAAUUUAGAAAUAACCUUUUAUAUUCCUAGUUUUUCUAGAAAUUUAAUUUCAGUUUCAAGACUUGUACUUUUUGGUCACUCUUUUAACUUUUCAAAUUCAAACUUCAGUUUAUCAUUUAAAUAUGAAAUUAUUGGGAGUGAUACUUUAUCUAAUAGUCUCUUUUGAAUUAAUUUAAAAGACAAUGCUUAUUAUAAUGCGAUACAUAUUCAUGAUGACGCUAGUAUAAAACAAUGAGUUGUGAAUGAAGAUUCCUCUAUAUUGUGGCACUGAAGAUUAUGAAAUAUCUCCAUAGAUAAAAUUAAGUUAUUGGUAAAUGAUGGAGUACUUAGUACUUUAGUUUUUACUUAUUGUAAUACUUGUGUAGACUACAUAAAGGGAAAACAGACUAACAAGACGAAAAGAGGUGCCAAGAGAAAUAUAGAAAUAUUAGAAAUCACACAAACGGAUAUUUAUAAUUUAAAUAUGGACUCGCAUGGUUAUAAAUACUUCAUUUCUUUCCUAAAUGACUACUCACGUUACAUGUAUCUCUACUUACUUCAUAAUAAGCAUGAAGCAUUAGAUGCGGAAGUAAAGAAAUAAUGCGGUAAAUAAAUUAAGAUCGUAAGAUUAGAUAGAUGUAGAGAAUUUUAUGGUAAAUACAUUGAAAAUGGACAAGCACCCGAUCCAUUUAUAAAGUUUCUUUAAGAGUAUGUGAUAGUUGCCCAAUAUAUUAUGCUUGGUUCUCCGGACCAAAACGGUAUAGUGGAAAGAAGAAAUCGAAUAUUAUUGGACAUUAUGCGGAGUAUACUGAGCAACUUCAAAUUUCUUAAGUCCUUGUGGACUAAAGCACUUAAGACGGCAAUGUGCAUAUUAAAUCAAGUUCUAACCAAGACUGUCCCAAAAACAUAUUAUGAGUUGUUUAAAAGUUGGAAACCGAGUUUGUAAUAUGUAAGCAUUUGGGGAUGCCCAUUUGAAAUGAGAGUCUACAAUUUAUAAGAAAAGAAAUUUUACUAAAGAAUUAUAAGUAGGUAUUUCAUUAGAUUAGUCGAAAGGUCCAAUACAAGUUUUAUUGUCCAUCUCACACUACUGGGAUUGUGAAAUCAAGAAAUGCUAAGUUUCUUGAAAAUGACUUGAUUAGUAGAAACGAUUAAUCGAAGAACCUUGUUCCUAAGAAAGAUCAUUCAAACACUUAACCUUCCACCUCAAAUAUAAUAUUGGUUGUCGUUCAUAAUGUCCAUUCAGUUUAACCGGCUGAUGAAUAACUAAUUAUUGAAGUUCCACAACCUACUGAUAUUGAUAUAGUAAAUCCAGUUUUCAGUAAUUACUAGAAUUUAUUGAACAACUAGUUGAAUAACAUGCUCCUCAAGAAAAUGUUAAUGCAACAUUAAAAAUAUCUAUUAGAAUGAGGAAAUUAAUAAUUCAUAGUGAUUAUAUUAUGUAUUUACAAGAAUUUGACUAUAAUAUUGGAACUGAGAAUUAUCAUAAAAUGUUUUCAUAUGCUAUGGAUAGUGAUGAUUCUAAUUUGUGGUACAAUGCCAUGAAAGGAGAGAUGGAUUUUAUGGCAUCUAACAAAAUAUGGGAUUUGGUUGAGUUGCCUAAUGGUACGAAGGCCAUUGGUUGUAAAUGGUAUUCAAAACUAAGAGAGAUUAAUUGGGUAAGAUAUAAUGCUAGACUUGUUGCUAAAGGAUUCACUCAAAAAGAAUGAACUGAUUACAUGGAGAGAUUUUUUCCUGUAUCUAAGAAAGAUUCUUUUCAUAUUGUUUUGAUAUUGGUUGCCCAUUUUGAUAUAAAAUCACAUCAAAUGGAUGUGAAAACGGCGUUUCUCAAUGGAAAACUAGAUGAGGAGUUUUAUAUGAAACAACUUGAACGAUUCUCCUUUAGUAAAAGUGAGCAUUUGUUGUGCAAGUUUAAGAAAUCUAUAUAUUGCUUAAAACAAGCAUCUUGCCAAUAAUACUUAAAAUUCCAUAACGCCAUCUCUUCAUUUGGUUUUGUAGAAAAUGUCAUGAAUCAAUAUAUAUAUAUCAGAAGGUUAGUAUGAGCAAAAUUUGUUUUUUUGUGCUAUAUGUGGAUGAUAUUCUACUUGCAACCUAAUAAGAGGUUGUUAUAUGAAGUGAAACAAUUUCUCUUUAAGAGUUUUGACAUGAAUGAUAUGGGUGAGGUAUCUUAUAUCAUUAGAAUUAAUAUUCAUAGAGAUAGACCUUGAGGAAUUUUAGGAUCAUCUCAAAAAACUUAUAUCAAUAAUAUUUUAGAGAGAUUUCAGAAAAAAGAUUGUUUACAAAGUAUGACGCUUAUUGUGAAGGGUGACAGGUUCAAUUUGAAUAGCGCUCGAAGAACGAUAUGCAAAAUGAAUAAAUAAAUAACAUUUCAUAUGCUUUUGCUGUUGAAAGCUUGAUAUAUGCUAAUAUUUGUACUUGACCUGAUAUUGUUUUUGCUAUGCAAAUGUCGUGAAGAUAUCAGAAUAAUCCAAGUAUGCACUACUAGAAAGCUACAAAAAAAGUGAUGAGAUGCCUUUAAGGUGUCAAAGGCUACAUACUUAUGUAUAAAUAGACUAACAACCUAGAAGUAGUUGGUUAUUUGGAUGUGGACUUUGCAAUGCAAUUUUCAAAAAUCAACAUCUGGAUACAUUUUUAUAUUAGCUCGCGGAGUCGUGUCAUGAAGAAGUGCAUAGCAGAUUUUGAUUGCUAAGUUUGUUUCUUGUUUUGAAGCUAUUUCGCAUGGUAUAUGGUUGAAGAGUUCCAUUUCUGGAUUUAGAAUUGUUGAUUCUAUUUCUAGGUUAUUAAGAAUAUAUCGUGCAAUUCAAUCACGGUUUUUAUGAUUGAAAAUGUCAAAAGUGGCCAUCGAAAUAAGUAUAUCGACAUCAAGUAUUUAGCCGUAAGUUUGAAUGUGUUAAAGAGAAUAAAGUGGUCAUAAAACACGUUAGUAUUAAAUUGAUGAUAGUUGAUCAUUUAACUAAAGGCGUGCAACCAAUACAGUAUAAUGAUCAUGUAACUAUUAUGGGAAUAGGUUCCAUUAUGUGAUUUGUCGUCAUAUGGACAAUUUUUAUUUUAUGAAACUCUUAUUCUUUUAUAAUGUUACUUCUCAAUUUUGAUAUACACAUUCUGUUGUUUAUGAGAAUAACAUAUAUCUUUGGUUUUGGAAUAAAUAUAGGGUUUAUUCAUUAAGAUGUGUUGUCACAUAUAGACUGACAUUAAAGGAAUAAGAUGCAUUGUGAUACAUGGAAGAUAUUACUCGCUUUUAGAGGAAAUGUAGUUAUGAUUCAUGCGUUUUGUUUUUUUUUUUCUUUUAAGCAUAAGUUUUUGUGAUUGAUUGGAUAACCGUAUGAUGAAAAUGUUGGGAUCAAGUGGGAAAAUAUUAUCUAUAAUGUGAUCGCACAUAUAAGGAUAUACUUUUUGUAAUAAAAACUUAUUUGUUGGGGUUUGACCCACAUUUUCUCUUUUAAGUAAUGAUUUUUCCACAUGCUGUUUUUUAACGCUUCCAUACCUCUUCGUGACGAGCAACCUUAAUGGGAGACAUAAGGGCAAUCACAAGGUUUAAUGCAAAUUCUCUCAUAUGGAAAUACAUCAUCAAUACGUGAGGGGAUUGGGUUAGUAGAGUGUGCAUGUAAUAUCAUCGAAUCACCAUGAAUUUCUAAUGAGCACAAAUUUGAACAAUGGUUGGAAGUCUAUUUUAUUUUUGAUCAUAUUUUUCCACAUAUGAUUCUAAUCAACGAUUGAAGUUUGGUCUUCAAUGCGUGAUUAGAAUCGCUAGUUUGACAUAAAAUGCAUACUCACAAUCCCUUAAUGUUUUUAUGGUCAUUCUUGCUAUGACGACAAUGAUAAUAACCAUCUUGCAAUCAUGAACCAACUCAAUAUUCAUUUUGCAAAUCAAGUUUACACACCAAUAUAUUUGACCUCCUGCUAUUCAUUCCAUCAAGCACAGUUCUUUGCCAUUUUAAAUCACCAAAAUGUCGUAAAUGCCCAAUCCAUCUUUGUGGGGUAUAUAGUUUCUCAACAACACUUUUUCGUUUUACUGUACCAUAUGUCAUGUGAUGCCUUUUUCACAACUUAUAAUAUUAUAUAUAUAUAUAUAUAUAUAUAUAUAUAUAUAUAUAUCUUAUAAUUUUCCAAAAAUGAGUUUCUAAUUCAUAAAAAAAAGUACCACUCACCUAAAAAUGUGAAACUAAAUAACAAAAGCUACCUUGAGGAGGAAAAAAAAAGUUGAAAUCCUACUAAUUAAUUGGGAAAUGGAUAUUAUAGUCAAUUAGAUGACUACUUUAACUAUGACUCAACUAAAUCGGUGACAAAAGGACUUCAACAUACCAAUUCAAAAUUCAUUUCAUAGAUCAAGUUCACACACAAAUACAUUUGACCUCUUACUAUUCAUUCCAUCAAGUAGGGUUCUUUGCCAUUUUAAUUCACCAAAAAAAUUGUGAAUGUCCAAUCCAUUAUUAUGGAGCAAAUAUUCUCUCAACAAUGCUUUUCCUAUUUAUCAUACAUUAUGUCAUGUGAUGCCUUUUUCAUAACUUAUAUUUCUUAAAAUUUUCAAAGCAUUAAUUUUUAAUUCAUAAAAAAAAGAUAAGUAUCACUCACCUGAAAAUGUGAAUCUAUUAAUCAUGUAGGAAACAAAUAUCAAAAUGAAGUAGAUAACUACUUUAACUAAGACUUAACUAAAUCAGUAACAUAAGGACUCUGGCAUACCAAUAAAAGCUUGCCUAAAAGUAAAACAAUUAUUGUUGUCUACCAUGCUAUGAUAGCUCAACUACCGAAUUUUAAAUGGUUUAUUUAAACUCUACCAACAUACGUUACAAGUGGGUCCAAAUUCAUUGAAAAGCUAACCCGACAUAUUUAAAAGUCGAACUUUGCCUCAAACCCAAAGAUAGCCACUGAGAUGGGUGAAAUUUAGCGUUAGACACAGUGGUUCAAACAUGGUUCCAUUAAUGUGCAACAAACUUGAAAAUUUCAGCUCAACAAAAUCGUAACCCUUAAUGAUGAAAUCUCACGGAUUCAAAAUAUCCUGGAGUUUCUUUACAACAUAAUUUCACACCUCUAAGGUCAAUCCAACAACUCAAAAUUCAACACGGUAUGAAAUUAUAACUUUUACAUGUCCAUGGUUGUCGGUGGCUUUCGUGGACGAAAUCUCGCCUUUUUCUCUCGAGGUUCCCUCUCUUUCCUGUUUUUCUUUUGCUGACCCUCCUCUCUCUCUCUCUCUCUCUCUCUCUCUUAUUCCUUCUCUUUUAUUUUCCUUUGAGAAACCAGUUGUAGAAGAAAUAAAAUAUGGGUUGAGGCAAAAGCUUCAUCAUUAACUGAGACAGGGGCUCGGGUCUCCUGAGCCUAAAUCCUCUUGUCUUCCUUUCAAGAGGUCCGUUUGUUACGUAAAAUUUGAGAAACCAGUUGUAGAAGAAACCAGCUCGGGUCUCUCUUAUUCCUUCUCUUUUAUUUUCCUUUGAGAAACCAGUUGUAGAAGAAAUAAAAUAUGGGUUGAGGCAAAAGCUUCAUCAUUAACUGAGACAGGGGCUCGGGUCUCCUGAGCCUAAAUCCUCUUGUCUUCCUUUCAAGAGGUCCGUUUGUUACGUAAAAUUUGCCGCAUUAGAAGGUCAUAAAGAAAAAUUAGACAGUUCCACCGCUUCUCGUUUGCUUAAAUGGAUUGCAUAGAAUGGCGAGGCUCAAAUCGAGACUUAAGCCUUGGAAGAUAAAUGGCCUAUCAACCGGAGGAUUAACCCUCGAUCCCUGAUGACUUUUAGGGCUAAACAAGUUCGGUCCAAGUAUUAACUACUCCGAGCUGUGAAAGGACAUUGUCUGACAAAUGAUGUCGGGUCGAGGACAGUGCAUUCACUUUUCUGGAAAUAAUUUGUUCGACCGGUCGUGUUUGUAACGAAGUAGCCUUGUUCCAAAUGGCCAGCAAGUUGAGUUUAAUCGCGGGGAGGACUGAACUCAAGAAGCAAGUUAAUCUUCGGCUUUAAUUUACUCAUCUCUCUGUUUUCAGCUCUAACAUGAUCAACACAGAAUCGAUGCGAGCAUCUAGAUCGCCCAAGAAAGCUUUGUAACUGGGAGGCCUUCCCUUAAAUUUUAAACGAGCAGAGGUGCUGUUUUGCAUCAAUUGAAUAUCAUCUUUUGCUUAAAAGAAAAUCUCAGACAGAAUCUGCAAGCAUCGUGUGGCCAAGCCCUGCACCAAAUGAUCAAAACGAGAGCAGUCUCCAAACCAAGACCAAGCCCAUGUGGUACGAACAUCAUUCAAAACGAACGGAGAGGAAAUUCAGAUGAGAGGGGGGUCUCACGUGUGGCCCAUACAAAGAUCUAUUCCAACGGCUAUCAUUCGCUGCGGACGCAAUUCACGUGUUGAAAUUUCCCUUAUAGGGCAGUGCUCCAAAGGUGCACGCUCAGAUAUGAAAUUUGGCAACAAGGAGAACUCGCAGGCUUUCAAGCAUCCCUUAGAACAAAAAGACACGAGACUUUGCAGCGCUUUGUCAGCUCCUGCGUAUGGCUCUCAGGCCAAUUUGGAUUAAUCAAUCCUAACAACUUGGCAAUUGACAAGGGAUUCCUAAAAGCUAUCGGAAGUUUAAAAUAUUUUAUCUUAUUUGGCCCCUACUUAGAUUACAGUAGCUUCUCCAUAUUCUUUAGGGCAUAAAGAUUUUCGAUUCCGAAAAGACGGAUUAAUUACGAGCUGCUUAAAUUAUACCAGUCCAGUAGAGUAUCACGAGAACGCUUGCAAGUAGGUACCGGAGGAUAGGUUAAAAGUACAGUAUGGAAGAUUUUAAGACAUAGUUACUACAACGACGGUCGUUUCCCAGUCCGCGGAAUUGGUUGUGUGGCAUGUGAAUGAGGAUCCAUGCAGGUGAAUAGGAUGUGUACGGCAUGUGUGUUUGGCCGACGCAGUGGUGCCUUCGAGUUUCUGUGAAUAGUUGGUAUGAGAAUUUGGUAGCGGAGUUGUGACAUCACGUGAGUUUUCAUCUGUAUUAUAAAUGCUAAAGAAGGAUUGAAGAAAGAUGGAAGUUUGUGUAUGCAGAAAAAGGAUAAGGAGGAUUUGAUCUUGAUAGCUUUGAUGCAACAGCUCAUAUCCGCAUCGCAUCAAAGGGACCCACACUGCGCAGAGCUCUCCUCUCCACGUGAGAAAAGAGAGAGCUUUUUAAUUGGAAUUGAAAAGUCUCAGAAAAUUAAAACGUGAAAACGAAAAGGAAAGGUAAGAGCGUGAUGGGAAAUUUACGCUAUUCAAUCGGAGCAUCGCGUGAUCAUUCACCCACUUCAGUUAUUGCAAGUCGUAGACGCUUAUUCUAAGGAAGAUAAAAGAGCUCAGUACACUUGGGUCGUCGUGUGGGUGUAGACGGGUUAAUCACAUGAUGAUUCGAAAGCUCCCAGAAGCUUCUCUCCAUGCAAGAUCUACAGAAAACUUGGGAGUGUGCCAAUUUGGAGUCUGUAGGGUUUGAUAUUGCAUUCACGUUAUGAACAUGAACAGAAGUGUCCACAGCAAAGAUUAAAGAUGCAAGAGUGAAAGCUUGGCUAACAUUGAGAUCAAGCACUUCACUGCACUUCACUUCUUCAGUCACCAAAAGUCACUCACAGCAGAAAAAACAAUUGAUACAUUCUCUCAGUGAACUUCACUCAUGUGGGACUCACAUGUAUUGUUACUUGUGUUGAUUUUGCAAGCUCUUGCUAGUGUUUACUUGAUCAAAAGCUAAGUGCAAAGUACCCUAUUCAUGCUAGUUUCAUACUGCAAUAGUUGGAUAAUAUGAGGCCGUAUAGUCACAUAAGAUUUUGAGAAAAUUGAGGUCUUUGCAUUCAUGAAAGGCCAUUCUCAAGAGGAGGUUAAAGGCCCAUUAUAAAAUAAUUUUUUCACAUGAUAUAAAGCUAAAAAAAUUUCGAUAAACUUGCAAGUUAAAGUUGCAAGUACGUUCAUGUAGAAUUUUAUGAAACCUCAUUAGCUAGUUGUGGAACUAAUCUUAAACCUGCAGGGAACUUUAGAGUGUGGUAAUUUUUUUUUUUUAACCAAAAAGUAGUGAAAUCCAAAAGUUUGACAGAUGUUGUGAUGCUAACAAUGUAGGAUUUUUGCACUUGUCUAUCAACCAAUUGUUAAGUAUUUAAUUUGGGUUCUGGGCAAUUUUUUUGGUAUAGUAGCCUAGUGGGAGACAAUCAUUUGUAUCCUUAUCAACUUAUGAGGCAGAGUAUAAAAUAGUAAUGAUAGUGACUCACAAAGUCUGAGAGAUUUUCCUUACCAAAAAAAGUCUGAGAGAUUUAGACCCAAGUUGUUGGUUACUUCAUACACUCCUUUGAUUGGCUUUAUGUCUCAUGGAAAUUGCCUGCUUUCAUAUUCAAGGAAACCAUGUCAAGCUUGACUGCCAUUUUAUUAGAGAGAGUACUUGAAGGUAAAAUAGAGGUGAAGUUGUCGAAACAGAAGCAAGUUCUUUCCCUCUGCAAAGUUGGCAACAUUCAGAGAAUACUUGGCUUGAUAGCAAAACUGAAUUAGGUUGGAAGGAGUGUUAAUAAUACAACCAACUUGCUGGCUUCUUGAAGAGUUUAAUCUCUCCCCAUGAGGAAGGAUUUUGUGGAGUUAGUCUUUCGGCUUUAAUCUUCUUUAAAUUUGGCCUUUCACUUACGUGGCUAUGUGGUCUCUCCUGUCCGAGUAUUUAGUUAUGCAACUGAUAUCAAAGGGGUCGUUUCCUUUUAGCUUUUCAGCGAGCAAACACAAUCAAGAAACUAGCAAGCAUUUUUGGAAUAAACAGUGUGUAUGCAAGCAAUUCUGGCACAUAUAGGCUUUGCAAGAGAGAAGUUACUUGAAAGAGAAAUAGAAAUGAAAGUGGCUUUAAGUGUCCGCUACACAGUGGAGUGUGUAAUUGGAGUACUGUGUGCACAGAUGCUUCAUGUUUCUUUAUAAAAAAAAUUCAGCUUAUGGUUUCAUUGCGCACCUUCAUUUCAAGUAGAACAUGCCCUGUGACAAAUGGAAAUUCCCAUGGCACCGCAAUCAUAUAGUUUGGUUGACACCACAUUACCACAUUUGAGCUGUGGAGGAUGUAAGAUCUUCUGUGUGUUGAGGUUGGUACUCGUUACAACUAUUAGGCUCAAAGGUUGUCCAUAGCGAAAAUGCAUCCAUGCAUUAUCAUCCCUUUUUCAGGGAACCGUUUCAUCUAGUUUCUGGCUUGUGUUAACUUGUGCAUCUCUGGUGCUGUUUCACAGGUAGUCAAUGCAUAAAUUUCUUUUUGGUUAUUUGUCAUCUCAUUUGACUUACAAUUCGCUUGUGGCCCAUUGUUCCCUAGGGAGAAAGAAUUGGCUGCUGUGAAAGAUCAAUGCAGCAGACGUUGAUAUAAUCGCUAAUGAACUUGAGAUCAGUCAGCUUAUGCCAUGUGCUUGAACGCAUUUAUUCUCACUGGCCUGAGCUUUCUAAUAUUGUAUGGUAAAUUCUGAAAACAGCUGGAUCGGAAGGUAGCUGAAAGGACCUUACGUGAGCAUAAAGGUGAUGCUGUUGCUGCAAUUCGUUCCUUGCUUCGAUAAAGAAUUGGUGGCACGACAAAAAGGAUUUGUGAUUUUUCUGAGGACAUACGACUUUCCCAUAACAUUGUCCAAGUAGGAUCAAAAAGCUGUAUGAGUCGUGCUUCUUUUGGGGAUACACGACUUGCUUUCUGGGAGAUUGUUUGUACUCUCGCCGAUUUUGGUUGCUAAUGUUCAGCCCUGCAUUUUUGCCCUUCCAUGUAGUUCAUGCCGGGAAUUUUGGACGGUAUGAAAAUCAUGUACAAUUUCAACGAACAAAAAAUCACAAAUCCACAAGCCUUUGCUCAAUAAUGUGAGGUCGAUUUCUGAUACAAAGCUUGGAAGAGUUGUUGGGUUGAUGCCUGGUUGGAUGGCGAUCCUAAGUCCAAGUUCAUUAGACUGAAUUUAAUUCGAGAAACUAAAGUAUCAAACUUUCUGGAAAAUUGAAGACUUUUGAUUGCAUGUAAAAUUUUGUUGAAGUAGCCCCUGGCACAAUCGGCUAACUAACAACUGUAGAAAAGGCAUGUAUAUCUUCAUUGAUGGAAUUCCAUGGGACGAACUUGGGCUAACGGCGAUUUAGAAGCAGAAUCUGCCUUGAGCUUUAGUAGUGCGCAACCCCUGUUACCAUUGCAAAUCUCUCUGUUCCACCACUAAGCCGUCAAAGUCAAUUUGAUUUGUACAGCUUCAUGAUGAGAAUCUAAUGUUCCCCUAUAAAUGUAUCACAAACAAAUGGAUUGCAAUGCCUAAUGUGCUCAGCCUCCGAUCUCCACAACACUUUGCAACAUAUCUACAAGAUCCUUUGUGACUUUUCCGGUAAAUGCACAAAAGUGACAUACAAUCAUCCUAGAUCCACCCACAAUUGAAUUGCUCAAACGAAGGACAAACAUUCUAUCCUCUCGAAAUGGUCCCAAAAAUCUGGUCGCCAAAUUUCAUGGUCCAGAAGCAGCAAAGCGAGUCGAGAUUGGUUGGCAACAUCAACUUCCUGGCGAAUAGCCAGGUUUGCUUGGACUGUUCACCAAUGUAAUGAAUAGACAAAUCCUCUUGAUGCGCUGGAUGGUUCACGUUUCCCUUGGAGUGCUGUCGCCACCAGCAGAGCGGGAAGCCUGAAAUUGAAGUGCGUUCUGUCUCUGCAAAUCUUUGAAUCUUUCCAGUAUUUCCUGGAACGUUGGUCGGCACUUUGGAUCACUGGUUAGGAGAAAAUGCAGUUCCCACAUCAGUAUCAAAUUGUAACAAAUUGACAAUUUUUGUCCUCACAAAAAGGGGAAAAAAAAAGCUCCUGAAAGACAUCAACUUAUGCCAGAAGAAAAAAAGGUCAUGAAACUGCCUAAGAGAUUCGAGGACUUCAAAUCACGAUGAAUGAUAGGUAAAUUGUAAUGAUGCAGAUAAUUCAUGCCCCUAGCCUGAAAAGUACCCAAUUCAAUAAUUACAUGUUAAAAGCAGCAAGAUAACAUACAAGAGAUGGUAGAAUUCAAAUAACUGACAAACUCUGGAGGCCAAAAGUUCACGGGCCAAGCAGUCUCAGGAAGUUAGGAAUGCUAAGGUUCAAGACACCCGUCUCAAAUUUUUAUCAGCAUGGAAGUAAAAGGUACAUUUAAAAAAUAUCAACAAGAACAAAAAGAGGGCAAUAUAAAAAGGAGCAAAACAAACGCUGACAGGGAAACAGAUGAAAAAAAAACAUUCAGGUGACCAAAAUGUAAAACACUGCACCUACAAGAGGAUGAAUUUGGUUACAUGCUGAAUGUACAUGUAAAAUAUAUCAACAAGAACAAAAUGAGGGCAGUAUAAAAAGGAGCAAAACAAAUGCUCACUGGGAAACAGAUGAAAAAAAAAACAUUCAGGUGACCAAAAUGUAAAAUACUGCACUUAGAAAACAAUGGAUUAAGUUACACGAAUAAGAAGCAGAUACUUACCACAUCCAAAGCCAUAUGAACACAACGUCUCCAAUCCAACUUGGCUGUGUUACUCUGCAGUAAGCGAAACAAACUUCCACUGCAUCAACACACGUAACUGUUAGUUCCAUAGAGACAGGAUAUCGACAGAAAUUACAAUCACUGAAAACCAACAAACCAGACAUUACAACAAACUUUAACAUGAUGCACCAUAUAAUCAAAAAGCCUGCUUUUCAAAAGCAUUGAGAAAGUACCGUGGAAGAAACUCUGUGACUAUGCAGAGGCGCUGAGGUGAAGUUACUGCUCCCAUGAAAAGCAAAACAUUGGGGUGCCGAAGUCUUUUCAUAAGAGACGCCUGCAAGGACAAAAAAAACUGUCAUAUUAAUGGUACUUUACGAGAAGUGAGAAAAAUUGUGGCAACAUCAAAAGAGGUUCUCAGAAAAUGCAUGGUACUACGCAUGCUGAGGGGGAGAGCAUGGACAUAUAACAAUCGCAAAGUCCUAUGAGAAAGUUCCUCAUUUUGAGUAAAACGAGAAGGUAUAAUCCUUUCAUAGACCCACAUGCUAUUACAUCUAUCCAACACAACACAAUUAAUCAUAAUGCAAUGGAUCAAGGCAUGGAAAAUAUAAGGAAAAAUAUCCAUAAUCCUUUGGCAAAAAAAAAGAUCAAAACCUGCUAUCACCACAUGUACUGGAAAUGUUGCGUUGCUGUAUUAGUGGAACAACACUUGAAUUAAAAUUGCCAAGGCCAUCACUAAUAGAGCUGACACCAAUAAACUAUAUCCAUGCUUUGGGGAAAAAAUCCCAGUUGCUACAGAAUAAGCACCAAAAAUUCUAUUCAUUAAAAGGCUUCAGAAUUUUAUAAAAUAAUAAAAUAUGGGCUAGUCAUACAAGUGCAGAGAGAUAGAGAUAAAUGCAUGCAGUUCGAACAUAUUGGUCAAUCCUACUUCAUCUCUUUAUCACACUGGUUUUCAGAAUGUUUUUCCUAAACCAUCUGACUAUGUAGUUCUUAUCAGGAAAAGGAAAAAGAAAAAAAAGAACAAUCAGAAGAUGUAGGGGCAAGUGACACCAUAGAUGGAGUCAUUUGGCACCUCGAUGUUGACUCGUUGCAUCCUGGGAUAAUAUAGAUCACUUUUUGGGCUGAUUAUCAACUAAAAGGCCAACCCAUUAUCCCUCACUGCCUCAGUCUGAAUCUAGAUUAUCAACUGCAAUUACAACCUGUCGAGGAAGGCCCUUAUCAAAAUUAAACCAGCCAGGUCGCAUCCAGCAAUCACUAAACACUAUCGUAACAAUGUUUUCACGAUUUCAAAACACAGAAUAAUACCUACUGUCCAGACAAAUGACACAUUUCUCCUGUGUUUCAUGUCGGCAACAUGAGUAAAAUUCACUCCACCACCAUGCAUUACAUAUUAUAAAGAGAACUUGAAGUCCGUAAGUGAAUAGCAUAAGAGAUAGCCAAACGCUAUUAGAGGAGUGAGAUAAGUAGUACGUAUACCAUGAAGUGAGGUACAUGCAUUUUACAUCAUGACAGCAUGCAUCACUCUGUUAAACUAAAUUUAAGGGGAGUAGAAGAACACACUGAUCCGUACCACAGAGCGUGAUAGACAGUUCCACAAGAACCUGAGAGAGGAGGAACGGCAGACUAAAUAUCAGAAUGAACACUAAGAGAGUACAGUAUUACCAUAAGCAUCGUAAACACACGGAAACAAAUACGACCAAAUGAUCUCAGAAGCAAGAAAAAUCUACACCGCAUGACGAUAAUCAAUUGAGACUGGAUGCAUUUGCAGUGCAUCUCAGCAAAGUUAUUGGGGAAUAUACAUAUAAACAUCAAUAUGGAAGAAUGACAGAUCUGGCUUUUCAAGGACUAUCCAUGAUUUGCAACAAUAGCACUCAUUUUAGAGCCUUUUCGGAGUAUGUCCUACUGGCAUAAUGAAUAGCCAGACCCAAGAUUAAAGAAAAAUUACAGGCGAAAAGCAUACUACUAAUGACUUUUCAGGCAUCGCUGGACUCCUAUAAAAUCCCUUCCGUCACCCCGUCAGACAGAGAAAGAGAGAAAAGAGAAAGCGAGAAAUUACCUGGACAAGCCGGUGCCGGAUCUGGAGCCGGAGGGGGGGGUGUGGCGCGGUGGUUCGCUGUAGAAGAGAGGGAGGGCAGACAGAGAUGCGAGGAGAGACAGAGUAAGGGACGGACGAGUCGGGGCCAGAAGCAGAGGCAGAAGGGCGGCGCGGUUGUUCGCCGGUCGGGAAGAGGGAGGGCAGAGAGAGAGAGGGAGGUCGCACGCCGGUCGGUUGCUCGCGGUCGUCUCGCCGGUAUCCUCCUGGUUCGUCGGUUGCUCGCGGUGGUUCGCCGGUCGGAAAAAGCGAGGGCAGAGAGAGAGAGAGGGAGUUCGUCGGGGAGAGAGAGCGAGGGUAGAGAGAGAGGCGCAAAGAAGAACCCGCGCGACAGAAAACUCUCUCCAGAAACUAUAUAGUACAGGAAAAUUUUCAAAAUGGGCGCCUGAAAUUGUGGGUCCCAUGAGACACGUGUCGUACUCCCACCGCCUUCUUGUUUGCCACACCGGAGUGUCUCACGUACCUAAUAAUAAUGAUUCCAACGCCUCAAGAAAAGACCGCUGGAUAGAUCUGACAAAUGCCUAAAUUGAAUCUAAUGAAACAUAAUCCAAUGUAAAUUGACAUGUUUUUUAUUUUGACUCAUUUUCAUGUAAUAUAAAUUAAGUGACUCAUACUCGACCUCACUCAUAUCUAACUUGACUUAUAAAUAUAAAACACUUUCAUAUUUAACUUAAUUUAAAAAAAAAAAACUCAUGGAUAAAUUUCAAAAAAAGACCUAAAGUAUCAUUAUUUUCUCAAAUAUGAGCUCGAAGUGGACUUUGUUUCAAAUAAAGACUUGAAGUAGCUUUGGUUGUUUCAAAAUAAGGACCCGAUCUUGCUGGUUGCCAACUAACUAAAUUUUUCAACCGAUCGAGGGUAUUUUCGUCAUUUGGCAUUUUCCCUUUUUUUUUCUUUUUUUUAUGGUUCUUCUUCUUCCUCUUUGUCGAUGGCUGCCAGCCAUUGGCGAUGCCCACAAAGGGCUGGGUGAGGGUCGCCUUGCCAGUGAGGGCCAUCCAUGCUAGCCAUAGGCGAGGGAUGGCGUCGCUUGGGCGUGGCAACCCUCACCCAGGGGCCAUCUACAUGGUCGGCUAUGGCUAGCUACUAGUAAGCACAGAUGUGGGUGGCCCUCGCCCAGCCCUUUGUGGGCUUCGCUAAUAGUCGGCCAGCCACUGGCGAAGAGGAAGAAGAAGAUUAAAAAAAAAAAAAGAGGAAAGAAAAAAAGACGGAAAAUGACAAAAGACGAAAAUACCCUUGAUCGCCAAAAAGUUAGGUUCUUAUUUGAAACAAACAUAACCACUUUAGAUUUUCAUUUGAAACAACAUCCACUUCAAGCCUUUAUUUGAGAAAGUGAUGGCACUUUGAGUCUCUAUUUAAAAUAAUGUUCACUCCGCACCCUUAUUUGAGAAAAAGAUGACACUUCGAGUAUUAUUUGGAAUUUUCCCAAAACUCAUACCCAAACAGAAGUGAGAAUAAAUUAUGAACUUAUUUAAUAUAUUAUUUUGAGAUAAUUAAAAAAAAUAGGCUUUUAACCCAUUUUAAUAGAUCUAUCAUCGGAUAAACAUGAUAUCCCGACAUUUUUGGAAAUUUGUCCCAAUUAACAUUGCAUAAACAUGUAAGAAGGAUUGGGACAUCUCCCAAAAAUCAUGUAAUCGACAUUGCAUUGGUUGAGAAAAGAGCAAGAAGAACAUAAAUUAUUCGUUCAAUCCUACUUGAUUCAAACGGGAUGUUGACUGCCUUUGGGGAAGGACAUAUGUGAAACGCAAUAAGCAAAAUACACAGAAGACUAGUGACUAAUAGUCACUAAUUAAGUUAUGGAAAAACACAGAAUGGAAAGAUUGUGUUGGAUUCCAAAAAAUUGAUAAUGUUCAGAUACCGUAGAAAGAAAAAGGCAUCUUUUGUGUCAAGAACCGCUCUCCUUUCUCAAGAUAAAGUCGACAACAUCCUCCACAGUGUCUACGACCUGCAUAGGUAAAAAUAAAAGAGUUCAAUUGGGGUGAGCGAUUUUCAGAUGCACUUUUAACCUUGGAAAAUUUGCAGAGAAGACAAAUACCCCAUAAAAGUAACUUUCAAUUGGGCAUAUUUUGGAAAUAUUGACAUUUUGCUAGGCUGAAGAGGGAAAAGGUUCAGUCAUGUUUCACCCAACCAAUUUAGAAUUGACCGAUCACCCAGAGUAUAGCAAAUCAAGGUAUGUAAGUAUGGGAGGAUUAUCCACGCUGACAGCUCAAAACCACUUGAGGCCAUGUUUGGCUCAUUGCCCUGGAAUCAUGAAAAGGAAUCUCAAUCUAAGCAAUCAAAUUCCUAGAUGUGGGGUUCAUUCUCUAUUGUUUGGUUUCAAUUUACAAAUGAAGGGAGAAAUUUCUUAUGUGAGAUGCAAAGUGAGGUAAAAACAUGUCAGAAAUGGGGUGUAAAAUAUUUCUCCAUUCCACAUAUCCAAAGUGGCUAAGGAAAAACUAGGGAUAGAAACAGAAUGAAGAACCACAUACGAUCCCGCAACAAUUUCCCGAUUAUUGUCAUCUAAAAUGAUCAUACAGUUCACACAAUCAUUUCACAAACAGUUCACACAAUCAUUUCACAAACACAUUACAUACAGCUCCUCAAAAUCUCGAGUAAAGCAUUUCACGCAUAAUCUGCAACAAUGAAGAUAAAGCCAUUCACGCGUAACUCCAAACUACUUCACAGCCGUUACCUCAAGCCAUUGUGAUAUUCUUGUCCUUAUUGUGUUUUGAGUCAAAGACCCAAUCACGAGAACAAAUGGAGUGACAGCAACUCAACCAAGUGUGUUAAUGGAACUUUAUAUCCCCACCCAAGCCAAUGUGAUGCUCGUAGUUGGAGACGGGACCAGACAAGUUUCAUAAUAGCAAGAAAGAGAAAUAAUCUCACCUUGUAGAGGAAUGUGAGGACCAUGGAAUCAAGAGGCACGCGAAACUCCCAUGGAAGGAUUUGAAGAUGAUGAAUAUAGAGAGAGAGAGAGAGAGAGAGUUCUGGCUUUCUAGGAUUUAAAGAUUUAUGAAGCUCAGAAGUACUAUGCGUGUUGGGUUUGUGAAUGUUUUUUCCUCCUAGGAAUCCCAGUACCACCUCUACCUGAGCAAUCUAGUUCUGCAUUAGGAGUAUCCGUUAACUAGGCACUUUGAUUCUAUGAUCAUAAAUCCAUCCAAAAAUGAGCUGCAAUGGCAUUCCACUUCCCGUUUAUUACUCCAAGGUGAACCAAACAAGGCCUAAGUGAUUACAUGAUGUACUAUACUUUUGAAUGCUUUCAUGGUGGAAUCAAUGAUCUGCAGUCUCAACCAUGACUUUCCAUAGGAUCACGUAUCUAAAAUCUCUAAACCAAAGAACCUACCAUCAACUCACCCCAACGUACAUGCAAGGAGAGAUGGGAGAGACAGACAGAGAAAUGUCUGGGUUUUGUUAAGAGUACGAAUACCUACCACGUCCAUGGGAAGUUCUGAAUGAUUAUCUUUUCCCUUGAAUGCCCCAGUCCUUGUUAAUAUAGAAAACCAAGGAUCUCCUGCCUGAAGGAGUUGUUAUCAAAACUGGUGAUUGUGUUCAGAAAUAAAAUUACUGAUAUGAUAAAAUACAAUUCUCAGUAUGAAAUAUACCCAUUGUGCGCCUCUAAUGUUGAUUUUGGGUUAUCUCCUAUCAUGCAUAGUGUUCUGAAACAACGAAUUCCAGAGUAUGUAUUAUUCUCCACAUUCAAAUUGCUCAACAAAGAUGGCAUAAGAUUCCUUAACACGGUCUCAGCAUUUCCAUAGACAAAUGGAUUUGGCCUCCCAUACAAUGUAUACGCCAGCGGAAUUGGAUGUAUUCUGCAGAACAAGGACAGGUAAACAAUGCAUAACACAAGAUUGAAGAUUAACGCAUGUCACUUUGCUGCAUUGAGGUAAACUAGGCCCACACAAGGAGCUUAUAGGCCUUUCUUUAAUUUUUUGUGGAGAAUAUUAGAUCAAACUCCAUGUAGAACUAAAUAUUGAGAAGCUGAAACCUCACUAUCUUACCUGUUAUAGAUUGCUUCUAACGCAAUCCUGAAAGCUCCCAUACCGAGACGUCCACCAGGAAAAGUAGCCUGCCUUUGCACUUUGUCAGCUAGUCAUCAGCCAGUCUUUAGUUCCACCAAGGCUUCAAAAACUCAAGAUUGCUGCUGGCGUCACAAAUGGCAUAGCUUACCUGGUAUUCGAGGUCAUUAUUUGCAAAAAACAGGUGUGGUUGCUUUCCAGCCUCCCUUCUAGGAAGCCCCCCAGUUCUUAAUAUGUCGCAGAGCACCUAAACCCAAACUUGAGUAUCACAAAAUUUUUUUAAUAUACACAGACAGACAGACAGAUAGAUGAUGACACUCCAUUUUAUCACAUUUUCCAAACUAGAUGUCAGCACCCACUAGACUUUUAAAGAGAUGAUGACUAAAGUUGCAGAGCAGUUACUGAACAACCAAACAAAGCAUCGUGUCUUUUGAUAAUCAGUUCAAAGAUUUAGAACUAGCGUGAUGAAAAGCCCAGUAUGGACUCGACAGCUAAAUUAGAUAAUCUAAGAAAGGACAAGAUCCUUUAGGGUGGUCACAACCUAGAUAUCUCUGCUCCAAUCAACAGAAUCACUGACAACAAAUGCUGCCUGAACUCUCUGUGUUUGCACAGCAAUUUUAUUCUUUCCUAUCAUAUUAGAAGUGCUAUUCUGGUCAAUGUCUGGCUUAGUUGUCCAUCUCUUGUACGGUGCUGGUGGAUCAAUGGCAUCAAAGUAGCUAAUAUACUCAUCAAUUGACAGAACGUUUCUGCAUAGAAAAGACACGAGCAGAAAGAGGGUCAACUGGAGGAAAGAGAGAGAGAGAGAGAGAGAGAGAGAAUCAAGUUGUUGGAGUUCUCAUUCUAGAUGAAACAGUGUUGAACACAGACAACUGAAGAUUUAUGGAGAGGACUUCUCUGCGAUUACUCGAGUCCCUAAGAACUUGAGUGAUUUUUAUUCACUUUGCUUGCUCCUAUGUAUUACCUAGACAUCUUCAAUAGCAAUUUUAUUAGAUACAUAACUUUAUCCUUAUAACUUUUGAAAGCUUUCAGUAAACUUGACACCAUAUACUUUCAAAAGCUUUCAGUAACCUUGACACCAUAUAACUUUUGUCGAGCUAUUGUUGUUUAAAACUUUUGUGUAGUCUUUAGAUAGCAAGGGUAUGUGUGGGCUUACUUUUAUUUCUCUUUCUAGUGAUCUGCCUUAACCAUUGCUAGCAAGCCUUUUUAUUUUUUGGAACGCAUUGAGCUCCCUGUCUACUAAGCUUCUAAAGUAGUUUUGGAUGGUUGUGCAACCCGAAUUAUACUUGUGGCAUCUGUCUUUUCCUGUUCUAAUUAUGAGGGUUGCUGAUGGCCUAGAAGUUAUGAACGAUUGCCAGAUGCACAAAUUUAUUGAUUAUGUUUGGUUGUGGCAGUGUUAUAUCAAUUUACAAAUUGAAAACGCCCCACAAUAUGUAGCAUUUUGGUAUCUCAGGUUUGUUUUUGGAAGGUGGUGUGAUUGAUUGAUCUCUUGCAUCGAAUAACAGGGAGAAGUGGAUCUAGCUUGUAAUACUCUAGCUGACCACUUAAGCUUGAAGUAACAUAGAGUGUGAUCACUAAUUCGAGGAAAUUUUAACUCUGGCUAGGUGCUACAAUGGGCAAGAAUUUAUGUGGCUAACUGAGCAUUAGUACAUGCAUUGGCAUGCCAAAAUGGUUUUGUUAUGAGGGCGUUUUGAGCAACUGAUGAUGUUGAAUUUAUCAAAGAAAAUAAGAAAGUACUUUAGGUUCGUUUAAGUAAAUCAACUAACACCCUUCAAUCUCCCAAUAUAGAGAUGAGGUUUUGUGAUGAGGUAAAAUGUGUAGAAAGACUAGAAGGAGUUGUUUUUUUAAUCAAUUAAAGAUAGAGGCAGUUAAUUGUAGUGUGAAGUGAAAAGAUAUGUUUCUACAUUGCUUAUCAGAAGUGACUUGUUACUGUUGAUUAUGCUUUUUUGCGGUCAUCAUGUGUUCUAGAUGUUGAUUGCUUGUAUAUUUAGAUCAUCAUACUGCAGGGGCAUUGGUAAUUCCAUCAUUUUUGGUUGCUGGUGGAACUUCCUUUUAGUAGAUCUAAGACCUCUCUCUAUUUGGCAACUUCCUUGGAGUGAAAUUUUCCUCUGUUUUUCUUAAUUUCGUGAUGAGACACAAAAGUGGUCAGAAAACAUUUUGUGGUGCUUGACACAUUAAUUUAGCAGGGCUCUCAUCAGCCAGCUCUUUAGUUCCUGCUAUGAAAUCUGAGGACGAAUUUGGUAGAAUUAUUGAUUUCUUUUCCAACUUAGUAGUUAGCACUGCAUAUCAGUAACUAAAUUUGGUUUUUAUUGUGUUUUGAUGACAAUCUUUUUCCUGUGACAGUUGGCUCUGAUGAAGCAAAAGAGGCGUUGAAGAAACUUGGUGCUGAAGAAGUGUUCACUGAGAGCCAAUUAGGAGUAAAGAAUGUCAAGAGUCUACUGGAACCGUCCAUCCAUUAACCCAUUCUACCAUAUUUUUAUGCAUGGACACAUCCAAUUUUGGCCAUUGGCACUUGAGUUCUUUAUUUACAUCUUAUUGACUUUGUACUAGGGUGAUCUAAAAGAACCUACCCUUGGAUUAAACUGUGUUGGUGGCAAUGCUGCUUCUUCGAUGAUGAAAUUUUUGAGGUGCAACGAGUGUUAAAUUUGUGUCAAGUGCUUCCCUUAUCUUUCUGAAGAGAGCUGAUUUAGCUUUGUUCUCUAGCGGAGAGGAACCACGGUGACAUGGUGGGGUGUCUAAGAAACCAGUUACAGCGUCAACUUCAUCUUUUAUCUUCAAGGUAAAUUAAGAAGCAGCGAACUAAAAUUUCUACCUAUGGUUAUGAGGUUAUUUCAGUCCAGCCUUACAAUUUGACUUGUCUAUGUUUCGGUCUUAGUCUUGGCAAUGCCCUAUAGUUUUAUUUUUUUGUUUAAAUUUGGCCCAAAAUCUCGAUUUCAGUAUAUGAUGCAACCAAAUUUGAGCGAAAAAAAAAAUUCUCCCUAGAACUGAGACUAAGAGGAAUGUAUAAACUAAUGCAAUAAUGGUUCUUAUGGUUUGCAAUAACUUUCUUUGAGGGGAUAAUUGGAUCAGUUCAAAUGAUAUAACAGAGUGCAAAAGAACGAUAGAUCACUUGCUGGAACUAGUGCAUGAUGGUAAGUUAAAAUACGAGUUCGUCUUUUGUAAUAACUACUCAAAUUGCUAUAUUUGGGUCUCCAUAUCUUUAUAGUAAUUUUCAAUAGUAUUCAUCCUCAAGAUAGUGUGUUUGGAUUUUGGUGCAUACGAAUUCCUCCAAAACUACAAGACCGAGCUUGUUCCUUUUAGUGAUUUCCAUGUUGCACUGGAUAAAUCACCGGGGAAACAUGGGAGCCAUCCUAAGCAAGUCCCGAAGUUCUCAGGCUACUGAAUAUUUAAGGGUGGUAAGAAGAUGGAAAAAUUCUGCGUCAUAUCCUUCAGACGAUCAGCCUGUUUUGAAGUUCUGAGGCGCCGGAUCAACCAGGCACAAAAACUAUGUAUCUUUUCCCUUCUUAUUAUUUUCUCUUUACAUAAGUGAUGUAUCUUUUCCGUUGAGGUAAUUUCAUUGCUGCUUAUUUUCACCAAUUUCCAUUCUGAAUUUGUUUUGCAUCAUGCCAUCCAAUCUCAAACUAAUCUCAUGCGACAUGAGGUCCAUCUACUACGGCUGAAUUUGGAGAUCCAAACAUCGCCCCGUUUGGUAAGGGUCCAUAAAGGUUUCAGAUUUGCCAAUUACAAUUCUCAUAUACACGUAACAAAGAACAUCGGGAUACUUUCCCAAAAAUCAUGUAAUCAACAUCGCAUGCAUUGAGAAAAGAGUAAGAAGAACCAUAAAUUAUUCAUUUGAUCUAACCUAAUUCAAAUGGGAUGUGGACUGCCUUCGAGGAACAUCAUUCAUACAUGAUGAGCAAAAUCAAUAGAAGACUAGCUAAUGGUAGUUACUUUUUAUGAUAGGGAAAACACAGAAUGGAAGAUCGUACCAGCUUCCAAAGAAGUGACAAUUGUUCAGAUACCACAGAAAGAAAAGGCAUCUUUUGUUUAAGUGAUGUCAAGAACCGCACUCCUUUCUCAAGAUAAAGUCGACAGCAUCCUCAACAGUAUCCACGACCUGCAUAGGUAAACAAAAAAGAGUUUGAUCAGGAUGAGUGAUUUUCGAAUUCAUUUUUAACCUUGGAAAAUUUAGGGAGAAGACAAAUUCCCCACAAAAAAUGUGCACGGUUUUGAAAUACUGACAUUUCACAAGGCUGAAUAGGGAAAGGGAUCGCUCAAUCAUGUUUCAUCCAACCAAGUUAGAAUUCACAGAUCACCCAGAGCAUAGCAAAUCAAGGUAUGUAAGUAUGGGACACCUCAAACACUUAAGGCCAUGUUUCAUGCCCAUGCAAUUAUGAAAAGGAAUCCCGUUCUAAGCAACCAAAUUCCUAGGAGUGGGUUUUUUUUUUCCCUUUGUUGUCCGGUCUCAAAUUACCAGUGAAGAGAGAAAUGUCCAACGUGAGUUGCCAAAUGAGGUUAAAACAUGUCAGAAAUGGAAUGUGUCUCCAAUCAACAUGUACAAAGCGGAGGAUAGAAACAAAGCGAAGAACCACAUAAGAUCCCUCAACAAUUUCCCGAUCAUUGUCCUCCAAAUGAUUUUACAGUUCACACAAGCAUUUUUACGAACCGAUUAUAUAAAACUCAUCAAAAUGUUGCAAGUCAAGCAUUUUUCGCACAAAAUCCACAGCGAUGAAGAUGAAGCCAUUUUUAUUAACUUCAAACUACUGCACAGAAGUUACCUUAAGCCAUUAUUCAUAUUUCUUAUCCUCUUUGUGUUUUGAGUCAGAGACCAAUUACAAGAACUGCAAAUGGGGUGACAGCAACUCAGCCGAGUUGGUAAAUGGAACUUUACCCCCCCCCCCCCCCCCCCUCCCCCACAAGAAAAAAAAAAGCCAACAUGAUGCUUGUCGCUGAUGUCUCCAUAAAGAAUCCAAACAAGUUUCACAAUGGCAAGAGAGAGAAAGGAUUUCACCUAGUAGAGGGAUGUGAGGGUUAUAGAAUCAAGAGGCAGACGAAACUCACGUGGGAAGGAUUUGAAGAUGAUGAACGGAGGGCGGGAGAGAGAGAGAAAGUUCUGAUUUUGUAGGAUUUAAAGAGGAUGAAGCUCAGAAUACUGAGUGGGUAGAGUUCACAAAUGUUUUUCUCUUCUAGGAAUUCCAGUACCACCUCUACCUGAGCAAUCCAAUUCUGCAUUUUAAAGAGAAUCCAUAACCUAGGUAAUUUGAUUCCGCAAUCAUAAAACCAUCUGAAGAUGAGUUGCAAUGGGAUCUCAUUUCCUUUUCUUACACCAAAGUGAACCAAACAAGGCCUAAGUGAUUGCGCAAUGUACUAUACUUCUUAAUGUUUUCCAGGUGGAAUCUAAGAUCUGCAUCUCAACCAUGACUUUCCACUAGGAACACAGAUAUAAAAUCUCUAAACCAAAGAAGUGAACAUGCUGGAAUGAACACAACUUGCACAUGUAGGAACCUACCAUCAACUCACCCCCAACAUACAUACGAGGAAGAGUGAGAGAGACAAAGAUGUGUAAAUUUUGUUAAGAGUACAUAUACUCACCAAGUCAGCAAGGAACUCUGAAUGAUUAUCUUUUCCCUUGAAUACCCCAGUCCUUGUUAAUAUAGAAAACCAAGGAUCUCCUGCCUGAAGGAGUUGUUGGCAGUAUUGGUGAUUACGUUUCAAAAUAAAUUCACUGAUAUAAUAAACUAUAAUUUUUGGUAUGAAAUAUACCUGCCGUGCACCUCUAAUGUCGAUUUUUGGAUUAUCUCCUAUCAUGUAUAGGGUUUUGAAACAAAGAAUUCCAGAGUUUGUAGUAUUCUCCACAUCUAGGUUGCUUAACAAAGAUGGCAUAAGAUUCCUUAACAUUGUCUCAGCAUUUCCAUAGACAAAUGGAUUUGGCUUCCCGUAUGAUGUAUACGCCAGAGGAAUGGGAUGUAUUCUGCAGUACAGGGACAAGUAAACAAUGCGCAACAUAAGAUUGAAGAUUAAUGCAUGUCGUUAUGCUGCAUUAAGGCAAAUUAGGCCUACACAAGGAUCUUAUGGGCCAAUCUUUAAUUUUUUGUAGAGAUUAUUAUAUCAAACUCCAUGCAGAACUAACCAUUGAGAAGCGCAAACCUCACUAUUACCUGUUAUAGAUUGCUUCUAAUGCAAUCCUGAAAGCUCCCAUACCCAAACGUUCAGCAGGAAAAGUAGCCUGCCUUUACACUUUGUCAGCUAGUCAUCAGCCAGUCUUUAGUUCCACUAAGGUUUCAAAAACUCAAGAUUGCAACUCACAUCACAAAUGGCAUAGCGUACCUGGUAUUCUAGGUCAUCAUUUGCAAAAAAAAGGUGCGGUUGCUUUCCAGUCUCCUCUACAGGAAGCCCUCCAGUUCUCAAUAUGUCACAGAGCACCUAAACCCAAACUUGAGUAUCACAGAAUUAUUUUAAAGUACACAGACAGAUAGACAGAUGAUAACACUCCAUUUUAUCACUUCUUUCAAACUAUAUUUCAGCGCCCACUAGACUUCUAAAAAGAUGACAACUAAAGUUACAGAGUAGUUACUGAACAAACAAAACAAAGCCUAGUGUCUUUUGAUAAUCAGUUCAAAGAUUUAGAACUCGCGUGACUAAAAGACCAGUAUGGACUCAACAGCAGAAUUAGAUAAUCUAAGAAAGGACAAGAUCCAUUAGAGUGGUCACAACCUGAAUAUCUCUGCUCCAAUCAACAGAAUCACUGACUACAAAUGCUGCCUGAACUCUCUGUGUUUGUACAGCAAUUUUUCUCUUCGCCAUCUCAUUGGAAGUGCUAUUCUGGUCAAUGUCUGGCUUAGUUGUCCAUCUCUUGUACGGUGCCAGUGGAUCAAUAGCAUCAAAGUAGCUAGUGUACUCAUCAAUUGACAGGACAUUUCUGCAUAGAAAAGGUACAACCAGAAAGAGGGUCAACCGGAGUGAAAUAAAAGAGAAUCAAGUUGUUGGAAUUCGCGUUCCAGGUGAAACAGUAUUGAACACAGACAACUAAAAUGAAUUAAGGAGAGGACUCCUCUGCGAUUACUCAAGUCCCUGAGAACUUGAGUGCUUUUUAUUAACUUUGCUUGCUCCUAUGUAUUAUCUAGACAUCAAAGUAAUAACCAUCAAUAUCAGUUUUAUUAAAUACAUAUCUUUAUCCCUAUUGCCAAGCUAUAUCUCUCUUCCCCUCCCCCCACCCACACACCUGCAUGCACAAGCAAGUAAUUGAGACAUUGCUGGGUACAUUUGCAAACCUAGAGAAGUUGUAAAAAUAUUUACUUGUAUCCAUAUUCGGACAUCACAGCAGCAGGAUCUCCUUUGCCAACAGCAACGACAAGUUUGUUCUCGAAUCUGUGCAAAAACCUCAAUUAGGAAACAGAUUAAUAAAAUAGAGAAGCAUAUUCAUUAGUAAAACAGAAAAGCCUAUUCAGAAUUCUCUUAGAAUAGUUAGUACAUGCAUCCGCACUCUUCAAUGUCUUUUCAAUUCAUAUGAUAUAUGUAGUGCAUUUCCCUGGUUUCCAAGAAGAAAGCACAUGAGAUGAAGAUAUUAGAUGUGUUCUUUGAUACCCACGUACACAUACAAGAUGUGCACAUUUAAUAAAGUCCAAUUUCGCAGUUUUGAACCUACAAAAUUGUGUACUUAUAAAUAAUUCUUGUACAGGAGAAUUCUUACUAAGCUAAUAAUACACAUGCACAAUAUUUUAUUUCGCAAUCCCAGAUUUUAAUAAUCAUGAGUGAGAUAGAUGAAAAAAGCAAAUGUUAUUGAAAAUGCUCAGUCCUGAUUUACAUUAGCAUGCCACAUUUCUCAUUGGACAUUGGUCAUGGAGAUAAUCCAACAAAUCCUUACCUAUUUACCAGUUGUUUAAAAGGUGUGUGGCCCUGUAUGACCUGCAAAUUAUCUUGGUCAAAAUAUGAGAGAAAAACGAAACAAAGUAGUUCUGGACCUGAUAACAAGCAAAAUCGUGAGGGCAAGCAGAUUUUGUAACACAAGAGACGAACAACCUGUGAAGGUAAAAUGUUGACUCCUAGUAGUUGACCUAAGUCCUGGGCUCUUUUGGAUUCAGAAAAGCCACCUCCUGCAUCGGCCAUUGCUAUUAGCAGUGUGCAGUAAAAAUUAAUUAUCGCCUCUUCAGGAAUUAACAAGCAAAAUUUAUUAUUUCAAGGGAGUAACAUAUUGAACGACCAUAGGUAAGGGCAUCUCAAAAGGCGUCACAGAUUCAAAUUGCUUGAAUGACUUAAACAUAAGAUAGCAACAAUCUCAAAAUCAUCAAACGAUUAGUAUUAGAUCUUAAAAGUACCAAUACUUGCCGAUAAGUGAAUAAUCAACCACAAUAAGCAUAUGAUGUCCAGCACGCAACUUGAAAAGUUUAGUUUGACCAUUAUAUUGGCACUCACCGGUGAUGAUUCUAUUGAACGGUCACAUUUGGUAACACAUAUAGAAAGUGAGAAAUGUAAUAGCAAAAUUACUAACGUAUUAAAGCGAUGACUAGGACCUAUUGAAGUCUACCAAUCACGAACACUCACCAUUUGUUAAGAACACGAAAGGUAUCUUCAGCUUUCCUGAAAAGAUGUAGAACGUAAAGUAAGUGAUAGCAGGCUAUCAAAUAGCAGAUACGAAUCUCAAUAUCCCCCGCCCUUACAUCAUCAAAAAAUUCGGUAGCAAUCAGCGAAAAAAAGACAUGCAUUCGCAACGUAGAACAUACGCAAAAUGGCAAGAUCCCCAGCACGACAUAAGCCUCGCAGGUAUAUCAGCAAGCGAUGGCGAAAGCCUUACCAGAAUCGUCGUACAAUCUCCUGAGCGCGCGCGGAGAACCGCCGAUGGGAGCGUGACCGAGGAGGACCACGCCGUCGAUGUCGAAGGCGAUGCCGAACGAAGGCCUGCACGACGAAACCACGAUCGUCGAUUCGAUCACGGACGAGAAAGAAGAAGAAGAGAAAAAGAGAACAUCGGAGAAAAUCACGAGCGCAGUCGAAGCAUGACCGGAACGCACCGAUCCGAUUGCGAGCUAAGCCGCGAAAACGAGCGCGAGGUGAGCGGGGACGGCUGCUUUCUGCCGCGACUCCGCGACGCGAUGGUGAAAAGCCGGUGCCUCAUUUUCCCGUUCGUGGCGAAUCGCCGGAGGUGAAGCUUCAAGAAAAACGGAGCGAGCUUCAACAGUCCACAGAGAGAGAGAGAGAGAGAGUGGCCCAAUCGCGCAGCGUCUUCUCGUUCGAUGUUCAGUGGCCGUGAAUUGGGCCCGUUGAAAUGAUGGGCGGGCCUCGAUAGCGGAUCGGCCUUUCAUUCGGAUCCGAGCUCAACGGUUAAGCUUGAUUUUGGUGAACGUUUUUGGGCUCUUUUCUUUAGUUCUUUCAUUUUUGUUGUAUUUUUCUCUUUAGGCCUAGUAAUUUGGGCUCCUUGUCUCGGAACCUCUAGAGAGAAUCGCUAACUGCAUCUUUGGUGCACCUGGUGCAUGUACGUAUAGAAAUUCUCAACUGGCUAGUCGUAAAUGGCCCCACCCUAAGACUAUGAGACCAAUGGUUAUACCAACCUACACUGAGAUGUAGACUGUGAUUCUCAAAUAUUGAAAAACAGGGUGUGAUACAAUGAAAUAGGAUGCAAUGGAGACAGACACUGAAAAUAAAUAGAUUACUUUUUUUUUGCUAUUUCCUUGUAGCGUAGUUUAUCACUUCUAAAUGAUUUUUUAUCCAGCCAAAGGAUAAUCUUCCAUAUUUGCUCCAGCAUGUUUAACAUUUUCAACCUGGCGAAAAUUUGAUUAGAUGCAAAAGAGAAACGAGUGGAAUAUCAACCAAAAGAAAAUCAAAACUGUUAUAAACUGUUAUACACACCUUAGUAUUCGUCUUCAUAAAUAAAAGAUACUUUUGCAUUCCAUAAGUACUGACUUGUUUUGUUAUGCAGAACAUCCAUGUCUAGCACUUAGCCCAUUGUAAAUUUGAGUGUGUUGAAAGGUGAAAUAGUUUUUGUGCUCAGGGACAUGGCAUACUUACAUUGUGAAAGACCAGAGUGUGUGGCAAAAAAUUGAUAAGAAUUCUCCUAUUGAAUAUGCCGCAACAAUUUCAAUUAAUCCUCCGACCGCUUUGAGAAUGCUUGAAGACUUCACCUGCUUGGAACCAGGUAUUAGACAGUACAAAAGUCCUCUUAGCUGUCCCCCAACUUUUACCAUAAGCAAUUUUUCUAAGUUGUCCUAAUCAACUAUGAUAAUUAGGGGAUUCUAUUGUGCAAAAUGGGGCUACAAGUAUGGUGGGUCGAUGCCUCAUCCAAAUUGCAAAAUCCCACGGCAUCCAUAGCAUCAACAUAAUCAGGGAUAGGUGCUCUUUUGAAAGCUUUCAGUAACCUUAACACUAUAUAACUUUUGUCAAACUAUUGUUGUUUAAAACUUUUGUGUAGACUUUAGAUAGCAAGGGUAUGUGUGGGUUUGCUUUUAUUUCUCUUUUCAGUGAUCUGCCUUAACCAUUGCUAGCAAGCCUUUUUUUUUUUUUUUGCCCCUUGCGGGAAAGCAUUGAGCUCUUUUCUACUUAGCUUCGAAAGUAACUUUGGAUGGUUACAUAGCCCGAAUUAUAUCUGAAAUUCAAGCUCUAUGAUGACAAGUUGGAACUUUUGGGGACUAAAUUACUUAUGGCAACUCUGUCUUUUCCUGUUCUAAUUACGAACCUUGCUGGUGGACUAAAAGUUAUGAACAAUUGCCAAACGUACAAAUAUGUUGAUUAUGUUUGGUUGUGGCAGUGAUGUAUCAAUUUACAAAUUGAAAAUGUGCAAAAAUAUUCAGCAUUCUCGUAUCUCAGGUUUUUAUGGAAGAUGGUGUGAUUGACAGAGAUCUCUUGCAUUGAAUAACAAGGAGAAGUGGAUCUUGAGCUUGUGUUACUGUAGCUGACCCUUUCAAACUUAAAGUAAUACAAAGUGUGAUCACUGAUUCGAGGAAAUUAUAAUCUCUGGCUAGGUGCUACACUAGGCAGGAAUCUAUGAGGCUAAUUGAGCAUUAGUUCAUGCAUUGGCAUGCAAGAAUGGUUCUAUUAUGAGGGCAUUUUGAGAAACUCAUUAUGUUGAACUUAUCAGAGAAAGUAAGACAGUACUUUAGGUUGGUUUUGGUACAUCAGUUAACAUCCUUCAAUAUGCCAAUAUAAAGAUGAGGUUUUGUGAUGAAGUAACAUGUAUAGGAAAGAUUAGAAUGACUUGCUUUUUGAAUCUAUUGAAGGCAAAGGCAGUUAAUUGUAGUGUGAAGUGAAAAGAUAUGUUUCUGCAUUGCUCAUCAGAAGUGACUUGUUACUAUUGAUGCUGCUUCUACUAUUUUUGUAGUCAUCAUGUGUUCUAGAUGUUUAUCGCUGGUAUGUUUAGAUCAUCAUACUACUUGGGCAUUGGUAAUUCCAUCUUUUGUGGUUGCUAGUGGAAACUUACUUUUCGUAUAUCUAAGACCUCUCUUGCUUUGCAACUUCCUAUAGUGAUUUUUUAAAUUCUGUGGUGAGACACAAAAAAGGUCAAAAAACAUUUUGCGGUGCUUGACACAUUAAUUUAGUAGAGCUCUUGUUAGCCAGCUCAUUAGUUCCUAUGUGACAUCUAGGACGAAUUUAGUAGAAUUCGUAAUUUCUUUUUCAACUUAGCAGUUAGCACUGCAUUUCAAUAAUUGAAUUUGGUUUUUAUUGGGCUUUCAUGACCCUUUUUUUUCCGUGACAGAGCUGGCUCUGAUGAAGCAAAAGAUGCGUUGAGGAAACUCGAUGCUGGAGAAGUGUUCACUGAGAUCCAAUUAGAAGUAAAGAAUGUCAAGAGUCUACUAGUAUCAUGCAUCCAUUAACCCAUUCUACCAUAUUCUCAUGCAUGGACACACAUCCAUGUUUAGCCUUUGCCACUUGAGUUCUUUAUUUACAUCUGAAACUAGGAUGAUCUUAAAGUAUCUACCCUUGGAUUAAACUAUGUUGGUGGCAAUGCUGCUUCCUUGGUGAUGAAAUUUUUUAGGUGCGACAAGUGUUAAAGUAGUGUUGAGUGCUUCCCAUAUCUUUCCGAAGAGAGCUGAUUUCGUUUUGUUCUCAGGCGGGGAGGAACCAUGCUGACAUAUGGUGGGAUGUCUAAGAAACCAAUUACGGUAUCAACUUCAUCUUUCGUCUUCAUGGUAAAUUAAGAAGCGGCGAACUAAAUUUUCCACCUACGGUUAUGAGGUUAUUUCAAUCAAGCCUUACAAUUUGACAGGUCAAUGUUUUGGUCUCGAUCUUGGUCAAUGCCCUAUGGUUUUAUUUUUUGUCUAAACUUGGCCCAAAAUCUCACUUUCAGUGUUUGACGCAACCAAAUUUGAGCAAAAAAAAUUAUUCCUAGAGUGAAGACUAAGAGGAAUGGUGUAAACCAAUGCUUCCAUAUAUUCAAUCGCACAGGGAGUUUUUUUUUGGGGAGGGGGGGGGGGGUGGGGAGAGGCAAUGUAAUUACCUGUUAAGAAAUGAAGCAAACUAUGGAUUGGUGAGAAAAUCAUGCACGUGAGAUCAAGAGAUUAUCCACAUGGAUUUCUUAGGGCCAAAGAAUCACUAUCACUUGAUCCCUUAAUCGAAAGUAGUAAUUGUGGCAUAGCUCAAGCAUCUUUAAGCCUGCAGUAGGUGCUGAACAUCGGAAGAGAAACUUGUACCCAUAGGAGGCGUUCUAAUAAAAGAUCCAGAGCAAAGAAGAAGGCAUAGAAACAAUGGUUCUACUAUUGUCUCCUUCUUGAUUUCAUUGUGAUAUCUCAUGCUAAAGUUCAAUUGUACCCAUAGGAGGCGUUUUAGUAAAAGAUAUAGAGCAAAGAAGGCAUAGAAACAACGAUUCUAUUAUUGUCUCCUUCUCGAUUUCACUGUGAUAUCUUAUGUUCAAUUGUACAGUCAGUACUGCUGACUUCUGGAAUUAAUUCCUAAAUCAUAAAGCACAUCUGGAGUGUAUGAUAAUGAUUGUUAUGGUUUGCAAGAUCUUUCUUUAAGGGGAUUUUGGCUGCAUAAUUGAAUGAGUUCAAAUGAUGUGACAGAGUGCAAAAGAAUGAUAGAUCACUUGCUGGAACUAGUGCAUGAUGGGAAGUUAAAAUACGAGUAUGUCUUUGGUAACCUCUACUCAAAUUGCUGUAUUUAGGUCUCUAUAUCUUUAUAGUAAUAUCCAAUAGUAUAUCGUCAAGAUGGUGUGUUUUGAUUGUGGAUGCAUAUAAUUUCUCCAAAAUUGCAGGACGAAGCUGGUUCCUUUUAGUGAUUUCCACAUUGCACUGGAUAAAUCACUGGGGAAACUUGGAAGCCAUCCUAAGCAAGUCUUAAAGUUCUAAGGCUACUGAAUAUUAAGGGCGGUGAAAAGAUGGAAAAAUUCUACAUCGUAUUCUUCAAACGAUCAGCUUGUUCUGAAGUUCCCAUGCGCUAGAUCAACCCGACACGAUAACUAUGUAUCUUUUCCAUUAUUAUAAUUAUUAUUUUAUCUUUUCAUAAGUAAUGCAUCUUUUUCUGUUGAGGUCCCUCUUGUUGCUGCUUAUUUUCGGCAAUUUCCAUUCUGAAUUUGUUUUGCAUCAUGCCUUCCAAUCUAAAACUAAUCUUGUGCUCUGCUAAAACGUGAGGUCCGUCUGCUCAAUUUGGAGAUCCAAACAUCAGCCCUUUAUGGUAUUGGAAGGGUCCGGAAAGUUUUCAGAUUUUGCCAAUUACAAUUCUCAUAUGCAUGUAACUAUGUAAGAAGGAACAUUGGGAUACUUACCAUAAAUCAUGUAAGCAAGAUCGCAUGCGUAGAGAAAAGAGCAAGAAGAACCAUAAAUUGUUCAUGUGAUCCAUCUAAUUCAGAUGGGAUGUGGACUGCCUUAGGGGAAAGUCACACAUGAAACACACUAAGCAAAAUCAAGUGAAGACUAGCGAAUGGAAGUUACUUUUUAAGAUAAAGGAAAACACACAAUGGAAAGAUCGUGUCAGCUUCCAAAGAAUUGGCGAUUGUUCAGUAAUCACAUAAAGAAAAGGCAUCUUUCAUCUAGACAAUGUCGAGAACCGCACUCCUUUCUCAAUAAAAAGUCGACCGCAUCCCCAACAGUAUCCACCACUUGCAUGGGGUAAACAUAAAAGAGUUCAACCAGGAUAUGCGAUUUUCAAAUUCAUUUUCAACCUUGGAAAAUUUAGAGAGAAAACAAAUUCCCCGCAAAAGUGGCUUUCUAUUAUGCACAGCUUUGAAAAACUGACAUUUUGCUAGGCCGAAGAGGGAAAGGGUUUGUUCAGUCAUGUUUCAUCCCACCAAGUUAGAAUCUACAGAUCAUCUAGAGCAUAGCAAAUCAAGGUAUAUAAGUACUUGGAAGAUCAUCCGCGCUGACACCUCAAAACACUUAAAGUGUUUGGUUAAUGGUCAUGGAAUCAUGAAAGGAAUCCCAAACUGUAAAAUCAAAGAGGACAAUAGCCGGGAAAAUGUCCAACGAUCUUAUGUGGUCCUUCAUCCUGUUUCUAUCCCUAGUUUUCUAUUAUUCACUUUGCAUAUGUUGACUAGAGACGCAUUCCAUUUCUCACAUGUACAACAUGAUUAUUAUGUCAAGAGAUGGGAUUCAUUCGGUGAGCAAAGGCCAACAUGGAAUUCCACUAUGACCCCAGCCUAAGAAUAGAAUUUCUAAACCAAUCUAGUAAUUUAUUUUUGGUUAUUUCACAGAAAAUAAAUAAUUUAAUAAAUAUUUUCCAAAAAAUGAUUAUUUAUAUCGCUCAAAAUAAUUAUUUAAUAAUAAAUAUUUUUAUUAUCUAUAAUAAUUUAUAAUUAAACAUUUUCAUAAAAAGUGAAAAUAUUUUUAGUUCAUUUAUUUUUAUAAGCAAUACAAAUGAUUAUUUUUAUGAAGAAUAUUUUAUUAAUCAUUCUCUUAAUCAAAGAUACACUCCUGUUAUGUUUGUGCUAUAGUCCCAUCUUCUUAAUUGAAUUAAUUAAUCACCCAGGCCAAAAGUAAAGCAAAAUCUUUCGGGCUCUAAAUAGGCAAUAAUACUCUAACGGAUUUUCAUUGACCAACAUUUAGUUAUCCUCAUGGACCAAUACCAUAUGUUUUUAUGGUCGUUAUAGUCAAAAAGGGGAUUGGAAAUUAGAAUACCUUUUGAAUGGAGGAGAUUAUGUAAAGGCAAAAGAAGCAACAUGGAUGGACCAUUUUUCUUAGCAGGAGUCCAUCUUUUUCCAAAUGUAAAUGAUGUAGCAGAAGUUUCGCUUGUUACUUCCAUGUCAUUAACGAGGCUGUCUAAUCAUUCAUUGUCUCCUUAAAAGAUGAUGAUCACACGCUUCCAUUGGCCGGCGGUUAGUACACUAUUAAACCGUCAUCAUUGACUUAUCUCCCCCGUUGGGUGCUUAAAUCAAAAGAUUAAUAUACUGAAAAAUCCUAAAUUGGUACAUUUAUGAUAAAUUUACUCCAAAUUAAUUUUUUGACCAUCAAAAAUCAUAAACCGAUACACAUUUGACAAAUUUACCCCAAACCAGUACACUUGUGACAAAUUUACCCUCUAUUAAUUUUCGUUAAAUUUUAUUGUUGAAUUAUUAAAUUAAAUGACAUGUGGCAAUUAAUUGGUAUAUCAAUUUGGGAUUUUACUCUCCGUUUGUCACAAUUUAUAAUUUUUGUAAUUUUUUUGUGGUAUUAAUCCAAUUUAGCAUGGGAUAUAUUUGUUACAAAUGUACCAGUUUGGGAUUUUUGACGGUCAAAUAAAUUAGUUUUUGGUAAAUUUGUCAUAUAUAUACUAUUUUAGGGUUUUUUAUCGUCAAUCGGAAUAAAUUUGUCACAGGUGUAUUAGUUUAGGGUUUUUCAUGAUAAAAAAAUAAUUUAAGGUAAAUUUGUUACAAGUAUACCAGUUUGAGAUUUUUCAAGGGAUUAACCCUAAAUCAAAAGAAAACCAGCGUCGUUUUAUCAUGUCACGGUAUCAUUGUUAGAGUUAAACAAUUGGAAUGGAGUACCAUGUUAGAAAAUUCUAUGAGACUUAGCUGAUAUUUUAUUGCAUUUUCCCUCAUAAGUUUAAGACUAUAUUAAUUUAUCAAGAAAUUUAAACAUUGAUAGAUUCGGGCUUCAGUAUAAUAAUAUUAGGACAGAUUAUGCAAUUAUCUUGAAAUAUGACAAUUCAAUUUUUUCAACCCCAUGCUCACACUCAACUCAAUGCAAUAUAUAUACUCACAUCAAACUCGAUUCAACUCUAACAUUAAAAACUAAAUUACAGUGUAAACCUUCUAACUCCAUCUCAAGUUCUCAUAAAAAAAUUCAAAAAUAAUGAUUUUUUUCAAAUGUCCUUAGUAAAAACCUUUAAAUUAUUAACAGGAUUGCAAGUCACGUGAUUGUAGUAUUACGAAAUUUGACACCUCCAACAAUGGCAACCCAUACUGUUGGGUCCAAAUCCAUAAAAGUGGGGGUGAAGUGCUUUUAUAUAUAUUUAAAAAUAUUGAUCUUUCUAGAACUAGCCCCUUAUUUAUUUAUUUUUAUAUGCAAUUCAACCGGUAGUUUGUAAAAAGGAACUUAUAGAAUUUAGGGAAAGAGAAAUUGCAGAAACUCUUUAUAGAGUUUCAAUUAGGAUAUGCCUUCUCUUCCUUCUAGCUAUAGUAGCCCAGUCAGGUUGAAAUCCACCACUUGAGCCAAUAGUGCAAAUGCCAAGAACUUUUGUAUUGCGUGGACUCAACUCCUUCGACGGCUAUGUCACUAUAGACUAAAUAACUAUUAGAUCUCUUUCAAUAGCUAUUCUCGCACCUUGUGCACACGGUAUGGUAGACAUAUUUUCCCAAAAUUAUCAACCACACUCUAAGUGUUUACAAGUAAUCAUUCGCACACUUCGUCUCUUACCUAAACAAUUGUAUUCUCUCUAAGUACAACCACUUCUUCCGUGUGUAUAAAAAUGAUUUCGGCACCCUUGCUAACUUUUAGGAUCAAAACUCAAUUGACUACAAAAGCUCAAAGUAAUAGAUAGGCCAAAAAAAAAGGAAAAUAAAGGGUUUGAAAAGUCAAUAAAAGAAGCUGAACGAAAAUAGUGGAAGCUUCAGCUGUUUUAAAGAGAGGAGAGAGGGAGGGCUUCAACAGAAAUGAAAACAAGGGAAAUGGAAAUAGGGGAGAGAAGAUGUGACAUCCUGAAUUUUAUGUUUUGUUUUCGAUUGAAUAAGUUGGGCUUUUCAUUUAUGUGCCUAUUGUUCUUUUCUCUGAGCUGAUCACUCACGAGAUAACUAGUCUCUGGUGAAGCCGUUAAGAUAUUUUAAUGCAAUAGAUCUGAGAAUUCGACUAGAAAUCGACUGCUCAAUCGUGCUAGUCUGCAAAGGUCAUUACGGUAUAGUUAAAAAUCAAUUAGAGACCGGAGAUAGAUCGACUCGACUGAGCCAUGUGAUAAAGUGUGGGUGAUUCCACCUAAUUGCAAAAUUCUCGUCGAUCGGCACUAGACGGAUUAUACUGUUAUUUUGGUACCCUGUAUCCGUAUUUAAAAUCUUGAAAUUUUCCCGACAACCGAGAGUCAUCAAUGUGUCAAAGAUAUACAAUGUAGCUCGAAAAUAAUCGACCACGGGUCAAUUGCACUAAAAAAUCCUAAAAGCUACCCAGUAAGUUGGGUCACGCUAAAAUCACACCAGAUUGAAAUUAACCGUGAAUUUAAACCCGAUUUCAAAAAUUGAAAGUUCUUUCAUGCCACAAUUCAUUUUAGGACCGUCAACUCAUCCUCUAAAGAUUUUUCUGCAAACCGAGAUUUUUUGGCAAAAUUUCAAAGUAAUGCAAUUUUUGUCCGGGAAAAUCAGAGGACCGUUUUUUGUCACAUUUUUUAGAUUCGAAUUGGUUCAAAUGGUGAGGAAAAAUGUAGUAUUUGACGAGGACACCUUGGUUGGAUUUAUAGACGUCAAAUUGAGUUCAAUUAGAGGGGAAUUGAAUCAAUUUGGAUGGAAAUUGUACAAAAUUCGUAGGCCAAAGGGUGUGCAACAUUUGAGGCAUCAAAGGAAGCUUCUAGGGGAAGUUUUGGUGCUGCAAAAUUGGCUGUGGAUAGGGCAGAGCUAGUAGGGGCAUGCAAUGAUUAAGAAAGAGGAUAUUUGUGGUCAAGGGGACCCCCAAAGCUUCUGCAGUCUUCUUCUCCCUCAACCAGCUUCCUUUAUCCAUUGUUGAUCACUUUUGAAGGUCCAAAAAACUAGAGAGAAUCCAUAGAGGAACCCCCCCACCGUCGCAAGCCCGCCCAAAGCCGCCGGACCACCGCUCGCCAAUCGCUCACGUUGCGCAUCCCUCACGCGCACCGUCCGCCCGUUUCAUGCCAACUGCCAUUUUCCCCUGAGCCCUUGUCGCCGUAGGAGCUCAACCAAAGCUCCACCAUCGCCGUCGACCGCUGCAGCCAUCGCCACCCUCUCCUUGCCGUUUUCGCACCAACCAGCUGUCGUUCCAGUUUGCUCGACCCAAGGACAAAAUUGAAAAGCCAGCAAGGAGUUUCAAACUUCAAGGCCCGUUUUCAGGCUCGUCCGGUCUCCGCUUGGUGUGGCCGCAAGGUUGUUUGUUGCCUGUCUCCGCGUCACCGUCGCCGUGGACUCACCAGAUCGCUAAACCAAUGAGUUUACUUGCUUAACUCUACUUAGGGAGUUAAUGACAUUUAAGGGGUGAUUAGUUUAAGUUAAGCAUGGAUUAGGUGGUUAGUUAGAAUGGAUUAGUGAUUUAAUUAAUCGUUUGUGCAUGUUAAGUGGUUAAAAUAAACUAAUUAGAGACUAGAUAAGUUGUACUAUUUAUCUAGAUAGGUUCACAAAUUUUCCCGACUCGUUCGGGUAGUUAAUUAAGCAUUUUACGGCCUAAGUUGAUAUUUUUGGUAAUUAAUUAUAUUUAUUUAAUUAUUUUUGUAUUUAUUUAAUUAUUUGUUUAUUUUCCGGAAAUUAUACCGGGAUAGCCGAUGACCAAGAUUUCGUGCUAAUUGUAAUGAUGUUAAUUGUAAUGAUGUACUUAGUUUUUACAAUUGAAUGCUAUUUUGGAGAUAAGUACACUAUCAGUGCUAAAAGUUGUGUACGGCGCCCACUUUGGUGCCAAAAGUUUAUUUUAGAUCACUUAAGUGCCAAAAAGUUUGAAAAAUGCUCAUUUCAGUGCCAACGCCGAUCUGGUUGGCUGAAAAUCCGACGUGACAGCUUUUUAUUAAUAUUUGAAGCCGAUGUGGAUCGUUGGAAAGUACAAUCAACAUGCAAAAAACAAAACAACAUCGUUUAGCGUCUUUUCCCCCAAAUAAAAAACCCUAAACCCCCAAAUUCGACCAGAAUCGGAAGUUGAAAACCCUAAAUCCCCAAUUCGACCCAUUCGAGUGCAUACUUCGAUUUUCUUCCAAAGUUAUCAGCUCGCUCUUGCAAAUGGAGGGCAGAAGCUUCGGCAAUGGCUCACAUUCCUAUUUAAAAAAAAAGUGAAUUAGAUAGUGAGUGUUACUGUUAUUGUGGUUUACCGAGUCCGAGAAGAACAUAUGGGAUCGAUUGAAUUCCAAGAGAAAAUUCCAUGGAUGCGGCAAAUAAAGUGCAAAUAUUUCAAAUAAGUUAAUAGAAAAUUCUCUGAUCGAGCGAUAGAGGUGAUCUUGGUGUUACUCGAAGGUCGAAAUCAACCUCCACUUACGUUAAUAGACAAGUUGAAAAAUGUCGACUCAAUGCAAGCUCAAAUGAAAGGUUUAACAUCUCUGGUUGACCAUUUGAAAAUGGAGACUUCAAGACUGAAAAUUAAAAUAAACUUUUAUCGAGCGUUGAUUGUGUUCUUAUUCUCUUGGAUAAUUUAUUCAAAUGUGAAGUGAGUAAUGAGAAGAAGUUUGAAUGUCUACCGUAGUCGAAGACACGGAAUAUGCACUUGUAUUGGAUUAUUUAUAAGUAAAAUGUGUUUUUGGUUUGCUGCAAUUUUUAUAUGCAGUAGAAGGUUUUGUUGUAAUCUAUGGUAGAAAUGGAAGGUUGGAGUUGGAAUGCAUUAGUUGUGAGCACUUAAAAGUUUCAUUAUUUAGUUGUGUAUUGUCAAUAUUUGUUUUAGUUAGUUUUUGUUUUAGAUAUAAUGAUUUGCUGCAUUUUUUAAAUGGUUGCUGGUUUGUUGUAACUACAAACCAUGGCAAAAUGGAAGGUUAAAGUUGGAAUGCAUUAGUUGUGAGCACUUACAAAUUUUAUUGUUUAGUUGUAUAUUGUCAAUAUUUAUUUUGGUUAGUUUUUGCUUCAAAUAUAAUGGUUUGCUGCAUUUUUGUUGUUAUAAUGGUUUGCUGGUUUGCUGGUUUGCUGCAACUGCAAACUACGGCGAAAUUAACAGAUGGUGGCAAAUUUACGAUUGACCAUUUCAGUGCCAUAAGUUGUAAAUAGUAAUCGCUUAAGUACCAAGUUUUUAUAAAAGUGAUCAUUUAAGUGUCAGUCGCGAUUACAAAGUGAUCACUUUUGUUGCACAAGUUUUUUAGAAAAACAUGUUAGUUUCAAACUUGCACCAGUCGUGAUGCAUCUUGCAUCUUGUUGCACCAAGGCAUCUUAUUCUUGCUGGUGCAACAAGAUGCACCAGCACCGAAAAUUCCAUCUUAUUCUUAUUCUUGCACCAGCACAUACAACCAGAACCCCACAAAUUCAUUAGCAUCCACAACAGCACAAAAAUAUACAGCAUAACUAAUAGAUAAUCGUCUUGCUAGCAUUACUAGUCGAAACUAAGCCAAGAGAAAAUAACACAAACAACUAUUACCAUUGACAUUGAUUGAUUGUUUACAAAAUAAAAACGUGUCUAACUUCACUCCCCAAUCACUAAAAGUUCAGCACCCUCUUAAAAAAAAAUAAUGGCAAUAUACAGGCAACAACUACCAUCAAUGAUAUAAUAUCCAGCACCCUCCUAAAAAAAGAAAACAUAAAAAGAGAAACUAUGUCCAGCACCACAUAAAAAGAGACCAUGUCCAACACCCUCCCAUCAAUCAAUAUGAACAACACCACGAUCUCCUUUUCCUCUUAGAGCUUUGAAUUAAUUCAUAAUCCGAACACUCUUUCGAACUGAAUGUUCUGGUUCUUUAACUGGGCUUUUUGUCACCUCAUUUUGCUUGUUCUUAACAGCGGCUAUUUUUGUUCUAGCACGUGUCAUGUGUUGGUCUAUAUGAUCACUAUUGCUCUCAACGUUGGUUGAGAUGGAACUGGUGCUAGGUUCUUUUUGGAUGGCUGUUUUGUAGCUAUACUCAUUGUCUUCUUCUUUGGAGCACUCUUCUUUGGCUACGCCCUUGAUUCUUGACUUCGCCCACCUGGAGAGAGAAAUACCUCCGAAGUUCUCCCAGUCUACAAGAACAUAGCGAUAUUGUCAACCAAAUGAAUUAAAGUACAAUAAAUUAAAUGCAUGAGGCGUACAAAUCUUACAUUCAAAAUAGUCAUUCCAAUAUAUUAAUCUGUGUAAAUCUCAUAACCAUAUUGCCUUAAUCUUUUUCCAAUAGCCCCUUUUGUUCGCUAUGAUGCAUCAUUUUCAGCAGCAAUUAGGGGAGCAACCUCUACAACUUGUGCAGUUGCUCGUUUUCUUACCUGAAAAACACAUAAUAAAUUUAAAUUUCAGCCCAUAAAAGACAAAUACGGCGAUGUACAGCUUACAGAAUAUUUUUUUCUCGCUUGCUCAAUAGUGGACUCAAUUGUUGUUGUUGUUGUCCUGUCCGUUCCAGUCCAUGUUCCUACACUUGAGCCUACAACAGGGCCUGUUUCUAGCCCUUUAGUAGGCCUUAUAACAAUAUACUAUAUCAGGAUUAUGACCAACUACAAUUAUUUGAAUAAUUAAACAUCUAUUUAUUUUCAUGGUGGGAAACAAAUGGAGAAAACUUCUCAAAUUACAAGUGCAUGACAGAGGAAAAGCACAAGAGAAGCCAGUACACCUGAUCAACCAUCAAACUCUAUCGAAUAUGAACUGAAAAGUUACUGAGGCAAAGAGGAUACUUACCUUACAGCAGGGCUUUUUAUUUACCCUUCAAUAGGCAUUACAGCAGGGCUUUCUGUCCUCCCUUUAAUAGGCCUAAGAAGAAGCUCUUUAGUAGGUCCUGUCUCUAAAUCAGCUUGCUAUUGAUGCUGCACAAUCUUUCUUAUCGUGCCUUUCCUUGCGGCAUAGAAGCAUUUAUCUUUGCCCCAUUCCUACUCAUCCUCUGACUUGAUGCACCUUCCUACUACAUUCUUCGACACAUCUUUGGCCUUCACAUCUACUUCUUCGAUGGAUAAGGUAGAGAGCUUUCAUGAUUUAUUGGCUCCCAAAAUUUGCUGCUUCUGAUAGGCUGCAUCACGAAUUGGUAUGAAGCACUGUAUGAGCUUUUUUUGUACCAAUCAUCUGGGUUUCUACUUCAUCUGAAUAGGACAAAUGGCAUGGGCACGAGGAAUUACAUUCAGUUGCUAGGCUCGAUAUGAACACUUUCUUCAAUCCAGGUUGACAACAUACUUAUCCUGAUUUUUAAUAAUCUCAUAUCAAUUAACUCCAUUCCAAACUGGAUGACAAAACCUACUAACAGCAAUGUUUGCAUCCAAUCUCUUCAUAAUCAUAAGGCUACAGUCUCUAGUCAAUUUCAUAAGCUCAUCUCUUUGCCUAUGCAAUCUAGUCAUCACCAUAACUCGAAUAUCAUCAAGCAUGCUAAUAAUUGGUUUGUACCUGGCCUCUAAAAUUUUGCUAUUGAAAGCUUCGCUGAGGUUAUGAUAUCGCAUUUGAACUCUUCACUGAAGAAGGCCCGACACUAGUGCUUAGCUUCUGUCUGGAAGAGUACAUCAAAACUUUCCUUUGUCAGCUGCAACAAUCCUUGUUUGACUAAUCUAAAAUCAGCCAUGUUGGUACUCUUCAUUAUCUACUAGAACUGCUUCUAUAGCCUAUCUCCUUUGAAGUUCCUUGACCAGUUUGCAUAUAUGUGCCUCGCUCACAUUCUAUGCUCAGCAUGUGACAUCAACUCAGCCAAUGCAAGAAUAAGUCCCUACAAAAAUUCAAACCAAUAAAUACAAAUCAGGAAAAAUAUGCAAGUGAUUAAUAUUAAAAGGGAAUUGAUUAAUUGACGAUGGAAUUACCUUCUAUUGGUCGCUCAUGAAUGUUCAUCCUCUCCCAUCGAUUAUUUCAAGGUCAGCCAUUAAAUUUUUAAGAAACCGGGACCAACUAUCCUUGUUCUCUAUCUUCAUCACCGCCCAAGCUAUCGGAAACAUUUGAUUAUUAGCAUCUCUCCACACAGCAGCCAACAACUCCCCCUUGCAUAAACCUUUUAGAAAGCAUCCAUCCAAUCUUAUAACUAGGGGUGAGCAGCGGUUUAGGGUCGACCCUGGACCGACCCUGGACCGACCCAACCCUGUCGGUCCUGGUCCGGUUCCCAAGGGGACUGGGUUGGUCCUUGGUCCUGAAAUUCCAAGACCAACACUGUGCGGAUUGGUCCUCGGUCCUAAGAGUUUUGAGUCGGUCCAACCCUGGACCAACCCUGUAUAUUAAAUUAUAUUAUUUAUAAUUCUUUUAUAUAUUCAAACCUAAGUAAAAUGUCUAUUAUAUUAUAUUAUAUUGAGAUGUUCUAUCAAUAUCACUAAUAGUAAUUUCAAUUUAAAAUUUUUGUUAAGUAUUAAUUAUGUGUCGUUUGUUUUGUUUUCAAGUGUUUAGAAAUUCAAGUGAAUUAACAAGAUGUGAAGUUAUAUAUUCAUGGUUUAUAUUAAGUAUUUUGAACUUUUUUUGAUUAAUUUGUAUUUUACUAAUGAAUUUCAGCUGCACUUUGCUUUUCAAUUUGUGUCAAAUGGUAGAAGUUUUUGAAGAGUAGAGUAGUACUGCAGUUGCUACGGUAAUUUGCUAGUCAAGUGGUGUGAAACUCAUUUUUUGGUUGAGUAGACUCUACAUGAUCAAAUGCUAAUCAAGUGGUGCGAAGCUCAUUUUUUGGUUGAGUGGACUCUACAUGAUCAGAAAAACACUUUUGCAUAUGGUGUUAUAAAUAUUAAAGAUAGAUGAUUACAAGAACUUUCCAUCUUGUCCCAUAUCUCUAUGAGCGGUUAGCGGAUACGAAAUUUCUAUGAUUGUGUCAUCUUAAAUUUGCUAAAUAUGUAUUGGUAUUUUAUAGUUUAGUUGCACAAUACCGUAUUGUUGAUGGAUGUGUAAUUUGAAUUUGUAGGUUUGCUUUUUUAGGAAGUAUAAAAAAUAAGACCAAAAAAAUUAUUGAUCGGUCCCGGGUUGACCCUGGAACCGGACCGAACCCAUUGGGUCGGUCCGGUCCUUGGUCUCAGGCUCAAUAGGGUCGGUCCUCGGUCCUAAAAAUUGAGGACCGACACUGUAUGGGUUGGUCCUAGGGUUAGGGGGUGGCCCGGACCAACCCGGACCAUGCUCACCCCUACUUAUAACUCUUCUACAACCAGCCAAGAAGCCCCAUUUGCAUGCAUUAAAAUAAACAUAAAAUCUAUCAAAUCUAAACUCAUAAUCAGGGAGUGGUCUCUCUACAACCUCUACAUAUACCCGACUAGAUGGGUUUUGAAACAUGCAUUCGCCAGCAUAAUCCCAUACCUACGCAUAUUCUUCCUUAUACCCAUCCAUCAAUAUUUUCAUCACUCUCAUCUUAGCUCUCUUGCAUUGAUUCCUUGACACAUUAACCCAUAAUUGCUCCUUCACUAAUAGUUGAAAUUGAGGACAUUGCUUUGAUAGUAUUGAAAAAAUGCUUCGCUAAUCACACACUUGUUGCCCUUUUAUUGUUAAAGAUAAUCGGACAAGCAUGCUCCUCUUGGAAGGACCUAAUCUGGAAUGACCCCUUCUUACUCAGCGCGCCAUAGAGCCUCCAUGAACAAUUGGGUUGUGAACACUUAGCUCUCAUAAAUUCCUUUGUGUUUCUAAUGAAUUCAACGCUCCUCUGUUCAGCAAUGGAAUUCUUCACAACAGCUUCCUUGAACUGUUUGGCAUCGUCAAAUCUCAUGCCCAUAGACAAAACAGGUUUAUCAAUAGUCGGAUCAUAACGAAGGUACUUACUUUUUCUUCCACAAACAGGUUCUUCAUCAUCAUAGUCAAGCUCAUUCUCCAAACCAGCAACUUCAUCGCCGCAGCUUUCUUCAUCUUCACUUCUAUUACCUUCAGCUGGAGCUACAUCCCUAUUUACUAGCUUGGGCCUCUUUGCUAAAGUUGCAACUUUUUUUUCUGAGAAAUUCCCUUUGCUUUUGUCUUGACUAUACGAGUUCAUCAUCAUCUUUGUCACUUGGGAAACUUACUGAAACCAAAUAUUCAUCUUCUAAUUCACUAGAUAUAGUAAUUUCCCAUUCUAAUCCAAUGAAAUCUUCAUCACCCACAUCUUCCCCAAAGAUUUCAAGACAUCUCCCUGUUUGUUCAUCUCUAUCAAUAUGACUUCCCUCCCUCUCAUUUUGCCUUUCAUCUAACAUAAACUCAUCCCCGACUUGAUUACUCGCUUGAGUAAGAUUCCUCACUUCUCCUCUUUCAGUGGUGGUCUACUUAUCCCCAUCCCCAUCCUCAUCCUCAUCCUCAUCCUCACCAUCCUCAUUAUCACGAUAAUACUCAACAUAUACUAUAACUUCUUCGACGUGAAGAUAAUAGUAAAUGAUAUCCUUAAUACCAUUAUUAUCAUUAAAAAAUCUCAAGCCAUCCUUCAAUUCCUUCCCAUGAACACAGUAAUGUAGUUUUUACACUUUGCAUCAUAAAAAAUACACCAAAUCCCUCAGAAAAUCAAUAUAUGAUGACUUCCGAACAUUGACAUAGAUAGUACCUUCAUUUCCACCACUAUAUUCCCAAUCCUCAACGCCAAUAAGAAACUCUCCACCAUAACAAACAAUGACGCCUACCUGAUUCUCGUCCAUGUCGAUGUUGCACCCAAUUGAAAAAAAAAAAAAAAGCCAUUAGUUUUCGGGACCACAUAACAGAAUCGGCAACUUCACAUGCAGGUCAUUGUUGUUUUGUUAUCCAGAAACAAAUGCAACGAAUUUAUUCAAUUCGGUGCUUUUAUAGAAACAAAUGAAACCGAAUUGAAUAAACAAAGUCGGGUCCCCACCACCCAUUUUUCAAUUCAAUCACAUUCGGUCCCCCACAGAAGCAGUCUAAUUAAUAAAAUAAAGUAAGGUCCCACCACUGUUUCCCUUCGAGUCGAACCCCCAUUUUCCCCUCCACGCCCUAUUUUUCUAUUCAGUCCCCACAAAAGAAAGCGAACGAACGACAGAACCCUCAAUUUUUCUAUUCAAUCCCCAUAAAAGUAAGAUCCCCACCACUUUCCCCCUGAACCAAGCCCUCAAUUUUCCCUCUGCGCCCUAACUUGCCCGUCGGAACCCUAAAUUUUUCACUAAAUUGACCCACGUAAAGAACAUGACAAACCUCAAUGACUGAGAGUUGGGGACGCAGCCAAAGAACGACCGUGAAUGACGGUGAAACUACAACGAUGGCCAAGUGACGGCGAGUGAGCGAACAACGGUGGGUGAGCAAACAACAGUGGGUGAGUGAGCUACGGCCGGCGUCGAGUGAGAAUCAUAUACGAACACCGUUUUGGUCAUUUUUUACCGUAGUCAAUCUACUCGAAUCCACUCUAACGACGGUCGUUUUGUAAGUAAUCCACGUGGAAUGAUAAAACAACGUCGUUUCUUACGAAGAAAUGAAAAUGGCGUCGUUUGUUCCCACCCACUGUGGAUAGUCGUUUUUUUUUUUUAAAUAUAAAAGACACGUAAUCAUUUUGGCUGGAACUCUCGCCGGUGGCACCAAAGUGAUCAUUUUUUCUCCGAUUUGGCACUUAAGUGAUCCGACGGAAACUUUUGGCACCAAAGUAAGCACCGUACACAACUUUUAGUACUGAUAGUGUACUUACCCCGCUAUUUUGUGCAAAUUAAGUGGUGAUGGUAAUUUUGGGUAUUUAUCCCAAAAUUGUGUAAUUUCGAUAUUUAAUCAGAAAAUAUCAAGGCGUCGGUUUUUAACGCCAAAAAUGUUUUUAGGCACUAUAUUAAAUAGUGGGAUUUUUGAAAAGAAAUAUAUGACAUUUUGGCUCAGACCGACCGUGUACCCAUACACGAUUAUUUUUAUCGGAUAUUUUUAACACGAUGAUGAUAGGCCAAGUUCGUUAUUUAAUUGAGGAAUUGGUGUGCAAAGCAUAAUGUCCUUGGUCGGGAUUGAUAGCAUUGAAUCGUCAGCUUGUGUGAGCAUUGAAUUGUCAGCUUGUGUGAGCAAUAAUUGUCAGCUUAUGAGAGCAAUAUUAUAUAUUAGCUUGUGUGAGCAAUGAUCAUCAGCUUGCGAUAAUAUUCUAUAUCAGCUUGGGUGAGCUAUAAUAUAUACAUCAGCUUGUGCGAGCAACCAUCUAUAUUAGCUUAUGCGAGCAUAAAUAUAACUCAGCUUGUGUGAACGGUGAUCGACUUGAUUGAAUUGAUAGAUGGUAUUAAUCGUAUCGAAUUGAAUGGAUUGAAUGAUCGAUUAGAUUGAAUUGAUUGGUUGAGAUUAUGAACUGUACUGACGUGCAAGAGGGAACUAAAGCAAUGUAAGUAUUCUGACUUGUGUGUAUAGACUGCCUCUAUGCGUAUUUCCUUCCUAGUCGAAGUUUAGGAGGUGAACUUGCUGAGACAUUGUCUCACCCCGUCGUAGGCUCAACUUUUCAGGUCCUUAGAUGGCGGUUCCUCUGAAACGUGUUGGGCAACCCAGGAGGAUUUCCGAGCAGGUUACUCAAUUCCUUAUUCCUGGGGGCCACGAGGUCUGGGUCUAUGAACUCGUGAUGACCACCGUCUGGGUUGAUGAGGGUUUACUUCAAAGAGUACCCCAUCAAUUUAGGGCGUGGUAUCGUUGCGGGCUCAAUGGACACAGGGAGGGUCCCUUAUAGGAUUCUAAUGUCCCAACUACGGUAAUAGACGUCGCUCAUGGCGAGGGCACAGCUAACCCUCCUGCUAGUCAGGUGGUGGACCCAAGUCCCCAGGAGACCUCGAAGUUUUCAGUUAGGCAUUCAAGUGCCCAGAGGACUUGUAGGCUUUUCUGUUUGAGCAGACUUUUGACUUUAGACUAGUUUUAUAUAUAAAUCGGUCUGUUUAUAAAAACAUGUUUUGAUUGUGAAUUAUUUCUUGCUUUUUUAUCCCAUGUUGUUUUCUGUUAGGGGAUUUGUUUAUUCGCUUCCACAUGCGCAAUAAAAUGAAUGGGUCGGUGACGCGUCCUAGGACAUCGCAAAUUUAUCGACCACCGAGGGAUGGGCACGCGCUCGAGGAUCAGGGCGUGACAGGAGAGAAAGAAGAGAAAGGAAAAAAAAAAGGGGGAAAAAGAGAAAAAGAAAAUUUUGCAUGUUUGCAAUCCGGACGCCUCAUCAAGCCAACUCAAGUUUGUUUUGCAACGCUGGUAAGAGAUCAAAUCUUUAAUCAUCUACUUGAAGCAAUCAUCACAAUUAUGACUCAAAAUUCGGAUUUCUUGGAUAUUUGUAUGGCGAAGCCCGAUUUUUGAUUUUUUAAGCUGCAUAUUUUUGUAGAAAUGGUACUUGGGGAUGUUGUGAAGCUAUAGCAUCUUAUGGAUCAUGAUUUAAGCUUGCGGUUUGUCUGGAACGGAAUUUUAAAGUUGGGGGCGCAUUUUGGAACUGUAGCAAUUAAGCCUGUUUUUUUGUUGUUUUCGGUGUUGUUUUGGGGCGGCUGAGUUGAGGCCGUUGUAGUACGUCAAGAGAUUUCUAAAGAUUGUAAGAUGGCUUAAAACAAAUUUUGUGGAGGAAGUUAUGGCACGACAAAGUUGGCGCAUGGGCCGCGCCUAGUAGAAAACAAUAGGUUUUCGCUAAAUGUGAGCUUUUGUGACGCAUAGGUGUUGUUUCAUCGACAAAUAGGCCUAGUAUGGGCGAGUCCUUAUAAGAAUAUCAUUUUUACUCGGCCUUUUGAUAUUUUUUUUUCCGUUGAUUGUUAGGGAUUCGAGUACAUUGGUUCGAGUAAGCGUCGUAGUUGAUUUUUAGCUUUUCCCAGGUGAGUGGCACUAUUUUUUCUUUGUAUUUUAAACUCAUGUUUUGAGAAACAUGAUGGAUUAUAUAUUCUAUGAGUUGAUAAAAAGGCAUAUCUUGUUGCAUAAAACAAGAUCGAGCUAUUACUACCAUUUUGUUGUUUUAAAGAAUGAGUUAUAUUUCGAAUUCGAUUUGAAUGGUUGUUUGAAAAUGGUUUGUGAAAUUCUUUAUGAAAGAAUCCUAAGACAUUUUGAAGAAUGCUUUGAUAUUUAUAUAUCAAAUUUUGAGUUGUGAUAUGACUUUCCUUCUGAUGUUGGAUUACUGGAUAUUGUGAUUGUAGUUAAUGCUUAAUAUCUCUGUGAACCCUAAGGGGUGUGUGGAUAUGUGUAUACUAAUCUAGGAUAUCAUUGUGGCCCUAGUCAUCGGCUAAUAAUAGGUGAAAACUUUCUCAAGAGGGGAGUCUUGGUCAUCUUGUCACGGGUAUUACGUGUGACCAUGGCUAGACAUUUGAGCAUGAAUUAGUCAAUGGAGUGGACCAUUGAUAUGUGACUUGAGUUUGAUCGAUGAAAUUGACCAUUGAUGUAUGGUUUGAUGAGAUUAAUCAAUAGAAUAGACAAUUGAUGCAUGUUUUAUAAGGUUGGCCGAUGGACUGGACCAUUGAUAUCUUCGGUAUUUAAGUUAUGAUUAUAUAUUAUGUUAAAGUGAAUUAUGUUUGCAUUUUAUAUGCGUAUAGUGAUUUCUCGAUCCAUUUAGAAUAAAUGUGUUAGUCACUAAGCCGUGGUAGCUCACUUCUCUCAUCUACUUGUUUUUCAGGUUUUUCGGCAAGUCACAAGUAGGUGUGAGCAUUCGUUCGAGGAUGACUUUUGUGGUGGAAAUUUUUUGGUAUGACUUGUGCAUAAUUGAUAAGUUUAUAAGUUAGUCUUUGCAGGAGAUAUAUGUUUUGGUUUGAUGGAUUAUAGAAAUACUUUGAUAUUAUAACCAAAUGUCAUUUUCUCAAAUAUAUAUAUAUAUAUAUAUGGAUACAUAUAUGUUAAUAUCAGAUUGAAUUUUGGUUAUGUUGAGAUUACGUCAUUUGAUGAAAGGACAGCUCCAAUAAAAACUCUCCUGUUUCAACUGUCCGAUUCAAGUUGAUUGGAGAAUGGGUUUCACUUCAUCACGCAAAAAAGAGACGUUAGAAGGGAUAUCUAAAAUAAUUAGCAAAUGGAAAAAUCAUAAUGAUAAAGAAAGCAAGCAGAAGUUGGUAAGUUUACAAAUUUACUACAACGUUGUGAGAUCUAUUAUGGCAUUUGCAAUUUAUAUACGAUAAUUGUAAAAUUUAUUAAAAGUUGGUUAUUCGUUAAUUCAUUUCGAAAUCAGCAAAUUUCUAAUGGUGCUGUUAAGUUGUUGAUUGGUUAUUUGGCAAUAAAAUUGAUGGUCAUGUUUUUCUUUUAUCGAUUGUACUAGAUAUUGAUGUUGGCUGGGUCCACCUGUGUGGGACCCAGCCAACAUCAAUAAAUAGAAGAAAGAAAAGUCAAAAAAGCAGAAAGGAAUAGAGAGAUAGGCUGCUUGUUGGGGAGAAAGAGACGAGAGCGCGAGCACGCGGAGAAGAUAGAAAGAGAGCUGCGGCUUCCCGGUCGGGAUCGGAAAUCCAGGCGUCAUCGGAAUUGGCUAGUAUAUUGAUCGUAAGAUCAAGAAAGACGAGUCGAUCGACUUUCUUUAUUCAAAACCUUCUCCAAAUUACCUCCCGUUUCUCCUAUUACAAUCAGAAUUUCUUGUUUCACUUAUGUUAGUCUUCUUUUACGAUGAUAGAACCUUUGUGUAUGGUGAAAGUUUUCAGGCUGUUCGUGAUUUUUUUUAGCAUUGAAUUUUCUGUGUAAAAAUUGCUUGUCUUUUUUAAUCAUUUUGACAUUAUAUUAACUCAUUAUGAGAUUGUAUUGUAGGAAUAUAUUGCCAGUUAUUAUUGAAAUUGCGUCGAUUUUGGUCCAUUUAAUCUUGGGAGGAUAACUUAAUUCUGAAUUAGGUUAAUUUUUUAUGAAUUGUUGCCGGGGCACUCCAACUAUGUAUCAAUAAUUUUGGAAAUCCAUCAAGAAUGGGAAAAUUGCCGCAUUUUCCUUUGACUGACCCUGCACUUGGCACUGCCGAAAGCUUGCGUCGGCCGCAUCAUUGAUUUUUGGUCUCAUCGACUAAUAGCAUUUGAUUUUAUGAUCUUCGUCGUUGUGAAAAAAAUAUGAUUUCCGUCUCAAUCGCGUCCUCAUCAGCAUCUUUGAUUUUAUGGUCUUUCAUGAAAAAAAUAUGAUUUCUAUCCCAAUCGCGUCCUCAUCAGCAUCUUCGAUUUUUUUUUCUCACCGGCCAAUAGCAUUUGAUUUUAUGGUCUCCAUCGUCGUGAAAAAAAUAUGAUUUCUGUCCCAAUCGCGUCCUCACCGGCAUCCUUGAUUUUUUUCUGUCUCGUCGGCCAUCAGCAUUUGAUUUUAUGGCCUUCGUCGUCGUGAAAAAAAUAUGAUUUCUGUCCCAAUCGUGUCCUCGUCGGCCCAUGGCAUUUUACUUGCAUUUCCCAGAACUACUGCAUUAUUGCCUCGAACGUGUUGACGCAGCUACGUUCCACGACUUUUAGCCAUUUCGUCUUCACCUAUCGGAGGGACGAUCCAGUCAAAAAUGUUGUCCAGCAAAUUCCUUGUUCUCGCCCAUUUUUUUAAGUUGAUAAUUUUAUGCUCAAAUGAAAAUCCUAAUCAGCUACUCCUGAUCAAAUAUUGCUAUUUCCCUCUCCACUUUCAAUAUAGUCCAAUUCGAGUCAAAAGCAAAGAGAAAAGAGGGCAUGUCUCGAUAACAAUUAUAGAGCGCUUCUGUGCGUGCCAUGUUUAGAGAUCAUCAGCAAAUGAAAUAUCUAACAUAAUAAGGAGAGCGAGUAGAUUGGUAUCAACUUCAAUUGAACACUGCAAUUUGGAACCAUCGUGUGCAAAUUUGAGUUCAGAAAAGGUCCACUCAGAACAGUUCAAGUUCGAGUUAAAGAGAUCUUUUUGAGAUCUUUUUCUUUAUUUGUUUAUUAAAGUUAAACAGAACAAGCCGGCUAUGUUGGGCGUGGAAUACGCGUUUCCCAAAUAUCUAUUCCUCCCUUCCCUCUCCCUCGACAGACAUUUUUUUUCAUCGCAUCUACAAAUUCCACAGUAACAUGCUCCUCAUAUUAUCGUCAGUCAAUUUCAUCUAUUUUCAUAAUAUUUUAAGAAUUCGAAUGGUAUGUUUACCAAGCAAUUUUGUUCUUUUGUUUACUUCGAUUCUCAUGGACUAAUAGCAUUUGAUUUUAUGGUCUUCGUAGUAAAAUACUAUUGACUUUCUGAUUCAACCAUGUUCUCGCAGACCCUUGGCAUUUAAACUGGUUUUCUUAUAACCACUCCAUUACUUUGUUAAGAACAUCCAGUGUGAGAGAGAGAGAAAGAGAGAGAUCCACCAAGUAGAGCAAGCUAUUGCUAUGGUGAGCUCAGAUGCAAUAACGUCAUGGGGGAGCAAAUAUCAAGUGUUUCUAAGCUUUAGAGGACCCGACACUCGCAUUAGACUCAGUGACUUCCUCUACCAUAGCUUAACUUAUGUUGGAAUCUGUGUCUUUCAAGAUCAAAGAGCUACGUGUUGGUGAAAGGAUUGACGGAUUGCUUCAACGAGCAAUCGACAACUCCAAGAUCUACAUACUCAUCUUCUUUCAAACUAAUGUUUCAAGCCCAUGUGUUUUCGCGAGCUCGGCAGAUUGUAGAAUAAUCCAAAUAAAAAGGCAAUAAAGCAAUCCUUCACCCGCGACAAGGCUAGGGUGAGGCUAGCCUCGCCCACAUCUGGGAGAAGCCACCUUGCUCAUGACCUUGGGCAAGGGUCGUGUCUCUUGCCAGCCACUACAAGGAAUCCAAUGAGGAAGAAGAGGAAAAAGAAAUGAAAAAUGAAAAAUUAAUUUAAAAAAUUAAAAAAAAAAAAUUGCCAUGUCAACAUUAGUCAAGCGGUCGACAUCCACAUUAGUGUCAAUCAAUCAAAAUUAAUCGGUAGACUAAAUUGAUAUCAAUGUAAAAAAUUUACGAUUAAAUUAAUUUAAUUUAAUUAUUUAUAAUUGAAUUAAUAUCAACACUAUAGAUUUAAGGAUUUUUUUGAUCAUUUUUCAUAGCUAUCGCAUCAACAAACAAACAAACGGAUAAAAUUAUGGAGAUGCAGGUGCCUUGGGCGGCGGCCGACAAAGCACGUGAUCAUCAUCUUUUAACGAGAUAAUGAAUGACUGGAUAGCCUCAUCGAUGACAUGGAAGUGACAAGCGGUAAUUCCACUAGGGCAUCUACUUCCGGAAAAAGAUGGAUUCCCACUUUUUUCUUUUGUACAUUGGCUUACUGUAAAGCGCAAGUGAGAGCAUUAAAUUCCAAAAAAAAAAAAGGGGGCCUAUUAACUUAUGUCUUUGUUCGGUGCUUAAAUCAUGUUACGGUGUUGUCGUUAUACUUAGACAGCUGAAAAUGACUGAAGUGCCAUGUUAUAUAAAUUCGACGGGACUUAGCUGAAAUCUUUUAUUGCGAUUUUUCUAAUAAGUUUAAGAUUACAUUGAUUCAAUUAAAGAGUUUAUACCUUCAUAAGUUUGAAUUUUGUUAUAACAAUUUUAGGAUAGAUCGUGUAAUUAUCUUGAAGACAUAACAAUUUAGUUUUUUCAAUUCCAUGCUCACGCUCAACUCAAUACAAUAUAUAUGCUUGCAUUAGACUCAAUUCAACUCUAAUGGUUACGACCAAAAAAAAAAACUCUAAUGGCAAAAACUGAAUUACAGUGUAGAGUUUUACAAUCCAUCUCUAGUUCUGAAAAAAAAUUCAAAAAUAAUGAUUUUUUUCUUUGUCCUUAGUAAAAUCCUUUAAAUUAUUGACAAGGCUUGCAAGUCACAUGAUUGUGGUAUUACAAAAUUUGACACCUUCGACACACAAUCCAUAUUGCUAGGUCCAAAUAUAUAAAAGAGGCAGUGAAGUGCUUUUUUAUGUAUGUAAAAAUAUCGAUCUUUCUAGAACUAGCCCUUUAUUUAAAAUUUGUUUUUCAUAUACAAUUAAACUAAUAUUUGUAACAAGAAACUUAUAGAGCUUAGAGAUUUCAAUUAGGAUAUGCCUUCUCUUUUAGCUCUAGCAGCCCAAUUAGGUUGAAAUCCACUACUUGAGCCAACAUUGCAAAUGCCAAGAACUUUGUAUAGCGUGGACUCGAUUCUUUCUAUGAUUAUCUCACUAUAGACUAAAUAAUUAUUAGAUCUCUUCCAAUAGCCAUUCUCACACCUUGUGCACAUAGCACAGUAGACACAUGCUCCCCAAAAUUAUUAACCACACUUCCAAGUGUUUAUAAAUAAUCAUUCGCACAGUUUGUCUCUCACCUAGACAAUGGCAUUCUCUCUUAGUACAGUCACUUCUUCCGUGCGUAUGCAAAUAAUUUUGGCACUAUUGCUAGCUUUUAGGAUCAAUACCUAGUAAAGAGAUAAAUCUCAAGAAUGCUCGAUGUGCUUCAAUUUUUCUUGUUGCAAGCACUUGAUGGCAAGCUACGUUUAACUUGUGGUUUGUCCUUAUAGGCCUCCAUAAACAACUCUGUAAUUCAACUGUUUCCUCACCAUCCCAUAUCAUUUGAUUGUUUUACUUGUAUAACCACUGCCUUUUUUUUUUCAUGACGUGUUGUCGUGGCCACCUUCUACAACUCUCAACCAUUUCAUAUGCACAUAUCAAAGAAUUGACCUGCUCAGAAACUUUAUUUAGAAAAAAAUCCUAACUAUUAAACCGCAUCACUGACCUCCCUCCUCUUUUCUUUAAGGUAGCAAUUUUACGUUCAUAUGAAAUAUCCUAAUUAACUACUCCUGGUCAAACAUUCCUAUUCGGCUCCCUUGUUUCAACCAUCCGAUUUGAGUUGAAACGCAGAAUGAGUCUCAUUUUCAUCACAUGAAAAAGGAACUUUGAGAAAGAGUAUUUAGAGAUCAUCAACAAAUGAAAAAAAAUCGAAAUGAUAAGGAGAGGGAAAAGAAAUUGGAGCUUACAAAUUUAGUACAAUGCUGCGAGACCUACUAUAGCACUAGCAAUUUAUUUGCCAUACUUGUAAAACUUCAGAGAAUGUGGUUAUUCACUAAUUCAUUUCAAAGUCGGUAAAUUUCCAAUGGUGUCGUUUAAGUUUGAUAAGUCAUCUGACAAUCAAAUUGACGGUCAUGCUUUCCGAGCUGGGAGGGGCGCAAGGGGUCACUCUCCCCAGGGAGGUUCUCCCUCCGUUUCACUUAUGAGCAGUUUAAGAACCUACUCAAAUCCAUCUUUUUAGGGACUGUACUGGAUAUUUUGGUUGGCCGGGUCCGUCUCUGUGGGGACCAGCUAACAUUAAUAAAUAAAAGAGGAAAAAUGUGAAAAAGUCAAAAAAGUAAAAAAGAAGAAAAGAAAGAUGGGCGGCUCGUGCGCAGAGUAGAGGACAGAGGAUAGAGAGAGGGCGCGCGGAGAAGAUAGAAAUCAUGUAGUUGACAUUUGAUUGACUGAAAAGAGAGAAUUGGUGUUUUAGUUUUCAAUGGUGUCGUUUAAAUUUGAUAAGUCAUCUGACAAUCAAAUUGACGGUCAUGCUUUCCGAGCUGGGAGGGGCGUAAGGGGUCACUCUCUCCAGGGAGGUUCUCCCUCCGUUUCAAUCAUGAGCAGUUUAAAGACCUACUCAAAUCCAUUCUUUUUAGGGACUGUACUGGAUAUUUUGGUUGGCCGGGUCCGUCUCUGUGGGGACCAGCUAACAUUAAUAAAUAAAAGAGGAAAAAUGUGAAAAAGUCAAAAAAGUAAAAAAGAAGAAAAGAAAGAUGGGCGGCUCGUGCGCAGAGUAGAGGACAGAGGACAGAGAGAGGGCGCGCGGAGAAGAUAGAAAUCAUGUAGUUGACAUUUGAUUGACUGAAAAGAGAGAAUUGGUGUUUCAGUUUACUUAUUGUUAUCGGACCAGUGAAGAUGUUAUUGAAGUGACAGAUAAAGAUGCAUUCAGCUUGAUCUCUUUUAUUUUGGCACACCUGCAAGUUUUAUUACCUAAUUGUGUUUUCUCGUUUUUUUUUUCUUAUUUUCUACUCCUUUUUCCACUUUUUCUUUCCUUUCCUUCCAUGAGCAAGUUCCAAAAUUUUGGAUAAGCUAGGGGACAAGGUCUUGACCCAUAAAAAAAGAGGUCAGUUGGUAUCAAAAUAAGUGGAAGAACCUCAGUAAUCCAGAAGAUAUGUCAUCGUUCAGUUUGUUAUUAUUUACAAAAGUUCUUUUCAAUGUUUCAUGCGUCGCAAACAAUUUGUAGUCUUAGAGCAUAGGUCACGUGGUCCACCAAGUUAACUUGGGCGGAGUAGAGUCAUUUUCUUCUACUCAUUUAACUCGUUACUCAUUUAACUCGUUACAUAGGAUUACUCUCUCUCUCUCUAAUAACUCAUACCAUACUUUUUCUCAAUCAUCUACGAUAUACAUGAAAACUUACUAGUUGAAUCGAUAAGUACCAAUAUAGAAGUUUUAGAGGUUGUGAUCUAUAAAAUUUGACCUAAUGAGACGUCUAUGGGCAUGUACAAUUUUGAAUAGAAGAGAAAUAGCAGGUCAAUUAAAAAAAAAAAAAGGAAAAGAGGAGAGGGAAGGCUUUGUCUACUUGAUUUCACUAGAAAAUUUUAAUUGGAUGAUUUGUAGUUAUUAGGACGAGUCUUUGUGAACCUGAAAUGUGUUUUCAUGAGUAAUUGAUUGAAAAACCAUACCUUUUGCAAAGCAUGGCCAUCCAACCUGGCGUUUGAUGGGUGGGGUGGUUAUUUAGUUUAGCAUUGUCUAGGCCCUGUACUUUUUCGAUACUCUGACAUUGUUUCUCAUUUUCUUUUCCUUUUUCUUUUAUCGUGUCACAAGGAAGAUUAUAUUUUAAAUGGAUGUCAGACCCAUGAAAUAUCCUAUUAACCUCAUGUACCUAGUGAGGUUUGAGCUAAAACUCGGUUUGUUGGUACCAACAUGAGUUGUUUGCAGUGGUUAGUGAGGAAAACCGAACUUAUGUUGUGCAUAUUACCCCCACGCAUUUUUCUAUUCCUUAAGAUUUUAUAUUCUAAAAAAAGCAAUGGAAAUCUAAUCGGUGGAUGAUGUAUUUCUACAUCCUCCCUAUUUUUGGGCAGUUUGAAAGUCACUUAAAAUAGGAAUUAAAGUAGUCGAUCACUCCAGAAUUUAUAUUUCAAUCGUGAAGAUUUUAUUUCAGGUAGAGUGUAAAGUCAAUUUCUGCCACUCUUUUGACUUUUGAUUCGUAGGUUGACUCUCGGCUUUAACUUCCACAAUAAUUUAGGGUCCGCAUGAGAACAUUUCUUGGCUGGGGAAUAAUUUUUUUUUCAGAAAUAGUUCUUUUCUAUUUCUAUUCUGGGGAACAAUUUCUAUGUAAAAAAACCCGUUUGAUAACUACACAAAAUUUUUACUCUAGAAAUAGAAAAAGAAUAGAAAUGCGUUUGGUAAAAAACAGUUUAUUUUUUAUAUUUAUUUGUGUUUUAUUUUUUCCGGUAUACCGUGGCCACCGCCGGACGCCGCCGCCGCCGCACGUCGCCGCCGGCCGAGCGCCGCCCGCCGACUCCCGCCGCCGAUCGCCACCGCACGGCCCAUCGGCCGCGGGAGGUGGCGGCCGAUGGGCCGUGCGGCGGACUUUGGCUGCGGGAGCCGGCCUGCCGCGACAUGCGGCGACGGCGGCAUCCGGCGGCGAUCGCGGUCGACCGGCGGCGGCGGCAGCAGUCGGUCAGCCUCCGGCGACCGGCGGUGGCCGCGGCAACGGUCGGCCGGUGGCGACGGUCGGUCGGCCUCCGGCCUCCGGCCGCCGGCGGCGUCCGGCGUCGUCCAGCGGUGACCGGCAGCGACGGUCGGUCGGUGACCGGCGGUGACCAGCGGCGACGGUCGGUCGGCGACCGGCGGUGGCGGCAGCGACCGGCGACGGCCGGCAGCGUCCGGCGGCGUCCGGCAGUGACCGGCGGUGACCGGCGACGAUCGAUCGGCCUCCGGCGACCGCGACCGGCGGUCGACUGCCGGCGGCGGUCGGCCGGCGGCGGCGGACGACGACGGGUGGUGGUCAACGGCGGUCAAUGGCGGUUAGCAAGAGAAGAAUAAAAGAAAAAAAAAAUUCACUUAUUUCUUAAACUUGUUCUCGGGAACAAGAAGCAACUUUUUUUUACUUCUCAUUUCUAUUCCAAAACCAUUCCCGGGCUAACUUUUUGUUCCCGGGAAUAAAAAACUAACUUGCCGUUAUCAAACAGGUUUCUAUUCUUUUUUUGUUCUGGGGAAGAGAAGAAUAGAAAUUUUUGGGCUGGGGAAGGUUACCAUGCAGACCCUUAGCCGAUUGUAUGCUUGAAAAGUUCUUAAUUUAGCUGGAUUGGGAACAAAUUAGUUUUCAUCAAAAUUGUGAAAUACCUAUGAAACAUAUUGUUUCAUUAUCCUUCUUGUAUAACUAUGCUAAAUAGAAAGGGGGAAAAGGAAGAGGGAAGGCUUAUCUAUUGAUUUAUAACUAGCCUUGGUCAAUUUCUGGUAAUAACAUGUUUAUCUAUCUUGGAAGCUUUUAUCUAAGGCAGAUUAGGCACCAAGCACGUAGAAUAUCUUAUUUAUCUCAUGUAGCAGGUAUGGUAUGAGUAAAUGAACAAGCGGAUGUUGCUUCGAUGUGAAAAUGUUUGCAUUUGGUGAUGUGAGAAAUUCCCAUGAGAUUUAUAUUUUUAUAUGAUACUGGUUCCUUUUAUAUAUAGAUCAUUUAUCGUAUUUCAAUCUCAACAAACGCAGUUGGACCUAUAUAUUUGACUUUCAUAAGUAUUUUUCGAGAAAUUUAGAAGAGCCUCUAUCUAUGUUCUUGCAUAUAGUAUUCAUUGAUAGAGAUUAAACACAACUGGUUGAUUUGAUUGCAUAAUUUUAUCAUCUUAUUCCUUUUUUUCAAACUUUCGUGCAAGAUUGAUUGCAUUUUUAUUUUUCAGGAGUCAUGCUUUGAUUGGAUAUGUUCAUGUUUCGGAGGAGGCUUGUGAAAUUGUGAAGGCGACUCGCAUCAUACUUGUCAGCAUGCAGGGAUGGAACUAUCAUAUAUUUUUAGUGGGGUCAAUGCCCUAAAGACUAUAAGAUAAGGUAUGUCAUUUAACAAAAUAAUUAUAAAGAUGCGAUCGAGCUAUUUAUUGAUUUGAAGUAGUUUUUCUACGCAAAGUCUAACUUGAAAUCAACGCUUUGACAUUAAAUCAUGAAUGUGAACAAAAUUCGGUUUCAAAUCCCUGUGCUCAAGCUUGACUCAAUAUAGUAUAUAGGGCUCGAAAUUGAACUCGAUUCAACUCCAUUAUUAAAAGCUUGAUUCUACUCAUUUAACUUGUUACAUAGGAUGUUUCUUUCUAUUUUUCCUAAUCAUAUAUUGUACCUUCUGCAUAGCCUGGUCAUGUCAUUCGAUUGCUUUAUCUUCCGACUCUAUCAAGCCUCGUGUUUGAUUGGUGGUGUGGUUGACUAGUAGUGCAAUGUCUAAGCCUGAUAAUUUUUUGAUAAUUGUUUAUCUUUCUACUUUUCUGUUUUUUGCAUCAUAAAGAAGUUUAUAGUACAUGGAAAGACAAGAUACAGGUUUUGAUUUCUUGCAAGUUAGCGGAUGGUCCCUUAGAGGCCAACAAGGCUAAGCUUAAUGACAUCGAUGAACAAUGGAAGUUACUAAAAAGGCAAUGUGGGGUUUGAUUAGGCAUCAUCAGUUGGAUUUUAUUUCUUUAGAUAAACCAUAAGGAUCCCAUCCCACUUCUCCUUUUGCUCUUCCGAUUUCCAUCUCUUGGUAAUGGAAAACCGUAGCCACAACAACACCGAUAUAAAUAAAGGAAUCAUUAUGCUAGCUGGAUCCUAUGAGAAACAAUUGAUGUCGUCUCAUCCAUUGAUCGUCAGACUCUCAGGAUUAUAUGUCACAACCGCACUUCCAUUCACUCACGGAACACUUCCUGGAUAUGUCCUUCCUCAGCACUUCAUUUCGAGUUGGGAUUAAUAGUUCCCCCAUUUAGAUUGGAGUACGAAGCCCACCCAAAAAAUCGAAUAAAAUAGUCUAUUCUAUUUUGCUGGUAUCACCAGCUAACUUAGUUCCGAUGACUCUCUUCGAAAUAUGAGGCAAUAAUAGAGCAAAUCUGUCAAACGGUUCUCCACCAAGAGCAUAAACUCUUUUAUUAUGUGAGUUGGAUUGACUGGUCGAUUUACGACAUUUUGUAUAGAAAUUACGAAAAAAAUGCAAAUAAUUAUAAUUCGUUAUAAUUUAAAAUUUUAUUUAUCGAUGACCAUAAAACUGCUCAUGUAUUAUAAGAAGAAAUUCAAAAAACCCUCCAACACAAAAGUUAUUCAUUGCAUCGAAUCUCCAACAUUGUAUAGUAGAGUAGACGAUCUAUCACCAUGCAUCAUUCAAGUUUCACACAGAAAAAUAAAUACAAGCUUCUAAAUUCAUAAGCAUACAAUAAGAUAAGAAAGACUAUUGUAAUUUAUGUCUCAUUUAUUGUCUAGACUAGACAAGCUGGUACUCUUCCAUGCUUGCACUUCUCACCCCACUGCAGCCGUUGCCACCCCCACACUUCUGCUGCCGCCACCUUUGCCUCCGCCGCUGCCUCUGCCGCCGCCUCCCUCGCCGCCUUUGCCUCCGCCGCCGCCUUUGCCGCUUCCUCCCCCGCUGCCUUUGCCUCCGCCGCCGCCUCCCCCGCCGCCUUUGCCGCCGCCCCCGCCUUUGCUGCCCCCGUCCCCGCCCCCGCCUUUGCCUCCCCCGCUACUGCCGCCGCCUUCCCCGCCGCCGCGGCCGAUGCCGCUGCCGAUGCUGCCUCCGCCUCCGCCUUCACCGCCGCCGCCUUCACUCGCCUCCAAAUGUAGUAGAAAAGGAAACCACAAAGCAUGACGACAACAAUGACUACACCAACAAUAACCCACGUUGGAAUGUUAUUGUCAUCGGAUGAUACGGAAUUCGGAUCGAUCCAUGCUGAUGGAGGAGGAAAGUACUGGAAACUCGGAUGAGUUUGUGGAUAGUUACUGUUCUCCAUCAAGAAAACUCUAUGGAGGUAGUUCAAUGCGAGCGGUGAGUCUACAAACAUAUUAUGAAGCAUCAAUCCAAGAGCCAAUUUACUCUUUUAUCAUGAUGAAUUGAUCAUAUGGUCCGAGCGUGAGAUCAAAAUGAUUCGAGAUGGAAUAUAAUAUGAGUAGAAGUAGGUGCUUGCACAUAUACCUUCACAAGAAGAACCAAGCAAAUCGGUGAAUGAUGUUGCACCAAUGCUUAUGUGACCUACAAAGAAGUGAGAAUUUUCGCCUGGUGGAGCAUAGCCCUAUAUAUGCCCCUGCGCCGCUCCCUCCCUCACGAGGUGGGUUGGGUAAGUGUUAUAAUCAAUGCAUCACCUCUCUUUUUUGAGGAUGUAGUGUAAUAAUUGAAGCAUCUGGACAAAAAGUUGGGAAAUUUUAUUCACGUGCCAAAGAUCGUAAAAAUUAUCAAAAGAAUCAUAAAUUUAUUAUAAUUGAAAAUUGUACUAAUUCAAUUAUAAAUAUUUUUUAAUCAAUUGAGUACUAAAUCUUUUAUGUUUAUAUCAAUUCAAUCCGUUCGAUCAAAACUGGCUACCCAACACUAAAAUGAACACAAGGCAUUCUAUAGGACACCGUCGGCGCUAACGUGAAUAAUUUUUAAUAAUAUUUGAAUAUUUUUUUCGAUUUGUAUUCCUAUUUUUCUUUUUAUAUUUUCUUUUUUUUUUCCUUUUCUCUUUUUUUUUUCUUCACUCCCUACUUCCUUCGGCUGGUCGCCAGCGACCAUUGGAAAUGAAGCUCCAGGAAGAACGGGACGAACUUCAACUACUGUCCAAGCUCGAUCAGGUCUUCAUGUGUGAUGUUCUGGAUCCGGGAAUUAGGCCCAUUGAAAUGAUACAUGUGUUUGACUAUUCUGACUAUUCACAGUCUAAGGUGGUAAGAUUUGGUGAAGGGCCAAGAAAAACAAUCAGGUCCAAAAUGAGAAAUUAUUAUAUGCUCUACAAAACGUGCGACCCGAUAUCAUCUUGAUCAUUAAUCAAGUAGAUCUUGCUAUGGCCCUCGGGAUCAAAUGUUGAACUGGUUUCGACAUGAGAUUUAUAGAACAUACAAUAACAUUUCAUGCACAAUGGGAUUAUAGACAUGACCUAAAAAAUAAAUUCACUCUACUAUCCAAAAUAAAGUCCAGAAAAACUUAUUUUAGAGCCGACCUGCUAAGGAUAUAAGAGACCCAUUGCCAAUUCAUCUCUAUUUCAAGUAUUGUAAAAACGUAUUAAAAUGCUCUAAGAUCCUCCUGAACUUAAAUUGUCUUAGAUGCACACAUCAAAAAGCCACUAAUCUCACUCCUCGUGUUGGUCUAUUCUUGUCUAUAUCUCUCUUAUAUGAUCAUGGGACUCCUGUCCGAACAAUACUUAAAAACAGCCAUGUCACUAGCUAAUUAGAACAAUGGAAUUAAACGAUGAAACGUGGGAAAAACGACGUAAUGGCAAAGUCCGUUGUCUUGUCACUGUCGGCCACGAUCGUGUGUGUUUAAAUCUUAUCCUUCCCACUUUAUUUGCCAUCACAUCAUUUUUUCCCCCCAACUUUUGGACUCUUGGGUCUGUCGCUACCCUUGCAUAAAAAUAAUUUUUCCAAUGCAACAAGAAAAGACCACUGGAUAGAUCCGACCAAUGCAUAAAUUGAAUCUAAUAAAAAAUCAAUUCAAAUUGACAUAUUUUAUUCAUUUUGACUCAUCUUUAUACAAUAAAAAUCAACUGACUCAUAAACGACCUCACUCAUAUUUGACUUGACCUAUAGAGAUAAAACACUUCCAUAUUUAACCUAAUUUAAUAAAAUUCAUACUCAAACUAAAGUGAGAGUAAAUUAUAAAUUUAUUUAACAUCCAUAUUAUUUUAAGUCAUUCGUAUAAUUAAAAAAAUAGACUUAUAACCCAUUUUAACAGCUCUCUCGUCAAAUAAACAUGAUAUCCCAACAUUUAUGGAAAAUUGUCCCAAUUAUGUCACGUUGCAUAUACAUGUAAGAAGGAAGAUUGGGACAUCUCCCAAAAAUCAAGUGCGUAUCGACAUUGCAUCGGUUGAGAAAAGAGCAAGAAGAACCAUAAAUUAUAUGUUCAAUUCUGCUUGAUUCAAAUGGGAUGCUGCCUGCCUUUGGGGAAGGACAUACGUGAAAUGCAAUAAGCAAAAUGCACAGAAGACUAGCGACUAAUAGUCACUAAUAAAGAUAUGGAAAAACACAAAAUGGAAAGAUUAUGUUGGAUUCCAAAGAAUUGAUAAUGUUCAAAUACCACAGAAAGAAAAGGGCAUCUUUUGUGUCAAGAACCGCUCUCCUUUCUCAAGAUAAAGUCGACAGCGUCCUCCAUAGUGUCUAUGACCUACAUAGGUAAACAUAAAAGAGUUCAAUUGGGGUGAGCAAUUUUCGGAUGCACUUUUAAUCUUGGAAAAUUUGGAGAGAAGACAUAUUCCCCAUAAAAGUUGCUUUCAAUUGGGCAUAUUUUGGAAAUACUGACAUUUUGCUAGGUUGAAGAAGGAAAAGGUUCAGUCAUCUUUCAUCCUACCAAUUUAGAAUUGACCGAUCACCCAGAGUAUAGCAAAUCAAGGUAUGUAAGUAUGGGAGGAUUAUCCACGCUGACAGCUCAAAACCACUUGAGGCCAUGUUUGGCUCAUUGCCCUGGAAUCAUGAAAAGGAAUCUCAAUCUAAGCAAUCAAAUUCCUAGCUGCAAUGGCAUUCCAUUUCCUGUUUAUUACUCCAAGGUGAACCAAACAAGGCCUAAGUGAUUACACGAUGUACUAUACUUCUGAAUGUUUUCAUGGUGGAAUCAAUGAUCUGCAGUCUCGACCAUGACUUUCCAGAGGAUCAUGUAUCUAAAAUCUCUAAACCAAAGAAGUGAACGUGCACAUGAUUCACUUACUUAAGAACCUACCAUCAACUCACCCCAACGUACAUGCAAGUAGGGGUGUAAAUGGGUCGGGGCGGGUCGGGUCUUGAUGUUACCCGACCCGACCCGAAACAUAAGGGUCACGCAUUAUGACCCGACCCGACCCGACCCGAAACACAUUAGAAUAUCGAAUGUGUUUCGGGUCGGUUCGGGUCGGGUCGGGUCUCCGGGUUUUCACCUUCUUUUUCUUUUUUUUCUUUUUUCUUUUUUUUUUUUCACAUUAGACCAUCUAAUGUGACGGAGGCUUAGUACAACCCACGGAUGAGAAUGCCACCUACCGUUACAAUCUGUUGAAAUAUCCUGCAGUUGCAGACAAGAAAAUGAGAAACAUACAUAUGGAACAAUUCUCCUUUCAUGGAAAGGUUCGAUUCUCUACUCAUCAUUGUUUACUUCACCAGUGAUUGCAUCUCAAGUCGCUGUCGCUGUUCUGCUUCUUUCUCUUUGGCUUCUACUUCUCUUACAAGCUUAGGCAUGCUUGUUGAUUGCUGAUGCGCAAACACACCAAGCACACAAAAUCAAAAGCCACAUUGUUCCUAGCAAAUGCUCAUCUAGAUAUGAGAUAACAAGAUUAAUCCACACUAAGCCAACCCGAGGGGAACCAAAAAGGGGUUGUGCAUGUGGUGUCAUCAAAGCUUCAUGGCAGCAAAAAUAUCAGUAAAGGAACUCUAACCAAGAUCAAUUCAAUCCAAUGUCAAAAGCAUGCAAUAUCCUGCAACAAUUGAAAUGGCUAGUUAAGCCAUCAUUGUACCAUCUCUGGCUUUUUCAGUGCCAGACCAAAUAGUAAAGAAGCAACAAAAUUCAGACUUGACAUUGACGAAUGCACAUUUUUAUUGAAAUUGGACAGAGACUAUGUACAACAGCUGACAUGAACUCCACAUCAGUCCAGCUAAUUGUAGUAUUGACAGAAGGCAAAUCCCAUAGAUAUUCCUCAUACUCAGUACCAGUUGCAGCCGCUAAGGAAUAGCUGAUAUACAGAGAAAUACAUAUUAAUGAACAAGUUACAGCUGCUAUUCUGCUUUCAAUGCACCGGUCCCUUAUUUCCAAUCAAGCUUGUCUAGGAGCCAGAGUACCUCUUCCUUGGAGUUUGCAAAUAUCUUGAUAACUCAAAAAUAUAAAACUUUUUAGUAGGGAUCUGAACCUAGUAGAAGAAAGAAAGACCCUGUUGAAGAAUUUAACCAUAGUACAAACAGUUAAGAGUCUUCUUCAAAAUAGCACCAGGCAGGGCAUCAGCAUCUUAAUCCUUCAGGCAAACAAUCCAGCAAAGCAAAAACCAUCACUCCGCACAUAGAAUGCUAAAGAAGCAAGAUAUCAAAUUAAUAACAGCAGCACAAAACCAGCAAUAGCAAGUUAGCAACAAUGACAGCAAGAAUUGCACAGAAAAAAAAGAAAAGAAAAAAGAACACACCAACUUCGACAACCGCAACUUCCUUUUGGUGUUCUUCUCCUCAGCACAAUCUUCCCUCUCCCCGUCACCCAGAACCGCUUCGCCGAAGCCUAUCCACAGAAUAUCCCAUUCACACUCCAAUCAACCAUUCAUUUGAACAAGAUAAGCUCGAACAAGAAAGACCCAUCAACAGAGAGACCCACCAAGAACCAGAGCACCAAAUGAGACACCGCAAGACCACGAUAUACCCCAAAGAAAGAAAGAAACACCAAUUGAAGAUAAGCAUCCAAGAAACAAAAAAAAGAAGCAGAGAUGGCGUCUGAAGAACGAAACCUUACCAAGAACGAGAAGAGCUCCGAUGCCUGCCGACGAAUUUAAAGACCCUAGAUCAAGCCGUCGUGUAAACGCGCGUGCGAGAAGUCGCGGCAGAAUUUCUCCCGACUCCGAGGAAAAAUCGAAAUCGACAGCGCCAGCAUUUUCCCACUAAAACAAUAGGAAUCGGCGGCGGCUAGGGUUCCGGUGUUGAGACGAGAGAUGGAGACCUGGACGGCGACGAUCGAUUGAUUCGGCAGUGGCUAGGGUUCCGGCGUUGAGACGAGGGGUGGCGACAGCAAGGCGGAGGCGCGUCGACCGGAGGGCGGAGGCGCGUCGACCGGAGGGCGGCAGCGGAACGGAAUCCACGAGAAGCGCAGUCGUCGGAGAAGAAGCCAAAGGGGAGGGGUUCUCGAAAACACGUCUGUUUAGUGUUUGUGUUUGGUGACUUGUUUGGAAAUUGGAACAAGGAUGUUAACGUGUUUCGGGUCGAACAAUGUUCCAACCCUAAACCCGACCCGAAACAUGUAUUCCGCUUGUUUCAUGUUUGUUUCAUGUUUGUUACCCGAACACGAAACACGUUUUAUAUUUGUUUCGUGUUUGGGUCGUGUUCGGGUCGGGUCGGGUCGGGUCGGGUCGGGUCGGGUUUUUUUGACACCCCUACAUGCAAGGAGAGAUGAGAGAGACAGAUAGAGAAAUGUCUGGAUUUUGUUAAGAGUCCACAGGAAGUUCUGAAUGAUUAUCUUUUCCCUUGAAUACCCCAGUCCUUGUUAAUAUAGAAAACCAAGGAUCUCCUGCCUGAAGGAGUUGUUAUCAGUACUGGUGAUUAUGUCCGGAAAUAAAAUUACUGAUAUGAUAAAAUACAAUUCUCAGUAUGAUAUAUACCGGUCGUGCGCCUCUAAUGUUGAUUUUUGGGUUAUCUCCUAUCAUGUAUAAGUGUUCUGAAACAACGAAUUCUGAGUAUGUAUUACUCUCCACAUCUAGGUUGCUUAACAAAGAUGGCAUAAGAUUCCUUAACAAGGUCUCAGCAUUUCCAUAGACAAAUGGAUUUGGCCUCCCAUACGAUGUAUACGCCAGCGGAAUGGGAUGUAUACGCCAGCGGAAUGGGAUGUAUUCUGCAGAACAGGGACAAGUAAACAAUGCAUAACACAAGAUUGAAGAUUAAUGCAUGUCACUAUGCUGCGUUGAGGUAAACUAGGCCCACACGGGGAUCUUAUAGGCCAUUCUUUAAUUUUUUUCUGGAGAAUAUUAGAUCAAACUCCAUGCAUAACUAAACAUUGAGAAGCUGAAAUCUCACUAUCUUACCUGUUAUAGAUUGCUUCUAAAGCAAUCCUGAAAGCUCCCAUACCCAGACGCUCAGCAGGAAAAGUAGCCUGUCUCUACACUUUGUCAGCUAGUCAUCAGCCAGUCUUUAGUUCCACCAAGGCUUCAAAAACUCAAGAUUGCAGCUGGCGUCACAAAUGGCAUAGCUUACCUGGUAUUCGAGGUCAUUAUUUGCAAAAGACAGGUGUGGUCCAGCCUCCCUUCCAGGAAGCCAUCCAGUUCUCAAUAUGUCACAGAGCACCUAAACCCAAACUUGAGUAUCACGGAAUUUUUUUAAUGUACACAGACAUAGAUAGAUGAUAACACUCCCUUUUAUCACUUUUUCCAAACUAGAUGUCAGCACCCACUAGACUUUUAAAAAGAUGAUGACUAAAGUUGCAGAGUAGUUACUGAACAACCAAACAGAGCCUAGUGACUUUUGAUAGUCAGUUCAAAGAUUUAAAACUCGCGUGACGAAAAGCCCAGUAUGGACUCGACAGCCGAAUUAGAUAAUCUAAGAAAGGACAAGAUCCUUUAGAGUGGUCACAACCUGAGUAUCUCUGCUCCAGUCAACAGAAUCACUGACUACAAAUGCUGCCUGAAUUCUGUGUGUUUGCACAGCAAUUUUUCACUUUCCUAUCAUAUUAGAAGUGCUAUUCUGGUCAAUGUCUGGCUUAGUUGUCCAUCUCUUGUACGGUGCCAGUGGAUCAAUGACAUCAAAGUAGCUAGUGUACUCAUCAAUUGAGAGAACAUUUCUGCAUAGAAAAGAUACAACCAGAAAGAGGGUCAACCAGAGAGAAAUCGAACAGAAUCAAGUUGUUGGAAUUCAUGUUCUGGGUGAAACAGUAUUGAAAACACAGACAACUACAAUGAUUUAAGGAGAGGACUCCUCUGCAAUCACUCUAGUCCCCGAGAACUUGAGUGCUUUUUACUAACAUUGCUUGCCCCUAUGUAUUACCUAGACAUUAAAAGAAUAUCCAUCAAUAUCAGUUUUAUUAAAUACAUAUCUUUAUCCCCAUUGCCAAGCUCUCUCUCUCUUCACCUCCCCCCACCCUCACACCUGCAUGCACAAGCAAGUAAUUGAGACAUUGCUGGGUACAUUUGCAAACCUAGAGAAGUGGUCCAAAUAUUUACUUGUAUCCAUAUUCGGACAUCACAGCAGCAGGUUCUCCUUUGCCAACAGCAACGACAAGUUCAUUCUCGAAUCUGUGCAAAAACCUCAAUUAGGAAACAGAUGAAUAAAAUAGAGAAGCGUAUUCAUUAGUAAAACAGAAAAGCCUAUUCAGAAUUCUCUUGGAAUAGUUAGUACAUGCAUGCGCACUCUUCUAUGUCUUUUCAAUACAUAUAAUAUAAUAUAUGUAGUGCAUUUCCCUAGUUUCCAAGAAGAAAGCACAUGAGAUGAAGAUACUAGAUGUGUUCUUUGAUAUCCACGUACGCAUACAAGAUGUGUGCAUUCAAUAAAGUCCAAUUUCACAGUUUUGAACCUACUAAAUUGUGUACCUAUAAAUAAUUCUUGUACAGGAGAAUUCUUAUUAAGCUAAUAAUACACAUGCACAAUAUUUUAUUUUGCAAUCCCAGAUUUUAAUAACCAUGAGUGAGAUAGAUGAAAAAAGCAAAUGUUGUCGAAAAUGCUCAGUCCUGAUUUACAUUAGUAUGCCACAUUUCUCAUUGGACAUUGGUCAUGGAGAUAAUCGAACAAAUCCUUACCUAAUUACCAGUUGUUUAAAAGGUGUGUGCCCUGUAUGACCUGCAAAUUAUCUUGGUAAAAAUAUGAGAGAAAAAUGAAACAAAGUAGUUCUGGACCUGAUAACAAGCAAAAUCGUGAGGGCAAGCAGAUUUUGUAACACGAGAGAUGAACUACCUGUGAAGGUAGAAUGUUGACUCCUAGUAGUUGACCUAAGUCCUGGGCUCUUUUGGAUUCAGAAAAGCCACCUCCGGCAUCAGCCAUUGCUAUUAGCAGCGUGCAGUAAAAACUAAUUAUCGCUUCUUCAAGAAUUAACAAGCGAAAUUUCUUAUUUCAAGGGAGUAACAUAUUGAACGAUUAUAGGCAAGGGCAUCUCAAAAGGCAUCACAGAUUCAAAUUGCUUGAAUGACUUAAACAUAAGAUAGCGGCAAUCUCAAAAUCAUCAAGACGAUUACUAUUAGAUCUUAAAAGUACCAAUACUUGCUGAUAAGUGAAUAAUCAACCACAAUAAGCAUAUGAUGUCCAGCAUGCAACUUGAAAACUUUAGUUUGACCAUUAUAUCACGGCACUCACCGGUGAUGAUUCUAUUGAAUGGUCACAUUCGGUAACACAUAUCGAAAGUGAGAAAUGUAAUAGUAAAAAUUACUAACACAUUAAAGCAAUUACUAGGACCUAUUGAAGUCUACCAAUCGGGAACACUCACCAUUUGUUAAGAACACGAAAGGUAUCUUCAACUUUCCUGAAAAGAUGGAGAACGUAAAGUAAGUGAUAGCAGGCUAUCAAAUAGCAGAUACGAAUCUCGAUAUCCCCCGCCCCUACAGUCCAUCAGAAAACUCGGUAUCGAUCAGCGAAAAAAGACAUGCAUUCGCAACGUAGAACAUACGCGAAACGGCAAGAUCACCAGCACGACAUAGGCCUCGCAGGUAUAUCAGCAAGCGAUGGCGAAAGCCUUACCAGAAUCGUCGUACAAUCUCCUGAGCGCGCGCGGAGAACCGCCGAUGGGAGCGUGACCGAGAAAGACCACGCCGUCGAUGUCGAAGGCGAUGCCGAACGAAGGCCUGCACGACGAAACCACGAUCGUCGAUUCGAUCACGGACGAAAAAGAAGAAGAAGAAGAGAAAAAGAGAACAUCGGAGAAAAUCACGAGCGUAGUCGAAGCAUGACCGGCACGCACCGAUCCGAUUGCGAGCUAAGCCGCGAAAACGAGCGCGAUGCGAGCGGGGACGGCUGCUUUCGGCCGCGACUCCGCGACGCGAUGGUGAAAAGCCGGUGCCUCAUUUUCCCGUUCGCGGCGAAUCGCUUCGGGAGAUCGAGGAGCUCGAAUCGCCGGAGGUGAAGCUUCAAGAAGAACGGAGCGAGCUUCAACAGUCCACAGAGAGGGAGAGAGAGAGAGUGGCCCAAUCGCGCAGCGUCUUCUCGUUCGAUGUUCAGGGGCCGUGAAUUGGGCCCGUUGAAAUGAUGGGCGGGCCUCGAUAGCGGAUCGGCCUUUCAUUCGGAUCCGAGCUCAAUGGUUAAGCUUGAUUUUGGUGAACGUUUUUGGGCUCUUUUCUUUAGUUCUUUCAUUUUUGUUGUAUUUUUCUCUUUAGGCCUAGUAAUUCGGGCUCCUUGUCUCGGAACCUCUCCAGAGAAUCGUUAACUGCAUCUUUGGUGCACCUGGUGCAUGUACGUAUAGAAAUUCUCAAUUGGCUAGUCGUAAAUGGCCCCACCCUUGGACUAUGAGACCAAUGGUUAUCCCAAACCUACACGGACAUGUAGACAGUGAUUCUUAAAUAUUGAAAAAUAGGGUGUGAUACGAUGAAAUAGGAUCCAAUGGAGACAGACACAAAAAAUAAACGCAGUGCUUCUUUUUUUUUUUUUAAUUUCUUGUAGCGUAGUUUGGAUUAGUUGUGCAAAUACUUGUACGAUAUGAGACACACCCCGAUUAUAGAACAAAGUCACUUUGUCUGGUUUUUCCCUUUUCAUGCUUUGCCCUCUGACUAAUUUAAAGAUGUUGCAAGAAGUCUUGUAAAAAUGUGAAGUCCUACUCUUUUCAUGGCUAUAUUUGAUGUGAAGAACUAACGCAUCAAGCACCUACGACACCACUAUUCUAGCAUGUCUUUUUUUUUUUUAUGAAAAUAUCAUAGUGUGUGUUUGACGACUCAAAGUCUAAGGGGAUAAACUUCUGGUGGGGGACCGAGAAAAACAAUCGGGGGGGAAAUUAUUACACGCUUCACAAACUAUAUAAACCAAUAUCAUAUCAGUCAUUAAUCGGAUAGAUCUCACUAUGAGUUUCGAUGUGUGAAUUAUUGAACAAAAUUUCGACAUGUGACUUAUAGGCCAUAUGAUACCUUUUCAUACAAAAUGGAGUUACAGCCUUGACCGGGCAACGAAAAUUCACACUAUCAUCCACAAUCGAGUCCACAAAAAUUUAUUUCAAAGCCGAUCCAGCUAAGGUAAAAGAGAUCCGCAACCAAUUCAUUUCUCUUUUUGAGUAUUCUAAAACGUCGGAAAAAUAACUUUAAAGUAAUCAUCUGUCUUUGAUGUGCAAAUCAAAAAACUACUUGUCUUAAUCCUCGUGCUGGUCCAUCUUUAUCUAUAUCUCUCUUAUGGUCCCAUGACUCGUGUCCGAACAAUGUAAAAAACAGCCUGUCCCCAACUAAUCAGGACGAUGAAAUCGAGUAAGUAGAAUCGUACCCGUAAUGACGAAAACCAAGUUCUUGACCGGUGGAGUGAAGGAGCUUUUCUUAGUGGCAAAGCAAUAAAUUUGAGACGAGGGACCCAAAAAGCAAGGAAGCGACGCGAGCAUCUAGAAGUAGAAGCGCAGCACGGUGAGCAAAGGCCUUAAUAUUCAAAAGACAACGUGGAAAAAACGACGUAAUAGCAACUCCACUACCUCGUCGUUGUCGGCCAUGAUCGGGUCCGCGAGGAAUUCUAAGCAUUCCCCCCUGAUUUGAUCUACCAUCACAAUCGUUUUCUCUCUCUCUCUCUUUUAAUUUUCUUUCGAUCUUUGUGGACUUCCGAGUCUGUCGCGUGACCCUUGCUCGUGGCCACAAUGAUUCCGAUGCCUUGAAAGAAGACCGCUACUCAUCGGAUAAACAUGACAUCUCGGGCUUACAGAGAUGGAAAUGGAACGAUAACGAAGCAUUCUAAAUGGGAGGGACGUUGCUUUCUUAUCUUGUAAAAUAUCAGUUUGAAUCUUCAGGGGAAGACGUGGCCGCUAGAAAAUUUACACCAAUGCUAUAAGGUACAAAAACCAAAGAUUUUUACUUACUUAUCUGAAGAUAAAAGAAGAAGAAAAAACGGCAUUAUAAUCUCGACUGAGGAAUUGAUUAUCGAAGAUGACAAUUUUAUAUUUUAAGGAGGGAAUCGAGAAACAAUUAAAAAAAAAAUGGGUGAUUUGAUCUGGUUGGUAUGGUUGACCAUUAAAGAAAACAAAAGUUGAUAAAUGUCAAAGGAAGAAGACAAACAAGGCCUUCAACCCGUUCACUUUAUUGGAAAAUGUUUGACAUCAAUGGUAAAAAUCAAGCCUAAUUUGUAUUCAUUUCAUUUUCUCGAAAACUUGACUGAAAAUGUUCUAUGAGCGCAAUGUUAUGCUGUAUUUAUCAAUGUUUAAUUUGAUCAUUGAAUUUCAUUUAGUUCAAUUUAACGUAGUUGCACCACUUGAAUCGAACCAAUUGAAUCAUCCUAGUCAAUUAGAUUUUACUAGUAUUUGAUAUGAGAAUCUAACUCAGUCACGGAACCACAUUUGCUUAUGUGGGUAUACACAUUAGUAGCUACGUUGGCAAAUUCUAGAAUAAAUGAUGCCAACUAAUUGGAUGCACGUAUAAGAAUCAGUUGGAUUGGUUGAUGGCACAGUUGGAGUUAAAAGAGGUCAAUGAUUUCAUUAUUUUAAUUAGCUUGUUCAGCACUUGCACAAAUAAAGUAAGUUGGACUUGUCGGAAGUAGGGUUACAUUCGACGCAUCGGAAGGUUCUUCAAGUGGACUACCCUAUGGUUUAUUAGGAGAAGAUGCCGUAGCAGACAAGGCUAAAGUGGUAAAGUGAAAAUGAUUCUUGUCAAAAAUUUCAUAACCAGAAAUGACCAUUUUUUCUCAUCAUAGGAAAAAAAAAAGCAUCAAUGCCCUUUAUGCUCACAAGAUUAACCAUCAAAUACACGUCUUCGCCUUUGGGUUAACUUUCUGCUCGCUCUUUUGUUGACAUUUAUGUGAGAUGUACAUCCAAAGGAUCUCAUGAUGAAAGAGUUAGGUGACUUCCUUGUACUUAUCACCAGAAUUUGCACUUGUUGGGAAUAUGUGAUGACAAAGACUGUUGGGAAACAUCAGUGAAAGUCCCAACUCUUUAAUGUCUCCAUGCUUCCAUUUAACCACUCUGUUUUAAGAUACAGCGCGAGGACAUGAUAAUCGCUGCUCCACUUCAAUAGCAGAGCAAGACGUUCAUAAUGAUGCGGAGCAAGAUUCACUGCCAUCCUCACUUUUGGAAACCUUAAUCCGUAAUUGAUGGCGUAAGGUCAUCAAAGUCUCAAAGGACUAAAACUAGUACAAUGGAGUGGAAAGUCAUCAACAAAGCUGGAGAUUAACUAGAAUCGGAAACAAAAGUUACUUCAGGAAAUCCCCAAUAAUCAACCUAAACUCAAAGAAGCAAUAACCAUCAAGUACUCCCUAUAUAUUCGGUUCUUCCCCAAUUUGGCUAAAAAUAGUAGUUGUGCCCCGGAAAAUACGGAAAGAUUCAGCCAUGCCUAGAGGUGUUAAAAUGGGUCACUUGUUUAUAACAAAAGAUAGUUAAAUGGGUUUCACAAUUAAAGAUUUAAAAUAGUUGGGUCUUAAGUGGGUUUUUAAAUGGGUUGGGUUGAAAACUCAUCUUUAACAAAAACAUUAUAAUUCCUCCCAUCUCUCUUCAACUUUAUAAAAUCGAAAUUAUAAUUUUUUUAUUUUAUCUUCUCUUUUCUUUUUCUUCCUUUUUUUUCUUUCUUCUUUUUUUUUCUUUCUCCUUCCUCCUUCUGGUCGCUGGCACGGCAACGGCCGACGACCGGCCAGGCGAGCCUUAAGCUCGCCGGAGUCGGGUGAGCUCGAGCUCGCCGGAUCUGGCGAGGCGGAGGCCUAGCCGACGCUCGGCAAGGCUCGAGCCUCGCCGAUCUGGCGAGACUCGAGCCCGCCGGCGUCGGCAAGGCUCGAGCCUCGCCGAUCUAGCGAACCUCGAGCUCACCGGCGUUGGGCGAGGCUCAAGCCUCGCCAGUUCCAGCAAGGGGCGAGCUCGAGCUCGCCGGAUCUGGAGAGGCGGAGGCCUCACCAGUGUCGUCGAGCUCGAGCUCGAGGCUCGCCUAUGGCCGGUCGCCGGCCGUCGUCGUGGCCGGCGGCCGGCCAAAGAAGAAGAAGAAGAAGAAGGAGAAGAAAAAAGAGAAAAAGAAAAUUAUAUUUUAAAAAUAAAAUAAAAAUAAUUAAAAUUUUAAUUUUUUAAAAAAAUAAUUAAAUUUCGAUUUUUCUAAAUAAUUAUUUUAAAAUUUAUAAAAAUUGUCCAUUUAAUUUAUAUCGUAUAAAACUAUUUUAACAAUACAAUUUUUAAAAAAAUAAUAUAUAUAUAUAAAAGCUUGGAAGUAUUUUAAUAAUAUAAUCUUUAAAAAAAACAAAGGAAUAAGUUUUUCUAAAUUUGUUAAAUAUGAAAAUAUUUUAUUAAUAUGAGUUGGGUCGGGUCGGGUAUGGGUCGGGUCGAGUUUGGGUUGAAAAAUUUACAUUAAAUAUAAAUGGGUUAAUGGGUCAAUUUUGGUCGGACCAUUAAUGACCCGACCCACCCGUUUAACGGCUUUAGCCAUGCCAAAGGUUUGCUAAGUGAUCUAAGGAAAGGCCGAAGCAACCUUUUCGGGCCGUUCUUGUCCGUGAAUUCCGUAAUCACUUUAAUGUGUUCUUCUUAUGGGGAACGAGGAAUGUUUUUCCCCCAUUAAAAGAACAAGCUUCGUCACCGUCUUCCGUUAAAACUUUGACAUUCUCUGAACUAAGUCGCCGGGAUGGCGUGAAAUGGUAGAUCAACCGGCAAAAACCUAGAAAGCGGUCAAGUCUCGACUGAAAGAAAAAGGGCAAAAGAAAAAGCUGCAAAAAGGCAACAAAGGUCGUAAUCAUCGUGACAUCACUGCCCAUUCACUUCGAGGUUCAGAAGCACACGGAGCGCUCAAAACUUAGUCAGGCCCGUCUAAUCCAAAGCGAUUUCGCUUCCGGUGACAGAAACAGAACCGAAAGUGCAAAACAAGAAAACAGGGCAAGUCAUCGAGAAGAGGGGCACAGCGAAAGAAAAGGCGUAUUUCAUCUGGACAAUGUCAAGGACCGCACUCCUUUCUCAAGAUAAAGGAGUUGGACCGGGAUGAGCAAUUUUCGAAUUCAUUUUUAGCCUUGGAAAAUUAAGAGAGAAAACAAAUUCCCCACCAAAGUGGCUUCCUAUCAUGCAUGAUUUUGAAAUGCUAACAUUUUGCUAGGCCGAAGAGAUGGACCUCGCAAAAUGGAAGAUUAUCCAUGCUGACACCUCAAAACACUUAAUGUAAUAUUUGGUUAAAGGUCAUGGAAUCAUGAAAGGAAUCCCAAACCGUAAAAUCAAAUAGAGGACAAUAAUCGGAAAAAUGUUCAGGGAUCUUAUGUGGUUCUUUAUCCUGUUUCUAUCCCUAGUUUUCCGUUAUUCGCUUUGUAUACAUUGAUUGGAGACGCAUUCCCUUUCUUACACGUACAACAUAUAUGUUAAAAUACAUAUAUGUUAUUUUAAGAGAUGGGCUUCAUUCAGUGAGCAUAAAUUGAACAUGGAAUUCCACUCUGACCCCAACCUAAGAAAAGAAUUUCUAAAUCAAUUUGAUAAUUUAGACUUUUUUUUGUUUGGCAAAAAAUAAAUAAUUCAAUAAAAAAUUUCCUAAAAACAAUCAUUUAUAUCACUCAAAGUAAUUAGUUAAUAAGAAAUUUUUUUAUUAUUCAUAAUAAUUUAUGUCUUAAUACUUUUCGUAGAAGGUAAACAAAUUUUUAAUUCAUUUACUUUUAUAAGCAAUAUAUUUAAUUAUUUUUAUGAAAUGUAUUUUAAAUCAUUCUCUUAAUCAAAGAUACACUCCCUUUACAUAUGUGCUAUAGUUCCAUCUCCAUUCUCGAUCGUAUUAUUUAAUCAUCCGAGCCAAAAGUAAUGCAAAAUAUCUAUGUGCUCUAACUAGGCAAUAGUACUCUAGCUUUUCAUCAGCCAACAUUAGUUUUUCUCAUGGACCAAUGGCAUCUGUUUUUUUAGUCAUCGUAGUCAAAAGCUAAAUUGGAAAUUAGAACAUCUUUUGAAUGGAGGAGAUUAUGUAAAGCCAAAAGAAGCAACAUAGACGGACCAUUUUUCUUAGCCAUCGCAUCAACAAACAAACGGAUGAAAUUAUGGAGAUGCAAUCCUAUUUUGAUGACAGCUUAGCAGUGUACUAAUUGCCGGCCAACGGAAGCAUGUGAUCAUCGUCUUUUACCAAGACAAUGAAUGAUUAGAUAGACUCGUUGAUGACAUGGAAGUGACCAAGCGGUACUUCUACUAGUGCAUCUACUUUCGGACAAGGAUGGAUUCCCAUUAUAUUAUUUCGUACCUUGGCCUACAAUAAGGCGCAAGGGAGAGCAUUAAAUUCCAAAAAUAAGCUUAUUGACAUUUCUCUAUCGGGCACUUAAAUCAGAAGAAAAAGAGCGUCGUCGUCUUAUCAUGUCAUGCUGUCGUCGUUACACUUAAAUAGUCAAAAAAAAUUGAAACGCCACGUUAGAUAAAUUCAAUGAGAUUUAGCUUAAAUUUUUUAUUGCAUUUUCCCUUGUAAGUUUAAGACUACGUUAUUUCAGAUAAAAAAUUUAUACCUUGAUAGGUUUGAAAUUCCGGUAUAAUAAUUUUAGGACAGAUUAUGCGAUUAUCUUGGAAAUAUGGCAAUUCGAUUUUCUCAAUCUCGUGCUCGCACUUAACUCAAUACAAUAUAUAUACUCGCAUCAGACUCGAUCCAAUUCUAAUAUUAAAAAUUAAAUUAUAGUGUAAAGCUUCAAACUCCAUCUCAAGUUCUCAUAAAAAAUUUCAAAAAUAAUGAUUCUUUUUUCAUUGUCCUUAGUAAAAUCCUUUAAAGUAUUAACAAGGCUCACAAGUCACAUUACUGUAGUAGUAUUACAAAAUUUGACACCUCCGACAUGGCAAUCCACAUUGUUAGGCCCAAAUACAUAAAAGAAGGGGUGAAGUGUUUUUUUAUACAUAUAAAAAUAUUUAUGUUUCUAGAACCAGCAACUUACUUUUAAAAAAAAAAUUAUAUGCAAUUAAAUUGUUAAUUUGCAAUAAGAAACUCAUAGAGUUUAGGGAAAAAAAGAAAUUACAAAAGCUAUUUAUAGAGUUACAAUUAGGAUAUGCUUUCUCUUCUAGCUUUAGCAGCCCCAUUAGAUUGAAAUUCACUACUUCAACCAAUAGUGCAAUUGCCAAGAACUUUGUAUUACGCGGACUCAACUCCUCCGACGGCUAUCUCACUAUAGACUAAAUAAUUAUUAGAUCUCUUUCAAUAGCCGUUCUCACACCUUGUGCACACAACACGGUAGACAUAUUCUCCCCCAAAAUUAUUUAACCACACUUCUAAGUGUUUACAAAUAAUCAUUCGCAUAUUUCGUCUCUUACCUAAACAAUUGCAUUCUCUCUAAGCACGACCACUUCUUCUGUGUGUAUACUGAUAUUGCUAGUAUGAGUACCUAGAGGGGGGUGAAUAGGUGCCUAAACAAUUUAUCGAUAUACAGAAGCGAUUCUUAACAUAUGAUAGAAAGUAAAUUCUCUCUUAAUUAACAAAAUGAAAUACGAUCGAGAUAGAGAGAGUGAAGAAGAGAAAAUUGAACACAGGAUUUAUAGUGGUUCAGCUUAUUCCAAGCCUACGUCCACUCUUCCGCACUGACAGCCCACCGGCUGGAUUUCACUAUGAUCAAAAGAGAAGUUACAGCACAGCUUUGCCUUGAUUCCACAGUGUAGAUGUUCUACCACACCUCCUCAAGGUCUCUCACAAAUAUAGACUCUCUUUUGUAUACAAGUAUUCGCUCAAAGGAUUUAUCUAAACAAAUAGGAGCUUCAGACUUUGGAAUUCUUCUAUCGUGCACAUCUCGAACAACUAAGAACGUCUUCCUUAUAUACUCCUUUAUGCCAUCAUACCCGUUGGCACUUGCCAAAGGAAUUCCUCCAAUCUACCCGUUGGACAGAAUCAAUUAGGAAGAUUGUUCGAGCUAUUAAAGGAACGUGUUGAUAGCCCAUCAAUCAUGUUCGCCCAUACAAUCAGGAUCUCGGUUUCCAUAAGUAGAACCUUCCAAUAAUAUUUAGAUAAUCAUCGAAUCUUCAUUCAUUGAAUCAAACUUGAUCAAUCAAAGGAUUCUGAUACGUCUUCUCCAGAUGAUAAGGUUAAAUCCUGAACAAAACAUCCAGUUCUGGAUAACCUUUCUUCAACGAAUUAGAGACUGUCAAUGAGGAUAGACUUUGAGUCUUGAGUCUGGUUGUCCGGAAGUCUUCAGACUUUAACUAACAGAGUCUGCAGACCUGCAGACCUUCAGACUAGACUGAUGGAAAUGUUUUGUCAACUUCAAAACACUUUCACUAAGAUUUCUCCAACAUAUACAAAUGAUUUUGGCACUCUUGCUAACUUUUAGGAUCAAAACUAAAUAGGUUAUAAUGAAACAGCAAACAGAUAGAUCUCAAGAACACUAAAUGUGUUUCGAUUUUUCUUGUUGCAAGCAUUCAAUCACAAGCUACGUUUUACUCAUAGUUUGUCCUCAUAGGCCUCCAAAAACAACCCGUGACAUCCCAAAUUUUCAACCCUGUCUUCUACUGAAUAAAUCGGGCAUUUCAUUGACGCGUCUAUAGGGUUAUUCUCAGAGCUGAUCACUCUCGAGAUAACUAGACUAUCUGGGAAAAUUAUUAAGGAAUUUUAAGGUAAUAGACUUGAGAACUCAAUCAAGAAUCGGCUUCUCAACCGUGUCCAUCUUUAGAGGUCAUUACGGCACAGUUAAAAAUCGAUUUGAAAUCAGAGAUAGACUGGAUCGACAGAGAUGUGUGGCUAAUCAUGGGUGACACCACUGAAUUAGAAAAUUAUUGUCGGCCAACACUAGACUGAUUUUCUUAUUGUUUGGUACCAUGUGUCCGUAUUUGAAUCCUCGAGAUUUUCACAACAAGCGAGAGUCGCCAUUGAGUCGAGUGGGUUCAUAGUGGCUCGAAGAAAAUUGACCACGAGUCAAUCGCCCUGAAAAGUUUUGAAAACUACCCAGUAGUCUAGGUCACGCUAAAAACACGCCGAAUGAAAAUUAACCGCCAAUUCAAGUCCGAUUUCAGAAAUUGAAGAUUCUGUCGUGUCACGAUAAAUUUUAGGAAUGUCGACUCAGUCUUAGAAGAUUUUUCAGAGAUCCCGAGAUUUUUACGGAAAGUGGGUUCGGACGUCGCGGAAAUUUGGCAGAAGUUCAAAUUGGCUAAAUUAAUGGGAAAUUUGACUUUUGGGUUGAGCCUGUGUGUGUCGGAGAUUUAUAGAAAAUUUCUUGGGAUUUUUCUACAUCAAAACUGGACCUCAAUUUGGAGAGAUUGGAAUUGAAAUUUAGUUUGCCCUUAGUUAAAAAUCGAAUCUUAAGAUGGGGGUGUGCAACAUUGGUAUCAAUUUGGAUUUUUUGGUAGAUUCUUGAAUGAGGAAAAAUGCAGAGACGAUCAAUGAAUGAUCAAUUGAAUUUGUGAGAAUCAAAUUGAGAUGGAAUCAAGAGAGAAUGGUUGUGCAAUUUAAGCCAUGUCCCCCAAAUUCGUGUACCCCACCUAGCCACAACAUUUGGACCAUUUUGGCUUCUAGAAGAGGGGGUCACGUUGGAUCAUUGAAGACCAAGUAAUUAUACAUGGCCUAUAAUGAUGUUUGGAAGAUAUUUGCAAAAUAUCAAGCUUAAGGGGCCCUCACCUCUCAUCACAAUCCUCUCUCUCUCUCUGCCGCUUUUCUUGAGCGAGUCCCUCACGCCAUCUACUCAUCUCUCUCUCCAUUUCUGCUCUCCCUCACGCCCACGGUCGAAGCUGCUCAAAGCCCAUCGAUCUUUUCCUCCAAGCUGCCGAAUCUUCAAGCUGUUCGGUCAAAGUUCUCCAAAACCGAAGACCAGGAUCGUGGUCUCUCCUCACGUCCGCGUCUUCAACUCGAGAAAACAGCCGCGCCAGCGAAGACUCCAUCUUCGUCCACGAAGCUGCUCCAUCUCCACGCUGCCACCUGCCCGCUCCUCUUUCUGCUUCGGUCAUCAAACGGACCGCCGAAGCCACCGAUUUCCCAGCAGCAACUCCACGUAGACGCUGCAGCCCCACUUCGACUUGUCUUCAACGGAGUCAACGGAACCAGCAGCUUCUCCUCUUCUGUUGACCGAACCUGCCAGCGGAUGCCCCUUCUCCACUGAGGUUGGUCGGCCACAGAAGCUAGCAAGCUGCCCGAGAAUUUCCUCUAUCGUCAAUCGAAGUCGUAGUACCUUCCAGCGAAGACCGAAGCAGCCGCACGUUCCCCUCGUCCGUGUAUCUUCAGCCCAAGUCUAGGUUUCACGCUCAGCAAAGCCCAUCUCCAGUUGAGCUUGCUUCAGCCCAUCUGCAGAUGCAUUUCCAGCCCAGCAUCAAUUGGAUUGGAAGCCCAGCAAUUUCAGUCUUUCGGGCCCAGCAAAGACAGGCCCAAUUCAGUUUUAUUUCAAGCCCAUUUUCAGCAAUUGUAGUCUUCAAGCCCAGUUUUUGAAGCCCAAUCGCAGCUAGACCCAAGUCCAAGAGCAAGCCCAUUCCAGUGCAAGGACAAAUCUCAUUUGGGCUGAGAUUUGUUGGGCUAAGUUUAGGCCCGGCCCAAGUUCGUCGACGCCGCCGAAAAUUUCGAUUUCGACCGCCGUCGAGUCGUUGUCGCGGUGAACCGGUUUUUCGCGAUACACCGGUGAGUUUAUACUCUAAACUCUGCUUAGUAGGUUAAUAACGUUUAAGGGGUGUUAGAUUUAUUUUAUUAGGAAUUAGGUGGUUAGUUAGAUUAAAUUAGAAAUUGAAUUAUUUAAUUGAGCAUGUUAGGUGGUUAGCAUGGUUUAGUUAAGGCCUAAAUAAAUUGUACUAUUUAUCUAGAAGGGUUCGGGAAUUUCUCCGAGUCCGUAUUGGUUAUUAAUUUAAUGAUUUUGGCCUAGGUUAUUAUUUGUAGAAUUUAAAUUGAUUUAUUUAAUUAAUUUCAGUAAUUAUUUAAUUAUUAAUUAUUUUUCCGGAAAUUAGACUGGGAUAGCCGGUGACCGGAAUUUCGUGCCGAUUGCAAUGGUGUGGUUAAUUUUCUGCAAUUGAGUGCUAAGUUAUGCAAAUUGAGUGCUGAUUGGAUUUUUGGUAUUUAAUUCCAAAAUUGUGAAUUUCCAAUAUUUAUUCAGAAAAUCCCAGGUGUCGGGUUUUGAUACCGAAAAAUGGUUUUUAGUACUAUAUGAAAUAGUGGGAUUUCAAAAAGGAGGGAAUAUCAAUUUUUCUAGAUCAAGUUGACCGUGUACCCACACACAAGUAAUUUCAUGUGAAUUUCUAAUACGAAGAAAAAGCCAGGCUCACCAUUUUAAUUGGAAGCAUUUGAGUGCAUGCAUGGUGUCUGGGCCAUAUUUGAUGGAUCGUGUGAUGGUAUGAGAAAUCNNNNNNNNNNNNNNNNNNNNNNNNNNNNNNNNNNNNNNNNNNNNNNNNNNNNNNNNNNNNNNNNNNNNNNNNNNNNNNNNNNNNNNNNNNNNNNNNNNNNNNNNNNNNNNNNNNNNNNNNNNNNNNNNNNNNNNNNNNNNNNNNNNNNNNNNNNNNNNNNNNNNNNNNNNNNNNNNNNNNNNNNNNNNNNNNNNNNNNNNNNNNNNNNNNNNNNNNNNNNNNNNNNNNNNNNNNNNNNNNNNNNNNNNNNNNNNNNNNNNNNNNNNNNNNNNNNNGUGUUGUCUUUGAGAUAAAUUGUACUGACCUGCAAGGUGGGUUUGAGACAAGGUAAGUCUCUUGAUUGUGUGAUUGCGUGCUUAGGACGCUUCUUGGCGUAUUUCCCUCCUAAUUGGGGUUUAGAGCUUAGACUCGCUGAGAUGAUAUCUCACCCCGUUGUGGGACAACAUUUUCAGGGUCGUCGAGUGGAGGACCUGAAGCUGAAAGGAGGUGAUCGGAAGCGUAGGUCAGUUAGGACCGCUUCGUUUUGAAAGGCCAGUCUUUUGUAGUCUUUUGGCCAUAGACCUGUGUACAUGACUCAGUGUAUAUAUAAAAGCAUGUUUGUUUGUGAAUCUAUUAUCCUGCAUUUCUAUCCCAAGAUGAUUACUGUCAGGGGAUUUCUUUUCGCUUCCGCAUGUGCAAUAAAAUGGAAAGGGUCGGCGACUCGUCCUAGGAAGUCGCAUAUUAUUAUCGACCAGAUAGGGAUGGGCACGCGCUCGGGGUCCGGGGCGUGACACAACCCUCCUGUUUCAACCAUCUGAUUCAAGUCGAUCACAGAAUGAGUUUCAUUUCAUCACACGGAAAAUAGACAUUUGGAGGGCGUACUUAGAGAUCAUCAACAAAUGAAAAAAUCAAAAUGAUAAGGAGAGUGAGUAUAAGUUUUUUUUUUUUUAUGACCCAAAGAACCCGCACACCGUACCAACACAGACAGCCCGACAGGCCCGGGGUAACGGGGGGUAAACCUUGGGGCGAUACUAGCGAAGGACCCACCACCCGAACGUCGCACUUAAGAUCCCGUGCGGCCAGCGGGAUUCGAACUCCUCUCCUCUGGCAAAGGAUCAUGGGAGCUCUUAUCCAACUGAGCCACCAUAGGCGGUGGUAGGAGAGUGAGUAGAAGUUGGUAAGUUUAUAAAUUGACUUAUUAUAGUGUUUGCAAUUUAUUUACAAUGCUUGUAAAAUUUCCAAAGAGUUGGUUAUUCUUUAAUUCAUUUCAAAGUUGGUAAAUUUCUAACUGCAUUGAUAAGUUAUUAAUAGGUUAUUUGGCAAUCAAAUUGACAGUCAUGCUUUUUUGUUAUCAACUGUACUAGAUAUUAAUGUUGGCUGGGUCUGCCUGUGUGGGGCUCGAUUAACAUUAAUAAAUAAAAGAAAAUGUCAAAAAGUCAAAAAUGCAAUAAAGGAAAAGAAAGGCGGGCUGCUUAUUCGGAGAAGACGGGAAAAGGGCUACGACAUCCAGUCUAGAAUUGAAGGCCAAAUAUUGUCGAAAUUGACCUAAAUUUCAAUAUAUUGUUAUAAGACCCAGACAGAUGAGUCAAGACAGGUGAGUCCAUUAGUUUCAUUUGUCGAUCGAUUUUGUUCAUUAAACACUUUUUUCUAAAUUAUCUCAAAUUUCUCCAAUCACAAUUAGGGCUUCUUACUUCAUACAUAUUAAUCCGCUUCUACAGUGACGAAAUGUCAGUGUAUUGUUGAUAUUGAAUCUCUAAUAUAUUACUAAAGAAAAACCUUUAUGUAUCUUACUAUUUUUUGUGAUUAGUAAAAGAUUUUGAAUUGUCUAUGAUUUUUUUUGCAUUGAAAUUUCCACUUAAACUUGUCGCGUUUGCUUUUGUCUGUUUUUAUCAUUUUGGCAUUAUUUUUAUUCAUUACGAGGUUAUAUUGCGGGAAUAUAUUGCCUGUUAUUACAGGGGUGAGUCGAUUUUGGUCCAUUUAAUCUUGGGAAGAAAUUGAUUCUACAUUAGGUUGAUGAAUUGUUGCCGGUUCUCUCGAACUUUGUAUCAAUAAUUUCGGAAAUCCAUCAAGUAAGGGAUUUUCCGCACUUUCCUUUGACUGACCCUGCACUCAGUCCCGAAAGCUUGCGUCAGCCACAUCUCUGAUUUUUUGUCUCAUCGACCAAGAGCAUUUGAUUUUAUGGUCUUCGUCGUCGUGACAAAAUAUGAUUUCUGUCCCAAUCGCGUCCUCAUCGGCGUCUUUGAUUUUUUUGUCUCAUCGACCAAUAGCAUAUGAUUUCAUGGUCUCCGUCGUCGUGAGAAAAUAUCAUUUAUGCCCCAGUCGUGUCCUCAUCGGCCCAAAGCAUUUUGCUUGCCUUUCCCAGAACUACUCCAUUAUUGCCUCGAAAAUGUUGACGCAGCCAACAUUCUACGACUUUUAGCCAUUUCGUCUUCACCUAUCGGAGGGAUGAUCCAGUCCAAAAUGUUGUCCAGCAAAUUCCUUGUUCUCCCCCAUUUUUUUAAGUUGAUAAUUUUAUGCUCAAAUGAAAAUCCUAAUCAGCUACUCCUGAUCAAAUAUUGCUAUUUCCCUCUCCUCUUUCAAUAUAGUCCGAUUCGAGUCGAUAGCAAAGAGAAAAGAGGGCAUGUCUCGAUAGCAAUUAUAGAGCGCUUCUGUGCGUACCGUGUUUAGAGAUCAUCAAAAAAUGAAAUAUCUAACAUAAUAAGGAGAGCGAGUAGAUUAGUAUCAACUUCAAUUGAACACUGCAACUUGGAACCGUCGUGCGUAGAUUUGAGUUCAGAAAAGGUCCAAUCAGAACAGUUCAAGUUAAAGUUAAAGAGAUCUUUUUGAGAUAUUUUUCUUUAUUUGUUUAUUUAAGUUAAACAGAACAAGCCGGCUAUGUUGUGAGUGGAAUACGCGUUUGUGGAAUACGCAUUUCCCAAAUAUCUAUUCCACCCUUCCCUCUCCCUCAACAAAUAUUUUUUUCAUUGCAUCUACAAAUUCCACAGUAACAGGCUCCUCAUAUUAUCGAGCAAAAGAACACUUCAAGUGCCAUAACUUUGGCCAAAGAGAUACUUAAGUGCCAUAACUUACGAAAGGUACACUUAAGUGCCACAUUCAAAGAAAAACGGAUCACUUAAGUGCCACUCUGGCCAAAGUCCAGCCAAAACGCCAACGUGGCAUUUUUCCGGUGAACCGCGCCCAAAACGAUGUCGUUUUGCACGCUGACGUGGCCAAAACGGCGUCGUUUUGGGCUGACGUGGUAAAAAAAAUUUAAAAAUUAAUUAAAUUAAAUUUAGUUAAAAUAUUUAAAAAUAAUAAUUUUAAAAUUAAAUUUAGUUGAAAUAUUAAAAAUUUAAAAUUUUAAAAAUUUAAAAAAAAAAAAAAAAAAGUGGGGAGGCAACUGAGGGAUUAGCCCUCAGCCGCCGCCGCCGGGAAGGCCCGGCGAUGGCGGGGGGAGGGUCGGCCGGGGUCACCGAGCCCUGGCCAGGGGUCAGCGACCACGACCNNNNNNNNNNNNNNNNNNNNNNNNNNNNNNNNNNNNNNNNNNNNNNNNNNNNNNNNNNNNNNNNNNNNNNNNNNNNNNNNNNNNNNNNNNNNNNNNNNNNUUCCAGCGGCGACGGUGGCGGCUAAGGGCUAAUCCCCCAACCGCCUCCCACCCUUUCCUUUUUUAAAAUUUUUUUUAAUUAUUAAUUUUUUAAUAUUUCAACUAAAUUUAAAAUUUAAAAUUAUUAAUUUAAAAUAUUUUAACUAAAUUUAAUUUUAAAAUUAUUAAAUUUAAAUAUUUUAAAUAAAUUUAAUUAUUUAUUUAUUUUAUUUUAUUUUGCCACAUCAGCCAAAAUAACGCCGUUUUGGCCACGUCAGCGUACAAAACGGCGUCAUUUUGAGCUCCCUUCGCCGGAAAAGCACCACAUCAACAUUUUGGCCGGAUUGGCACUCAAAUGAUCCAUUUUACUCCGAUUUUGGCACUUAAGUGUCCCUUUGGCCAAAGUUAAGGCACUCCAGGGGUUCGCACGUCCAUAUUAUCGUCAGUCAACUUCAUCUAUUUUCAUAAUAUUUUAAGAAUUCGAAUGGUAUGUUCACCUAGCAAUUUGGUCUUUUGUUUACUUCGAUUAUCAUGGACUAAUAGCAUUUGAUUUUAUGGUCUUCGUAGUCGUAGUAAAAUACUGUGACUUUCUGAUUCAACCAUAUUCUUGUAGACCCAUGGCAUUUAAAUUGGUAUUCUUAUAACCACUCCAUCACUUUGUUAAGAACAUCCAGUCAGAGAAAGAGAGAAAGAGAGAGAUCCACCAAGCAAUGCCAGCUACUGCUAUGGUGAGCUCAGACGCAAGGACGUCAUGGGGGAGCGAAUAUCAAGUGUUUCUAAGCUUUAGAGGACCUAACACUCGAAUUAGACUCAGUGACUACCUCUACCAUAGCUUAACUUAUGUUGGAAUAAGUGUCUUUCGAGAUUGAACAGCUACGUGUUGGUGAAAGGAUCGACGCAUUGCUUCAACGAGCAAUCGACAACUCCAAGAUCUACAUACCCAUUUUCUUUUGAACUUAUGUUUUAAGCCCAUUUGUUUCCGUGAGCUCACGCAGAUUGUAGAAAAAUCCAAAUCAAAAGGCAAUAGAGCAGUCCUUCAGCCGCGACAAGGCCAAGGUGAGGCUAGACUCGCCCAAAUCUGGGAGAAGCCAUCUUACUCGUGACCCUUGCCUAGGGUCAUGACCCUCGCCAACCACUACAAGCAAUCCAAUGAGGAAGAAGAGGGAAAAAAAAGAAGGAAAAUUUAAUAAAAAAAAUAUAAAUUGUCAUGUCAGUGUUGGUCGAACGCCUGACGUUCACAUUAGUGCCAGUCAAUCAAAAUUAAUCAGAUGAAUUGAAUUGAUAUCAAUGUAAAAAAAUUUAUGAUCAAAUUAAUCUAAUUAAAAUGUUUAUAAUUAAAUUAGUAUCAAUAGGUUUGGAGCUUUUUUUUUAUCAUUUUUCAUUGCUAUGGCAUCAACAAACAAACAAAGGGAGAAAAUUAUGGAGAUGCAGGUGCCCUGAGCGCCGGCCGACAAAAGCACGUGAUCAUCAUCUUUUAACGAGACAAUGAAUGAUUGGAUAGCCUCGUUGAUGACAUGGAAGUGACGAGUGGUAAUUCCAUUAGGGCAUCUACUUCCGGAAAAGGAUGGAUUCCCACUUUUUUUCUUUUGUACAUUGGCUUACAGUAAAGCGCAAGUGAGAGCAUUAAAUUCCAAAAAAAAAAAAAAAGGCCUAUUGACUUAUGUCUUUGUUCAGUGCUUAAAUCAUGUCACGGUAUUGCCGUUAUACUUUGACAGCCAAAAAUGACUGAAGUGCCAUUUUAGAUAAAUUCGACGGGACUUAGGUGAAAUCUUUUAUUGCAUUUUUUCAGAUAAGUUUAAGAUUACAUUGAUUCAAUUAAAGAGUUUAUACCUUCAUAGUUUUGAAUUUCAUUAUAACAAUUUUAGGAUAGAUCGUGUAAUUAUCUUGAAGACAUGACAAUUUAGCUUUUUCAAUCCCAUACUCACGCUCAACUCAAUACAAUAUAUAUGCUUGGUUGCAUUAGACUCAAUUCAACUCUAACGGUGAAAGAAAGCGAAAGGAAGCAAGAAGCGAACGAAGUUUAGGGAGAAAUCUUUUGUAUUUCUUCACAUGUAAUCAAUGUACAGCAUUUAGUAAUUAUAAUACAAGAUGUACAUGAAGAAAAGGCAAUGAAAUGUUCUACAAAUCAAUUUAAUAUUUCUAUCUAAUCCCUAAUUGAUUUUAUAAUCAAAUCAGAUUAAAUCAAAUUCCCGGCAUAUCUUCCGGAUCUUCAGGCAUAUUUCCAACACUCCCCCUCAAGCUGGUGGCUUGAUAUCCAAGAUGCCUAGCUUGCUUAGUCGAUAUGCGUGUUGUCUUUGACAUAGGGGUUUGGUGAAGAUGUCUACAGGUUGUUCACCAGUUCCAAUCCCUCUUGUCUCGAUUAUCUCUUCUUGAAUUUUCUCCUGAGUGAAGUGACAAUCCACUUCUAUAUGCUUGGUUCUUUCAUGCAUUAUGAGAUUUGCUGCAAGCUUGAGGGCUAAUUCAUUGUCACAAAAUAGCUUUGUUGGCCCUUUCAGUUUUACUCUGAGGUCCCCAAGCAAACCUCGUAUCCACACAAUUUCACAUGUAGUUUUUGCCAUGGUCCGAUAUUCUACUUCGGCUGAAGACAAAAAAACCGUUGCUUGCUUCUUGGUUUUCCAUGAAAGAAGAAAUUCUCCCAGUUUAAUGCAAAACCUAGUGAUGGAUCUUCGACUCAUAGGGCAAGUUGCAUAAUCUGCAUCACAAUAUGCCAUCAUUUCCAUGUUACAUCUUCUAGAUAGAAGUAUUCCAAGUCCUGGACACUUCUUCAAAUACUUCACAACUUUUAGAGCACCAUUCAUAUGAGAUUCCUUCGAGUUGUGCAUAAAUUGACUGAGAUUUUGCACUGUGUAUGAUAUAUCGAGUCUGGUCAUAGUCGGGUAUAUGAGUUUUCCAAUGAGCUUCUAAUAACUUGUCGCCGUCGGAUUCGGAUCUUUUAGUACAAGAUCAUCAUUUUGAGAUAUUCCCCCAACAUGAUCCGUUGCAGUUAAUUUGGUAUUUUGCUCGAUUGGAAUAACUGCUGGCUUGCAUCUUGAUAAACCGGCUUUUGAUAUGAUCUCCAAUACAAGUUUCCGCUAACUAAGGGAAAUUCCUUGGUGAGAUCGAGAAAUCUCAAUCCCAAGAAAAUAGUUUGGUGCUCCUAGGCCUUUUAUAUGAAAUGUGGUAUGCAAAUAUUUCUUAAGAUUCUUUAUUGCAACUUCAUCAUUUCCCAUGAUGAGGAUGUCAUCUACAUAUAUCAUUAAAUAAAUAGAUAGUGUACCUUUAGUCCAUGUGAACAAGGCAUAGUCGUACUUGGAUUGUUUGAAGUCUGCAGUUGUGAGAGCAUUAGCAAACUUGGCAUACCAUUGCUUGGAGGCUUUUUUCAAUCCAUAAAGGGAUUUGCGGAGAUAACAUACUUUAUUCUCCCCCUGUCUCCGUAAGCCCUAAGGAAUAUCCAUGUAGAUUUUUUCAUCCAGGUCACCAUGAAGAAAGGCGUUGUGGACAUCCAUUUGGUGUAACGACCAAUCAUGAGUUACUGCAACUGAUAAGAAUGAGAGAACUAUGACAUCUUAGUGACUGGAGAAAAGGUUUCGUGAUAGUCAAAACCUUCUCAUUGAGUAUAUCCCUUGGCCACCAACCGAGUUUUGUAACGCUCAAUGGAUCCAUCUGCUCUAUAUUUGACUUUAUAAACCCAUUUGCAUCCUAUGGACUUUUUGUUUGGAGGAAGAUUGAUUAAUUCCCAAGUAUGAUUAUCAAUCAUUGCCUGUAAUUCUACUGCUAUAGCUUGUUGCCACCGUGGAUCUCUGCCUCAUCAUAACUAGAUGGUUCCCUUUCAUCGAAUGUGCGACUAAUGCAACAUCUAUGUUCCGGCAAAAGCUUAUCAAAAGAGACAUAAGAAGAUAUUGGAUAGUUAAUACCUAGUGAAUUAAGGGAGGCACAGAUAUAAUCUUUGGUCCAUGUCAGUGGUCGUGUGGCUCGCCUCGAACAACGUGGAUGAUUCGUUGGUGGUGGAGGAGGAGAUAUUUCUUCAAUAUUGGUUUCUGACAAAACAUCAUAAUCAUUCUCCAUAUUGAGUUGAGCUGUAGGCAUACUUUCCAUUGCUUCCUCCGAAUGCAACUGGUUAGGUGAAGUUGAAGUUGAAUGAAUAACUUGGUUCGGAGGUGCUAUGAGAAAAUAUUCAGGAGAUACACUUUCCUCGUUUAAGAAAUGAUGGGAAUCGAUUGGGACACUCAAAUCCUCUGUGGUUUCACAAAAUGGGAAGACAGUUUCGUGAAAAAUAACAUCCCUGCUCACGAAAAAAUCUCCUGUUGAUGGAUCGAGAACACGAUAUCCCUUCUAUAGGUUGGGAUAACCCAUGAAUAUGCAUUGCCUAGCACGUGGACUCAUUUUGUCCCGAGGUCCCAUAGAUUUGGCAUAACAUAGACAACCGAAAAUCUUUAGAUGAUCAUGUGUUGGUUUUUUUCCAUAAAGUAAUUCGAAAGGCAAUUUACCAGCCAGUAUCCAAGCUAGCAUGCGGUUGAUGAGGUAAGCUGCAAUAAUAACACAAUCUCCCCAAUAAUUCUCUAGAAUAGACUUUGAAACUUCAAUACUCAUGCGACUACCAAUAGAUGACGAUGUUUACAUUCCAUUGCCCCAUUUUGUUGUGGAGUAUAAAUGUAGGAGCUUUCAUGUAAGAUGCCAUGGGACAAGAAAAGUGAACUGCAGUCAUGGUUAAAAAAACUCUUUCCCAUUAUCAGUGCAGAUUCGCUAAAUUGACUUCCUAAACUGAUUUUUGGUCAGAAUGAUAAACGUUUUUAGAUGAAAGGGGACUUGAGCUUUGGACUGCAUCGGAAACACCCAUGUGGCACAAGAGUGACCAUCCACAAUUGUGAGAAAAUAAUGUGAACCAUCAUGAUGUGGCAUGUGAUAAGGUCCCCAGACGUCCACAUGAAUUAAUGAAAAAAUAUUAUUGGAAUGAUUCCUACUGGAAGGAAAAAGUGUACGAAAUUGCUUUGCGAGGGGGCAUAUAUGACAUUUAGAGCAAGGAAAAAAAGCACUAUGACCCAUUCUCAAAUGUAUAAGAAAAUUCUUAUCAUUGGCAGUAACAUUACACAAUGACAAUUUAUUCAGGGGAAUUGAAGUCAAAUCAAAAUGACCUGGAAAAUAGGUCCAGAAAUAUAAUCCUUUGGAAAGACUACCCAAGCCCAUCAGUUUCCUAAUCGAAAGGGCUUGAAAAAAAUAGGUGUCAGAAUCGAAAAAUAUUCAACAAGAAUUUUCCUUGCAAACUUUGGACACGGAGCUAAGAUUGAAUUGAAAUUGUGGGACAUCAAGAACAUUUUGAAGGGUAAUUUGGGGACUCAGUUGAACAGUGCCUAUCAAAGUGACAUGAGUGAUAUUCCCGUUUGGAAGUUGCACAAAAAUAGGUGUAUCUAAUUUCUUAUGCAUAUCGGAAAAAAUCCCGUAUCACAAAUGAUAUGAUCACUUGCUCUUGAGUCAACUAUCCAUGCCUUUCUUGAAAUAUAAUUUAUCAGGCGGUGAGAUAUACCUGUAAAACUUCCUCCUUUAUUUGCGAUGUCAACCUUUUGCAACGUCUGCAUCAAUUGUUGAUAUUGCCCAUAAGUAAUGGGUCGGUCACUAUUUAGACCAGUAGGUCCAAUGACCAGGUAAGUUACAGAAUAUUCUUUAUUUUUCCCUUUUUCUCCUGGAUUUCCAUGUAGUUUGCAACAAUUAUGUUUGUAUGAUGCGGAUGUUUGCAAUGCUUGCAAUAUAAUUUACCUCUCCCUUUUGAAUUUUGGCCAAAAUUCCUUGAAGAUGCAAAAAUAAUUUGGCCGCCGAAUGCCUUCAUCAUGGAAUUAUAUCCAUCGUCUAAUUCAAUUGAGAGAUUAGGCCCUUGCAGACCGUCAGAUCGCUAAGGAGGAUAUGGACCGUUGAUGCCGUCCUUUUUAAGGGAUCUAUCGUCGCUAGAGGAAAACCCUCGCCCCUCUCGAUUCUCUCUCUUGGGCUAGGGUCUUGACACUCGAAUCUCGCUGCUCGCCGUGGAGUGCAAGAGCGAUGAUGUCGCUUCCUCGUGCAUGCUUUGGAGUCGUGAGCCACUGGCUUUCUUCCUGGACAGCUAACUAGAAAAUCCAUCCGAGGGGAGGCACCGGAUCCAUCACCAGAAUCUGCGAACAGAAAGUUAGGUACGUCUCGUUCAGAAUCAAAAGGAACUGAGUGGAUUUUUCCCUCUCCUUCAUAGAUCUGUAUUGUAUGAGGGUUUCCGCUAGUCCCUCGACCUUUUCCUCCACGACUUCGAGCUCAUUCCAAAGUGACGAGAGCUUGUUGUAACAAGUCGUGACCGUCAUAUUUCCUUGCUUGAAUUCGCUGAGUUCCUACAUGAGAGAAAAAAUCUUUGCUUGAUCUAACUUCCCGUACAUUUCUUUGAUGUUGUCUCACAUCUUUUUCGAAUCCUUCGUCAGUGGAAGGCCGGCUACAACAUCUAGAGAAAUACAGUUGCCAAUCCAUGUUCAAAUGAGGUGGUUACACUUUCUCCAGUGUCUGGCCAGUCGCUCGUCCAAGGAAUUGGUACGGUCCCGUUGAGGAAACCGUCUUUGUCCUUCAUUAUGAGGGCUCGCCGAAAGUCCUGCAACCAUUUGUUGUAGUUUUCUAGCCCGGUCAAUUGCAGACUAAUUAGUUGUAAUUCUGGGCCAUCGGCGGUUGACACGGGCUCUGGUCGGCCAGUGACGGCCGCAAUCAGAAAAGGUAAAAACCCGGGUGAGAUACUCGGGUAGGGAUUCUUCCCUAUACCUAAUCCGCUAGACCCAGUUCCAUGACCCGCAUUAAAAAAUCCCGAGUAGGGAUUUGUUCCCAAACCCAGUUCACUUGACCCGCCAAUCUGUUCUGGUUCGACGGAUAGGCUUGUCCCACUUAUGGUUGGUGGGCUCCCGUCGACCUGGACGUUAUUCUGGUAGCUCGCUACCCCCAGCAAUGAUGGAUUUGGGCCUGGCCCAAUGUACCAUGGAUAAAGUGUCCAUUGGUAAGGAUGGCCUAGAAUGGGCUACCCCAUAUUUGACUAAGCCGAGAAGAGUUGCCACUAUACGCCUUGGGCCUGGACUUGAUGUUGGGUUACAAGAAUCGUGCCAGAGGUGUGGCCUUGCGUAUCUCCCAUAGGUGUGGUGUAUCCCGUGGAUGAAACACCAGUGGCAAGGGGCAAAUUCUCUGGGUGAGUCAUGGUAAGAAUUUGCCUUUGCUUCUUCUUCCUUUUUACCGAAAAAUGAUUCCUUCGUAAGAAAGUAUUGAUUUUCCUUGCAGAUCAAGGGAUUUGGAAGGCAAUCAGUGUGGAAGCGAAGUCAAGAGCCUGGUGCUCUGAUACCAUGAAAGAAAGCGAAAGGAAGCAAGAAGCGAACGAAGUUUAGGGAGAAAUCUUUUGUAUUUCUUCACAUGUAAUCAAUGUACAGCAUUUAGUAAUUAUAAUACAAGAUGUACAUAAAGAAAAGGCAAUGAAAUAUUCUACAAAUCAAUUUAAUAUUUCUAUCUAAUCCCUAAUUGAUUUUAUAAUCAAAUCAAAUCAAAUCAAAUUCCCGACAUAUCUUUCAGAUCUUCGGGCAUAUCUUCCAACAAAUGGCAAAAACUAAAUUACAGUGUUAAGCUUUACAAUCCAUCUCUAGUUUUGAUAAAAAAAAAUUCAAGAAUAAUGAUUUUUUUUCUUUGUCCUUAGUAAAUCCUUUAAAUUAUUGACAAGGCUUGCAAGUCACAUGACUGUGGUACUACAAAAUUUGACACCUUUGACACGAAAUCCAUAUUGCUAGGUCCAAAUAUAUAAAAGAGGCGGUGAAGUGCUAUUUUAUGUAUGUAAAAAUAUCGAUCUUUCUAGAACCAGCCCUUUAUUUAAAAUUGGUUUUUCAUAUACAAUUAAACUGAUAUUUGUAACAAGAAACUUAUAGAGCUUAGAGUUUUCAAUUAGCAAUUAGGAUAUGCCUUCUCUUUUAGCUCCAGUAGCCCAAUCAGGUUGAUAUCCACUACUUGAACCAACAUUGCAAAUGCCAAGGACUUUGUAUAGCGUGGACUCUAUUCUUUCUAUGAUUAUCUCACUAUAGACUAAAUAAUUAUUAGAUCUCUUCCAAUAACCAUUCUCACACCUUGUGCACAUAGCGCACUAGACACAUGCUCCCCAAAAUUAUUAACCACGCUUCCAAGUGUUUACACAUAAUCAUUUGCAUUGUUUGUCUCUCACCUAGACAAUUGCAUUCUCUCUUAGUCCAAUCACUUCUUCCAUGUGUAUACAAAUAAUUUUGGCACCAUUGCUAGCUUUUAGGAUCAAUACUUAGUUAAGAGAUAGAUCUCAAGAACGCUCGAUGUGCUUCAAUUUUUCUUGUUGCAGGCACUUGGUGGCAAGCUACAUUUAACUUGUGGUUUGUCCUUAUAGGCCUCCAUAAACAACUCUGAUUCAACUAUUUCCUCACCGUCCCAUAUCAUUUGAUUCUGUUACUCGUAUAACCACUGCCUAUAUUUUUUCAUGACGUGUUGUCGCGGCCACCUUCUACGACUCUCAACCAUGUCAUAUUCACAUAUCAAAGAAAUGACCCGCUCAGAAACUUUAUUUAGAAAAAAUCCUAACUAUUAAACCGCAUCACUGACCUCCCUCCUCUUUUUCUUUAAGGUAGCAAUUUUACGUUCAUAUGAAAUAUCCUAAUUAACUACUCCUGGUCAAACAUUCCUAUUUGGCUCCCUUGUUUCAACCAACCGAUUUGAGUUGAAACGCAGAAUGAGUUUUAUUUUCAUCACAUGAAAAAGGAACUUUGAGAAAGAGUAUUUAGAGAUCAUCAGCAAAUGAAAAUCAAAAUGAUAAGGAGAGGGAGCAGAAAUUGAAGCUUACAAAUUUAGUACAAUGCUGCGAGAUCUACUAUAGCAUUGGCAAUUUAUUUGCCAUACUUGUAAAACUUCAGAGAAGGUGGUUAUUCCCUAUUUUAUUUCAAAGUCGGUAAAUUUCCAAUGGUGUCGUUAAGUUUGAUAAGUCAUUUGACAAUCAAAUCGACGGCCAUGCUUUCUUUUAGGGAUUGUACUGGAUAUUUUGGUUGGUCGGGUCCGCCUCUGUGGGGACCAGCUAACAUUAAUAAAUAAAAGAGAAAAAAGGUGAAAAAGUCAAAAAAGCAAAAAGAAGAAAUGAAAGAUGGGUGGCUCGUGCGUGGAGUAGAAAAGAGAGGGAGAGAGAGAACGCGGAAAAGAUAGAAAAAGGGCUGCCGGAGAUUGAACCCGUCGUCGCUCCUUCCAGAAUCGGUGUGUCGAUGUUAAUUUUCAGUCGCCGACCCGCCGGUGGGAGCCAUGUCUACUCUAAGUGGGUUUUUUUUUUUUUUUUUUUGGUCUGAAAUAAGUCUUUCAUUCAUAUAAAGCAAGGAUUACAAGUAGAUGAUAAGUUAGCUUCAGAACAUAAGAUACUCACAAGAGGUUGGGGAGGUGCAUUUACCCAAUUUUUUAAUAGGCAUUUGAGGCAAUGUGCUUUCGCGACCCAAUCGGCAGCGUGGUUUGCUUCUCUCGGACAAUAGGAGAGCUUGACAAGAGGUAGAUUUUGUAGAAUAUCUAUGCUUUCAAUAAGUAAACUGGUCACAACCCAUGGAACCUCAGCCUGGCCCAAAAUUGCCUCCACAAGUGCACGGUUGUCACUCUGUACUUCCCCUUUAAUUUCCCUGAACUGAACUUCCACGUGACUUCUUCUUCUCCGGUUCAGAAAGCGCAACCCGUGCAGGAUCGCUAGGGCUUCGGCGUGCAGGGGAGACGCGGCAUAGAUCUCAGCGGUGAAUCCGUCAAUCAGCAGGCCGUUCAAGUCUCGGAUGAUUCCAGCGACGGAACUCUUCUCUUCUCCUUUCAUCCAAGAACAAUCCACGUUGAGUUUGAAGCUGCUGCUGUUCGGCGCUGUCUAGAUCUCGAAUGAAUCUGGCCUGCUGGUUUCCUGCUGCUUUUUGCUCGGAAUCCAUCUGGAGUAGGCCCGAACCUCUGCUUGGGUCAGAUCGACUAUGUAUUCAGUUUUGGGAGGUUGGGAUCUGAAGAUGUAGUCGUUUCAAAGCUUCCAAAUUAACUAGAUCGUGCUUGCCACCAUAUCUACUGAGGGUAAAUCAUUUUUUGCUGCAACAAACUCUGCAAACCACUUAUCCAUCCGAGUAACUGAGAUUGUUUUGUUAUAGAUGUUGAGGCGCGGGUCACUCCAUAUUUGUCAAGUCCUUUUAUAGAGGAAGAACAGUUGUUCUACUGUUUCAGGAUGCCGAAAACAGAGGGGACACAGGGGUUUAGGUAAUAUUCGCCUUUUAUAGAAAUUAUCCUUUGUUGGGAUUGCAUUUUGGCAUAUGCUCCACCGGAAAAACUUUACUUUGAGGGGGAUUGGAGUAUUCCAUAACCUAGUCCAUAGGGAUCUGGGCGGCUGAUAGGAAGUUGUUGCUCUGUUUGGGUCAGGAAAAUUAGUCAAUGAACAUACCCUGUUGUAGCCACUUUUGACUGAGUAGGAGCCUGACUUGUUCCCCGUCCAGAUUAGCCUAUCUUGCUAUGGGUGUGUGCUGAUUAGAGUUGUAAGAAUUUCAUGAACGACUUGUUCGUCAAAUAGAUCUCGAAGUUUAGGCUCGUCCCAUAAUCUCCUUUCAUUGUUCAUUAAUUCAGCAACUGUCUCAGGAUCAUUCUUAUUCACCAGACCUCCUAUCACUCUCCUUGGAAGCCAUCUGUCUUACGGAAUGUUAAUACUUUUCCCAUCUCCCACAAUCCACCUUACCUCCGAUUCAAUAGUGUCUCGACCUAUUAGGAUGCUGCGCCAACCCCAAGAUGGUCGUUGUCCUAUUUUUGCCUUCCAUAAGUCCCCAUUUGGAUAAUAGACUCCUUUAAGGAUCUGCCCCAUAAGGCUGAUGGUCAUUGAGAAAGUCUCCAGGCUUGUUUUCCUAACAUUGCCUUGUUGAAAUUAAUUAGGUCGUUAAAGUCGAGACCUCCUUCAUCUUUUCUACCUUUCAAAACUUCCCAUUUCUUCCAACACAUACCUCUUUUAGAAUCAUUUUGUUUCUACUAGAAAGCCGCAAUUCUUUGUUCGAUGGCUUUACAAACUGAGAUAGGAAUUUUGAAGAUGGACAUAGCAUACUGAGGAAGAUCCUAUACCUCGGCUUUUAUCAAUAUUUCUUUGCCAGCUUUAGAUAAUAACUUUUAUUUCCAUCCUUGAAGCUUCAUGUUCACUUUAGCAAUAAUUUAGGAAAACAUCUCCUUUUUUGUUUGUCCCUAAUCAGAUGGAAUUCCCAGGUAUUUCCUUGUUUUGUCAAUAAUAGGCACUCGUAACUCAUUUGCCAUAUUUCUCUUUAAGCUCAAAGGGCAGCCCUUGCUAAAAAAAAACUCAUGGUUUAUUUAGAUUGAUAGCUUGACCAGUUGUAUAACAAUACUGAUCUAGAAGAUUUGCCAAAUUUUGACAUUCUCUGACUGUCCCAUCCAUAAAAAUUAUAGCAUCAUCAGUGAAUAAUAAGUGAGACAAUGUGGGGCAAUACUUGUUCAGUCUUAUUCCUUUGAUGCUCCCAUCUUCUAUCGCUUUGUGCAUCAUCCAAGAAAACACAUUAGCCAUCAAUAUGAAAAGGUACGGGGACAAUGGAUCUCCUUGUCGUAGUCCCCGUGUGGGUGUAAAAUAUCGUGUUUGAUUGCCAUUGACUUUGACACUAAAUGUCACUGUGGAGACACAUGUCAUCACCAACUCAAUCCAUCUUACGUUAAACCCCAUCUUUAACAUACUCAUUUUUAAGAAAUCCCAUUCAACCCUAUUAUAAGCCUUUUUCAUAUCCAGUUUAAGGAUUGCCUGGAAUUUCUUUUCUCUUCCUCUGAUUCUCAACUGAUGCAACACCCCUUGAACAAUAAAAAUGUUAUCUUGUAUUUGUCAUCCUUUAACAAAGGCACUUUGUUCACGUACUAUUAUCUCAGUGAGCCAUGGUUUCAAUCUGUUUGCUAACACUUUGGAGAUUAUUUUAUAGUUGAAGUUGCAUAGACUAAUAAGGCUGAAUUGACAAAUACUUUCUGGAUUUUUUACUUUUGGAAUGAGAGAUAUGUGAGUUUUGUUGAGUAGAGGGUCAAAUUCACCUGAUUCAAAGAAGUUUCUUAUCAAAUUUAGCACAUCCGGCUUGAUUUCUUCCCAAUAAUGCUGAUAAAAUUGUCCAUUAAGACCAUCCGAGCCAGGAGCUUUUAAGGAGCCUAGCUAGAAAACUGCUUCUUUAACCUCUUCCGUAGAAAUAGGAACUAAGAGGCUUUUGUUCAUUUCCGUGGUCACUAUAGUUGGGCACAUGUCCAAAAUAGGUUGAAAAUCUCUUGGACUCGCUGAUUCAUAUAGAGAACAAUAGAAAUCAUCUGUGUUGUUUCAAUAUCUUGUGGCCCCUGCACCAAUUGUCUUCAUUGAGGCACAAUACAGAAAUUAUGUUCCAUUGUCUUCGUUGAACCGUAGUGGCAUGGAAAUAUUUUGAAUUCCUAUCACCCCAUUGUAGCCAAUUUAUCCGAGACCUCAUACCCCAAUACAUCUCCUCCUGCCGCUAAAGCCGCUCAAUAUUCUCUUUAAUUUCUUGACUAUCCACUCUGCUGGAAAAUUCAAAAUCCCCAUUUGUGAUCUCAGUAAGUUUCUGUUUGAGACUUCUAAUUUGGAGAGAGGCAUUAGAAAACUUGUUUUUGCUCCUUGCUGCCAAUUCCUUAGUAACAUGCUGUAUUUUCUGAGAAAAUGUUUUGUAACAAUGCUGGUCUCCUCCCCAAUAGCUUUUAAUAAUCUCCCCACACUCUUCUUCCUCCAUCCAAAAGGCUUCAAACUUAAAUUCCUUCCUUCUUCUCUCCCAAACAGGAUGUAGAGACAACAAAAAUGGGCUAUGGUCUGAACCUACCGCUGGAAGGGCCACCGCUUCAGCAUUUGGAAAAGUAAUUCUCCACUCCAUUGUGCAUAAGGCUCUAUCCAGCCUCUUCUUCACUAAGUUGUCACCAUCUCUAUUGUUGGCCCAAGUAAAAGCACAUCCUUUAGUAUCAAUAUCCAUUAAGAAGCAAUCAUUAAGCAUGUCUCGAAAGGCCGCUAUUCGAUGUUGAUCAGCUUCCCUCUUCCUAACUUUUUCCCAGCUAUAGAAUUUCAUUAAAGUCUACCAUACAAAGCCAUGGAAGUUGAUUGAUGGAGUGAAUAUCCCGAACCUUUUGCCAUAAUAGAAGUCUCUCCUUAAAGUUUGUGGAAGCAUGCAUGAAUGUAACUCUCAUAAUGUGGCCACUAGAGGGAUCCUUGCUUUCCACAUCCAUGUGCUCCUUAGAACUCGAAUUUAUCUUAACAUCCACAUUCUCAUUCCACAUAAGCACCAAUCCCCCAGCAAUUCCUAUUAAUUGCUCUAUAAACAUGUGUUGGAACUUCAGUUGUCUUCUGAUUUUAUCCACCAUCGUCUUCUUGUUUUUGGUCUCCAUCAAAAAGACCAAGUUGGGCCGUUCUUGAGCCACUAAGACUCUAAGCUCCUGGAUUGUCAGGGAGUUACCUAGCUCCUGACAGUUCCAGGUUAGGAUCUUCAUGGUAUCUUUGGUCGCUUAUUAGGGCUAGCCACCAAAGCCCAAUCAUUCCCCUCUUUUACCAGCUGCACAAGGGUCUCUAGUAACUCCAUGUUAUCAAGGGGAGAGAAGAAUUAGUAACUUAUGUUCUUUUAUGUUUUUUUGCUUGUUGAUACUUCAUCAUUUUCUUACCAGCAUCUCCUAUAAUUUUUUAUCCAGCUUCAUUAGGGCCUUCUAAAUACAUUAUUUGUUUUCCACUCCCCUCUUUGGUUGCUAUAAUUUUCUCUCCUCCAUCUCUGCCCUCCUUUGAAGAAAAGCUUUCUACUCUUUUUUUGUUCCGAGAAAGGUAGGUAUUUGUCUCGGUUUCUGUCCUAGCAACUAUCUCCAUAUUGACUGUCAUUAAGGGAGUUUCAGGUACUGACUCUUCUUCUUCAUAAUUUGGAUCAACCUUUCCAUAAAAUGCUUCCCAAUAUGGACUAUGAUCUCUUACUUCCGCUUUGAGCUAAGGACCGUACUUCCCAACCUUAUUAGCUGCCCAAUUUGUUGUUUCAUAUGGUAUCUUCUCACAAUAUGAUGCACAGUGACCAAUUCGACCACAUGAGUAAUAGAAAUGAGGGAGAUGUUCAUAUUUGAAUUCCACUCAUAGAUUCUUGUUCCCGAUCUUUACAAAUGCCCCUAUUUUAAGAGAGGCUGAAAGUUCCAGCUCUACUUUGACUUUACCAAUUUUAGGCUCCGUUUGGGAACAGCUUUCCCAAGGGCCUUUGAGGGUCUAAAGGCCUUUGAGCCAAAUGUUGAGUGUUUGGGAACUUUUUUUCAGUUGCCUUUGCCAAAUGCAAAGCCUUCCCAAGGCUGAAUGCCCAAGGCAGGUUGGGGGCUGCCUUGGGCAUUCUCGGAAUGCUAGCCUUGAAGAUAAUGAAUGUUUUUCUUCCAAAAUUGUCCUUGUUAAUUUUUUGUUUUUUCCGGCUUUACCCCAACUACUGUUCAUCGUCUUCAUCCUUUCGUUCUCUCUACUGAGAACACGGCCAGCAUCUACGCGCAAUCGCCGGUGAAGGACAGGUGGGUCGGCGAAGGGCAAGUGGUCCGGCUAGGGACCCACGACUCUCCGACGAGGGUCGCCGCGCAGAGGACACCGGCAACCCAGAUCGUGCGCAAAUCUGGUCACUCGAUUUGGGUCGCACAAAUCUAGGUCGCGGCGACCAAAUCGUGAGCGUCGGCGACCUCUGCGGCGUGGUGGGUCGCACAACGGCUCGGCGAGGAUCGCGGCAACCGGGAUCUCGCGAUCUGGGUCGCCGCGACCCAGAUCGAGCGGCACCGGCGACCUCCGAACGGAGGUCGCGGCAUGGCGAGUCGAGGCGACCGUCCGACGAGGGUCACAACGACCUAGACGGGAACCCUAGCCGGAUGCUGCCCUUCGCUGGACAGCCUAACCUUCACCACGCCGCCUACCCUUUGCCGCGGUAACCGGCGAAGCCUUGGCCGGCCAACUCUCAUUUUUUCCCUUUUUUUUUAAUAACAAAAGCAUUUUGCAAAUUUAAUUUAUCCAAACACUAUUUUACUCAAAGAUACUUUACAAUGGACUUUCACAAGUACCAUUUACCAAACACAAUUUACAUUUUGAAAAACUCCUUUGACUCAAGUAUCUUUACAUUUUCUCAAAGACUUUCUCCAAAAGUCUUCCCAAACGCACCCUUAUAGGGGCUGUUUCCUCUAGAUUCAAGUUGUAUUUCCUUAACUAUGCCAACCUUACUAGCAACAUCAGAGAAAACCUCUUAUAUGAUCCAUCCUAAGGGUAAACCAACAAUAUGAAUCUAGAAAUCAUAUCUAGAAAAGUCAUAGCAGUGUUCUAGAAUAUCUGACUCACAUUGUUUUAACACUAACAAGUUGUUAGCAAAGGACCAUGAUCCUGAUUUCAGAACUCUCUCCUUUUCCUCCUCUGAUUCAAAUACAAAAGAGAACAGCCCCAAUUCUUUCUGGGAACACACAAUAGCCUCCGAUUUCCACGCUUUCUUCAUAAUAUUGCAAAAUGCUUGAAAGUUAACAUUGGGUUUCGAAUAUAGCUUACCAAAGAGAGUAUGACUGCAUUCUAUUUGUUCGUUGGGUGGGAUUUCCUACUGCACUUCGAUCACAUCACUAGCUGACCAUAAAUGGCCUAAACUCUUGCACAAGGCAGCAAGACGACAUUGAUUCUCCUCCUCAUGGUCCAUGCUGGCAACAAAUCAAGAGCUCUCGCUGAGAUUGAUAAUGGGAAUCGACAUUAUCUGCUAGGGUUGAGGAUUUUUGUCGGGACAGCUUUGUUGUGGUGUUGUGAAGGGGGAGAUUGAAGGGAGCUCCGUGGAUGUUGGGUUGGAAUUUCUGGUCUGUAUACUGCUGCUGCUUCACGAUCUAGUUUCAGCGGAAGAAAAGAAGGUGCGUGUUCUGAAGGGUUAGUGUGUUUGGGUGCUGGGUCUCCAUUACAUUUGGCAAGAAAACGCUACAUUCGGAUGAAUCGGAUGGCAGGAGGCUUCAAAAGGGACUGGGUAUUUAGGGUUUAGGGUUGGAUGCUCCCAUGGAAUCGGGAGAAGUAAUCUCUACCAGCGAGAGAAAGAAGCUCUACCAGCGAGAGAGAAAGCCUACGGCAGUCCUUACUGCAAGUGGGUUGAUUUCUUGUGAAAGUUUCGAACUUUGUCGAUUCCAUUUGCCGAGAGUGUGAAGCAUGCGUUGGCCGAGUCGACCAGGUUUUUCCGGGCUUGUGCGUUAACGUGGAAAUACAAAAUUGUUCCUCGCCUUCCAGAUAAACCGAAGGAUAAUAGCUACCAGCUCAAAGGUGAGAUCUCUCCUUGUCUUGCCACGGAAGAUUCUGAAGCCACACUUCAAUUCGUGUUAUAUUAUGAUCUGAGAAAUGGAUGUUUACUGCGGGGUUCGUCCAAAUCGGUUUCGUCCAGGGGCACGAUAAAAAGAAAUGCUCCAAUAUUCCUUUUUUCAAACUUUCUUGCAAGAUUGAUUGCAGUUUUAUUUUUCAGGAGUCGGGCUUUGAUUGGAUAAGUUCAUGUUUCAAAGGAGCCUUGUGAAAUUUUGAAGACAACUGGCGUCAUACUUGUCAGCAUGCAGGGAUGGAACUAUCAUAUAAUUUUAGUGGGGUCAAUGCCCUAAAGACUGUAAGAUAAGGCAUUUCAUUUAACAAAAUAAUUAUAAAGAUGCAAUCCAGCUAUUUAUUGAUUUGAAGUAGUUUUUCUAUGUAAAGUCUACUUGAAAUCAACGCUUUGACAUUGAAUCAUGAUUAUGAACAAAAUUCGGUUUCAAAUCCCCGUGCUCGAGCUCAACUCAAUAUAGUAUAUAGGGCUCGAAAUUGAACUCGAUUCAACUCCAUUAUUAAAAGCUCGAUUCUACUCAUUUGACUUGUUAAGUAGGAAGUUUCUUUCUGUUUUUCCUAUUCAUGUAUUGUACCUUCUGCAUAGCCUGGUCAUGCCAUUCGAUUGCUUUAUCUUCCGACUCCAUCAAGCCUCAUGCUUGAUUGGUGGUGUGGUUGUCUUGUAGUGCAAUGUCUAAGCGCGCUAAUUUUUUUUAUAAUUGUUUAUCUUUUUACUUUUCUAUUUUUUGUGUCAUAAAGAAGUUCAUAGUACAUGAAAAGACAAGUUACUGGUUUUGAUUUCUUGCAAGUUAGCGCAUGAUCCCUUAGAGGGCCACGAGGCUAAGCCUAAUUACAUCGAUGAACAACGGAAGUUACUAAAAAGCAAAUGUGGGGUUUCAUUAGGUAUCAUUAGUUGGAUUUUAUUUCUUUAGAUAAAAUGGUUAAUACCCUGAAAAACCCCAAACUAUUUUUUUGACCACCAAAAACCCCAAACUGGUAUACUUUUGACAAAUUUACCCCAAACUGGUACACUUGUGACAAAUUUACCGUAUGUUAGUUUUCGUUAAUUUUAUUAUAAAUUAUUAAGUUAAAUGACACGUGACAGAUAUACUAAUUUGGGAUUUUACGCAUCGUUUGUCGUAGUUUACAAUUUUUGUGAUUUUUUUUUUUGUAUUAAUCUAAUUUAGCAAAUGGUAUAUUUGUCAUAAAUUUACCAGUUUGGAGUUUUUUGCGGUCGAAUAAAGUAGUUUAGGGUAAAUUUGUCAUAAAUGUACUAGUUUAUGGUUUUUUAUGGUCAGCCAGCGUAAAUUUGUCACAAGUGUACCAGUUUGGGGUUUUUCAUAGUCAAAAAAAUAGUUUUUGGUAAAUUUGUCACAGAUGUACCAGUUUGGGAUUUUUCAGGGUAUUAACCCUUAGAUAAACUAUAAGGAUCCCAUCCCACUGCUCCUUUUGCUCUUCCAAUAUCCAUCUUUUGGCAAUGGAAAACCGUAGCCACAACAACACCGAUAUAAAUUAAGGAAUCGUUAUGCUAGCUGGAUCCUAUGAGAAACAAUUGAUGUUGUCUCAUCCAUUGAUCAUCAGACUUUUAGGAUUAUAUGUCACAAUCGCACUUCUAUUCACAUACGGAACACUUCUUGGAUAUGUCCUUCCUCAGCACUUCAUUUCAAGUAGGGAUUAAUAGUUCCCCCCUACAUAUUGGAGUACGAAGCCCACCCAAAAAAUCGAAUAAAAUAGUCCGUUCUAUUUUGCCGGUAUUACUAUCUGACUUAGUUCCAAUGACUCUCUUCAGAAUAUGAGGCAAUAAUAGAGCAAAUCUGUCAAACGGUUCUCCACCAAGAGCAUGAACUCUUUUAUUAUGUAUGUUGGAUUCAUUGGUCGAUUUAUGACAUUUUGUAUAGAAAUUGUGAAAAAAUGCAAAUAGUUAUAAUUCGUUCUAAUUCAAAAAUUUAUUUAUUGAUGACCAUAAAACUGCUCAUGUAUUAUAAGAAGAAAUUCGAAAAACCCUCCAACACAAAAGUUAUUCAUCACAUCGAAUCUCCAACAUUUUAUAGUAGAGUAGACAAUGUAUCACCGUGCAUCAUUCAAGUUUCACACACAAACAUAAAUAGAAGCUUCUAAAUUCAUAAGCAUACAAUAAUAUAAGAAAGACUAUUGUAAUUUCUAUCUCAUUUAUUGUCUAGAUUAGACAGGCCACUCCAUCCAAUGCCCACAGUUAGGGCAUUUUUACUUGAAAAAAGCUAGUACUCUUCCGUGCUUGCACUUCUCACAAAUAAAUGGGCCAUCUGUGCUAGCUAAUUGCCCCACCGCGGUCGUUGCCACCCCCACUUUGCCGCUGCCACCGCCACCUCCACCACCCUCACCACCGAUGCCCUCAUUCCCAUGGAUACCGCUCCCAUGGAUACCGCUCUCAUUAAUAACACUCCCGUGGAUACCACCGUGGAUACCACUCCCGUGGAUACCACCACCACGGCCCCGGCGGCCCCUGUGGCCCUUGCGGCCCCGGCGGCCCCGGUGGCCCCCAAAACCCCUGCGGCCCUCGCUCCCCUUGCAGCCCCUUGUCGCCCUUGUCCCCCUUGUCACCCUUGUCCCCCUUGUCCCCCUUGUCGCCCUUCUCACCCUUGUCCCCCCGCCGCCGGAUCCAACAGAAAAGGAAACCACAAAGCAUGAUGGCAACAAUGACUAAACCAACAAUAACAACAAUAACCCACGUUGGGGUGUUAUUGUCAUCGGAUGAUACAAAAUUCGGAUCGAUCCACGCCAAUGGAGGAGGAAAGUACUGGAAACACGGAUGAGUUCGUGGACAAUUAUUGUUCUCCAUCAAGAAAACUCUGUGGAGGUAGUUCAAUGCGAGCAAUGAGUCUACAAACAUAUUAUGAAGCAUCAAUCCA
rnacentral:lncRNA from 1 species